rnacentral:lncRNA from 1 species
AGCUUUCAACGAAAUAUAGAAUCGUGGCACGCAAAGUUUCCUCCUCAAAUAGCAGAUACAGGGCUCAGAUGAGCAGAACAAUACAAUUUUUGUCCAGAGUACAUAGUAGAAACAGAGGAUCAGCAACAGAAGCUUCAGAGGUCACCCUGAGGCCAAUAUCUAGUCACGCCGUAGCCAAUAUUCUGCAUCCGCGACAUUCGAUUACCGAUUGCCAUCCCUUACAUACAUACAUACACUUGAGCAUCAGUGCAAACCGACCCUUCUUCUCCUUUGCAUCUUCAUUUCAUCCUCACCCUGCAUUACAACAGUAAGAACCAUUUUGAUAAGUCAAUCGUGUUUCUUGUAUAUGUUCAGAGUUGGAACUAGAUUAGAGGCCCGCUACAAACUGAACUACAUUAUCCUACAACUGAAAUUGUUCAGAGAGAAGUUUUCUUUUUGGAAGCACAAAGUGUAGAGCUGAAGUUCUUGUCCCACAUAUAUGCAUUCCACAGGUUCAUGCUGAAAACUCCACAUCUGCACCACUUAUUUUCGUAACGUCAAGAAUGUAUCAUGACAAAACUGCUAAAACUAAACAGGGACAUUGGUUGAUACUAUUUACAGAGUUUGCAUAAUAAGAAUCAAGAAUGUAUCCAACCUGAAUGUACCAUGAUAAAAAUUAAGAAUGCAUGCAUAAUAAGUAGGGCAUUGGUUGAUGCUAUUUAAAGGAGUACAAGUUACCUCACUAUUUAGCAGACAUUAGCAUGAUUCCAAAAUUGCUUAGCUGUGACUUAUGUUUUCAUGACCAAACUGCCUGCAAUGUUUUUUUCAGUUACCUCAUUAUCUACACAAAAGGAUCAUUUUGUUACUGAUAAAAGUUUAUCCUUGUCUCUCCCAGAUGCCCAAUUGCAUGCCACAUUCAGCACGGCAUGGCCACGAGAUCUGGAUGUAGCAGCAGUGGGGUUUGCGCAUUUGAUCGAGCACGUCAUGCUCAUUGUCAGUUCGGGAGCACUAAUCUAGUCGAAGAGCACAGCAAAACACAAGGGGGAAAUUUGUGCUCACCAGAUGCGAACGCCGCAGGCUCCACUUCCAUCCCAUUCUACUCGUCGUCGUCCUCGUCGUCGUCUUCGUCGUCCUCGUCCUCCUCGUCGUCAUCGUCCUCAUCGGAGUCCUCGUCUUCGUCUUCGUCGUCGUCGUCGUAGCCCUCCUCGUCGGAGUCUUCGUCCUCGUCCUCGUCCUCGUCCCCUUCAUCCUCCGAAUCCUCGUCUUCUUCGUCGUCGGAGUCGUCUUCUUCGUCGUCCUCAUCCUCGUCCUCGUCCUCCUCGUCGGCCCCUUCUCCGCCCGCCGCCUCCCCGGACCCCGACGCGGCACGGCUCGCCUCGGCGCCCCCGCCGGCCGGCGGGGCAGGGGCCGGGGCCGGGGCAAGCGGCGGCGCCUCUCCCCCCGCCGCCUCGUCGUCGGAGGCGUCCUCCACCUCGAACUCGACCUCCUCCGUGGCCGGCGGCGGCGGCUGCGGCGGCGAGGGAGGCAUGGGGCGGCGGGGUCGGCCGAGAUUUGGAUUCAGAUUUCGGGGGGAGGGAAGGGAAAACGGUAGGUGGCGCGCCGUGCCCAAGCACAUUUCAUUCCUGGGCUUCUCGGGCAGACAGAGAGAAAAAAAAAACUACGUGGGCCCAACUACUCAGAUAGUAAAUGUUCAAUAUAUAAAUGUGUAAAUGUUGUCAUAUACAGAAUUUUUUUUCACUUUGGUUUUCUACCUUUUUCAAUAUAAUGAUGUCAAAACAAAUCUCGAGCAUAGACUUAGCCGGGGCAUGUCCUCUCCAUUGCAGGGAGCACAUUGAUUUUAUUUUUUCUCGACACUUGCAACCGUGGUGUCACCUAAAUACUCAAAUCGAGACGCGGCGUGUCACCGCCUAGAGGAGCGGAGGGUGUGCACGGUGGUCGGCGGCAUCCGUGGCGGCGAUGGCGCGGCCGUGGAAGCAUGUGACAACUACCAUCGGGGAAUGAAUGAGUGGCCGGAGGUUGCUGCAGAGGGGAGGGGGGCACAUUUCUCAAUGCUUGGAUUUCAUAGGCGAAGAGGCUAGUUGAAUCUAAACAUUAGGACAUGUGUUUUCGUUUCGCGUAAAUAUACAUGGAUAGUGUGUGGUUUGUGGAACCUGAGAGAGUGGGGUCUUAUCAUGUGGUGUUAGUUCGGGAUAAUGUGGGUUUUAGGGAUCUUUUAUAGUUGAUCUGGGAAGCAACACCUAUUUUUUCAACUAUCUUUACUUUAUGCAAUUUAUUUCUAUAUUUAACCCAUAAACCAUGACGCUUUCUCCAAGACCAGAAGCAUGGUUGUGGGUAAUCAUCUUGGCGAAUCAUAUUGUCGAGAACAUAGAGAUUGUCUGCGAGAAGCUUGAGGAGCUCAGCAAGUUCGCACUUGAUAUGGACAAGUGGGCGGACUAUUUGCUCAUCCCAGACAAGAUCAACUAUGAGUUGAUGGGUCAAAGAGAUAAUAAGAGCACAUGACCAAAUUCAUUACAACAACUCGAGUGAAUGAUGACCUAAUCUUCAAUUGUAAAUUCUCGUGAAAUAAAAAACUGAUAUGGAAAUAUGGUUGGUGGAACUAUAUUUUGUCGAUGUAAUCCCAACUCAUGUUCCAAACUACUCCCUCCGUUUCUAAAUAUUUUAGAAUGUAGAUUCACUCAUUUUGCUCCGUAUGUAGUCCCUGUUAAAAUUUCUAAAAAGAAUUAUAUUUAGGAGCGGAGGGAGUAUAUUUGUCUACAUAAACUUUCACUUUCAUUGCAUCAAAGCAGCAGUACAUGAAUCACAUCAGCAACAUCACACGUGAAAUACAUGGUAGGAGCAAGGAUCAGGAAGAGGAUGUGACAAAAAGGAAAACAGUCUAUCCAUGCAUGGAUGGUGAGAAUCAUAGAGGAGACCCGUCACAUGUGCACGACAAUGCAUCAUUAGGCCGCUGUAACAGCUAGAGUAAAAAAGGGGCAAAGAAGUGGAACAUGGUAACAAAUCAUAGUUAAUUCAGCUUAAGUUACAAUAAACGAAUGACAACAAAUAAAUCGUUAUGGCUUUUCUAGGAUUAAGAGUCAUAUCUCCAAGAGUACGACCCAACAUAUAGCUGGCAUUUACUUAUAUAUAAAUGAAUUAAAGCUGCUAAGCUAGCUCCACUCUCAUGCAUUUGAAGUACUUUGCCUUUGAGUGCUUCCCUACCUUAAACUCAGUAUUAGGUAUUUUCCUUUGUGUUGCAUACUGUUUUUUAACACAGUACAACACAGAUGCUCACAUAUACACACAUAGACUCAUCACUAUGAACGCACACAUGCACACUCUUUCUUUAUGAAAACCUUUGAAAUACUGAGCCGACACUACAUCUAGAGAGAUACUGCUUUUUUAACAUAGUACAACGCAGAUGCUCACAUAUACACACAUAGACUCAUCCCUAUGACAGCAGACAUGCACAUCCUAUCUUUAGGAGAACCUUUGAGAUACUGAGUCGACAUUGCAUCUAGAGAGAUACUGUUUUUUAACAUAGUACAACACAUGUACUCACAUAUACACACAUAGACUCAUCCACAUAAACGCACGCAUGCACACCCUAUCUUUAUGAAAACUUUGAGAUACUGAGCCGGCACUACAUCUAGAGGCCGACAAAGUCACCACACAUGCUUUCGUGGUUGACAGGGACGUCUCCUCCCGCUGAAUAAAUAUCACCAGAGAGCCUUAAAUAAAUUCAGGAAAGUGGGAGCACUGGUGCCAACACAGAACAACAUAGAUGGUCAUAUACACUCACCCCUAUGAAUGCACCCACACACACCCUACCCCUAUAACGCAAUCCGGAGAGACUGAAAUAAAUCCAGGAAAUGCAAGCACCGGCAGAACGAGCUCUCUACCAGGAGCAAUUCCAAGUUAAUUCUUGCCCGUAAUAGCCAAGAGAAAGUCUUAGUUUCAUUAGUUAACAUUUGUCUUUGCUACAGUAAGUAACCUUGCCGCCUCAAAAAUAAUAUGCAGAGUCCUUAUGCUCUCCAUGGAAAAAGUCCGCCAUUGAUGCCAAGCCUUCCUCCUCCAUGUGCUCCUCACACUCAUGUUAGUUCUCUUCAUACCUUCCAAUCGCCAUUACUGCCCUUCCUGGCAUAGAGAGUUGUGCUUACUAUCUCAUGCUUACAGACGCAUCUAUCAGCUGGAUCGAAUGACCCUGGAGGUGGUACAUCUGGACACGGUCAAGGAAGCCCAAGCACUACUCCAACGUCAAGAAAUUGACUCAUAGUUAGUUCUUCUCAACUCUUGUUGCCAGAGUGUAGACAUGAAAACCAGAUGUUAUACAUGUGUCCUGUAGAACCUCAGAUGUUGUAGCAAAUGCAGAUUCUAAUCUAUACAUGAUGGAUGCCAUUGUUGAAAUAGAGUGGCUUCGUGAGCUCUUGAUGGACUUACCUAUGGUUGAAAAAACCAAUACCCCCUAUUCUGAUGAACUGUGAUAAUCAAACUGUGAUCGUCAAGAUAAACAGUUCUAAGGACAAUAUGAAGUCCUCAAGGCAUGUGAAGAGGAGACUAAAAUCUGUCAGACAACUGAGGAACUCUGGAGUUAUUACAUUAGAUUAUAUCCAAACGUCGAAAAACCUGGCAGAUCCCUUCACAAAGGGUCUAUCACGUAAUGUGAUAGAUAAUGCAUCGAUGGAGAUGGGUUUGAGACCCAUCGCAUGAGUUGUCCAUAGUGGUAACCCACUCUAUGUGAUCGGAGAUCCCGUGAAGUAGAAGUGGGAGACAAGCUAUUGGUCAGCUGAGAGGAGAGUAUCCCUAUUUUAAUUAUUCCAAUCCGUGAAGAUGCAAUACUCUCCUGAUCUGCAUGGCAGGUUGAUAUUUAUCUUAAUGUGUUCCAAGUGGCUUAUUUGAGUAAGCAGAGAUGUUGUCCCGCAGAGCAUCUCCUGAGGAACACACCUAUAUGAAUUUGACAGUUAAUGUCACAGUCUGUGAGAAGUGGGUGUUCUCUAAUAAAUUCAUGAAAGGCCCCGGAGUAUGAUGUAUACGCUCCACCCAUGGGGAAGCCUUGCGGCAGUCCAGUAUCGGUCAAGAAUUUGUGUGAAACUAGUCUCGCAGAAAACUUGUAGUUCAAGGCAUAGUCCAUGAUUCAAGUUGUGACCUAGUGUAGCAUAAAACUCUAAGUGGAAGUUCAACUUUACAGUCUUCACUAAGCACCGGUAUAUAAACAAUGUUUUGGAACUAAAUGAUGAGAUGUACCAAUGAGACUUUGUGGAGGAUUGUUGGAAUUUGCUAGUAGGCCUUUGGCCCAAAGCCCAACUAAACUUCUGAAUUUUUUUUGGCCCAUUCAUGCACACAUGUGAGUGGAGUGAGUGAGACUAAAGUUCAGUCUCACCCCGGAAGUUGAGAGAGAGUUGCACCUCUUUAUAAGGUGAGCUCUUCUACCACUUGUAUGAGUAUGAGAAGAGGAGACCUACACGCGCGCUCCUCCUCCUCCUUGCUCGCCUCGCCAUGGCACGCCACGCCACGCCUCGACGCGGGUUGCGGGAUUGAGCCGAGCCGAGGAUAGAGCUAUGCACGUUGUCUAUAUUUUUGCUGCUCGGGAAAAAGUAAUGAGUCAUUAAUUAAUAAUUAGCGGACGCGUUAAUUACUGAACGUUUUCAAUUCUUUUGGAUCGUGACGACUCGAACAUGUGGUUUACUCCCACGACCUACCCGGCCCGCACUAUAUAGUCAGGCAGACGUCUACCCUAGCGGCCGCCACUUCGUAUGGUUUCUCACCACCGUUUCAGAUCAUUGCACCGCCAAGCAGGUCUUCUCCAUCCCUCCUUUCGGCGUGCACCGGGAGAAGGGACAGCAGGCCUCCGGAACCCCGCCUCUCGUGAUCCUGUACGGGAGAGGGGCGAUCAGGUUUUGGGGAGCGCACUCGCGCGACUGUUGGCAGCGAUGACUUUGCGAACGACGACUUCUUUCCCGACCUCGGCAACCUCAUCCUCGACGACAUGGGCGACAACGUCAACGUCAACGGUGCUGCUCCCGCUGCACCGUAUGUGAUUCUAUCCUUCCUGUUCGAGAUCGUGGUAGAAAUCAUGUUUCUAGUAUGCGCCCUAGAUGUGAUAUGUUCAUCUACUAUGCUAGUUCGCAUGAUUAGUUUAAUCUCUGCUAGUGCUGUCAUGAUUUAUCUUUUAUUUAUUCGGAUUAAAACUCGUAGUAAUUUGCUCAUAUUUCCAAAACAUGCAGAGUCCUUAUGCUCUCCACGGCAAAAGUCCGCCAUCGUUGCCAAGCCUCCUCCCUCCACGUGCUCCCCACAUUCAUGUGAGUUCUCUUCAUACCUUUCAAUCGCCAUUACUCCCCUUCCUAGCAUAGAGAGUUGUGCUUACUAUCUCAUGCUUACAGAUGCAUCUAUCAGCUGGAUCAAAUGACCCUGUUAGAGUUGUGUCGAAUAUAGUGUACAAGGUAGGUUACAGUUGGACUUGUAGUUGUAUUGUGUUUAGAUAGGAUAUGGAGUGCUGUUCUAGUAGGACACUUGUAUCCUAGGCCUCUCAUAUAUAGCGGGGCUAGACACACGAUGUAACCUAUGCCAACAUAAUAGCACCGGAACACAGGGGAAGCCGGCGGCAUGUACCGGUGUCCAGGGCGACCGGGUGCGGUAUUGUAGCGGUGUCAUGGGAAGGAGCGCCCAUAGUCAAGCCCCGGGGAUGUAGCCAUAUCGGUGAACUUCGUUAAUAAAUCUCGGUGUCGUGCUCGUGUGAUUGCUUGGUCCUCGGAUGAUCGACAAUAUGCCUCGGAUUUAUUCUAACAAGUGGUAUCAUGAGCUAGGCGUGAGGCGGGUUGAUCUAUAGGAUGAAGAAGCAGUCGCGUGGUGGAUGCGUCGGCGGCGACGGGUUGCAAAGGGCGUCAGAUUAAUCUUGUAUGCGCGUGCAGCGGCAUGCGUGCGCACACGGGAUGUGCGGCGAUCGAUCGGUGGAUCGAUCGGGCGAGCAUCGGCGGCACGUGUACGUGCGGGUGGGAUCGCUGGUGUCUGGCGAAGCCUAGGCGAGGCCCACGGCGGUGCGGCUCAUGUGGCUGCAGCAGGGUGCAAAGCCUGAAGCUGGCCUGAGGCGCGUCUCGCAUAGGUGUCGCUCAAGAGUAGGCUAAAGCAUACGUGGAGGACUCGUGGCGUGUGCAUACAGAAGAAACACCGUGGAUUUGUUUGGACAAAAAGGAGACCGAGUCUCCACGCGACACGGAGAUAGGCAGGCAAAUCAAUAUGCGGAAAGAGGAAAUCCAUCGAGCGAUACAUACUAGCUGGGACAUUGACAAAGCAACAACAGCAUCGGGAGUUGAGCUAGAGCUACUACACGUGAAGAUCAAAAGUGUUCUUUGGUUGGAAUUUGCUAUUAGUGCACGAGGGUGUACCACGUCAGGUUUUGCUUGUGUACUUGGGCAUCACGUAAGGAAAGCUCGGAUACUUUUUCGCAUGGUCAGCUGUAUAAAGAACUGUGGCGCCAACGAUACCAGGUUUGAGGUGGAGAAGUUCAUGGAACUGAAAACCUUGGGUUAUGGCAGACACGGAUGAAAGAUUUGUUGACACAACGGGGAUGCUUGAUGGCGUUGUGGGAAGUCAUGUCAGCUAAGAUGGAAUUAUCAAGUGAUGGAUGGAGAUUCGCAGAAAAUGAUUUGGGAGCCUUGAGUGUGUCGUACAGCCGAAAUAGUUCGGCUGGGUCGGACUUAGGCAGUCUGACGGAUCGACGUGAGUCGGUUGGUACAGAAGACGGUGGUGGAAUCGGCGCUGAUGACGUAGGAGCGUGAUGCUGAUGGUGACCGACUUCUGGGCGUGGAAACACGUGGCGCAGGCCCCGAGGGCUUGUGUGGCUUCGACAAGACUAUGGCGCGGGAUUGAUUCAAGGUGGUGUAUACACGGAGCUUGAAGUCGAUGAGGCGCAGGGGUGGACUGAUCAUCUACCAUGGAGUCAUGUUGAAGAUGGAACUGGAUUGAGGGGCUACGGUGUAAGGAUCCAGAGAAUCGAAGCCUAUUCAGCUGAUGGGAAAAGCGAGUGCCACGUAGUUCGGACUGGAGCCCAGUGGUCUGAUGGAAGCGUGAAACUCGUCAUCGGUCGGUGAUGAUCGGUGGUACUCUGCAGUGGGGGUUGAGUGGUGUGGGUCCGAGACCCUUGAGACUCGACCGGGACAGCAGAGGCUCGACGCGCUAGCGGCGAGGCGUGCGGUACGCACGGGACAUGGAGACGGGCCAGGGCUCUGGUGGUCAUACAUGUGGUGAGACAACUGCGAAAUUUGACUCGGGAUGACUACAAGCAAUGGUGAAAUUCCUUCAAGUUUCAGACAGUCGGUCAAGAAAGGAGCGGUGAUGUUGAGUUCAGGUAACUCUUAUGUGUGACACCCAAUAUGUGAGUUGUUCACUUUCACGCAGGUCAGCGAUCAGUGUGUGAUGGCCUUGGACUGAUACUCUGGAAGUUGGGAGCGCAAACUAGAGUAAUGUGGAACUUAAUUUCGCUCGAGUGUUGACUGUGGUCAAGAAAAGAAGGGACUACAAGUUGCAGGUGCAGUCACAUGGAGUCUUUGGAGUAGCAGCGGUGCUCAUGGGAUAAACUCAAGUCCAAUGUACAUGGAAGUUUGCCGCAUGGACGAACUCAAGGUGGUGGAGAAUAUUCGCCAAAGUGGAGUUUGUUAGAGUUAUGUCGAAUAUAGUGUACAAGGUAGGUUACAGUUGGACUUGUAGUUGUAUUGUGUUUAGAUAGGAUAUGGAGUCGUGUCCUAGUAGGACACUUGUAUCCUAGGCCUCUCAUAUAUAGCAGGGCUAGACACACGAUGUAACCUAUGCCAACAUAAUAGCACCGGAACACAGGGGAAGCCGGCGGCAUGUACCGGUGUCCAGGGCGACCGGGUGCGGUACUGUAGCGGUGUCAUGGGGAGGAGCGCCAUAGUCAAGCCCCGGAAAUGUAGCCAUAUCGGUGAAUCUCGUUAACAAAUCUCGGUGUCGUGCUCGUGUGAUUGCUUGGUCCUCGGAUGAUCGACAGUAUGCCUCGGAUUUAUUCUAACAUCUAUCAGCUGGAUCAAAUGACCCUGGAGGUGGUACAUCUGCACACGAUCAAGGAAGUCCAAGCACCCAACAUGGUGGUGGUACUCCAACGUCAAGAAAUUGACUCGAGUUAGUUCUUCUCAACUCUUGUUUUUUUUUUUUGACUGUUCUCAACUCUUGUUGCUAGAGUGUAGACAUGAAAACCAGAUUUUAUACAUGUGCCUUGUAGAACCUCGUAUGUUGUAGCAAAUGCAGAUUAUACACAUGAUGGAUGCCAUUAUUCUCAAAUUAUUAAAUUUUGACCUUCAUUUUACAGGUUUGCGUCACCGACGGAGUGUGAUGUGCAUGUUGUGGCUGUGCUCGACAUGUUCUUUGUACUCACUCCGUUCCUAAAUACUUGUCUUUCUAGGCAUUUCAACAAAUGAUUACAUACGGAACAAAAUAAGUGAAUCUACACUCUAAAAUAUGUCUACAUACAUCCGUAUGUAGUAGUCAUUUGAAAUGUCUAGAAAGACAAAUAUUUAGGAACGGAGGGAGUACUUGUGAACUUUCUUUAGACGUAGUCCCUGACGUUGCACUUCUGAACUUGUUUAAUACCAUGGGGCUUCCAUUUAUGUUGUCUCCGCCAAGAUUUUCGAGUCGACGAGUCGUUUGGGAGUAGUGACUCUUUACGAGUCGUGCAAAGACGUAACAAGGAUCAUUCGCGCGUCUGAUUCUGGUGUCGUUCUGAUCAUAGGGCACCGCUGAACUACUGGACAAGGUUCACCAGGUAUGCGAGAACCAGAUGCAACAGUACACGCUCUGCGUCGAAAAGCGGCUAGGUUUGCGCAGGCGCAGCUGAAGGAGUGUAUGGAGCAGAUACCGAGAAAUCAGAUCAUGUCGCACACCGAUGUCAUGAACUUCAUGUUACAGAACUGGCCUGAGUCUUCUCUCCAGUUAUCCAACUUCUGACACCGGACUGAUCCACAAGUGGUAUCUAUCAGCUGGCUGAUCAAUCGCUGAAACUUGUGCACAUACAUACCGCUAAUUGCAAAUGGUGCACGGGCACCAAUGUUUUUAAAAAUCAUUUUUUACAGCGCAAAAAAUUUAUAAACUUUUUGUAAACACACACACAUGUAUAUACUACAUAUGUGCAAAAAUUCAAAACAUUUUACUUUCAUGCAUGGCGUAAAAAAAGACAAAUACGUAUUUUCAAAUGGGCCGGAAAUUUUUGUUUUUUGGGGCGGAUUUUUUUGUUGUACAGCUUAUAAAUUACAUUUUUUUCGAAACAAAAUUUCAUGGAUCCGUAGUGAAUACACACAAGUUUUCAUAGAAUUGUUUUUGUUUUUUAUAAAUAAAUAUGCUUUUAGAUUUUUUUCAGAAACUUCGCACUCACAUACAUACCCUCUUUCUACUAGUUAGUAUAUGUGAUCUGUGGAUAUACACCUUCCUAUGCUCUGCCCAUCUCACGGGAAACUCCCAAGAAUGCGACGUAUAGGAUGUUAUCUUCCUGUAGAAAUUUAUAUUACGUUUGUACAUAUAUAUACGUCGCAUUAGUUGCUUGAUGUGUACGCAUAGUCUAGAGUUGGGUCUUUUUUACAAGUAUAAAUCGUCUCCCGCCAAAAAAAAAUACAAGUAUAAAUCGUCAAAAAAGAAAAAGAAAAACCUCAUAUAUUUUACAAGUAUAUAACUCAUCAAAAAAGAACAAAGUAAAAUCGUCGCCUAUUUCACAAGUAGGAAUCCUGCAUGCCUACUCCGAGUCUGAGUCCAACUACGCCUCGAUCGAUUUGUCGAUCUCAAUACGGACACGAACCAUGCCGUCCAAUUAUAUAUACUGGCUGCUAGGAGUAGAUUUCCUUUUAUUUUAUGGGCAUAUAUACAUUGCUAGUUCAUAUAUAGCUCGAUCUUCCAGCCAGGAUCUUUGCUUAGGUCGAUCGAUCGAAUCCAGAUUUUGAUUACUAACGAUAAGUCUCUUCAGAUUCAGAUCGGGCCGGUUCGUGUCUCCGGUGCGACGGCCGGCGGCGAAGGAAGGAAGGAAGGAAGCCAGCGCCCACGAUGGACCCCAAAGGCGGCGGAAACGGCAUGUGCCUCCCCUACAACCUGCUCGUCGACGUCCUCCGACGCCUGACACCACGCGCCCUCGUCCAGUGCCAGGCGACCUGCCGCGCGUGGCGCGCCAUCGUCGACGACCACCACCUCCUACAGCCCGUCUACACGUACUUCCCAGCCGUCUUCAAGGAUCGUCAUGCCCGACGCUGGGACGAUGGGCCGUCCUUCCUCCUCCCGCCGGACAUGGUGAUGGACCCACUCACCCGGAUAGUACAUCGUAAAUCGUACGGGACGUGAUUGAUUUGCACUAACGAUCGUCGGCCUUGUACAACAUAUUGGAACCCUGCAGGAAAUUGUUUUAUUUGUAUAAUCGAUUAAUUUGUAUUUCAUGGAUUCCUACGGACGUUGAAGGAGAGGCUUUGGGUAGUAAGACAAGUCAUUAUAAGUUUAAAACUAUCUCUAUCACUAUCCAUACAUUGUUUUUUCAGAUGUGCCCAUACAUACAUUAUGUGUACUUCUACCACUGUCGGGUGCUACGGGCGGCGGCCAAGGAAGAAAGCCAAUGCCAUGUGCUUGCUCUGCAACGAGCUCCUCGACGUCGAGUCGAAACCAUCUACGUGACUAGAUGACGGCCGACCAUGUGAUCCCCAUUGACUCCGCUACGGUCGCUCGAGGCUGGUUGUAUUCGCGGCGUCCACAUCAACGCGACAACAGGGAUGAGUAUAUUUGGUUUUUCUCCUCUAAACAGCAACUAACCUAACUGAUCCCUUAUAACCGUUAGUGGAGUAUAAAUUUUUUACUCCAUCCCCAAUCCUCUCCUUAUAUUUACUCCAGCGCUUGGUGGUCGAGUAAAAAAUCCCGCUCUCUCUUCCUCUCCCCCGCCUCCUCUUCUCCACCUUGCCCUGCUGCCGGCGCGACCCUCACCCCGAUCCGCCGCCCUCCCUCCUCCCGAUGGCUGGACGUGGUGGCCGCCUGUCCCCUCUGCCGAUCCGCAGCGUGGAUCCGCGCCGCCAUGCCCGCGGGUCGUCGUCCACGGGCACUUCCUCGAGCCGCCGCCGCUCGGCCGAUCCGCCCGCCGCAGCGCCCCCAAUGCGUUUUGCAGACAUCCUCGACCUCCCUCCACCGCGGUCACCGACGAGGACCUACCUGGGCGUCCGGCAGCGGUAGUGGGGGCCAUGGGUGGCCAAAAUCACCGACCGCGAGACCCACAAGCGGAAGUGGAUCGGCUCCUUCCACACCACCGAGCUCGCAGCCAUGGAAUACGACCGGUGGCAGGUUCGGUUCCACAGCAGCCACGCGAGGUUGAACUUUCCCAUCGACGAGCAUCUGUUCCACCUUGCCCCGCCGGAGGCAGGGGUGGUGUCCUCUCGGAUGGCGCGGGAGGACCGGGAGGCGAUGGAGCGCCUCGUGGACGAGGCCGCUGAUGAGGCCUACAUGACAGGGCGGAAACGCGGGGGGCCGAGGUGGGAAACAACGACGAGAUCGCCAUCUAGGGGUGGUGGAGCGUCUUCCCCGGCGACGACGACGACGGCACCGUCCCCGACCCAGCUCUCAUCGACGGCGGCCUCACCCAGAAGGAUUGGCUUGGACUCCACUUCGGCUGCAAGUAGUUUAAGUUUAGUUUCUGUUUAAAUUUACGUUUAAUGUUCAUUUGCGAGAACUUUAUGUGUUGAACUUACGUUUAAAUGCAUCAUCUUUCAGUUCAAAUUUCGUUGAAUUUGUGCAAAUUUAGUUAUACUCCACUAACUUUUGAGGAUCGGCUAGGUGCGGCCAAAUUUAAGUGGAGUAUAUAUACUCCACAUAAGUAUAUACUCCAUUAACUUAUAACAGAUCGGUUUGAGUUGCCCUUAGAGCCCAGCAGCAGUUACGGUAUUGAUUUACAGGAAGCCCCAUAGUAUAUAAAUUUUUACUAAGAAAGGGAAAUUUAUUUACCGCAUACCCCCUAGAGUUUCAAACGUUGACCACAAGGCCCAUUUUUUUGACUAGUCCCAGCCAUUUUCUUGCUUUACGAGAGAGAUGGAAAGUUCACGGGUGCUCGGCAUAGACGUGACCCAUGAAAAUAAAAAAAAUAAUGGAGAGAAAAGAUUGAUGAGUUUCCGUUAGUGGAAACCCGAAAAAUAUAGACCACUGUCAUGGCUCCGUCGCUUAAUCUUCGAUGGGGCCCACCUAUGAGGCAUUGCGGAGUUCAUAAACCUAGAACUCGGCGAACGUGAGACAGUGCCGAGUUUUUUUUUUCUUUCUUUUUUUUUGCGGGAAACUUCGAGCUUUAUUCAACUAUUCUCUGUUCCCGCACGAUCAGCCAAAACGCUGGUCAUGAGGAAGUCAACGGGGAAUUCCAUCCAGCAGUCGGUUAUCCCCAAGGUGCAAGCAUGCUUAGCACACAGGUGGGCCGUCAUGUUGGAGUUUCUCAAUACAUAUUGGACAUCAAAAGAAAGAAAAGAUAAGGCUAGCUCUUCUAUUUCUAAUAAAAGCGGCGCUACGAUAGAGCGCGAAAACCGUCGCGAGUGCCAUAGCUGAACCAGUUCUAAGCAGUCUGUUUCCAUGAGCACUUGCGAAAAGCCUCGAAGCUGUGCGAAUACCACCCCAUCUCGAAGAGCAGACGCCUCGGCUAUCAACUGGUCCGUGAUGUGGGGGUAGGGCUUACUCCAGGCAGCCAAGAAGGUUGAGGAAGUCCGUGCCACUCCUCCAGCUCCACUUCUAUUUUCAAGCACUGAAACACUAGCAUCUAUGUUUAUCUUUGUCCAGCCUUGAUCCGGUGGCCUCCAACCGUAGCCAGGUAGAACCUUCGUCUGUUCCAAGGGCAGCUCCAGCAAGGAAAGAGUUUCUCUUAUACGUUUGAGUGAUUGCACCGGGUUCAUACUUGCUCUGUCAUGCGUUAUGUUAUUGCGAGAGGUCCAAAUAGCCCACAUGACCGUAACAAUUUUUGCCCGAUCACUCUCUGAGAACCUGGGGUCGCAGAGAAUAUCCCUACACCAAGUCAGAGGGUGUAGCUCCGGUAGCUUGACAUGUAGCCAUUCUCGAGCUUCUGUCCACAAAGAUUGAGCAUGUGAACACUUGAUCAAAGCAUGCAUCAAAUCUUCAUCAGCGCCCAUGCACACCUUGCAUCUUGCCAAGGUUGCAAUAUGUCUGUGCUGUAGUGUGCUUUCCACUGGAAGAAUGCCACGGAGGACCCUCCACCAGAACACACGCACCUUAGGUAGAACUUUGAGCUUCCAAAGACGAGUCCAUAACUGUUUAUCCUUCUCUGAAGAUUCCGUAAUCGCCCCUUCCUCUAGAGCUAGAUGCUCAUUAUGAGUCAUUAGAGCACGAUAUGCCGACUUGACAGUAUAGGAGCCCGAUCUCUCAUGGUCCCAAGCCCAGUAAUCAUCCCCACCUCCAUUUCUGAGUGGAAUAUUCAGAAUAGUAUCAGCAUCCGGUGGUAUAAAGUUUUCUCGAACGAGGUCAGCUUUCCACGACCAAUUCACAUCGUCGAUCAGGUCAGAAACAAGAUGGAUAGGUGAUGUACCGAUCUGUGCAGCAGGCCGCAGCGUCAGCUUGCCUGGUAACCAUCCAUCCUGCCACACACGCGUGGACGUGCCAUCGCCAAUCCGUCUUCGCAGGCCAAUAUCCAGUGCCCCCCUCCCAGCGACGAUCGCUCGCCAGGUAGCCGAAGCGUUGCAGGGAACAGUGGCAUGCAUGAAGUCCGUGUUCGGGAAAUAGCGACCUUUCAACACCCGAGAGCAUAACGAGUUCGGGCUGGUGAUAAGCCUCCAGCCAUGUUUCCCUAAAAGUGCAACAUUGAAGCACUCCAGAUCACGAAAUCCCAUACCUCCUCUGAUUUUUGGAAGCGACAAAGACUUCCAGUCUAUCCAGUGCAGAGAUAUUCGAUCAACAGAACUGCUCCACCAGAACUUUGCCAUCGGUGAGGAAAUAUUUUUGUACACUUUUUUCGUGAGUUUAAGACAACUCAUAGUGUAUGUUGGCACCGCCUGUGCCCUUGCCUUGAUGAGCACUUCCCUCGCCGCGCAAGACACCAAUCUCUCUGUACCUCCAUUCAGCUUUGACCUCACCGUUUCUCCAACAAAAUCAAAGGUGUCAGAGGUAAUCUGUCCAACUGCUUUGGGGAGGCCCAAGUACCUUUCAUUGAAUGCCUCAACUGAAAUACCCAUCACAGUUUUCACUAUGGUUCGUACUGGACUUGGCGUGUUUGGACUAAAAAAUAUGGAACUCUUCUCCUUGUUGACACACUGUCCCGAACACUCAUCAUAAAUCCUAAGAAUGUUAUUUAGCCGCUCUGCACUCUCCAAUUUAGCUUGCAUGAAUUUAAGACUAUCAUCUGCAAACAAUAGAUGAUUAAUCCAUGGUGACCGGGUGCAUACUCGAAUCCCCUUGUCUGCAUACACUCCACCGAAUUUGUUUAAGAGUGUAGUAAAACCCUCGGCACACAAGAGGAAUAAAUAAGGUGACAUAGGGCAUCCUUGCCUGAAUCCCCUAGAAGGGGUGAAAAACGGCAGCAACUCCCCAUUCACUCGUACCGCGAACCGCACUGAUGUUACACACUUCAUAAUCAGUCGGAUGAAGGACGAGCUGAAGCCCAACUUUGUCAUAAUCGCGUGUAGAUAAUGCCAUUCUACGCGAUCAUAAGCUUUCAUCAUGUCCAACUUGACAGCACAUACCCAAUUCUUUCCCUUCCUUCUUUUCUUCAUUGCAUGGAUACUCUCAUGAGCAAUAAGAACAUUAUCUGUAAUGAGGCGCCCAGGCACAAACGCACUUUGCUCCUCACUUACAAUGUCGUCAAGAAAAUCUCUCAUCCUGUUAACAAUACAUUUUGGUGCAAUCUUGUACAGAACAGAACAAAGAGAGAUAGGUAUAUAUUGGGUUAUUCUUUGUGGGUGCCGAACCUUUGGAAUAAGGGUAAUGGAUGUAUCAUUCAAACCUUCUGGGAGUUCGCCCCCAUUCAAAAACCCCAACACUGUCGGGAUUAUGUCAACUUUUAUCAAUGGCCAAUGCCUCUGAAAAAACCCUGCAGUAAAGCCGUCCACGCCGGUGUUGGAAAUAUGCCCUAGAGGCAAUAAUAAAAGGAUUAUUAUUAUAUUUCCUUGUUCAUGAUAAUUGUCUUUUAUUCAUGCUAUAACUGUAUUAUCCGGAAAUCGUAAUACACAUGUGAAUACAUAGACCAUAACAUGUCCCUAGUGAGCCUCUAGUUGACUAGCUCGUUGGACAUUAGAUGUCAUUGACAACGGGAUACACGUGUGAAUACAUAGACCAUAACAUGGUUUCCUGACUAUGGACAUUAGAUGUCAUUGACAACGGGAUCACAUCAUUAGGAGAAUGAUGUGAUGGACAAGACCCAAUCCUAAGCAUAGCACAAGAUCGUGUAGUUCGUUUUGCUAGAGCUUUUCCAAUGUCAAGUAUCUCUUCCUUAGACAAUGAGAUCGUGUAACUCCCGGAUACCGUAGGAGUGCUUUGGGUGUACCAAACGUCACAACGUAACUGGGUGACAAUAAAUGUGCACUACAGGUAUCUUCGAAAGUGUCUGUUGGGUUGACACGGAUCGAGACUGGGAUUUGUCACUCCGUAUGACGGAGAGGUAUCACUGGGCCCACUCGGUAGUGCAUCAUCAUAAUGAGCUCAAAGUGACCAAGUGUUUGGUCACGGGAUCAUGCAUUACGGUACGAGUAAAGUGACUUGCCGGUAACGAGACUAACGAGGUAUUGGGAUACCGACGAUCGAGUCUCGGGCAAGUAACAUACCGUCUGACAAAGGGAAUUGCAUACGGGGUUGAUUGAAUCCUCGACAUCGUGGUUCAUCCGAUGACAUCAUCGAGGAGCAUGUGGGAGCCAACAUGGGUAUCCAGAUCCCGCUGUUGGUUAUUGACCGGAGAGCCGUCUCGGUCAUGUCUGCAUGUCUCCCGAACCCGUAGGGUCUACACACUUAAGGUUCGGCGACGCUAGGGUUAUUAGGAAGACUUGUAUGUGAUUAUCGAAAGUUGUUCGGAGUCCCGGAUGGGAUCCCGGACGUCACGAGGAGUUCCGAAAUGGUCCGGAGGUAAAGAUUUAUAUAUGGGAAGUUGUCAUACGGACACCGGAAGGUUUCGGGGGCAUAUCGGUAUUGUACCGGGGCCACCGGAAGGGUUCCGGGGGUCCACCGGGAGGGGCCACCCCUCCCGGGGGCCACAUGGGCUGCGUGGGGCAGGAGCCAGCCCCUGGAGGGCUGGGCGCCCCCCCUUGGGCCCAUGCGCCUAGGGUUUGGGGGGAACCCUAGAAGGGGCGCCCCCCUUGCUUGGGGGGCAAGUCCUCCCUCACUAGCCGCCGCCCCCCCUCUAGAUCCCAUCUAAAGGGGCCGGCCCCCCUUGCCCCUUCCCCUAUAAAUAGAGGGGUGAGGGGAGGGCUGAACACCCAAGUCAAGGCGCAGCCCCUCCCCUCCCCAACACCUCCCCUCCUCCGUUGUGUGCUUGGCGAAGCCCUGUCGGAGUACUGCCUCUCCACCAUCAUCACGCCGUCGUGCUGCUGCUGGAGCCUUCUUCCUCAACCUCUCCUUCCCCCUUGCUAGAUCAAGAAGGAGGAGACGUCGCCCGUACCGUACGUGUGUUGAACGCGGAGGUGCUGUCCGUUCAGCACUUGGUCACCGGUGAUCUGAAUCACGGCGAGUACGACUCCAUCAUCAUCGUUCCCUCGAACACUUCCGUACGCGAUCUACAAGUGGUAUGUAGAUGCAAACUCACUCCCUUGACUCGUUGCUUAGAUGAACUCAUAGAUGGAUUUUGGUGAAACCGUAGGAAAAUUUUUAAUUUUCUGCAAUGUUACCCAACAGCCGGGUGCUUUGGAUGGGGCCAUUUGAAACAGCGCCACCCUCACCUCUUCUGCCGUAAAUGGCUUAUCUAGGUGUGCGUUCAUAGGUGCUGUCACCCUAUGUGGAACUAAAUCCAACAGUUCAUCCAGGGGUCGGAUUCCUUGAGACGUAUACAAAGUUGUGUAGAACUGUUGUACCUCCUCAUGGUCAUCUGUCCAGGAUUGGCAUACCGAUCCAUCAGCUCGCACAAGUCCCUCAAUUUUGUUCAUCCUUCUCCAUUGAGCUGCCUGUGCGUGAAAAAAUUUUGUGUUCCUGUCUCCCUCGCGCAAGUAAGGUACUCUGGACCUCUGGCGCAUCCAUAUUUCCUCCUGAUGAAGUGCCUCACGUAGCUUCUUGACGAUGGAUCUCUCUUCAUCAGUUGGACCCCGCCUGCCCGCGCGGCUUCUAAGUUUGUUCAAACUCUGUCGGAGUUUCCUCACCUUAGCCGUCAAGCUGCCGAACUCACGCGUGCCCCAUGUGGAUAGUGAGCUCUGCAUGUUGUUAAGCGCGCUGAUCACUCCCGCCAGGCCCUGCAGACCAGCUCCUUUUUGCCAAUUAUUCAAGACCACACUAUCAUAAUCUGCAUGAGUCUGCCAUACAUCUUCAUAGCGAAACUGCUUUCCUCCUCUUCUCCUCUCGGCCACAUCCAUACGGAGUUCGACCAGGACCAAGCAGUGGUCGGAGUCCGUGGUACUUAUGUGCCAAACUUUUGAGUGCCGAAAUGUCUGAAUCAAUGCUGGGUUCCCGAACACUCUAUCAAGUCGUGCCCUGACAUUGUCAUCACCCGUUUGACCAUUAUCCCACGUAUACCCUGUUCCAUAUCACCCCAUGUCUUGGAACAAGCAAUCAUCGGCUGCUUCACGGAACGCACGCAUCUUCCAUUCAGGCUGGGCAGCCAGCGAAAAAUGUUCCGUAGCAUACAGUGUUUCAUUGAAAUCCCCUACGCAUAACAACGCCGGAUGUUGGAUAGAAAACAAUGUCCGCAGGCAUCUCCAACUGUGGUGUCUGUCAGAUACUCGAGGGGCCCCAUAGAAUCCCGUAAAUCUCCAUUUAUCACGAUGCAUAUUACUAUUCUGCACCAUCACAUCUAUGUGCCCCGCGAAUAGACAAAUACCACCGCUUAGACCGUCACUGUCAACUGCAAAACAGCCCGCAAAUCCCAGAAGAUUUUGCAAACUUUGUACCCUCUUUGCCGCAAUUUUAGUCUCCAUCAGAAAUAAGAGACCGGGCCCUUCUUGCUUCACCACACUGCGAAGCUCGCGAACUGUCGCUGGGUUCCCAAGCCCGCGACAUUUCCAGCUGAGGCAAUUCAUUGAGCCUGGCAGGGCUGCACCGCAGCCUCUGCCGUCUCACCGGAAUUCACCGUGGUAGGUUUCUUCUUCUUUAGCAGCCUCUCAUCUUCACCACUUUUCUCAGAGGAGUCCGAUAGCACCUCUACAUCACCCUUUUGGCCGUCCUCUGGGUUGUGUGCCUUGUCCAUCAGCAAGGGUAUAACCCUCCUGUACUCUUGUUUCUUCUCCUGCGCCCCUCCCUUGCGCUAAUUCAGAUUUUUGCUCUUGGCCGGAGAAUUAACUUCAGCUCCUUUCUCAGCUGCAUUACUCGAACCUAUUGUCUCUGCUUUGUUCUUUUGACUAUUCGAUUGAUCCCGAGAUGAGUUCUCACUAGCACUCGGUGCCCUGCGAUCUUCCGGCGCCCGCAGCCCUCUUCCAAAGGGGAGGUCCCCAUUGGCAUCUCGAGUCCCCGGGGUCAGACAAUGCAGAUCCGAGUGGCCCAACCUUCCGCAUGAGAAACAGAAGUGCGGAACAUUCUCAUAUUGGAUGUCAUACAAAUCCGUCUGUUUCCGCCGCGCUGACUCGAUUAAAAUCCAGCGCAUUAAUGGUUUGUCCACAUCAACUGAAACUCUAGCUCUGAGGUAGCCAUUAGCAUCAUCAAACUGCACCCCAGAUGCAUGCUUGUCAAUCUGUUUCGCUAUUGCAGCACACCACUUCUCUCCCCGAAGAUUGAAGGGCAGAUUGAUGACCCUUGCCCACAUAUGAAGCUUGGUAAAACUCAGUUCAGAAGGCCCCAUGCACUCAUCAAACUCCGACAAGACGACGUCGUUUUUACUUACAUGCCAAGGCAGUCCUUCCCAAACUCGACCUCGAUCUCUCUUGCUCGCGAACUCAGCCACGAAUUUGUUUUCCCCUACCGAUCUGAAGUGCAGACCUUUAGGGUUGCCCCAGGCCGGACGAAGUGCGCUGAUGAUUGUUUGUAUGUGCAGAACAUGUCGGUGCAGGACCUUCCCCGCUAUCAUCCACUUCUCCGGCUGACCAUCCUCUCUAUCAUCGAGAACCAGCGGCGUCGCCUCUUCUUCAGUAAUAUCCAGUUUACCUAGGGCCUCCGCCAGCUUCGCCCUUGCCGCGCCCGGCGACAGGGGCUCUUUCCCGUGGCCAUGCCCCGCUGAUGAAGCCAUCACCGGGAUCACGAUCCGGUGCGCCACGCCGUAGACCCGCGUGCGCCGUCGAGUUCCACCCGCAAAACCCUAAUCGCCCUUGGCGGCGCUCCGGAAGUUUCGAGGGGGAAAACACUUUUUUUUUCUUUCACCGAGUCCCUUUUCCCUUGUAUUCCCUCUGUCCGGAAAUACUUGUCAUUGAAAUAGAUGUAUCUACAUGUAUUUUAGUUCUAGAUACAUUCAUUUUUAUUCAUUUUGAUGACAAGUAAUUCCGGAUGGAGAAAGUACUAGACAAACGGUGAAGUUUGCCGAGUUGUGUGUCACUAGCAAUUCCAUUUUUUAUCAAACUCGGCAGAGACAUUACUCUGCCCAGCUCCCGAUGUGUUGAACUUGGCGAAAUCCUGAAUUCUACUAGUGAAAAUGUGUGUGCAUGUACUACCUCCGUUCGGGUUUAUUAGGGCCGUUUGUAUUUUGUGUCAGAUUUUAACCAUCUAUAUUACUAAAAAAAUAGAAUAUAUGAUAAAAAAAGUACACCACUAGAUUUGUAUUUGAAAGAGCUUUCAAACAGUGUAAUUUUUGUGGCUUACAAUUCACAUUUUAUUAGUUAAAUUUGCAGAUCAAACUUUAGCCCAAAAAAGAGCGGGCCUAAUAAACCCGGACGGAGGGAGUACGCAGCAGUAGCAACAACAAGAACAACAAUUCUAAAGUUGUACUAAAAUAUUGCCAAUUAAUAUGGAUCGUAGGGAGUAAUAAUAAUAAUAAUUUAUUAUUAUUAAUAUAACAAUAAUAAUUAUAAUAUAUUAUUAUUAUUAUUAUUAUUAUUAUUAUUAUUAUUAUUAUUAUUAUUUUCUUCCCGUAGAAGAAAGAUGACUCUUUGGCUAGGGUUUCUCGUGCCUCCCACCGGUGCCACCGCCGGUCUACCUGGCCUCCUGUGGUCUUAGGGCCAUGGAGACAUGGUGGAUCCUGGUCCUUGCCAGUGGGAGGGCUCCCUUUUCUCAUGCUCUUUUGAGUUUUGUUGGAGUUUGUGUCCUGCUCAGAGAGACGAGGAGGCGGUGCCUCUCUGAAGAUGGAAUAAGGUCCUUCCUGCCUAGUCCCCGUCCCAGUCGUGUUUCUAAUAUCGUUGGAGUCGUGCGGAGGUAUGUCUCGGGCGGUUCUCAUGGGAUUCGGUCGGCGUUUGUCUUUGGUGGAUCCAUGUUGGAUCAUAUCUUCGUUCGUCUGUGUUUGUGUGUCUACAAGUUGGAUCUUUUCGAUCCACGCUUCUCUUCAUCGGUAGUGGUUGCUGUUCUGGUGUGCUAGUCUUAUGGCGCCUUAGCAAGACGACUUCCCGACUGUCUAGUACAACAAGGUUUGCCUGGCUCCGAUGAGGGAGGGGCGAAGAUGGCAGCGCGUUUUCGGCUCGCUCAAGUGCUAUUAGUCGUUGUUAAUUGGUCUACGAACCUAGAUGUAUUUUUUACUUCUAGUGUUCUUUGUGCUGCCUUGGCGGUUGACGAAUAGAUCAGAAUUUAUGUUUGCUAAAUCAUAAUAAUAACAAUAAUGAUGAUGAUGAUGAUCAUCAUCAUCACAUGGCAGAUCAGCAGUUAGUUCGUACAAUCUCUGGAAGUCAACCCAUCACAUACAUGGUGCGCAUGAUCACCACGAAUUAGACACCCCAUAAUUAUAGGUGAUUAGAUAACAGCUAGUACUUGGCCAAGCUGGCGAACUAGAGGUUGCAAUGUUCUUGUUCUUUGCGUUGAAUUUUCUGCCUAUAAAAGUUCAUCUCGUUCAUUCAUACGGACAUCACUACUACCACAUAUCAAACAUCCCCAGCAUUAACCCUUGUAGCUAGCCUCAUCGUCGUCAAGGCACACAUCCUCAAUGGCUGCCGCCUCCGCACUCAAGACGGCCGCCGUCGUUGCCAUCUGCAUCGCCAUGUUGCUGGUCCAGACCACCUUGGGGGUGGGGUACCUAACGGCGCAGGCCCCUGCCGGCGGUGGCUUGGCAUGCCCUGAUACCCAGACCACCUGCGGGGCGAAUUGCUUAGUACGCUGUGAGAGCAUGUCGCAGGACAUCUGCAAGGUUGUCUGUACCACCUCGCCGUUUCCGGUGGUGGAUCAAACCUGCGUCGGUAGGUUGUUCAGCGCCUGCGUGAGCAUCUGCAAGACCGCGUGCGAGAACCUCCCGAGCUCCUAAUCUGCUAGCUAAGUUGUGCAUCGUGCACGCUUAAUCCCGGAACUGCUUCUAUCAUCAAUCUACCUUUUAUUUUGUAAAACCCGUUAUGAUCGCGGUACUUGUGGUCGUUUUUACUUCCAAAUGUGUCGUGCAGUGUACUUUGACAGUUAUUUUUCCCCAUUCUUUCCUGAGUUGUGAACACAUUAAUUAUGAUUAUGACACGUUGCUAGAAGUUUGUACUUUUUGAGAUUGAGUUGCUGGCUAAAGGCUUUGUCUCAUAUAUUCCUCCGGGGAGUUGUGGUGGAGUUCUGGUUCCAUGCCACCCCUUAUCUUUGAUUGGUGUUUCUCUUUUUGGGUCCCCGAUCUCUGAUCAGUUCGCGUUGCCCGCCGCCGCCCAUCGAUCCUCAUGCGCCUCUACUCUGACUUCGGCAUCGACAUCACCGGCCUCUUCUCAGACUCGACGGCCUCACGCGACACGCGGCGGCCCGCAACGGCCGCCGUCUGCGCAUCCCGUCAGCUUGUCGUUCUUAGCUCAUGGUAACUUGCAAAACAUUUUUUAUGUUGUAGCAAAUGCAGAUUCACGGUAACAACUAUGUAGCACAAAGACGUAAGAAUGAAAGAUCAUUCACGCAUCUGAUUCUGGUGUCGUCCUGAUCAUAGGGCACCACUGAACUCCUGGACAAGGGUUGCGCCCGGUAUGCGAGAACCAGAUGAGACAAUACACGCUCUGCGUUCAAAAGCGGCUCAAGGAUAGGUUUGCGCAGCUGAAGGAGUGCAGAUACCGAGAAAUCAGAGCAUGUGGCACACCGAUGUCAUGAACUUCAUGUUACAGAACUGGCCUGAGCCUUCUCUCCAGUUAUCCAGCUUCCGACGGCGGACUGAUACACACGUGGUUUCUAUCAGCUUGAUGAUUUAUCGCUGAAACUUGUGCACAUACGUACCCUCUUUCUACUAGUUACUAUCUGUGGUCUGUGGAUAUACGCCUUUGCUCUGCCCAUUUCGCCGGAAACUUGCAUGAAUGCAACGUAUACGGUGCUAUCUUGCUGUAGAAAUUCAUAUAUACCUGAGCAUUUUGUUGUAUUCCGCGAUGGUUAAUUAGUUGCUUGAUGUGUCGACAUGGUCGACAGUUGGAUGCAUGUCGCGCCUGCAUAUGCCAGUAGCCAACAUAUGCAGCGGACUGAACAAAUGCAGCGCCCUGCGUGGCGAGCUGGGCCGUGGGCCUUGUAGCGUGCGUGUGUUGAAAGUGGCUGGCCCAGGGUGCCAGCUACAUAUUGUACCCAGACCGGAAUGAUUGGGCAGGAAGGAAAAGAUCUGAAACCAGAGUUCAACAUAUUCUUGAUGGUUAUGAGUCAAAGUAUUACUAGAUGUGGAUAUAUAGGAUUUGUGGUUACGUUUGGCCAUCAUGUUAUGGGCCUGGGCCAGUCACGCUGCUUUAUUCCUUUUCAUACUAACUAUUAUUAGACGGAAUUGUCUUCUCACAAAAAAAGAUCAGACGGAAUUGUAGAGAGCCCUAAAAAAAUAAGACGGGGUAGUAGAGGAGGCCAGAAGGGGUUUACGUUGUCGCUUGGAUGGAACUGCGAUCGGGGCGUCGUCUCAGGCGCUCGCCGCCGCCGCAUGGAGCUCCCUCCAGGCGUGGUUUAGGCGGAGGAAUCGACCUCAUCAGCGCCCUGCCCGACGAGAUGCUUCUCCUAGUCCUUGUACGCCUACGUUGCGUCCGUGCCGCCGUGCAGACCGGCCUCCUCUCGCGUCGGUGGCGUGAUCUCUGGACCGGUCUCACCGAUCUCACCUUCCGCUACCUCGACCCCGCCACGAUCAAAGCAGUGCUGGCUCGCUUCGCUGCAUCUUCAACACCGGUGUCCACGCUCGGCAUCCACCUUCGAACGAGAGAGACCGCCUACCACGCCAACUUGCUGCUAUGCGCCGCCGCACUGCUCUCGCCGAGGGAGCUGGUCUUCACCCUCUCGUCGUCAUACAUGGGAGACCUGGACGACAGGAUCGAGCUGCCAUGUUUCAACUGCACCACCUCGAUCAAACUGGACACGGAACGAUUCGGUGUCCGUGUGGCGGACGGCGAGUUCAACUCGCUCGAGAGGUUGUCCCUAUCCGGCAAUAACAACGCCUUUAGCGCCUUGCUACACCGGUGCCACGUGCUGCGCGAGCUCAGCAUUACCGGUUUCGAUUCGCGGCAGCUAUCGCUACCUCCGACGGCGGAGUUCCUCUCGCUUGAGAAGCUGUCGCUCAACGGCAACAUCGUCAACAUUGGUACCAUGCUCACACGGUGUCCGCGUCUGCGUGUGCUCAGUGCCACCUUUCGCGGUGUCGAGCCUUGCUCGAUCGAGGCGGCACUCCUCGCACUCGAAGGGGCAGUGGCACUCGGCCUCGUUGUGUCCCUCCUUGGUAUCCACAUUGAUAGAGGUGGAUACAAUGUCGACGCCAAUCGAUUCUCCUCUCUUCUCCGCGCGGCGACGAGACUAUCGCCACAAGAGGUCGUCGUCACUCACGAGAUAUACGGACACGUCACUAUCGACCUGCCAUGCUUUCAUCGUGCAACUUCAAUCAUGAUGGACUUGCACUACAACAUAUCCUUCACAGUGCAACCGACCAGCGAGUUCUCUGCGCUCGAGAUGUUAUCCCUAUCAGGAAAAUGCAGGGUCUUGGACAUUGGCACCUUGGUCACCUGUUGCCCACGCCUCCGCACGCUAAAGGCAACUGUAGUAGGAAACAUCAUAGUCCACUCGACAUUGUUACAUGAGCUUGAUAUCGAUAGAGAUAUUGACACGGAGUGUCGUGGCAUCGACAUAGUAACUCCCAUGCUUAAGCAACUGCAGCUAAAGGUUCGUGCCGGUGGAGACAUUGGCAUGUCCAUCUCGGCGCCAGCAGUAGAGAAGGUCUUGUGGGAGCGAUGGUAUACAGGGUGGCCUCUUGUUUUUGGUUGUUGGUCGCUCAAGAGGAUGAGAGCGUAGAGACGAUACAGAGAAGCCAUGUAGACAGCUGGGGAGACUCGUGUUCUCAAAUGCAGCAGCUUCCACGCUUUCAUGUCCUAUGCUUGCAGCUAUAUUCCGGUGUACGUCUCUUGUCUCUUCCUGAUCAAUGCACUAUUGGAUUUACUAUCUUAAUUUUUGUUAGUUUUAUGCAUGAUAUUCUGACCCCCUCCCAACCUGUAUCACAGGAUCAUUUGGAUGCACAGCUGAAUUUUGCACCAGAGAUGGAGAAACUACCGGUUACGAACUUCUCUGUGUUGGAGCUAAAUUUUGAAUUAGAUUCACAUGGUUACGGAGCACUUGUGCUGCAUCUGCUUCGAAUGCGUCGAAUUCGUGCCACUACGAAAAGGCUGAAGGUCGUCUUACCAUCUUGGCCCAAGGUAUUUCUCUACCAUGCUUAUAGAUCUUACAUACACAGUUCAUGCUCAAUACAUUUUCUAUAGGCAAUUUUGAUAUAAGGUCUCAACAACGAAGCUGGCGCGUGUAAAUAAUGCAUUGGCAUGCUCAUCAUUUUCUUUAGGGGGGGACGCCAAGCAUGCCUAGGAAAUUGUUCUUGUGAUAUGCCAAAGAACUGGAGCUGCCAAAGUGCCUUCUACACACGUCUUGAAUAGGUGGAGAUCCAUAACUUUGGUGGAAAGGAUAUGGAGUAUGAUUUCUUAAAACUGAUAUUCAAAUGCUCGCCAAGGCUUAAAAGAAUGACCGUCAGGUUGGCAUGGAAAUUUAGAGGCUGCACCACAAUAUUGCACAACAUUUUCUUGGCACAUCCUUCAGUGAAUUGUUAUGGUGAUUUUAGCUACGGUGAACUGGUUCCGCGUGCAUCUAGUUAGCAUGCUCCCUGAUGCCACAAAAUUGAAUGACAUAGAAGUACCAUUGUUUGUUAAUUCUUACAUUUAAUUACCUAUUGUUGUCAGAAAUAACGAAACUUAAACUGCUACGGUCACUUUGAACAUGUUACCCAGAAGUAUUCAGUAGUUGAGAUAUAUAUAAUGUUCUUGUUACUAUCUUUCAUUAAAUUUAAACAUGACAUUUUCAAGAGAAUUACAUUUAGUGGUUGCACCACACACUACUGCAGGUCAAUGCCUAGCAGUGACGGGCAUUGGGCUCAGGCAGGCCCGCCACUAAUCUCUCGUCACUAGUAACAUGCCACCGGUGGUGGGCCUCCCACCAGGCCCGCAAUUGGUGACCUGUUAUCAGUGGCAGGAUAACAAAUUGCCCGCCACUGCAUAACUUGCUACCCGCCACUAGUAAAUGAUGCACCAGUGGUGGACCCUAGGUUCUGCCCAUCAGUGCUAGCAACUUUUAUGAUUUAAAAUAAAUGCAUGUAUUGUACUGUGUGAUGUAGACCGUACAUGUGAUGUACACACUGAAAAAAUAGUGCGCUAUAGCGCCAUUAAUAGGGUGUAAAGAAUUGUCUCGCUAUAUAAAUCCGUGUACAAUGUCUCGUCAAUAGCACGUUAAUAGCGUAUUUUAAGGGGUGACGCUAUUUUGUAUAGCGUGCUAUUUUUUUCCUAAGAUGUACACAAUGCAGUUCUAAUUAUAUUGUUCACACGUAUACACAUAGCAUAUACUAAUUAAAGUUCGUUCAUACAUCACCGAUUUACACAUUUACAUAGGCUGACAAAGGAGCGCAACACCUACCAUGCCAACUCUGCUACACCGCUGCCAGAUGCUGCGUGAGUUCAGCUUUACAAACCUGGAUUUGCGGCAGCUAUCGCUGCCUCCGACAGCCGAGAUAGCCGAGUUCCUCGCGGUGCGCACUGCCGCCUUUAGCGGUGUUGAGCCCUGCUUGAUUGAAGCGGCACUCCACUUGCUGGAAUGGGCGGUGGCACUCGGCCUCGUCGUGUCCUUCCUUGGUAUCAACAUUGAUAGAGGUGGAUACAAUGUCGAAGCCAAUCGAUUCACCUCCCUUCUGGGCGCGGCGGUGAGACUAUCGUCACAAGCUCUGUUUUGGAUACCGCUCGAAAUUUCGUUAUCCCGAGCGGUUACCGCUACCCCACGGAAAACACUCGUACCGAGCAAAAAAAUCGAGUUUUUUUUUUUGAAAUUUGAAUUCAAACGAUCACCGUGCUGUUAAAUAAGCGGCAUCUCUCAUGUAGCAACAUGUCUUGCAAUGGCGUAGUGGCAAAGGCAUGCUUUAUGGAGCAGCGAGUCGCGGGUUCGACUCUUUCCUUCUACAGUUUUUCUUUCUUUUUUAGAAUGCGAAAGGAAAAAAACUGACAGGGUUGAAAAAUUCUGCGAAAGGCAGGGGUCGAAAUCGAUACCUCUGACCGAAGCGGCAUCGGUGGCUGAGUGUGAACAACAACUACACUAGGAGGAAAUUAGUGACCUAUAAGAGUUAAAAGUCUAUCUAUAUCACCUUUUAAAUAUUUGAAUUCAAAAUUUGAUUUUAAAUUUCGUCCGAAUUUUUUCCGGUAUUUCGUGGUUACCGUGGGAACCGUAAAUUUCGGUGCCCCUCGAGAAAAAAAGCUCGCUUGGGAUCCAAAACCUUGGUCACAAGAGGUCAUGAUCACUCGCGAGAUAUACAGACACGUCACUAUCGACCUGCCAUGCUUUCACUGUGCCACUUCAAUCAUGAUGGACUUGCACUACAACAUAUGCUUCACACUGCUACCGACCGGCGAGUUCUCUAUGGCACACAGGGUUGCCUCUUGUUUUUGAUUGUUGGUGGCUCGAGAGGAUGAGGGUAUAGACGAUAGAGAGUAGCUCUAUAGACAACUGGGAAGACUCGCGUUCUCAAGUGCAGCAGCUUCCACGCUUUCAUGUCAUAUGCUUGCAACUCCUUGAUGCAACGAAAUUAAAGUGAUGGGAGAACCAACAUGCGUCUUAUGAAGGAGGAUUAUUCUUCCAGUGAGAAGUUAUGUUCUCGUCGAUGGCGAGGUGUCUGCGGUGUCUUCGUCCCAGCUUUGUUGGCUCAGCCUCUCGAAGAUGCUUACAGAGAUAGGGUUGUUUGAUCUCUCUCUUUCUAUACUGCUCACUCCGUCUCAGAGUACUCCCUCCGUCCCAAAAUUCUUAUCUUAAAUUUGUCUAGAUACAGAUGUAUCAAGUCACGUUUUAGUAUUAGACACAUCCGUAUGUAGACAAAUCUAAGACAAGAAUUUUGAGACGGAGGGAGUACUUAUUAACAUAUUCACUUGAAAUUUCGGCAGCAUAACGCGUCGAAUGAAUUAAGAAAUGCGUCCACAACAGCAUUAAAUGAAUGAAAAACAAUUCAGGCUACUAAGUAGAAAGGAUGGAUUAGUUAUACGUAAGGGAAAGCAGUUCGGCACCAAACAUGGCAGCCAGCAUAAUGCGUCGGAAAGAAACGCAUCCACAACCGCAGCACAUGAGCGAAAAAUAAUUAUGGUAGAAACGGAUGGAUUAAAACUCGAGUGAAAGCAAUUUGGCAUGAAACAUGUCGGCAUGGUUAAUUUUAACCGCAUGGUUUCCUGAAUAAGAUUCUAUACAUGCCAAAUCAUGACACUAGUCCAUUGGAUUCUGAAUCUGCCCUAGUGGUGUCAUAUAAAUCACAAGGUUCACAAAAAAAUACCCAUCAGUUUGAGUGGUGACAUGCCUAUGUUUCUCUUAUCUUUUUUUGAAGUCCCAGUUGGGGUUAGGAAAAGGCUGGACUUCUACCGAUCUCGAUUCUUCUGGCAGAGUGAUGAGCUAAAGAGAAAGUACUGACUCGCCAAAUGGGAUGUCAUCUGUCGACCAAAGGACUAGGGGGGGGUCUUGGUAUUGAAAAUCUUGAAGUCAAGAACAGAUGCCUUCUCAGUAAAUGGUUGUAUAAGUUGUCAGUUGAGACUGAGGCAACUUGGGCGCAGAUUCUUCGUAACAAGUAUUUGCAUUCUAAGACUGUCGUAGGCGACAGUGAGACCGACUGACUCGCCGUUUUGGAAGGGGCUUAUGAGAGUCAAAUCUGCUUUCUUUAAUAGAACAAAGUUCAUUGUUGGCAAUGGUAACAACACUUGAUUCUGGGAGGAUAUUUGGCUUGGUGAAACACCGUUGGCGCUUCAGUAUCCAUCUCUAUAUCGUAUUGUUAACCGAUCUGAUACUCUCGUUGCAACGAUUAUGCAAUCCAUUCCUCUUAAUAUUCAGUUUAGGAGGGUGCUUAUGUUGGAAAUAUGCCCUAGAGGCAAUAAUAAAUUAGUUAUUAUUAUAUUUCCUUGUUCAUGAUAAUCGUUUAUUAUUCAUGCUAUAAUUGUAUUGAUAGGAAACUCAGAUACAUGUGUGGGUACAUAGACAACACCAUGUCCCUAGUAAGCCUCUAGUUGACUAGCUCGUUGAUCAAUAGAUGGUUACGGUUUCCUGACCAUGGACAUUGGAUGUCGUUGAUAACGGGAUCACAUCAUUAGCAGAAUGAUGUGAUGGACAAGACCCAAUCCUAAGCCUAGCACAAAGAUCGUGUAGUUCGUAUGCUAAAGCUUUUCUAAUGUCAAGUAUCUUUUCCUUAGACCAUGACAUUGUGCAACUUCCGGAUACCGUAGGAAUGCUUUGGGUGUAUCAAACGUCACAACGUAACUGGGUGGCUAUAAAGGUGCACUACAGGUAUCUCCGAAAGUGUUUGUUGGGUUGGCACGAAUCGAGACUGGGAUUUGUCACUCCGUGUAAACGGAGAGGUAUCUCUGGGCCCACUCGGUAGGACAUCAUCAUAAUGUGCACAAUGUGACCAAGGGGUUGAUCACGGGAUGAUGUGUUACGGAACGAGUAAAGAGACUUGCCGGUAACGAGAUUGAACAAGGUAUCGGUAUACCGACGAUCGAAUCUCGGGCAAGUACAAUACCGUUAGACAAAGGGAAUUGUAUACGGGAUCGAUUGAGUCCUUGACAUCGUGGUUCAUCCGAUGAGAUCAUCGUGGAACAUGUGGGAGCCAACAUGGGUAUCCAGAUCCCGCUGUUGGUUAUUCACCGGAGAAUGUCUCGGUCAUGUCUGCAUGAUUCCCGAACCCGUAGGGUCUACACACUUAAGAUUCGGUGACACUAGAGUUGUUAUGGGAAUCAGUGUGCAGUUACCGAAUGUUGUUCGGAGUCCCGGAUGAGAUCCUGGACGUCACGAGGAGUUUCGGAAUGGUCCGGAGGUAAAGAUUUAUAUAUGGGAAGUCCUAUUUUGGCCACCGGAAAAUGUUCGGGAUUUUUCGGUAUUGUAUCGGGAAGGUUCUAGAAGGUUCUGGAGUGGGGCCCACCUGCAUGGGGGGACCCACAUGAACAUGGGUAGUGGGGGCAAGGCCCUACACCCCUGGAAAAGGCGCACCAAGAUACCCCUUAGAAGGAAUAAGAUCAUAUCCCGAAGGGAUAAGAUCAAGAUCCCUAAAAAGGGGGGAUAACAAUCGGUGGGGAAGGAAAUGAUGGGAUUUCUUUCCUCCCACCUUUGCCAACGCCCCAAUGGACUUGGAGGGCAAGAAACCAGCCCCCUCCACCCCUAUAUAUAGUGGGAAGGCGCAUGGGAGCUUCACCCUUGCCCCUGGCGCAGCCCUCCCCCUCUCCCAAGUACUCCUCCUCUCCCGCGGUGCUUGGCGAAGCCCUGCAGGAUUACCACGCUCCUCCAUCACCACCACGCCGUUGUGCUGCUGCUAGACGGAGUCUUCCCCAACCUCUCCCUCUCUCCUUGCUGCAUCAAGGCAUGGGAGACGUCACCGGGUUGUACGUGUGUUGAACGCGGAGGUGCCGUCUGUUCGGCACUAGGAUCUCCGGUGAUUUGGAUCACGACGAGUACGACUCCUUCAACCCCGUUCUCUUGAACGCUUACGCUUAGCGAUCUACAAGGGUAUGUAGAUGCACUCUCCUUCCCCUCGUUGCUAGUUUCUCCAUAUAUAGAUCUUGGUGACUCGUAGGAAAAUUUUGAAUUUCUGCUAUGUUCCCCAAUAGUGGCAUCAUGAGCUAGGUCUAUUGCGUAGAUUCUUUGCACGAGUAGAACACAAAGUAGUUGUGGGCGUUGAUUUGUUCAAUAUGCUUACCGUUACUAGUCCAUGUUGGAAAUAUGCCCUAGAGGCAAUAAUAAAAGUAUUAUUAUAUUUCCUUGUUCAUGAUAAUUGUCUUUUAUUCAUGCUAUAACUGUAUUAUCCGGAAAUCGUAAUACACGUGUGAAUACAUAGACCAUAAUAUGUUCCUAGUGAGCCUCUAGUUGACUAGCUCGUUGUGAUCAACAGAUAGUCAUGGUUUCCUGGCUAUGGACAUUGGAUGUCGUUGAUAACGGGAUCACAUCAUUAGGAGAAUGAUGUGAUGGACAAGACCCAAUCCUAAGCCUAGCACAAAGAUCGUGUAGUUCGUUUGCUAGAGCUUUGCCAAUGUCAAGUAUCUCUUCCUUUGACCAUGAGAGCGUGUAACUCCUGGAUACCGUAGGAGUGCUUUGGGUGUAUCAAACGUCACAACGUAACUGGGUGACUAUAAAGGUGCACUACAGGUAUCUCCGAAAGUAUCUAUUGUUUUAUGCGGAUCGAGACUGGGAUUUGUCACUCCGUGUAAAUGGAGAGGUAUCUCUGGGCCCACUCGGUAGGACAUCAUCAUAUGCGCAAUGUGACCAAGGAGUUGAUCACGGGAUGAUGUGUUACGGAACGAGUAAAGUGACUUGCCGGUAACGAGAUUGAACAAGGUAUUGGAUACCGACGAUCGAAUCUCGGGCAAGUAACAUACCGAUAGACAAAGGGAAUUGAAUACGGGAUUGAUUAAGUCCUUGACAUCGUGGUUCAUCCGAUGAGAUCAUCGUGGAACAUGUGGGAGCCAUCAUGGGUAUCCAGAUCCCGCUGUUGGUUAUUGACCGGAGAACGUCUCGGUCAUGUCUACAUGUCUCCCGAACCCGUAAGGUCUACACACUUAAGGUUCGAUGACGCUAGGGUUAUAAAGGAAGUUUGUAUGUGGUUACCGAAUGUUGUUCGGAGUCCCGGAUGAGAUCCCGGACGUCACGAGGAGUUCCGGAAUGGUCCGGAGGUAAAGAUUUAUAUAUGGGAAGUCCUAUUUUGGCCACCGGAAAAUGUUCGGGAUUUUUUGGUAUUGUACCGGGAAGGUUCUAGAAGGUUCCGGAGUGGGGCCCACCUGCAUGGGGGGACCCACAUGGACGUGGGUAGUGGGGGAAAGGCCCCACACCCCUGGUCAAGGCGCACCAAGAUCCCCCCUUAGAAGGAAUAAGAUCAUAUCCCGAAGGGAUAAGAUCAAGAUCCCUAAAAAGGGGGAUAACAAUCGGUGGGGAAGGAAAUAAUGAGAUUUCUUUCCUCCCACCUUGGCCAACGCCCCAAUGGACUUGGAGGGCAAGAAACCAGCCCCUCCACCCCUAUAUAUAGUGGGGAGGCGCAUGGGAGCUAUAGACGAAGUUCUGGUGCAGCCCUCCCCCUCUCACAAGUACUCCUCCUCUCCCGCGGUGCUUGGCGAAGCCCUGCAGGAUUGCCACGCUCCUCCACCACCACCACGCCGUUGUGCUGCUGCUGGAUGGAGUCUUCCUCAACCUCUCCCUCUCUCCUUGCUGGAUCAAGGCUUGGGAGACGUCACCGGGUUGUAUGUGUGUUGAACGCGGAGGUGCCGUGCGUUCGGCACUUGAUCAUCGGUGAUUUGAAUCACGACGAGUACGACUCCAUCAACCCCGUUCACUUGAACGCUUCCGCUUAGCGAUCUACAAGGGUAUGUAGAUGCACUCUCCUUCCCCUCGUUGCUAGUCUCUCCAUAGAUAGAUCUUGGUGACACGUAGGAAAAUUUUGAAUUUCUGCUACGUUCCCCAACAGUGGCAUCAUGAGCUAGGUUUAUUGCGUAGAUUCUUUGCACGAGUAGAACACAAAGUAGUUGUGGGCGUUGAUGUUGUUCAAUAUGCUUACCGUUACUAGUCCAAUCUUGUUUCGACGGUAUUGUGGGAUGAAGCGGCCCGGACCGACCUUACACGUACUCUUACGUGAGACAGGUUCCACCGAUUGACAUGCACUUGGUGCAUAAGGUGGCUAGCGGGUGCCAGUCUCUCCCACUUUAGUCGAAACGGAUUCGAUGAAAAGGGUCCUUAUGAAGGGUAAAUAGCAAUUGACAUAUCAUGUUGUGGUUUUGCGUAGGUAAGAAACGUUCUUGCUAGAAACCCAUAGCAGCCACGUAAAACAUGCAAACAACAAUUAGAGGACGUCUAACUUGUUUUUGCAGGGUAUGCUAUGUGAUGUGAUAUGGCCAACAAGAAUGUGAUGAAUGAUAUGUGAUGUACGAGAUUGAUCAUGUUCUUGUAAUAGGAUUCACGACUUGCAUGUCGAUGAGUAUGACAACCGGCAGGAGCCAUAGGAGUUGUCUUUAUUUAUUGUAUGACCUGCGUGUCAUUGAACAACGCCAUGUAAUUACUUUACUUUAUUGCUAACCGAUAGCCAUAGUAGUAUAAGUAAUAAGUUGGCGAGACGACUUCAUGGAGACACGAUGAUGGAGAUCAUGAUGAUGGAGAUCAUGGUGUCAUGCCGGUGACGAUGAUGAUCAUGGAGCCCCGAAGAUGGAGAUCAAUGGAGCUAUAUGAUAUUGGCCAUAUCAUGUCACUACUAUAUAAUUGCAUGUGAUGUUUAUUAUGUUUAUGCAUCUUGUUUACUUAGGACGACGGUAGUAAAUAAGAUGAUCCCUUACAACAAUUUCAAGAAGUGUUCUCCCCUAACUGUGCACCGUUGCUACAGUUCGUCGCUUCUAAGCACCACGUGAUGAUCGGGUGUGAUGGAUUCUUACGUUCACAUACAACGGGUGUAAGACAGAUUUACACAGCAAUACACUUAGGGUUAACUUGACGAGCCUAGCAUGUACAGACAUGACCUCGGAACACGGAGACCGAAAGGUCGAGCAUGAGUCGUAUAGUAGAUACGAUCAACAUGAAGAUGUUCACCGACGUUGGCUAGUCCGUCUCAUGUGAUGAUCGGACACGGCCUAGUUGACUCGGAUCAUGUGAUCACUUAGAUGACCAGAGGGAUGUCUAUCUGAGUGGGAGUUCAUAAGAUGAACUUAAUUAUCUUGAACAUAGUCAAAAGACCUUUUGCAAAUUAUGUCGUAGCUCGUGCUUUAGUUCUACUGUUUAGUUAUGUUCCUAGAGAAAAUAUAGUUGAAAGUUGACAGUAGCGAUUAUGAGGACAGUAGAAAGCUUAUGUCCUUAAUGCACCGCUCAGUGUGCUAAACCCCAAACCUCGUCUGUGGAUGUUGUGAACAUCGGACAUACACGUUUUGAUAACUACGUGAUAGUUCAGUUAAACGGUUUAGAGUUGAGGCACCAAAGACGUUUUCAAAAUGUCGCGGAACAUAUGAGAUGUUUCGAGGGCUGAAAUUGGGAUUUCAGGCUCGUGCCCACGUCGAGAGGUAUAAGACCUCCGACGAUUUUCUUAGCCUGCAAACUAACGGAGAAAAGCUCAAUCGUUGAGCUUGUGCUCAGAUUGUCUGAGUGCAACAAUCACUUGAAUCGAGUGGGAGUUGAUCUUCCAUAUGAGAUAGUGAUGUUUCUCCAAAGUCAUUGCCACCAAGCUGCUAGAGCUUUGUGAUGAACUAUAACAUAUCAGGGAUAGAUAUGAUGAUCCUUGAGGUAGUCACGAUGUUUGACACCGCGAAAGUAGAAAUCAAGAAGGAGCAUCAAUUGUUGAUGGUUGGUGAAACCACUAGUUUCAAGAAGGGCAAGGGCUAGAAGGGAUACUUCAUGAAACGGCAAAUCAGCUGCUGCUCUAGUGAAGAAACCCAAGGUUGAACCCAAACCCGAGACUAAGUGCUUCAGUAAUAAGGGGAACAACCACUGGAGCAGAAUUACCCUAGAUACUUGGUAGAUGAGAAGGCUGGCAAGGUCGAUAGAAGUAUAUUGGAUAUACAUUUUGUUAAUGUGUACUUUACUAGUAUUCCUAGUAGCACCAGGGUAUUAGAUACCAGUUCGGUUGCUAAGUGUUAGUAACUCGAAAUAAAGGCUACGGAAUAAACGGAGAUUAGCUAAAGGUGAGCUGACGAUAUGUGUUGGAAGUGUUUCCAAUGUUGAUAUGAUCAAGCAUCGCACGCUCCCUCUACCAUCGAGAUUGGUGUUUGCGUUGAGCAUAGACAUGAUUGGAUUAUGUCUAUCGCAAUACGGUUAUUCAUUUAAGGAGAAUAAUGGUUACUCUGUUUAUUUGAAUAAUACCUUGUAUGGUCUUGCACCUAAAAUGAAUGGUUUAUUGAAUCUCGAUCGUAGUGAUACACAUGUUCAUGCCAAAAGAUAGUAAUGAUAGUACCACCUACUUGUGGCACUGCCACUUAAGUCAUAUCGGUAUAAAACGCAUGAAGAAGCUCCAUGUUGAUGGAUCUUUGGGCUCACUCGUUUUUGAAAAGUUUGACACAUGCGAACGAUGUCUAUUGGUGUAUAUGCAUGAAGAAACUCCAUGCAAAUGGACCGUUUGAACUCACUUGAUCUUGAAUCACUUGAGACAUGCAAAUCAUACCACAUGGGCAAGAUGACUGAAAUCCUCGGUUUUAGUAAAAUGGAACAAGAUAGAAACUUGUUGGAAGUAACACAUUUUGAUGUGUGCAAUCCAAUAAGUGCAGAGGCAUGUAGUGGAUAUCGUUAUGUUCUUACUUCAUAGAUGAUUCGAGUAGUUGUUGAGAAUAUUUACUUGAUGAAACACAAGUCUGAAUUAUUGAAUGGUUCAAGUAAUUUCAGAGUGAAGUAGAAGAUCAUUGUGACAGGAGGAUAAAAUGUCUAUGAUAUGAUCAUAGAGAUGAAUAUCUGAGUUACAAGUUUUGGCACACAAUUAAGACACUGUGGAAAUUGUUUCGCAAUUAAUACCGCCUGGAACACCAUAGUGUGAUGGUGUGUCCGAACAUCAUAACUGCACCCUAUUGGAUAUGAUGCAUACCAUGAUGUCUCUUAUCGAGUUACCACUAUCGUUCAUGGGUUAGGCAUUAGAGACAACCACAUUCACUUUAAAUAGGGCACCACGUAAUUCCGUUGAAAUGACACCUUAUGAAUUAUGGUUUAGAGAAACCUAAGUUGUCGUUUCUUAAAGGUUUGGGGCUGCGAUGCUUAUGUGAAUUUUUUUUCCAGGAUUGAUAAGCUCGAACCCAAAGCGGAUAAAAUGCAUCUUCAUAGGAAACCCAAAACAGUUGGGUAUACCUCCUAAUUCAGAUCCGAAAGCAAUAUGGAUUGUUUCUAGAAUCGGGUCCUUUCUCGAGGAAAAGUUUCUCUCGAAAGAAUUGAGUGGGAGGAUGGUGGAGACUUGAUGAGGUUAUUGAACCGUCUCUUCAACUAGUGCGUGACAGGGCACAGGGAGUUGUUCCUGUGGCACCUACACCAAUUGAAGUGGAAGCUUAUGAUAUUGAUCAUGAAACUUCGGAUCAAGUCACUCCCAAACCUCGUAGGAUGACAAGGAUGCGUACUACUUCAGAGUGGUACGUAAUCCUGUCUUGAAGGUCAUGUUGCUAGACAACAAUGAACCUACGAGCUAUGGAGAAGCGAUGGUGGGCCCGGAUUCCGAUAAAUGGCUUGAGGCCAUAAAAUCCGAGAGAGGAUCCAUGUAUGAAAACAAAGUGUAGACUUUGGCAGAACGGCUCGAUGGUCGUAAGGCUAAUGAGUACAGAUGGAUUUCAAAAGGAAGACGGACAAUGAUGGUAAAUGUCACCAUUAAGAAAGCUCGACUUGUCGUUAAGAUGUUUUCCGACAAGUUCAAGGAGUUGACUGCGAUGAGAUUUUCUCAUCCGUAGCGAUGCUUAAGUCCGUCGGAUUCAUGUUAGCAUUAGCUGCAUUUAUGAAAUCUGGCAGAUGGAUGACAAAACGAGUUUCCUUACCAGUCUUCGUAUGGAAAGGUUGUAUGUGAUACAAAUCAGAAAGUUUUUGUCGAUCCUAAGGAUGCUAAAAGGUAUGCUAGCUCCAGCGAUCCUUCCAUGGACUGGAGUAAGCAUCUCGGAGUUGGAAUGUGCGCUUUGAUAAGAUGAUCAAAGAUUUUGGGUUUAUACAAAGUUUAUGAGAAACUUGUAUUUCCAAAGAAGUGAGUGGGAGCACUAUAGAAUUUCUGAUGAGUAUAUGUUGUUGACAUAUUGAUGAUCAGAAAUGAUGUAGAAUUUCUAGAAAGCAUAUAGGGUUAUUUGAAAACUGUUUUUCAAUGGAAAACCUGGAUUAGGCUACUUGAACAAUAAGCAUCAAGAUCUAUAAGAUAGAUCAAAAUGCUUAAUAGUACUUUCAAAUGAGCACGUACCUUGACAUGAUCUUGAAGGUGUUCAAGAUGGAUCAGUCAAAGAAGGAAUUCUUGCCUGAGAUGUAAGGUAUGAAGUUAAGACUUAAAAUCUCGACCACGGCAGAAUAGAGAGAAAGGACGAAGGUCGUCCCCUAUGCUUUUAUCAUAGGCUCUCUACAGUAUGCUAUGCUGUGUACCGCACCUGUAGUGUGCCUUGCCAUGAGUCAGUCAAGGGGUACAAGAGUGAUCCAAGAAUGGAUCACAGGACAGCGGUCAAAGUUAUCCUUAGUAACUAGUGGACUAAGGAAUUUUCUCGAUUAUGGAGGUGAUAAAGAGUUUGACGUAAAGAGUUAUGUCGAUGCAAGCUUAACACCUAUCCGGAUAGCUCUGAGUAGAAAUACCGGAUACGUAUAAUGGAGCAACUUUUAGUAUAGCUCCAAGUAGAACAGUUAUUUGGAAUAGCUCCAAAUAGAGCGUGGUAGCUACAUCUAGGAGAUGACAUAGAGAUUUGUAAAGCACACACGGAUCUAAAAGGUUCAGACCCGUUGACUAUAACCUCUCUCACAAGCAUAACAUGAUCAAACCCAGAACUCAUCGAGUGUUAAUCACAUGGUAAAUGUGAACUAGAUUAUUGACUCUAGUAAACUCUUUGGGUGUAAGUCACAUGGGGAUGUGACCUUGAGUGUUAAUCACAUAUCGAUGUGAACUAGAUUAUUGACUCUAGUGCAAGUGGGAGACUGUUGGAAAUAUGCCCUAGAGGCAAUAAUAAAAGUAUUAUUAUAUUUCCUUGUUCAUGAUAAUUGUCUUUUAUUCAUGCUAUAACUGUAUUAUCCGGAAAUCGUAAUACAUGUGUGAAUACAUAGACCACAAUAUGUCCCUAGUGAGCCUCUAGUUGACUAGCUCGUUGUGAUCAACAGAUAGUCAUGGUUUCCUGGCUAUGGACAUUGGAUGUCGUUGAUAACGGGAUCACAUCAUUAGGAGAAUGAUGUGAUGGACAAGACCCAAUCCUAAGCCUAGCACAAAGAUCGUGUAGUUCGUUUGCUAGAGCUUUGCCAAUGUCAAGUAUCUCUUCCUUUGACCAUGAGAGCGUGUAACUCCUGGAUACCGUAGGAGUGCUUUGGGUGUAUCAAACGUCACAACGUAACUGGGUGACUAUAAAGGUGCACUACAGGUAUCUCCGAAAGUAUCUAUUGUUUUAUGCGGAUCGAGACUGGGAUUUAUCACUCCGUGUAAACGGAGAGGUAUCUCUGGGCCCACUCAGUAGGACAUCAUCAUAUGCGCAAUGUGACCAAGGAGUUGAUCACGGAAUGAUGUGUUACGGAACGAGUAAAGUGACUUGCCGGUAACGAGAUUGAACAAGGUAUUGGAUACCGAUGAUCGAAUCUCGGGCAAGUAACAUACCGAUAGACAAAGGGAAUUGAAUACGGGAUUGAUUAAGUCCUUGACAUCGUGGUUCAUCCAAUGAGAUCAUCGUGGAACAUGUGGGAGCCAUCAUGGGUAUCCAGAUCCCGUUGUUGGUUAUUGACCGGAGAACGUCUCGGUCAUGUCUACAUGUCUCCCGAACCCGUAGGGUCUACACACUUAAGGUUCGAUGACGCUAGGGUUAUAAAGGAAGUUUGUAUGUGGUUACCGAAUGUUGUUCGGAGUCCCGGAUGAGAUCCCAGACGUCACGAGGAGUUCCGGAAUGGUCCGGAGGUAAAGAUUUAUAUAUGGGAAGUCCCAUUUUGGCCACCGGAAAAUGUUCGGGAUUUUACGGUAUUGUACCGGGAAGGUUCUAGAAGGUUCCGGAGUGGGGCCCACCUGCAUGGGGGGACCCACAUGGACGUGGGUAGUGGGGGCAAGGCCCCACACCCCUGGUCAAGGCGCACCAAGAUCCCCCCUUAGAAGGAAUAAGAUCAUAUCCCGAAGGGAUAAGAUCAAGAUCCCUAAAAAGGGGGGAUAACAAUCGGUGGGGAAGGAAAUAAUGAUAUUUCUUUCCUCCCACCUUGGCCAACGCCCCAAUGGACUUGGAGGGCAAGAAACCAGCCCCUCCACCCCUAUAUAUAAUGGGGAGGCGCAUGGGAGCUAUAGACGAAGUUCUGGUGCAGCCCUCCCCCUCUCACAAGUACUCCUCCUCUCCCGCGGUGCUUGGCGAAGCCCUGCAGGAUUGCCACGCUCCUCCACCACCACCACGCCGUUGUGCUGCUGCUGGAUGGAGUCUUCCUCAACCUCUCCCUCUCUCCUUGCUGGAUCAAGGCUUGGGAGACGUCACCGGGCUGUAUGUGUGUUGAACGCGGAGGUGCCGUGCGUUCGGCACUUGAUCAUCGGUGAUUUGAAUCACGACGAGUACGACUCCAUCAACCCCGUUCACUUGAACGCUUCCGCUUAGCGAUCUACAAGGGUAUGUAGAUGCACUCUCCUUCCCCUCGUUGCUAGUCUCUCCAUAGAUAGAUCUUGGUGACACGUAGGAAAAUUUUGAAUUUCUGCUACGUUCCCCAACAAUNNNNNNNNNNAUUUUGGCCACCGGAAAAUGUUCGGGAUUUUUCGGUAUUGUACCGGGAAGGUUCUAGAAGGUUCCGGAGUGGGGCCCACCUGCAUGGGGGGACCCACAUGGACGUGGGUAGUGGGGGCAAGGCCCCACACACCUGGUCAAGGCGCACCAAGAUCCCCCCUUAGAAGGAAUAAGAUCAUAUCCCGAAGGGAUAAGAUCAAGAUCCCUAAAAAGGGGGGAUAACAAUCGGUGGGGAAGGAAAUAAUGAGAUUUCUUUCCUCCCACCUUGGCCAACGCCCNNNNNNNNNNUGGGGAGGCGCAUGGGAGCUAUAGACGAAGUUCUGGUGCAGCCCUCCCCCUCUCACAAGUACUCCUCCUCUCCCGCGGUGCUUGGCGAAGCCCUGCAGGAUUGCCACGCUCCUCCACCACCACCACGCCGUUGUGCUGCUGCUGGAUGGAGUCUUCCUCAACCUCUCCCUCUCUCCUUGCUGGAUCAAGGCUUGGGAGACGUCACCGGGCUGUAUGUGUGUUGAACGCGGAGGUGCCGUGCGUUCGGCACUUGAUCAUCGGUGAUUUGAAUCACGACGAGUACGACUCCAUCAACCCCGUUCACUUGAACGCUUCCGCUUAGCGAUCUACAAGGGUAUGUAGAUGCACUCUCCUUCCCCUCGUUGCUAGUCUCUCCAUAGAUAGAUCUUGGUGACACGUAGGAAAAUUUUGAAUUUCUGCUACGUUCCCCAACAAUCCAAUCUUGAUUCGGCGGCAUUGUGGGAUGAAGCGGCCCGGACCGACCUUACACGUACACUUACGUGAGACAGGUUCCACCGACUGACAUGCACUUGUUGCAUAAGGUGGCUAGCGGGUGCCAGUCUCUCUCACUUUAGUCGGAUUGGAUUCGAUGAAAAGGGUCCUUAUGAAGGGUAAAUAGCAAUUGGCAUAUCACGUUGUGGUUUUUGCGUAGGUAAGAAACGUUCUUGCUAGAAACCCAUAGUAGCCACGUAAAACGUGCAAACAACAAUUAGAGGACGUCUAACUUGUUUUUGCAGGGUAUGCUAUGUGAUGUGAUAUGGCCAAGAAGAAUGUGAUGAAUGAUAUGUGAUGUAUGAGAUUGAUCAUGUUCUUGUAAUAGGAAUCACGACUUGCAUGUCGAUGAGUAUGACAACCGGCAGGAGCCAUAGGAGUUGUCUUUAUUUAUUGUAUGACCUGCGUGUCAUUGAACAAUGCCAUGUAAUUACUUUACUUUAUUGCUAACCAGUAGCCAUAGUAGUAGAAGUAAUAAGUUGGCGAGACAACUUCAUGGAGACACGAUGAUGGAGGUCAUGAUGAUGGAGAUCAUGUUGUCAUGCCAGUGACGAUGACGAUCAUGGAGCCCCGAAGAUGGAGAUCAAAAGGAGCAAAAUGAUAUUGGCCAUAUCAUGUCACUAUUUGAUUGCAUGUGAUGUUUAUCAUGUUUAUACAUCUUAUUUGCUUAGAACGGCGGUAGUAAAUAAGAUGAUCCCUCAUUAAAUUUCAAGAAAGUGUUCCCCCUAACUAUGCACCGUUGCGAAAGUUCGUCGUUUCGAAGCACCACGUGAUUAUCGGGUGUGAUAGAUUAUUACGUUCACAUACAACGGGUGUAAGACAGAUUUACACACGCGAAACACUUAGGUUAGCUUGACGAGCCUAGCAUGUACAGACAUGGCCUCGGAACACAAGAGACCGAAAGGUCGAGCAUGAGUCGUAUGGAGGAUACGAUCAACAUGAAGAUGUUCACCGAUGAUGACUAGUCCGUCUCACGUGAUGAUCGGAGACGGCCUAGUUGACUCGGAUCAUGUAAUCACUUAGAUAACUAGAGGGAUGUCUAUCUGAGUGGGAGUUCAUGAGAUGAACUUAAUUAUCCUGAACAUAGUCAAAAUAUCUUUGCAAAUUAUGUCGUAAGCUAGCGGUUUAGUUCCACUGUUCAGAUAUGUUCCUAGAGAAAAUAGUUGAAAGUUGACAGUAGCGAUUAUGCGGACAGUAGAAAGCUUAUGCCCUUAAUGCACCGCUCAGUGUGCUGAACCCCAAACGUCGUCUGUGGAUGUUGCGAACAUCGGACAUACACGUUUUGAUAACUACGUGAUAGUUCGGUUAAACGGUUUAGAGUUGAGGCACCAAAGACGUUUUUCGAAACGUCGCGGAACAUAUGAGAUGUUUCGAGGGCUGAAAUUGGGAUUUCAGGCUCGUGCCCACGUCAAGAGGUAUAAGACCUCCGACGAUUCUCUUAGCCUGCAAACUAAGCGAGAAAAGCUCAAUCGUUGAGCUUGUGCUCAGAUUGUCUAGGUGCAACAAUCACUUGAAUCGAGUGGGAGUUGAUCUUCCAGAUGAGAUAGUGAUGUUUCUCCAAAGUCAUUGCCACCAAGCUGCUAGAGCUUCCUGAUGAACUAUAACAUAUCAGGGAUAGAUAUGAUGAUCCUUGAGGUAUUCACGAUGUUUGACACCGCGAAAGUAGAAAUCAAGAAGGAGCAUCAAUUGUUGAUGGUUGGUGAAACCACUAGUUUCAAGAAGGGCAAGGGCAAGAAGGGAUACUUCAUGAAACGGCAAAUCAGCUGCUGCUCUAGUGAAGAAACCCAAGGUUGAACCCAAACCCGAGACUAAGUGCUUCUGUAAUAAGGGGAACAGCCACUGGAGCAGAAUUACCCUAGAUAGUUGGUAGAUGAGAAGGCUGGCAAGGUCGAUAGAAGUAUAUUGGAUAUACAUUAUGUUAAUGUGUACUUUACAAGUACUCCUAGUAGCACCAGGGUAUUAAGAUACCGGUUCGGUUGCUAACUGUUAGUAACUCGAAAUAAAAGAGCUACGGAAUAAACGGAGACUAGCUAAAGGUGAGCUGACAAUAUGUGUUGGAAGUGUUUCCAAGUUUGAUGUGAUCAAACAUCGCACGCUCCCUCUACCAUCAAGAUUAGUAUUAAACAUGAAUAAUUGUCAUUUGAUGUUUGCGUUGAGCAUAGACAUGAUUGGAUUAUGUCAAUCGCAAUACGGUUAUUCAUUUGAGGAGAAUAAUGGUUACUCUAUUUAUUUGAAUAAUACCUUCAAUGGUCUUGCACCUAAAGGAAUGGUUUAUUGAAUCUCGAUCGUAGUGAUACACAUUUUCAUGCCAAAAGAUAUAAGAUAGUAAUGAUAGUACCACUUACUUGUGGCACUGCCAUGUAAGUCAUAUUGGUAUAAAACGCAUGAAGAAGCUCCAUGUUGAUGGAUCUUUGGACUCACUCGUUUUUGAAAAGUUUGAGACAUGCGAACCAUGUCUAUUGGUGUAUACGCAUGAAGAAACUCCAUGCAGAUGGAUCGUUUGGACUCACUUGAUUUUGAAUCACUUGAGAUAUGAAAAUCAUACCACAUGGGCAAGAUGACUGAGAAGCCUCGUUUUCAGUAAGAUGGAACAAGAUAGCAACUUGUUGGAAGUAACACAUUUUGAUGUGUGCAGUCCAAUGAGUGCUGAGGCAUGCAGUGAAUAUCGUUAUGUUCUUACUUCACAGAUGAUUUGAGUAAAUGUUGUAUAUUUACGUGAUGAAACACAAGUCUGAAUUAUUGAAUGGUUUAAGUAAUUUCAUAGUGAAGUUGAAGAUCAUUGUGACAAGAGGAUAAAAUGUCUAUGAUAUGAUCAUAGAGAUGAGUAUCUGAGUUACGAGCUUUGGCACGCAAUUAAGACAUUGUGGAAAUUGUUUCACAAUUAAUACCGCCUGGAAAAUCAUAGUGUGAUGGUGUUUCCGAACAUCAUAGUUGCACCCUAUUGGAUAUGGUGCGUACCAUGAUUUCUCUUAUCGAAUUACCACUAUUGUUCAUGGGUUAGGCAUUAGAGACAACCGCACUCACUUUAAUAGGGCACCACGUAAUUCCGUUGAGAUGACAUCGUGAGAACUAUGGUUUACAGAAGCCUAAGCUGCCGUUUCUUGAAAGUUUGGGGCUGCGACGCUUAUGUGAAAAAGUUUCAUCAUGAUAAGCUCGAACCCAAAACGGAUAAAUGCAUCUUCAUAGGAUAUCCAAAAUGGUUGGGUAUACCUCCUAAUUCAGAUCCGGAAGCAAAAGUGAUUGUUUAUAGAAACGGGUCCUUUCUCGAGGAAAAGUUUCUCUCGAAAGAAUUGAGUGGGAGGAUGGUGGAGACUUGAUGAGGUUAUUGAACCAUCACUUCAACCAGUAUGUAGCAGGGCACAUGAAGUUGUUCUUGUGGCACCUACACCAAUUGAAGUGGAAGCUUAUGAUAGUGAUCAUGAAGCUUCGGAUCAAGUCACUACCGAACCUCGUAAGACGACAAGGACGCGUACUGCUUCGGAGUGGUAUGGUGAUCCUGUCUUGAAGGUCAUGUUGCUAGACAACAAUGAACCUACGAGUUAUGGAGAAGCCAUGGUGGGCCCAAAUUCCGACAAAUGGUUAGAAGCCAUGAAAUCCGAGAUAUGAUCCAUGUAUCAGAACAAAGCAUGGACUUUGGUGGACUUGCCCGAUGAUCAGCAAGCCAUUGAGAUAAAUGGAUGUUUAAGAAGAAGACGGACGUGGACGGUAAUGUCACCGUCUAUGAAGCUCGACUUGUGGUGAAGAGUUUUUCACAAGUUCAAGGAGUUGACUACGAUGAGAUUUUCUCAUCCGUAGUGAUGCUUAAGUCCGUCGGAAUCAUGUUAGCAUUAGCUGCAUUUAUGAAAUCUGGCAGAUGGAUGUCAAAACGAGUUUCCUUACCAUGUGCCAUUACGUCUAAAGUUUGAGCUAAUGCUAAAUAAUUCAACCACUAUUUACACUGCUCUAAGAUCAACAUGUGCCAUGGAAGGAAUCAUUGAAAAAAUGCAUGUCAAUCCAUAUAUUAUUUUUCCACUAUACUCUGACUAACCUCCCCUUGCAUUGGCUCAAUGUGAAGCUUCAGAAACAAGCACCUGUGUUGGCCCAUCAUCCCUGGUAGGAGCAUAGCUCCAUCCAUAUCUCACCCAGCGUCCAGACUUUCGUUGUUGUCCUUGUUAGAAUAAGUUCGAGGCCACCGUCGAUCUACCGAGGACCAAGCAAUCACACGAGCACGACACUGAGAUUUGUUAGCGAGAUUCACCGAUAUGGCUAUAUCCCCGGGGCCUGACUAUGUGUGCUCCUCCCCGUGACACCGCUACAAUACCGCACCUGGUCGCCCUGGACACCGACACAUGCCGCCGGCUUCCCCUGCGUUCCGGUGCUAUUAUGUUGGCAUAUGUUACAUUGUGUGUCUACCGCCGCUAUAUAUGAGAGGCCUAGGAUACAAGUGUCCUACCAGGACAGAACUCCAUAUCCUAUAUAAACACAGUACUACUCAGAGUCCAAUUGUAACCUACCUUGUACACAAUAUUCGACACAAUUCUAACAAACUCCACCGUGGCGAAUAUUCUCCAUCACCUUGAAUUUUUCCAUGUGUCAAACUUCCAUGUACAUUGAACUUGAGCUUAUCCCAUGAGUACCGGUGCUACUCCAAAGACUCCAUAUGACUCCACCUGUAGCUUAUAGUCCCUUCUUUUAUUGACCACAGUCAACACUCGAGCGAAAUUAAGUACCUUGUUACUCUAGUUUGUGCUCCCAACUUCUAGAGUAUUUGUCCAACACCAUCAUACACUAAUCACUGACCUGCGUGAAAGUGAACAACUCACAUAUUGGGUGUCACACAUAAGAGUUACUUGAACUCAAUACCACCGCUCCUUUCUUAACCGUCUGUCUGAAACUUGAAGAAAUUUCACCAUUGCUUGUAGUCAUCCCGAGUCAAAUUCGCAGUUGUCUCACCACAUGUAUGACCACCAGAGCCCUGGCCUGUCUCCAUGCCCGAUGCAUACCGCACGCCUCGCCGCUAUUACCGCGUGAGCCUCCGCUGUCCCGGUCGAGUCUCAAGGGCUGCAAACCCACACCACUCAACCCCCACUGCAGAGUACCACCGAUCAUCACCGACCGACAAGGAGUUUCAUGCUUCCAUCAGACCACUGGGCUCCAGUCCGAAUUAUGUGUCCCUUACUUUUCCCGCUGAAUAGGCUUCGAUUCUCUGGAUCCUUACACCGUCGUAGCCCCUCAAUCCAGCUCCACCUUCAACAUGACUCCAUGGUAGAUGAUCAGUCCACCCUCGCGUCUCGUCGACUUCAAGCUCUCAUGUGCACCGUCUUGAAUCAACCCCGCGGCAUAGUCUUGUCGAAGCCACACAAGCCCUCCGGCCUGCGCCAUGUGUUUCCACGCCCCAGAAGUCGGUCACCAUCAGCAUCACGCUCCUAUGUCGUCGUCACCGAUCCCACCAUCGUCUUCUGUACCAACCGACUCACGUCGAUCCAUCAGACUCUCUAAUCCGACCCAGCUGAAUUUGUCCGACUGCACGACAUGCUCCAGACUCCUCAAGCCGUCACCGUAUCCGACACCAUCCAUAUACAAAAGUGUAGCAGCAAAGAAAACCAAAGCAAAAUCCCUCACAGCCUUCCCGUGUGAACACCACACAUAUAUAGCUCCUGGACUUAUCUUCUUUCUUCUUGAUAGCAUCCCGGUCUCGACUAGUCUUUGUGCCAAAAAAAUUUCUCAAACAAAUCCUUACGAUGUCUACAAUAGCCCAAAUACUAGCAUGAUGAUUCCACGUGCCUGCCUCUUGGCUUCUACUAUGGGCAGCAGCGACGCACAAUAGCACACGCCAUGGACGGAGCUCCCACGCGAACACGUUGUCUUCGUGCUCCCCGAUGUCCAAACUGCCUGGGGACGCGGCUCCCGUUAGCCUUUGGGCCGCGGCUGCAGCCCCGCCUAGGUUACGUGCCACCAGUUGGAUUCUUCACGUUGGGUCGCUACCUUCACUGCUCCUUGCUGCCGCAGACGCUCCACGCUAUCCAUCAAUCGAGAUCAAACCGAUCUGUUUCCAAGCACAUGCUGAUUCCGAUUGCUUACCCGAACAGAACAUAUCGCCACGCCAUUAGUUUUUCUCUUCAGUCGCCGUCCCUGUCCGUGACACCGCUACAAUACCGCACCCGGUCGUUCUGGACACUGUCACAUGCCGCCGGCUUUCCCUGCGUUCCAGUGCUAUUAUGUUGGUAUGGGUUACAUCGUGUGUCUACCCCCUCUAUAUAUAAGAGGCUUAGGAUACAAGUGUCCUACCAGGACACAACUCCAUAUCCUAUAUAAACACAAUACUACUCAGAGUCCAACUGUAACCUAUCUUGUAUACAAUAUUCGACACAACUCUAACAGUCCCAUGAAUUGUUGCUCGCAUCUGCAUCACAAGGUUCAUAAGAAAGUUCAUGAAUUGGACGGAGUGGUAACAUGCCAAGAUCUCCUAAGGAAGGUUAGAUGGAUAAAAAGUGUUGUGCUAAUUACACACAAAGAAAGAGAGAGGGCGGAAGACACCACAUGGGAACGAUGUGGCACAAGCCAGGCGGUGGAUGUACUAUUGGUGUGUUGCCUCAAGGAGAAAAGGGGAGGUGGUCGAGAGAGACAGAGAGGAGGAGCAACAUAUGAGGCGUGGGCGCAAGCGCGAGCAAAGGAUUGGCUGGAGAUUUAUAUAUAGUGUGAGAUAGAUAAGAUGGAGGGAGCGGCAAACGCGGAGAUACAUACCUCGGAUGGGAGGGCGAUCCAUGGGAGGAGGCGGCAGCCAAUAGAUUGAAAGCAAGGGAGGGGGUGGGGAGUAAUUGACGAGGAGGAGGCGGAGCGAUAUGUGGAGGCCAUUAAACAGGGGGUGCGUUGGUUGGUUGUGGGGUGCCUGAUUUCAAGGAGGGGAGGGUGGCUGAGAGAGUUAAUAUGGGAUGAUCUCUUGUUACGUUUCCUAACAAACAAACUAGUGGGUAGUUUCCAAUUUUUUCCUAGCUAAUUAGUUAGAUUUCACGUCAGAUCUCCUAUCUCUGUGUUAUUCCUUAAUCGUCUCCCUUCCUUGUGUGUCGUAACAAACUUGAAUCUCCUUCCUCCUAUGCUAAGUAAGAUACUGAACAGAAAGACAGACUUGUUCUCCAUGGCCUUGGGUGGAGGGAAGANNNNNNNNNNNNNNNNNNNNNNNNNNNNNNNNNNNNNNNNNNNNNNNNNNNNNNNNNNNNNNNNNNNNNNNNNNNNNNNNNNNNNNNNNNNNNNNNNNNNNNNNNNNNNNNNNNNNNNNNNNNNNNNNNNNNNNNNNNNNNNNNNNNNNNNNNNNNNNNNNNNNNNNNNNNNNNNNNNNNNNNNNNNNNNNNNNNNNNNNNNNNNNNNNNNNNNNNNNNNNNNNNNNNNNNNNNNNNNNNNNNNNNNNNNNNNNNNNNNNNNNNNNNNNNNNNNNNNNNNNNNNNNNNNNNNNNNNNNNNNNNNNNNNNNNNNNNNNNNNNNNNNNNNNNNNNNNNNNNNNNNNNNNNNNNNNNNNNNNNNNNNNNNNNNNNNNNNNNNNNNNNNNNNNNNNNNNNNNNNNNNNNNNNNNNNNNNNNNNNNNNNNNNNNNNNNNNNNNNNNNNNNNNNNNNNNNNNNNNNNNNNNNNNNNNNNNNNNNNNNNNNNNNNNNNNNNNNNNNNNNNNNNNNNNNNNNNNNNNNNNNNNNNNNNNNNNNNNNNNNNNNNNNNNNNNNNNNNNNNNNNNNNNNNNNNNNNNNNNNNNNNNNNNNNNNNNNNNNNNNNNNNNNNNNNNNNNNNNNNNNNNNNNNNNNNNNNNNNNNNNNNNNNNNNNNNNNNNNNNNNNNNNNNNNNNNNNNNNNNNNNNNNNNNNNNNNNNNNNNNNNNNNNNNNNNNNNNNNNNNNNNNNNNNNNNNNNNNNNNNNNNNNNNNNNNNNNNNNNNNNNNNNNNNNNNNNNGAUGGAGAGGCGGCGCCCCCGCGUGGGUCGUCCUGCGCUCCUGGAGAAGCUCCGUUCCUGCCCGUGAUCUGCUCCGAUCUGCGCCCUGCUCCAGCCCCUGGUGGCUUCGUCGCCGUCUUGGGGGAUCUGGACGGACGGAUCUGGUGGUUGGGCGUGAUUCCGGGGGAAACCCCUGGCCGGUGCGGCGGCCUCACCAAAGGCGACGUCUUCGGCGCCGUGGUCCUUCCUGGAGGCUUUGGUGUGGUUCUCCCCUCCCACUUCUCCCUCGAGCACAGGUGAAGACCUGCCCUCCCCUUGCAUGGUCGAUGGCGGCAUCCGGUGCCGUGAUCCUUCUUGAAGGCGUCUUCCGGGGAUUGCUCGUGUGGGGUGGAGCUACUGGUGGCGUGGUGACGGUGUGAGGUAGCCUGUUCUUAUCAGUGGCGGCUGCCGUGGUCUCGGUCCAAUCCCUGACCACUGCUUUGGCUAUGCCCCUUUUGGCCUUCUCCAUGGAUCUUCGCCUUCGUCCGACGACUUGCGGUUGUGAGCCGUUUCGCUUAGCACUAAUGUACUUGCCGUGGUGGAGCGGUACUUCAUCUCACUCAUUGAUGGCGGCGAGGAUCGGCGGCAUGGCGCUGUGGAGGUUCGCCGCCCGAUGCGCGGAGAUGGACUCGCGCAGGAGGAGGUUGCUGUCUGGCGUCAUGGUGACGCCGAUGGCUGAGUGGCCAGAUAAGGUAGAAACCUCGAUAUGAUCUGAAGAUGGACCUGCGGAAGAUGGUGGCGACGACACACGAGUGCGUCUGACCGGAUUGUGCCCCAGACCCAGUAUGUGGCUCGGCUGGGGAUUCCGAAUAUGUUUCGGUUUCCGGCUUUUGAUGUUAGGCUUAGGUGAGUGGUUCGGGUAGUGGCCUAGCUAGCACCCCUUCAUCAUUUUGGGUAGGAGUAGUGGCAUCUGUUGCCAAGAUGGUGGAUUCAGACUUAUUGUUGUAAUACUUUGUAAGGUCCUCGAGAAUAAUCAAUAAUAUGGCCGUAUGCAUCUCCCGGAUGCAGAGGCCGGGGGUCAUCCCUCUUUUCUAAAAAAAAAAAUAGAUGUUUACUUAGUAUUACUAGGUAUAAAACCUAUCUUAUCAACCUUCAAGAGGUGCUUCCUCGCUGCCGUCCUGCUCCAGCAGCGCCACCAAUAUGAUUAAUUGUCAAGGAGUGACAGCCAAAUCAUACAUACAAACAAAGAAACACCAGGUCAAGAGAGGGGCAGUCAGUUUCUAGUGGUAAAUUUUGCUUUUCAAAAAUCAUCACACAGCCGGUGCACAUCAUAUCAUUUGCCAGCCAGUUGGUUUCAUCAACACACACACACACACACUAGAUAGAUAGACAGAUUUAGUUUUUAUAUACCGAAAGAAUCAUUCAUUUUCUCAUGGUAAGAGAAGACAAUUAACCGUUUGACCCAGCAAAAUACCACACAUUCAUUCAGCCAAUCCAAUCCGUUUGCUACUUUGUUACAUUAACCAAAAAUACAAUCCCAAUCCAAAUUUUACAACACUCCACUAGUGCAGAACCGGCCUUUAGUGCCGGUUCGUAAUGGCCUUUAGUGCCGGUUCGCCAACCGGCACUAAAGAGUGGGGACUAAAGGCCCCCCCUUUAGUACCGGUUCGUCACGAACCGGCGCUAAAGUGCCACCACGUGGCACGAGCCAGGCCCGGGUGCGUGUAGGGCAUUAGUACCGGNNNNNNNNNNNNNNNNNNNNNNNNNNNNNNNNNNNNNNNNNNNNNNNNNNNNNNNNNNNNNNNNNNNNNNNNNNNNNNNNNNNNNNNNNNNNNNNNNNNNNNNNNNNNNNNNNNNNNNNNNNNNNNNNNNNNNNNNNNNNNNNNNNNNNNNNNNNNNNNNNNNNNNNNNNNNNNNNNNNNNNNNNNNNNNNNNNNNNNNNNNNNNNNNNNNNNNNNNNNNNNNNNNNNNNNNNNNNNNNNNNNNNNNNNNNGCUGGUAUUUCAUGAUACUACAAAUUGUACACGUUAUGCAUAUAUAUAAAUAGAUUUUCUCGUACGUAGAACCGCAUAUAUAUAUAUAUAUAUAUCAUCGAAUGUCUCACAAACAAACAUCAUUAAUUAUUCACACAUACACAUGUAUAUACAUAUACAAUUUCUUCUACAUACGUUGCCUUUGGUGUCUCCGGAGCACGAUGACAAGUGGUUAAUGGGGGCGGUAGCGGGUAAUAGUAUUCUCCUUUGGGAUCUAUGACCUGGUCGAGCAAAAAUUCGGCUAUUUCCUCUUGAAGUGCUAGUAUGCGGUCCGAUGGUAGGAGCUUAUCCCGCACCGAUCUGAACUGUUAAGAAGAUCAAUAUGCAUGUGCGUUAGUUGUGUGACUAGAUAUCGAUAAUAGUUUGAAUAGUGUUCUGACAAACGUACCCAGUCCUGUCUAUCAGAUCUGCUCCUUUCGCACGUCAUCAUGCGAAUGUUCUCGCAAACGUAGAAUGCACACAGAUUAUUCCGCGGCGCCUGCUUCAGGGCCUUUACGAGAAUGGAAUUGAAUCAGAUAAUGAUUAAUCAAGCAUGAUAUUUAAUUAAUGAUAUUGAAACAAGAAUUAAAGAGAUGGUAGCUAGCUAGUACUACUUAAUUACUUAUCUUGGGUCGAUGCCAAAACAACUUUUUUGCCCACUUGUCUGGAGUCACCUUGAUGAACUUUGCCCAUGCCCUGCCUGCCGGCAAAAUUUUUUAAUAAAGGGGUUAUUAAUUAAAUAGUUCAUAUCAGGAAAUGGCGAACUAAUAAUUAAUAGGACGAGAUAUAGUUAAUAAUGAUUGAAAUUACCUGUUGACUAUCCCCUUCACGAUGGUGUAGUCUUUAUCUUCUUUAGUUAGUGAGUCCAGUAAUUCAACUUUCCUUCCUCAACUUUAAUGUCUAUCAAGACCCAGUGCCAACUUCAUACGCACACGUUCGCAUGUCUUAAUGAAGCGGGCAUGUGCAUAAAAUUAAUCAACUACCGUAAACCGUAUACACUUAAUUAUUAACAUCCAGCUAGCUAGUAAGCAAAAAAAUAGAAUUUGUAGUACAAGAUAGUGUGACUCACGGGAAGUUGUAAGGAAGUAGUAUAUCUUCAUUGCUAUUGAGGCGCUUCAAGAACUCUUACAUGCUUUGCUCUACAACAUCUUGACAAUAUUCAAUCCGCCAUAUGUCCUCAUUAAUGGUAUUUUGGUCAAUGAAUCCAACGCCAUAGCGUCUAGCUUUUUUCAUUUCAUACAUCUUCAUCCUGCAUAUAAUACCACAGAAAAAGAAUGUAGUGAGGAUAAUUACAUGUAAUGAUUGCUUAAAAUUAUCACUACAUAACUAGCUUGAGACUUAAAUUACAGAAAGAAAUCACUUACAGACAAUAGCAACUGACGAUAGACUUGUCAAGUGCGUCUUGAUUGUAUAACUAAAAUAGUUUUGGAUACUCAAUGGCCAGAGCUUUCUCAUGGUAAUCAUGCUCAUGCUUGACAUUCACCAUGAGGGACUCUCGAUUGGAAAUCUUGGUAAUGUUCAUGUACCAUUGAUGCAAUUGAUACAUUCUCGUUGGGAGGUCCUUGACCUUGUCUGGAUGGACCAAAGGUUGGCCCCGGACAUAUUUCCAUGCUAUUUCCGAUUCUCUAAGCGUAGGCAUGGGCUCGAUUUCAAGGAGUUGUCCAACAGAGAUAUUGAGUAUUUGAGCCUGCAUUAUAUGAUCCUCCGUUAUUACCACAUCGCCAUGCUGGGGAACACUAAGGGUUUGCCCACAAUAAUAUUUGGCGCACGUACUACUCCUCUCAUGUGUUGUUGGCACAACAAGCGGGGGGAUUGCUUGCGCUGCCUGUUCUCCCAACUGGGAAACGGUUUUCCCGCAUUUUUUGCCAGCUGCUUGUUGGCUCGAGCUCGAGCUCGCUUCCUUCUUUAGCCGUUCUCGAUGUAGUUUCCUGAUUUGGCGCUCAUAGUCCGAGUCAACAGGCUUGGGAGCUGGUUCUCUAGCCAUACGAAUGAAGUGGUCAAUUACUUUCUCAGGCACUUUCUCCUUUGGCGACGGUGCCGGUUUCGGUCCAAAAUGGGCGUCCACUUGGGCUUGCACUAUGGCUGCGUUUUGCUCCUUAGUCAUGUUGUAAGGCCUCUGAGGAAGAGGAGUGAGGCUUGGACCAUAUUUAUAUCGCUUAUCUCCGCCUGUACUUCCUGAACUACCUCGACUCAUACCACUACGCACCAAAGCUGCGGCAUGUCUCUUCUGCGAUUGCUGAGACGGCGGAGACGGCUGACGUGGAGUUGGACCAGGAGAAGUGGCCUGGCGAUGUGCCGGAUUUGAAGCUGGAGGUGUGGCCUGACACGGUGCCGGACUUGAAACCAGAGAAGUGGCAUGACGCUGUGCCGGACUUGAUACCGGAGGAGUCAGCUCACGCGGAUUUGGAGGAGGUGGCGGACUUCGAGGAGGAGUCAUCUCACGCGUUCGUGGACUUGGAGGAGCGGGAGUCUGCUGACUCGGUGGCAGACUUCGAGGAGGUGUCGGUAGACGACGCGGUGUCGGUGGACUUCGAAAGAUGAUGCAAUCCUUUCUCCAUAGGAUGAUACGAUGUAUGGCCUCUCCCAGUGUGCGCUCGUCUUCACCUCCAGGAAUGUCAAGCGUUAGCCCCGAAUAUGGGUGCACCACUUCAUCAACCAUGACACGAGCAUAGCCCUCUGGAAUCGGGAUGCAAUGGUAGGUUGCUUCGGGGGUAACUGGAAAAGCAACGUCGUCCGCCACCUUCAUGGAUAUGUUCUUCAUUUUGGAGUGUAGCUCACAGUUAGUGUUCUCUAUGAUGUCAUCCACAGGGUAUGCAUCCAGCAGUGUGUCGCCCGGGGCAGAACCAACGCUGCUUCUCGGCAUGGAUGGGAUGGUGCUGUCCAAUGCUGGACGAUCAUCCGCUUCUUGCUGCCGCUGCUGAGACCCCCUUUCCUGGCUAAGUGAGUCGAUCUGCUGCUGCUGCUGGAAUUUGAGUGCUAGGUCCGUGUGCCUUGCUUCUAGGCCUUAAAGGCGUUCUGUGUGCUGCUUCCUCUGCUCCUCCUCCAGCUUCCUCUUCUUCUCCUCCUCCAUCUUCUUUCUUGCAUGGGACCUAUAGUCGUCAUUUCAGUCUGAAAAGCCCUCAUACCAGGGAAUAACGCCCAUGCCUCGUGUUCUUCCCGGGUGUUCAGGAUUUCCCAGGGCACGCGUAAGCUCUUCAUUCUCUCUGUUGGGCGUGAACACCCCCGCUCAAGCUUCUUCUAUUGCGUCAAGUAUCUUUUGUUCGGCUCCUUUUAGACUUGCCUUCUUCGAAACCAGGCCUAUCUUCGGGUCCAACGCCCCCCCAUGCGCAUAGAACCAAGUUCUGCACCUGGGGGGCCAGCUCCUAGUAAUCGGAGUGAACCCUGCACCCUCCAUCUCUUGCUCAGACUUAUCCCACUUAGGCAUUCCCACCGCGUAGCCACCUGGACCCAGCCUAUGGAACUGCGUCUUUCUUGCGGCAUUUGCCUUGUUUUUCAUCGACCGUUCCUUAGAUAAUUCUGAAUCCUUGAAGUUCACGAAAUCGUCCCAGUGUUCUCUUUGCUUCUCCAGUGUUCCCUUGAAACCUGGAGUCUUCCUUUCAUUAGCGAGGUAGUUGGCCCAUACAGUUUUCUUGUGGGUGUUGAAUGCAAUUGCCAUCUUCUUAAGAGCAGCGGCCUUGACUUUCUCCACAUCUGCUUUAGUGAAAUGAUCUGGUAGGGUGAAAUGUUCCAUCAGAGAUUUCACCAGGUCUUUUUUGGCUCUAUCGUCGACCCAAGUAACACCUGGACGUUUAGUCUUUAGCUCUUUCCAUUCUUGAAUGGAGAUCGGGAGUUUGUCCUUCACAAGAACUCCGCACUGACGAGUCCACUUGUCCGCAACGUUCUUAGGCGUGAGGGGUUCGCCACUAAGUUUGGUGGAUUGGAUGUGGUACUUUACACCAUCCUUCAAUAAUCUGCCCGGGCCUCGCUUUGUCUUGCUGUCUGUAGAAGCAGAUUUGCUCGAUCCGGAGGGCUGAAAGAAGAAAGAUCGAUUCGUUAAUAUAUCUUCAAUAAAAAACAUGUGAUGAUCACCAGGAUGCAUGCUUAUAUAAAUAUACCUCGCCGGUAGUCUUUGUUAUUUGAAGAUCAGCAUUGUCUGUGUCAUCACAAACAUUGUCUGUGUCAUCAUAAUCAUAGUUCAUGACUUCAUUAGCUCGGUGUCAAGAUCGAAUAUCUUUUCAUCACCCUCUCCGGUAUUGUUCAGAUAUUGGGAGCUUUCAUCUUCAUUCAGAUCAUCUAGCCUGUGAGGGCUGCGUAUGAUGUCGAACAAUUUCUCUUCUCUCUCUCUGCCGGUAUUGUCUGCCAUAGCUUUUACUUUACUAAUUAAUACAGAAGAAACAUAAAACAAUUUAGUAUUCAAAUUACAAUGCAUGGAUGCAAUUAAUCAAUAAGGAAAAACUGAAUCUCGAAUACAUCGUCUCGAAUAUAUAGUCUCGAAUACAUCAUCGUCUUAAUAUAUAUAAUCUCGAAUACGUCGUCUCAAAUAUUAUAUAUCGAAUACAUCACUGGCUAGGUACCUAAUAAAGAUCGAGUACUACAGAAGAAUCUAGGGCGCCACUCGCGGUUCCUGGGGCGCGGGCGGUGCACACCCAAAGAGAAGGAACCAUCACAGGAUCAUAUCUCCGGUCAUCUGCCCAAAGAACCCGCCAAGUAGUGGAGAACCUGACGUCGUCCAUAGCAGCCAUGUAGCGAUGGACGUGCUCAUCUUCCUCCCUGACAUGGUGACGCACCACCUCCGGCGGGGCCGGCUACCUCUGCACCCAAUGUGGCCCACGCGAACGCCACCAAAAAAGAUCAGGGUCGACGACGGGACCCGAGGUCGGGUUCCUCACCAAGCGGCGCGCCCCUCCAGGUAGCACCUCCCAGUGCCAGCCCGGCGGAGCCCUGUCCCGGACAUGGGUCCUUUGAAGCAGGACGUCGUCGCGAACGGGUCGACGGCGAGGAUGCGGGCCGGGCAUAUCGUCGAGAAAAAAAUACUAUAUGCCCGCAAAAAAGUAACAUUUUUUAAAUGAUUGAAUUGUGAUAACUAAAAUUCUAUAUAUAUGCAAAUUCUAACAAUUUAACAUUAAUCUAAUUCAUCUAACUAAAACUAAUUCUAAAAUUUCCUGAUUAUAUAACUAACAUUUCUAUAACAAUUCUAAUAUUUAUAUAACUAAAAAACAGAAAAAUUGCUAACAUUUCUAUAAAUAUUUCUAUAACUAAAAACAGAAAACAUUUAUAACAUUUCUGUAUAACUAACAUUUCUAAUAUUUAUAUAACUAGAAAAUAGAAUAAUUUCUAACAUUUCUAUAACUAAAAAACAGAAAAAAUUAUAACAAACAAACUAAUGUGUGUGUGCGUGUGUUUGUAGUGUGUGUGUGUGUGUGUGUGUGUGUGUGUGUAGUGUGUGUGUGUGGACAUGGCGGCCGGGGCGAGCUCACCGGCGAGGCGACGACGGGGCGGCGACGACNNNNNNNNNNNNNNNNNNNNNNNNNNNNNNNNNNNNNNNNNNNNNNNNNNNNNNNNNNNNNNNNNNNNNNNNNNNNNNNNNNNNNNNNNNNNNNNNNNNNNNNNNNNNNNNNNNNNNNNNNNNNNNNNNNNNNNNNNNNNNNNNNNNNNNNNNNNNNNNNNNNNNNNNNNNNNNNNNNNNNNNNNNNNNNNNNNNNNNNNNNNNNNNNNNNNNNNNNNNNNNNNNNNNNNNNNNNNNNNNNNNNNNNNNNNNNNNNNNNNNNNNNNNNNNNNNNNNNNNNNNNNNNNNNNNNNNNNNNNNNNNNNNNNNNNNNNNNNNNNNNNNNNNNNNNNNNNNNNNNNNNNNNNNNNNNNNNNNNNNNNNNNNNNNNNNNNNNNNNNNNNNNNNNNNNNNNNNNNNNNNNNNNNNNNNNNNNNNNNNNNNNNNNNNNNNNNNNNNNNNNNNNNNNNNNNNNNNNNNNNNNNNNNNNNNNNNNNNNNNNNNNNNNNNNNNNNNNNNNNNNNNNNNNNNNNNNNNNNNNNNNNNNNNNNNNNNNNNNNNNNNNNNNNNNNNNNNNNNNNNNNNNNNNNNNNNNNNNNNNNNNNNNNNNNNNNNNNNNGGGAAGCGCCCCCCUUUAGUACCGGGUGGUGGCUCCAACCGGUACUAAAGGGGGGGGGGGUCUUUAGUACCGGUUGGAGCCACGACCCGGUACUAAAGGGGAUGCGCUGGCUCCAGGCGGUGCGCAAGUUUAGUCCCAUCUCGCUACCCGAGGGGCUACCGCCUUGGUUUAUAAGCCCCAGUGCGGUAGGUCUCUCGAGCUCCUCUCCUAAGCAGGCCUACUGGGCCUACCUGUCCUCUUCUGCCCUUUGGGCCUACUGGGCCUUUGCGGGCCUGCAUCCUGGCCCAACUAAAGGUUGUGUUCCUCGUCAUAUGCAGGCCACUUUGGCCCAGUAGGCGGCCUUUUUUAUUUUCUUAAUUUUUUUCGCUUUAUUUAUUUUUGUUUUAUUUAUUUUUGAGUUUUUUUUCUGUAUUUAGAGUUUCUUUGUGAAUAUUUUUGCUUUAGGUACAAAAAAUUACAAACUUUCUGUUAGUGCCGGUAGUUUUCAAAUUUGAAAAGUUUAAAUUUUGAAUUAUUUGAAAUUUGUGUGAAUCACUAGUUUGUGAAUAACUUAACUUUGAAAAAAGUUUUUCAGUGAUUCUUUUUUCUUAUGUUUAAUAUUAGUGUGUUUUAUCAUUAUAUUCAAUUUGGUAAUGCUUAGGUUAUUUAAAAAAUGAAAUGCCUUUGUAACAGUUCAGUUUUCGUCGGAAACCCUGAUACUUCGGAAGAGAUUGUACAUUUUGUACACGAAGUGUAUCCAGUUUUUGCCGUAACCCUCUACUUUUUUGCACAUGCUAUUUGUAUGAAAUUAUGAUACCAUGCCAACUUUCAACCUUUUCUGAGUUCAUUUGAAAUGCUUUUCAAUUUCAGGGCCAUUUAGCUGGAAAAGAAAUUAGUAAAUGCAUUAAAAGAAUUUGUUUGCACAUAAAAUUUCUUCGCGUUUCAAAUGCCAAAACACAUAAUUAACUACCCUAACUAUUACAGACAUUCCCUCCUGGGUGUGAAACACAGAAGAAAGUGAUGAUAGUGAAGCCGAUCACAUCCUAGAUCUUUGGGUGUGAAACUUUUUCUUCGCGUGUGUCCCUUUGCGCCGUAGCCAUGGAAAAUCUUCAUCAUUUAACUGGAUGCUCGGGUCAAUAUUCACUGUGAAUGGAGAAAUUUCAUCAAACUUGUCAUAAUCUUCUGACAUGUCUAUCUUGUCAUCCACUCCCACAAUGUUUCUUUUUCCUGAAAGAACUAUGUGGCGGUUUGGCUCGUCGUAUGAUCCAUUCGCUUCCUUAUCUUUUCUUUUUCUCGGCCUGGUAGACAUGUCUUUCACAUAAAAAACCUGUGCCACAUCAUUGGCUAGGACGAAUGGUUCGUCUGCAUACGCAAGAUUGUUGAGAUCCACUGUUGUCAUUCCGUACUGCGGGUCUUCCGUUACCCCGCCUCCUGUCAUAUUGACUCAUUUGCACCGAAACAAAGGGAUCUUCAAAUCACCUGAUCCAUAGUUAAGUUCCCAUAUGUCCUCUAUGUAACCAUAAUAUGUUUCCUUCCCCGUGUUGGUUGUUGCAUCAAAGCGAACACCACUGUUUUGGUUGGUGCUCUUCUUAUCUUGGGCGAUCGUGUAAAAUAUAUUCCCAUUUAUCUGGUACCCUUUGAAAGUCAUUAUAUUCGAAGAUGGUAACUGGGACAACGAGUACAAGUCAUUUUGAAUAUCGCCAUCAUUCAGGGCACGUUUCUGCAACCAACCGGCGAAAGUCCUCGUUUGUUCUCGUGUAAUCCAGUCGUCAGACUUCUCCGGGUGUUUGGACUGUAGAAAAUUCUUGUGUUCCUCCUCAUACGGAGCCACCAAGGCGGAAUUCUGUAGAACUAUGUAGUGUGCUUCAGUGAGAGAAUGCCCGUCCAUACAUAAUAUUUGAUGCCCUCCUAGCGUGCCUUUUCCUUCAGUCUGCCCUUAUACCGCGAUUCAGGAACACCAAUCGGCUUAAGGUUAGGAAUAAAGUCAAUACAAAACUCAAUGACCUCCUCAUUUUCAUGACCCUUCGAUAUGCUUCCUUCUGGCCUAGCACGUUUAUGAACAUAUUUCUUCAAGACUCCCAUGAACCUUUCAAAGGGGAACAUAUUGUGCAGAAAUACAGGACCCAAAAUGUUAAUCUCUUCACAAAGGUGAACUAGGACGUGCGUCAUGAUGUGGAAGAAGGAUGGUGGGAACACCAACUCGAAACUGACAAGACAUUGCACCAAAUCAUUGUGUAACCUUGGUAUGAUUUCUGGAUUGAUUACCUUCUGAGAGAUUGCAUUGAGGAAUGCACAUAGCUUCACAAUGGCUAAUCGAACGUUUUUCGGUAGAAGCCCCCUCAAUGCAACCGGAAGGGGUUGCCUCAUAAUCACGUGGCAGUCAUGAGACUUUAUAUUCUGGAACUAUUUCUCUGCCAUAUUUAUUAUUCCCUUUAUAUUCGAUGAGAAGCCAGACGGUACCUUCAUGCUGAGCAGGCAUUCGAAGAAGAUUUCCUUCUCUUCUUUGGUAAGAGCAUAGCUGGCCUGACCCUGAUGUAUGCCAUCUUUUCCGUGCAUACGUUGCUGGUCCUCCCGUGCCUCUGGUGUAUCUUUUGUCUUCCCAUACACGCCCAAAAAGCCAAGUAAGGUCACACAAAGAUUCUUCGUCACGUGCAUCACGUUGAUUGCGGAGCGGACCUCUAGGUCUUUCCAAUAUGGCAGGUCCCAAAAUAUAGAUUUCUUCUUCCACACGGGUGUGCGUCCGUCAGCGUCCUUUGGAACAGGUUGUCCGCCAGGACCCUUUCCAAAGAUUACCUUCAAAUCCUUGACCAUAUCAUGUACAUCAGCACCAGUACGGUGGCGAGGCUUCGUCCGGUGAUCCGCCUCACCUUUGAAAUGCUUGCCUUUCUUUCUUACGGGAUGCCUUGCCGGAAGAAAUUGACGAUGUCCCAGGUACACAUUCUUCCUACAACUAUCCAAAUAUAUAAUGUCGGUAUCAACCAAACAGUGCGUGCAUCCGCGAUAUCCCUUGUUUGUCUGUCCUGAAAGGUUACCGAGAGCAGGCUAAUUAUUGAUGGUCACGAACAGCAACGCCUUUAGGUCAAAUUCUUCCUGUCCGUGCUCAUCCCAUGCACGUACACCUGUUCUAUUCCAAAGCUGUAAUAGUUCUUCAACUAAUGGCCUUAGGUACACAUCAAUGUCGUUGCCGGGUUGCUUAGGGCCUUGGAUGAGCACUGGCAUCAUAAUGAAUUUCCGCUUCAUGCACAACCAAGGAGGAAGGUUGUACAAACAUAGAGUCACAGGGCACGUGCUAUGGUUGCUGCUCUGCUCCCCAAAAGGAUUAAUGCCAUCUGCGCUUAGACCAAACCAUACGUUCCUUGGGUCACCUGCAAACUCCUCAGUACUUUCUCUCGAUUUUUCUCCACUGCGAACCGUCAGCGGGUACUCUCAACUUUCCGUCUUUCUUACGGUCUUCUGCGUGCCACCGCAUCGCCUUCGCAUGCUCUUUGUUUUGAAACAAAUGUUUCAACCGUGGUAUUAUAGGAGCAUACCACAUCACCUUGGCAGGAAUCUUCUUCCUGGGGCGCUCGCUCUCGACAUCACCAGGGUCAUCGCGACUGAUCUUAUAACGCAAUGCACCGCAUACCGGGCAAGCGUUCAAAUCCUCGUACUCACCGGGGUAGAGGAUGCAGUCAUUAGGGCAUGCAUGUAUCUUUUGCACCUCUAACCCUAGAGGGCAGACAACCUUCUUUGCUUCAUACGUACUCUCGGGCAAUUCGUUGUCCUUUGGAAGCAUAUUCUUUAUCAUUACCAGCAACUUUCCAAAUCCCUUGUCAGAUACACCAUUCUCUGCCUUCCAUUGCAGCAAUUCAAGUGUGGUGCCCAAGUUUUUUUUGUCAGCUUCACAAUUCGGAUACAACAAUUUCUUGUGCUGCAACUUCGUCCUCUCCAGAUCACUUGCGCUGUUUUUCUUUGCAUCGACAAUGGCCCGACCUAGAUCAUCAGCGGGCUCAUCUGAUGCCUUUUCUUCAGCUUCUUCCCGCAUUGCCGGCUCAGCUUCUUCCCCCAUUGUUGUAUCAUCGUAUUCAGGGAACCCAUGGCCAGGAUAGCCAUCGUUGUCCUCUUCUUCUUCAUUGUCUUCCAUCAUAACCCCUAUUUCUCCGUGCUUGGUCCAAACAUUAUAGUGGGGCAUGAAACCGGACUUAAAUAGGUGGACGUGAAUGGUUUUUGACGUAGAGUAACUGUGACCAUUCUUACAGCCAGCACAUGGACAAGGCAUAAAACCAUCCGCCCGCUUGUUUGCCUCAGCGGCCCGCAGGAAAGUAUGCACGCCAUUAAUGAACUCAGGAGAGCAUCAGUCAUCAUACAUCCAUUGUCGGCUCAUCUUCAUUACACAACACUGAAUAGACCAAAUUAAUACAAGUUCAUACAUAAAGUUCAUACAUAAAGUUAAUACAUAAAGUUCAUAUACAACACUUAAUUAAAUGCAACAUACAAAUAACUCUCUAGCUAAAGAAUUUAAAUGCAACAAUAAAUGCGAUGAAGACCGCAACUAAGGUAACAAUUGAUCCAACAUCAUAAUGAUACCAAGCCACCCUAUCAAUGGCAUAUUUUCUAAUCUUUCUAAUCUUCAACCUCAUUUUCUCCAUCUUAAUCUUGUGAUCAUCGAUGACAUCGGCAACAUGCAACUCCAAUUCCAUCUUCUCCCCCUUAAUUCUUUUCAAUUUUUCUUUCAAAUACUCGUUUUCUCUUUCAACUAAAUUUAACCUCUCGACAAUAGGGUCGGUUGGAAUUUCCGGUUCACAUACCUCCUAGAUAAAAAUAUCUAUGUCAACUUGAUGGGCAUAAUUUGUCAUAAACAUGAAAUGCAACAACUAGUUUUAAAAGAGAAUAUACCACAUCCGAAUCAUAACAAGGACGAGGGCCGACGGGGACGGAUAUCAAAACCAUGGCACUAUGCAUAACAAACAACGUACGGGUAAGAUAAUUAUACGAGUAACUAUAUAUCCAAAUCACACAAACAUCAAUUUGGUAAUGUAAAACAUUCAUGAACAAGAGCCUCACCACAAGGUGGUGCCGGCGACGGGACGGUGCGAGCGAUCGACGGUGGUUACGACGGAAAUUUAGAAGGCACUAAGUAAACCACACCUACAUAUGCAAACUAAGUGUUACUUUUGACCUGAAAUUGCAUAUAAAUCAAAUACUAGCAAAUAUAAUUUCUCCCAAAUUAAUCACUAUAGAAAGCAUUGCAAGAGCUAAUCUAGCAAUGAGAGUUGAAAGGACAAAGUUGCUAACCUUCGUGAUCAUUUGAAUGGAUGGGGGCCCUCAAAUCUUGACAAAUUUUGGGCAAAAUUUGUGAGGAGCUCGAGGAAGAGAGGGGAAGAACAGAGGAAGUGAGGGGAAAGGGGAAGAACAGAGUGGCUUGGGUGGACGAAGGGUUUAUGUACGUCGACCUUUAGUACCGGUUCGUGUCACGAACCGGUACUAAAGGUGCUGGAGGGGCCAGACUGACAACACUCUGCCACCUCUCUCUUUAGUACCAGUUCGUGGCACGAAACGGUGCUAAAGGUUCUCCACGAACCGGUACUAAUGAGAACGGCCGGCUAGCCGUUGGAACCGGCACUAAUGGACACAUUAGUGCCGGCUCAAAAUCAAACCGGCAGUAAUAUGUCUCAUGUUAGGUCCUUUUUCUACUAGUGCUCCCUCCCUCCCUGAGACAUAUAUCACCAUAAUAUUCCAUCCAAAUUGUACAACCCCAUAAACACCUACCCAGAAGUGAAAAAAAGGUAAAAAUGAACAUGGAAAUGGACAUCUGCUAUCUUCGCCUGGGCCUUCUUGCAUUUCAGUACGGCUCCCUCCCGAGUAUCCUGGUCUGGUCCUUUCAGUGCAGACACUUGAACCAUGAGAUUCGGGUCUUUACAGACCUCUUCUCUUGGUCCAUCCAGUAGCAACCGGGUUCAUCUUGAAUGUUGUUUCCUCAUAUGCAUAGAGCGAGCACCCCCCUUGCUCAUCUGGGCAUCUCCACUGUCCGUUUCCAUUGGUCAUGCACCAUCAUCCACCCAUUCCAUGACACGGAACCGCAUGAAUCUAACAAGUUAAAUAAGAUCAUUUAACUAUUUCUGGUAUAUGAUUCAGCAAACAUCCUGAACUUAUUGGUUUGUGCUGAUUUACAGGGAGCACCCUGGACUUUCAAAAUCUUCACAAAAAAGAUCCUAUUUAUUUACCACAAGCCCCUUGGAGAUGGAAAACUUUACAAAAAAGAGACUGCUUGUUUACCGCAAACCCCUGAAGCUUGAAAUCUUUAGAAAAAAGGGCAGCUGGAAUAGGAAUCAAGAAGUGCAAGUAUAGUAAGGUUGGUCCGGUGCAAAAAAACCUCAAGAAAAAAAAUUGCAAUUAACUGCAGCAUUUGCACCCUGAAUGACAUGAAAGGGUCAUAUUUAGUGUGCAGCAACAGACAUCUUCUGGACAAGGAAAACACCAACUAAAUCCGUAGCAACAAAAAGGCUCUAAACUUGAGGGCUAAAUCAACUAGCUAGUAUGCCAGAAUCAUCACCAUCAGGAGAAAGCACAAGCCAGGAUCCUAGAAAUUGCCAUGGCAUUAAACCAGAACAAGAGAAAGCGGACCAACCAAGUGGCUUACCUACGCGAGAAGACGAAGUGGCUACUGUAGGAGGGAGCAGCAGACGACACCACCGCCUCCAUGGGAUAUAAGUGGAGCUCGUGUGCGCAGACCACGGAGGCGACCUGGGUGAGGUGCCGGAUCCACACACGCAUGGCUAAGAGCAAAAGAAGACGGAGGUUCUUCACGAAUCCCACUGGCGUGCUUGAUCUGGUUCCGAAGAAAGCAACUUUCAGUUUCGUGUGUGGCAAUUUUAAGCAAUUUCACGUGAAAACGAACACAAGGGGAGAGAAAUACUUAGAUUUGAUAGAACUUAUCAGUUGUAGGCUUGUCGUGCUGAUAGACUAAAUCCAUGGUGAAGUUCUUGGUUAAGUAUCGGUUGUACAUGAGUACCUGAAAUAAUCAGUUCUCAUGGAAGUCAGACCCAGUGGCAAUCCAGAAAUAACAAUAGCAUGCACACAUGCACGCGCGCGCGCACACACACACACACACACGCAAAGUAGUGCUACAUCGAGUCCCAAUCCACAACCACAGCACACACACACACACACAAAGCAGAACAUAGAACACAUUUUCUAAGUUUUGUCAACCUUCUGUUGACACCAACCUCUACUAUGCCUUUCCAGUUUAGAAUAGGUGUUGUGCUUUAUAUUCCCUCUAUUUUCAUGUACAAGGCCACAAACUCAAAAUAUAGGUACCAAGGUAAAAUUUUAUACAUGUUUUGCAACACAACAUUUUUCUCGUUUGUUUACUGAUAUCAUUAAUACACCACAUGCAUGCUGGAAAACUGAAUGAAAGAAGUAGUUGAGUAUCUUUAUUACUGCAUGCAUGCAUCCUCUGAGGAACAUGUAUAAGUCAUGAAGAAAGCAGUAGCAAUGAAACUGUAACAAUCAUGAUGCUAAGCUAACCAGAUGGGUCAUGUCCAUCACAUCACAUCAAAUGACAACACAUGUCUAUGUUUAGGAAACAUAACCAUCUUUGAUUAACGAGCUAGUCAAGUAGAGGCAUACUAGGGACAAUAUGUUUUGUCUAUGUAUUCACACAUGUACUAAGUUUUCGAUUAAUACAAUUCUAGCAUGAAUAAUAAACAUUUAUCAUGAAAUAAGGAAAUAAAUAAUAACUUUAUUAUUGCCUAUAGGGCAUAUUUCCUUCAUAGAGUGCUGCUGCUGCGAAUGAUUGAUCACCGUGGCGGGGUAAUUUUCUUGUUUCUCCUUUUAUCUUAUUUUUUGAUGUUUGCAUCCUGGAUGUCUUUGGGCAUCUUAUUCGUGCAGAGGCUGGGUAUAAUAAGGUAUCUGUACGAUAUAUUCCCAUUAUCAAAAUAAUAAUAACUAGGGGCUAUGGUUGGAUGGCCGGCUUCCGUAUUAGUGUUCGUGAACUGGUUCCCACAUAUCCAUAGACGAAUACGGUGUUCGGUUCAAGGGUCAGCGUUGGAGAUGCCCUUAGCUACUACACUAAAUUGCGAUGCACAUCCAAGGGUUCGAAAACAUCCCGACAGAAAAAUGCUCUUAUGAAGAAAUAAGCUUUCGCCCUGCUAUAUAGAUAUAGCAACCGCCCGAUAACAAAGAGUCCAAUUCUGGGGCAAACAGCACAAGCACACCAAAAGAAACAAAAGAGAAAGAAGAUAGAAAAUGAUGUUAACAGCGCCGGAUCGACAAAAAUGAUGAUAACCUGAAACCGCUGCGCCCACCAGAGAUAUACCACCUCGCUCCAAGCACCUCGAACCUCCGUGUACCAAGCAACACCUUCAGGAAGGAACACAACGACGAUGAAGCUGCUGCCCGUACAGGUCCUAGGGUUUCCCCCGGUACGCGGAGGGACGUGGGGAAGGGGAAUACACGAUGCCCUUCAGGAAGGAAGGGUGGCGCCUACGGGCGUCACCGCGUCGGUGCCGGCGAGCCGUGAUGACCCACAAGUAUAGGGGAUCUAUCGUAGUCGUUUCGAUAAGUAAGAGUGUCGAACCCAACGAGGAGAAGAAGGAAAUGACACGCGAUUUUCAGUAAGGUAUUCUCUCUAAGCACUGAAAUUGUAGGUAUUAGAUAGUUUUGUGAUAAGGUAAUUUGUAACGGGUAACAAGUAAUGAAAGUAAAUAAGGUGCAGCAAGGUGGCCCAAUCCUUUUUGUAGCAAAGGACAAGCCUGGACAAUUUCUUAUAAUGAGAAAAGCGCUCCCGAGGACACAUGGGAAUUAUCGUCAAGCUAGUUUCAUCACGCUCAUAUGAUUCGCGUUCGUUGCUUUGAUAAUUUGAUAUGUGGGUGGACCGGUGCUUGGGUGCUGCCCUUUCUUGGACAAGCAUCUCACUUAUGAUUAACCCCUAUUGUAAGCAUCCGCAACUACAAAAGAAGUAUUAAGGUAAACCUAACCAUAGCAUGAAACUAGUGGAUCCAAAUCAGCCUCUUACGAAGCAACGCAUAAACUAGGGUUUAAGCUUCUGUCACUCUAGCAACCCAUCAUAUACUUAUUACUUCCCAAUGCCUUCCUCUAGGCCCAAAUAAUGGUGAAUUGUCAUGUAGUCGACGUUCACAUAACGCCACUAGAGGAGAGACAACAUACAUCUCAUCAAAAUAUCGAACGAAUAUCAAAUUCACAAGACUACUAAUAGCAAGACUUCACCCAUGUCCUCAGGAAUAAACGUAACUACUCACAAAGCAUAUUCAUGUUCAUGAUCAGAGGAGUAUUAAUAUGCAUUAAGGAUCUGAACAUAUGAUCUUCCACCAAGUAAACCAAUUAGCAUCAACUACAAGGAGUAAUCAACACUACUAGCAACCCACAGGUACCAAUUUGUGGUUUUGAUACACGAUUGGAUACAAGAGAUGAACUAGAGUUUUGAGAGGAGAUGGUGCUGGUGAAGAUGUUGAUGGAGAUUGACCCCCUCCCGAUGAGAGGAUCGUUGGUGAUGACGAUGGUGAUAAUUUCCCCCUCCCGGAGGAAAGUUUCCUCGGCAGAACAGCUCCGCCGGAGCCCUAGACUGGUUCCGCCUCGUGGCGGCGGAGUUUCGUCCCGUAAUCUUACUUAUGAUUUUUUCCAGGAUAAGAGCCUUCAUAUAGCAGAAGAUGGGCACCGGAGGGCCACCAGGGGGCCCAGGAGACAGGGGUGUGCCCAGUAUGGGGGGCGGCGCCCCCACCCUCCUGGCCAGGGUGUGGGCCCCCUCUGGUACUUCCUUUGCUCAAUAAUUCUUAUUAAUUCCAAAAAUGACUUUCGUGGAGUUUCUGGACUUUUGGAGCUGUGCAUAAUAGGUUUCCAAUAUUUGCUCCCUUUUCAGCCAGAAUCACAGCUACCGGCAUUCUCCCUCUUCAUGAUAAACCUUGUAAAAUAAGAGAGAAUAGCCAUAAGUAUUGUGACAUAAUGUGUAAUAACAGCCCAUAAUGCAAUAAAUAUUGAUAUAAAAGCAUGAUGCAAAAUUGACGUAUCAGGCCGGCACGGAUUUCUCCCAUGAGCCAAACACCCACAUCCCCGAACGGUCUGACACGCUCCACCAGACAUGCCACGCACCAACGUGCGCCACCACGAUCUAGCCAUCAUCACCGCCACCUCAUUAUGGUCAACGAAGGGAGACCGACAAGGCCGAGAGGGAGCAGCCAGGAACGAGGAUCGGCAGUGACAACAUCCAUGCGGGAAGAGACAACCCCCACCGCCAUCGGCGGUCACCGACCGGAUGCGGCAAGGGGAGCGUACCAGGCCCUCGAGGUUCGGUCGAGCCCAAAAGGGGCUCAUGAAGCACCCGUUGCCACGUUGCAUUAGACGCGCCACCGUCUCCACAACCCCACGCACAAGCCGUGCCACCACCGCCCCUGCCAGAGCCGCCGCAGGAAAGACUGAGCCAGGCUCGCCCAGAGCCAGAUGGGGCCCAAAAGGGCCCAGAUCUGGGUCGAGAGGGAGCCGCCACCAUCCAUCGUGCCAGCCCGCCGCGAAGUGGCCGCGCCGCCGCCUCUUGGCCACCCGGAAGCCGUGCCGCCUUUAGCUGCCGCCGCCGCCGAAACCACUGUCGACCGAGGAGCACCUCCGCGGGUUGCCACCACUCGAGCCAUGGCACCGCACGCGGGGAAGGAAAGGCCGCCGCCGCCGCCAACACCACGNNNNNNNNNNNNNNNNNNNNNNNNNNNNNNNNNNNNNNNNNNNNNNNNNNNNNNNNNNNNNNNNNNNNNNNNNNNNNNNNNNNNNNNNNNNNNNNNNNNNNNNNNNNNNNNNNNNNNNNNNNNNNNNNNNNNNNNNNNNNNNNNNNNNNNNNNNNNNNNNNNNNNNNNNNNNNNNNNNNNNNNNNNNNNNNNNNNNNNNNNNNNNNNNNNNNNNNNNNNNNNNNNNNNNNNNNNNNNNNNNNNNNNNNNNNNNNNNNNNNNNNNNNNNNNNNNNNNNNNNNNNNNNNNNNNNNNNNNNNNNNNNNNNNNCUCGGGGUGGCGACGCGGGGGGCGGGCCGGGAGGGGAGAGGGAGGCGUGGCGUGGCACGGCGCGCGCGGCCGGCGGCCGGAAGCGCGGGAGGGGAGGGUGGCCGGCGGCGGCGGGGGAACAUGGAGGAACCCUAGGAGCGGGGGCGGCGGCGGGUCGUCACACGCGUCUCCAGAAAAAUGCUCUUAUGGAGAAUGCUUGAUAUGCAUGCUAAGAUGAUAUUUAGUUUUGUGAGAAAAAAAUUUCAAUCCUUCUUAGUGGCCCAUUUCACCAAAUGUUUUUCAAGAGAUAGUUUUGAGAGAUUUUCUGCUGCUUGUUUCAGGCGGAAGCCUACCUGUCUGGUAAACUCAGUAAAUCAUCAAGCUUUGAGUGGACCGGAGUGACCCGUCACUGUUUGGUACGUGCGCUUACCCACGCUGGCGUGAUUCGUCACUAACAACUUCAGCUGCCUCGGGGAAAGUGAAUUCGACGAGCAACUUGUAUGGCUCCUGUCCAAAUGAAAAGAAAAAGAAGGCACGGCGGUCUAUAAAACAUCUAACUUGGGUCCUUCCAUUUUCCUCUAUGAAUAUGGGCAUUUCUCCCUUUGUAUGGACAGUGAGUGAGAUAGCAUCUCAGAUGUUUCUCUUGUACGCAUGCUUCAGCUCCUCCAACAAACCAUUAUUUCCAUCCGAAACGAACAUUUGACAAUAGCACCAGGUAAGCUGUGCACACUCUGACUGCCACAUGACCAUAUCACCAUGCGUGGAACAAAGGUCUCAAAUGUAGGCCCAAAGGUCAAUUAAAGGGGAUUGGCUUCUAUAGAAUAAACAACGCCGAAAAGCCUACAGUAAAUCAAGAAAAAUAGAAGCAUUCAUGCCAAGUCUGUCAUUUUAACCCGGGUUGACUGGUUCCACAUUAUAAUUAAAUAAGCUACCCAUAUAAGCUGCAAUCUGUUUGCAUCUGCAACACAACAAUAUUGGUUAUGAAAGCUCAAGGGCUUCCAUUGAAUUUGUUCUUUUUGUGAGGGAGUCUACAAAAGGUUUAGCAGAUAGUCAUGUGCUGAUUAUUUAACAAAGUCAUGUUCCAAUUUCCCUUAAAAAAAGGAAAAGAAGAAUCUUUAAAAAAGUUUUAACCGUCCAUUUUUGGAAUAUAUGUAACAUAUUUUUUGAUAUCUCUAGCACACCAAAAUCAACUCCAGCAAUAUUUCCAAAUAUAUUUAGCCAGAGGUCAGGCAAAGAAGUUUUGCUCCCUCGUUCGUGAUCGGCACAAAACCCUCACAAAUCUACUCCGUACCAUCAUAUUUUGAACAAAUUGUCUCUAGUUGAAAUCCUAUUCUUCACUGAAUAAACUCACGUGCAAUGGCAGUUUCGGCUUCCACAACUGCAUACAAGGUACAUUAACUUUACGAAAUCCAGAGUAAAUAUGUUUAACCAUAAAUACACCAUCUUUAGUUAAAAUCUACAUCACUCUGUCAGGUUCCUCUUAGAGGACACAAAACUUGGUUGCGCUAAGCUUUAGGACUUUCAUUGAACGUAAUGUUUUUUUUUUGCAAGGAAUCUACUAAAGGUUUGUCAGUCAUGUGCUGAUUAUUUUAUGGAAGUCAUGUGCCAAUUGCCCCGAAAUAAAUAGAAAAGAAUCCCACAAAAGAAGAACAUACAAUAAUAAUAGCAAUAAAGAAUCACAUGCCCAUUUCCACUUGUGGUUUGGACUUGGAGUAUAUGCACAACAUCAAUGGCGUUCUCUUGAAAAAGCCAAGAAAAAUGUUCCAUCGACAACAAUAUAUGCCCAUUUCCACUAAAGAAAACCUUUAUUUUCUGAGGCAGAAUACUUGAAUAUAUAAAUCCUAGUGGGCCAGUAUCAACGUGCAUAGCUUCCAUCAUCCAGGUGCUAUAUAAAGGGCGGGAAGGAGCGAGGGGCUGAGGCAGUGCAAGCAAGCAAGCAAGCAAGCAGCGCUCACCACCACCCACCCAGGUCAUGCGGCGCUCGGCAGCCAUGAACUGCGGAAGCGGUCCCGCUCCGGCGACGAUGGUGCGCUGCAGGCAGUGCAGCGCCAGCGUCGCCGCGCCGCCCGGCGCCCGGGCCGUCCAGUGCAUGCAGUGCUGCUGCGUGACCCGCGUGGGCGGGGCUGGGCGACAGCUCAGUGUGGUGCGUCCCAUCCCCAACUUCGGCGGUGGCCGCGGCAAGAAGCGCGCCGUGCUGGUGGGGAUCAAGUACACCAACACUCGCGCCUGCGAGCUGAGGGGCCCCAUCAACGACGUCAAGUGCAUGAGGUACCUCCUCACCGAGCGCUUCGGCUUCGCCAACGACUGCGUCCUCAUCCUCACCGGUAAUUUAUACAUCGACCAAGAUUUUUCAGUCAUGGCAUGAGCAGCAGCUGAUUUGUUUGAGCUUACCCGUGUCCGUGUUUGUUACUUGCUGCAGAUGAGGAGAGGGACCCGUGCAGGCAGCCGACCAAGAACAACAUCCGCAUGGCCAUGAACUGGCUGGUGCAGGGGUGCAGCUCCGGCGACUCCCUGGUGUUCCAGUUCUCCGGCGCUGGCGUGCAGGUCCCUGACUGCAGUGGCGAAGAGCGUGACGGCAUGGACGAGGCCAUCUGCCCCCUGGACUCGUUCCAGCAGGGCCCCAUCCUGGACGACGAGAUCAACCAGGCCAUCGUCCGCCCGCUCGUGCACGGCGUCAAGCUCCACGCCAUCGUCGACGCCUGCCACAGCGCCACCGUCCUCGAUCUCCCAUACCAGUGCACCUUCUCCAAGCAGUCAGUAACUAACAACCUCUAUCCCUCCCAUAUAUAUUCCCGUGCAUCUAUUCUUUACUACACUGCGUAAGACUACCCUACAAACUUAAUAAAACCAUCCGCUGUCUUCAUCAGGAGUGGUUUCACUUCCAGUGAGAUGAAUGAGAUGUCAAUGAAAUUCACCGAAUUUCUAUAAUUUUAGUGGACAUCAAAAUAUUUACCCCUUGAUAAAACAUUUCAGUAAUCAAAUAAAUUUCAAAAUAUUUCUCAUGUUUAAAAAAUAUUUGGUUGAAUUGAAACUUGUAAAUAAACAUUUGUUUUCUUGGGCUGAAAUGCGAACCGAAAUCACCAAAAUCCACUGAUUUUCAUUGAUUAUGGUAGUCGAUGAAAUAUUUUUGAAACUAAAAUUCAAAAUAAUUCAGGUAUGGGUGCUUGAGGUGGAGGGAUGAGCGCCCUCUGAAUGGCGCCUUCAAAGGCACCAGCGGAGGCCAGGCCGUGCUCAUCAGUGGCAGCAGCAACGGAAAGACCCAGAUGAACAUGGUCAGCUAGCAUUGAUAAGCAUCCAUGUUAAAGCUAGGUGUCUCUUUCGUGUUUACAUGUCACUGAUGCGCGCGUGCGUGCAGAUGCCUGGACCUGAUGUGACGGUUGGCGCCAUGACGCACAGCUUCAUCAGAGCAGUCGAGUGCGAGCCGCGCACGACCUACGGACACCUGCUCACCUCCAUGAGGACCAUCAUGCGCAACGGCGGCGGCAACUGCAACCUGCAGGGCCCCGCCGGCGGCUGCAUCCGCAAGGUGGCCAACUUCAGCGGGGUGGAGGUGAGUCCAGCACAUUUUCUGUCCAGCCAAUGAAAUGUGGAGCUUGAUACAUUAUAUAUGCUCACAUACCGCAUUUGGUAAACUCUGCAGGAGCCCCAGCUGUCUUCUGCUUGCAAGUUUGACAUCCACCGCGAGCCGUUCUGCAUGUAGAACCCGCGCCCGGGUUCGUCGUCGUUCUGCACUCGACGAUUACCACCUACACGGCUAAUCAUCGACCGUAUCGAGAUAGCCGAUCAGUGGGAUAAAUAACUAUGACGCUUUCUGCUAGUAUGUGUGAUAGCCGAUCACCUCACCUGCCGCAAUGCCAUCCAGAAUGAGCAUAGCUCACACAAGGCUCUGGAGGACCUCCUUCCCUACUGUAUUGUACGUCUGUAUGUACGUACCUCAUUGUAAUAAGGUUGUGGUGGUGUUGUGUGUCGUCUCAUACGUACCCUUAUAAAUAAAUCAAGUUCUAUGCUGCUUCAUCUCCAAAAGAGACACGUAAAAGCAAUGCAAAUUGUGGCAAUUAUGUUAUCAAAUGGCGUCAACAAACCAAAGUGCGUGCGUGCGUGCGUGUUUUAUGAAACUGAAACCUAGGGAUCUAAGGCCCAACAGUCAUCUGUUGUUCAGAUCCCAAAUAGUUUCCUUUCACAUGAGCCAACCAAUAACAUGAACAUGAAAACAAUAUGUGCAUGUUAACCAGGCUGGCAACACAUGGCAUAGUAUCGAACGUGAAGGUGCAGGCAGUAUGAUCAUCGGUGCAAUAAGACCGAACUGUCGGUAUCAGGUAGCUUACCAAACUGGACCUUUUGAUAGCGGGAGUCAAAGUCAUGACUACCUAACAAAUCAAACACACCCACAAGUGUCAUGUGGUUGCACAGGACCGGUGAGCACGACAUGUGGCACUAUGACUCAAUCGUCCCGAUGGAAGGAAUACCCUUACCCAAUAUGGUUUCCCAAGGGCAUUUGUCCGCUGGCAAAUAAAAAUAGGAACAAGUCAUAGAUUAAGCAGGUAUACAUUUCGACAGAAAUCGUCGAGCUGCAAAAAGAGCGACACCCCAGGUUCGGAAGAUCAAUUGCACGCAGAACAAGGCUGACCAUGCCAUGACAGCUCUAGGGCAUGGACAGUAAAGGACGGCUUUGUUGGCUUGUAAAUGUCCAUCAGGAGUUAGCAUUAUCAUUAUGAACGAUUGUAACUCUAUGAAUGAUUAAGUAAUGAAAUGCUUUCCCCCACAAAAAAAAAUUAUCUCUUUUUUUAUGAAUGAAAAACAAUAAUAAUCUUAACUAGCUACAAGUACAACCAUAGGGAAUGGGAUCAUGCGUGUUACCUAGCUUGUUUAGGUGAGAGCAAAAUGUCAAUCAAAUCAAGCGUGGUUCAUAUGUAAACGCAAAAAGAAAAGUUCUUCUCCACACGUAGCCAAAGAAUCAAGAUCAUCGAUCUCUGACAGCAGCUUAUAAGUCGUAUCUGCAGCACAGUUGACGUUGAAUAAUAUUUUUAUUCGCAGUUGGUAGUACGUAUAUAUGCAGGGCUGCCGAGGCAAACAUCUUCUUCCCAAAUAUAGUACACCGUUGCCUUCAUGGUGAGCAGAGGCGGCUGUGCUCCACUCGCAGCCUGCGUCCUUCUCGUCUGCGCUGCCGCCACGGCCGUCUACACCAGCUUCCCGGCGUCCAUGAGCCCAUGUGACUCCUCUCUUGCGAGAGCGCUCCUCACCGUCUCCGGCCUGCGUCCGUACAUCGUCUCCACCGCCCCACAUGCACUUACCGGCGGCGGCAUGAAAAUCGGCGGGCCUUUGGCGACCAGCCUCCACACAUGCGGCAAGCCGAAGCUCCCGCCGCAUGCGCUGCCGCCCUUCUACUGCUGCCCGCCGGCGCCCGCAUCGGAACCGAUCAACUUCACCAUGCCGGACCCAGAGCUGGACAUGCAGAUCCACUACUCCUGGUUCUUCUUCCCGUUCCACCGCGCCUACCUCUAUUUCUUUGAGCGCAUCGCCGCCAGGCUGCUCGGCGAGCCUGACUUCGCUCUGCCGUUCUGGAGCUGGGACGUGCCGGAAGGGAUGCGGAUGCCGUCAAGUUCGCCACCUCAUCGUCACCGCUCUAUGAUCCCGUGCGGAACCCGAGGCACGCGCCGCCCAGGGGCGUGGACCUCGACUUCAUCGAUGUCGAGAGCAACUUGACCGACGAGCAGCAGAUCCAGCACAACCUUUCAGCCAUGUAUAAACAGGUGCAAUACCUACGUCUAGUGUACCUUCAUAUUUUGGGUGUGGUUAGGUCUUAGUCGACCGAGAUUUAACCAAGUUUCAGUCAAGUGACAUAAUAUAAAAAAAGUUAUAUAUUUUUGCACGGAUCUCAAUAUAACAUCUUACAGGUAUAGCAUCGAGUGAGACUUGGUUAAGUCGAUUGGUUGACUGAAACUUACGGAUUUAGCAGAUUGAGAUUUAGCAAGACAGUUUUAUUUUACACUUACUUACAAACAAUAUGAUUCAUUAACUGGUCGACUGAGACUUACCUUGCUACGUCUUUAUAUAUUUCAGAUGAUUGGCAAUGCAGCUUUGCCGUCACUGGGCAACCCUUCCGUGCUGGCCAGUCUGACCAGUCGGGCGGCGGGUCAGUGGAGCUCUCCGCACAUGACGCGCUGCACGCCUGGACAGGCGAUAUAAGAGCAACUCCAACGGGGCGACCCAAACGGACGCACGCUUUGUCUAUUUUUUGUCCGUUUGGAUCGGCCAGGCGAACAUGCGCGUUCGCAUUCUAAAAUGGGUCGGCUUGAUCGCCCAACGGGGAGGCCGACCCAAAUGUGUCGGCGUGGGAAAAAAAAUAAGUUGCACGAAAUAAACAUAAAUAAACAUAAGUGGCCGGUCAAACGCCGGCCAAAGUCCACCUAAAUCUAAUAAACAUUAAAAAAAAUUGCGCCCGCCUGCUGCCGCCCCGCACGCUGCCCUAGACGUCGUCGGCCUUGCCCUUGCCCUUUCCCUCCACGCCGCCAUCGUCGGUGAGGUCGAUGAAGACCGGAGCAGUGCCAGCCCACCUGAACGCCGCCUGGUACGCUGCCAGGGCAGCCUCCUCCGGCGUCUGCUGGGGCGGCGGCAUUGCGGCAAGCCGCGCGCGCUCCUCCUCCUCCCACUAGUAGAAAAAGGACUUAAUAUGAGAAACAUUAGUACCGGUUCGCAUAUGAGCCGGCACUAAUGCGCCCAUUAGUGCCGGUUCAAAUGACUUGGCAGGAGGUGACCUUUAGUACCGGUUUUUUGGGAAUCUUUAGUACCGGUUCGUUCCACGAACCGGUAGUAAAGAUGCUGGUGCCCGGCCAGCACCUUUAGUACCAGUUCGUGGCACGAACCGGUACUAAAGAGGUUGUGGCAGACGCUACUUUUAGUCCCACCUCGCUCCCCUAACAAGAAUUUGACUACGUUAAGUAUGUUACUUCUCAAACUAUCCCAAACAUUUGGUCUUCAUUGAACUCUAUGUGUAGGAUCUGUGGCUGCAUUAGGAGUCUUCGCCGGUUCUUAAAUCGAUGGUAGAUUCCUAUUGAAAAUUUAGAUUCUAUGCAAAAAGAUCGUUGAUGAUUAAUGUAUUUUUUAUAUGUACUUCUGUGUAGCAGUAGCGCGUUUUGGCUGAAAGGCGGUACUGAUCAAUGUAUUUUUUCUGCGUUUAGAUGCACUAUUUAAAUAUAUUAUUUUUCAAACUAUCCCAAGCAUUUGGUCUUCAUUGAACUCUAUAUAUAAAGAAGAGGAAGAAGAAGCAGAAGAAGAAGGAGAAGAAUACGAAGAAGAAGGAGAAGAAGGAGAAGAAGAGGAGGAGGAAGAAGGAGGAAGAAGAAGAAGAGGAAGAAGAAGGAGGAAGAAGAAGAAGAGGAAGAAGAAGAGGAAGUUGAAGAGGAAGAAGAAGAGGAAGAAGGAGAAGAAGAAGAAGAAGAGNNNNNNNNNNNNNNNNNNNNNNNNNNNNNNNNNNNNNNNNNNNNNNNNNNNNNNNNNNNNNNNNNNNNNNNNNNNNNNNNNNNNNNNNNNNNNNNNNNNNNNNNNNNNNNNNNNNNNNNNNNNNNNNNNNNNNNNNNNNNNNNNNNNNNNNNNNNNNNNNNNNNNNNNNNNNNNNNNNNNNNNNNNNNNNNNNNNNNNNNNNNNNNNNNNNNNNNNNNNNNNNNNNNNNNNNNNNNNNNNNNNNNNNGAAGAAGAGGAAGAGGAAGAAGAGGAAGGGGAAGAGGAGGAAAGAAUUAAUAGAAGGAGAAGAAGGAGAAUAAGAAGAAGAAGAAGAGGAAGAGGAAGAAGGAGAAGAAGAAGAGGAGGAAGAAGAAGAAGAAGAAGAGGAAGAAGAAGAAGAGGAAGAAGAAGAGGAAGAUGAAGAGGAAGAAGGAGAACAAGAAGAAGAAGAGGAAGAAGAAGAAGAGGAAGAGGAAGAAGAGGAAGAGGAGGAAAGAAGGCAACUGCAACCUGCAGGGCCCCGCCGGCGGCUGCAUCCGCAAGGUGGCCAACUUCAGCGGGGUGGAGGUGAGUCCAGCACAUUUUCUGUCCAGCCAAUGAAAUGUGGAGCUUGAUACAUUAUAUAUGCUCACAUACCGCAUUUGGUAAACUCUGCAGGAGCCCCAGCUGUCUUCUGCUUGCAAGUUUGACAUCCACCGCGAGCCGUUCUGCAUGUAGAACCCGCGCCCGGGUUCGUCGUCGUUCUGCACUCGACGAUUACCACCUACACGGCUAAUCAUCGACCGUAUCGAGAUAGCCGAUCAGUGGGAUAAAUAACUAUGACGCUUUCUGCUAGUAUGUGUGAUAGCCGAUCACCUCACCUGCCGCAAUGCCAUCCAGAAUGAGCAUAGCUCACACAAGGCUCUGGAGGACCUCCUUCCCUACUGUAUUGUACGUCUGUAUGUACGUACCUCAUUGUAAUAAGGUUGUGGUGGUGUUGUGUGUCGUCUCAUACGUACCCUUAUAAAUAAAUCAAGUUCUAUGCUGCUUCAUCUCCAAAAGAGACACGUAAAAGCAAUGCAAAUUGUGGCAAUUAUGUUAUCAAAUGGCGUCAACAAACCAAAGUGCGUGCGUGCGUGCGUGUUUUAUGAAACUGAAACCUAGGGAUCUAAGGCCCAACAGUCAUCUGUUGUUCAGAUCCCAAAUAGUUUCCUUUCACAUGAGCCAACCAAUAACAUGAACAUGAAAACAAUAUGUGCAUGUUAACCAGGCUGGCAACACAUGGCAUAGUAUCGAACGUGAAGGUGCAGGCAGUAUGAUCAUCGGUGCAAUAAGACCGAACUGUCGGUAUCAGGUAGCUUACCAAACUGGACCUUUUGAUAGCGGGAGUCAAAGUCAUGACUACCUAACAAAUCAAACACACCCACAAGUGUCAUGUGGUUGCACAGGACCGGUGAGCACGACAUGUGGCACUAUGACUCAAUCGUCCCGAUGGAAGGAAUACCCUUACCCAAUAUGGUUUCCCAAGGGCAUUUGUCCGCUGGCAAAUAAAAAUAGAAACAAGUCAUAGAUUAAGCAGGUAUACAUUUUGACAGAAAUCGUCGAGCUGCAAAAAGAGCGACACCCCAGGUUCGGAAGAUCAAUUGCACGCAGAACAAGGCUGGCCAUGCCAUGACAGCUCUAGGGCAUGGACAGCAAAGGACGGCUUUUUGGCUUGCAAAUGUCCAUCAGGAGUUAGCAUUAUCAUUAUGAACGAUUGUAACUCUAUAAAUGAUUAAAUAAUGAAAUGCUUUCCCCGGCAAAAUAAUAAUAACAAUAAUCUCUUUUUUUGUGAAUGAAAAAUAAUAAUAAUCUUAACUAGCUACAACCAUAGGGAAUGGGAUCAUGCGUGUUACCUAGCUUGUUUAGGUGAGAACAAAAUGCCAAUCAAAUCAAGCGUGGUUCACAUGUAAACACAAAAAGGAAAGUCCUUCUCCACACGUUACCAAAGAAUCAAGAUCAUUGAUCUCUCAGCAGCUUAUAAGCCGUAUCUGCGGCGUAGUUAUGGCCGUAUGCAUCUUUCUGAUGCAGAGGCCGGGGUUGCGCCCCUUUUCCAAAAAAAAAAAAUUUGCAGCAUAGUUGACGUUGAAUAAUAGUUUUAUUUGCAGCAGUACGUAUGGAGGGCUGCUGAGGCAAACUCUUCUUCCCAAAUAUAGUACUCCCAUUGCCUUCAUGUGCGAGGCAACAUGCAAGCACCUAAAGCCGUCUUUCUCGUCUGCGCCGUAGCCACGGGCGUCUACACCAGCUUCCCGGUGUCCAUGAGCCUCUGCAGCUGCACUCUAUCGAGAGCUCUCCUCGCCGUCUCCGGCCUGUAUCCCUACAUCGUCUCCACCGCCCCACAUGCACUUACCAGCGGCGGCAUGAAAAUUGGUGGGCCUCUGGCGACCAGCCUCCACACGUGCGGCAAGCCAAAGCUCCCACCGCACGCGCUGCCGCCCUUCUACUGCUGCCCGCGGCGCCCGGAUCGAAACCGAUCAACUUCACCAUGCCGGGUCCGGCAGCCGGUGCACGCAGUGGAGGCGGAGUACAUGGCCAAGUACGAGCGCGUGAUCGUGCUGAUGAAGGCGCUGCCGCACAGCGACCCUCGCAGCUUCUACCAGAUGGCCAACGUCCCCUGUGCCUACUGCACGGGCUCCUACCACCAGAUGGGCAACCCAGAGUUGGACAUGCAGAUCCACUAUUCCCGGUUCUCUAUGUUACAUGGCACGGGAUACGGAUACAGGGAUACGGAGACGGCGAUACGGGAAAACGGUAUUUUCUAAAAAUAGACUUACGGGGAUACGGCGGGUAUAUGUAUAAAUGCAUAAAAAAUCAGCACCACUAAACAAUAUUUUUGAGGGUGAGAAAAUUGACGUCAAUGAAGUAAGCUGAUAGUUUUUCAUUCAUGACGAUCUAAGUCAUGAGCGUUGUUACUGCUAGCAAGUCAGCUGAUGGAGAGAGCAUUCUAGGCGAUUUAGGUUUUGCCAUCCAUCGAGGAGGCCUCUUCCGAUGGGCUGUAACAAUCCAUGGCUUGCUCAAAACAACGAGUGCCUCCAACUAACAAUAGUCCUGGGGAGUUUUGUUUAAUUAUAUUCAUUUGCUUUAAUCCUUUUUGGAUCAUGGGACUGGGCAUCCCGGUUACCGGCCCUUUCUCGUGAAUGAGGAGCGGAGUCCACUCCUCUUGAGAAUAACCCACCUAGCAUGGAAGAUACAUGCAGCUCUAGUUGAAACAUGAGCUGCUCGAGCAUAAAAACAGAAUCUCAUUUGAAGGUUUGGAGUUUGGCACAUACAAAUUUACUUGGAACGGCAGGUAGAUACCGCAUAUAGGAAGGUAUGGUGGACUCAUAUGAAACAACUUUGGGGUUUAAGGAGUUUGGAUGCACAAGCAGUAUUCCCGCUUAGUACAUGUGAAGGAUAGUAAAAGACUGGAAAGCGGCCAACUGAGAGAGCGACAACAGUCAUGAACAUGCAUUAAAAUUAUUUCUCACCGAGUACAAGCAUGAGUAGGAUAUAAUCUACCAUGAACAUAAAUAUCAUGAAAGCUAUGUUGAUUUGUUUCAACUACAUGCUUGAACAUGUUCCAAGUCGAGUCACUCAAUUCAUUCAAAGGAGGAUACCAUCCCAUCAUCCACAUCAUAAUCAUUUUAAUAGUAUGUUGGCACGCAAGGUAAACCAUUAUAACUCAUAGCUAAUCAAGCAUGACACAAGCAUAUAUAAUCUCUAAAUGUCAUUGCAAAUAUGUUUACUUCAUAAUAAGCUAAAUCAGGACCGAUGAACUCGUCAUAUUUACAAAAACAAGAGAGGUCGAGUUCAUACUAGCUUUUCCCAUCUCAAUCAGUCCAUCAUAUAUCGUCAUUAUUGCCUUUAACUUGCACGACCGAACGAUGUGUAUAAUAAUAAUAGUGCACGUGCAUUGAACUAAGCUGGAACCUGCAAGCAUUCAACUCAAGAGAGAAGACAAGGUAAUAUGGGCUAUAAGUUAAAUAAACAAUCAUGCAUAAGAGAGCCACUAAACAUUUUCAAUAUCGUCUUGUACUCUUGAACCCCAAAGAAAAGAAAAGUAAAGUAAAACUUUUUACAUGGGAAAGCUCCCAACAAGUAAGAAGAAGAACAAGAAAUCUUUUUGGGUUUUCAUUUUAAUUUCUACUAAAAGCAUGAAAAUUAAACUAAGUAAUUUUUUUGAUUUUUCUUAAGGUUUAUCAAACACACAAGAAUAAAGCUAGAAAAAGAAAAUUAAACUAGCAUGGAUAAUACAAUGAAAGAGUAUGAGCACCGACAACUAGAAUAGUGUGUGAACAUGAAUGUAAAGUCGGUGACAAAUACGUACUCCCCUAAGCUUAGGCUUUUGGCCUAAGUUGGUCUAUUGCCACGGACCGCGGCUACUCUCCCCGAUGUCCUGAGGGGUGUAAUCAGGAUACCACUGGCUGGCCAUCUCCUCCGGAUCCCAUUGGUAAGAUGAUGCACGAUAAGGGUUCAGUGCAGAUUCCGGUUGAGGCUCAGGUUCUGGAGUGGAUGCUUGGCCUCGAUGAUCAUACACUACUUCCGGCAUGACAAGAUAAUUAACUGCAGUCAAAUCAAACAACAGAGGCGCAGGCAGAAUAAUAGUCUUAUUGUGUUUCUUAUUAAAUCUCAGGUUAUACAGAAGCAUCUUAUCUUCAUUGUCAACAAUAAACUCAUGCGCUUGUUCGCACACGAACACGUCACCAUGUACCUCCAACGCCGAGGGUGAUGCACCGCAGCUCACGUCGAAGGAGACCCGCCGAAAGCGCGGUACGCAAGACAAUCCGGCGGAUGCUUUUGUAGACCCAAAACCCCACACGCCCGGGAGGGACCCCGUCAGGGCGCGCGGCAGCUAUGGACUGCCCUAGGUCGACCUGAUUGCCCCUAGGGCCUCGUGGGUCGCCGCCCUGCAAUGAAGAAGAACAGACGAAGAACGAGGAAGAAGAAGAGCAAGGGAGAGGGAUAAAAAGUAGAUGAACACGAAAAAGUAGUAGAUGUGUUUGUUCGAUUGUGUGUUGUUCAAUCGGCCGUCACCCCUUACAUAUAUAUGAGGCGGCUGGACUUCCCGUACAAGAAAAGGACUCAAAUCCCGUCCAAAUUACCAAAAGAUAACCUAACUCGGACUACGAGGGCCGGAACUUCCGGGCUAAAAUUACAUCAAGUUGCCCUCGUGCACAGCUCCUGCAGGUCACAUAUGGCCUUGGAUCACGAUGGUCCCAAAAGCAAAGUUGUAGAUCUUGCAAUGGAGAAAAAUUCCUUGGUUGAUCACUUUUUCAUCCGAGGUCAUCUUGAUGUCGAAAUUGGCCCCGCAAAUCUGCAAAUAAUGUUAAAUUUUAGUUUUCGGGGCGCACCGCGUGCAAACUUUCGGUUUAGCCCAGAACCUCCCCGGAAGUUUUGCCUGGAACUUCCGGGGCGGACUUUUGCAGCACACUGUUUUGGCUCUAAAUUUUGCAUACGAAUUCUGAUUUAGACGUUUCUUAUAUCAAAAUCAAUCGUUUCGACAAGACGAAGACAAUCCAUGUAGAAACUUUUCUCAUAUGAGGCCAUCUUGGGGGUGUAAUCAGCCGAAUAGUGUUCUGAAUACAAAAUCUGAAUACUUCGAACACGCUUCGGCCUUAGAAAUGAGACCGGAUGGCUAUGGCCCAAAUAUCAAAGUUUCUCCCUUUGAUGAUACGAAGCUUUCUCACUUUGAACACUUCUCCAUUUGAGGCCAUCUUAAUUAAGUUCUUGGCCGUGCCAAAAUCUGGUGUCAACACAUGCCCCCCUGUUUUUCGGCAAACUUGUGUGCCGAUAAAUAACUUGCACGAUGCUUUUCCUAAGGACGAUGUCAACACUCCAUCGGCCAUUUAUAUGUUCUUAGGGCGAUAUUUAUAUAACGGCCAUUGCUUGUGGGAAAUUUUUGAUGCAAGCUUGGGUGAAACUUUCCCAACUUGAAUAACAAUCCGGUGAUAAGGUUCCAUAGAUCAAAACCAUCCUCCGAACCAUAUUGUUCAUCAUUUCUCUAGGACUUUGCAGAUAAUCAAUAAUGAACUUCCUCCAAUCCUUACUUCGCCUGCAUAAAAGUUUCAUUAGUGGCCGAAGCGGUGGGCUUCGGUUCGGCCUUACCUAUGUUGACAAAACCUAGCAUCGGCUAUUGAUAGAAAUACAAUACACCAUGGUUAACAUAGUAACCGGAUGCUUGCUGUGCCAACUCUUUCAAAUUGUCAUGUCUAGAUAUAUGAACAAUUUUAAAGCAACCCAAGGUAAAUCUUGCAUCUAGACAUACCAAAAGAUAAACUAUAAGUGAUUCGUCAAAACAUUGAUAACCCUUGGAUACUUGUUGUACUACUCAUAACGAAUCACCCAAAGCCUCAAUACGUAUAGCACCUAUGGCAACCAAAAGCUCCAAACCGAAUAAAAUUUUAUAUUCGGCUUUGAUUGUUGUGAAAAAAUAUUUUAAGUGGCAUGAGGCUUGUUUUGAUUUCCAAUUGAACUAAGGACGAUGUUAGGAUACUACACCGGCCAUGCUUUGACAUAUUCUUAGGGCGAUAGAUAAAUAUCGGUCGUUAACAUAAGGUCCAUGUAAAAUUCACCCACCAAAGUAUGUAUAGCUGAAAUAAAAAAAUAAAAUAGGAAUAAAAUAUUUCGGACCCUUUGUAUUAGCAACAAUGUAACUAACCAAAUGUAUGGUAAUUUGGUAAUACCCUCUCAUGAUAUAGAAAAUUAUGUUGCAUCCAUGGAUCAAAAUAAAUCCAUAGAGGGUAAUUGAUCAUACCUAGGGAUGAAUUCCAUGGCAAAGGCAUCAACGGCAUGGUUGAAGAAAAUGGAUGAUGUGCUAACCGAAGAUUUUGAUGUUGUGAUGCGCACCUUCGGCUUAAUUGUUUGUUGCUUUCAUUAUUUUCCUUCUUCACUUUUAUUGUACUUGUUGCAACAGAAGCAUGCACAUCAUUUUUGUCUUGAUUGAUCUUCUUGGGACCCCAUGCCAUGUUCUUCUUUUUCAGCUCUUGUGCACUAAGAUUUUGUAAUUUCUUCUUUUGCCAAUAUGAUAAACCGAGUGGGAAUCUCGGUUGUGGUUUUGUUUCAACCAAUGUCAACUCUUUUUGGGCCUUGUGCACCCUCAACUUCUUUUCUUCAGAUUUGGCACUCUGAUUUUUAUCAAUUGAUUGCUUCACUUCUUUGCCUUUUGUAGCCAAUGUCAACACUUUAAUUGUCUCUUUGUUAUUUGAUAUCAAAUCUGAAGUAGCACACUUACGACCAUCUCUUUUCACGCGGUAAACUUGCUUUACCACCUCUUUCUUCUUUCUUGAGCUCUGGACCGAUUCCUUAUGAUUGAAACGGUCUUUGACGCGUGAUUGUUCAAAUGUUGAUCUCCUUGGAGCUGCAUAGUAUUGGUGAGAUGGUCUAGAAUAAGAUGGAGAAUGUGCCCUUGUAUCAUACCUGUCCCAUGAUGAAGUGUUGGGGAACGCAGUAAUUUCAAAAAAUUUCCUACGCACACGCAAGAUCAUGGUGAUGAUAUAGCAACGAGAGGGGAGAGUGUUCGUCCACGUACCCUUGUAGACCGUAAGCGGAAGCGUUAUGACAACGCGGUUGAUGUAGUCAUACGUCUUCACGAUCCGACCGAUCCAAGCACCGAACGUACGGCACCUCCGAGUUCAGCACACAUUCAGCUCGAUGACGAUCCCCGGGCUCCGAUCCAGCAAAGCUUCGGGGAUGAGUUCCGUCAGCACGACGGCAUGAUGACGAUGAUGAUGCUCUACCGGCGCAGGGCUUCGCCUAAACUCCGCGACAAUAUGACCGGGGUGGAAUAUGGUGGAGAGGGGCACCGCACACGGCUAAGGAACGAUCCGUAGAUCAACUUGUGUGUCUAGGGUGCCCCCCCGCCCCCAUAUAUAAAAGAGCCAAGGGGGAGGAGGUGGCCGGCCAAGGAGGGCGCGCCAAGGGGGGAGUCCUACUCCCACCGGGAGUAGGACUCCCUUCUUUCCUAGUUGGAAUAGGAGAAGGGGGGGAAGAGGACGAAGAGGGGAAGGAAAGGGGGGGGGGGGUGCCGCCCCCCUUCCCUUGUCCUAUUCGGACUAGGAGGGGGAGGGGCGCGCGGCCCCCUCCUGGCUCCUUCUCUCUUCUCCCUCGUGGCCCAUGUAGGCCCAUUAACCCCCCGGGGGGUUCCGGUAACCUCCCGGUACUCCGUAAAAUGCCGAUUUCACCCGGAACCAUUCCGAUGUCCAAACAUAGGCUUCCAAUAUAUCAAUCUUUAUGUCUCGACCAUUCCGAGACUCCUCGUCAUGUCCGUGAUCACAUCCGGGACUCCGAACAAAGUUCGGUACAUCAAAACUUGUAAACUCAUAAUAAAACUGUCAUCGAAACGUUAAGCGUGCGGACCCUACGGGUUCGAGAACUAUGUAGACAUGACCUAAAACCAUUCUCGGUCAAUAACGAAUAGCGGGACCUGGAUGCCCAUAUUGGUUCCUACAUAUUCUACGAAUAUCUUUAUCGGUCAAACCGCAUAACAACAUACGUUGUUCCCUUUGUCAUCGGUAUGUUACUUGCCCGAGAUUUGAUCGUCGGUAUCCAAUACCUAGUUCAAUCUCGUUACCGGCAAGUCUCUUUACUCGUUCUGUAAUACGUCAUCUCAUAACUAACUUAUUAGUUAUAAUGCUUGCAAGGCUUAAGUGAUGAGUAUUACCGAGAGGGCCCAGAGAUACCUCUCCGACAAUCGGAGUGACAAAACCUAAUCUCGAAAUACGCCAACUCAACAUGUACCUUCGGAGACACCUGUAGUACUCCUUUAUAAUCACCCAGUUACGUUGUGACGUUUGGUAGUACCCAAAGUGUUCUUCCGGUAAACGGGAGUUGCAUAUUUCUCAUAGUUGCAGGAACAUGUAUAAGUCAUGAAGAAAGCAAUAGCAGAAUACUAAACGAUCAAGUGCUAAGCUAACGGGAUGGGUCAUGUCAAUCACAUCAUUCUUCUAAUGAUGUGAUCCCAUUAAUCAAAUGACAACACAUGUCUAUGGUUAGGAAACAUAACCAUCUUUGAUUAAUGAGCUAGUCAAGUAGAGGCAUACUAGUGACUAUAUGUUUGUCUAUGUAUUCACACAUGUAUCAUGUUUCCGGUUAAUACAGUUCUAGCAUGAAUAAUAAACAUUUAUCAUGAAAUAAGGAAAUAAAUAAUAACUUUAUUAUUGCCUCUAGGGCAUAUUUCCUUCAAUCUCCCACUUGCACUAGAGUCAAUAAUCUAGUUCACAUCACUAUGUGAUUUAACACCAAUAUUCACAUCUGCAUGUGAUUAAUACCCAUAGUUCACAUCAUCAUGUGAUCAACACCCAAAGGGUUUACUAGAGUCAAUAAUCUAGUUCACAUCGCUAUGUGAUUAACACCCAAAAGAGUACUAAGGUAUGAUCAUGUUUUGCUCGUGAGAGAAGCUUAGUCAACGAGUCUGUCAUAUUCAGAGCCGUAUGUAUUUCGCAAAUAUUCUAUGUCCACAAUGCUCUGCACGGAGCUACUCUAGCUAAUUGCUCCCACUUUCAAUAUGUAUCUAGAUUGAGACUUAGAGUCAUCUGGAUUUGUGUAAAAGCUUGCAUCGUUGUAACUUUUACGACGGGCUCUUUUAUCACCUCCAUAAUCGAGAAACGUCUCCUUAGUCCUCACUAAGGAUAUUCUUGACCCAUGUACAGUGAUCUACUUAUUAGAUCAAAAUUGUAUUCCUUUGCCAUAACACAGAGCAAGGUAUACAAUAGGUCUGGUUCACAACAUAGCAUACUUUAUAGAACCUAUGACUGAGGCAUAGGGAAUGACUUUUCAUUCUCUUUCUAUUUUCUGCAAUGGUCGGGUCUUGAGUCUUACUCAACUUCACACCUUGUAACACAGGCAAGAACUCCUUCUUUGACUAUUCCAUUUUGAACUAUUUCAAAAAUUUAUCAAGGUAUGUCAAUGAAAAAUCUUAUCAAGCGUCUUGAUCUAUCUAUAUAGAUCUUGAUGCUCAAUGUGUAAGCAGCUUCACCGAGGUCUUGCUUUGAAAAACUCUUAUUCAAGUAUCCUUUCAUGCUAUCCAGAAUUUCCAUAUCAUUUCCAAUUAACAAUAUGUCAUCCACAUAUAAUAUUAGAAAUGCUACAGAGCUCCCACUCACUUUCUUGUAAAUACAGGCUUCUUCAAAAGUCUGUAUAAAACCAUAUGCUUUGAUCAACUCAUCAAAGCAUAUAUUCCAACUCCGAGAUGCUUGCACCAGUCCAUAGAUGGAUCGCUGGAGCUUGCACACUUUGUUAGCACCUUUUGGAUCUACAAAACCUUCUGGCUGCAUCAUAUACAACUCUUCUUCCAGAAAUCCAUUCAAGAAUGCAGUUUUGACAUCCAUUUGCCAAAUUUCAUAAUUAUGAAAUGCAGCAAUAGCUAACAUGAUUCGGACAGACUUAAGCAUCGCUACGGGUGAGAAAGUCUCAUCAUAGUCAACCCCUUGAACUUGUCGAAAACCUUUCGCAACAAGUCGAGCUUUAUAGACAGUUAUAUUUCCAUCACUGUCAGUCUUCUUCUUAAAAAUCCAUUUAUUCUCAAUGGCUUGCCGAUCAUCGGGCAAGUCAACCAAAGUCCAUACUUUGUUUUCAUACAUGGAUCCCAUCUCAGAUUUCAUGGCCUCUAGCCAUUUUGCGGAAUCUGGGCUCAUCAUCGCUUCCUCAUAGUUCGUAGGUUCAUCAUGGUCAAGCAACAUGACUUCCAGAAUUGGAUUACCGUACCACUCUGGUGCGGAUCUUAUUCUGGUAGACCUACGAGGUUCAGUAGAAACUUGAUUUGAAGUUUCAUGAUCAAUAUCAUUAGCUUCCUCACUAAUUGGAGUAGUUGUCACAGGAACCGGUUCUUGUGAUGAACUACUUUCCAAUAAGGGAGUAGAUACAGUUAUCUCAUCAAGUUCUACUUUCCUCCCACUCACUUCUUUCGAGAGAAACUCCUUCUCUAGAAAGGAUCUAUUCUUAGCAACGAAUGUUUUGCCUUCGGAUCUGUGAUAGAAGGUGUACCCAACAGUUUCCUUUGGGUAUUCUAUGAAGAUGCACUUCUCCGAUUUGGGUUUGAGCUUAUCAGGUUGAAAACCUUUUUCAUAUAAGCAUCGCAACUCCAAACUUUAAGAAACGACAGCUUAGGUUUACUGCUAAACCAUAGUUCAUACGGUGUCGUCUCAACGGAUUUAGAUGGUGCCCUUUUUAAACGUGAAUGCAGCUGUCUCUAAUGCACAACCCCAAAAUGAUAGUGGUAAAACCGAUAAGAGACAUCAUAGAUCGCACCAUAUCCAAUAAAAUGCGGUUACGACGUUCGGACACACCAUAAUGUUGUGGUGUUCCAGGUGGCGUGAGCUGUGAAACUAUUCCACAUUGUUUUAAUUGAAGACCAAACUUGUAACUCAAAUAUUCGUCUCCGCGAUCAGAUCGUAGAAACUUUAUUUUCUUGUUACGAUGAUUUUUCCACUUCACUCUGAAAUUCUUUGAACUUUUCAAUUAUUUCAGACUUAUGUUUCAUCAAGUAGAUAUACCCAUAUCUGCUCAAAUCAUUUUGUGAAGGUCAGAAAAUAAUGAUACUUGCCACGAGCAUCAACACUCAUUGGAUCGCUUACAUCAGUAUGUAUUAUUUCCAAUAAGUCAGUUGCUCGCUCUAUUGUUCCGGAGAACGGAGUCUUUAGUCAUCUUGCCCAUAAGGCAUGGUUCGCAAGCAUCAAGUGAUUCAUAAUCAAGUGAUUCCAAAAUCCCAUCAGCAUGGAGUUUCUUCAUGCGCUUUACACCAAUAUGACCUAAACUGCAGUGCCACAAAUAAGUUGCACUAUCAUUAUUAACUUUGCAUCUUUUGGUUUCAAUAUGAUGAAUAUGUGUAUCACUACGAUCGAGAUCCAACGAACCAUUUUCAUUGGGUGUGUAACCAUAUAAGGUUUUAUUCAUGUAAACAGAACAACAAUUUAUUCUCUUACUUAAAUGAAUAACCGUAUUGCAAUAAACAUGAUCAAAUCAUAUUCAUGCUCAACGCAAACACCAAAUAACACUUAUUUAGUUUCAACACUAAUCCCGAAAGUAUAGGGAGUGUGGAUGAUGAUCAUAUCAAUCUUGGAACUACUUCCAACACACAUCGUCACCUCGCCUUUUUACUAUUUUCUGUUUAUUCUGCAACUCCCGUUUCGAGUUACUACUCUUAGCAACUGAACCAGUAUCAAAAUGCUGAGGGGUUGCUAUAAACACUAGUAAAGUACACAUCAAUAACAUGUAUAUCCAAUAUACCUUUGUUCACUUUUGCCAUCCUUCUUAUCCGCUAAAUACUUGGGGUAGUUCCACUUCCAGUGACCAGUCCCUUUGCAGUAGAAUCACUUAGUCUUAGGCUUAGGUCCAUACUUGGGCUUCUUCACUUGAGCAGCAACUUGCUUGCUGUUCUUCUUGAAGUUCCCCUUCUUCCCUUUGCCCUUUUUCUUGAAACUAGUGAUCUUGUCCACCAUCAACACUUUGAGGUUUUUCUUCGAUUUCUACCUUCGCCGAUUUUUGCAUCGCGAAGAGCUUGGGAUUUGUUUUCAUCAUCCCUUGCAUAUUAUAGUUCAUCACGAAGUUCUGCUAACUUGGUGGUGGUGACUAGAGAAUUCUGUCAAUCACUAUCUUAUCUGGAAGAUUAACUCCCACUUGAUUCAAGCGAUUGUAGUACCCAGACAAUCUGAGCACAUGCUCACUAGUUGAGCGAUUCUCCUCCAUAUUUUAGCUAUAGAACUUGUUGGAGACUUCAUAUCUCUCAACUCGGGUAUUUGCUUGAAAUAUUAACUUCAACUCCUGGAACAUCUCAUAUGGUCCAUGACGUUUAAAACGUCUUUGAAGUCCCGAUUCUAAGCCGUUAAGCAUGGUGCACUAAACUAUCAAGUAGUCAACAUACUGAGCUAGCCAAACAUUCAUAACGUCUGCAUCUUCUCCUGCAAUAGGUCUGUCACCUAGCGGUGCAUUAAGGACAUAAUUCUUCUGUGCAGCAAUGAGGAUAAACCUCCGAUCACGGAUCCAAUCCGUAUCAUUGCUACUAACAUUUUUCAACACAAUUUUCUCUAGGAGCAUAUCAAAAUAAACAUAUGAAAGCAACAACGCAAGCUAUUGAUCUACAACAUAAUUUGCAAAAUACUACCAGGACUAAGUUCAUGAUAAAUUUAAGUUCAAUUAAUCAUAUUACUUAAGAACUCCCACUUAGACAGACAUCUCUCUAGUCAUCUAAGUGAUCACGUGAUCCAAAUCAACUAAACCAUGUCCGAUCAUCACGUGAGAUGGAGUAGUUUCAAUGGUGAACAUCACUAUGUUGAUCAUAUCUACUAUAUGAUUCACGUUCGACCUUUCGGUCUCCGUGUUCCGAGGCCAUAUCUGUAUAUGCUAGGCUCGUCAAGUAUAACCUGAGUAUUCCGCGUGUGCAACUGUUUUGCACCCGUUGUAUUUGAACGUAGAGCCUAUCACACCCGAUCAUCACGUGGUGUCUCAGCACGAAGAACUUUCGCAACGGUGCAUACUCAGGGAGAACACUUCUUGAUUAUUAGUGAGAGAUCAUCUUAAAAUGCUACCGUCAAUCAAAGCAAGAUAAGAUGCAUAAAGGAUAAACAUCACAUGCAAUCAAUAUAAGUGAUAUGAUAUGGCCAUCAUCAUCUUGUGCUUGUGAUCUCCAUCUUUGAAGCACCGUCGUGAUCACCACCGUCACCGGUGCGACACCUUGAUCUCCAUCAUAGCAUCAUUAUCGUUACGCCAUCUAUUGCUUCUACGACUAUCGCUACCGCUUAGAGAUAAAGUAAAGCAAUUACAGGGCGUUUGCAUUUCAUACAAUAAAGCGACAACCAUAUGGCUCCAGCCAGUUGCCGAUAACUUCGGUUACAAAACAUGAUCAUCUCAUACAAUAAAUAUAGCAUCACGUCUUGACCAUAUCACAUCACAACAUGCCCUGCAAAAACAAGUUAGACGUCCUCUACUUUGUUGUUGCAAAUUUUACGUGGCUGCUACCGGCUUAGCAAGAACCGUUCUUACUUACGCAUCAAAACCACAACGAUAGUUCGUCAAGUUAGUGCUGUUUUAACCUUCGCAAGGACCGGGCGUAGCCACACUCGAUUCAGCUAAAGUGAGAGAGACAGACACCCGCCAGCCACCUUUAAGCACGAGUGCUCGCAACGGUGAAACCAGUCUCGCGUAAGCGUACGCGUAAUGUCGGUCCGGGCCGCUUCAUCUCACAAUACCGCUGAACCAAAGUAUGACAUGCUGGUAAGCAGUAUGACUGGUAUCGCCCACAACUCACUUGUGUUCUACUCGUGCAUAUAACAUCAACGCAUAAAACCUAGGCUCGGAUACCACUGUUGGGGAACGCAGUAAUUUCAAAAUUUUUCCUACGCACACGCAAGAUCAUGGUGAUGAUAUAGCAACGAGAGGGGAGAGUGUUCGUACACGUACCCUCGUAGACCGUAAGCGGAAGCGUUAUGACAACGCGAUUGAUGUAGUCGUACGUCUUCACGAUCCGACCGAUCCAAGCACCGAACGUACGGCACCUCCGAGUUCAGCACACGUUCAGCUCGAUGACGAUCCCCGGGCUCCGAUCCAGCAAAGCUUCGGGGAUGAGUUCCGUCAGCACGACGGCGUGGUGACGAUGAUGAUGCCCUACCGGCGCAGGGCUUCGCCUAAACUCCGCGACGAUAUGACCGAGGUGGAAUAUGGUGGAGAGGGGCACCGCACACGGCUAAGGAACGAUCCGUAGAUCAACUUGUGUGUCUAGGGUGCCCCCCUGCCCCCUUAUAUAAGGGAGCCAAGGGGGAGGAGGCGGCCGGCCAAGGAGGGCGCGCCAAGGGGGGAGUCCUACUCCCACCGGGAGUAGGACUCCCUUCUUUCCUAGUUGGAAUAGGAGAAGGGGGGGAAGAGGAGGAAGAGGGGAAGGAAAGGGGGGGGGGGGCGCCGCCCUCCUUCCCUUGUCCUAUUCGGACUAGGAGGGGGAGGGGCGCGCGGCCCCCUCCUGGCUCCUUCUCUCUUCUCCCUCGUGGCCCAUGUAGGCCCAUUAACCCCCCGGGGGGUUCCGGUAACCUCCCGGUACUCCGUAAAAUGCCGAUUUCACCCGGAACCAUUCCGAUGUCCAAACAUAGGCUUCCAAUAUAUCAAUCUUUAUGUCUCGACCAUUCCGAGACUCCUCGUCAUGUCCGUGAUCACAUCCAGGACUCCGAACAAAGUUCGGUACAUCAAAACUUGUAAACUCAUAAUAAAACUGUCAUCGAAACGUUAAGCGUGCGGACCCUACGGGUUCGAGAACUAUGUAGACAUGACCUAAAACCAUUCUCGGUCAAUAACGAAUAGCGGGACCUGGAUGCCCAUAUUGGUUCCUACAUAUUCUACGAAUAUCUUUAUCGGUCAAACCGCAUAACAACAUACGUUGUUCCCUUUGUCAUCGGUAUGUUACUUGCCCGAGAUUUGAUCGUCGGUAUCCAAUACCUAGUUCAAUCUCGUUACCGGCAAGUCUCUUUACUCGUUCUGUAAUACGUCAUCUCAUAACUAACUUAUUAGUUAUAAUGCUUGCAAGGCUUAAGUGAUGAGUAUUACCGAGAGGGCCCAGAGAUACCUCUCCGACAAUCGGAGUGACAAAACCUAAUCUCGAAAUACGCCAACUCAACAUGUACCUUCGGAGACACCUGUAGUACUCCUUUAUAAUCACCCAGUUACGUUGUGACGUUUGGUAGUACCCAAAGUGUUCUUCCGGUAAACGGGAGUUGCAUAUUUCUCAUAGUUGCAGGAACAUGUAUAAGUCAUGAAUAAAGCAAUAGCAGAAUACUAAACGAUCAAGUGCUAAGCUAACGGGAUGGGUCAUGUCAAUCACAUCAUUCUUCUAAUGAUGUGAUCCCAUUAAUCAAAUGACAACACAUGUCUAUGGUUAGGAAACAUAACCAUCUUUGAUUAAUGAGCUAGUCAAGUAGAGGCAUACUAGUGACUAUAUGUUUGUCUAUGUAUUCACACAUGUAUCAUGUUUCCGGUUAAUACAAUUCUAGCAUGAAUAAUAAACAUUUAUCAUGAAAUAAGGAAAUAAAUUAUAACUUUAUUAUUGCCUCUAGGGCAUAUUUCCUUCAUGAAGAUGUGUCUAUAUGAGCAUAGGGAGCUAUCCAUGGCAUUGGCAUUGAUGGCCCAAAAUAAGGAUUUGAAUAUGUUGCAUUAAAAUUAUCACUUUGCCAAUACCGAUCCUCAUAUUUGUGCCUUGGGGGUGACCUUGGUUUCUUUGCAUGAUUUGGCCGAUAAGCAUUCUUUUCUUCACUCUUAUUUUGAUAUUUAUCCAAUAGUUCAGCGAAGGUGAUUUUUGAUCUCUUACACUUGCGCUUAUUUCGGCCUUUGUUUUCUUUUGGUUUGCUUUCAUUGAUCAUUGGAUUUGCUUGCUGCCCCCCAGUCCUUGGCAUCUCCAUUGUAGCUUCGAUGGAAUUCUUGCCCUCAAGAUUAUGUUCAUUAUGCUCUUCAACAACUUCUUUACUUGAAAGCUUGAUCCCAUCGCCUGUAGUUUUUACCUUCUCUUCAAAUGGACCGGCUUGAAGCAGCCGAUGCAAAAACUUUCUGCCAACGGGACCAAUCGGAAUAGAUUGGUCAUCUCUUGGUGUCUCAACAAAUUUCAAUCGUCCUUUAUAAAUGGCCGAUUUAACUAUUUGACGAAACAUGUUGCAAUCCUCAAAAUUAUGCUUGGACGAAACAUGCAACUUACAAUACAUUCGUUCGUCCUUGGACAGAUGGUUCAACAUGGUGAUCAAGAAUUCUAAUAUAAUUAUUUUGCAACAACAAAUCAAAUAUUUGAUCACACAUGCUUGAAUUGAAGGUAAACUUUUCAUUCUCUAGCCGAUCUUGUUGUGAGAACGGCUUUGGAGUUAAGCAAACGAAUGGUUCAGAUUUUGCAUCACACCAUUCGGCUAUGCAUUGUGUUUUGCACUCUAUCUCCGAUGUCUUUGGGUAAGAUAUUAUACUAGCAUCGGUUUUCUCAACAGAAUUUAACCUUGGCUUUAAAUUUCUAAAAUAAAAAUAGUUAGAACAUAUAUGUCUCAAUUGAGACCAAGUGCAAGCCAAGUACGAAAUAAGCAAAGCUACCCAAAUAGAUAUGAACUUUAGAUAAAGCAACGGGGAAAUCUUUGGCUGCAAUAAUAAGUCAUUAUCGGUCUUUAUAAAUGGCACAAUUGGUUGACCGAUAUGUUCUAAAACAAUUUUAUUGCUAACAAGUAAAUUACCCUUCUUCAUUGGUCUUUCAAAAUUACCUAUGAGGAUUUUUCUAAUAGAUGCAUCAACAAUAAAGUUGUGACCAAAUCUGAAAAUAGGGAAAUUACUCGCUAUGCAUACCUCUUCAAAUACGUUGGGAGAGCAUGAUGGUGGUGUGACUUGAACAAUAUCUAGCUUCAUCCUUGGAUGACUCUCCAACGCCUUUUCAUCAUCUUUUUCUUUAUUCUGUGCAUCAUUACACUGAAGAUUUUUGUCGGUCGAACUUUGUUCGGCUACUUGUUCUUGUCCUUGAAGCUUGUCAAUUUCUACGGCACGAAACUCAUAGGGCAGGAAGUAGGUUCCAUUAACUUCAGAAAAAUCAAGCACCGUUGUUUUCCUAUGCUUGCCAUGCCCUUUCUCAAUAAUGCUUGCCUCGUUGGAUUUGAUGGAUUCAGAAUAUAUACUACUUGAUUCGGCUUUUUCAACCGAAGCACUUUCAUGUUCCGAAUCAUCCUUCUUUUCAUUGAUACUACCAAUUGGCAAUGCUUCUUUUAUCUGAGCCAAUUCUUUUUCUAUUUGUUUCCGACGACGAGCGGCAAAAUUAGCUUUAAGCUUUUUCUCAAUUUCAGCCCACUCCAGAUAAGAUUGCCCCCCAAUGCUUUUAGAUUCUUUUGGCAAUGAUACACGGGUGUUGCCGAUAUUUUGCAAUUGUGUAGGGGUUGUAUAAUAUGAUGUAGUACUAGGUGAAGGCAUAUGCAUUGUUGUAAGACCAUACUUUUGCUCGCCAAUUUUAUCAAUUGGCAAAGAUUCAUCUUCUUGCAAAACUCUAGCUUUUAUUGCGGCAUAAUCAGGAAAUAGCCCCUUUUCAUGUUGUUCAAGGCAAAGAGCACUAAUCUCUUAUUUUGGGCUAAACUCUUCAAUGCAGCCACCACUACCUCAUCUUCUACAAUGUUGGGCACAACCGCUCUUGUAAAAUUUACAUUCAUUCGGCUAUAACCAGGAAGGUGUGAAGCUGAAUUAUGAGCAUCUACAGUUGUGUAUGGUGCCGAAGAAUUAGUAACAUGAGGUGUAGCAUAUGACGGUUGAGAGUAACUGGCCGAAUAGCCACUAGUAGCAUGGCCAAUUCUCUCAUUCAUCGGCAUGGUUGGAUUACUAUAUUGCACAUUAACUGCCGAUGAAUAAAAGGGUGAAACACUUUCUUGUAUGGCAUUGGAAAUUCUAACUUGGUGUGUUUCGAAUUGAUUAAUCGAACUCAUCAUGUUGCUCAUCAACAUAUGAAUUUGCUGGGUUGACGAUGCAUGUGAGUUGGGAUACAUAUGGUGCAUGUUACUAAUAUCAUAAGAAGUUGAAGUAUAUAAAUUACUUUGAAUCGGCCCUUGCACGUAGUUAGUUGCAUGAUUGAGAAAACUAGGGUUGGCCGAUAGAGUAUACUCAUUGAACGAUCUAGUAACACCAUAUGAAUUAUUUGCAUCUACAUAAAGGGAUUGGGUAUUCAUAUUACCUUUGUAGACUGCAAACCCUAGAUGACGAUCUCUUCGUAGCAAGAACGGGCCGGAGACCGUUCGAAGUUUCGUCCCCAGCGGAGUCGCCAAAAAGUGUGUUCGCACACGAACACGUCACCGUGUACCUCCAACGCCGAGGGUGAUGCACCGCGGCUCACAUGAAGGAGACCUGCCAGAAGCGCGGUACGCAAGACAAUCCGGUGGACGCUUUUGUAGACCCGAAACCCCACACGCCCGGGAGGGACCCCCCUAGGGCACGCGGUGGCUAUGGGCUGCCCUAGGUCGACCUGAUCGCCCCUAGGGCCUCGUGGAUCGCCGCCCUGCAAUGAAGAAGAACAGACGAAGAACGAGGAAGAAGAAGAGCAAGGGAGAGGGAUAAAAAGUAGAUGAACACGAAAAAGUAGUAGAUGUGUUUGUUCGAUUGUGUGUUGUUCAAUCGGCCGUCACCCCUUACAUAUAUAUGAGGCGGCUGGACUUCCCGUCCAAGAAAAGGACUCAAAUCCCGUCCAAAACAUCAAAAUAUAACCUAACUCGGACUACGAGGGCCGGAACUUCCGAUCAGGUCGGAACUUCCGGGCUAAAAUUACAUCAAGUUGCCCUCUUGCACAGCUCCUGCAGGUCGCAUAUGGCCUCGGAUCACGAUGGUCCCAAAAGCAAAGUUGUACAUCUUGCAAUGGAGAAAAAUUCCUUAGUUGAUCACUUUUUCAUCCGAGGUCAUCUUGAUGUCGAAAUUGGCCCCACAAAUCUGCAAAUAAUGUUAAAUUUCAUUUUUCGGGGCGCAUCGCGUGCAAACUUUCGGUUUAGCCCGGAACCUCCCCGGAAGUUUUGCCCGGAACUUCCGGGGCAGACUUUUGCAGCACACUGCUUUGGCUCUAACUUUUGCAUACGAACUCCGAUUUAGACGUUUCUUAUAUCAAAAUCGAUCCUUUCGACGAGACGAAGACAAUCCUUGUAGAAACUUUUCUCAUAUGAGGCCAUGUUGGGGGUGUAAUCAGCCUAAUAGUGUUCUGAAUACAAAGUCUGAAUACUUCGAACACACUUUGGCCUUAGAAAUGAGACCGGAUGGCUAUGGCCCAAAUGUCAAAGUUUCUCCUUUUGAUGAUACGAAGCUUUCCCACUUUGAACACUUCUCCAUUUGAGGCCAUCUUAAUUAAGUUCUUGGCUGUGCCAAAAUCUGGUGUCAACAGCGCUACCAUGCUCCUGUAAUCUAAAAUGUAAGGAGGCAAUAUUGUCUCCUCUUUCUCAUGGUGCCUAAUAGGUAUCUCAAAAUAUUUAGCAAGACGUGCAGCAUAGAUACCUCCAAAGAUGGGGCCCUUUGUGUGGUUUAGUCUUAGCCGUUUAGCAAUGAUGGCACCCAUAAUAAAACUAUUAUCACCAAAUAAGGCAUGGUGAAGAAUAAUAAUAUCGGGAACAUUGAAGUUUCUACUAUUUCCACGACCAAUUAAGCAUCGACUAGCAAAUAUGGCAAAGUAGCGUAAAACAGGAAAGUGUAUGCUAGAGAUUCUCGCAUCGGAACCCUUCUUUGGAUCCCCUACAGUAAUGGUGUUGACAAAGCCAUCCACAUCUUUACGAUGUGGUUCAUCUAAUUUACCCUCAAAGGGUAUUUUACAUACCGCGUAAAAAUUGCGUAAACACAUUUCCUUGAAUUCAUCAUAUAAAUGGAACGAUGCUGAAGGAGGUGAUUUCUUAGGAUAGUAAUAAAAGUUUUGCACGAAAGUAUUGGUGAGUAAGAGAUACUGAUUGAUCUGGUUGUGGAGGAAAUCGGUGAGGCCUACAUUCUCGAUCAAAGAAUAAAAGUCUUCAUAAAUCCCGGCUUCUCUCAAAAAAUUAUCGCAUGGUCAUUCACACGGCCGUACUUCCGCUAUGCGAGGAAGAUUAUACUUGACAUUUUCCUUCUAUUUUGCUUGUUUUUCCUAGGAGCCUUGGCUAGAAGAGCCCCUCAAAAAUCUCCUUAACAUUUUCUGAAAAUUUCUGAAAUUUUAGUAACUUCAAAAUAAAUGUGAAUAAAACUAAACAAGAUUGGUAGCAACUACUCCUACAAAUGCCUAGAGCCUAUAUUAUGCAUUAGAAUUACUUGGGACCUCAUAAAUUUGACAUGCAAGCUCAAGAACAGGGUCACCUAUGUAGCAAAAAUUUGCAAUGAAUAAAGCACUAGAACAAAAACUAAUUGGACCAAUGGAGGAGUCACAUACCAAGCAACAAUCUCCCAAAGCAGUUUUGUGAAUGGAGCUUUGAGCAAGGAGAUCAAAAAUCACAGCAAAAUGAGCUAGAACUCGUGCUAAAGCUAGAUGGGGAUUCUUUUGGGGAAGAAGAUGGAGUGUGUAGGUGCAGGAAUAAGUGGAGGGGGGGCCACCAUGGGCCCACAAGACAGGGGGGCGUGCCCAGGGGGUGUGGGCGCGCCCUCCACCCUCGUGGCCAGGUGCUUGCCCUCCUGUAGUGUUUUCAGUGCCUAAAAUCCUCAAAUAUUCAAUAAAAAAAUAUACUAAAUUUGCAGGGCAUUUGGAGCACUUUUAUUUUCGGGAUAUUUUUUAUUGCACGGAUAAUUCAGAAAACAGACAAGUAAUAGUAUUUUUGCUUUAUUUAUUCUAAAUAAUAGAAAGUAAAAAGAGGGUACAGAAGGUUGUGCCUUCUAGUUUCAUCCAUCUCAUGAUCAUCAAAAUGAAUCCACUAACAAGGUUGAUCAAGUCUUGUUAACAAGCUCAUUCCGAAUAACAUGGAACCGGAGAAAUUUCGAAUAACACUAGGUUACCUCAACGGGGAUAUGAAUAUCCUCAACAAUAAGAAUAUCAUACUUUUUCUUGACAGUAGGAAGAGGAAAUUCAAAACCUCCAAUAAUGAUAGUUGGAACUUUUGCGAUAGAAUUGAUGCUAUGAACUUGAGAUUGUUUCCUCAGAAAGUGUACCGUAUGCUCAUUACCAUUAACAUGAAAAGUGACAUUGUCUAUAUUGCAAUCAAUAACAUCCCUGCUACGUCUUGAGCUUGCGUUGGUUUUCCUUGAAGAGGAAAUGGUGAUGUAGCAAAGUAGCGUAAGUAUUUCCCUCGGUUUUUGAGAAUCAAGGUAUCAAUCCAGUAGGAGGCUCCUCAAAAGUCCCACGCACCUACACAAACAAACAAAGAACUCGCAACCAACGCAAUAAAGGGGUUGUCAAUCCCUUCACGACAACUUGCGAUAGUGAGAUCUGAUAGAGAUAGUAUGAUAAGAUAAAUAUAUUUUUGGUAUUUUAUAAUAUAGAUGCAAAAAGUAAAGAUGCAAAUAAAAGUAGAUUGAAAGCAAAUAUGAUAAAGGAUAGACCCGGGGGCCAUAGGUUUCACUAGAAGCUUCUCUCAAGAUAGCAUAAGUAUUACGGUGGGUGAACAAAUUACUGUCGAGCAAUUGAUAGAAAAGCGUAUAAUUAUGAGAUUAUCUAGGCAUGAUCAUGUAUAUAGGCAUCACAUCCGCAAGAAGUAGACCGACACCUGCCUGCAUCUACUACUAUUACUCCACACAUCAACCGACUCCUGCCUGCAUCUAGAGUAUUAAGUUCACAAAGAACAGAGUAACACAUUAAGCAAGAUGACAUGAUGUGGAGGGAUAAACUCAAGCAAUAUGAUAUAAACCCCAUCUUUUUAUCCUCGAUAGCAACAAUACAAUACAUGCCUUGCUGCCCCUGCUGUCACUGGGAAAGGACACCGCAAGAUUGAACCCAAAGCUAAGCAUUUCUCCCAUGGCAAGAAAGAUCAAUCUAGUAGGCCAAACCAAACUGAUAAUUGGAAGAGACUUGCAAAGAUAACUCAAUCAUACAUAAAAGAAUUCAUAGGAGAUUCAAAUAUUUCUCAUAGAUAAACUGGAUCAUAAACCCACAAUUCAUUGGAUCUCGACAAACACACCGCAAAAAGAGUUUACAUCGAAUAGAUCUCCACAAGAGAGGGGGAGAACAUUGUAUUGAGAUCCAAAGAGAGAAGAAGCCAUCUAGUUAAUAACUAUGGACCCGAAGGUCUGUGGUAAAAUACUCACAACUCAUCGGAGGGGCUAUGGUGUUGAUGUAGAAGCCCUCCGUGGUCGAUUCCUCCUCCGGCGGAGCACCGGCAAAGGCUCCAAGAUGGGAUCUCGCGGAUACAGAAGGUUACAACGGUGGAAAUUUUGUUUCAUUGGCUCCCUGGAUGUUUUCGAGGUACGUAGGUAUAUAUAGGAGGAAGAAGUACGUCGGUGGCCGCCCGAGGGGCCCAUGAGACAGGGUGGCGUGCCCUGUAGGGGUGGGCGUGCCCUCCACACUCGUGGCCGCCUCUGUCACUUCUUGACUCGCACUCCAAGUCCUAUGGAUCACGUUCAUUCCAAAAAUCAUGCUCCCGAAGGUUUCAUUCCGUUUGGACUCCGUUUGAUAUUCCUUUUCUUCGAAAUACUGAAAUAGGCAAAAAAACAGCAAUACGGGCUGGGCCUCCGGUUAGUAGGUUAGUUCCAAAAAUGAUAUAAAGGUGUAAAAUAAAUCCCAUAAACAUCCAAAAGGGGUAAUAUAAUAGCAUGGAACAAUCAAAAAUUAUAGAUACGUUGGAGACGUAUCAAGCAUCCCCAAGCUUAAUUCGUGCUCGUUCUCGAGUAGGUAAAUGAUAAAAACAGAAUUUUUGAUGUGGAAUGCUACCUAGCAUAAUUCUCAAUGUAAUUUUUUUUAUGAUGGCAUGAAUGUUCAGAUCCAAAUGAUUCAAAAUAAAAGUUCAUAUUGAUAAAAGAAAUAGUAACACUUCAAGCAUACUAAUCAAAGUAAUCAUGUCUUCUCAAAAUAACAUGGCAAAAGAAAGUUCAUCCCUACAAAAUCAUAUAGUUAGGCCAUGCUUCAUUUUCGUCACACAAAGAUGUUCCCAACUUCUAUACCCCCGAUGACAAGCCAAGCAAUUGUUUCGUACUUAAAUAAUCUCAAACUUUUUCAACCUUCACGCAAUACAUGAGCGUGAGCCAUUGAUAUAUCACUAUGCGUGGAAUAGAAUACACUAGUAGAAAAGAGGGCUUUGGUCCAGGCUGGGUUAGCCCAUUAGUCCCGGUUUAGUCCAGAACCGGGACCCAUGGGGGCAUUGGUCCCAGUUCGUGAGCCCAGGGGGCCGGCCGGGCCACGUGGGCCAUUUGUCCCGGUUCGUCUGGACCUUUUAGUCCCUGUUGGUGCCACGAACCGGGACUAAAGGGUGCGAUGCCCAUUAGUACCGGUUCAUGGCACCAACCAGUACUAAAGGUUAGACCUUUAGUCCCGGUUCGAGCCACCAACCGGUACUAAUGGGGUUUGAGGCAUUAGUACCGGUUCAUGGCACUAACCGAUACUAAAGGUCCCAUUUUCAAACUCUACCCCCCUGGAUCACCUUUUCAGUUUUAAAAAAAUAAAAGAAAAUGAUGGAAAUGUCAAAACAAUAAAAGGAAAUAAGUUUCCCAUGUGAUAUGUGGUCUAGUUGUUGGGAAAAUUUGCAAAUGUGAAUUUCGACUUUAUUUGCAAAAUAUCUCUGGAAUUUGUAAAAUGGGCAUAACUUUUGCAUACUAACUCGGAUGAAAAAGUUUUUCAUAUGAAAAAUCAUCUACUCGAAAAGUUACUCCCGAAUUUAACUGGGGGAACCCUGUUAAACAUUUUCAAAAUCCUCAAAAACCUAACAGAAAAAAAGUUACGGGGCUUUUAAGAUCUGGAUGCAAAAAAAUUCAAAAAAUUUCAAACUUACUAGUGGCGCACCGUUUGCUAGGUGCGCCACUGGUAACAGAAAAAAAAAAUUCGAAUUUGUUUUCGUGAAUUGUUUUUCAAAAUAUGAUACGUAAUAUAUGAAAAAGGAAAAAAAGUUAUGCUCAAAUUUCAGUUUUUUUUGAUUCUUUUAAAUCUGGUCAAACUAUGGUCAAACUACUUAUUCAAGAAGUAUUAGUGUUACUAAAUAAUUAUUCAAGAGUAUUAGUGUUACUAAAUAAUUAUUUCAGUUUUUUGAAUUUUGGUCAAAUCUUGUCAAACUAUGGUCAAACUGUGGUCAAACAAUGGUCAAACUAAUUAUUCAAGAAAUAUUAGUGUUACUAAAUAUUAGUGUCAAACUAUUUUUUAGAACAAUAGUUUCAAACUCAAACAGUGAAAUGUGUGACUUCAUGCUCAAGCUAAAUUCCUGAGGUUAAUAGGAUUGACAUCUUACUAUUGUCAAGAAAACAACAAGUGCAGACUUGGAAACGAGGGAGAAUAGAACCAGGAAGUUAAGCAUGCUCAGGCUGGAGUAGUGAGAGGAUGGGUGACCGUCCGGGAAGUUAGAUGAUGAGGCGUGAUUAGAGGUUAAAUUGAGCAGUGAUGAGGGGUGAUUAGAGAUGAGAGGUUAAAAUAAUUCAGAAAUUUGAAAAUCAAAAAAAUAAUUCCAAAAAAAUCAUAAAAUUUCCUUUAGUACCGGUUGGAGUUACCAACCGGGACUAAAGGUGGACCUCCAGGCAGCGGCAAGAACCGGGACUAAAGGGGGAGGCUUUAGUAACGACCCUUUAGUCCCGGUUCCAGAACCGGGACUAAAGGCCCUUAUGAACCGGGACUAAAAGCCCUUUUUCUACUAGUGAUAUGAUAAUGGGGAUUGUGUGGAGAAGACAAAAAAAGAGAAAGUCUCACAUUGACGAGGAUAAUCAAUGGGCUAUGGAGAUGCCCAUCAAUUGAUGUCAACAUGAGGAGUAGGGAUUGCCAUGCAACAGAUGCACUAGAGCUAUAAAUGAAUGCUCAACAAAAGGAAACUAGUGGGUGUGCAUCCAACUUGCUUGCUCACGAAGACCUAGGGCAUUUGAGGAAGCCCAUCGUAGGAAUAUACAAGCCAAGUUCUAUAAUGAAAAAUUCUCACUAGUAUGAAAAAGACAACCUAUGAGACUCACUAUAUGAAAAACAAGGUGCUACUUUGAAGCACAAUAUAUGAGACUCACUACAUGAAGAACAAGGUGCUACUUUGAAGCACAAGUGUGGAAAAAGAGAUAGUAACAUUGCCCCCUUUUUUAUUUUCUUCUUUUUUCUUUUUUUCCCUUUUUUGGGCCAUGCUCUAAUAAUGAUGAUCAUCACACUUUUAUUGAUUACAACAUAUGAAUUACAACUCGAAACUAGAACAAGAUAUGACUCUAUAUGAAUGCCUCCAAAGGUGUACCGGGAUGGUGGAAUGAAUCAAGAGUGACAUGUAUGAAAAUUAUGCAUGGUGGCUUUGCCACAAAUACGAUGUCAACUACAUGAUCAUGCAAUGACAAUAUGACAAAAGUAAAGUAUGUCAUGAUGAUGAUGAACGGAACGGUGGAAAGUUGCAUGGCAAUAUAUCUCGGAAUGGCUAUGGAAAUGCCAUAACAGGUAGGUAUGGUGGCUGUUUUGAGGAAGAUAUAAGGAGGUUUAUGUGUGAUAGAGCAUAUCAUAUCACGGGUUUUGGAUGCACCGACGAAGUUUGCGCCAACUCUCGAGGUGAGAAAGGGCAAUGCACGGUACCUAAGAGGCUAGCAAUGGUGGAAAGGUAAAAGUGCGUACAAUCCAUGGACUCAACAUUAGUCAAAAGAACUCAUAUACUUAUUGCAAAAAUUGAGAAGUCAUCAAAAAUCAAGCACUACGCGCAUGCUCCUAGGGGGAUAGAUUGGUAGGAAAAGACCAUCGCUCGUCCCCGAUUGCCACUCAUAAGGAUGCACAAGCCAGGUACACUUCAUGUUUCAAAUUUGUUACACAACUUUAACCAUACGUGCAUGCUACGGGACUUGCUAACUUCAACACAAGCAUUCUUUAAAUUCAUAAUCACCCAACUAGCAUGACUUUAAUAUCACUACCUCCAUAUCUCAAAACAAUUAUCAAGUAUCAAAUUGAUCAUAGCAUCCAAUUCACUUCCUAUGAUAGUUUUUAUUAUACCCAACUUGGAUGCCUACCAUUCUAGGACCAAUUUAUAACCAUAGCAAAUACCAUGCUGUUCUAAAAGACUCUCAAAAUAAUAUAAGUGAAGCAUGAGAGACUAGCAAUUUCUACAAAAAUAAGUCACCGUCGUGCUCUAAAAGAUAUAAGUGAAGCGCUAGAGCAAAAACUAUCAAGCUCAAAAGAUAUAAGUGAAGAACAUAGAGUAUUCUAGCAAAUUCUAAUCAAGUAGGCUUCUCCCAAAAGGUGUGUACAGCAAGGAUGAUUGUGGUAAACUAAAUAUCAAAGACUAAUAUCAUACACAAUGCUCCAAGCAAAACACAUAUCAUGUGGUGAAUAAAAAUAUAGCUCCAAGUAAAGUUACCAAUGAACGAAGACGAAAGAGGGGAUGCCUUCCCGGGGCAUCCCCAAGCUUACGCUUUUGGCUAUUCUUGAAUAUCUUGGGGUGCCAAGGGCAUCCCCAAUCUUAGGAUCUUGCCACUCCUUAUUCCAUAGCCCAUAAAAGCUUUACCCAAAACUUGAAAACUUCACAACACAAAACUCAACAGGAAAUCUUAUAAGCUCCGUUAGUGAAAGAAAACAAAACCACCACAUAAGGUACUGUAAUGAACUCAUUCUUUAUUUAUUUUGGUGUUAAACCUACUGUAUUCCAACUUCUCUAUGGUUUAUAAACUAUUUUACUAGCCAUAGAUGCAUCAAAAUAAGCAAACAACACACGAAAAACAGAAUCUGUCAAAAACAGAACAGUCUCUAGCAAUCUGUAACUAACGCAAACUUCUGGAACUCUAAAAAUCCUACCAAAAUAGGAAGUCCUGGAAAAUUUUUUUAUUGAUCAGCAGCAAAAAUAGUAAAUGCAAAAUCACGUUUGUGUGAUUUAAAAAAAUUAAAUUCGUGCGUGCAAAGUUUCUGUUUUUCAGCAGAAUCAAAUCAACUAUCAUCGUAGGUUAUCCUAUAGGUUCUACUUGGCACAAACACUAAUUAAAACAAAAAAACACAUCUAAAUAGAAGGUAGAUGCAAGUUUUAUUACUAAACAGGAACAAAAACAAAAAAAAUUGGGUUGCCUCCCAACUAGCGCUAUCGUUUAACGCCCCUAGCUAGGCAUAAAAGCGAAUAUAGAUCUAAGUAGUGCCAUCUUUGGCAGUCGGAAAGAAAAGAGAAAAUUUCCUUUCUAUGGAAUUCAUCCUUCUAUUUUGGGAAAGCACAUUGCCAUUAAAGGAGGAAGUAAGAUUAAGCACAUUACGGAAAUUUGCAUCUAAACUAGACUUCAUCUCUUUGAUAAUUUCGUUUUGAUAAAAGCAUAAGAGGGUGGUAGAUUCAACCUUAUCAUUCAUCGGGUGCCCAAAUAUAGUUUUCAUUCUUCCAUAGGUAUCUAUAGCAUCCCCUUCAAGAAAACCUUCUUCAAAAAUAGAAUCUAGAACUUGCUUGAAAGAAGCGGGCAAGCCAACAUAGAAACUUUUUAAGUAAACCUCAAUUUGAUAUUGUGGUACAUAGCUAGCCCGAAUCCUUAAUAACCUAUCCCAAGCAUCUUUUAAAGACUCAUCAAGUAAAUAACGAACAAUUCCAGAGUCAUCUUCAUCAAAAUUAUUUAAGCUGUCAUUGGUGACCCCGGUGGGUCUUUCUAUAGCAUAAUUGUUCAUGAGCUCAGAGAGGAUAGAGGGGCUACCCAAGGUACUAGAACCCUGAAAAGGACCCUUAGUUCUUUUUGAUUCGGCCAUGGCAACAGGAAGGCAAACGGAAGAGAGAGAGGUUGGGAAAGAGAGGGCAAAUAAAAUGGCAAAGGUGAAGUGGGGGAGAGGAAAACGAGAAGCAAAUGGUAAAUAAUGUAAAUGCGAGGGAGAUGAGUUUGUGAUGGGUACUUGGUAUGUCUUGACUUGAGCGAAGACCUCCCCGGCAACGGCGCCAGAAAUCCUUCUUUCUAUGUCUUGAGCUUGUGUUGGUUUUCCUUGAAGAGGAAAGGGUGAUGCAGCAAAGUAGCGUAAGUAUUUCCCUCAGUUUUUGAGAACCAAGGUAUCAAUCCAGUAGGAGGCUCCUCAAAAGUCCCACGCACCUACACAAACAAACAAAGAACUCGCUACCAAUGCAAUAAAGGGGUUGUCAAUCCCCUCACGGCCACUUGCAAAAGUGAGAUCUGAUAGAGAUAGAAUGAUAAGACAAAUAUAUUUUUGGUAUUUUAUAAUAUAGAUGCAAAAAGUAAAGAUGCAAAUAAAAGUAGAUUGAAAGCAAAUAUGAUAAAGGAUAGACCCGGGGGCCAUAGGUUUCACUAGAGGCUUCUCUCAAGAUAGCAUAAGUAUUACGGUGGGUGAACAAAUUAUUGUCGAGCAAUUUAUAGAAAAGCGAAUAAGUAUGAGAUUAUCUAGGCAUGAUCAUGUAUAUAGGCAUCACGUCCGCAAGAAGUAGACCGACUCCUGCCUGCAUCUACUAUUAUUACUCCACACAUCGACCGACUCCUGCCUGCAUCUACAGUAUUAAGUUCAUAAAGAACAGAGUAACGCAUUAAGCAAGAUGACAUGAUGUAGAGGGAUAAACUCAAGCAAUAUGAUAUAAACCCCAUCUUUUUAUCCUCGAUGGCAACAAUACAAUACGUGCCUUGCUGCCCCUACUGUCACUGGGAAAGGACACCACAAGAUUGAACCCAAAGCUAAGCAUUUCUCCCAUGGCAAGAAAGAUCAAUCUAGUAGGCCAAACCAAACUGAUAAUUGCAAGAGACUUGGAAAGAUAACUCAAUCAUACAUAAAGAAUUCAGAGGAGAUUCAAAUAUUUCUCAUAGAUAAACUUGAUCAUAAACCCACAAUUCAUCGAAUCUCGACAAACACACCACAAAAAGAGUUUACAUCGAAUAGAUCUCCACAAGAGAGGGGGAGAACAUUGUAUUGAGAUCCAAAAAGAGAGAAGAAGCCAUAUAGCUAAUAACUAUGGACCCGAAGGUCUGUGGUAAACUACUCACAACUCAUCGGAGGGGCUAUGAUGUUGAUGUAGAAGCCCUCCGUGGUCGAUUCCCCCUCCGGCGGAGCGCCGGCGAAGGCUCCAAGAUGGGAUCUCGCGGAUACAGAAGGUUACGGCGGUGGAAAUUGUGUUUCGUUGGAUCCAUGGAUGUUUUCGGGGUACGUAGGUAUGUAUAGGAGGAAGAAGUACAUCAGUGGCCACCCGUGGGGCCCAUGAGACAGGGGGCGCGCCUUGUAGGGGUGGGCGCGCCCUCCACCCUCGUGGCCGCCUCGAUCGCUUCUUGACUUGCACUCCAAGUCCUCUGGAUCACGUUCGUUCCAAAAAUCACGCUCCCGAAGGUUUCAUUCCGUUUGGACUCCGUUUGAUAUUCCUUUUCUUCGAAAUACUGAAAUAGGCAAAAAAAGAGCAAUACAGGCUGGGCCUCCGGUUAGUAGGUUAGUCCCAAAAAUGAUAUAAAUGUGUAAAAUAAAGCCCAUAAACAUCCAAAAUGGGUAAUAUAAUAGCAUGGAAAAAUAAAAAAUUAUAGAUACGUCUGAGACAUAUCAAGCCCCUGCAGUAUUCAAAAAGGGUCUACCAAGGAUAAUCGACAUACUAUCGUCCUCGGGAAUAUCAAGAACAACAAAGUCCGUUAAGAUUGUGACAUUUGCAACCACAACAGGCACAUCCUCGCAAAUACCGACAUGUAUAGCAGUUGAUUUAUCGGCCAUUUGCAAAAAUAUUUCAGUAGGUGUCGACUUAUACAAUUCAAGUCUACGAUAUAAAGAGAGAGGUAUAACACUAACACCGGCUCCAAGAUCACAUAAAGCAGUUUUAACAUAGUUUCUUUUAAUGGAGCAUGGUAUGGUUGGUACCCCUGGAUCUCCAAAUUUCUUUGGUAUUCCACCCUUAAAAGUAUAAUUAGCAAGCAUGGUGGAAAUUUCAGCUUCUGGUAUCUUUCUUUUAUUUGUAAUGACAUCCUUCAUAUACUUAGCAUAAUGAUUUACUUUAAGCUUAUCAGUUAAGCGCAUACGUAAGAAGAUAGGUCUAAUCAUUUCAGCAAAGCACUCAAAAUCCUCAUCAUCCUUUGUCUUGGAUGGUUUAGGAGGAAAGGGCUUGGGUUUCUGAACCCAUGGUUCUCUUUCUCUAUCGUGCUUCCUAGCAACAAAAUCUCUCUUAUAAUAAUGUUGAUUCUUUGAUUGUGGGUUAUCAAGAUCAAUAGCAGGUUUAACCUCUACUUCAUUAUUUUUGCUAGGUUGAGCAUCAACAUGAACAUUAUCAUUAACGUUAUCACUUAGUUCAUGUUCAUCACCUGAUUGUGUUUCAGCAUCAGAAAUAGAAAUAUCAUUGGGGUUCUCAGGUGUGUCUACAACAGCUUCACUAGAAGCAAGCAAAGUCCUAUCGUAUUUCUUUUUCUUCUUUUUGGAAGAACUAGGUGCCUCUAAAUUAUUCCUCUGAGAAUCUUGCUCGAUUCUCUUAGGGUGGCCUUCAGGAUACAAAGGUUCCUGAGUCAUUCUACCAGUUCUAGUAGCCACUCUAACAGCAAAAUCAUAUUUAUUAUUUAGUUCAUGAAGCAAAUCACAUUGAGCUUUAAGUACUUGCUCAGCUUGAGUGGUAACCGUAGAAGCAUAUUUGCUAAUGAGUUUAAGUUCACCUUUAACUCUAGCCAUAUAAUCACUCAAGAGUCCUAUUUCGAAAGCAUUAUUCUAUAAUUCUCUACCAACGUAAGCAUUAAAACUUUCUUGCCUAGCCAUAAAGUCAUCAAAUUCAUCUAAGCAUGGGCUAUGAAAUUUAGUAGACGGGAUUCCAACUUUAUCAUAUCUAUGGAGAGAAUUUACCUUUACUACCUGUGUCGGGUUAUCAAGACAAUGUGGUUCUUCAACAAGUGGUAUAUUAAGAACAUGUAUUUCUUCAAUAGGUGGUAAAUUCUUAACAUCUUCAGCUUUAAUACCUUUUUAUUUCAUUGAUUUCUUUGCCUCUUGCAUAUCUUCAGGACUGAGAAAUAGAACACCUCUCUUUUUCGGAUUUGGUUUAGGAAUAGGCUCAGGAGUUGGCUCAAUUGGUUCAGGAAUUGCCUCAGGAAGUGGCUCAGGAAGAGUCCAAUUAUUUUCGUUAGUCAACAUAUUAUUCAAUAGUAAUUCAGCUUGGUCGACUGUUCUUUCCCUGAAAACACAACCAGCACAACUAUCCAAGUAGUCCUUGGAAGCAUCGGUUAGUCCAUUAUAAAAGAUAUCAAGUAUUUCAUUUUUCUUAAGAGGAUGAUCAGGCAAAACAUUAAGUAAUCGAAGAAGCCUCCCCCAAGCUUGUGGGAGACUCUCUUCUUUGAUUUGUACAAAAUUAUAUAUUUCCCGCAAGGCAGCUUGUUUCUUAUGAGCAGGGAAAUAUUUAGCAGAGAAGUAAUAAAUCAUAUCCCGGGAACUAUGCACACAACUAGGAUCAAGAGAAUUAAACCAAGUCUUAGCAUCACCCUAUAAUGAGAACAGAAAUAUCUUAAGGAUAUAAUAAUAGCGAGACUUCUCAUCAGUAGUAAACAGGGUGGCUAUAUCAUUCAACUUGGUAAGAUGUGCCACAAUAGUUUCAGAUUCAAGGCCAUAAAAAGGAUCAGAUUCAACCAAAGUAAUUAUUUUAGGAUCAACAGAGAAUUCAUAAUCCUUAUCAGUAACACAGAUAGGUGAAGUAGCAAAAGCGGGGUCAGGUUUCAUUUUAGCAUUAAGAGAUUGCUGCUUCCAUUUAGCUAAUAACUUUUUAAGAUCAUAUCUAUCUUUGCAAGCAAAGAUAGCUCUAGCAGCUUCCUCAUUCAUAACAUAACCCUCAGGAACAACAGGUAAUUCAUAAUCAGGGGGAGAACUUUCAUCAUCACUAUCAUCAAUAAUAGCAUCUUCAAUAAUUUCAAUCUCUCUAACCCUAGCAAGUUGUUCAUCAAGAAAUUCACCUAAUGGCACAGUAGUAUCACGCACAGAGGUAGUUUCAUCAUAAGUAUCAUGCAUAGUAGAAGUGGCAUCAUCAAUAACAUGCGACAUAUCAGAAUUCAUAGCAGUAGCAGGUUUAGGUGUCGCAAUCUUACUAAUAACAGGAGGAGAAUCUAGUGCAGAGCUAGAUGGCAGUUCCUUACCUCCCCUCGUAGUUGAGGGAAAAAUCUUGGUUCUUUCGUCUUUCAAGUUCCUUAUAGUGAUCAACAGAUAUAAAUCCCAAGUGACUCAAAGAAUAGAGCUAUGCUCCCCGGCAACGGCGCCAGAAAUUAGUGUUGAUAACCCACAAGUGUAGGGGAUCGCAACAGCUUUCGAGGGUAGAGUAUUCAACCCAAAUUUAUUGAUUCGACACAAGGGGAGCCAAAGAAUAUUCUCAAGUAUUAGCAAUUGAGUUGUCAAUUCAACCACACCUAGAUAACUUAGUAUCUGCAGCAAAGUAUUUAGUAGCAAAGUAGUAUGAUAGUAAUGGUAACAGUGGCAAAAGUAAAGAUAAUAGUUUUGUAGUAGUUGUAACAGUAGCAACGGAAAAGUAAAUAAGCGAAGAACAAUAUGUGAAAAGCUCGUAGGCAUUGGAUCUGUGAUGGAUAAUUAUGUCGGAUGCGAUUCCUCAUGUAAUAGCUAUAACAUAGGGUGACACAGAACUAGCUCCAAUUCAUCAAUGUAAUGUAGGCAUGUAUUCCGAAUAUAGUCAUACGUGCUUAUGGAAAAGAACUUGCAUGACAUCUUUUGUCCUACCCUCCCAUGGCAGCGGGGUCCUAGUGGAAACUAAGGAAUAUUAAGGCCUCCUUUUAAUAGAUAACCGGAACAAAGCAUUAGCACAUAGUGAAUACAUGAACUCCUCAAACUAUGGUCAUCACCGAGAAGUAUCCCGAUUAUUGUCACUUCGGGGUUGUCGGAUCAUAACACAUAAUAGGUGACUAUAGACUUGCAAGAUAGGAUCAAGAACACACAUAUAUUCUUGACAACAUAAUAGGUUCAGAUCUAAUCAUGGCACUCGGGCCCUAGUGACAAGUAUUAAGCAUAGCAAAGUCAUAGCAACAUCAAUCUCAGAACAUAAUGGAUACUAGGGAUCAAACCCUAACAAAACUAACUUGAUUACAUGGUAAAUCUCAUCCAAUCCAUCACCGUCUAGCACCUACAAUGGAAUUACUCACGCACGGCGGUGAGCAUCAUGAAAUUGGUGAUGGAGGAUGGUUGAUGAUGACGACUGCGACAAAUCCCCCUCUCCGGAGCCCCGACGGACUCCACAUCAGCCCUCCCGAGAGAGAUUAGGGCUUGGCGGCGGCUCCGUAUCGUAAAACAUGAUGAAACUUUCUCUUUGAUUUUUUCCUCCGUGAAACGGAAUAUAUGGAGUUGGAGUUGAGGUCAGUGGAGCGUCAGGGGGCCCAUGAGACAGGGGGCGCGCCCAAGGGGGGAGGGCGCGCCCCCACCCUCGUGGACAGGGUGUGGGCCCCCUGGCCUCGAUUCUUUCACCAGUAUUUUUUAUACUUUCCAAAACAUAUCUCCUUGUAUUUUCAAGUCAUUCCAAGAACUUUUGUUUUCUGCACAAUAAACAACACCAUGGUAGUUCUGUUGAAAACAGCACCAGUACGGGUUAGUUCCAUUUAAAUCAUGCAAGUUAGAUUCCAAAACAAGGGCAAAAGUGUUUGGAAAAGUAGAUACGUUGGAGACGUAUCAGGCCUGCAUUUAUUUAAAGCAACCCCAUGACAGAAGUAAAAAGGUUUCAUGACCAAAGGAAACUCUAUGCUCAGAUCCAUUGGAUACCACUGUAGAUAUGAGAAAAUUCACGUCAGUAAAAAGAUUUGGUAUGUGAGCAAAAAUCCGUCAGAAUUUGUUGAAAGAUGAAGGAAACCACCCCAGAGCAAGGUAAAGUUGAUCAUCUGAAAUCCUUGUGGGAACAAUAAAUAAAGGAAAAAGGAUACCCGAGUUGGAAACGGUGUCCUCAAGUCAUACUUCUCCCCUGAGCAACCAAAUCUCGAGGACGAGAUUUCUUUAAGGGGGGGAGGUUUGUAACAGCCAGGAUUUUGGCCAUUUCCUUUUUCUUCUGAUUUAUUUGGUUUUUGCUCUGUUUUUCUUUUUGGAGUGGUUCUGUGGCCUUGCCACCUGGGAAAUCAUCCUCAUUUCUCCUCCCAAGUGGCUCAUCAUUCUCAAAACCUUGCCAAGAUCAUGUCACUUCACUCCUUGACCAAACCCUAAAAUCUUUUUCUAGGGAAAAUUCCUUUUUCAUUAAAGGAAUAACCCUAUCUGCCCUAGGUUGUGAAGCAACCUAUAUUUCUGUCCAUUAAAAAAUCCCCAAAUAAUUCUAUAAUUCCUUUGGGUCAUAUAUAGCUCAAAUAUGCCCAAACCUUGCCUUGGUCAGUUCAAAAAUAAUUCCCCAAUAAUUAUUCUUCUAUUAUGCCCUGAAUGGCACUUUCUGAAGGAAGUGUCAUUUAUAUUUCUCCUAGUGGAUCCCAACCUUUUUGGGCAUGUUUAUAUGUCUAAAUAAUUUCCCCAUGCACAAGUUCAAAUUUAUUUGCCUAGCCAAUCUUCGUCAGUGAAUUUUCAAAGUUUAUGUCAAACAGAAGGCUUUGUGAAGGAAGCACUAGCUAGGAGUACCCAAAUGGGUUGAACUUUUGCAAACUCCUUAAUGUGCUCAUAUUAAACCCCUCCACCCAUUUUCAGCCCCAUCCAAUCAUCUAUGUGAGCACAGGACCAAAUCUUUGAUUCUGGCAAUAUUUUCAGGUUGUGAAGCAAGUAUAUUUUAUAUUGCUUCAAAAAUCCUGAUAAAUUACUAGAUCAUUCUUAUACCCAUAAAACAUCUCUCCACCCAAUUUGGCAUCAUUUCAUCAAUCCAUUUGACCACAAAAAUUAUUCCAAGUUUCUGGACAGAAAUGAUGUUUGCGAAGCAAGUUCCCCGAGCCGUCCGAGCACUCCAGCAGCCUUCCCCAAGUUCCUCGGCCUCCCUCGCCACGCCUAUAUAUAGCCCUUCCCCGAGCCGUCCGAGCACUCCAGCAUCCUUCCCCGCGUCUUCGCCGUUCCCCUGGACCCCUCUCCCCCUCCGGCAGCUUGCUCACCGACGCAAACCGCCGUGUGCCCACGGGUGUACAGUGGCGUGUGGCUCGGUUCGUCACUGUCAUCUUCCUCCCUGCGUCCCUCGACCUCUUCUACCCUAUAAUCUUAUGCCCAAUGCCUCCCCCAUCGCCUUCCCUGAGCUCAUGGGCGAGCACACGCGUCCGCGGUGCCGGACACGCAUCCGCGGCACCGGACACGCAUCCGCGAUGAUGCCAGCUCGGCCUCCCUCGCCCCGCCUAUAUAUUGCCCUUCCCCGAUCCGUCCGAGCACUCCAGCAGCCUUGCCCCUCUCCCUGGACCUCCCCUAGCCUCUCAGUUAAGCUUGAGGAUCUCUCGUUGCCGUCCAUUGCCGCCAUGGCCGCCGCACGGCCUCGGCUAAAUUUGCGCCAACUGAAGAUCUCCGCGCUCUCCUACCACCACCAGAGGAGUCUCCCCACCUCUUCGUUUCUCCUCCGGAGCAACCACAUCGCCAGCAUCCAUCUCGGCCGACGACCUCGCCCGCCAUUCUCUCACCGAUCACCACUCCGGGCAUCUCCAUUGGUCUUGCAUCCCUGUAACGGAGGCGCGGCAGCCUCCUGAGUUCUCCGGUGGUCGCGGCGUCUCAAAUGGUGUCUGGAGCUAGCCGGAAUCCCGCCGGCGCCAUCGACCCAGUCCCUGUCCAGCGAGCAGGCACGGGGAAGAAGGAGGAGGCGGUGGAGGGAGUUGACCAGCGCGUGGACCCCGCGGGCCCCAGGCGUCAGCGACCCAGAGGCCGACCCCACCCCUGCCACGUGGAUAAGUGGCGGUCCCCGCCAGGAAGUCUCACGUGUUGACUAGCCCCGCCACGUCAGAUAAGUGAAAGCGUAUUUCCAUUUUACGUUUUCACUAACCGAAAGCGUAUUUCUAACUUUACGUUUCUGCCUUAUCCACUCAGGGACCCGACUAUGAAUAUUAUUUUUGCAGAAAAGUCCCUGAACUUUCAACCCCUCAUAACUUUUUAUCCGUAACUCUAAAUGGGGUGAAUCCAAAGCCUACUUCUUCGUUUCGUCGAGCCCUUUCUGUUGUUGUCACUUUAAUUAUGUUUUGGAAUAUUGAAAAUGACCAUUAUGCCCUUGCCCUUAAUGAGCCCCCUCCGAGAGAGAACGAUUUCUGGCGAUUCAUUUCUGCAAGCUUCUUGCACUUUCUCUAGGUGAUUUCUUCCACCCCAGGCAAGCCACACCCUCCAUUUGCAUCACUGUAAUGCAGUGACAUGGUUUAAUUCAUUUUUAACUUGUUUAAAAUAUUGCUUUAGCAACAUGACUCUGUGCAUGGCAUUUUCUCGGAGUAUUAUUUUGAUCUUGCUGUUGCCAUGCUAUUGUUUGGAUUACUAGGGGUUAUGUUUGUAAUUGAUGAGUAUCAUUUUGACAUUGGAGUAUUAGUGACUGGUAUUAUGAUUGUUUCAGGAUGAUAUAUGUUAGUAUAUUUUUGGAGUAUUACUUUGGAUAUCAUGCUACCUUUGGAUUAUUAGUGGUUAGUAUGAUUAUUUUCAUGAUGCUAGUUGAUGUUCUGUUGCUUGGAGUAUUAUUUUAGGAGAUGAUGGUUACAUGUGGAUCUUAGCUGGAUAGUUGUAUUCUUGUUAUUGGAGUAGUAGGAUUAUUGUUUCGGAUUCAUCAUGAUAGUAGUGUUAUGCUAUCCUCAGAGUAUUUUGAGAUGUCGAUAUUAUGCUUGGAUUAUUUGUUGGAUAUUGCAAUGACUUGGAUUAUAGUUUGAUAGUUGACGUCGAAGUAUCAGUUAUCAUGGUUAUAUUUUUGGGAUAAAUUCCGUCAUUAAGUUGGUCAGGUGCCGCCAAACAGUACUUUUCCAGUGCAACCACAUUUGCCGGUAUGUGCCAGCCCUAAUGCGGUCUAUUGUCAGGCCUCUCGCCGGUACCUCCAACUAGGGAAGGUUAUGGGCUGCUGUACCCUGGCCCGGUAAGCAGGCAUAACCUUGUGAGCCCAUUGUUAUGUUUUUGCGCGCGGGUCCCAGUGUGGAUCGGGCCACGACGGUGGUCGUUGUGUCUUUGAGGUAGACACGGGGCCACCCAUGACUUAGCCUAGAGGGGAGUGAGUCAGAGUGGCCGGGAGAGUGUCAUGGCAGUAGAACGGUUUUGUCGGAACAUCGUUGGUCCACCCGAAUGGGAGUGCGAGGCCAUGGGUUCUGUGGUGUGGGUAUAGUGCGCUACCUCUGCAGAGUGUAUGUUUAAUCUAUCGAUAGCCGCGUCCUCGGUCAUGGGCAUGGGUUCAUACUAGGGUACACCGUUCGAUCAACACUCACAUGACGGAAUGACUUAUAGGUGAUGGGUAUGUGGAUAUUUGGAGCAGUAUAGAGUGGCCAAGUAUUGGUCGUGGUUGUGAUCGCCGUAAGGAUCACGUACCAUUUAUUGGUCAUGGUUGUGAUCGUCGUAAGGAUCACGGGCCAUUUAUUGGUCGUGGCUGUGAUCGCCGUAAGGAUCACGGGCCAUUUAUUGGUUGUGGUUGUGAUCGCCGUAAGGAUCAGGGGCCAGAUACUGGUCGUGGUUGUGACACUACUAGGAAACUGCUUAUAGAAAGACGCUUAAUAGCAGCGUGCUAUAUUGCCCCGCUACUAGUAAAUAUUUCUAACUGUGCCCCGCAAACAGACCAUACUAGUAGCGCGGGCCAUAAAACAAUCGCUACUGCUAAGUAAUAGUGAUAGCGCAGGUAACAUACCCCGCGCUACCAUUAAGUGUGUCACACCAAUCUCCCACCUCCACCCUCCCACACUGUGAUCCACUCCGAUCGAGCGCCCACCAACCGUCUCAGGCCGCUCCUGUACCACCCACCCCCCGAUCUAGAUCGAUCGAGAUCCCCCUUCCACCUCCUCUCCUCUGCCGUCCACCCCCUGGUUUGUCGGUGCACCGAUGGGCGACCUGCUCAGUUCCCUCUCCUCCCUCAUCAACAUCAAGCUCGACUCCGUCGCUCUAGUUCGCCUGCCAAACUGGGCCCUGAUCCGCGUGGAGGGGGGAAGAAAUGGUGGUGGUCCUUGCGUGGCUCAAUGCCAAGGUCGUCGAUCCCCUGCUGCAGGCGAUACAAGGACAGGGGGGCCGACGGUUGGUUGCACGUGAUGGGAGAAGAGGAUAGGAGGGGGCGGAGCCGUUGGUUGCGCUCGACCCCGCGGCAUGCGGACCCUUUACAUCGUCAUCGUCAUGGCCGGGAGCCAAGCCCAGGUGAGAGGCCUACUGAUCUCUAUGUCCCCAACUUCCUACUGGUCAAUGCAUCUUUGGUUUUGUUUUAAUGGAGUUCUAUUCUAGAAAACAAACACCGCCAUCACCGACGCCACCACGGCCACCUGCUCGACGGAUUGCAGAGGAGGAUGAUGACACCCAUGGCCGCCUCGCUCGACCCCUCACUCACCAUCGCCGCCGCCAGGCCGCGCCUCGCCGCUCCCCCGCCGUCCUCUGCCGUGGCCGCGGGCGGGCUGUGCCGUGGCACCGUCCUCCAGCGGGGACGGCAGCGGCACAGCAGGUUCUCGUGCCGCGCGGGAUCCGCCGCCUCGGAGAUGUAUGUAAUGCCUCCUUGCCUCUCUUUUUCCCUCUUCUCCUAAUCUGUCAGUGUAAUUUUGUGAGGACCUCGUCUCUGUAGAUGAGAAUGGGAUGGGGGGGGGGCAGAAUCCUCCUCUUCUUCUUAUGGAAGUCCCUUGUAGUAGCUGUAUAAUGACGAUUGCACUAGAUUGGUCGAUCACGCCUCAUGAUUAGGAGGCCCAUCACCAUCACCAUCUCUUUCCUAGAUGAACAAUGAUGGCUGCGCUCUGCAGCCGUAGGCCGGGAACCGGCAUCAGUAUUGAACAAACAUGUGCCACUGCCAAUGGCGCCGAAAGCGCAUAGAGGUAUACCGCAGCUAAUGGUAGCCCAGGUGAGAGGCCUACUGAUUUCUAUGUCCCCAGCUUCCUACUGGUCAAUGCAUCUUUGGUUUUGUUUUAAUGGAGUUCUAUUCAGCUUGUGUAAUCAAACUGUUAGUCCCAAAAACAGUUUACUGAAGCUGCUACCACUUUGGUUCAGUUAAGACUUGGGAGUCUGAACUGUUGUGUUAGAUAUAAGUAGAAGUACACCUGCGAAAAAAAGAUAUAAGUAGAAGUAGUUGAAUGCUAGCAAGUGGUCUGAAGCUAAUUAGUUAUUAGGAGAAAAACAUUUUAUAAACAUGUAUUCACACUCAACCUUGAUUAGGAAAUUAUUGGUUUUGAACUGUCCAUGAUUUAGAUGAAUCCAGGUCUUCAACUAAUCUAUAGGCCGCUAGUAGGAAACUUUGGAACUUGAAAACCCAAAUCUGUUUCAGUCCUCCUAAUUUAGCUUUAUAGAGAAAACACUGAUUUCUAAUUGAUUUAGCCUAUUCUAAUAGUUUUGAGUAAGUUCUUGGGGAUGAGUCUAUAAGUCUAUUCAGUGUUAAGCUCUACUUGAUUGUAAUUCAUUUGCUCUAGCUUUCACAAAAAACUAAUUAUCUGGUACACUUUAGAACUAUCCUGUGAACAUUGAUUGGCUGCAGAUGAGCCAUGUAUCUCAGAAGUCUGAAGGAUUGUUCAUCAUAGAAAUGUUCAGUUGAUAGAUUUAUGAGUUGUCCUGAAUUCGGCGUCCAUGACCAAACCUAGGUACCUACAAACUCCCCUCUGUUCUGUUUUAGACCAACUAUGUUUUUCUGCUAGUCAAAUAGACCGUAAUACUUGUACCAUUGUGUAGCUAGAUAGGUCAUUGUUGGUUCUGAUGCUUAUUGAUUGACACACCAAGUGUUGUUACUGCUGAUGAUUACUAGUCCUACAAUAAUAAUACAUCUGCAACAAAUAGUUAAAUGGAAAUGAAAUGACAGUAAUGGGAAUAAUGUUGGUAAUACAUCUGUUGUUGUUGAUGCCUUCUUGCUUGCUUGAGAAUGACCUGGGAAUUACUUCUACUUGGCGCACAACCUUUGCUUGUUGCAAUUUGCCUCAAAAGCUUGGAUUAAGAAUCUAUAAUAAGACUUGGUACUGCCUUCAAAUUCCUUAUCUCCUUUCACUUGUGGUCAUGCCUAGCACUGUAUCCUUCUUAAGUUGGGUUUUCCCAAAUUUCUAGGAUUGGUCUGCUUGGUACUGCUUAUAAUUCAUAUAUACUAUGCUGCUGCUAUAUGCUUUUGUUUCUGCUAUUGUUACUUACUGCUUUAUAGGUUACUGUUAUACUGUACUAACGCUCCAGGUUCUUUGUGAGUUCCUAGUAGCUGUCUUGGUUCAUUGUUUAAUUCUAGGAUUUGUUAGUUCCUAGUAGGGAACACAUGGACAUGAAGCUGCAGCUGCGACGACGAUAUUGACAUGGGGCUGCGGCGACGACGACGACAACGACAACAUCAUCACGGUGCUGCGGCGGCGGCGAUGAUGACAACAUCGUCACGGUGCUGCGACGACGAUGACAUCAACGCCGGCUUGAGGAGUCGCCGACGCCGACGACCUAUACACGUGGUGUAUAUUGUGUGUGUGUGUAUAUGUGUGUGUAUAUGUGUGUGUGUGUGUGUCUAUAUAUAUAUAUAUAUGUGUGUGUGUGUGUGUGUUUGUGUGUGUGUGUGUGUGUGUUUGUGUGUGUGUGUGUAUUAAUUAUCUAUAUCAGACAUGUAUGAUUGAUUGUAUGCAUAAGAUGUACCUAUUAUGAAAUGCAUGUAUGUCUAAAGUGAAAUAGGUAGAUUUUUUUUUUGAAUCCUAAUUAGUUACUAGUAGCGUGGGUGUGUCGUAGAUGAGCUACUACUAUUCCUUUCGUAGUAGCGCGGGCUUGGAAUAGUAGUAGCGCGGUGCAUCAGCGCUAGUGGUAUGUUUGUUUAGUAGUAGCGUGGGGUAAAACACGCGCUACUGCUAAAAAAUAGCUGUAGCGUCAUAGCAGUAGCACGGGAACCUACGCUACUGGUAGUCCAAAAACCAACGCUACUGCUAAGGUUUUUCCUAGUAGUGUGAUCGCCGUAAGGAUCACGUACCAGGUAUUGGUCAUGGUUGUGAUCGCCGUAAGGAUCACGGGCCAAAUAUUGGUCAUGGUUGUGAUCGCCGUAAGGAUCAUGGUUACAGUUUGGUUUUGAUCACGAGGUGAUCGAGAUGGUAUAUUACUUGGCCGGUUAGCCAAUAGAGAUAUGGUUAUGGAGAUCGGAGAUGGUGAUUUAUCAGUAUUGUAGUUUCAUAUUAUGCUUAGGAGUUGCUAUUAUAUCAUGGUAGCUGUUAAUUUUAUUAAUCUGCUUAAUGCUAUGUUGUUGUCUUGCCUUGAUGUUUAUGGUUGUUGUGAGCUUGCAAGUACAUUCAAUGUACUGACCUGGCGUGACAUGCCAGAUUGCAGGUGAUGCCGUGAUUAAUUGAUUGCUUGUCGUGGUUUUCGUUCGUGCGAGCUAGAUCGUGUCCCAGCCAGAGUCCCUGCGGAGUGGAGUUCACCACCUUCGUCGUUGUUCCGUUGCUAAAAGAUUUCCGCUGCUAAGAGUUGUUCCGCUGCUAGCACAGAGCAAGUGUAGUAUCGCAGGCCUAGUGUCGCCGUGCUGAUGUGAACCUUUGUAACAUCUGACCUUUGUAUUAUUAUUCUUGUAAUAAGAGCUGAUUUGUUCUAUGUCAAGCAGUGCCGUAUUCCAGAGACUUCUCCUCGAUCUCUGGGCUGGAAUACGGGGUGUUCUGAUUUCUCUGAGCCGGGGUGCUACAAAUUUGUGUAAAAUGGUAUUUCUGUAAUGCUAUUCAAAUUCUGGCCGAAUUUCAAAUUUGACCCAAAAUUCAAUGUUGAAAUUAUUUAGUAUAUGGUAUUGAUGUUACAAUGCUUUCUCAAGUAUUAGUCAUAUAUAAGCAUGUUAAGCGAUCAAUCCGAGCACUUAUUGUUGAUGUGAAACACUAGUCACAAAAAAUGGGCUCCAAAUGAGCUCUGAAGCUAGGCUAAACACCCCAUUUGUAAGCAAAUUUUUUUGACCUUUUCUAAAUGGGCCAAAAAUCAAUACUUGACAUCUGGUGUGCAAAUAUAGGGUCCAUGCCCAAUAUGAGAUCGUUUGGAUAAAUUAUGACAUGCUUAGCCCUAAACCCUAGCUUGAAUCCCAUGCAACGUCGUUCAUGAUAGCUAUGUUUUGCGAAGGGUUUUUCAUGAAAAUACCCAUGGACCAAGUUUCUUAUUUUUCCCAGCAACUCACUCACAUAAAACGACGAUGAGUGCAAGUUUCAUAUUUUUAUGACUUCUUUUGAAUUAGUUAUGCUCAAUCCUAGCCCUCAAAACCCCUCGAAAACACACCCUUCCGCGCCACUAGAUCUCUGUUAGUGGAUGGCCUGGAUCAGGCGUUAGGGCUACGUCACUAAUCCAUGUGAGGCUCUGUGAUUGGCUGCAGUCGACAACGCUGGGUAACCCCCUGCCUCAACUCUGGAUCGCUGGAUCACUGUGCAUCCAACGAUGUGGAUUAGGAUGCAGUGCUACACGUCAGGGAUCUGCGCGCUAUGCUCUGAUUUGCUGGAUUCAGAAACACAUUUUUUGCGCUGCGGCGAGUGGGCCUGCUGUUGGGCUCUGGUGAAAGAAGCCCACCCUUUGGACCUUUGGACUAAACCACGCCUCCUCUAGCCAGGCCCUAGCCAGCAGGCUAUGUUUCCAUGCUCGAUCAGAGCCUAUGAUGCAUGCAUGCACGGGCGGCACACGCACAGAAGAACAGGUCAGCGUGACCCCUUGACCCCGGACCGAUGGCACAGACGCGUGCACCUGUAAAAUGUCGCAUCGGGACUAUUGAUGCAGGGGCACCCCCCAUUGAUGCGCAUCCUUUGGUUUCCCUUGCGUGUGUACACACUCCCGAUGGCACCAAACGCCGCCCGGUCAUUACUUCCACCCGGUGAAACCGUUCAAAAAAAAACAAAAAACACGUCGCACUAGGGCUAUUUAAGCCAUACCUAUCAUCUUCCUCUGCCUCCUCAUCCAUACCCCAACCCCAUCCUCUCACAUCUGGCCCCAUCUACCCUCCUUCUUCCUUCAUCUCCAUAAAGUAGAGGGUCCCGAAGCCACCAUGCAGUACAACGGCCCGACCUAUCGCUACCCCCCCACGGUGCCGGAGAGGCUCUAUCCCACCAGCGUCUAUGUAGAGAACACCCUUAGGGUGUGGGCGAUCUCAAGGUGGAGGGGCGCAAGGGAGUUCACGUAGCUCUUCCUUUCGGCCGGCUACCGCCACCUCCCCCGUGGCUCUCCAAGUAUGUUCCAGGUUAAGGAGGUCAAUCACAAUGGUGUUGUGGUUGCGCUCCUCGCUACAUUAACCAAACCCUUCGAUGCCUUCCACCUCCUCGGCCAAGUGUUUUGGUGUGGGCGAGUUUAUUGCUUUCACCACCCACAACAUCUUCACCGACUUCAACAUCUUCCCCACCUACAACGGCAUGCACACUCUCUCGUACCCCGUCGACAACCAGGAGUGAAGGGCGCCUGGAGGAGCGAGGUGGCGUUCGCCAAGAGGAGGAGAAGGAGAAGAACCCGUUUGGUGCCCCCGAUCUAUCUAUCUAUCUAUCAUUUUGGUAUUUUAAGUUGUAAUCGUUUAUGUUUGUCUGCUACUAUUAUUAAGUUGUAAGCCUAUGCUAUCUAUGUCGUGGAACUAUCGGUUGUGCUAUUAUUUAUAUUGUUGUUGGGUUUCUUAUUUUUAUAUUUUUGUUUCGUGCUAUUAUUUGUGGGUUGCUAUGGGUUGUACCCAUUUCGUGCUAUUAUUUGUGUGUUGCCUUGUGUUGCUACACCACAUUCACCACGCCACACAAACAGGUUUCACAAUGUUGGUCAAAUCAUGGGUCAUGACCCACAUACUCACAAAGUGUUCUAUCUAGUUUUUGUUUUUUUCUAUCUAGUUGAUAUUGGUUAAUUGAUAUAUGUGCUUAAUGUUCUAUCUAGUUGACCCGUUACUAAUACAAGGAAGAUUCCACUAUGGACAUGCAAGUGUAUGGGUACUCAAUUGUUUUUGCGAAAAUAAAAAAAAUCAUAUAUUGGUGUGCUGCAUGUGGGCAUGCAUGUAUGUAGGCCCUGGCUAUUUAGGGCCACCCUAGCUAGUAGGUGUAGGGUGCAAUUUUAUUUGUGCAAAAAAUUAUUGGAUUAACUCAAAUGCCCAAAUAAAUAUUUCCGUGCUCCUAAAAAUAUUGGUUUGAAUUUUACCUCUGGCCAAUAUUUUCAGAGCAAAACAGGAACAUUUUCUUAGACCUAUUUAAAUCGAAUUUUAACAUGAUCAUUUCCAAAAAUGAUUUCUGAGGCUUUCACAUAUCCCCAUUUAAUUUGGGUUUCAUGGAACCAUAGACAUGCAUAAAAAGAAUCACAACAAAUAUGUAAAGAAAAACAAAAAGGUACAAUACAUACGGCCCAAUAUUUAUUUGACACAAAAAAUUGGCUAAAGAAAAAACAAGUAAAGAAGUACAUGUUUGUUAAUUAAAGGUUUAUUUGCCGAAGCAACAUUUUAUUUUGAUUUAGUCGAAGCAUUAUUUUUAACAUGGGUGCCUCUAUGCUAUAAAACUGGGCUGGUGCCCCUACAUGGGUGGGCUUUUCUCAAUUUGGGCCUGGUUAUUUUCUCACGGGCCAACAUCUAUUCGGCAGCAAGAUUUGUUGUUUCUGAAUUCGGGGGUGUGCACUUUGUUAACGAAGAAUAAGAACAGAGCAUGAACACUGAAUAUUUCUGCUUUGAUUCGGUUAUAAGAACUUGGCAUGGCGCACAUAUUGCAUCCUAUGCCCUGACAGUCCUAAUGCCCCCUCUAAUGACAGAUGAAUAGCAAGUAAAACAUAAACAGAGCAAUGCCACUACAAUAAAAAAAAACCACCAUGAUAUUUGUUUGUUUUAGCAAAUUGAUCAUCCCCAUUUAAUUUUUCUUGAUCUUCUUCAGUUCCUCGGUCAGUUGAGACUCCAAGUGCGGUUCAGCAUUGCGCGCAUAGCUCGCCAACAGCACGACUCUGCCCGCCCCUCUGUCCGAGCUACCAAAAUUCUCGAUCUGCGGCACCCCACCCAAAUUGAGCUCCCAGGUUGCGGACCCCGCUCGAAUCAACGUAGCCCUCGAACUGAAUCCUCUCAACAUAAUCAUCCAUCCACUCGAAAUGUGUGCAUUUCUUCUGGAUCUGAAAACAACAAAAUUAACCCUAAAUUCAAAAUUCGAGGGGGAAAAACAAAAUAUGAAGAAAUCAGAGCAAACGACAGUGAAAGAACGGGCUAAGAACUGAGAUCUAACCUUGCCAUCCCUUCCUGCCAUUGAUUUGCUCAAGCACUUCACAAAUUCCCGCACAAGAUUUCCAUUCUCAUUAGUCCUACUGACCCACCGUUUCAGAGGCUCUGGGCGUGGGCAUGACGGGCACCUUGUGAGCGGCACUGGACCAUACUGACGCCAUUUUGAGUGCGUGGCUGAGGAGGUGGACAUCUGGACUAGGUCGCCGAAGAAGAGGAAGAAUGGGGAAAGGGGAAGCAAUGGGCGGCGGCGGGCGGAUGGGCACGCGCGAAGAGGUGGGUCCCGCGCUUACUGGACAAGUGAUGGGUCCCGCGCUUACAUGGAUAAGUUGUGGGUCCAGCCCAUAACAGCUAAUGAGGGCAUCAGUUCAGCUUAAGGUCCAUGUCAUGUGUGGGCUAUUACUCACUCAAAAGUGUCGCCCCAAAGCCAUUUUGUCGAACAACGUCUCACUCCAUCCAAUUCCCACAAAAGAUGUCACGUAGAAGCAAUUGACCAAGUUUUAACGUGGUAUCAGAUUAGGUUCGAUCGAUUGCUUCCGCCUCAUCCCGAUCGCUGUCUCGCUCGCCCCGAUGGCCGCCGCUUCGUCAACCUCCGUCGCUCUGGCCGCCGCCGGCCUCCCCGUGCUUGGCGUCUCAGCCACUGGUCCCUCUGGUCGCCGCCCAGGCCGGUGCUGCUCCACCUUCCUCGGUCUCCAGCGUGGCCGCGCCUCCAGUCCCGUACGGCGAGGCCACGGCUCCAGUGCCGUUUGGCGCUCGAACUCCCAGUCUUGCACCGCCCGCUUCGCAGGCGUACGGGGGCGCGUAUGGCAUCCCGCCCGCUGCAUCUAGCGUCCGGCCCGCAGCCCCAUCCUGGUAGAACUACGGCGCGAUGUAUCCGAUCAAUUCUUGCGGCGUGAUGCAUCAGCACCAGCCAGCCCCAAUGGAUUCUUGCGGCGUGAUGCAUCAGCACCAGCCAGCUCCUAUCGAUUCUUGCGCUCAGCCGAUGGAUUCUUGCGGCGCUCAGCCGAUCGGUUCCUACAGCGCUCAGCACCAGCAGCCCCCGCCUCCAUAAGGUGCGUCUUCUGCGGCUACCUACAACGCAUCUACGGCUGCUGCGACGCCCUACAGGCUACAGCACUCCAUUGGCGAUCUACGGAGGGUACCAGCCGGUUCCUCCUAUCGCGCCGUAUUAUGAUGCUUCCCCGGCAUCGUAUCCUGUUGGAAUCAACCACGUAGUAGAAGUCCUGUCCGGUAUGGAUUAGGAGCAGUCACCGACUCGGUUUUGUAAUAGGCUAGCAGCUAAUAUAAAUACCUGUGUACCCCUACGUUGUACAUACCAGAUCAAAGGAAUAAGAAAACACAGGUGCGACACGCACCUGUUGCCAUCAUCUUGCGUAUUGUGUUCCGGUGACCUGGUUCGUGCUAGCUAGCUAGACAAGAGAAUCCAUCAAGCUGUGUGCUUGCCUGCUUAGCUCCAAGACGUGUGCAUUGCCUGUUUGUACCUUCGCGUACACGCUGCCGUGGCCAAAGCAUCGGUCAGUAAAGUUUGUCCAGACAGUACUUCGACGACUAGCGGCGGCCGGGAUUAUCGUCAACAAUUGGUAUCUAGAGCAAGGUUGAUUUUCUAGUAACGGAGGAUCAUGUCAGACGACGAGAAGACCAAGCAGCUGGCGGAGUACGGUUAAAGUAUUUGCUGCUCCGGCGAGUUCGUCGUACCCACGGUUUGAUCGCGAGAACUUCGGGGGUCUGGAAAGCCCUCAUGGAGUGUGGUCUGCUGGAAUUUUGUCCAUUUUGGACCUAGCCCAAUAGCAGGUUCAGAAAUUCCUAUAAAUCCUAGAGGCCCACGCAGCUUAUUCGUGCAAGGCAAGAGGUGGAACUAAAGUUUAGUCCCACCUUGCUAGUUUAGAGGGAGUUGGACCUCUUUAUAAGGGAGGCUCCUUCCCCACUUGUAUGAGCAUGAGAACAAGAGGGACAUCCAUGUGCGCUCCUCCUCCGCCUCGCCACGCCACGCCAUGCCACGCCACGCCACGCCUCGACGCGACGCGACGCGGGUUGCGGAAAUGAGCCGAGCCGAUGUAAAUUUUUGCCACGCACUACGGGUAUACGAAAGGGUACGCGAAAGCUGAAACGUUUUGCUGUAGUGGAGAUUGAAUACGAACGGCGCACCUCUUCGGAUGCUGUCUGUUCGUUUCAUCUCCCUCGGUCCCUUCUGCUCCCGGCGCUGCCCUCUCGCCUCCUUCUCUUGCGCCUAUAAAAGGGAGGUCGCUCCUCUCAGCAAGACGCAUCAGAAUCUCUUCCUCCUCUCGCCACAAGUUCCUGAGCAAUGCGCUGCUGCUACGUUCUUCCUCAUCCCGGCUUGUGGCGUGCACCGCACGUCGGGACAGUAGGCCUCCGAGACCGCACCUUUUGAGUCCUGUACGGGAGAAGGGUGAUAAGGUUUUCGGGGAGCGCUCAGCGCGACUACUGGCUUCUUCAUCACGGACGCCCCGGACUUGGACGACUACUUCCCCGACGACGACUUCUUCCCCGACGUCCACGACCUCCUCGACGACAUGGCUGGCGAGGACAUCGACCCCAAGUCCAGCACUUCUUCUGCUGCUGCCCCGUACGUGUUCGUCCUCUUUCCAUUAGAGGUUCUGCUACAGUUCCUUGUUCUAGUGUUUGCCCUGGAUAUGUUAGACUCUAUUUCAUAUAUGCAACUUGCUAUACUGUCUGCUCAAGAUAUGUUUAGUUACGAUUCAUAUAUGAAGAUGUUGUUUACCUUCUCUUUGUCAAAUCGCAUGACUUGUUUUAUCACUGCUACACUACUAAUGUUUUAUCUAGUAUUUCUGUUAAUAAAAUCACUCGAUAAAUUGCUCAUAUUUCCAACAAUCCAAAAACCUUAUUAUAGGCAAUUUACCCCGAGUGGUUUUGCUGCUUCCAUGAGACCUCCUAUGUUUGAGGGUAUCCACUAUAAGAGGUGGCGCGUGAGAGCAGUCUUAUGGUUUCAGACCAUGAGCUGCUAUGACGCCACUCUUGGCAAACCUGAAGGAGAGCAAGAUGCCCAACAGGCACAAGCUUUUCAGAAAAUGGAUACCUUGUUUAAGGCUGCGCUCUUGAGUGUUCUUGGAGAGAACAUAGUUGAUGCUUAUGCGUCAAUUGAUAAUGGAAAAGAUAUGUGGGACGCACUCGAGGCCAAGUUUGGGGUCUCGGGUGCCGGCACUGAGCUGUACAUCAUGGAGCAAUUCUAUGAUUACAGGAUGACUGAAGAGCGCUCCGUGGUUGAGCAGGCUCAUGAGAUACAGUCAUUUGCUAGAGAACUUGAGCACUUCAAUUGCAUGCUACCGGACAAGUUUGUUGCCGGGGGUAUUAUCACUAAGCUUCCUCCUUCAUGGAGGAACUUUGCUACCUUACUGAAACAUAAGAGACAGGCGUUUUCCGUUCCGGAUCUCAUUGGUACUCUUGAUGUGGAAGAAAAGGCGAGAGCAAAGGACACACGUGCUCGAGGUAUUGAGGGAGGAUCUAGUGCCAAUGUGGUACAGAAGCAGAACUUCCAGCCCCACAAGUUCAAGAACAAGGGCAAGUUUGAUGGUAAAGAAAAGUUUGAUGGGAAGAACAAGGUUGUGCAACACACGAACUUCAAGAAGAAGAAUGGCAAGAAGAAAGGUGCUUGUCAUGUGUGUGGAGAUCCUGAUCAUUGGGCUCCUAGUUGCCCUAAUCGCUAUGACAAGUGUCAUCCUGGGAAAGGCGGCAAGACCGCUAAUGUUGUCAUUGGAGACACUGACAUGAAGGAUGCUGGGUAUGGUAUAUUUCCCACUAUUCUUUCAGUAUGUCAUUCUCCUAACUGGUUGAUUGACACGGGUGCUAAUGUGCAUGUAUGCGGUGAUAUUUCCAUGUUUUCGUCUUAUCAGACCGCAGGGACUUCAACCGUGCUGAUGGGCAACGGUUCAAGUGCUUCUGUUUGUGGUGUUGGCACGGUCGAUCUGAAGUUUACUUCGGGGAAGAUCGUGCUGCUGAAGAACAUGCAUUAUGUCCCCUCCGUCAAUAAAAAUCUUGUUAGCGGAUCUCUUCUGUGUAGAGAUGGCUAUAAGCUUGUCUUUGAUUCGAAUAAAUUUGUAAUAUCCAAGUAUGGAACCUUUGUUGGUAAAGGCUAUGAGUCAGGAGGCCUGUUUCGUUUAUCCUUAUCAGACGUUUGCAAUAAAGUUGUUAAUCAUAUUUGCAACAAUAGUGAAUCAAAUGUGUGGCAUUCACGACUUUGUCAUGUUAACUUUGGUUGCAUGUCGCGACUAGCGAAGUUGAACUUAAUCCCUAGUUUCACCACUGUCAAGGGAUCUAAGUGUCAAGUGUGUGUGCAAGCUAAGCAACCUCGUAAGUCUCACGUGACUGCGGAGACGAGAAAUCUUGCACCACUAGAACUUAUACAUUCAGAUCUAUGUGAAAUGAAUGGUGUUUUGACAAAAGGUGGAAAGAAAUAUUUCAUGACGUUAAUUGACGACUCCACUAGAUACUGCCGUGUGUAUCUUCUGAAAUCUAAGGAUGAGGCUUUGAACUUUUUCAAGAUCUAUAAAGCUGAAGUGGAAAACCAACUUGAUCGAAAAAUCAAGAGGCUUAGGUCCGACCGUGGUGGAGAGUAUUUUUCCAAUGAAUUUGAUGCUUUUUGUGUGGAACAUGGUAUAAUCCAUGAGAGGACGCCUCCCUACUCACCUCAGUCAAAUGGGGUGGCCGAAAGAAAGAACCGUUCUCUAACUGAUUUGGUUAACGCCAUGUUAGACAGAUCGGGUCUCUCCAAGGCAUGGUGGGGGGAGGCGAUAUUGACUGCUUGUCAUGUCCUAAACCGAGUUCCCACAAAGAACAAAGAGAUAACUCCAUUCGAGGAAUGGGAGAAGAAAAUUUAAAGCUCUCUUAUCUGCGAACCUGGGGUUGUUUGGCGAAAGUCAAUGUGCCAAUCCCAAAGAUGCGGAAGUUGGGACCAAAAACUGUGGAUUGUGUUUUCCUGGGAUAUGCUUUUCAUAGCAUUGGUUAAAGAUUCUUGGUUGUAAAAUCUGAGGUACCUGACAUGCAUGUCGGUACGAUCAUGGAGUCGAAUGAUGUGACUUUCUUUGAAGAUAUCUUUCCCAUGAAGGAUAUGGCUACCUCAUCUAAUCAGGAGAUGCCUAGUUCAUCGAAUCAGGAACCAGUUACAAUUACUGAACCUUCCAUUUUGAUGGAACACUUUGAAAGUCCUGUGGAGGAGAACAAUGAAGUUCCUACUAGGAGCAAGAGACAGAGGACUGCUAAGUCUUUUGGUGAUGAUUUUCUUGUGUAUCUCAUAGAUGACACUCCCAGUUCUAUUUCAGAGGCCUAUGCAUCUGAAGAUGCUGACUACUGGAAGGAAGCGGUUCGUAGCGAGAUGGAUUCCAUCUUGACGAAUGAAACUUGGGAGAUAACUGAUCGUCCUUAUGGGUGCAAACCUAUAGGAUGCAAAUGGGUAUUCAAGAAGAAGCUUAGGCCUGAUGGUACUAUUGAAAAGUACAAGGCUCGGCUCGUGGCAAAGGGUUAUACCCAAAAGGAAGGAGAAGACUUCUUUGAUACUUACUCACCUGUGGCUCGACUAACCACUAUUCGAGUUCUACUUUCACUAGCUGCCUCACAUGGUCUUCUCGUUCAUCAAAUGGAUGUUAAUACUGCUUUUCUAAAUGGAGAGUUGGAUGAGGAAAUUUAUAUGGAACAACCAGAUGGGUUUGUAGUAGAUGGUCAGGAAGGGAAAGUGUGCAAGUUGCUGAAGUCUUUGUAUGGACUCAAGCAAGCACCCAAACAGUGGCAUGAGAAAUUCGAAAGAACUUUAACUGCUGCAGGCUUUGUUGUGAACAAAGCUGGCAAAUGUGUGUACUAUCGCCAUGGUGGGGCGAGGGAGUUAUGCUUUGCUUGUAUGUUGAUGACAUACUGAUUUCGGAACAAAUUUGAAUGUUAUUAAGGAGGUCAAGGAUUUUCUAUCUCCCUGUUUUGAGAUGAAGGAUUUAGGAGUGGCUGAUGUCAUUCUGAACAUCAAGUUGUUGAGAGAUGAUGAUGGUGGGAUUACAUUGCUUCAAUCUCACUAUGUGGAAAAGAUCUUGAGUCGCUUUGGCUAUAGUGACUGCAAGCCCUCUCCAACACCAUAUGAUGCUAGCGUGCUACUUCGAAAGAAUCGAAGAAUUGCUAGAGAUCAGUUGAAGUAUUCUCAGAUUAUUGGCUCGCUUAUGUACUUAGCAAGUGCUACAAGACCUGACAUCUCUUUUGCUGUUAGCAAACUGAGUCAGUUUGUUUCAAAACCAGGAGAUGUGCAUUGGAAAGCUCUAGAGAGAGUUUUGCGUUAUUUGAAAGGCACUGCGAAUUAUGGAAUUCACUACACUGGGCAUCCAAAGGUGCUUGAAGGGUAUAGUGACUCAAACUGGAUCUCAGAUGCUGAUGAGAUAAAGGCCACGAGCGGUUAUGUAUUCACUCAUGGAGGUGGCGCUGUUUCUUGGAAGUCUUGCAAGCAGACCAUCUUAACGAGGUCAACCAUGGAAGCAGAACUCACAGCACUAGAUACAGCUACAGUCGAAGCAGAUUGGCUUCGCCGGCUCUUGAAUGACUUGCCGGUUGUUAAGAAACCUGUACCGGGUAUCCUUAUGAACUGUGACAAUCAAACUGUGAUCACGAAAGUGAACAGCUCUAAGGAUAACAUGAAGUCAUCAAGACACGUUCAGAGAAGGUUAAAGUCUGUCAGGAAAAUGAGAAACUCCGGAGUUAUUGCAUUGGAUUAUAUCCAAACGUCUAAAAAUCUGGCAGAUCCUUUUACUAAGGGUCUAUCACGUAAUGUGAUAGAUAAUGCAUCGAGGGAGAUGGGUAUGAGACCCACAAUAUGAGUUGUUCACAGUGGUAACCUAUUCUUUGUGAUCGGAGAUCCCGUGAAUUAGAUGUGGAAGACAAGCUGUUGGUCAACUGGGAGGAGAGUAUUCCUACGGAUAAAAUACCACUCCAUGAAGAUGCAAUACUCUCCUAAUCUGCAUGGCAGGUUGAUUUAUAUCUUAAUGUGUUCUAAGUGGCUCUUUGAAGCAGAGAUGUUGUCCUGCAGAACAUCUUUUGAAGAACGCACCUAUAUGAGUCUGAUUGUUAAAGGUCGCAAUCUAUGAGAGUAGGGUUCUCUCUAGUAAACUCAUGAAAGGUCACGGAGUAUGACGCAUAAGCUCCACCCGCGGGGAAGACCCACGGUAGCCACGUAUCGGUCAAGGCUUUAUGUGAAGCUAGAUUCGCAGAAAACUUGCAGUUCAAGGCCCAGUCCACUGUUCAAGUUGCUUACUAGUGUAGCAUAGAGUUCUAGGUGGAAGUUUAACUUAAUAGUCUCCACUGCAGUACCGGUAUAUAAAACAGUGUUUUGGAACCAAAGGCAAAUUUUGUGUGCCUCUGGGAUCUGGUGGGGGAUUGCUGGAAUUUUGUCCAUUUUGGGCCUAGCCCAAUAGCAGUUUCAGAAAUUCCUAUAAAUCCUAGAGGCCCACGCAGCCUAUUUGUGCAAGGCAAGAGGUGGAACUAAAGUUUAGUCCCACCUUGCUAGUUUAGAGGGAGUUGGACCUCUUUAUAAGGGAGGCUCCUUUCCCACUUGUAUGAGCAUGAGAACAAGAGGGACAUCCACGCGCGCUCCUCCGCCGCCCGCCUCGCCACGCCUCGUCACGACGCGCCGCGCCGCGGGUUGCGGGAAUGAGCCGAGCCGAUGUAAAUUUUUGCCACGCACUACGGGUAUACGAAAGGGCACGCGAAAGCUGAAACGUUUUGCUGUAGUGGAGAUUGAAUACGAACGGCGCACCUCUUCGGCUCCUGUCUGUUCGUUUCAUCUCCCUCGGUCCCUUCAGCUCCCGGCGCUGCCCUCUCGCCUCCUUCUCUUGUGCCUAUAAAAGGGAGGUCGCUCCUCUCAGCAAGACGCACCAGAAUCUCUUCCUCCUCUCGCCUAUAAAAGGGAGGUCGCUCCUUUCAUCUAGUAUUUCUGUUAAUAAAAUCACUCGAUAAAUUGCUCAUAUUUCCAACAUGGUCUCCGCGCCAACGAGCUAUGGGACGUGGUGGAUCCCGGAGGCGACGCGUUCAAGAAGGAGGGAGCCGAGCACCGAAAGGAUCGGCAGGCGGCGUCGGCGCUUUAUUCGGUGAUACCGAUGGAUGUCCUCCAACACCUGAUCGCCAUGAUGUUCAUGUUUUAUAAGAAAUGUUGGGGUAUUAUUAAAGGCGACUUGAUGCCCAUGUUCCAGGAUCUAUUUAAUGGCCACCUUCAGCUUUUUAAGCUUAACUUUGGUACUAUCACGUUGUUACCAAAGAAGGCGGAAGUGAUUCGCAUCAAGCAAUUCAGGCCGAUAUGUUUGCUCAAUGUGAGCUUCAAGAUUUUCACAAAGGUUGGCACAAACCGUUUGACUCAGAUUGCUCAUUCUGUGGUACAGCCAACCCAGACUGCCUUCAUGCCAGGACGACACGUUCUCGAGGGGGUGGUCGUUCUUCAUGAGACCUUGCACGAAAUUCACUCAAAGAAACUCGAUGGGGUGGUCUUCAAAGUGGAUUUUGAAAAGGCAUACGAUAAAGUGAAAUGGCCAUUCUUACAACAGGCCUUAUGUAUGAAAGGAUUCGAUGAGGCUUGGAGGAAGCAGGUCGAAUCAUUUGUACAAGGAGGCAAUGUUGGCAUCAAAGUAAAUGACGAUAUUGGUCAAUACUUCCAGACGCUAAAAGGAUUGAGACAGGGAGAUCCGAUGUCUCCAAUCCUUUUUAAUGUGGUUGUUGAUAUGUUGGCUGUUCUUGUUAAUAGAGCAAAACAGGACGGCCAAGUAGGUGGUCAUAUCCCACAUCUGGUUGAGGGUGGGGUGUCCAUUCUUCAAUAUGCCGAUGAUACAAUCAUUUUCAUGGAACAUGACCUUGUCAAGGCCAGAAAUAUGAAGUUAGUGCUUUGCCUUUUCGAACAGCUAUCAGGGUUGAAGAUUAAUUUUAAUAAAAGUGAGCUGUUUUGCUUUGGAUGCGCCAAAGAAAAACAAGAAACUUACAAGUAGUUGUUCGGGUGUGAAUUAGGCACGUUACCCUUCACGUAUUUACGGAUUCCGAUUCAUCACCGCAAACUCACUAAUAAAGAGUGGAAAUGUAUUGAGGAUCGGUUUGAAAAGAGGCUGAGUUGCUGGAAGGGCAAACUAAUGUCUUAUGGAGGACGAUUGGUGCUUAUUAAUUCUGUUCUCACAAGUAUGCCCAUGUUCCUCCUCUCUUUCUUUGAAGUCCCUGUUGGGGUACGGAGAAGAUUGGAUAUUUAUUGAUCUAGAUUCUUUUGGCAAAUUGAUGAGAACAAAAAUAAAUAUAGAUUGGCAAAAUGUGAUGUAAUUUGCAGACCUAAGGAUCAGGGAGGCUUGGGAAUUGAAAAUUUGGAGGUGAAAAAUGGGUGUUUUCUCAGCAAAUGGUUGUACCGUUUAUCGAUAGAAACUGAUGGAGUUUGGGCUCAGCUUCUGCGUAACAAAUAUCUCUAUGCCAAAACUCUAGCUCAGGUUACGGCCAAACCGUCUGACUCACCAUUCUGGAAAGGGGUAAUGAAGACAAAGGUAGCCUUCUUCAGCAGGACUAAGUUUAUUGUCGGGAAUGGAAGUGAGACUAGAUUUUGGGAAGAUACUUGGUUAGGUGACUCACCACUAGCCUUGCAGUAUCCGUCCCUUUACAACAUAGCACAACGGAAAGCGGUCUCCAUUGCUACAGUGCUGGGCUCCGUUCCUCUUAAUAUACAAUUUAGGCGAUCUGUUAUUGGUGAGCGUUGGGAUAGAUGGUUACAUCUUGUACGUAGGUUAAUGGAGGUUAACCUUUCCGAUGUACCAGACACUCUGCAAUGGAAGCUUUCCAGGUCAGGAGUCUUCUCGGUUAAAUCCAUGUACACGGACUUGAUUAAUACUGGGACUAUCCCGCGAACGGAGCAUAUUUGGAAAGUUAAGGUGCCCUUGAAGAUAAAAGUUUUUAUGUGGUUUCUGCAUAAGGGUGUUAUUCUCACUAAAGAUAAUUUAGCUAAGCGUAACUGAGAAGGAAGUAAAAGAUGUUGCUUUUGUGAUAAGGAUGAAACAAUAGAGCAUUUAUUUAUCAAUUGUCCGCUUGCUAAACUACUUUGGCGAACUAUUCACGUUAGCUUCAAACUCCACCUCUCACGAUAUCACACUUGUUUGAUAACUGGUUGGCUGGAGUUGAGCCAAAGUCUGCGGCGCAUAUCCGAGUGGGAGCAUGUGCAUCACUUUGGUCUUUGUGGACCUGUCGCAAUGACGUUGCCUUUAACAGACAAACCAUCACUAAUUUUUGCAGGUCAUCUUCAGAGCGUCUACUUGGAUCCGUACGUGGUCAUUACUCAACCGUGCGGACCUCAUGGAGCAUAUGGAUAUUGGGUGCAACCGAUGGGAGAUGGUUGCACGGGAUACUUACAACCAGUUUGGAUGGCGGUCCACUAAUAGGAUAGGCGUUUAGUCUCCUAGUCUUUGGGCGCCGGUUGUGAUUUUAUUUUUUGGGCCGCUUGUGGCAUUUCUUUGGUUACUAAGACCUCUGUUUAUUUUUGAGACUUCUUGUCGGAACCUUCGGGCAACUUUUUUAAUAAAUGGCUGUGUGCAUCAAGAGAUGCAGAGGCCGGGGGUAAGCUUCCUUUUCGAAAAAAACACCUGAUCGCCAAAGAAACGGCGAAGGAAGCGUGGGAUACCUUGAAGCUCAUGUUCGAGGGACACACCCGCGUCUAGCAAGCCAAUCUCCAAACUCUCCUAAGGAACUAUGAGACUUUGGUCAUGGGCGACAAUGAGUCCGUGGAUGCGUUCGCUUCACGGGUGGCUACUCUCGUCAAUCGGAUCCACGCGCUUGGUGAAAACCUCACGGAGACCUUGGUUGUCCGGCGGUUCUUGCGCGCAGCCCCUCCCCGGUACCUGCAAAUUGUCACAGCGAUCGAGCAGUGCGUCGAUCUCGAGACUCUCUCCAUCGACGAUCUCGUCGGACGCUACAAGGCUCACAAUGAGCGUUUGCGGUACAGUCUCGGGGAUGGGAGGAAUGAUGAGAAUGUCAUGCUCAUACGGGCUCAAUGGCUGGCGCUGGACUCAAGGAGAGGAGGCGAGGGCUCUAGCAGCAACACUCGCCAAGAUCGUGCGCCAAAAGAGCAAAGUAAGAAGAACGCCGGCGACGGUGCUCCGAAGAAGAAGAAGUUCGACAAGCGCAAGAUCAAGUGUCACAACUUUGGCAUCAUGGGGCACUUCAAGUCGGAGUGCAAGAAACCACUGAAGGAGAAAGCUCUCAUGGACAAAGGAGGCGAUGAUGGAGACAUGAUGCUCAUGGUCGAAGUAUGUGAGCUAAUGGAUGAGGAUACUCCAGCUCCAAAGGAGCCGGCUACAGAGGUUGUCACGCUCAUAGAGGAGGUAGUUUAUCUUCACGAUAAGAAGAGGAUGAACACGUCAAGGAACGUGUGGUACCUCGACACGGGCGCUAGCAACCACAUGACCGGCGACAAGGACCAGUUUUCUGAGCUCAGUGUUUCGGUGGGAGGCACGGUUCGGUUUGGUGAUGGACGGACCGUUGACAUCGCAGGGCGAGGUAUUGUCCUGUUUGAGUUGAAGAAUGGCGGCCACAGGGUACUCACAGAUGUGUACUAUAUUCCCAAGCUAAAGAGUUGCAUCAUAAGUCUUGGCCACCUCGAGGAGCGUGGUUGCAAGAUUGUGCUCGAAGAUGGCUUUCCAUGGGGGUAUGAUCGUCAGAGGAUGUUGAUUAUGAAGGUGCAGAGGUCACCGAACAGGCUCUACGUCCUCAACUUGGAUCGUGUGGAUCCGGUAUGUCUCUUGUCGAGCAUGGACGACUCAGCAUGGAAGUGGCACGCGCGCUAUGGUCAUCUUAAUUUCCAGGCUCUUCGGCAACUUGGACAAAAGGAGAUGGUACGUGGUCUACCGUGCAUCAAUCAUGUCGACCAAGUGUGCGACGGUUGUCUCAUUGGGAAACAAAGGCGAUCCCCGUUCCCAAGAGAGGGAAACUUUAGAGCGAGUAAAGCUCUUGAGUUGGUCCACGGAGACUUGUGCGGAUCGAUUACACCAGCCACCCCUGCCGGAAACAGAUACUUCUUGCUCGUAGUCGACGACUUUAGCAGAUUCAUGUGGAUUGUGUUGUUGAAGACGAAGGACCAAGCUUUGCAAGCCUUCAGGAUUAUAAAGAUGGCGGCUGAAGUAGAAUCUGAAGCCAAGCUGAAGGCCCUCCGUACCGAUGGGGGGGGGUGAGUUCAAGUCUCGUGCAUUCACAGAAUUUUCCGAAGCUCAAAGGAUCAAGAGGUAUCUUACGACACCAUAUCCACCGCAGAAAAACGGUGUUGUGGAACGGAGGAAUCAAACUGUGGUGGCGAUGGCACGAAGCAUGUUGAAGAGCAAAGGCAUGCCGGGCAAGUUUUGGGGUGAGGCGGUCAAUACGGCCAUUUACUUGCUGAACCGGGCUCCAACCAAGAGUGUGGUUGGGAUGACACCGUAUGAAGCAUGGUACGGACACAAGCCCACGGUUGAUCAUCUUCGCACUUUCGGGUGCGUAGCGCAUGUGAAGACAGUGACCGGGCAUACUAGCAAAUUGGCGGAUCGGAGUACUCCAAUGAUGUUGGUUGGCUAUGAAAAAGGUACGAAGGCAUACUGUGCGUGCAACCCCUCUACCAACAAGGUGGUUGUGACGCGCGAUGUGAUCUUCGAAGAAGCAAGGUCAUGGAAUUGGAACUCCACCGAGCCGGUAUACCCGUCUUCCGAUGAAAUUUACAACGUUGUUUACGAUGAUUGCAAGCAUGCAGAUAUUGACGAUCAACCGGAGACGUCGGCCGCAACAAAUGGCGCGGGCGGCGUCGCAGAAAAAAGGAGGCACGCCAGCAACUUCCGCUGCUUCACACGCGCGAGAGGAACCAGCAGCGGACGUGUCCGAGGGCACCAACGGCACGCCCGGCAGCAGCUCUCGCCCUGGUGGCGUUGUUCCAUCAGGAGGGCCAGAGCAGGCCACACCAGCUCGUGGCUCACGUGGCACAGCACCGGCCAGCCCAUACAAGAGCCUGUCGGCUGGAGGUGUUUCCAGCAUGCAGCAAAGCAGCCCACGUGCUGCACCACGAGCACAUGAAGUCCUUGUACGUGAAGGCCAUGUACGUGAAGAUGGUACACCUGUUUUGGCUGGUUCGUCGGAAGCUACAACCAGUUACGAAGAACAGCAAUCGCCAGAAAUCGGGAGUUUGGCAACUCCAGAUGAUGUUACUUCAUCUUCGACCGAACAGGAGAGAAGGGAACGUCCGCCCACACCAGUACGUCUUCGACCAGUGGUGGAUUUAUAUCCAACGGAAGCACUUCCAAAAAUAAAUCCUGUGAAAAUUAAAGGAAGAGGACGGCGGUGUCUGCUUAGCGUCGAGGAACCGACGAAAUUUAAAGAUGCAAACACGGAGGAGUGUUGGCGUCGUGCUAUGGAUGAGGAGUUGGGAUCGAUCCGAGACAACAAUACAUGGGAGCUCGUGGAUCCACCCAACGACCAUAAAAUCAUAGGGCUCAAGUGGGUGUACAACGUCAAGAAAGAUGCCGAAGGAAACUUGGUGAAGCAUAAGGCAAGGCUCGUAGCCAAAGGAUACGUGCAAGAGCAAGGUGUAGACUUCGAGGAAGUGUUCGCUCCUGUCACAAGGAUGGAAUCGGUGAGGCUAGUUAUAGCUCUCGCAGCUCAAGAAUCUUGGAGGCUACAUCACAUGGAUGUAAAUUCCGCUUUUUUGAACGGGGAGUUAAAAGAAGAAGUGUAUGUGAAGAAACUACCGGGUUACAUAAAAAAGGGAGAGGAGCACAAGAUGUUGAAACUACACAAGGCAUUGUACGGGCUAUGCCAAGCUCCUCGGGCAUGGAACAUCAAGCUUGAUCGUACACUAGUUUCUCUUGGUUUUGAGAAAAGUCCACUUAAGCAUGCUAUGUACAAGCGAGGUAAAGGCAAGGAUCGUCUCCUAGUGGGCAUGUAUGUUGAUGAUCUCUUGAUAACUGGAGCAGAUGAGGAGGAGAUUGCUAAAUUCAAGCUACAAAUGAAGGAGCUUUUCAAGAUGAGUGAUCUAGGGCUCUUGACUUACUAUCUCGGGAUCGAGGUACAGCAAAAGCCGAAGGGAAUCACGCUAUGCCAGGAGGCAUAUGCAAAGAAGAUUCUUGAAAGCUGUAGCAUGGAGGACUGCAAUCCAAGUCAUCUUCCAAUGGAGCCUCGACUUAAACUUAACAAGAGGAGCCAAGCACCCGCGGUUGAUGCAACGGAAUAUAGAAGUGUGGUCGGAAGACUAAGGUAUCUUGUGAAUACACGACCAGACUUGGCCUAUUCCGUUGGCGUAGUGAGUCGCUUCAUGGAAGCACCCACGACAGAACAUUGGGCAGCUGUGAAACAAAUACUCAGGUACAUCAAAGGGACAACUAACUUCGGUUGUGUCUAUUUGAGAGAAAAGCGAAAGGAGAUGGUGGAGCUACUUGGCUACAAUGAUAGCGACUUGGCAGGAGAUAUGGACGACCGUAAAAGUACCUCGGGCAUGGCAUAUUUCUUGGAAAGAAGCAUAGUGAGUUGGCCAUCACAAAAGCAGAAGGUGGUCGCAUUAUCAUCUUGUGAAGCGGAGUAUAUUGCAGCUGCAACCGCGACAGGUCAAGGUGUGUGGCUAGAAAGGCUACUCGGUGACCUCACUGACAAGGAACCGGAAGGAGUGGUGCUCUAUGUUGAAAACAAGUCCACGAUUGCUCUAUGUAAGAAUCCAGUGCAUCAUGAUAGAAGUAAGCACAUUGAUAUAAGGUAUCACUACAUACGAGAUUGCGUGGAAGAAGGCAAGAUUAAAGUCAACUACAUUUGCACCGACGAUCAGCUUGCAGAUAUCCUAACCAAGUCUUUGGGACGACAGAAGUUCACGGAGAUGNNNNNNNNNNNNNNNNNNNNNNNNNNNNNNNNNNNNNNNNNNNNNNNNNNNNNNNNNNNNNNNNNNNNNNNNNNNNNNNNNNNNNNNNNNNNNNNNNNNNNNNNNNNNNNNNNNNNNNNNNNNNNNNNNNNNNNNNNNNNNNNNNNNNNNNNNNNNNNNNNNNNNNNNNNNNNNNNNNNNNNNNNNNNNNNNNNNNNNNNNNNNNNNNNNNNNNNNNNNNNNNNNNNNNNNNNNNNNNNNNNNNNNNNNNNNNNNNNNNNNNNNNNNNNNNNNNNNAGUAGAAGUCCUGACCGGUAAGGACUAGGAGCAGUCACCGACUCGGUUUUGUAAUAGGCUAGCAGCUAAUAUAAAUAUCUGUGUACACCUACGUUGUACAGAUCAGAUCAAAGCAAUAAGAAAACACAAGUGCGUCACACACCUGUUGCCAUCAUCUUGCGUAUUGUGUUCCGGUGACCUGGUUCGUGCUAGCUAGCUAGACACGAGAAUCCAUCAUGCUGUGUGCUUGCCUGCUUAGCUCCAAGACGUGUGCGUUGCCUAUUUGUACCUUCGCGUACACGCUGCCGUGGCCAAAGCAUUGGUCAGUAAAGUUUGUCGAGAUAGUACUUCGACGACUAGCGGCAGCCGGGAUCAUCGCCAACAUAUCAUCCGCCGGCUGCGGCUCCUUCGACGGAGCUCGUUCACAUAUUGCCGACGUCUUCUGGUGGUCCGCAUCAGGGCCACUACAUGCCGCCUCUGCCGGGUCAUGUAGUCACUGCUGCAUCGUUCUACUUCACGCACCUAAUUUAAGUGAAGCUCACAACGGGUAACUAUCUGUCAUGGCGUGCACAGGUGCUACCGUUUCUUCACAGUCGUUACUUGGAGGGUUUUGUCGAUGGCACCAUACCGUGCCGUCCGCCAUACCACCCGGGGCAUCAUGCGUGGGUGGCUCGGGAUCAGGACAUCCUAUCUGCCAUCCAGUCCUCUCUUACGGAGAGGGUCUCGUCGCUGGUCAUCUUGGUCGCUACAUCUCGGGAUGCGUGGACGGCCCUUCAUACCAGCCUUGCUUCGCAGUCUCAAGCGUGGGCUCAUGCCAUCCGCAUUGCGCUUGGGGAGGUGAAGCUUCAUGAUCUCAUCGUCACCGACUACUUCAACAAGGUGCCAGGUAUGGCUAGCACACUUGCCUCGACUGGCAAGGCGCUUGGUCCGGAGGACUUCACCUUCUAUGUGCUCAACGGAGUGAGUGACAACUAUGAUAAUUUGAUGGAGAAUAUCAAUACUCGUGACACUCAUAUCCAGCUGCGUGAGUUGUACGUGCAUCUCCUCGCUACGGAACAGCGCAUCCAGGCUCACCGCUCUACGUAGAGUUUCCCUUCCGCCAAUGUAGCAACACGUGAGAAGGGAAAGCCCUACAAGCCACCAACUGGUGGCACACCUCUGUCGGCCGCGCCUAGUUCGUGGAACACCACCACCUCCACGGGAGGUCGAGUCCGUGCCUGCUGUCCUUCAUGUGGUGCUCAGGUCCCCUGCCAGCUGUGUGGGCUGAUGGUCACCUUGCCUCCUGUUGUCAUCAUCGCUUCAAGCAAGAUUUCUUGGGUAUCGGGAACAAUGGCAAGGGCAAUGAGAAGCAGGCUUCCCUGGCGAGUCAUGAGCAGGGGCAUACUACUUCCUAUCCAGUUGAUGCAUCUUGGUACAUGGAUACGGGAGCUACCAAUCACCUGACAAGUGAGAUGGGAAAGCUCUCUACACAAGCUGUACCAUGGACACGAUCAGGUUCGCACCGCUAAUGGGAAAGGUAUGCACAUCUCACAUAUUGGUCAUGCAUCACUUCUUACACGUUGAUCCACACAGUUAUGACUUCUUAAUGUCCUUAGUGUUCCCUCUGUUUCAUGUAGUUUGUUUUUAGUUCCUAAACUUACUCGUGAUAAUAAUGUUCUUGCUGAAUCUCAUCCUUUUCAUGUUUUGUUAAGGACCAGGACACGAGGGACGUACUCCUUAGAGGUCGAUUGUGUAAUAAUGGUCUCUGUGCACUUAAUGUGCCACCCGCUCCUAGUGCUUUCAGCGGUGUUCAUGUGUCCCCAUCACAUUGGCAUGCGCGCCUUGGUCAUUCUGCCACUCCCAUCGUUCGCCAUGUACUUCAUGGUCAUGAGCUUCCGAUAGUGUCAAAUAAACAUGUUGAUGCAGUUUGUGAUGCCUGUCAGCAAGGCAAGAGUCAUCAGCUUCUUUUUUCCGAGUCGAGUCGUGUAGUCAAUAAAAAUCUUGAACUUGUGUUUUCGGAUGUAUAGAGCUAUGCCCAAACCUCUAUUAGUGGUCAUAAUUACUAUGUCAAUUUCAUUGGUGCUUAUAGUCGGUUCACUUGGCUUUAUCUUCUUAAACGCAAGGCUGAUGUGUUUAAUGUUUUCUUGCAAAUCCAAGUGCAUGUUGAGCGUUUGCUCAGUCAUAAAAUCAUUCAUGUGCAAUCCGGUUGGAGCUGAGGUGAGUAUCACAACCUCAAUGCAUUCUUUAAUAAGCUUGGAAUUACACAUCCUGUGUCUUGUUCUCGUACACUUUGUCAUAUAGUUGAGACUGGUCUUGCUUUGCUUGCCCAUGCCUUCGUCCUUAUCCGGUUUUGGAGUGAUGUGUUUUCCACCGCAUGCUUUCUGAUUAACAGACUCCCUACACGACUCCGUCAGAUGAAAACACCACUUGAGCUCUUGCUAAAUGAAGACCUGAUUAUACGUUUCUCAAGGUCUUUGGGUGCGCGUGUUGGCCACAUCUUCAUCCAUAUAACCAACAAAACUUGGAGUUUUGGUCUAAACAUCGCGUAUUUCUUGGUUAUAGUUCUCUUCAUAAAGGGUACAGGUGUCUUCAUGUUCCCUCUAACCACGUCUAUAUCUCACGUGAUGUGGUGUUUCAUGAGAAUGUUUUCCUUUUUCUGCACUUCCGGUUAACUCCACCACUCCCACUGCACCUGAGAAAUAUGCUUUGCCUUUGCCUGGUCAAUUUCUUAAUGCUGCAUAUACCCCAUUGUUGCUACCUAACCAUGGUGUAGGAGGUACGUGGCACGGAGCACGCCUCGAGCUUCUAGAUGAGCAGCCGCCCGCAUCCCCUUGGAUGUCCGCUCAUCCCGCUCGCGACGUCCCUCUCUCACCUGGCCUGUCGACGGGGCUAGUCGAGCCUGGCACUACAGGGCUUCCCGACGCGCCGGCCGAGCCGGCGUACUCGCCCGAGCCGGUGUCCUCGCCCGUGCCGAAGUCCGCGCUCGCGUCGGCUGAGCACGCGUCCACUCCUUCCUCGUCUGGUCGGUUGCCUGGUUCUGGGUCAUCAUUGUCAUCUUCAUCGACCCCGUCUCCGCUGCCACCUCCGCUGCCUACCACUGUUUUGCAUCCUCAUACGCGCAGUUAGUGUGGUAUUGUUCGGCCGAAGGAGCGCACUGAUGGCACGGUUGCAUGGAUUGCCGCGUGUAUGGCACAGACAGAUGCUGACCCCACUACCGAGCCUCGGCAUUUUGAGGCGGCUCUUCGGAUUCCUCAUUGGCAUCGUGCCAUGGAGCAGGAGUUUUAGGCACUAUAGCGGAAUGAUCGCUUGGUUCCUCCUGUGUCUGGUGUCAACAUAAUUGACUCCAAGUGGGUGUUUUGAGGUAAAAAAGCAUGCUGAUGGAUCUAUCGAGCAGUACAAGGCACGGUUGGUGGCCAAGGGGUUUAAACAACCGUAUGGUCUUUAUUAUGAGGAUACCUUCAGUCCAGUUGUCAAACCUACCACCAUUCGUUUGCCUCUGUCCUUGGUUGUUGCCAAAGGGUGGUCUCUGUGUCAGCUUCAUAUGGAGAAUGCUUUUCUCCAUGGGGUCUUGGAGGAAGAGGUUUACAUGCGGCAACCUCCAGGUUUUAUUGAUCCUGCUCGUCCACAUCAUUUGGGUCGUCUUGUUAAGGCACUCUGUGGAAUUAAGAAGGCUCCUCGUGCAUGGCAUGCCCGACUUGGCUCGGUUCUUCGACGUCUUGGAUUUGCUCCGUCUACUGCUGACACGUUUCUGUUCAUGUUCCAGCGUCCUGAGGUUACUAUAUAUCUGCUGGUUUAUGUUGAUGCCAUUAUUCUUAUCAGCUCCUCAGUGACUACUCUGAGUGGUCAUUUUGCUGUCAAGGAUCUGGGUGCUCCCCAUUACUUCCUUGGUGUGGAGGUUUCACGGUAUCCUGAUGACCUGACUCUCACUCAGCAUAAGUAUUCCCUGGACUUGCUAUGACAUGCUGGUAUGUUGCAGUGCAAGCAUGCUCCCACCCCUAUGUCUACGACUGAUCGGUUAGCAGCCUUGGAUGGUGCCUUGCUUCCUUCAGAUGAUGCUACAGAGUACCGCAAUAUUGUUGGUGGCUUCCAAUACUUGACUAUCACACGACCGAACAUCUCUUAUGCGGUAAACCGUGUGCUAGUAUCUUCAUGCUCCUCAGAGUUCACAUUGGUCAGCUAUGAAGCGUAUACUACGUUUAUCUCUCUCAUAUUGUCUCCUAUGUCUUGCAUCUUUGGUCUACCACCUCGAGUGCUCUCUCGGCGUUCUCUGAUGCAGAUUGGGCUGGGAUCCUAGAUGACCGGUGAUCAACGGGGGCCUAUGCUGUCUUCUUUGGUCGCAACUUGAUCGUCUCGAGUGUCCGCAAGCAGGUCACAGUAUCUCGGAGUAGGACUGAAGCAGAGUACAAGGUGUUUGCCAAUGCCACAACUGAGCUCAUUUGGGUACAGUCUCUGUUGAGAGAUUUGGGAGUCUCUAAAGAGCAGUCACCGGUCUUUGGUGUGAUAACAUUGGUGCGACGUAUCUUUCAUCUAAUCCUGUUUUCCAUGCUCGUACCAAGCACAUCAAAGUUGACUAUCACUUUGUGAGGGAACGUGUUGCACAGACGCUUCUUAAUAUCAAGUUCAUCUCCUCCAAAGAUCAACUUGCUGACAUCUUCACAAAGGCACUUCCACAACCUCAGUUUAAAGGUUGUAGGCGCAAUCUUAACUUGCUUUGUACUUUAGGUCAUACUCCCUCCGUUCUUUGAAGAGUGUACUUCCAACUUUGUUGGGAAGUCAAACCUUUUUAUAUUUGACCGUAUUUAUACAAUAAUGCAUCAAAAUUUAUGCCAUCAAAUUAGUAGCAUUAGAUUCAUUAUAAACUAUAUUUUCAUCAUAUACCUAUUUUGUUUCAUAAACAUUGAUAUAUUUUUGCACAAACUCGGUCAAACAUUGAGAUAGUUUGACCCUCCAACAAAGUUGGAAGUACACUCUUUAAAGGACGGAGGGAGUAAUUAAGAUUGAGGGAGGGUGUUAGACAAUGUUUAUACAUAGCUUUUGUGUAUACCAUGUAUAUUGUAUUUUGUACACUAUGUGUACUUCUAUAUAUAUGAGAUAGACACAGCCGUAUUGGGUGUCGAGCAGUUUCCCAAACCCUAGAGUUUUAACAAUUUGAUUAGCGAAUGCCGAUGUUGAACUCCUUUUCUCACCAUGCCUCAGUUCUCGGUCCACCACAACCACACUAAACAAACAACCCAUAGAUUGGUCAUAUUCGGUAGAACAAACACCUUCUCCAAGACUUCUAGAGGCGAUGAAGCAGUCACUAGGUCCACAUGUAUAUGAUACAAUACGAUCUCCCUCCAAACGGCUUUGAUACCUUUACAUCUGAAGAAGAAAUGGCCACCAUCCUCGAACAAGCGCUCAAAAACAAUACAACGAGUAUCUAGCUCCACACCCUGCGUCGUGAUAUUCACAUGCAGCGGGUGACUGUUAUGACCAAAGUGCCAUAGAAAAUGGUGGACUUUACCAGGGCAGCCAACCUUCCAUAUCAACGACCACACAUAUUUGCGCCAUUCUAAAUUAGUUAAGCACUCACUCUGGUGCACACUAUUUUUUCUUAGAACCAACUCUGUGUGAACCGGGUAAGUAGAUUUAACUGAGAAUAGCCCUCUUACUACUAGGGAAAUGCUUAUAGGUAGGACAUCAAUAGUAGCGCUACAAAAAAGGAAGCACAUCUACUAAUUAGUAGUAGCGCAUGGCAGGAAAAGGCGCUACUACUAUCCUCUUAGCAGUAGCGCGUGUUAGCAAAACAGGCUGCUGCUAAGCUUGAACUGGGCGCACAUAGCUAGCCCCACUUAGCAGCAACGCGUAUCGUUAUCCGGCGCUCAAUGGUAGAAAAAGGGCCUAACGUGAAGCUCAUUAGUCACGCUUUAUAAUUGAACCGGCACUAAUGUGACCAUUAAUGUCGGUUCCAAUGGCUAGGCGGGCGGUGGUCAUUAGUCCCGGUUCGUGGUGAACCUCUAGUACCGGUUCGUGCCACGAACCGGGACUAAAGAGGUGGUGGCAAGCUGGUGUCAGGUGAUACGUCUCCAACGUAUCUAUAAUUUUUGAUUGUUUCAUACUAUUAUAUUACUCGUUUUGGAUGUUUAUGGGCUUUACUUUACACUUUUAUAUCAUUUUUGGGACUAACCUACUAACCGGAGGCCCAACCCAAAUUGUUGUUUUUUUGCCUAUUUUAGUGUUUCGAAGAAAAGGAAUAUCAAACGGAGUCCAAACGGGAUGAAACCUUUGGGAAUGAUCUUUUGAAAAAAAUGCAAACCAGGAGACUUGGAGUGGACGUCAAGAAGCAGCUGAGGCGGCCAUUAGGCAGGAGGGCGUGCCCUAGGGGGGUGGGCGCGCCCCCCACCCUUGUGGGCCCCUCGAGGCUCCACCGACCUACUUCUUCCUCUUAUAUAUAUCCACGUACCCUGAAAACAUACGGGAGCACCACGAAACCCUAUUUCUACCACCGCAACCUUCUGUAUCCGCGAUAUCCCAUCUUGAAGCCUUCGUCGGCGCUCCGCCGGAGGGGGAAUCGACCACAGAGGGCUUCUACAUCAACACCAUAGCCUCUCCGAUGAGUUGUGAGUAGUUUACCAUAGACCUUCGGGUCCAUAGUUAUUAGCUAGAUGGCUUCUUCUCUCUCUUUGAAUCUCAAUACAAAGUUCUCCUCGAUCUUCUUGGAGAUCUAUUCGAUGUAACUCUUUUUGCAGUGUAUUUGUCGAGAUUCGAUCUCCUCUGAAUUCUUUUAUGUAUGAUUGGUUAUCUUUGCAAGUCUUUUCGAAUUAUCAGUUUGGUUUGGCCUACUAGAUUGAUCUUUCUUGCAAUGGGAGAAGUGCUUAGAUUUGGGUUCAAUCUUGUGGUGUCCUUUCCCAGUAACAGCAAGGCACAUAUUGUAUUGUUGCCAUCGAGGAUAAAAAGAUGGGGUUUAUAUGAUAUUUCUUGAGUUUAUCCCUCUACGUCAUGUCAUCUUGCGUAAUGCGUUACUCUGUUCUUAUGAACUUAAUACUCUAGAUGUAGGCAGGAGUUGGUCGAUGUGUGGAGUACUAGUAGUAGAUGCAGAAUCGUUUUGAUCUACUUGUCACGGACGUGAUGCCUAUAUACAUGAUCAUGCCUAGAUAUUCUCAUAACUAUGCACUUUUCUACCAAUUGCUUGACAUUAAUUUGUUCACCCACCGUAAUACUUAUGCUAUUUUGAGAGAAGCCAUUAGUGAAACCUAUGGCCCCCGAGUCUAUCUUUUAUCAUAUAAGUUUCCGAUCUACUUUAUUUGCUAUCUUUUACUUUUUAAUCUAUAUCAUAAAAAUACCCAAAAUAUUUAUCUUAUCUUAUUAUCUCUAUCAGAUCUCACUUUCGCAAGUUACCAUGAAGGGAUUGAUAACCCCUUUAUCGCGUUGGUUGCGAGGUUCUUGUUUGUUUAUGUAGGUACGAGGGACUUCUGUGGAGACUCCUACUGGAUUGAUACCUUGGUUCUCAAAAACUGAGGGAAAUACUUACGCUACUUUGCCACAUCACCCUUUCCUCCUCAAGGGAAAACCAACGUAGUGCUCAAGAGGUAGCAUCAGGCUACGGCCCCACCAACACCUUUAGUCCCGGUUUGUGGCACGAACCGGUACUAGAGAUGCACCUGUAGUCCCGGUUUGUAUUACCAACCGGGACUAUAGAUGCCUCUAUAUAAACCCCUUCGUCCAGCCCGAGCUCUCUGUUCUUCCCCUUUCCUUUCCUCUCCUCUUUGUUCUUCCCCUCUCCCUCGAGCUCAUCACACAUUUUCCCCCAAUUUUGUCAAGAUUUGAAGGCCCCCAUCCAUUCAAGUGAUCACAAAGGUAAGCAACUUUGUCCUUUCAUCUCUCAUUCUACUGAUUAGUUUGUGGGUUUUAGUAAUUUUGGAGGAAUUAUAUGUGGUAUUUUAUUUGAUUUAUAUGCAAUUUGAGCUCAAAAUAACUCUUAGUUUGCAUAUGUAGGUGUGGUUUACUUAGUGCCUUCCCAUCUCCGUCCAAACCACCAUCGAUCGCCCGCACCGUCCCGUCGCCGGCACCACCUUGUGGUGAGCCUCUUGUUCUUAUCUUUUUUCUAUAAAAAAUCAUGUUAUUUGUGUGAUUUAGAUAUAUAGUUACUUGUAUAAUUAUCUUACCCAUACGUUGUUUGUUAUACACAGUGCCAUGGUAUUGAUAUCCGUCCCCAUCGGCCCUCAUCCAGUUUAUGAUUCGUAUGUGGUAUAUUCUCUUUUAUAACUAUUUUUUGCAUUUCGUGUUUAUGAAAAAUUAUGCCCGUCAAGUUGACAUAGAUAUUUUUAUCUAGGAGGUAUGUGAACCAGAAGUUCCAACCGACCCUAUUGUUGAGAGGUUAAAUUUAGUUGAAACUGAAAAAUAGUAUUUGAAAGAAAAAUUGAAAACAAUUGAGGACGAGAAUAUGGAGAAAAUGCGCUUGAAGAUUAGAAAGAUUAGAAAAUAUGCCAUUGAUAGUGAGGUUUGGUGUCAUUAUGUUGUUGGAUCAAUUGUUACCAUAUUUGCCAUCUUGAUCACAUUUGUUGUUGCAUUUAAAUGCUUUAGCUAGAGAUUUGUAUGUUGUUUUAUGAGAAUAAGUGUGUAUGGAACUUUAUGUAUGAACUUGUAUUAAUUUGGUAUUUUCGGUGCUGUGUAAUGAAGAUGAGCCGGCAAUGGAUGUACGAUGACGGAUGGUCUCAACGGUUCGUUAAUGGUGUGCGUACUUUUCUGCUUGCGGCUGAGGCAAACAAGCGGGUGGAUGGUUUUAUGUCUUGUCUAUGGGCUGGAUGUAAGAAUGAUCAGAAUUACUCUAAGUAGAAAACCAUUCAAGUCCACCUGUUUGAGUCUAGUUUUAUGCCCCACUAUAAUGUUUGGACCAAGCACGGAGAAAGAGGGUUAUGAUGGAAGACAAUGAAGAAGAAGAGGACGAUGACAGCUAUUCUGGCCAUGGGUUCCCUUAAUACGAUGGUACAACAAUGGGGGAAGAAGCUAUGCCGACAAUGCGGGAAGAAGCUGAGCCGGCAAUGUGGGAAGAAGCUGAAGAAGAGGCAUCAGAUGAGCCCGCUGAUGGUCUAGGUCGGGCCAUUGCCGAUGCAAAGAGAAACUGCGCAAGUGAGAAGGAGAGGCUGAAGUUGCAGUGCAUGUUAGAGGACCACAAGAAAUUGUUGUACCCAAAUUGCAAAGCUGACAAGAAAAAGCUGGGCACCACACUGGAAUUGCUGCAAUGGAAGGCAAAGAAUCGUGUAUCUGACAAGAGAAUUGGAAAGUUGCUGAUAAUGUUAAAGAAGAUGCUUCCAAAGGACAACGCAUUGCCCGAGAGUACGUACGAAGUAAAGAAGGCUAUCUACCCUCUAGGAUUAGAGGUCAGAAGAUACAUGCAUGCCCUAAUGACUGCAUCCUCUACUGCGGUGAGUAUGAGGAUUUGAAUGUGUGCCCAGUAUGCGGUGCAUUGCGCUAUAAGAUCAGUCACGAUGACCCUAGUGAUAUCGAGGGUGAGCGCCCCUGGAAGAAGAUUCUUGCCAAGGUGAUGUGGUAUGCUCCUAUAAUACCACGGUUGAAACCUUUUUUCCAAAACAAAGAGCAUGCUAAGUUGAUGUGAGGGCACAGAGAAGACCGUAAGAAAGACGACAAGUUGAGAGUACCCGCUGACGGGUCGCAAUGGGGAAAAGUCGAGAGAAAGUACUGGGAGGACUUCGCAGGUGACGCAAGGAACAUAUGGUUUGGUCUAAGUGUAGAUGGCAUUAAUCCUUUUGGGGAGCAAAGCAGCAAUCAUAGCACCUGGCAUGUGACUCUAUGUAUGUAUAACCUUCCUCCUUGGUUGUGCAUGAAGCGGAAGUUCAUUAUGAUGCCAGUGCUCAUCCAAGGCCCUAAGCAACCCAGCAACGACAUUGAUGUGUACCUAAGGCCAUUAGUUGAAGAACUCUUAUUGUUGUGGAAUGAAAAAGGUGUACGUGCGUGGGAUGAGCACGGACCGGAGGAAUUUUACCUACAUGCAUUGCUGUUUGUGACCAUUAAUGUUUGGCCUGCUCUCAGUAACCUUUCAGGAUAGACAAACAAGGGAUACUGCGCAUGCACGCACUGUUUGGAUGAUAUCGACAGUAUAUAUUUAGAUAAUUGUAAGAAAAAUGUGUACCUGGGACAUCAUCGAUUUAUUUCGAGCAGGCAUCCCAUAAGAAAGAAAGGCAAGCAUUUCAAAGGUGAGGCAGAUCACCGGACGAAGCCUCGCCACCGUACUUGUGAUGAUGUACAUGAUAUGGUCAAGGAUUUAAAGGUAAUCUUUGGAAAGGGUCCCGUUGGACAAUCUGUUCCGAAUGACGCUGAUGGACGCGCACCCAUGUGGAAGAAGAAACCUAUAUUUUGGGACCUACCCUAGUGGAAAUACCUAGAGGUCCGCUCUGCAAUCGACGUGAUGCACAUGACGAAGAAUCUUUGCGUGACCCUGCUUGGCUUCUUGGGCGUGUAUGGGAAGACAAAAGAUACACCGGAGGCCCGGGAGGACCAGCAACAUAUGCACGGAAAGGAAGGCAUACAUCAGGGUCAUGCUAGCUACGCUCUUACCAAAGAAGAAAAGGAAAUCUUCUUUGAAUGCCUGCUCAGUAUGAAGGUCCCGUCUGGCUCUCGUCGAAUAUAAAAGGAAGAAUAAGUAUGGCAGAGAAAAAGUUCCAAAACUUAAAGUCUCAUGACUGCCACGUGAUUAUGAUGCAUCUGCUUCCGAUUGCAUUGAGGGGGCUUCUACCGGAAAACGUUCGAUUAGCCAUUGUGAAGUUGUGUGCAUUCCUCAAUGCAAUCUCUCAGAAAGUAAUCGAUCCAGAAAUCAUACCAAGUUUAGAGAAUGAUUGAUAACCCGCAAGUAUACGGGAUAGUUGUAGCCUUUUUCGAUAAGUAAGAGUGUCGAACCCAACGAGGAGCUAAAGGUAGAACAAAUACUCUCUCAAGUCCUAUUGGCCACUGAUACGACUCUACGCACGCUUGACGUUCGCUUUACCUAGAACAAGUAUGAAACUAGAGGUACUUUGUAGGUGUGAUAUGAUAGGUUUGCAAGAUAAUAAAGAACACGUAAAUAAAAAGUAGGGGCUGAUUAGAUAAAGAUGCAAUAAAGUAAAUAAAGUGAGUGAGGAAAAGUGGUGGUAGGAGUUGUGGAAUUGUCCCUAAGCAAUUGACUACUUUACUUUACCGAUAGCAAGUUUUAUGUGGGAGAGGCCACUACUAGCAUGUCAUCCCUGACUUGGAAUUCUAUGCACUUAUGAUUGGAACUAGUAGCAAGCAUCUGCAACUACUAACGUUCAUUAAGGUAAACCCAAGAAUAGAAUUAAGAUAUAUUGGUCCCCCUUCAAUCCCGUAUGCAUCAAUUUCUAUGCUAGGUUGAAGCUUCUGUCACUCUAGCCCUCCAAUACAUAGUCCUAUCAACAUACAACUAACCCUAUGGUGUGAUACACGCAUGCGCUCAUAUGAUGGGCACCAAAGGACAGCAGCAUAACCACAAGCAAAUUAAAUAAAUCAUAGCAAUUUAUCAACCACCAAUAGGACAACGAAAAUCUACUCAGACAUCAUAGGAUGGCAACACAUCAUUGGAUAAUAAUAUGAAGCAUAAAGCACCAUGUUCAAGUAGAGGGUACAGCGGGUUGCGGGAGAGUGGACUACGGUAGCUAGAGGGGGGAAGGUGAUGGAGAUGUUGGUGAAGAUGAUGGAGGUGUUGGUGAAGAUCACGGUGAUGAUGAUGGCCCCCGGCAGUGCUCCGGCGCCACCGGAAGCAAGGGGGAGAGGGGGGCCCUUCUUCUUCUUCUUCCUUGACCUUCUCCCUAGAUGGUAGAAGGGUUUCCCCUCUGGUCCUUGGCUCCCAUGGCUUGGGAGGGGCGAGAGCCCCUCCGAGAUUGGAUCUGUCUCUCUGUCUCUCUUUGUUUCUGCGUUCCAUGAUUCUGUCCCUUCACCGUUUCUUUUAUAUCCGGAGAUCCGUAGCUCCGAUUGGGGUGAAUGUUUCGCCCAGAUUUUUCUCAUAAAAUUAGCUUUUUUGCGGCAAAGGAAGAGCAUCAACCACCUUACGGGUGGCCCAGGAGAGUGCCAAGCGCGCCUAGGGGGGUGGGCACGCCCACCUAUCUCCUGGCCACCUCGGGCACCGUUUCGCAUUGAUUCUUCCUCCGGAAAAUCCCAAAUAUUCCAAAAUAAUUCUCCGUCCUUUUUAUACCAUUUGGGUUCCGUUUGAUAUUGGGUUUCUGCGAAACAUAAAACAUGCAACAAACAAGAACUGGCACUGGGCACUAGAUCAAUAUGUUAGUCCCAAAAAUAGUAUAAAAAGUUGCCAAAAGUAUAUGAAAGUUCAAGAAUAUUGGCAUGGAACAAUCAAAAAUUAUAGAUACGACGGAGACGUAUCAGCAUCCCCAAGCUUAAUUCCUGCUCGUCCUUGAGUAGGUAAAUGAUAAAAAGAUACUUUUUGAUGUGGAAUGCUACCUAGCAUAAUCUUGAUCAUAAGUUUAAUUAUGGCAAGAAUAUUAAUACACGAGUGAUUCAAGGCAAUAGUCUAUCAUUUGACAUAAAAACAAUAAUACUUCAAGCAUACCAACCAAGCAAUUAUGUCUUAUCGAAAUAACCUAGCCAAAGAAAGCUCAUCCCUACAAAAUAAUAUAGUCUAGCUAUGCUCUAUCUUCAUCACAUAAAGCAUUCAAAUCAUGCACAACCCCGAUGACGAGCCGAGCAAUUGGUUCAUACUUUUUAACACGCUUCAGCUUUUUCAACUCUUACGCAAUACAUGAGCGCAAGCCAUGGACAUAGCACUAUGGUGGUAUAUGGUGGUGGUUGUGAGGACAAAAAGGGAGAAGAUAGUCUCGCAUCAACUAGGCGUAUCAACGGGCUAUUGAGAUGCCAAUCAAUAGAUAUCAAUGUGAGUGAGGAGGGAUUGCCAUGCAACGGAUGCACUAGAGCUAUAAAUAUUUGAAAGCUCAACAAAAGAAACUAAGUGGGUGUGCAUCCAACUUGCUUGCUCACGAAGACCUAGGGCAUUUUGAGGAAGCCCAUCAUUGGAAUAUACAAGCCAAGUUAUAUAAUGAAAAAUUCCCACUAGUAUAUGAAAGUGAAAGCAUAGGAGACUCUCUCUAUGAAGAACAUGGUGCUACUCUGAAGCACAAGUGUGGUAAAAGGAUAGUAACAUUGGCCCUUCUCUCUUUUUCUCUCAUUUUUUUAUUUUCUUUUUAAAAAAAAAUUGGUGGGCUUCUUUGGCCUCUUUUUUUUUAUUUGGGCUUCUUUGGCCUCUUUUAUUUUUCAUAAAGUCCGGAGUCUCAUCCCGACUUGUGGGGGAAUCAUAGUCUCCUUCAUCCUUUCCUCACUGGGGCAAUGCUCUAAUAAUGAUGAUCAUCACACUUUUAUUUACUUACAACUCAAUAUUACAACUCGAUAUCUCUAAAAAAGAUAUGACUCUAUAUGAAUGCUUCCGGUGGUGUACCGGGAUGUGCAAUGCUCUAGCAUAGCAAUGACAUCAAAAAAUGGACAAGCCAUGAAAACAUCAUGCUAGCUAUCUUACGAUCAUGUAAAACAAUAUGACAAUGAUGGAACAUGUCAUAAUAACAGAAUCGUGGAAAGUUGCAUGGCAAUAUAUCUCGGAAUGGCUAUGGAAAUGCCAUAAUAGGUAGGUAUGGUGGCUGUUUUGAGGAAGGUAAAUAAUGGGUUCAUGAUACCAGCGAAAGGUGUGCGACACAAUAGAGGCUAGCAAAGUGGAAGGGUGAGUGUGCGCAUAUCCAUGGACUCACAUUAGUCAUAAAGAACUCAUGUACUUAUUGCAAAAGUCUACUUAGCCCUCGAAGCAAAGUACUACUACGCAUGCCCCUAGAGGGAUAGAUUGGUAGGAAAAGACCAUCGCUCGUCCCCGACUGCCACUCAUAAGGAAGACAAUCAAAAAACACCUCAUGCUCCAACUUCGUUACAUAACGGUUCACCAUACGUGCAUGCUACGGGACUUGCAAACCUCAACACAAGUAUUUCUAAAUUUCACAAUUACUCAACUAGCACGACUCUAAUAUCACCACCUUUAUAUCGCAAAACUAUUGCAAGGAAUCAAACAUAUCAUAUUCAGUGAUCUACUAGUUUUAUGUAGGAUUUUAUGACUAACCAUGUGAUGACCAAUUCUUGUCAUCUCUCUAGAUAUAAGUGAAGCAAGAGGGUUUAAUUCUUUCUACAAAAUAUAUGCCCAUGCUCUAACAAAUAUAAGUGAAGCAAAAGAUCAUUCUACAAAUGGUGGUUUUCUAUGUAACGGGAAACAGGUAAUCCAAACUUCAAAUGAUAUAAGUGAAGCACAUGAAGCAUUCUAUAAGGCCAUACUCAAAAGAUUUAAGUGAAGUGCAAUGAGCAUUCUAUAAAACAACCAAGGACUAUCUCAUACCAGCAUGGUGCAUAAAAUAAAACUGAAAACUAAAUGCAAAAGACGCUCCAAGACUUGCACAUAUCGCAUGAACGAAACGAAUCCGAAAACAUACUGAUACUUCUUGAAGAAAGAGGGGAUGCCUUCCGGGGCACCCCCAAGCUUAGACACUUGAGUCUCCUUGAAUAUUUACUUGGGGUGCCUCGGGCAUCCCCAAGCUUGAGCUCUUUCCUCUGUUCCUUUUCCUCAUAUCGAGACAUCCUCGAUUAGACACUUCAUCCACACAAAACUUCAACAGAAAACUCUGUAAGAUCCGUUAGUAUAAUAACGCAAAUCACCACUCUAAGUACUGUUGCAAACCAAUUCAUAUUUUGUUUUUGCAUUGUGUCUACUGUAAUAUAACUUUUCCAUGGCUUAAUCCACUGAUAUAAAUUGAUAGAUUCAUCUAAACAAGCAAACUAUGCAUCAAAAACAGAACCUGUCAAAAACAGAACAGUCUGUAGCAAUCUGAACAUUCACCAUACUUCUGGUACCCCAAAAAUUCUACGAAAAUUAGGGAAAAUAAAAAAGUUGUACAGAAAGACAGAUCAAAAGGAAUCAGAACCAAUUGACGUUUCAGUUAAAAAUAUAAAAUACCGCACUACAGCCAAAGUUUCUGUCCUGCACCGUACAAACAAACAAGCAUUGUAAACAUCCUAAAGGCAAGCCUGGGCACAUUAUUUUUAUAAUACAAUGGAAUUGUACAACGGGCUAAUUAUUUUUGAUGGAAACUUUCUGUAAUCAAGAUUCACAAAGUUUUCGUGAGCAUGAACAAAGUUCAAGGAGCUCUCCCACUUCAACAAUGCUUGUCUUUCUCACUUUCACUUUCCUUUUUGAAAAGUUUUGGGUUCCCCUCUUUAUUUUUUUUGUUUUUAAACUAUAUAAAAGAACUCAACAGAAAUAAAUGACUCUCUAAAACUUCCGGGUUGUCUCCCUGGCAGCGCUUUCUUUAAAGCCAUUAAGCUAGGAGUGCUCAAGUAAUGAAUCCACCCGGAUCCCAAGGUAUAUCAAAGACAAUUUUAAUUAACAAUGAUUUGUAUUUUGGUAGUGAGCACAAAGUAACAUAUAUCAUGCAACAACAAAGUGUAACCCUCUUCCUAUGCAUUGGCAUGUCAUAAAAGUACAAUUCAUGCACACAUAGUAAAGGCCAAUGCAUAGUAUAAACAGUUUCUUGCAAUUCUAUCGUAUUGCAAACAUAAAGAGGCGGAGAUACAAUUCCUCUUUCAUAAUAAUUGCAAGUAGGAGCAGCAAGCACAUGCAUAUUAUAUCUAUCAAAAUUAUCAUGUGCAAUGGUAAAAGGCAACCCAUCAAUAUAAUCCUUAAUAAGCACAAACUUCUCCGAUAUAGUGUAGUUUGGAGAAUUCAAAAAGAAAAUAGGACUAUCAUGCGUGGGUGCAAUAGCAACAAUUUCAUGUUUAACAUAAGGAACUAUAGCAAGUUCAUCUCCAUAUGCAUAAUUCAUAUUGGCAUCUUGGCCACAAGCAUAGCAAGCAUCAUCAAAAAGGGAUAUUUCAAGAGAAUCAACAGGAUCAUAGCAAUCAUCAUAGCAAUCAUCCUUCGGUAAGCACGAAGGGGAAUUAAACAACGUAUGAGUUGAAGAGUUACUCUCAUUAGAAGGUGGGCACGGGUGAUCAAUCUGCUCUUCCUCCUUUUGUUCUUCGCUCUCCUCAUCAUCUUUUUCAUCCAAUGAGCUCACAAUUUCAUCACUUUCUUCUUCCAUAGCUUCCUGCAAAAUAUUAGUCUCUUCUUGGACAGCGGAGACUUUCUCAAUAAAUGCACUAAUAUAGUAAUUGUAUUCAUAAUUUUCAUAGCAAUAUCUAAGUAAAGCAAGAUUUUCAGGCCUAUAAACAUCAUCAUCAAAAGCUUCAUACUUUUCAAACAAAGAUUCAAUUUCAUAAGCACCCUUAAAAGCUAUGAAUUCUUCUAUUUGUUCCACAUCAUAGUAAUCAUAUAUACCAUUAGCAUAAGAAGCCAAGGUUUUAUCAUCAUUAAAUUUGCAUGAAAAGGGAAGGUGUGGAGCCUUCAUCCUAGAGCAACAAGUAAUAUCAUAGUUCAAGCAUAGUUGCCUAGCAUACCAACGUAAUAUAUGAAUUUGAUCCCAUAAUAGUUUCCCUUUUGUGUCAAGCGAUAGUCCCUAAAGUAUUCACGUUGAUCCAACGUGUCUCCCAUAACAUAAUUGAAUGGGGUUUUCUCAGGAUUAUCAAAGUAGUACAUAAUAUCUUGAACAUAACGAGCAUCGAGGGUUUUAGGAGGUUCCCCAUCUCCAUGAGUAGCAUCUACACCUAAAAAUUUUUGUAUUUCGUGUUCCAUAUCCAUAACUAAAGAUAGAGAACAACUUAGAAUAGAAAAUAAAAAUUACUUAGUGAUAAAGCAAACAAGCACACACGAGAAUAUUCACCCCACGCUAUGACUCCCCGGCAAUGGCACCAGAAAAAGGUCUUGAUAACCCGCAAGUAUACGGGAUAGUUGUAGCCUCUUUCGAUAAGUAAGAGUGUUGAACCCACCGAGGAGCCAAAGGUAGAAGAAAUACUCUCUCAAGUCCUAUCGGCCACUGAUACGACUAUACGCACGCUUGACGUUCGCUUUACCUAGAACAAGUAUGAAACUAGAGGUACUUUGUAGGUGUGAUAGGAUAGGUUUGCAAGAUAAUAAAGAACACGUAAAUAAAAAGUAGGGGCUGUUUAGAUAAAGAUGCAUUAAAGUAAAUAUAGGGAGUGUGGAAAAGUGGUGGUAGGAUUCGUGGAAUUGUCCCUAAGCAAUUGACUACUUUACUAGACCGAUAGCAAGUUUUAUGUGGGAGAGGCCACUGCUAGCAUGUCAUCCUUGACUUGGAAUUCUAUGCACUUAUGAUUGGAACUAUUAGCAAGCAUCCGCUACUACUAACGUUCAUUAAGGUAAAACCCAACCAUAGCAUUAAGAUAUAUUGGUCCCCUUCAAUCCAGUAUGCAUAAAUUUCCAUGCUAGGUUGAAGCUUCUGUCACUCUAGCCCUCCAAUACAUAGUCCUAUCAACAUACAACUAACCCUAUGGUGUGAUCCACGCGCGCGCUCAUAUGACGGGAACCAAAGGGCAGAAACAUAACCACAAGCAAAUUAAAUAAAUCAUAGCAAUUCAUCAACCACCAAUAGGACAACGAAAAUCUACUCAGACAUCAUAGGAUGGCAACACAUCAUUGGAUAAUAAUAUGAAGCAUAAAGCACCAUGUUCAAGUAGAGGGUACAGCGGGUUGCGAGAGAGUGGAAUGCUGUAGAUAGAGGGGCGAAGGCGAUGGAGAUGUUGGUGAAGAUGAUGGAGGUGUUGGUGAAGAUCGCGGUGAUGAUGAUGGCCCCCGGCAGCGCUCCGGCGCCACUGGAAGCAAGGGGGAGAGGAGGCCCCUUCUUCUUCUUCUUCUUCCUUGACCUUAUCCCUAGAUGGGAGAAGGGUUUCCCCUCUGGUCCUUGGCUCCCAUGGCUUGGGAGGGGCGAGAGCCCCUCUGAGAUUGGAUCUGUCUCUUUGUCUCUCUUUGUUUCUGCGUUCCCAGAUUCUGCCCCUUCACCGUUUCUUUUAUAUCCAGAGAUCUGUAGCUCCGAUUGGGGUGAAUCUUUCGCCCAGAUUUUUCUCAUAAAAUUAGCUUUCCUGCAGCAAAAGAAGAGCAUCAACUGCCUUACGGGUGGCCGAGGAGAGUUCCAGGCGUCCCCUAUCUCCUGGCCACCUCGGGCACUAUUUCGCGUUGAUUCUUCCUCUGGAAAAAUCCCAAAUAUUCCAAAAUAAUUCGCCGUCCGUUUUUAUCCCGUUUGGAUUCCGUUUGAUAUUGGGUUUCUGUGAAACAUAAAACAUGCAACAAACAAGAACUGGCACUCGGCACUCGAUCAAUAUGUUAGUCCCAAAAAUAGUAUAAAAAGUUGCCAAAAGUAUAUGAAAGUUGAAGAAUAUUGGCAUGGAACAAUCAAAAAUUAUAGAUACGACGGAGACGUAUCAAUGAUCUGGUGCAAUGUCUUGUCAGUUUCGACUUGGUGUUCCCACCAUCCUUCUUCAAUAUCAUGACGCACGUCCUAGUUCACCUAUGCGAAGAGAUUGCUGUUAUGGGUCCUGUAUUUCUACACAAUGUGUUUCCCUUUGAGAGGUUCAUGGGAGUCUUAAAGAAAUAUGUUCAUAACCGUGCUAGGCCAGAAGGAAAAAUCUCCAAGGGCCAUGAAAAUGAGGAGGUCAUUGAGUUUUGUGUUGACUUUAUUCCUGACCUUAAGCCGAUUGGUGUUCCUGAAUCGUGGCAUAAGGGCAAACUGGGUGGAAAUGGCACGCUGGGACCGAAUCAAAUAAUAUGUAUGGACGGGCAUUCUCCCACUGAAGCAUACUACACAGUUCUAGAAAGUUCCGCCUUGGUGGCUCCGUAUAUGGAGUAACACAAGAAUAUUCUAAGCUCCAAAUACCCGGAGAAGUCUGAAGACUGGAUUACACAUGAACAAACGAGGACUUUCGCCGGUUGGUUGCAGACACGUGCCAUCCAUGACGACACUGGUGAAGAUGACAUGUACUUGUUGUCCCAGUUACCAUAAUCGAAUAUAAUGCCUUUCAAAGGUUACGAGAUAAAUGGGAAUACAUUUUACGCGAUCGCUUAAGAUAAAAAGAGCACCAACCAAAACAGUGGUGUCCGCUUUGAUGCAGCAACCAGUAGGGGAAAGGACACAUAUUAUGGCUAUAUAGAGGAGAUAUGGGAACGUGACUAUGGAAGUGAUUUGAAGGUCGCUUUGUUUCAGUGCAAAUGGAUCAAUCUGAUAGGAGGCCACGCAAAGGAAGACCCACAGUACAAAAUGACAACCUUGGAUCUCAACAAUCUUGCGUACGCAGACGAACCAUUCAUCCUAGCCAAUGAUGUGGCGCAGGUUUUCUAUGUGGAGGACAUGUCUACCAAGCCGAGAAAAAGAAACAAUAAGGAAGCGAAUACAUCAUACGAUGUGCCAAAGCGCCACAUAGUUCUUUCAGGGAAAAGAAACAUCGUGGGAGUGGAUGACAAGACAGGCAUGUCGGAAGAUUAUGAAAAGUUUCAUGAAAUUGCUCCCUUCACAGUGAAUGUUGACCCGAGCAUCCAGUUAAAUGAUGAAGAUUCUCCAUGGUUACGGCGCAAAAGGACAUACGCAAAGAAAAAGAUUCACACCCAAAGAUCCCACUUUGGGAUGUGACCGGCUUUACUGUCAUCACUUUCUUCUCUAGUCAGUUUCCAGACUUGUAUAUCUGAAAGGUCCAACUUUGGACAAACCAUAGGGAAUCUUUGUAAUAGUUAGGGUGCUUAUGGGUUUUGCCAUUUUAAAUGUGUACUUGUGUGCUUCGGACAAAUGUCAGCAAUUUUCAACCCUUUUCGACUUCAUUUGCUAUUUUUCAUGCAUUUACUGAUUUUUUUAUCUAAAUCACCCUGAAAUUGAAAAGCACUACAAAUGAACUUUGAAAAAAGGUUGAAAGUUGGCAUGGUAUCAUCAUUUCACCCACAUAGCAUGUGCUAAAAAGUUAAGAGGGUUAUGGAAAAAACUAGACGCACUUCGUGUAUAAAAUGGACAAUCUCUUUCAACGUAUCAGGGUUUCGGACGAAAACUCAUCUGUUACAAAGGCAUUUCAUUUUUUUAAACUUAUUUCAAUUCCAGACUUUUUGUGUGUUCAGUAUGCACCAUUCAAAGCCACGUCAUCAAUUUUCAACCAUUUCUGACUUCAUUUGCUAUUAUUCAUGUAUUUACUGAUUUUUUUAGCUAAAUGACCCUGAAAUUAAAAAGCACUACAAAUGAACUCUGAAAAGGUUGAAAGUUGGCAUCGUAUCAUCAUUUCACCCACAUAGCAUGUGCUAAAAAGUUGAGAGGGUUACGGAAAAAACUGGAUGCACUUCGUGUACAAAAUGGACAAUCUCUUUCGAAGUAUCAGGGUUUCGAACAAAAACUCAUCUGUUACAAAGGCAUUUCAUUUUUUAAACUUAUUUCAUGUCUAGACUUUUUGUGCAUUCAGUAUGCACCAUUCAAAGCCACGUCGUCAAUUUUCAACCAUUUCUGACUUCAUUUGCUAUUUUCAUGUAUUUACUGAUUUUUUGACCUAAAGGACCUUGAAAUUAAAAAGCACUACAAAUGAACUCCGAAAAGGUUGAAAGUUGGCAUGGUAUCAUCAUUUCAACCACAUAGCAUGUGCUAAAAGUUGAGAGGGUUACGGAAAAAACUGGAUGCACUUCGUGUAUAAAAUGGACAAUCUCUUUCGAAAUAUCAGGGUUUCGAACGAAAACUCGUCUGUUACAAAGGCAUUUCAUUUUUUAAACUUAUUUCAAGUAUAGACUUUUUGUGCAUUCAGUAUGCACCAUUCAAAGCCACGUCAUCAAUUUUCAACCAUUUCUGACUUCAUUUGCUAUUUUCAUGCAUUUACUGAUUUGUUUUGAGCUAAAUGACCCUGAAACUGAAAAGCACUACAAAUGAACUCUGAAAAGGUUGAAAGUUGGCACAGUAUCAUCAUUUCACCCACAUAGCAUGUGCUAAAACGUUGAGAGGGUUACGGCAAAAACUGGAUGCACUUUGUGUACAAAAUGGACAAUCUCUUUCCACCCUCGUUCAUCAGCCUCAAUAGCUCGUUUCACCCUCGUUUCCAGGAGUCCAAAUCAUUGCUGAACAUGCCCAUGGCGUGAUUGUUAAUCUUUUUCAUCUUCGGAUCAUCCCACGGUUGUUCUAUGUUAUCAUCCCGGUCGGGGAACUUGAAUCUCUUGUGCAACUUUGUUAGGAGCAAUUGCGUCAAAUGUUCUUUACAAAGGCAUUUCAUUUUUUUUAAACUUAUUUCAACUCCAGACUUUUUGAGUGUUCGGUAUGCACCAUUCAAAGCCAUAGCUACUGGUACAUACCCUCAUCCCCGAGGGUGAACUACUCCCUCCUCGUCAUGGAGAGCGUCGGGAUGAUGAAGAUGGCCCCCGGUGAUGGAUUCCCCCUUCGGUAGGGUGCCGGAACAGGGUCCUGAUUGGUUUUUGGUGGCUACAGAGGCUUGCGGCGGUGGAACUCCCGAUCUAGGUUAUUUUCUGGAUGUUUGGGGAUUUAUAGGAGAGGUUGGCAUCGAGAACAAGUCAGGGGGCCCCACGAAGAGUCCACGAGGCAGGGGCGCGCCCUCCACCCUCAUGGGACCCACAGCCUCCCCUCCGGUAAUUCUUCGUUUAAGUAAUUUUUAUAUUAUCAAGAAAAUAUCUCCGUUCAUUUUCAGCGCAUUUCGAGAACUUUUAUUUCUGCACAAAAAUAACAGCACGGUAGUUCUGCUGAAAAUAGCGUCAGUCCGGGUUAGUUCUAACCAAAUCAUACCAAAAUCAUGUAAAAAUAUUGUAAACAUGGAAUGAAUACAUCAAAAAUUAUAGAUACGUUGGAGAUGUAUCAGCAUCCCCAAGCUUAAUUCCUGCUCGUCCUCAAGUAGGUAAAUGAUAAAAACUGAAUUUUUGAUGUGGAAUGCUACCUAACAUAUUUAUCAAUACAAUCUUCUCUAUUGUGUCAAAAAUAUUCAGAUCCAUAAGAUUCAAAACAAAAGUUUAAUAUUGACAUAAAAAUAAUAAUACUUCAAGCAUACUAACAAAGCAAUCAUGUCUUCUCAAAUAACAUGGCCAAAGAAAGCUAUCCCUACAAAAUCAUAUAGUCUGGCUAUGCUCUAUCUUCAUCACACAAAAUAUUUAAAUCAUGCACAACCCCGAUGACAAGCCAAGCAAUUGUUUCAUACUUUUGAUGUUCUCAAACUUUUUCAAUUUUCAUGCAGUACAUGAGCGUGAGCCAUGGAUAUAGCACUAUAUGUGGAAUAGAAUGGUGGUUGUGGAGAAGACAAAAAGGGGAAGAUAGUCUCACAUCAACUAGGCGUAUCAAUGGGCUAUGGAGAUGCCCAUCAAUAGAUAUCAAUGUGAGUGAGUAGGGAUUUCCAUGCAAAGGAUGCGCUAGAGCUAUAAGUGUAUGAAAGCUCAAAAGAAAACUAAGUGGGUGUACUUCCAACUUGCUUGCUCACGAAACCCAGAGCAUUUUGAGGAAGUCCAUCAUUGGAAUAUACAAGCCAAGUUCUAUAAUGUAAAAUUCCCACUAGUAUAUGAAAGUGACAACAUAGGAGACUCUCUAUCAUGAAGAUCAUGGUGCUACUUUGAAGCACAAGUGUGGUAAAAGGAUAGUAGCAUUACCCCUUCUCUCUUUUUCUCUCAUUUUUUAAUUUUUUUAUUUGGCUCUGUCUCUUUUUUUGGCCUCUUUUUUUCGUCCGGAGUCUCAUCCCGGCUUGUGGGGGAAUCAUAGUCUCCAUCAUGCUUUUCUCACUGGGACAAUGCUCUAAUAAUGAUGAUCAUCACACUUUUAUUUACUUCUCAAGAAUUAGAACUCAAUGCUCAAAACAAAAUAUGACUCUAUGUGAAUGCCUCCGGCGGUGUACCGGGAUAUGGAAUGAUUCAAUAGUGACAUGUAUGAAAAAAUUAUAAACGGUGGCUUUGCCACAAAUACGAUGUCAAGUACAUGAUUAUGCAAAGCAAUAUGACAAUGAUGGAGCGUGUCAUAAUAAACGGAAUGAUGGAAAGUUGCAUGGCAAUAUAUCUCGGAAUGGCUAUGGAAAUGCCAUAAUAGGUAGGUAUGGUGGCUGUUUUGAGGAAGGUAUAUGGUGGGUGUAUGGUACCAACGAAAGUUCCGCGGUACCAGAGAGGCUAGCAAAGGUGGAAGGGUGAGAGUGCGUAUAAUCCAUGGACUCAACAUUAGUCACAAAGAACUCACAUACUUAUUGCAAAAAUCUAUUAGUUAUCGAAACGAAGUACUACACGCAUGCUCCUAGGGGAUAGAUUCGUAGGAAAAGACUAUCGCUCAUCCCCGACCGCCACUCAUAAGGAAGACAAUCAAUAAAUAAAUCAUGCUCCAACUUCAUCACAUAACGGUUCACCAUACGUGCAUGCUAUGGGAAUCACAAACCUCAACACAAGUGUUUCUCAAAUUCACAAUUACUCCACUAGCAUGACUCUAAUAUCACCAUCCUCAUAUCUCAAAACAAUCAUAAGGAAUCAAACUUCUCAUUGUAUUCAAUGCACUUUAUAUGAAAGUUUUUAUUAUAUCCCUCUUGGAUGCCUAUCAUACUAGGACUAAUUUCAUAACCAAAGAAAAUUACCAUGUUGUUUAAGAAUCUCAAAAUAAUAUAAGUGAAGCAUCAUAGUUCAUCUAUUUCUUCAAAAUAAAACCACCAUCGUGCUCCAAAAGAUAUAAGUGAGGCACUAGAGAAAAUGACAAACUACUCUGAAAGAUAUAAGUGAAGAUCAAUCAGUAGUCAAAUAAUUAUGUAACUAUGUGAAGACUCUCUAACAUUUAAGGAUUUCAGAUCUUGGGAUAUUAUUCAAAAAUCAAGCAAAACAAAAUAAAACAAAAUGAUGCUCCAAGAAAAACACAUGUCAUGUGGUGAAUAAAAAUAUAGCUCCAAGUAAAGUUACCGAUGAACGAAGACGGAAAAGGGGAUGCCAUCCAGGGCAUCCCCAAGCUUAGGAUCUUGGUUGUCCUUGAAUAUUAACUUGGGGUGCCUUGGGCAUCCCCAAGCUUAGGCUCUUGCUGUCGGUGUCAAAACCAGUGGAUCUUGGGUAGGGGGUCCCGAACUGUGUGUCUAAGGUUGAUGGUACCAGGAGGCGGGGGACACGAUGUCUACCCAGGUUCGGGCCCUCUCUAUGGAGGUAAUACCCUACUUCCUGCUUGAUUGAUCUUGAUGAAUAUGAGUAUUACAAGAGUUUAUCUACCAUGAGAUCGUAAUGGAUAAAACCCUAGAAGUCUAGCCUCUAUGUUUAUGAUUGCCUGUACGGACUAAGCCCUUCAGUUUAUAUAGACAUCGGAGGGGACCAGGUUUGUACAAAGUCGGUUACAGAGAAAGGAAUCUUCAUAUCCGGGUGCCAAGCUUGCCUUCCACGCCAAGGAGAGUCCCAUCCGGACACGGGAGAGAGUCUUCUGUCUUGUGUCUUCACGGCCCAAUAGCCGGCCUACGCUACAUAGUCUGGCCGUCCGAGGACCCCUUAAUCCAGGACUCCCUCAGCAGCCCCUGAACCAAGGCUUCAAUGAUGAGGUGUCCGACACGCAAAUUGUCUUCGGCAUUGCAAGGCGGGUUCCUUCUCCGAAUAGUCCAAAAUAGUCUUUUGAACACAAGAAUCGUGUCCGGCUCUGCAAAACAAAUUCCACACACAACUGUAGAGAGUAUAAUAUUUCACGAGUCCAAUCCGCUGACAACUUUUUGUAGCGUGACAUCACGUCGCCGCCCGACCAUUAUUUUGAACAGUUUUUUAGCCUGCCGCUCCAUAUUUCAAGAUAUGGUUUUAUUGGCACGUCCUGUCGAAGUAGAGAUCGUGUCUCCUUAUCGCGGGAUUCUCAUCAAUACGGGUGUGGGUAACCCAACCAUGCCGUCUGCAUGGCCCUUGGGGAAUAGGCGAGUUUUAAGGCGAGUGGCGAGGCGCUUGAUAUUUGCUGCAUUUAUAAGGAGAAAAGGAUUCACCCCUUUUCACCCACGCCUUCCCUUUCUCUGCCCAUCCAUUCUCGAGCUCCAACGCCCAAGUCCUCAUCCUCUCGCCUCAAAAAAAAGCACCCCAAUCAUGUCCAGAUCCAGAGCGCAGGGCAAGUGGAUGGCCUCCUCCGUUAAGUAGAAGGACAUUACUAAGCUCCGGGAGGCUGGGUAUUCGGCCGAGGAAAUCUCCCAUCGGCUUCCGGCCAAGGGACAGAUCAUCCCCACCCCGGAGCCCCAUGAGAGGGUAGUAUUCAUCCCCCACAUCGCCCGCGGGUUGGGAUUUUCUCUCCACCCAUUCGUCCGCGGACUCAUGUUCUACUAUGGGCUGGAUUUCCACGAUCUGGCCCCCAACUCCUUCCUCAACAUCUCGGCAUUCAUUGUCAUGUGCGAGGCCUUACUCCUCACCGCACCCCACUUCGGAUUAUGGUUAAAGAUCUUCAAUGUGAAGCCAAAGGUCGUGGGCAGUCAACACGCGGAGUGCGGAGGCGCCAUGGUGAGCAAGAUGCCCAACGUCACAUGGCCAAUAACUACCUUUGUGGAGACCGUCAAAGGGUGGCAAUAGCAGUGGUUCUAUGUCACAGAGCCGUGCGACACCACCUGGGCCGCGGAUCCUAAAUUCCAGUCCAGAGCCCUGAUGCGGCUCACCUCCUGGCUAGAGAAGGGCCGGGACUGGUCUUCAUCGGACGAGGUGACAACGCUUCAGACGCGCAUCAGGAGCAUGAUAGACAAGAAUAUCAAGCUUGUCGAUGUGAUCCAGUUGAUGCUUGUUCGCCGGAUCCUUCCGUGCCAAAGCCGGACUUGCCAUUUGUGGGAGUACAAUCCGGCCAAGCACCAGACCUUGCUACAGUUCUUCGACACUCCGCAUGAAGAUAUCUAGAAGGUGCUUUUCAAGUCCAACGAGACGUGGCCGGAUACGACCGAGGACUGUGGGCACGACUUGGCCCAUCCCGCUAGUCCAGUAAGUUUUUUCAUGUUUUCAAGGUGUAUACUUUACUUGCAUACUCGAGGAAGACGCCUAAGCCUCCCUACUAAGUCUCUCAGGGCUGGACAAAGAAUGCAGAGCGGAUUCACUAUCCGGCUCCGCUGCCCGAAGACCCAGCAGUUCCACUUCUGACGAAGAUGUUGGUUCCGGCGCCCUAUCAAGCACCGGAGAAGAAGGCCAAGGGGACCAAAGGUGGCCUCCAUCAUAAGGGCACUUCAGACGUGACGUCCGGAGAUGCCGAGACUCAUUCCUCCGCCACCGAGGACGACGAGGAAGAAGAGGUAGAAGAAGAAAGCAAUUCCCCCCUGAGUGGGGAAGAAACAAAAGGAUGGCCUCCACGCAUCCGGAGGCCGAAGCAUCCAAGAAGGGGAAGGCUUCCCUCCCAGACAAUUCCACAGCGGACAGCGACAACAGCUCGGAAUGGCGCCCCAGGGAUAAGCCCCUGGCCGAAUCGUAAGUAGUCAAAGAUGCACUCAUAUAUCCGGCCCUUUUCCUUCAUGGUUUUUACAUGUCGAAUCAUGUGCUGCAGCUCGGCCCGUUCCGUCCUCCAGCAAUCCUCAUCAACGGGUAAUUCGCUGGACCCAAAGGUGAUGGAUAGCAGGUCCCUUCCGGCGGCCUCCUCUCCCAAGGCCAUGGAUGACACUGAGGCGUUGUCCCGAAGGACCCCAGGCCAGGGAGCGAUGAAGGAGGCCGUCAAGGCGGCGUCAGAGGGUGAAACCUUGGCCGCCGGACACAUCGGGGAGCAAAUCCCCAUAGAUACUGGUGAUGGGGGCCAUAUCCAAUUCGGCCCCCAGCCGAAUACAAUUUUGGAGACCUAUACGGCUCCGGAAUUAGGAAAGCAGCCUCUUUCGAAAGAAGGAGGUGCACCUAUUCCACCGGUGACCUCUGUCCAUCCAGAGGCACCGGAUAAUUUGCUUGAAGCGCUGCAAGGCACUUCCAUUGUUGAGGAACAUCGUAUCCUUAUGGGUACGAUGGUUGAGAGGGUGCGGUCCAUUAAGAGCGGACUGACCGACGCUUGUACCAGUGUUCUAAGAGGUUUUGAGGUGAGCAACACAAUUAUAUAAAAAGAAUGCCAUAGUAUAGACAGUAGCCCUGAGACUCUGUCCGGUGUUCAGAAAGAAAAGCCGAAUAGAGGAUCAAAUAAUUUUCGCAGGAGACUAACCUGACAUGUCUAUGUGAAUAAGCAGGCGUCGUUGCUAGCUGCAACCUCUCAUGCUGCUGAGGACUCUAGACUGAAGCAUAGUCUGGAGCGGACCGAGGAAGAGCUCGGCCGUGUGAAGAAACAGCUGGAAGACAAUUAAGGUAUGCAAUAACCUUGUCUAUAUUCAGGAAGGAUGAAUGAUUUGUGCUGAUAAAGUCCCAUGAUAUUUAUUAGGAGCGGUGGCCGAGGUGGAGACCCUCAAGAAGGUGUUGGACGAGGCCGAGGAGAGAGCGGCCAAGGAACAAGCCGCCCAUGAAAAGCAUGAGGCCAGGGUCGGUGAGGUCCAGCAGGAGCUCCAGGACACCAUGAAGUAAUGCGAGUCCUUGGAGCACAACAUUGCGGAUCAAGAGUCCGAACUUGCUAAGGCCCGCCAAAGCGCACACGAUGCCCGAGUUGAAGCCCAGGGCGCCCUCCAGGAAGUCCAGGAGGCCAGAAAAAUCGCAGCGAGUAAGGCCUUUAUUAUGCAGAGCAAAUAUGUGAAGAAAAGAUUCCUCCUACUGACCCAGAUUUGGAGUUCUACAGGGGCGUUUGCGGACCUACCGUGCAACAUUUCAGACGCUACGGAGUUCUUCCGAGCCGAAGAUGGGAGUUCCACGGAGAAGCUGUUUUGGUCGAAAUACCUUGCGCCAGAACAUCCGGUGCCCUUUGGCGAUCAGCUAAAACAGCUGGUCGAACUGCAUAGGGUGGCCUAACUAGCCAUGAAGGAUUUAAUAAUCCGUCUAUGGCCUGCCGAAGCCAUACCUAGCAGCUACUUCGGGGUCGUGAAGCGGCUGGUCAAUGCGCGCCCUCAGCUUGAUGCCAUCAAGCGGUCAGUCUACAUCGAAGGCGCGCGAAUGGCCUUCGCCCGAGUCAAGAUACAGUGGGUGGAGAUGGACGCUGUGAAGCUUGCGACCGAUGGACCGCCCGCGGGCAAGGAGCACCGCACGCCCGAGCGGUAUUUUGAAGAUGUCUUGAAGGGAUCCCGCGUUGUAGAGGGGCUGUGUUCGAAAGACAUUAUCUUUGAAUGAAGUCAUUCAUAUUGUCCCUUCCUGUAUUAUGAAAUAAAGUCGUUAUGUAAUAUAAUGCAUGUUAUUUAAAAUUGUACCUCCUGUGCGGCCGUUUUGUUAAAUCUGAGAGUUGGUCAGUCGUUGGCUUCAGCCCCCACAUAGGUAGUACGGGGGUGUUUGGGAUGAAUCUAAAUACUCUUUAUCCCAAAGUCUGGUCCUUAAAGGAGGUGUUUAACGCAACGAACCAGGAAAUCGGACUAUGUGGCUUUAUCACCCUCACUUAGCCAAAGGACUUUGACAAAUAGAAAUGUAGGCGCAGUCCCUAGUUAGUAUUUAAUUCGGACUAGAGUGUUGUAGACACCUUGUCGGGUAAAGGCCGAUUCGUCGCACGAGGCGCAAGAAAUCACAAAAGAUUUUGAUCCUCCGAAUAGCUGACCAUCUCUCGCCACAUCAUGAUAGUCGGUUUUCGGCUUUCUCUACUGAGGUGUUUGCUCGAAUAAACCAGAGACACAAUCGCAGUAGUUCUCCCUUGCCUACCCUAGCCGAUAGAGCGGAACGUAAGGUAGUAAGCAUAGGAUCCGGGCAACACAACUAUUGACCAAAGACAUGAUUCGGAGCCAAUGCAUAUAAUGCUACAAUUCGGGGUGCCAAACUCUACUGUAAAAAGUGUUUGGACUUUGUUGCCGUAGUAUGGAGCAUAAUGAAUCCCCUGGCGAAUUUAAAGCGUACCAAAGUGUAUGGGUGCAAUCGAUAAGAAUAAGGAAAUAAAAUGAAAUAGCAAUUUAAUGCCACAUAAGUUAGGCCGCAAACUUUUUUUAUUGUAAUUUGAUUAAUACGCCAAAGCUUAUUUGUACAAAUAGUGUGAUAAACAAUAUGGCUGUUUAACGUGCCAAGACCAGGGGGGAGCUGUGUGCGGGUCCCGAAGACAGGUAGAAUGAUCAUCAAGAAGAACAUCUAGAGAUUCCCUCACAUGUCCAUACUGCUUCCCUCCUUGGUAUGUAUAUAUCCUUCGAAAGGACCGAUGACCAGGCCGUCGGGAGGGGCCUGUGAAAAAGACACAAAAAAUGAUAAGAAGGAAAAGGAAAAGGUAUGUGUGUGAGUCAUAUGAUGGGCCACAAUAACGUUAUGCCUCCGUCUAUGCCCAUGGUAUGUUGAGUGCGUAGUUAUCUAUGCGCGGUACGCACGCUGCCAUUUGGUCGGGAUUGAGACAGAGGCCAAAUUGCUAGUCGAGCUCUUGAUGAGCUGGACUGUCCUGCUGCAGAGUAGUCCGGACUCGUUUGACAGUGUCUGGGAGCUUGGCCGCCGAAUUAAAUUUCUGCUUGAUAAGGCCGCUCUGUACCUCUGAUGCCAGAGCGGCGGAGUGCUCCUCAGUACGGAUGGAGCGCUCUGUGUUUCCAUUGACUGUUAUCACACAGCAUGGUCCGAGCAUCUUAAGUUUGAGAUAAGCAUAAUAUGGCACCACAUUGAAUCGAGCAAAUGCAGUUCGUCCGAGCAGGGCAUGAUAGCCACUACGGAAGGGACGAUGUCAAAGAUCAACUCUUCGCUUCAAAAGUUGUCCAGAGAUCCGAACAAAAACUUCCAAUGUGAUUGAGCCCGUGCAGCGGGCCUCUACACCUGGUAUAACUCCUUUAAAGGUAGUUUUUGUGGGCUUGAUCCUGGAUGGAUUGCUGCCCAUUUUGCACACCGUAUCCUGAUAUAGCAGGUUCAGGCUGCUGCCACCGUCCAUGAGGACUCGCGUGAGGUCGAAUCCAUUAAAUUAUUGGGUCGAGGACCAAUGCGGCUGAACCGCCAUGACGGAUACUGGUCUGAUGGUCCCUGCGAUCGAAAGUGAUUGGGCAGGACGACCAUGCAUUAAACUUUGGGGCGACUGCCUCCAUCGCGUAGACGUCCCUGAGCGCGCACUUGCGCUCCCUCUUAGGGAUAUGGGUAGCACAUAUCAUGUUCACCGUUUUAACUUCUGGGGGGGGGGGGUACUUCUUCUGUCACCCUGUGUUCGGUGGCCGGGGCUCCUUGUCAUCGUCCUUGCUCUAUGACCCCUUCUCCUUGUUCUCGGCAUUUAACUUGCCGGCCUGUUUAAAAACCCAACAGUCUCUGUUGGUAUGAUUGGCUGGUUUAUCAGGAGUGUCGUGGAUUUGACAUGGACGAUCGAGUAUGCGGUCCAAGCUGGACGAGCCCGGAUUGUUUCUUUUAUAUGGCUUCUUCCGUUGACCGGACUUGGAGCCACUGAAUCCGAAAUUGACCGCCGAGUCCUCGGUGUUGUCACCAUUGCUUCGAUGCUUGUGUCUAUUGCGUCGGGGCUUGCCGUUGCUAUUUCUGGCUUCAGAAGUGCCAGGCUCACUUGCAUUGUUAUUGCUAUGGGCUAGCCAGCUAUCCUCGCCCGCGCAGAAGCGGGUCAUAAGCGUCGUGAGGGCUGCCAUAGACUUCAGCUUUUCUUGGCCGAGGUGUCGGGCGAGCCAUUCGUCACGGAUGCUAUGUUUAAAGGCCGCUAGGACUUCGGCAUCCGGACAGUCGAUGAUCUGGUUUUUUUUUUAGUUAAGAACCUAGUCCAGAAUUUCCUGGCUAACUCUCCGGGCUGUUGAACUAUGUAACUUAAGUCGUCGGACUCCGGAGGUCGGACAUAUGUACCCUAGAAGUUGUCGAGGAAGGCGUCUUCCAAGUCGUCCCAGCUGCCAAUUGAGUUUUCGGGCAAACUGUUCAACCAGUGCCGAGCAGGUCCCUUGUAUUUUAGCGGGAGGUAUUUAAUGGCAUGAAGAUCAACACCGCGGGCCAUAUGAAUAUGGAGGAGAAAAUCCUCAAUCCAUACCACGGGGUCUAUUGUCCCAUCAUAUGAUUCGAUGUUCACGGGUUUAAACCCUUCCAGGAAUUCAUGUUCCAUUACUUCAUCAGUAAAGCAAAGGAGGUGUGCGGCGCCUCUAUAUCGGGCCAAGUUGCGAUGUAGCUCGGAUGGAGUUCGUCUGCGGUUUUCGGCCCGAGCAUGGUUAUGUUUGUCACUUCCGGCCGGAUGGCCAUCAUCGCGCAUUGGGGCACGCCCCCGCGAUCCAUAGAUCGAUCUGGUCUAACCUGCUCUGUUUUCCAGGUCAUGCUGCAGGUCAUAUGUGUAUCCCCGAGCUGUUGUGUCUCUGUUUUUACGACGAGGUAGUGUGGGCUGGUGUUCAGCUUGAGUUGCCGCUUUGUCCCGGCCAUGUGGUGCUCGGUCAACCGUAUUACGUGCUGGUAGGACGGGCUCUAGCGCCUCGUCAUCGAAUUGGGGUAACAAUUUGCUUUUCGGGUAGCUUUUGGUUGGGCAUUCGAGGCCGUAUUCCUCGGCUGCCAGGACAUUAUUCCAUCUGUCAUUGAGUAGAUCUUGAUCAGCUUAAAGCUGCUGCUGCUUCUUUUUCAGGCUCCUUGGUGUGGCUAUUAGCCGGCGCUUAAAGCGCUCCUGAUCGACGGGCUCCUCAGGCACGAUAAAGUCUUCGUCGCUGAGGCUCGCCUCAUCCUCGGAGGGUGGAAGAUAAAUUACUGUCCUCCGAGUCUUUGUUAACGGCCUGUUCAUUAGGGUUGACUUGCCCAUCCUCCGGUUCAUCCUGUUUGGAAGUUGGCUCAAUGGGGUCUUCGUUGUCUUCGGUGUCGUACGGAGUAUUAUUUUCUCCUGUGCCGGUAUUGCUGCUUUUGCCACGGCGUGGUUUAGAACGGCACCGCUGACAUCGACGCUUUGGCUGUAUCUCAGGAGGCUUAUCCUCAACUGGAUCCUUCUCGUUGUCGCCAUUGUUCUCUUUGGGUGUAUCCACCAUUGAUACGUCAUACGAGGAGGUGGUUGUCCAGCGUCCUGUAAGCGGUGGUUUUUGUGCCUGCUCCUCUCCGGCAUCGUCGUCCAUACUGUCGAUGUCUUCGGAGCCAUAAUCGAGCAUGUCGGUUAAGUCUUCGAUAGUGGCUAUGAAGUGGGUGGUGGGUUGGAAUCAGAAUUCUCCGUCAUCAGCUUCCAAUCCAAACCGGAUAUAGUUCGGUUUAGAGUUCCCUGAUAAGGAGAGGGCUUUUAAUGAGUUUAGCACAUCGCCUAAAGGUGAGUGCCGGAAGAUGUCCGCGGAGCUAAAUUCAACGAUCGGCGCCUGAUCAGGUUCGAUGGGCGUGGAUGCACGUGGUUCGGAACCUAUGGCCAGAGACGAAUCCGAGGUUCCAGUGACACAGGCCCCGCUCGAGGUUGGAUCUGUGUGCGUCUCUAACGCCGCUAAGUCUGUGGCUUCCAUGGCGGGGUUGAGCUUCCUGUCCUCGGAUGGCGCAAUCUGCUCCGGAUCCAGGGCCAGAGCAGUUACAGGCGCUAUCUCCUGGGCACGGUCCAAUGAUAGAUUUAGUUCAUGUUCAUCAUGGUGGCAGGGAGCGGCUGCCAUGGGCUCGAAUCCGUCGAAGAUCAAGUCUCUGCGGAUAUCGGCAACGUAAUUCAAGCUUCCGAACCUGACCUGAUGGCCAGGGGCGUAGCCGUCGAUCUGCUCUAGAUGGCCAAGCGAGUUCGCCCGUAGUGCGAAGCCGCCGAAUACGAAGAUCUGUCCAGGGAGGAAAACCUCCCCCUGAACUACAUUGUUGUAGAUGAUUGACGGAGCCAUCAAACCUUUUGGUGACGAUGCAGCGGAACUCGCAAUGAAAGCACCAAUGUCCGUGUCAAAACCGGCGGAUCUUGGGUAGGGGGUCCCGAACUGUGCAUCUAAGGUUGAUGGUAACAGGAGGCGGGGGACACGAUGUUUACCCGGUUCGGGCCCUCUCUAUGGAGGUAAUACCCUACUUCCUGCUUGAUUGAUCUUGAUGAAUAUGAGUAUUACAAGAGUUGAUCUACCACGAGAUCGUAAUGGCUAAAACCCUAGAAGUCUAGCUUGUAUGUUUAUGAUUGCCUCUACGGACUAAGCCCUCCGGUUUAUAUAGACAUCGGAGGGGACUAGGGUUGUACAAAGUCGGUUACAGAUAAAGGAAUCUUCAUAUUCGGGCGCCAAGCUUGCCUUCCACGCCAAGGAGAGUCCCAUCCGGACACGGGAGAGAGUCUUAUGUUUUGUAUCUUCACGGCCCAAUAGUCCGGCCUACGAUACAUAGUCCGGCCAUUCGAGGACCCCUUAAUCCAGGACUCCCUCACUUGCCACGUCUUAUUCCAUAGUCCAUCGAAUCCUUACCCAAAACUUGAAAACUUGACAACACAAAACUUAACAGAAAACUCGUAAGCUCCGUUAGUAUAAGAAAGUGAAUCACCACUUAGGUAUUGUUGUGAACUCAUUCUAAAUUAAUAUUGGGCUUGUAUCUACUGUAUUCCAACUUAUACAUGGUUCGUACCCUCCGAUACUACUCAUAGAUUCAUCAAAAUAAGCAAACAACACACAGAAAACAGAAUCUGCAAAAAUAGAACAGUCUGUAGUAAUCUGUAACUCUCGAAUACUUAUGUAACUCCAACAAUUCUGAAAUAAAUUGGAGGAUGUGAGUAACUUGUCUAUUAAUCUUCUGCAUAAAGAAUCAACUUAAAAGCACUCUUCUGUUAAAAAUGACAAUUAUUCUCGUGAGUGCAAAGUUUCUGUUUUUUACAGCAAGAUCGCAUUAACUUUCACCCAAGUCUUCCCAAAGGUUCUACUUGACACUUUAUUGAAACAAAAGCUAUAAAACAUGAUUACUACGGUAUCUUAAUCAUGUGUACACACAAAAACACUAGGGGUAAAUAUUGGGUUGUCUCCCAACAAGCACUUUUCUUUAAUGCAUUUCUAGCUAGGCAUGAUGAUUUCAAUUAUGCUCACAUAAAAAAUAAGAAUUUAAACAUAACGGGAGCAUCAUGAAGCAUAUGACUAGCUCAUUUAAGUCUAACCCACUUCCUAUGCAUAGGAUUUUUUGAGCAAACUACUUAUGGAACAAGAAUCAACUAUCAUAGGAAAGCAAAACAAGCUUAACUUCAAAAUCUUCAACACAUAGAGAGGAAACUUGAUAUUAUUGCAAUUCCUACAAGCAUAUAUUCCUACCUCAUAAUAAUUUUCAGUAGCAUCAUGAAUGAAUUCAACAAUAUAACCAUCACAUAAAGCAUUAUUUUCAUGAUGCAUGAGCAUAGAAAUUUUACUACUCUCCACAUAAGCAAAUUAUUCUCAUCAAUAGUGGUGGGAGCAAACUCAACAAAAUAACUAUCAUGUGAGGCAUGAUCCAAAUGAAAAUUAAAAUCAAGAUUACAAGUUUCAUGGUUAUCAUUAUUGUUUAUAGCAUACAUGUCAACACAAUAAUCAUCAUAGAUAGCAACUUUGUUCUCAUAAGCAAUUGGAACCUCUUCCGAAAUAGUGGAUUCAUCACUAAAUAAAGUCAUGACCUCUCCAAAUCCACUUUUAUCAAUAUCACAAUAAGAUUCAACACCCUCCAAAAUAGUGGGAUAGUUACUUCCUAAAGUUGACACUCUUCCAAACCCACCUUCAUCAAUAUAAUCAUCAUAAAUAGGAGGCAUUCUUUCAUCAUAAUAAAUUUGCUCAUCAAAACAUGGGGGACAAAAAAUAUCAUCUUCAUCAAACAUAGCAUCCCCAAGCUUGUGGCUUUGCAUAUCAUUAGCACCAUGGAUAUUCAAAGAAUUCAUACUAACAACAUUGCAAUCAUGUUCAUCAUACAAAGAUUUACUGCCAAAAAUUUUACUGCAUUCUUCUUCUAACACUUUGGCACAAUUAUCGAAAUCCUUAUUUUCAUGAAAGACAUUAAAAAGAUGAAGCAUAUGACUCAACUUCAAUUCCAUUUUUUUGGUAGUUUCCUUUUGUAGACUAAACUACUGAUAAAACAAUAAACUCAAAGAUUCAAUUGCAGGAUCUAAAGAUAUACCUUCAAGCACUAACCUCCCCGGCAACGGCGCCCGAAAAGAGCUUGAUGUCUACUAUGAAACCUUCUUCUUGUAGACGUUCUUGAGCCUCCAAGUGCAGAGGUUUGUAGGACAGUAGCAAAUUUCCCUCAAGUGUAUGACCUAAGGUUUAUCAAUCCGUGGGAGGCGUAGGAUGAAGAUGGUCUCUCUCGAACAACCCUGCAACCAAAUAACAAAGAGUCUCUUGUGUCCCCAACACACCCAAUUCAAUGGUAAAUUGUAUAUGUGCACUAGUUCGGCGAAGAGAUGGUGAUACAAGUGCAAUAUGGAUGGUAGAUAUAGAUUUUUGUAAUCUGAAAAUAUAAAAACAGCAAGGUAACAAGUAAUAAAAGUGAGUGAAAACGGUAUUGCAAUGCUUUGAAACAAGGCCUAGGGUUCAUACUUUCACUAGUGCAAGUUUUCUCAACAAUAAUAACAUAAUUGGAUCAUAUAACUAUCCCUCAACAUGCAACAAAGAGUCGCUCCAAAGUCACUAAUAGCAGAGAACAAACGAAGAGAUUAUUGUAGGGUACGAAACCACCUCAAAGUUAUUCUUUUCGAUCAAUGCAUUGGGCUAUUCCUAUAAGUGUCACAAACAGCCCUAUAGUCCAUAGUAAAAUAACACCUUCAGACACAAAUCAACCAAAACCCUAAUGUCACCUAGAUACUCCAAUAUCACCUCAAGUAUCUGUGGGUUUGAUUAUACGACAUGCAUCACACAAUCUUAGAUUCAUCUGUUCAACCAACACAAAGAACUUCAAAGAGUGCCCGAAAGUUUCUAUCGGAGAGUCAAGAAGAAAACGUUUGCCAACCCCUAUGCAUAGAUUCCCAAGGUCAUGGAACCCGCAAGUUGAUCACCAAAGCAUACAUCAAGUGAAUCAAUAGAAUACCCCAUUGUCAGCACGGGUAUCCCACGCAAGACAUACAUCAAGUGUUCUCAAAUCCUUAAAGAAUCAAUCCGAUAAGAUAACUUCAAAGGAAAAACUCAAUUCAUUACAAGAAGGUAGAGGGGAAGAAACAUCAUAAGAUCGAACUAUAGUAGCAAAGCUCGCGGUACAUCAAGAUCGUGCCACAUCAAGAACACGAGAGAGAGAGAGAGAGAGAUCAAACACAUAGCUACUAGUACAUACCCUCAGCCCCGAGGGUGAACUACUCCCUCCUCAUCAUGGAGAGCGUCGGGAUGAUGAAGAUGGCCACCAGUGAUGGAUUCCCCCUCCGGCAGGGUGCCGAAACAGGGUCCCGAUUGGUUUUUGGUGGCUACAGAGGAUUGCGGUGGUGGAUCUCCUGAUCUAGGUUAUUUUCUAGAGGUUUGGGGAUUUAUAGGAGAGGUUGGCGUCGAGAACAAGUCAAGGGGCCCCACGGAGAGUCCACGAGGUAGGGGGCGCCCUCCACCCUCGUGCGGCCCAUGGGCCUCCCCUCCGGUAACUCUUCGUUCCAGUAUUUUAUUUAUUUUCCAGAAAAAACCUCCGUUCAUUUUCAGUGCAUUCCGAGAACUUUUAUUUCUGCACAGAACCAACACCACGGUAGUUUUGCUAAAAACAGCGUUAGUCUGGGUUAGUUCUAACCAAAUCGUACCAAAAUCAUGUAAAAAUAUUGUAAACAUCGCAUGAAUACAUCAAAAAUUAUAGAUACAUUGGAGACGUAUCAGUACUAUUCUCACUUUCGAGAGAAGGUACAAUUACCUCAUCAAGUUCUACUUUCCUCCCACCCACUUCUUUCGAGAGAAACUCCUUUAGAAAGGACCCAUUCUCAACAACAAAGAUCUUGCCUUCGAAUCUAUCAUGGAAGGUGUACCCAAUUGUUUCCUUAGGGUAUCCUAUGAAGACACACUUCUCCGAUUUGGGUUCGAGCUUAUCAAGCUGAAGCCUUUUGACAUAUGUGUCGCAACCCCAAAUUUUAAGAAACGACAGCUUAGAUUUCUUGCCAAACCACAGUUCCUACGGUGUCGUCUCAACGGAUUUAGAUGGUUCACUAUUUAACUUGAAUGCGGAUGUCUCUAACGCAUAACCAAAAAACGAUAGUGGUAAAUUGGUAAGAGAUAUCAUAUAUCGCACCAUAUCUAAUAAAGUGCGGUUACGACGUUCGGACACACCAUUACGCUGUGGUGUUCUAGGUGGCGUGAGUUGUGAAACAGUUCCACAUUGUUCUAAAUGAAGGCCAAACUCAUAAAUCAAAUAUUCACCUCCACAAUUAGAUUGUAGAAAAUUUAUUUUCUUGUUACAAUGAUUCUCCACUUCACUCUGAAAUUCCUUGAACUUUUCUAAUGUUACAUACUUGUGUUUCAUCAGGUAGCUAUACCCAUAUCUACUUAAAUCAUCAGUGAAGGUGAGAAAAUAACAAUACCUAUCGCGUGCUUCAACACUCAUCAGACCGCAUACAUCCAUAUGUAUUAUUUCAAAUAAUUUAUUAGCUCUCCUCGUUGUUCCGAAUAACGGAGUUUUAGUCAUCUUGCCCAUGAGGCAUGGUUUGCAAGUAUCAAAUAAUUCAUAAUAAAGUGAUUCCAAAAGUCCAUCCAUAUGGCAUUUCUUCAUGCACUUUACACCAAUAUGACCUAAACGGCGGUGCCACAAGAAUGUUGCACUAUCAUUAUCAACUUUGCAUCUUUUGGUAUCAAUAUUAUGAAUAUGUGUAUCACUACGAUCGAGAUUCAAUAAAACAUUAACAUUGGGUGUAUGACCAUACAAAGUUUUAUUCAUGUAAACAUAAUAACAAUUAUUAUCUGUCUUAAAUGAAUAACCGUAUUGCAAUAAACACGAUCCUACCUUGUUCAUGCUCAACGCAAUCACCUAAUGACAUUUAUUUAGGUUCAACACUAAUCCCCAAAGUAUAGGGAGUGUGCGAUGAUGAUCAUAUCAAUCUUGGAACCACUUCCAACACACAUCAUCACCUCACCCUCAACUAGUCUCCAUUCAUUAUGCAAUUCCUGUUUUGAGUUACUAAUCUUAGCAACCGAACAGGUAUCAAAUUCCCAGGGGCUACUAUGAGUAAUAGUAAGGUACAUAUCAAUAACAUGUAUAUCAAAUAUACCUUUGUUCACUUUGUCAUCCUUCUUAUCCGCCAAAUAUUUGGGGUAGUUCUGCUUCUAGUAACCAUUUCCUUUGCAGUGGAAGCACUCAGUUUCAGGCUUGGGUUAGCUUUAGGCUUCUUCAUGGGAGUGACAACUUGCUUGCCAUUCUUCCUAAACUUCCCUUUCUUUCCCUUGCCCUUUUUGUUGAAACUAGUGGUCUUGUUCACCAUCAACACUUGAUGCUUUUUAUUGAUUUCUACCUUUGCUGAUUUCAGCAUCGCGAAAAACUCGGGAAUCGUUUUCAUCACCCCUUGCAUAUUAUAGUUCAUCACGAAGGUCUAAUAGCUUGGUGAUAGAGACUAAAGAACUCUGUCAAUCACUAUCUUAUUUGGAAGAUUAACUCCCACUUGAUUCAAGCGAUUGUAGUACCCAGACAUUUUGAGCACAUGCUCACUAGCUGAGCUAUUCUCGUCCAUCUUGUAGGCAAAGUACUUGCCAGAGGUCUCAUACCUCUCGACAAGGGCAUGAGUCUGAAAUACCAAUUUCAGCUCUUGGAACAUCUCGUAUGCUUUGUGGCGUUCAGAACGUUUUUGAAGUCUCGGUUCUAAGUCGUAAAGCAUGGUGCACUAAACUAUCAAGUAGUCAUCAUAUCGAGCUUGCCAAACAUUCAUAACGUCUGCAUCUGCUCCUGUAAUAGGUCUGUCACCUAGCGGUGCAUUAAGGACAUAAUUCUCCUGUGCAGCAAUGAGGAUAAUCCUCAGAUCACGGACCCAGUCCGCAUCAUUGCUACUAUCAUCUUUCAACUUAGUUUUCUCUAGGAACAUAUCAAAAAAUAGGGGAGCCACAAUGCGAGCUAUUGUUCUACAACAUAAUUUGCAAAUACUAUCUGGACUAAAUUCAUGAUAAAUUAAGUUUAACUAAUCAAAUUACUUAAAAACUCCCACUUAAACUGACAUCCCUCAAGUCAUCUAAGUUUAAUGUGAUCCAAAUCAAAUAACCCACGUCCGAUCAUCACGUGAGAUGUGGCAUUCAUCAAUGGUGAACAUCUCUAUGUUGAUCAUAUCUACUAUAUGAUUCGUGUUCGAUCUUUCGAUCUCCAGUGUUCCGAGGCCGUCUCUGUACAUGCUAGGCUCGUCAAGUUUAACCCAAGUAUUCCACGUGUGUAAAUAUGGCUUACACCCGUUGUAUGUGAACAUACAGUCUAUCACACCCGAUCAUCACAUGGUGUCUCAACACGAUGAACUGUAGCAACGAUGCAUACUCAGGGAGAACACUUUUAUCUUGAAAUCUAGUGAAGGUAUCAUCUUAUAAUGCUACCGCCGUUCUAAGCAAAAUAAGAUGCAUAAAGGAUAAACAUCACAUGCAAUAAAAAAUAUGUGACAUAAUAUGGCCAUCAUCAUCUUGUGCUUUUGAUCUCCAUCUCCAAAGCAUCGUCAUGAUCUCCAUUGUCACCAACUCGACACCUUGAACUCCAUCGUUGCAUCGUGGUCGUCUCGCCAACUAUUGCUUAUACAACUAUUACUAAUGCAUAGUGAUAAAGUAAAGCAAUUACAUGGAUUUUGCAUUUCAUACAAUAAAGAGACAACCAUAAGGCUCCUAUCGGUUGCUAAUAGAUUACAAAACAUGAUCAUCUCAUAAAAUAAUGUAUAUCUCAUCACGUCUUGACCAUAUCACAUCACAACAUUCCCUACAAAACGAAGUUAGACGUCCUCUACUUUGUUGUUGCAAGUUUUACGUGGCUGCUACGGGCUUCUUGCAAGAACCGUUCUUACCUACGGCACAAAAACCACAACGGUGAUUUAUUAAGUUUGUUGUUUUAACCUUCAACAAGGACCGGCCGCAGUCAAAUUUGAUUCAACUAAAGUAGGAGAAACAGACAUCUGCCAGCCACCUUUAUGCAAAACUAGUUGCAUGUCUGUCGGUGGAAUCGGUCUGAUGAACAUGGUCAUGUAAGGUUGAUCCGGGUCGCUUCAUCCAACAAUACCGCCAAAUCAAAAUAAAACAUUGGUGGUAAGGAGUAUGACUAUCACCACCCACAACUCUUUGUUUUCAACUCGUGCAUAUCAUCAAAGCAUAGACCUAGCUCAUGAUGCCACUAUUAGGGAACGUAGCAUGUAAUUUCAAAAAAAAAAUCCUACGCUCACACAAGAUCUAUCUAGCAGAUGUAUAGCAAUGAGGGGGGAGAGUGUGUCUACGUACUCUCGUAGAACGUAAGCGGAAGCGUUUCACAACGUGGUUGAUGUAGUCGAACUUUCUUCACGAUCCACUGAUCGAGUACCGAACGUACGGCACCGCCGAGUUCUGCACACGUUCAGCUCAGUGACGUGCCUCACCUUCUUGAUCCAGCAAGACAUUGAGGUAGUAGAUGAGUUCCGUCAGCGCGAUGGCAUGGUGACGGUGAUGGUGAAGUGAUCUCCGCAGGGCUUCGCCUAAGCACUACGAAAAUAUGAACGGGGGAGUAAACGAUGGAGGUGGCGCCGCACACGGCUAGGCAUUUGUUGUGGUUUGCUAGGCGACCCCUCCCACAUAGGUGGGGGUGGAGGGACCAGCCAAGAGGCGCUUCCAAGUAGGCCGAAUACUACUUGGGGUCCCUCCCCNNNNNNNNNNNNNNNNNNNNNNNNNNNNNNNNNNNNNNNNNNNNNNNNNNNNNNNNNNNNNNNNNNNNNNNNNNNNNNNNNNNNNNNNNNNNNNNNNNNNNNNNNNNNNNNNNNNNNNNNNNNNNNNNNNNNNNNNNNNNNNNNNNNNNNNNNNNNNNNNNNNNNNNNNNNNNNNNNNNNNNNNNNNNCGAAGGGGAAAGGAAGGGGGAAUCCUAUUCCCUUUCUUUCCUUUCCUCCUUCCCCUUUCCUUAUCCACCUUGGCCGACCCAUAUGGGGGGCGCACCAGCCCCUUGUGGCUGGUGUGUUUCCCCACUUGGCCCAUAAGGCCCAUAUCUUUUGUCAGAGGUGCUCGGAACCCCUUCCGGUGAUCCGAUAUGUACUCGGUACCCUCCGGAACACUUCCGGUGUCCGAAUACCAUCGUCCUAUAUAUCAAUCUUUACCUCUCGACCAUUUCGAGACUCCUCGUCAUUUUUGUGAUCUCAUCCGGGACUCCGAACAACAUUCGGUCACCAAAUCACAUAACUCAUAUAAUAGUAUAUCCUCAUCGAACGUUAAGCGUGCGGACCCUACGGGUUCAAGAACUAUGUAGACAUGACUGAGACACCUCUCCGGUCAAUAACCAAUAGCGGAACCUGGAUGCUCAUAUUGGCUCCCACAUAUUCUACGAAGAUCUUUAUUGGUCGAACUGUUAUGACAACAUACGUUAUUCCCUUUGUCCAUCGGUAUGUUACUUGCCCGAGAUUCGAUCGUUGGUAUCUUCAUACCUAGUUCAGUAUCAUUACGGGCAAGUCUCUUUACUCGUUCCGUAAUACUUCAUCCUGCAACUAACUCAUUAGUCACUUUGCUUGCAAGGCUUCUUAUGAUGUGUAUUACCAAAAGGGCCCAAAGCUACCUCUCCGAUACUCGGAGUGACAAAUCCUAAUCUCAAUCUAUGCCAACCCAACAAACACCUUCGGAGAUACCUGUAGAGCAUCUUUAUAAUCAUCCAGUUACGUUGUGACAUUUGGUAGCACACAAGGCAUUCCUCUGGUAUCCGGGAGUUGCAUAAUCUCAUAGUGGAAGGAAUAUGUAUUUGACAUGAAGAAAGCAAUAGCAAUAAAACUCAAUGAUCAAUAUGUUGUGAUAGUGGAUGGGUCUUGUCCAUCACAUCAUUCUCCUAAUGAUGUGAUCCCGUUCAUCAAAUGACAACACAUGUCUAUGGUUAGGAAACUUAACCAUCUUUGAUAACGAGCUAGUCUAGUAGAGGCUUACUAGGGACACGGUGUUUUGUCCAUGUAUCCACACAUGUAUCAAGUUUUCGGUUAAUACAAUUCUAGCAUGAAUAAUAAACAUUUAUCAUGAAAUAAGGAAAUAUAAAAUAACAAAUUUAUUAUUGCCUCUAGGGUAUAUUUCCUUCACAGACAUGGUCUCGGAACACUGGAGACCGAAAGGUCGUACAUGAGUCAUAUAGUAGAUAUGAUCAACAUGGAGAUGUUCAUCAUUGAUGACUACCCCAUCUCACGUGAUGAUCGGACCUUGGUUAGUUGAUUUGGAUCAUGUAUCACUUAGACAACUUGAGGGAUGUUGAUUUAGGUGGGAGUUCAUUAGUAAUUUGAUUAUUUGAACUUAAAUUUAUAAUGAAUUUAGUCUUAAUAGUUUUUGCAUAUCUAUGUUGUAGACCAAUGGCCCAUGCUACCAUUCCCUUGAAUUUUAAUGCGUUCCUAGAGAAAGCUACAUUGAAAGGUGAUGGUAGCAACUACAUGGAUUGGGUCCAUAACUUGAGGAUUAUCCUCAUCGCUGCAUGGAAGAAUUAUGUCCUUGAUGCACCGCUAGGUGACGGGCCUACUAAAGGAGCUGAUGCAGAUGUUAUGAACGUUUGGCAAGCUCAAUCUGUUGACUACUUGAUAGUUCGGUCUGCCAUGCUUUACGGCCUAGAACCGGGACUUCAAAAGCGUUUUGGACGCCACGGAGCAUAUGAGAUAUUCCAAGAACUGAAGUUAAUAUUUCAAGCAAAUUCCCAGGUUGAGAUAUAUGAAGUCUCCAACAAGUUAUUUAGUUGUAAGAUGGAGGAGAACAGUUUUGUUAGUGAACACAUACUCAGAAUGUCUGGGUACCACAACCACUUGACUCGGCUGGGAAUUGAGCUCCCAGAUGAGUGUGUUAUCGAUAUAGUUCUUCAAUCACUGCCACCAAGCUACAAAGGCUUCGUGAUGAACUAUAAUAUGCAAGGGAUGAGGAAAACAUUUCCCGAGCUCUUCGCGGUGCUGAAAUCGGCGGAGGUAGAAAUCAAGGAGCAUCAAGUGUUGAUGGUUAACAAGACCACUACUUUCAAGAAAAAGGGCAAGGGAAAGAAAGGGAACUUCAAGAAUAAUGGCAAGCAAGUUGCCGCUCAUGGGAAGAAGCCCAAAGCUGGACACAAGCCUGAGACUGAGUGCUUCCACUGUAGGGGAAAUGGUCACUAGAAGUGGAACUGCCCCAAAUACUUGGCAGAUAAGAAGGAUGGCAAAGUGAACAAAGGUAUAUUUGAUAUGCAUGUUAUUGAUGUGUACCUUACUAAUGCUCGUAGUAGCGCUGGGUAUUUGAUAGUAGUUCGGUUGCUCAUAUAUGUAACUCGAAACACGAGCUGCGGAAUAAAUAGGAUUAGCCAAGGACAAGGUGACGAUGCGCGUCGGGAAUGGUUCCAAGGUUGAUGUGACCUCUGUCGGCACGGUACCUCUACAUCUACCUUCGGGAUUACUUUUAGACCUCAAUAAUUGUUAUUUGGUGCCGGCGUUGAGCAUGAACAUUAUAUCUGGAUCUUGUUUAUUGCGAGACGGUUAUUCAUUUAAGUCAGAGAAUAAUAGUUGUUCUAUUUAUAUGAGUAACAUCUUUUAUGGUCAUGCACCCUUAGUGAAUGGUCCAUUCUUGUUGAAUCUCGAUUAUAGUGAUACACAUAUUCAUAAUAUGGAUGCCAAAAGAUGCAAAGUUGAUAAGGAUAGUGCAACAUACUCGUGGCACUGCCAUUUAGGUCAUAUUGGUGUAAAGUGCAUGAAGAAACUCCAUUCGGAUGGACUUUUGGAAUCACUUGAUUAUGAUCAUUUGAUACUUGUGAACCAUGCCUCAUGGGCAAGAUGACUAAAACUUUGUUCUCCAGAACAAUGGAGCGAGCUGAUGACUUACUGGAAAUAAUACAUACCGAUGUAUGCGGUCCGGUAGGUGUUGAAGCACGCGGCAGGUAUCGUUAUUUUCUAACCUUCACAUAAUAUUUGAGUAGGUAUGGUAUAUCUACUUGAUGAAACACAUGUCUGAAAUAUUUGGGAAGUUCAAAGAAUUUCAAAUGACAUGGAGGUGAAUAUUUGAGUUACGAGUUUGGCCUUCAUUUAAAACAAUGUGGAAUACUUUCACAACUCACGCCACCUGGAACACCAUAGCAUAAUGGUAUGUCUGAACAUCAUAACUGUACUUUAUUAGAUAUGGUGCGAUCUAUGAUGUCUCUUACUGAUUUGAUACUAUCGUUUUGGGGUUAUGCAUUAGAGAUAGUUGCAUUCUCGUUAAAUAGGGCACCAUCUAAAUCCAUUGAGACGACACCGUAUGAGCUGUGGUUUGCCAAUAAACCUAAGCUAUCCUUUCUUAAAGUUUGGGAUGCGGUGCUUAUGUUAAAAGGCUUUAGCCUGAUAAUCUCAAACCCAAAGUGGAGAAGUGCGUCCUCAUAGGAUACCCUAAAGAAACUAUUGGGUAUACCUUCAACUACAGAUCUGAAGGCAAGAUCUUUGUUGCUAAGAAUGGGUCAUUUCUAGAGAAGGAGUUUCUCUCGAAAGAAAUGAGGGGAGAAAAGUAGAACUUUAUGAGGUAGUUGUACCUUCUCUCGAAUUGGAAAGUAGCACAUCAGAGAAAACCAUUCCCGUGAUGCCUACACCAACGAGAGAGGAAGCUAAUGAUGGUGAUCAUGAAACUUUGGAUCAAGUUACUAAUGAACCUUGAAGGUCGACCAGAACACAUACCACACCAGAGUGGUAUGGUAAUCCUUUCCUGGAAGUCAUCUUGUUAGACAACGGCAAAGCUUUGAACUAUGAAGAAGCUAUGAUGAGCCCAGAUUCUGAUAAAUGGCUUGAGGCCAUGAAAUCUGAGAUAGGAUCCAUGUAUGAGAACAAAGUGUGGACUUUGGUGGACUUGCCCCUAUUACUGGAUUAACAAGGCCAGGACGUCAUCGAGCUGAACAUGUGUUGAACGCGGAGGUGACAUAUGUUUGGUACUUGAUCGGGACGGAUCGUGAAGGUGUACGAUUACGUCAACCGCGUUGAUAAACGCUUUCGCUUAGCGAUCUUCAAGGGUAUGAAGAUGAUCUCCCCUCUCAUAGCUAUGCAUCUCCAUGGAUAGAUUUUGUGUAUGCAUAGAUUUUUUUUUGUUUUCCAUGCAACAUUCCCCAGCAGUUUUUAUCGAACACAUAACGAUUAUACACAUAACAGAUUGUAUCACACAGGUAGAAGGAAUUGGGGAUGGGUGGACAGGGGGAAAUCAUGAAGGAAGGAAUGGGUCACUGUGCGAGAAUUGCACGAACCUGUCGACGAUGACGACAAAUUAGUACACCAUCGAUGUGGCGGCGCAUGCCAGAAGCUGGGAUGUGACCGGCUUUACUGUCAUCACUUUCUUCUCUAGUGAGUUUCCGGACUUGUAUAUCUGAAAAGUCCAACAUUGGACAAACCAUAGGGAAUCUUUGUAAUAGUUAGGGUGCUUAUGGGUUUUGCCAUUUUAAUUGUGUACUUGUGUGCUUCGGACAAAUGUCAGCAAUUUUCAACCCUUUUCGACUUCAUUUGCUAUUUUUCAUGCAUUUACUGAUUUGUUUUAUCUAAAUGACCCUGAAAUUGAAAAGCACUACAAAUGAACUUUGAAAAGGUUGAAAGUUGGCAUGGUAUCAUCAUUUCACCCACAUAGCAUGUGCUAAAAAGUUAAGAGGGCUAUGGCAAAAACUAGACGCACCUCGUGUACAAAAUGGACAAUCUCUUUCAACGUAUCAAGGUUUCGGACGAAAACUCAUCUGUUACAAAGGCAUUUCAUUUUUUGAACUUAUUUCAAUUCCAGACUUUUUGUGUGUUCAGUACGCACCAUUCAAAGCCACGUCAUCAAUUUUCAACCAUUUCUGACUUCAUUUGCUAUUUUUCAUGUAUUUACUGAUUUUUUAGCUAAAUGGCCCUGAAAUUAAAAAGCACUACAAAUGAACUCUGAAAAGGUUGAAAGUUGGCAUGGUAUCAUCAUUUCACACACAUAGCAUGUGCUAAAAAGUUGAGAGGGUUACGGAAAAAACUGGAUGCACUUCGUGUACAAAAUGGACAAUCUCUUUCGAAGUAUCAGGGUUUCGAACAAAAACUCAUCUGUUACAAAGGCAUUUCAUUUUUUAAACUUAUUUCAAGUCUAGACUUUUUGUGCAUUCAGUAUGCAUCAUUAAAAGCCACGUCGUCAAUUUUCAACCAUUUCUGACUUCAUUUGCUAUUUUUCAUGUAUUUACUGAUUUUUUUGACCUAAAUGAUCCUGAAAUUAAAAAGCACUACAAAUGAACUCGGAAAAGGUUGAAAGUUGGCAUGGUAUCAUCAUUUCAACCACAUAGCAUGUGCUAAAAGUUGAGAGGGUUACGGAAAAAACUGGAUGCACUUCGUGUACAAAAUGGACAAUCUCUUUCGAAAUAUCAGGGUUUCGAACGAAAACUCGUCUGUUACAAAGGCAUUUCAUUUUUAAAACUUAUUUCAAGUAUAGACUUUUUGUGCGUCCAGUAUGCACCAUUCAAAGCCACGGCAUCAAUUUUCAACCAUUUCUGACUUCAUUUGCUAUUUUCAUGCAUUUACUGAUUUUUUUAGCUAAAUGACCCUGAAACUGAAAAGCACUACAAAUGAACUCUGAAAAGGUUGAAAGUUGGCACAGUAUCAUCAUUUCACCCACAUAGCAUGUGCUAAAACGUUGAGAGGGUUACGGCAAAAACUGGAUGCACUUUGUGUACAAAAUGGACAAUAUCUUUCCACCCUCAUUCAUCAGCCUCAAUAGCUUGUUUCACACUCGUUUUCCAGGAGGCCAAAUCAUUGCUGAACAUGCCCAUGGCGUGAUUGUUAAUCUUUUUCAUCUUCGGAUCAUCCCACAGUUGUUCUAUGUUAUCAUCCCGGUCGGGGAACUUGAAUCUCUUGUGCAACUUUGUUAGGAGCAACUGCGGCAAAUGUUCUUUACUCCUUAAGUCAUCGUCAUUGAUGCUCGCGCAUUCCCGUAGGAUGCAUCCUACUUGGUUCCCAUAGCACUUGCGAGGUUCUUCCGGCUCUAACGGCUCAAACUUGCCAGGUGCCAUCUUUGUGAUCACAAGUCGUCCAAUCCCUAGUUUGUUAGGUUUUCGUAUCCUCUGCUUCUUAUGCUUCCUCUUUUCGGUAGCGGCAUCGGGGUCGGUACCUUCCCCGCCGGUACCUUCCCCCCCGGUACCUUCCGCACAGGUCUCGGUGCCGCCAUCAGUGCCGACGCUGUCGGUGUCGAUGUCGGCGUUAGUACCAUCAUCGAGGCCGACCUGCAAACCUUGCUUAGCAGUCAAAUAGUCGAGGUACCCUUGUUCACCCUCAUAAUCCAUCUCGUCUGCAUCUUGGUCAGAAGGCCCAGUUUCUUCGUUGUUCUACAUGUUUCCUAUGAUUAAGUGUCCUCAUUUAUUUCUAAAAGUAUGAAUAAAUGAGAAAUGACAUAAAAAGAAAUCUAUGUGCCAGCACUCGAUAUGCCAACUAUGUAGCACAAAAUCAUGCCUUUAUUCACGGGAAAUUUCGGCAUGUCCUUUGCUAAAAAAUGGACAUAUCGAGCGCCUGAAAUUCACCGGAACGGAAAUGAAUCAACAUUCCGGUGUAACAUAGGCCACUCGGAUCAUUUUCCAAACAUGACAUGUCCAAAACAUGACAUAUGCACAUAUCACAUGUCCAGUUCAAAUUUGCACAUAUCAAAUGUCCAGUUCAAAUUUUGAAACCUAGCUAAAUUCAUAACUAAAUAGAUAACCUAAUUUACAUACUGCCCUAACUAAAACCUAAGUAAAUUAACCGAAGAACCCUAGCAGAGAGAGGGGGGGUUUACAGAGGGUGCAGGGGCGAGGAGGCAGGCCCGAUGACGGCCGGGAGGGGAAAGGAGGGAGGCGAGGGCCGACGGGUCGGGGCCGAGCGCGCCGGGGUCGGGGCCGAGCGCCGGCGCCGGGGUCGGGGGCGAGGGCCGGGUCGGGNNNNNNNNNNNNNNNNNNNNNNNNNNNNNNNNNNNNNNNNNNNNNNNNNNNNNNNNNNNNNNNNNNNNNNNNNNNNNNNNNNNNNNNNNNNNNNNNNNNNNNNNNNNNNNNNNNNNNNNNNNNNNNNNNNNNNNNNNNNNNNNNNNNNNNNNNNNNNNNNNNNNNNNNNNNNNNNNNNNNNNNNNNNNNNNNNNNNNNNNNNNNNNNNNNNNNNNNNNNNNNNNNNNNNNNNNNNNNNNNNNNNNNNNNNNNNNNNNNNNNNNNNNNNNNNNNNNNNNNNNNNNNNNNNNNNNNNNNNNNNNNNNNNNNNNNNNNNNNNNNNNNNNNNNNNNNNNNNNNNNNNNNNNNNNNNNNNNNNNNNNNNNNNCCGGGGUCGGGGGCUAGCGCCGGCGCCGGAGUCGGGGGCGAGCGUCGGGGCCGGGUCCGGCGCGGCGGUGCAACGGGGGAGAGUGGGGAUUUUUGGUGGGGGGGGAGGCGGGAUGAAGCAAGGCGGGUGAGAAUUUUGGGUUAAGUGGACGUAGCAGUAGCGCCUUUGGACAAAAUGCGCUGCUACUACCUUUAGUAGCUGUAGCGCUUUAUACGAAAUUCGCUUCUACUAACUUUAGUAUCUGUAGCGGUUUAGGCAAAAUGCGCUGCUACUACCUUCGCUACUGCCAGUUUUCCUUUUUCUUUUCCUUUAUUUUAUCCCACUUUUAUUUCUCGAGGGCAGUGAACGAAGGGAGGGCGAUAUAUAUUGCAUCAUUUGACGGUUAAAUAUGUAUGCAAAAUAGGAACAUAUAUAUUACACAUCAUUGGACCCAUGCAUAAUAAUGGCUAAGUGUGUAUACAAAAUAGGAACAUAUGUAUAUAUUACAUCGUUUGACCAAUAACAUAGGUUUCCUCAGUGCUGACGUUUUCGUUUUUGAGUUAGCUUCUUUCCCUUCUUGUUCGUCGAAGAAUAAUUGAGCCCCUCAUUGUGACUUUGCCUUUUACAUGGAGUACGAUUUUUCUUAGGUAAUGUAGUAUUGAUUCUUAUUUUGACGUAUACUUCAUCAUCAUCAUCUUCUUCCCUCAUUGGGUUGCCGUACUGAUCAUAGUCUUCCUCGUUGGCGACUCCAUCCAUUCCAAUGAUGUUCCUUUUGCCUCUCCUCAGGACAACACGGUUGGGAUUGCGCGGGUCAGUUAUGAAGAAGCAUUGUGUCACGUGCUUAGCGUGUACCCAUGGCUCAUUUUUGCGAUAGCGUUCACGGUAGCGCUCUUGGCGUCGGGUAUAGUCAUGGUAGUGAAAUCCGGCUUUCUCUUUCGACAUUCUUAGCCCAUCUGACACGGAACAUCGUCGUGUUGUGCAGUCCAGAGUAGUCAAGCUCCCAGAUCUCCUCGACCCUUCCAUAAAAUCGUUCAGUUGCGCCGUCAUCGCUGCCGGUCAUGCAUUCCAUCGUCACCCCUGAGUUCUGAUCAUCACUGUCCAUAUCUUUGGCCUCCGUGUAGAACGUGUAUCCGUUGAUAUCAUAUGCCUGAUAGGUUACGAGGUUGGGCGAGGGGCCAUGUGCUAAGGCGUAUAUGACCAAUCCGUCCUUAGAGGCCUCCUCCGGAGGAUUAGCAAUAAUAUGCUCUUUGAACCAAUGCAGGAAAGUGGAGUUGUGCUCUCUAGUAACUUCCGCGUCUGUCCUGCAUACCCCCCGGUCACGAUACUUCUUUGCGAUAAUUUCUUUGUGCAGUGCCACGAAAGGAUCUACCUCAUCUAGGUGUUGUAGCACUACCAAGUUUGCUCUGUCAAAGUCGCUGCAUCGAUCUGAGUAUGCCACGUGCAGUUCCCUGCGACCGUUGGAGUGACCAUCUCCUUCGAGCCUCCCAUCGUGCUUGUAAAUGGGCAAACCAACACUAACACCAGGCGGCUGGUCUGCGCCAUAUAGAAAAUUCUCACAGAAAGAGAUGCACUCUUGUGCCAAAUAGCCCUGGACUAUGCUUCCAUCUGGACGGGACAUGUUACGAACGAAUCCUUUGAUGAUCCCAUUCAUCCUCUCAAAUGGCAUCGUGUUGUGCAGGAAUGACGGCCCCAGGUCUAUUAUGUCAUCCACAAUAUGGACACACAGAUGCACCAUCACGUCAAAGAACGCGAGCGGGAAGUACAUCUCAAGCUAAUUCAGUAUCAGAAUGAUCUCUUCCUGUAGCCUUUGGAGCUGCUUCACACUGAUCGACUUUCGAGAGAUGAUGUCGAAAAAGUUGCAGAGACCAAUAAGCGUGUCACGGACGUGCUUGUCCAUUAUCCCUCUAAGGGCAACAGGUAGUAUCUGCGUCAUCAUCACAUGACAGUCAUGAGACUUCAUCCCGCUGAACCUUUUCUUGUCUGUGUCUAGAUAUCUGCUUAUCUUGCCACAGUAACCGGAACAAACUUUCACUCCGGUAAGGCACUUAAAGAAGGCAUUGAUCUUAGCCUGACUUAAGGUGAAGUAAGAAGGGGGCAAUAAUCCUCUUUAUUUAUUUUCGUGCCCUUCUUCUCCCGUGCCUCUGUCUCCGUCUCUGUCUCGUCUGACAUUUUACGGGGCGGCAUGUGCAGAUCUUCCCUAAUUUUCAAAUCUUGCAAGUCUUUUCUUGCCUUCGGCCCAUCCUUGGUCUUAUCCGGCAUGUUCAUCAGUGUUGCGAACAAGCUCUCAAGGACAUUCUUACAAAUAUGCAUUUGAUCAAGGCAAUGAGGUGUAUCGAGUUUGUGCCAGUACUCCAAGUCCCAGAACACAGACCUCGUCUUCCAUACCUUCAGCAGCGGCUCCGGCGCCUUUCUCAUCGUCUUUCCCGGCGCGGGGCACUCCUUCCAGUUUUUCAACAGCUCAUCGAUUUCGGCACCGCUCCGCUUACGUGGAGGUCCUCGAUGCUCAGCGUGACCAUUGAAUAGAUCUCCACUGUUUCUCCAUGGGUCGUCCUGUUCAAGCCAUCUUCGAUGCCCCAUGUACACAAUUUUCCCAGACCUGCCAUCUUUCCUUGACGUUAGCUGCUGAGACGUUGUAUCAUCCAUGCACCGCGUGCAUCCGCAAUAUCCAUGGCACACCUGGCCUGCCACAUAUCCGUAACCGAGAUAGUCCUGCACUGUCGUGAUCAGCGCGGCUCUCAUGUUGAAAUACUCACCUUUGCUGGCGUCCCAUGUCUUGGCCGGUGUUUUCCAUAACGUGUCUAACUCCUCUUGAAGUAGUCUCAGAUACAAAUUAAUAUUAUUUCCUGGUUGUUUCGGCCCUUGAAUAAGCAUACUCAUGUGAAUGUACUUCGAUUUCAUGCACAACCAGGGGGGAGGUUGUACAUCCAUACAAACACGGGCCAUGUGCUAUGGUUGGUGUUCUGGUUGCCAAACGGAUUCAUGCCAUCAGUACACGCGCCGAGCACGAUGUUCCUUGCAUCACAUUCAAAAUACCGAUAGAAGCUGUUCAACGCUCUCCACUGGCUUCCAUCCUUCACGUGUCUCAGCUUCGGAUCAUCUCCAUCGUCGGGCUUCUUCCUCUCCACGUGCCAGCGCAUUAGCCUUGCUUCCUUGGGAUCUACAAAAUACCUCUGGAGACGGGGAGUGAUCGGUAAGUACCAUACAACUUUCUGGGGACAUUUCUUCCCGGCCUUCUUGUAUCGAGAAGCAUUGCACACCGGACAGCUUGUUUUUUCCACGUGCUCCUUCCGAUAAAUUAUGCAAUCGUUGAUGCAUGCAUGGUAUCUAACCUGUGGCAGAUCAAGAGGGCACACGAUCUUCUUGGCCUCAUCAACACUAGUAGGACAUAGAUUACCCGCGGGAAGAACAUCCUUUAGGUACUUGAGAUGCUCAUCGAGGCUAGUGUCGGUCCAUUUGUUCUUAGCCUUCGUCUUCAGGAGUUGGAGCGUGAAACUCAAGCGGGUCACCUCAGGAUUGCAACCAUCAUACAAUGGAGUGUUCGAGUCUACCACCAGUUGCUCCAGCUUAGCCUCCUCUCUAGAAGCAGCUCUCUCAGUACUCGUCUCCUUGCGAAGCAAUGCUUGAACAUGAGGGUCCCGCACGAUUGAACUUAGUACCGACGAACUCUGUUGCGUGGAGUCCAUGUCGUUCUCUCCGCCGCCAUGUCCGGCCCCUUCUCCUCCGCCAUGUCCGGCCCCUUCUCCGCCGCCAUGUCCGGCCUCUUCCCCGCUGCCAUUAUCGAUCAUCUCUUCGUCUUGCCCCCUGUCAUCAUUGCCUGCCCCGUCGGCAUCCUCAACAUUGUCAUCCUCAUCUUCAAUUAUCCACCGCGUAUAGCCAUCCAUGAAACCAGUCAUGAGCAGGUGCGCUUCGACAUGACCAUCGUCAUGGGGGUCGAGCCAAAGUAUUCCUUUGCAUUUUCGACACGAACAUAAAACCUUUGUCCGGUUAUUUUCUUUCAUGUCCUGCAGCACCGACCGCAACCACCUGUCCACCAUCGUUCCACUGACCAUCGUCAACUCUGCACGGUAAUAAUAAACAAAUUGAUUAUAAAAAUGCAUGCAUGCAUCAAAGUCAUACAAAAAUUUGGCAUGACCUUCCCUAAAAAUAGGACAUAUAUGGAUCUAGAGUUUGCCCGGAAUUCGCUGAAACGGAAAUAAAUCGACAUUUUGGCAAAACAUAGGCAACUCAAAAGCACAAUUUUGCGUGCCACACACACAAUUUCCACAAACAUAUCACACACACAUAAACAUAUUUUCAUUUUGCAAAGGCAUGAAAUUUUCAUCACCUCUAUCUCGAUCGAGAUCGAGCACACGGUGGAGAUGAUGUUGUUGGGAGAUCAAAAGUGCACAAAGCUCUUCUUAACAAAGAUAGAUCUAGUUAGGGGGCAAAUAGGUCACUUAACUAAGUGCUACAUCUACCUAGCUAGCUAAUUUGGGAGGAGACAACUUCAACUAUGGAGGGGAAAGGAAAAAGAGAAAGGAGAUGCAUUAAUGGAGGUUGUGUAGUUAGUUAGGAGUAAUGAAGAGAGAGAAAGGUGGAUAGAAGAGAAAGAGUAAUGGGGGAGAAGUAUUGAGGAAGAAGAAGAGUGAGAGUGGGAGCAUCUGGGGGAGGUAGGGGGAAGGGAAGAGAGGAGGGGAGGGGAGGCACGGGUGGGGAAAGGUGGUGGGUUGGUGCGGGUUAGCAGUAGCGCGGGAGAAGAAACGCGCUGCUACUAAAUAAUUAGCAGCAGCGCGCUUUGGGCAACGGCGCUACUGCUAACAGUGACAAAAAAAAUUGCCAAUUUGAAAUGUAGCAGCAACGAUCCCAGUAGAAGCGCGCUGCUACUACAUCCGUAGCAGUGGCGCGGUUCAGGCCACGGUGCUACUGCUAAAUGGAGCUCGGUGAACACCGCCGGUGGAUAUUUGUAGCAGCGCAGUUUACACAGAGCGCGCUACUGCUAAAAACUUAUCAGCAGCGAGUUUCCAGCACACUCGCUACUACUAAUUAGCAGCAGCGCUCCUUUUUGAGCCGCGCUGCUGCUAAGAUUCUAUGUAUAGGCUUUUCCCUUGUAGUGAAUAGUUAGGGUGCUUAUGGGUUUUGCCAUUUUAAUUGUGUACUUGUGUGCUUCGGACAAAUGUCAGCAAUUUUCAACCCUUUUCGACUUCAUUUGCUAUUUUUCAUGCAUUUACUGAUUCUUUUUUAUCUAAAUGACCCUGAAAUUGAAAAGCACUACAAAUGAACUUUGAAAAGGUUGAAAGUUGGCAUGGUAUCAUCAUUUCACCCACAUAGCGUGUGCUAAAAAAGUUAAGAGGGUUAUGAAAAAAACUAGACGCAGUUCCUGUAUAAAAUGGACAAUCUCUUUCAACGUAUCAGGGUUUCGGAUGAAAACUCAUCUGUUACAAAGGCAUUUCAUUUUUUUAAACUUAUUUCAAUUCCAGACUUUUUGUGUGUUCAGUAUGCACCAUUCAAAGCCACGUCAUCAAUUUUGAACCAUUUCUGACUUCAUUUGCUAUUUUUCAUGUAUUUACUGAUUUUUUUAGCUAAAUGACCCUGAAAUUAAAAAGAACUACAAAUGAACUCUGAAAAGGUUGAAAGUUGGCAUGGUAUCAUCAUUUCACCCACAUAGCAUGUGCUAAACAGUUGAGAGGGUUACGGAAAAAACUGGAUGCACUUCAUGUACAAAAUGGACAAUCUCUUUCGAAGUAUCAGGGUUUCGAACAAAAACUCAUCUGUUACAAAGGCAUUUCAUUUUUUAAACUUAUUUCAAGUCUAGACUUUUUGUGCAUUCAGUAUGCACCAUUCAAAGCCACAUAGUCAAUUUUCAACCAUUUCUGACUUCAUUUGCUAUUUUUCAUGUAUUUACUGAAUUUUUUUACCUAAAUGACCUUGAAAUUAAAAAGCACUACAAAUGAACUCCGAAAAGUUUGAAAGUUGGCAUGGUAUCAUCAUUUCAACCACAUAGCAUGUGCUAAAAGUUGAGAGGGUUACAGAAAAAAUUGGAUGCACUUCGUGUACAAAAUGGACAAUCUCUUUCGAAGUAUCAGGGUUUCGAACGAAAACUCGUCUGUUACAAAGGCAUUUCAUUUUUUAAACUUAUUUCAAGUAUAGACUUUUUGUGCGUUCAGUAUGCACCAUUCAAAGCCACGUCAUCAAUUUUCAACCAUUUCUGACUUCAUUUGCUAUUUUCAUGCAUUUACUGAUUUUUUUGAGCUAAAUGACCGUGAAACUGAAAAGCACUACAAAUGAACUCUGAAAAGGUUGAAAGUUGCCACAGUAUCAUCAUUUGGCCCACAUAGCAUGUGCUAAAACGUUGAGAGGGUUACGGCAAAAAUUGGAUGCACUUUGUGUACAAAAUGGACAAUCUCUUUCAAAGUAUCAGGGUUUUGGACGAAAACUCAUCCGUUACAAAGGCAUUUCAUUUUUUAAAAACUUAUUUCAACUCCAGACUUUUUGAGCUUUCGGUAUGCACCAUUCAAAUCCAUAGCUACUGGUACAUACCCUCAUCUCUGAGGGUGAACUACUCUCUCCUCGUCAUGGAGAGCGCCGGGAUGAUGAAGAUGGCCCCCGGUGAUGGAGUCCCCCUCCGAUAGGGUGCUGGAACAGGGUCCCAAUUGGUUUAUGGUGGCUACAUAGGCUUGUGGCGGCAAAACUCCCGAUCUAGGUUAUUUUCUGGAGGUUUGGGGAUUGAUAGGAGAGGUUGGCAUCGAGAACAAGUCAGGGGGCCCCACGGAGAGUCCACGAGGCAGGGGGCGCACCCUCCACCCUCGUGGGACCCACGGGCCUCCUCUCCGGUAAUUCUUCGUUCUAGUAAUUUUUAUAUUUUAAAGAAAAUAUCUCCGUUCAUUUUCAGCGCAUUUCGAGAACUUUUAUUUCUGCACAAAAAUAAUAGCACGGUAGUUCUGCUGAAAAUAGCGUGAGUCCGGGUUAGUUCUAACCAAAUCAUACCAAAAUCAUGUAAAAAUAUUGUAAACAUGGAAUGAAUGCAUCAAAAAUUAUAGAUACGUUGGAGACGUAUCAGCAUCCCCAAGCUUAAUUCCUGCUCGUCCUCAAGUAGGUAAAUGAUAAAAACAGAAUUUUUGAUGUGGAAUGCUACCUAACAUAUUUAUCAAUACAAUCUUCUCUAUUGUGUCAAAAAUAUUCAGAUCCAUAAGAUUCAAAACAAAAGUUUAAUAUUGACAAAAAAAUAAUAAUACUUCAAGCAUACUAAGAAAGCAAUCACGUCUUCUCAAAAUAACAUGGACAAAGAAAGCUAUCCCUAUGAAAUCAUAUUUUCUGGCUAUGCUCUAUCUUCAUCACACAAAAUAUUUAAAUCAUGCACAACCCCGAUGACAAGCCAAGCAAUUGUUUCAUACUUUUGAUGUUCUCAAACUUUUUCAAUUUUCACGCAGUACAUGAGCGUGAGCCAUGGAUAUAGCACUAUAUGUGGAAUAGAAUGGUGGUUGUGGAGAAGACAAAAAAGGGAAGAUAGUCUCACAUCAACUAGAUGUAUCAAUGGGCUAUGGAGAUGCCCAUCAAUAGAUAUCAAUGUGAGUGAAUAGGCAUUGCCAUGCAAAGGAUGCGCUAGAGCUAUAAGUGUAUGAAAGCUCAAAAGAAAACUAAAUGGGUGUGCAUCCAACUUGCUUGCUCACGAAACCCAGAGCAUUUUGAGGAAGCACAUCAUUGGAAUAUACAAGCCAAGUUCUAUAAUGUAAAAUUCCCACUAGUAUAUGAAAGUGACAACAUAGGAGACUCUCUAUCAUGAAGAUCAUGGUGCUACUUUGAAGCACAAGUGUGGUAAAAGGAUAGUAGCAUUGCCCCUUCUCUCUUUUUCUCUCAUUUUUACUUUUUUUAUUUGGCUCUUUCUCUUUUUUUGGCCUCUUUUUUUCGUCCAGAGUCUCAUCCCGACUUGUGGGGGAAUCAUAGUCUCCAUCAUGCUUUCCUCACUGGGACAAUGCUCUAAUAAUGAUGAUCAUCACACUUUUAUUUACUUCUCAAGAAUUAGAACUCAAUGCUCAGAACAAAAUAUGACUCUAUGUGAAUGCCUCCGGCGGUGCACCGGGAUGUGCAAUGAUUCAAUAGUGACAUGUAUGAAAAAAUUAUAAACGGUGGCUUUGCCACAAAUACGAUGUCAAGUACAUGAUUAUGCAAAGCAAUAUGACAAUGAUGGAGCGUGUCAUAAUAAACGGAAUGAUGGAAAGUUGCAUGGCAAUAUAUCUCGGAAUGGCUAUAGAAAUGCCAUAAUAGGUAGGUAUGGUGGCUGUUUUGAGGAAGGUAUAUGGUGGGUGUAUGGUACCGACGAAAGUUGCGCGGUACCAGAGAGGCUAGCAAAGGUGGAAGGGUGAGAGUGCGUAUAAUCCAUGGACUCAACAUUAGUCACAAAGAACUCGCAUACUUAUUGCAAAAAUCUAUUAGUUAUCGAAACGAAGUACUACGCGCAUGCUCCUAGCGGAUAGAUUCAUAGGAAAAGACCAUCGCUCAUCCCCGACCGCCACUCAUAAGGAAGACAAUCAAUAAAUAAAUCAUGCUCCAACUUCAUCACAUAACGGUUCACCAUACGUGCAUGCUAUGGCAAUCACAAACCUCAACACAAGUGUUUCUCAAAUUCACAAUUACUCCACUAGCAUGACUCUAAUAUCACCAUCCUCAUAUCUCAAAACAAUCAUAAGGAAUCAAACUUCUCAUUGUAUUCAAUGCACUUUAUAUGAAAGUUUUUAUUAUAUCCCUCUUGGAUGCCUAUCAUACUAGGACUAAUUUCAUAACCAAAGAAAAUUACCAUGUUGUUUAAGAAUCUCAAAAUAAUAUAAGUGAAGCAUGAUAGUUCAUCUAUUUCUUCAAAAUAAAACCACCAUCGUUCUCUAAAAGAUAUAAGUGAGGCACUAGAGCAAAUGACAAACUACUCUGAAAGAUAUAAGUGAAGAUCAAUGAGUAGUCGAAUAAUUAUGUAACUAUGUGAAGACUCUCUAACAUUUAAGGAUUUCAGAUCUUGGGAUAUUAUUCAAACAGCAAGCAAAACAAAAUAAAACAAAAUGAUGCUCCAAGCAAAACACAUGUCAUGUGGUGAAUAAAAAUAUAGCUCCAAGUAAAGUUACCGAUGAACAAAGACGGAAAAGGGGAUGCCAUCCAGGGCAUCCCCAAGCUUAGGAUCUUGGUUGUCCUUGAAUAUUAACUUGGGGUGCCUUGGGCAUCCCCAAGCUUAGGCUCUUGCUGUCGGUUUCAAAACCGGUGGAUCUCGGGUAGGGGGUCCCGAACUGUGUGUCUAAGGUUGAUGGUACCAGGAGGCGGGGGACACGAUGUCUACCCAGGUUCGGGCCCUCUCUAUGGAGGUAAUACCUGUUGGGGAACGUUGCAGAAAAUUAAAAUUUUUCCUACGGUUUCACCAAGAUCCAUCUAUGAGUUCAUCUAAGCAACGAGUCAAGGGAGAGAGUUUGCAUCUACAUACCACUUGUAGAUCACGAGCGGAAGCUAGCCAAGGGGAUGGUGAUGAUGGAGUCGUACUCGAACGUGAUUCGGAUCACCGAUGUCCAAGUGCUGAACGGACAGCACCUCCGCGUUUAACACACGUACGGGACGGGAGACGUCUCCUCCUUCUUGAUCCAGCAAGGGGGAAGGAGAGGUUGAGGAAGAUUGCUCCAACGGCAGCACGACGGCGUGGUGUAGUUGGUGCAGCAGUACUCCGACAGGGCUUCGCCAAGCAUAUACGGAGGAGGAGAGGUGUUGGGGAGGGGAGGGGCUGCGCCUUGGCUUGUCUUAAGCUCCCAUGCACCUCCCCACUAUAUAUAGGGGUGGAGGGGCUGGUUUCUUGCCCUCCAAGUCCAUUGGGGCGUUGGCCAAGGUGGGAGGAAAGAAAUCCCAUCAUUUCCUUCCCCACCGAUUGUUAUCCCCCCUUUUUAGGGAUCUUGAUCUUAUCCCUUCGGGAUAUGAUCUUAUUCCUUCUAAGGGGGGAUCUUGGUGCGCCUUGACCAGGGGUGUGGGGCCUUUCCCCCACUACUCACGUUCAUGUGGGUCCCCCCAUGCAGGUGGGCCCCACUCCGGAACCUUCUAGAACCUUCCCGGUACAAUACCGAAAAAUCCAGAACAUUUUCCGGUGGCCAAAAUAGGACUUCCCAUAUAUAAAUCUUUACCUCCGGACCAUUCCGGAACUCCUCGUGACGUCUGGGAUCUCAUCCGGGACUCCGAACAACAUUUGGUAACCACAUACAAACUUCCUUUAUAACCCUAGCGUCAUCGAACCUUAAGUGUGUAGACCCUACGGGUUCGGGAGACAUGUAGACAUGACCGAGACGUUCUCCGGUCAAUAACCAACAGCGGGAUCUGGAUACCCAUGUUGGCUCCCACAUGCUUCUCGAUGUUGUCAUCGGAUGAACCACGAUGUCGAGGAUUCGAUCAAACCCUGUAUACAAUUCCCUUUGUCAAUCGGUAUGUUACUUGCCCGAGACUCGAUCGUCGGUAUCCCAAUACCUUGUUCAGUCUCGUUACCGGCAAGUCACUUUACUCGUACCGUAAUGCAUGAUCUCGUGGCCAACACUUUGGUCACCUUGAGCUCAUUAUGAUGAUGCAUUACCGAGUGGGCCCAGAGAUACCUCUCCGUCAUACGGAGUGACAAAUCCCAGUCUCGAUCCGUGUCAACCCAACAGCUACUUUCGGAGAUACCUGUAAUGCACCUUUAUAGUCACCCAGUUACGUUGUGACGUUUGAUACACCCAAGGCACUCCUACGGUAUCCGGGAGUUACACGAUCUCAUGGUCUAAGGAAGAGAUACUUGACAUUGGCAAAGCUCUAGCAAACGAACUAAACGACCUUUGUGCUAUGCUUAGGAUUGGGUCUUGUCCAUCACAUCAUUCUCCUAAUGAUGUGAUCCCGUUAUCAACGACAUCCAAUGUCCAUAGCCAGGAAAUCAUGACUAUCUGUUGAUCACAACGAGCUAGUCAACUAGAGGCUCACUAGGGACAUAUUGAGGUCUAUGUAUUCACACGUGUAUUACGAUUUCCGGAUAAUACAGUUAUAGCAUGAAUAAAAGACAAUUAUCAUGAACAAUGAAAUAUAAUAAUACUUUUAUUAUUGCCUCUAGGGCAUAUUUCCAACAGUCUCCCACUUGCACUAGAGUCACCAAUCUAGUUACAUUGUGAUGAAUCGAACACCCAUGAGUUCUGGUGUUGAUCAUGUUUAGCUCGCGAGAGAGGUUUAGUCAACGGAUCUGCGACAUUCAGAUCCGUAUGUACUUUGCAAAUUUCUAUGUCUCCAUCUUGAACAUUUUCACGGAUAGAGUUGAAACGACGCUUGAUGUGCCUGGUCUUCUUGUGAAACCUGGGCUCCAUGGCAAGGGCAAUAGCUCCAGUGUUGUCACAGAAGAGUUUGAUUGGCCCCGACGCAUUGGGUAUGACUCCUAGGUCAGUGAUGAACUCCUUCACCCAAAUCGCUUCAUGCGCUGCCUCCGAGGCUGCCAUGUACUCCGCUUCACACGUAGAUCCCGCCACGACGCUCUGCUUGUAGCUGCACCAGCUUACUGCUCCACCAUUCAACAUAUACACGUAUCCGGUUUGUGACUUAGAGUCAUCCGGAUCUGAGUCGAAGCUAGCGUCGACGUAACCCUUUACGACAAGCUCUUCGUCUCCUCCAUAAACGAGAAACAUGUCCUUUGUCCUUUUCAGGUACUUCAGGAUAUUCUUGACUGUUGUCCAGUGUUCCUUGCCGGGAUUACUUUGGUAUCUAGCUACCAAACUCACGGCAAGGUUUACAUCAGGUCUGGUACACAGCAUGGCAUACAUAAUAGAUCCUAUGGCUGAAGCAUAGGGGAUGACACUCAUCUCUUCUUUAUCUUUUGCCGUGGUCGGUGACUGAGCCGAGCUCAAUCUCACACCUUGUAACAUAGGCAAGAACCCCUUCUUGGACUGAUCCAUUUUGAACCUCUUCAAAAUCUUAUCAAGGUAUGUGCUUUGUGAAAGAUCUAUGAGGCGUCUCGAUCUAUCUCUAUAGAUCUUGAUGCCUAAUAUAUAAGCAGCUUCUCCAAGGUCCUUCAUUGAAAAACACUUAUUCAAGUAGGCCUUAAUGUUGUCCAGAAAUUCUAUAUUAUUUCCCAUCAAGAGUAUGUCAUCUACAUAUAAUAUGAGAAAUGCUACAGAGCUCCCACUCACUUUCUUGUAAACGCAGGCUUCUCCAUAAGUCUGCAUAAACCCAAACGCUUUGAUCAUCUCAUCAAAGCGAAUAUUCCAACUCCGAGAUGCUUGCACCAGCCCAUAAAUGGAUCGCUGGAGCUUGCAUACUUUGUUAGCAUUCUUAGGAUCGACAAAACCUUCCGGCUGCAUCAUAUACAGUUCUUCCUUAAGAUGCCCGUUAAGGAAUGUUGUUUUGACGUCCAUCUGCCAUAUCUCAUAAUCAUAGUAUGCGGCAAUUGCUAACAUGAUUCGGACGGACUUUAGCUUUGCUACGGGAGAGAAUGUCUCGUCGUAGUCAAUCCCUUGAACCUGUCGAUAACCCUUAGCGACAAGUCGAGCUUUAUAGAUGGUGACAUUACCAUCCGCGUCUGUCUUCUUCUUAAAGAUCCAUUUGUUUUCUAUCGCCGAUCAUCGGGCAAGUCUGUCAAAGUCCAUACUUUGUUUUCAUACAUGGAUUCUAUCUCGGAUUUCAUGGCUUCAAGCCAUUUGUUGGAAUCUGGGCCCGCCAUCGCUUCUUCAUAGUUCGAAGGUUCACCGUUGUCUAACAACAUGAUUUCCAGGACGGGGUUGCCGUACCACUCUGGUGCGGAACGUGUCCUUGUGGACCUACGAAGUUCAGUAGCAACUUGAUCUGAAGUACCUUGAUCAUCAUCAUUGGUUUCCUCUUCAGUUGGUGUGGGCAUCACAGGAACAUUUUCCUGAGCUGCACCACUUUCCCGUUCGAGAGGUAGUACUUCAUCGAGUUCUACUUUCCUCCCACUUACUUCUUUCGAGAGAAACUCUUUUUCCAGAAAGCAUCCGUUCUUGGCAACAAAGAUUUUGCCCUCGGAUCUUAAGUAGAAGGUAUACCCGACAGUUUCCUUAGGGUAUCCUAUGAAGACGCAUUUUUCCGACUUGGGUUCGAGCUUUUCAGGUUGAAGUUUCUUGACAUAAGCAUCGCAUCCCCAAACUUUUAGAAACGACAGCUUAGGUUUCUUCCCAAACCAUAAUUCAUAUGGUGUCGUCUCAACGGAUUUAGACGGUGCCCUAUUUAAAGUGAAUGUAGCUGUCUCUAGAGCGUAUCCCCAAAAUGAUAGCGGUAAAUCAGUAAGAGACAUCAUAGACCGCACCAUAUCCAAUAGAGUGCGAUUACGACGUUCGGACACACCGUUUCGCUGAGGUGUUCCAGGCGGCGUGAGUUGUGAAACGAUUCCACAUUUCCUUAAGUGUGUGCCAAAUUCAUGACUUAAAUAUUCUCCUCCACGAUCUGAUCGUAGGCACUUUAUCUUUCGGUCACGUUGAUUCUCCACCUCAUUCUGAAAUUCCUUGAACUUUUCAAAGGUCUCAGACUUGUGUUUCAUUAAGUAGACAUACCCAUAUCUACUUAAGUCAUCAGUGAGAGUGAGAACAUAACGAUAUCCUCCGCGAGCCUCAACGCUCAUUGGACCGCACACAUCGGUAUGUAUGAUUUCCAAUAAGUUGGUUGCUCGCUCCAUUGUUCCGGAGAACGGAGUCUUGGUCAUCUUGCCCAUGAGGCAUGGUUCGCACGUGUCAAACGAUUCAUAAUCAAGAGACUCUAAAAGUCCAUCGGCAUGGAGCUUCUUCAUGCGCUUGACACCAACGUGACCAAGGCGGCAGUGCCACAAGUAUGUGGGACUAUCGUUAUCAACUUUACAUCUUUUGGCAUCUACACUAUGAACAUGUGUAAUAUUACGCUCGAGAUUCAUUAAGAAUAAACCAUUGACCAUCGGAGCAUGACCAUAAAACAUAUCUCUCAUAUCAAUCGAACAACCAUUAUUCUCAGACUUAAAUGAGUAGCCAUCUCGUAUUAAACGAGAUCCAGAUACAAUGUUCAGGCUCAAACUUGGCACUAAAUAACAAUUAUUAAGGUUCAAAACUAAUCCCGUAGGUAAAUGUAGAGGCAGCGUGCCGACGGCGAUCACAUCGACUCUGGAACCAUUCCCGACGCGCAUCGUCACCUCGUCCUUCGCCAGUCUCCGUUUAUUCCGCAGCUCCUGCUGUGAGUUACAAAUAUGAGCAACGGCACCGGUAUCAAAUACCCAGGAGUUACUACGAGUACUGGUAAGGUACACAUCAAUUACAUGUAUAUCAAAUAUACCUUUGGUUUUGCCGGCCUUCUUAUCUGCUAAGUAUUUGGGGCAGUUCCGCUUCCAGUGACCCUUCCCCUUGCAAUAAAAGCACUCAGUCUCAGGCUUAGGUCCAUUCUUUGACUUCUUCCCGGUAACUAGCUUACCAGGCGCGGCAACCUCCUUGCCGUCCUUCUUGAAGUUCUUCUUACCCUUGCCCUUCUUGAACUUAGUGGUCUUAUUGACCAUCAACACUUGAUGUUCUUUCUUGAUUUCAGCCUCUGCUGACUUCAGCAUCGAGAACACUUCAGGAAUGGUCUUUUCCAUCCCUUGCAUGUUGUAGUUCAUCACAAAGCUCUUGUAGCUUGGUGGGAGCGACUGGAGGAUUCUGUCAAUGACCGCCUCAUCUGGGAGGUUAAUGUUCAGCUGGGUCAUACGGUUGUGCAACCCAGACAUCUUCAGGAUGUGCUCACUGACAGAACUGUUUUCCUCCAUCUUACAACUGUAGAACUUGUCGGAGACAUCAUAUCUCUCGACCUGGGCAUGAGCUUGGAAAACUAGUUUCAGCUCUUCGAACAUCUCAUAUGCUCCGUGAUGCUCAAAAUGCUUUUGGAGCCCCGGUUCUAAGCUGUAAAGCAUGCCGCACUGAACGAGGGAGUAAUCAUCAGCGCGAGUUUGCCAAGCAUUCAUAAUGUCUUGGUUCUCUGGGACGGGAGCGUCACCUAGCGGUCCUUCUAGGACAUAUUGUUUCCUGGCAGCUAUGAGGAUGAUCCUCAGGUUCCGGACCCAGUCCGUAUAGUUGCUGCCAUCAUCUUUCAGCUUGGUUUUCUCUAGGAACGCGUUGAAGUUCAUGUUGACAUGAGCGUUGGCCAUUUGAUCUACAAGACAUAUUUGCAAAGGUUUUAGACUAAGUUCAUGAUAAUUAAGUUCUAAUCAAAUUAUGAACUCCCACUCAGAUUAGACAUCCCUUUAGUCAUCUAAGUGUUACACGAUCCGAGUCGACUAGGCCGUGUCCGAUCAUCACGUGAGACGGACUAGUCAUGUCGGUGAACAUUCUCAUGUUGAUCGUAUCUUCCAUACGACUCGUGUUCGACCUUUCGGUCUCCGUGUUCCGAGGCCAUGUCUGCACAUGCUAGGCUCGUCAAGUUAACCCUAAGUGUUUUCGCUGUGUAAAACUGUCUUACACCCGUUGUAUGUGAACGUAAGAAUCCAUCACACCCGAUCAUCACGUGGUGCUUAGAAGCGACGAACUGUAGCAACGGUGCACAGUUAGGGGAGAACACUUCUUGAAAUUUUUGUAAGGGAUCAUCUUAUUUACUACCGUCGUCCUAAGUAAACAAGAUGCAUAAACAUAAUAAACAUCACAUGCAAUUAUAUAGUUGUGACAUGAUAUGGCCAAUAUCAUGUAGCUCCAUUGAUCUUCAUCUUCGGGGCUCCAUGAUCAUCUUGUCACCGGCUUGACACCAUGAUCUCCAUCAUCAUGAUCUCCAUCAUCGUGUCUUCAUGAAGUUGUCACGCCAACGACUACUUCUACUUCUAUGACUAACGUUUAGCAAUAAAGUAAAGUAGUUUACAUGGCGUUAUUCAAUGACACGCAGGUCAUACAAAAAAUAAAGACAACUCCUAUGGCUCCUGCCGGUUGUCAUACUCAUCGACAUGCAAGUCAUGAAUCCUAUUACAAAGAACAUGAUCUCAUACAUCACAAUUCAUCAUUCAUCACAACUUCUGGCCAUAUCACAUCACAUGAUCAAUCGCUGCAAAAACAAGUUAGACGUCCUCUAAUUGUUGUUGCAUCUUUUACGUGGCUGCAAUUGGGUUCUAGCAAGAACGUUUUCUUACCUACGAAUAACCACAACGUGAUUUUGUCAACUUCUAUUUACCCUUCAUAAGGGCCCUUUUCAUCGAAUCCGCUCCAACUAAAGUGGGAGAGACAGACACCCGCCAGCCACCUUAUGCAACUAGUGCAUGUCAGUCGGUGGAACCGGUCUCACGUAAGCGUACGUGUAAGGUUGGUCCGGGCCGCUUCAUCCCACAAUACCGCCGAAGCAAGAAAAGACUAGUAGAGGCAAGUAAGAUGACAAAAUCCACACCCACAACAAAAUUGUGUUCUACUCGUGCAAAGAGAACUACGCAUAGACCUAGCUCAUGAUGCCACUGUUGGGGAACGUUGCAGAAAAUUAAAAAUUUUCCUACAGUUUCACCAAGAUCCAUCUAUGAGUUCAUCUAAGCAACGAGUCAAGGGAGAGAGUUUGCAUCUACAUACCACUUGUAGAUCACGAGCGGAAGCUAGCCAAGGGGAUGGUGAUGAUGGAGUCGUACUCGAACGUGAUUCGGAUCACCAAUGUCCAAGUGCUGAACGGACAGCACCUCCGCGUUCAACACACGUACGGGACGGGAGACGUCUCCUCCUUCUUGAUCCAGCAAGGGGGAAGGAGAGGUUUAGGAAGAUUGCUCCAACGGCAGCACGACGGCGUGGUGUAGUUGGUGCAGCAGUACUCCGACAGGGCUUCGCCAAGCAUAUACGGAGGAGGAGAGGUGUUGGGGAGGGGAGGGGCUGCGCCUUGGCUUGUCUUAAGCUCCCAUGCACCUCCCCACUAUAUAUAGGGGUGGAGGGGCUGGUUUCUUGCCCUCCAAGUCCAUUGGGGCGUUGGCCAAGGUGGGAGGAAAGAAAUCCCAUCAUUUCCUUCCCCACCGAUUGUUAUCCCCCCUUUUUAGGGAUCUUGAUCUUAUCCCUUCGGGAUAUGAUCUUAUUCCUUCUAAGGGGGGAUCUUGGUGCGCCUUGACCAGGGGUGUGAGGCCUUUCCCCCACUACUCACGUUCAUGUGGGUCCCCCCAUGCAGGUGGGCCCCACUCCGGAACCUUCUAGAACCUUCCCGGUACAAUACCGAAAAAUCCCGAACAUUUUCCGGUGGCCAAAAUAGGACUUCCCAUAUAUAAAUCUUUACCUCCGGACCAUUCCGGAACUCCUCAUGACGUCCGGGAUCUCAUCCGGGACUCCGAACAACAUUCGGUAACCACAUACAAACUUCCUUUAUAACCCUAGCGUCAUCGAACCUUAAGUGUGUAGACCCUACGGGUUCGGGAGACAUGUAGACAUGACCGAGACGUUCUCCGGUCAAUAACCAACAGCGGGAUCUGGAUACCCAUGUUGGCUGCCACAUGCUUCUCGAUGUUGUCAUCGGAUGAACCACGAUGUCGAGGAUUCGAUCAAACCCUGUAUACAAUUCCCUUUGUCAAUCGGUACGUUACUUGCCCGAGACUCGAUCGUCGGUAUCCCAAUACCUUGUUCAGUCUCGUUACCGGCAAGUCACUUUACUCGUACCGUAAUGCAUGAUCUCGUGGCCAACACUUUGGUCACCUUGAGCUCAUUAUGAUGAUGCAUUACCGAGUGGGCCCAGAGAUACCUCUCCGUCAUACGGAGUGACAAAUCCCAGUCUCGAUCCGUGUCAACCCAACAGCUACUUUCGGAGAUACCUGUAAUGCACCUUUAUAGUCACCCAGUUACGUUGUGACGUUUGAUACACCCAAGGCACUCCUACGGUAUCCGGGAGUUACACGAUCUCAUGGUCUAAGGAAGAGAUACUUGACAUUGGCAAAGCUCUAGCAAACGAACUAAACGACCUUUGUGCUAUGCUUAGGAUUGGGUCUUGUCCAUCACAUCAUUCUCCUAAUGAUGUGAUCCCGUUAUCAACGACAUCCAAUGUCCAUAGCCAGGAAAUCAUGACUAUCUGUUGAUCACAACGAGCUAGUCAACUAGAGGCUCACUAGGGACAUAUUGAGGUCUAUGUAUUCACACGUGUAUUACGAUUUCCGGAUAAUACAGUUAUAGCAUGAAUAAAAGACAAUUAUCAUGAACAAUGAAAUAUAAUAAUACUUUUAUUAUUGCCUCUAGGGCAUAUUUCCAACAAUACCCUACUUCCUGCUUGAUUGAUCUUGAUGAAUAUGAGUAUUACAAGAGUUUAUCUACCACGAGAUCGUAAUGGAUAAAACCCUAGAAGUCUAGCCUCUAUGUUUAUGAUUGCCUGUACGGACUAAGCCCUCCGGUUUAUAUAGACAUCGGAGGGGACCAGGUUUGUACAAAGUCGGUUACAGAGAAAGGAAUCUUCAUAUCCGGGUGCCAAGCUUGCCUUCCACGCCAAGGAGAGUCCCAUCCGGACACGGGAGAGAGUCUUCUGUCUUGUAUAUUCACGGCCCAAUAGCCGGCCUACGCUACAUAGUCUGGCCGUCUGAGGACCCCUUAAUCCAGGACUCCCUCAGCAGCCCCUGAGCCAAGGCUUCAAUGACGAGGUGUCUGGCACGCGAAUUGUCUUCGGCAUUGCAAGGCGGGUUCCUUCUCCGAAUACUCCAAAAUAGUCUUUUGAACACAAGAAUCGUGUCCUGCUCUGCAAAACAAAUUCCACACACAACUGUAGAGAGUAUAAUAUUUCACGAGUCCAAUCCGCUGACAACUUUUUGUAGCGUGACAUCACGUCGCCGCCCGACCAUUAUUUCGAACAGUUUUUUAGCCUGCCGCUCCAUAUUUCAAGAUGUGGUUUUAUUGGCACGUCCUGUCGAAGUAGAGAUCGUGUCUCCUUAUCGUGGGAUUCUCAUCAAUACGGGUGUGGGUAACCCAACCAUGCCGUCUGCACGGCCCUUGGGGAAUAGGCGAGUUUUAAGGUGAGUGUGGAGGCGCUUGAUAUUCGCUACCUUUAUAAGGAGAAAAGGAUUCACCCUUUUCACCCACGCCUUCCCUUUCUCUGCCCAUCCAUUCUCGAGCUCCAACGCCCAAGUCCUCAUCCUCUCCGCCUCAAAAAAAAGCACUCCAAUCAUGUCCAGAUCCGGAGCGCAGGGCAAGUGGAUGGCCUCCUCCGUUAAGGAGAAGGACAUUACCAAGCUCCGGGAGGCUGGGUAUUUGGCCGAGGAAAUCUCCCAUCGACUUCCGGCCAAGGGACAGAUUGUCCCCACCUCGGAGCCCCAUGAGAGGGUAGUAUUCAUCCCCCACAUUGCCUGUGGGUUGGGAUUUUCUCUGCACCCAUUCGUCCGCGGACUCAUGUUCUACUAUGGGCUGGAUUUCCACGAUCUGGCCCCCAACUCCUUCCUCAACAUCUCGGCAUUCAUUGUCAUGUGCGAGGCCUUACUCCGCACCGCACCCCACUUCGGAUUAUGGUUAAAGAUCUUCAAUGUGAAGCCGAAGGUCGUGGGCAGUCAACACGCGGAGUGUGGAGGCGCCAUGGUGAGCAAGAUUCCCAACGUCACAUCGCCAAUAACUACCUUUGUGGACACCGUCAAAGGGUGGCAAUAGCAGUGGUUCUAUGUCACAGAGCCACGCGACACCACCUGGGCCACGGAUACUGAAUUCCAGUCUAGAGCCCCGAUGCGGCUCACCUCCUAGCUAGAGAAGGGCCGGGACUGGUCUUCAUUGGACGAGCUGAUAGCGCUUCAGAUGCGCAACAGGAGCAUGAUAGACAAGAAUAUCAAGCUUGUCAAUGUGAUCCAGGUGAUGCUUGUUCGCCGGAUCCUUCCGUGCCAAAGCCGGACUUGCCAUUUGUGGGAGUACAAUCCGACCAAGCACCAGACCUUGCUGCAGUUCUUCGGCACUCUGCACGAAAAUAUCUGGAAGGUGCCUUUCAAGUCAAACAGGACGUGGCCGGAUACGACCGAGGACUGUGGGCACGACUUGGCCCAUCCCGCUAGUCCAGUAAGUUUUUUCAUGUUUUCAAGGUGUAUCCUUUACUUGCAUACUCGAGGAAGACGCCUAAGCCUCCCUACUGAUUCUCUCAGGGCUGGACAAAGAAUGCAGAGCGAAUUCACUAUCCGGCUCCACUGCCCGAAGACCCAGUAGUUCCACUUCUAACGAAGAUGUUGGUUCCGGCGCCCUAUCAAGCACCGGAGAAGAAGGCCAAGGGGACCAAAGGUGGCCUCCAUCAUAAGGGCACUUCAGACGUGACGUCCGGAGAUGCCAAGACUCAUUCCUCUGCCGCCGAGGACGACGAGGAAGAGGAGGUAGAAGAAGAAAGCCAUUCCCCCCUGAGUGGGGAAGAAACAAAAGGACGGCCUCCACGCGUCUGGAGGCCGAAGCGUCCAAGAAGGGGAAGGCUUCCCUCCCAGACAAUUCCACAGCGGACACCGACAGUAGCUCGGAAUGGCGCCCCAGGGAUAAGCCCCUGGCCGAAUCGUAAGUAGUCAAAGAUGCACUCAUAUAUCCGGCCCUUUUCCUUCAUGGUUUUUACAUGUCGAAUCAUGUGCUGCCGCCCGGCCCGUUCCGUCCUCGAGUGAUCCUCAUCAACGGGCAAUUCGCUGGACCCGAAGGUGAUGGACAGCAGGUCCCUUCCGGCGUCCUCUUCUCCCAAGGCCAUGGAUGACACAGAGGCAUUGUCCCGAAGGACCCCAGGCCAAGGAACGAUGCACGAGGCCGUCAAGGCGGCGUCAGAGGGUGAAACCUUGGCCGCCGGACACAUCGGGGAGCAAAUCCCCAUAGAUACUGGUGAUGGGGGCCAUAUCCAAUUCGGCCCCCAGCCGAAUACAAUUUUGGAGACCUAUACGGCUCCGGAAUUAGGCAAGCAGCCUCUUUUGAAAGAAGGAGGUGCGCCUAUUCCACCGGUGACCUCUGUCCAUCCAGAGGCACCGGAUAAUUUGCUUGAAGCGCUGCAAGGCACUUCCAUUGUUGAGGAACAUCGUAUCCUUAUGGGUAUGAUGGUUGAGAGGGUGCGGUCCAUUAAGAGCGGACUAACCGACGCUUGUACCAGUCUUCUAACAGGUUUUGAGGUGAGCAACACAAUUAUAUAAAAAGAAUGCCAUAGUAUAGAAAGUAGCCCUGAGACUCUGUCCGUUGUUCGGAAACAAAAGCCGAACAGAGGAUCAAAUAAUUUUCGCAGGAGACUAACCUGACAUGUCUAUGUGAAUAAGCAGGCGUCGUUGCUAGCUGCGAGCUCUCAUGCUGUUGAGGACUCUAAACUAAAGCAUAGUCUGGAGCGGACCGAGGAAGAGCUCGGCCGUGUGAAGAAACAGCUGGAAGACAAUUAAGGCAUGCAAUAACCUUGUCUAUAUUCAGGAAGGAUGAAUGAUUUGUGCUGACUAAAGUGCCAUGAUAUUUAUUAGGAGCGGCCUUGUGAUGACAAGUUUCAUGGUUAUCAUUAUUCUUUAUAGCAUACAUGUCAACACAAUAAUCAUCAUAGAUAGCAACUUUGUUCUCAUAAACAAUUGGAACCUCUUCCGAAAUAGUAGAUUCAUCACUAAAUAAAGUCAUAACCUCUCCAAAUCCACUUUUAUCAAUAUCACAAUAAGAUUCAACACCCUCCAAAAUAGUGGGAUAGUUACUUCCUAAAGUUGACACUCUUCCAAACCCACCUUCAUCAAUAUAAUCAUCAUAAAUAGGAGGCAUUCUUUCAUCAUAAUAAAUUUGCUCAUCAAAACAUGGGGGACAAAAAAUAUCAUCUUCAUCAAACAUAGCAUCCCCAAGCUUGUGGCUUUGCAUAUCAUUAGCAUCAUGGAUAUUCAAAGAAUUCAUACUAACAACAUUGCAAUCAUGUUCAUCAUACAAAGAUUUAGUGCCAAACAUUUUACUGCAUUCUUCUUCUAACACUUUGGCACAAUUAUCGAAAUCCUUAUUUUCACGAAAGACAUUAAAAAGAUGAAGCAUAUGAGUCAACUUUAAUUCCAUUUUUUGGUAGUUUCCUUUUGUAGACUAAACUACUGAUAAAACAAUAAACUCAAAGAUUCAAUUGCAAGAUCUAAAGAUAUACCUUCAAGCACUAACCUCCCCGGCAACGGCGCUAGAAAAGAGCUUGAUGUCUACUAUGCAACCUUCUUCUUGUAGACGUUCUUGGGCCUCCAAGUGCAGAGGUUUGUAGGACAGUAGCAAAUUUCCCUCAAGUGUAUGACCUAAGGUUUAUCAAUCCGUGGGAGGCGUAGGAUGAAGAUGGUCUCUCUCGAACAACCCUGCAACCAAAUAACAAAGAGUCUCUUGUGUCCCCAACACACCCAAUUCAAUGGUAAAUUGUAUAUGUGCACUAGUUCGGCGAAGAGAUGGUGAUACAAGUGCAAUAUGGAUGGUAGAUAUAGAUUUUUGUAAUCUGAAAAUAUAAAAACAGCAAGGUAACAAGUAAUAAAAGUGAGUGAAAACGGUAUUGCAAUGCUUUGAAACAAGGCCUAGGGUUCAUACUUUCACUAGUGCAAGUUUUCUCAACAAUAAUAACAUAAUUGGAUCAUAUAACUAUCCCUCAACAUGCAACAAAGAGUCGCUCCAAAGUCACUAAUAGCGGAGAACAAACGAAGAGAUUAUUGUAGGGUACGAAACCACCUCAAAGUUAUUCUUUUCGAUCAAUGCAUUGGGCUAUUCCUAUAAGUGUCACAAACAGCCGUAUAGUCCAUAGUAAAAUAACACCUUCAGACACAAAUCAACCAAAACCCUAAUGUCACCUAGAUACUCCAAUGUCACCUCAAGUAUCUGUGGGUUUUAUUAUACGACAUGCAUCACACAAUCUUAGAUUCAUCUAUUCAACCAACACAAAGAACUUCAAAGAGUGCCCCAAAGUUUCUAUCGGAGAGUCAAGACGAAAAUGUUUGCCAACCCCUAUGCAUAGAUUCCCAAGGUCACGGAACCCGCAAGUUGAUCACCAAAGCAUACAUCAAGUGAAUCAAUAGAAUACCCCAUUGUCAGCACGGGUAUCCCACGCAAGACAUACAUCAAGUGUUCUCAAAUCCUUAAAGAAUCAAUCCGAUAAGAUAACUUCAAAGGAAAAACUCAAUUCAUUACAAGAAGGUAGAGAGGAAGAAACAUCAUAAGAUCCAACUAUAGUAGCAAAGCUCGCGGUACAUCAAGAUCGUGCCACAUCAAGAACACGAGAGAGAGAGAUCAAACACAUAGCUACUGGUACAUACCCUCAGCCCCGAGGGUGAACUACUCCCUUCUCGUCAUGGAGAGCGUCGGGAUGAUGAAGAUGGCCACCGGUGAUGGAUUACCCCUCUGGCAGGGUGCCGGAACAGGGUCCCGAUUGGUUUUUGGUGGCUACAGAGGCUUGCGGUGGUGGAUCUCCUGAUCUAGAUUAUUUUAUAGAGGUUUGGGGAUUUAUAGGAGAGGUUGGUGUCGAGAACAAGUCUAGGGGCCCCACGGAGAGUCCACGAGGUAGGGGGGCGCCCUCCACCCUCGUGCGGCCCAUGGGCCUCCCCUCCGGUAACUCUUUGUUCCAGUAUUUUAUUUAUUUUCCAGAAAAAACCUCCGUUCAUUUUCAACGCAUUCCGAGAACUUUUAUUUCUGCACAGAACCAACACCACGGUAGUUCUGCUGAAAACAGCAUCAGUCUGGGUUAGUUCUAACCAAAUCGUACCAAAAUCAUGUAAAAAUAUUGUAAACUUGGCAUAAUACAUCAAAAAUUAUAGAUACAUUGGAGACGUAUCAGUACUAUUCUCACUUUCGAGAGAAGGUACAAUUACCUCAUCAAGUUCUACUUUCCUCCCACUCACUUCUUUCGAGAGAAACUCCUUUAGAAAGGACCCAUUCUCAACAACAAAGAUAUUGCCUUUGCAUCUAUCAUGGAAGGUGUACCCAAUUGUUUCCUUAGGGUAUCCUAUGAAGACACACUUCUCCGAUUUGGGUUCGAGCUUAUCAAGCUGAAGCCUUUUGACAUAAGUGUCGCAACCCCAAAUUUUAAGAAACGACAGCUUAGAUUUCUUGCCAGACUACAGUUCCUACGGUGUCGUCUCAACGGAUUUAGAUGGUUCACUAUUUAACUUGAAUGCGGAUGUCUCUAACGCAUAACCCCAAAACAAUAGUGGUAAAUUGGUAAAGAUAUCAUAUAUCGCACCAUAUCUAAUAAAGUGCGGUUACUGUUGGAAAUAUGCCCUAGAGGCAAUGAUAAAUUAGUUAUUAUUAUUAUAUUUCCUUGUUCAUGAUAAUUGUUUAUUAUCCAUGCUAUAAUUGUAUUGAUAGGAAACUCAGAUACAUGUGUGGGUACAUAGACAACACCAUGUCCCUAGUAAGCCUCUAGUUGACUAGCUCGUUGAUCAAUAGAUGGUUAUGGUUUCCUGACCAUGGACAUUGGAUGUCGUUGAUAACGGGAUCACAUCAUUAGCAGAAUGAUGUGAUGGACAAGACCCAAUCGUAAGCCUAGCACAAAGAUCAUAGUUCGUAUGCUAAAGCUUUUCUUAUGUCAAGUAUCAUUUCCUUAGACCAUGAGAUUGUGCAGCUCCCGGAUACCGUAGGAAUGCUUUGGGUGUACCAAACGUCACAACGUAACUGGGUGGCUAUAAAGGUGCACUACAGGUAUCUCCGAAAGUGUCUGUUGGGUUGGCACGAAUCGAGACUGGGAUUUGUCACUCCGUGUGACGGAGAGGUAUCUUUGGGCCCACUCGGUAGGAAAUCAUCAAGGGGUUGAUCACGGGAUGAUGUGUUACGGAACGAGUAAAGAGACUUUCCGGUAACGAGAUUGAACAGGGUAUCGGUAUACCGACGAUCGAAUCUCGGGCAAGUACAAUACCGUUAGACAAAGGGAAUUGUAUACGGGAUCGAUUGAGUCCUUGACAUCGUGGUUCACCUGAUGAGAUCAUCGUGGAACAUGUGGGAGCCGACAUGGGUAUCCAGAUCCCGCUGUUGGUUAUUGACCGGAGAACGUCUCGGUCAUGUCUGCAUGGUUCCCGAACCCGUAGGGUCUACACACUUAAGGUUCGAUGACGCUAGGGUUAUAAAGGAAGUUUGUAUGUGGUUACCGAAUGUUGUUCGGAGUCCCGGAUGAGAUCCCGGACGUCACGAGGAGUUCCAGAAUGGUUCGGAGGUAAAGAUUUAUAUAUGGGAAGUCCUGUUUUGGUCACCGGAAAAGUUUCGGGUUUUAUUGGUAACGUACCGGGACCACUGGGAGGGUCCCGGGGGUCCACCAAGUGGGGCCACCGGCCCCGGAGGGCUGCAUGGGCCAAGUGUGGGAGGGGACCAGCCCCAGGUGGGCUGGUGUGCCCCCCCCCCCCACAAGGGCCCAAGGCGCCUAGGGUUGGGGGAGGGGGCGCACCCACCUAACUUGGGGGGCAAGUUUCCCCUCUCCCCCCCCCCNNNNNNNNNNNNNNNNNNNNNNNNNNNNNNNNNNNNNNNNNNNNNNNNNNNNNNNNNNNNNNNNNNNNNNNNNNNNNNNNNNNNNNNNNNNNNNNNNNNNNNNNNNNNNNNNNNNNNNNNNNNNNNNNNNNNNNNNNNNNNNNNNNNNNNNNNNNNNNNNNNNNNNNNNNNNNNNNNNNNNNNNNNNNNNNNNNNNNNNNNNNNNNNNNNNNNNNNNNNNNNNNNNNNNNNNNNNNNNNNNNNNNNNNNNNNNNNNNNNNNNNNNNNNNNNNNNNNNNNNNNNNNNNNNNNNNNNNNNNNNNNNNNNNNNNNNNNNNNNNNNNNNNNNCGCCCCUAGGGUGGAACCCUAGGUGGAGGUGCAGCCCCCCCUCUCCCCCUAUAUAUACUUGAGGGGUUUUGGGGCUGCCAACACACGAGUUUCACCUCUCCCAGGCGCAGCCCUACCUCUCUUACUCCUCCUCUCCCGCGGUGCUUGGCGAAGCCCUGCUGGAUUGCCACGCUCCUCCACCACCACCACGCCGUUGUGCUGCUGCUGGACGGAGUCUUCCUCAACCUCUCCCUCUCUCCUUGCUGGAUCAAGGCAUGGGAGACGUCACCGGGUUGUAUGUGUGUUGAACGCGGAGGUGCCGUCCGUUCGGCACUAGGAUCUCUGGUGAUUUGGAUCACGACGAGUACGACUCCUUCAACCCUGUUCUCUUGAACGCUUCCGCUUAGCGAUCUACAAGGGUAUGUAGAUGCACUCUCCUUCCCCUCGUUGCUGGUUUCUCCAUAGAUAGAUCUUGGUGACACGUAGAAAAAAAUUUAAUUUUCUGCAACGUUCCCCAACAGUGGCAUCAUGAGCUAGGUCUAUGCGUAGUUCUCUAUUGCACGAGUAGAACACAAUUUGUUGUGGGCGUAGAUGUUGUCAACUUUCUUGCCGCUACUAGUCUUAUCUUGCUUCAGCGGUAUUGUGGGAUGAAGCGGCCCGGACCGACCUUACACGUACGCUUACGUGAGACUGGUUCCACCGACCGACAUGCACUAGUUGCAUAAGGUGGCUAGCGGGUGUCUGUCUCUCCCACUUUAGUUGGAGCGGAUUCGAUGAAAAGGGUCCUUAUGAAGGGUAAAUAGAAGUUGACAAAUCACGUUGUGGCUUUCACGUAGGUAAGAAAACGUUCUUGCUAGAACCCUAUUGCAGCCACGUAAAACUUGCAACAACAAUUAGAGGACGUCUAACUUGUUUUUGCAGCAAGUGUUUUGUGAUAUGAUAUGGCCAAAGUUGUGAUGAAUGAUGAAUGAUAUAUGUGAUGUAUGAGAUCAUGUUCUUGUAAUAGGAAUCACGACUUGCAUGUCGAUGAGUAUGACAACCGGCAGGAGCCAUAGGAGUUGUCUUUAUUUUUUGUAUGACCUGCGUGUCAUUGAAGAACGCCAUUUAAAUUACUUUACUUUAUUGCUAAACGCGUUAGCCAUAGAAGUAGAAGUAGUCGUUGGCGUGACAACUUCAUGAAGACACGAUGAUGGAGAUCAUGAUGAUGGAGAUCAUGAUGAUGGAGAUCAUGGUGUCAUGCCGGUGACAAGAUGAUCAUGGAGCCCCGAAGAUGGAGAUCAAAGGAGCUAUAUGAUAUUGGCCAUAUCAUGUCACUACUAUAUAAUUGCAUGUGAUGUUUAUUAUGUUUAUGCAACUUGUUUACUUAGAACGACGGUUGUAAAUAAGAUGAUCCCUCAUAACAAUUUCAAGAAAGUGUUCUCCCUAACUAUGCACCGUUGCUAAAGUUCGUCGUUUCGAAGCACCACGUGAUGAUCGGGUGUGAUAGAUUCUUACGUUCACAUACAACGGGUGUAAGCCAGAUUUACACACGCAGAACACUUAGGUUAACUUGACGAGCCUAGCAUGUACAGACAUGGCCUCGGAACACAAGAGACCGAAAGGUCGAGCAUGAGUCGUAUAGUAGAUACGACCAACAUGAAGAUGUUCACCGAUGAUGACUAGUCCGUCUCACGUGAUGAUCGGACACGGCGGAUCAUGUAAUCACUUAGAUGACUAGAGGAAUGUCUAUCUAAGUGGGAGUUCAUGAGAUGAACUUAAUUAUCCUAAACAUAGUCAAAAGAUCUUUGCAAAUUAUGUCGUACGCUCGCGCUUUAGUUCUACUGUUUAGAUAUGUUCAUAGAGAAAAUAUAGUUGAAAGUUGACAGUAGCGAUUAUGCGGACAGCAGAAAGCUUAUGUCCUUAAUGCACCGCUCAGUGUGUUGAACCCCAAACGUCGUCUGUGGAUGUUGCGAAGAUCGGACAUACAUGUUUUGAUAACUACGUGAUAGUUCAGUUAAACGGUUUAGAGUUGAGGCACCAAAUACGUUUUCGAAACAUCGCGGAACAUAUGAGAUGUUUCGAGGUCUGAAAUUGGGAUUUCAGCCUCGUGCCCACGUCAAGAGGUAUAAGACCUCCGACGAUUUUCUUAGCCUGCAAACUAAGGGAGAAAAGCUCAAUCGUUGAGCUUGUGCUCAGAUUGUCUGAGUGCAACAAUCACUUGAAUCGAGUGGGAGUUGAUCUUCCAGAUGAGAUAGUGAUGUUUCUCCAAAGUCAUUGCCACCAAGCUGCUAGAGCUUCGUGAUGAACUAUAACAUAUCAGGGAUAGAUGAUCCUUGAGGUAUUCACGAUGUUUGACUCCGCGAAAGUAGAAAUCAAGAAGGAGCAUCAAUUGUUGAUGGUUGGUGAAACCACUAGUUUCAAGAAGGGCAAGGGCAAGAAGGGACACUUCAUGAAACAGCAAAUCAGUUGCUGCUCCAGUGAAGAAACCCAAGGUUGAACCCAAAUCCGAGACUAAGUGCUUCUGUAAUAAGGGGAACAGCCACUGGAGCAGAAUUACCCUAGAUACUUGGUAGAUAAGAAGGCUGGCAAGGUCGAUAGAAGUAUAUUGGAUAUACAUUAUGUUAAUGUGUACUUUACUAGUACUCCUAGUAGCACCAGGGUAUUAGAUACCGGUUCGGUUGCUAAGUGUUAGUAACUCGAAAUAAAAGCUAUGGAAUAAACGGAGACUAGCUAAAGGUGAGCUGACGAUACGUGUUGGAAGUGUUUCCAAGGUUGAUGUGAUCAAGCAUCGCACGCUCCCUCUACCAUCGAGAUUGGUGUUAAACCUAAAUAAUUGUUAUUGGUGUUUGCGUUGAGCAUAGACAUGAUUGGAUUAUGUCUGUCGCAAUACGGUUAUUCAUUUAAGGAGAAUAAUGGUUACUCUGUUUAUUUGAAUAAUACCUUCAAUGGUCUAGCACCUAAAAGGAAUGGUUUAUUGAAUCUCAAUCGUACUGAUACACAUUUUCAUGCCAAAAAGGAUACAAGAUAGUAAUGAUAGUACCACUUACUUGUGGCACUGCCAUGUAAGUCAUAUUGGUGUAAAACGCAUGAUGAAGCUCCAUGUUGAUGGAUCUUUGGACUCACUCGUUUUUGAAAAGUUUGAGACAUGCAAACCAUGUCUAUUGGUGUAUACGCAUGAAGAAACUCCAUGCAAAUGGAUCGUUUGGACUCACUUGAUUUUGAAUCACUUGAGAUAUGCAAAUCAUACCACAUAGGCAAGAUGACUGAAAAGCCUUGUUUUUCAGUAAGAUGGAACAAGAUAGAAACUCGUUGGAAGUAACACAUUCUGAUGUGUGCAGUCCAAUGAGUGCUGAGGCAUGCAGUGAAUAUCGUUAUGUUCUUACUUCACAGAUGAUUUGAGUAGAUGUUGAGUACAUUUACUUGAUGAAACACAAGUCUGAAUUAUUGAAAGGUUCAAGUAAUUUCAGAGUGAAGUUGAAGAUCUUCGUGACAAGAGGAUAAAAGGUCUAUGAUAUGAUCAUAGAGAUGAGUAUCUGAGUUACGAGCUUUGGCACGCAAUUAAGACACUGUGGAAAUUGUUUCACAAUUAAUACCGCCUAGAACACCAUAGUGUGAUGGUGUGUCCGAACAUCAUAGUUGCACCCUAUUGGAUAUGGUGCGUACCAUGAUGUCUGUUAUCGAAUUACCACUAUCAUUCAUGGGUUAGGCAUUAGAGACAAGCGCACUCACUUUAAUAGGGCACCACGUAAUUCCAUUGAGACGACACCGAACUAUGGUUUGGAGAAACCUAAGUUGUUGUUUCUUAAAAGUUUGGGGCUGCGACGCUUAUGUGAAAAAGUUUCAUCGUGGUAAGCUCGAACCCAAAACGGAUAAAUACAUCUUCAUAGGAUACCCAAAAUGGUUGGGUAUACCUCCUUGUUGGGGAACGUAGCAGAAAUUCAAAAAUUUUCCUACGUAACACCAAGAUCUAUCUAUGGAGAGACCAGCAACGAGUAGAAAGGGGAGUGCAUCUACAUACCCUUGUAGAUCGCUAAGCGGAAGCGUUCAAGUGAACGGGGUUGAUGGAGUCGUACUCGUCGUGAUUCAGAUCACCGAUGAUCCUAGUGCCGAACGGACGGCACCUCCGCGUUCAACACACGUACAGCUCGACGAUGUCUCCCACGCCUUGAUCCAGAAAGGAGAGAGGGAGAGGUUGAGGAAGACUCCAUCCAGCAGCAGCACAACGGCGUGGUGGUGAUGGAGGAGCGUGGCAAUCCUGCAGGGCUUCGCCAAGCACCUACGGGAGAGGAGGAGGUGUCACGGGAGGGAGGGAGGCGCCAAGGGCUCAGGUAUGGAUGCCCUCCCUUCCCUCCACUAUAUAUAGGGGCAGGGGAGAGGGGGGAGGCGCAGCCUUGCCCCUUACUCCAAGAAAGGGGUGCGGCCAAGAGGGGGGAGGAGUCCAUCCUCCCCAAGGCACCUCGGACGUGCCUUCCCCCUUGAGGACUCUUCCCUCUAGGGUUCCCUAGGCGCAUGGGCCUCUUAGGGCUGGUGCCCUUGGCCCAUGUAGGCCAAGGCGCACCCCCUACAGCCCAUGUGGCCCCUCGGGGCAGGUGGCCCCACCCGGUGGGCCCCCGGGACCCUUCCGGUGGUCCCGGUACAAUACCGAUGACCCCGAAACUUGUCCCGAUGGCCGAAACAGGACUUCCUAUAUAUAAAUCUUUACCUCCGGACCAUUCCGGAACUCCUCGUGACGUCCAGGAUCUCAUCCGGGACUCCGAACAACAUUCGGUAACCACAUACAAACUUCCUUUAUAACCCUAGCGUCAUCGAACCUUAAGUGUGUAGACCCUACGGGUUCGGGAGACAUGCAGACAUGACCGAGAUGUUCUACGGUCAAUAACCAACAGCGGGAUCUGGAUACCCAUGUUGGCUCCCACAUGUUCCACGAUGAUCUCAUCGGAUGAACCACGAUGUCAAGGACUCAAUCAAUCCCGUAUACAAUUCCCUUUGUCUAGCGGUAUGGUACUUGCCCGAGAUUCGAUCGUCGGUAUACCGAUACCUUGUUCAAUCUCGUUACCGGCAAGUCUCUUUACUCGUUCCGUAACACAUCAUCCCGUGAUCAACCCUUGGUCACAUUGUGCACAUUAUGAUGAUGUCCUACCGAGUGGGCCCAGAGAUACCUCUCCGUUUACACGGAGUGACAAAAUCCCAAUCUCGAUUCGUGCCAACCCAACAGACACUUUCAGAGAUACCCGUAGUGUACCUUUAUAGCCACCCAGUUACGUUGUGACGUUUGGCACACCCAAAGCACUCCUACGGUAUCCGGGAGUUGCACAAUCUCAUGGUCUAAGGAAAUGAUACUUGACAUUAGAAAAGCUUUAGCAUACGAACUACAUGAUCUUGUGCUAGGCUUAGGAUUGGGUCUUGUCCAUCACAUCAUUCUCCUAAUGAUGUGAUCCCGUUAUCAACGACAUCCAAUGUCCAUGGUCAGGAAACCGUAACCAUCUAUUGAUUAACGAGCUACUCAACUAGAGGCUUACUAGGGACAUGGUGUUGUCUAUGUAUCCACACAUGUAUCUGAGUUUCCUAUCAAUACAAUUCUAGCAUGGAUAAUAAACGAUUAUCAUGAACAAGGAAAUAUAAUAAUAAUCAAUUUAUUAUUGCCUCUAGGGCAUAUUUCCAACAGUCUCCCACUUGCACUAGAGUCAAUAAUCUAGUUCACAUCGAUAUGUGAUUAACACUCAAGGUCACAUCCCCAUGUGACUAACACCCAAAGAGUUUACUAGAGUCAAUAAUCUAGUUCACAUUUACCAUGUGAUUAACACUCGAUGAGUUCUGGGUUUGAUCAUGUUAUGCUUGUGAGAGAGGUUAUAGUCAACGGGUCUGAACCUUUCAGAUCCGUGUGUGCUUUACAAAUCUCUAUGUCAUCUCCUAGAUGCAGCUACCACGUUCUAUUUGGAGCUAUUCCAAACAACUGUUCUACUUGGAGCUAUUCUAAAUUGUUGCUCCAUUAUACGUAUCCGGUAUCUCUACUCAGAGCUAUCCGGAUAGGUGUUAAGCUUGCAUCGACGUAACCCUUUACGACGAACUCUUUUACCACCUCCAUAAUUGAGAAAAUUCCUUAGUCCACUAGUUACUAAGGAUAACUUUGACCGCUGUCCUGUGAUCCAUUCUUGGAUCACUCUUGUACCCCUUGACUGACUCAUGGUAAAGCACACUUCAGGUGCGGUACACAGCAUAGCAUACUGUAGAGCCUAUGUCUUAAGCAUAGGGGACGACCUUCGUUCCUUUCUCUCUAUUCUGCCAUGGUCGAGCUUUAAGUCUUAACUUCAUACCUUACAACUCAGGCAAGAACUCCUUCUUUGACUGAUCCAUCUUGAACACCUUCAAGAUCACGUCAAGGCAUGUGCUCACGUCAAGAUCACGUCGGUAUACCGAUACCUUGUUCAAUCUCGUUACCGGCAAGUCUCUUUACUCGUUCCGUAACACAUCAUCCCGUGAUCAACCCCUUGGUCACAUUGUGCACAUUAUGAUGAUGUCCUACCGAGUGGGCCCAGAGAUACCUCUCCGUUUACACGGAGUGACAAAAUCCCAAUCUCGAUUCGUGCCAACCCAACAGACACUUUCAGAGAUACCCGUAGUGUACCUUUAUAGCCACCCAGUUACGUUGUGACGUUUGGCACACCCAAAGCACUCCUACGGUAUCCGGGAGUUGCACAAUCUCAUGGUCUAAGGAAAUGAUACUUGACAUUAGAAAAGCUUUAGCAUACGAACUACAUGAUCUUGUGCUAGGCUUAGGAUUGGGUCUUGUCCAUCACAUCAUUCUCCUAAUGAUGUGAUCCCGUUAUCAACGACAUCCAAUGUCCAUGGUCAGGAAACCGUAACCAUCUAUUGAUCAACGAGCUAGUCAACUAGAGGCUUACUAGGGACAUGGUGUUGUCUAUGUAUCCACACAUGUAUCUGAGUUUCCUAUCAAUACAAUUCUAGCAUGGAUAAUAAACGAUUAUCAUGAACAAGGAAAUAUAAUAAUAAUCAAUUUAUUAUUGCCUCUAGGGCAUAUUUCCAACAGUCUCCCACUUGCACUAGAGUCAAUAAUCUAGUUCACAUCGAUAUGUGAUUAACACUCAAGGUCACAUCCCCAUGUGACUAACACCCAAAGAGUUUUCUAGAGUCAAUAAUCUAGUUCACAUUUAUCAUGUGAUUAACACUCGAUGAGUUCUGGGUUUGAUCAUGUUAUGCUUGUGAGAGAGGUUAUAGUCAACGGGUCUGAACCUUUCAGAUCCGUGUUUGCUUUACAAAUCUCUAUGUCAUCUCCUAGAUGCAGCUACCAUGUUCUAUUUGGAGCUAUUCCAAAUAACUAUUCUACUGGGAGCUAUUCUAAAUUGUUGCUCCAUUAUACGUAUCCGGUAUCUCUACUCAGAGCUAUCCGGAUAGGUGUUAAUCUUGCAUCGACGUAACCCUUUACGACGAACUCUUUUACCACCUCCAUAAUUGAGAAAAUUCCUUAGUCCACUAGUUACUAAGGAUAACUUUGACCGCUGUCCUGUGAUCCAUUCUUGGAUCACUCUUGUACCCCUUGACUGACUCAUGGUAAAGCACACUUCAGGUGCGGUACACAGCAUAGCAUACUGUAGAGCCUAUGUCUUAAGCAUAGGGGACGACCUUCGUUCCUUUCUCUCUAUUCUGCCAUGGUCGAGCUUUAAGUCUUAACUUCAUACCUUACAACUCAGGCAAGAACUCCUUCUUUGACUGAUCCAUCUUGAACACCUUCAAGAUCACGUCAAGGCAUGUGCUCAUUUGAAAGUACUAUUAAGCGUUUUGAUCUAUCCUUAUAGAUCUUGAUGCUCAAUGUUCAAGUAGCUUAAUCCAGGUUUUCCAUUGAAAACACUUUCCAAAUAACCCUAUAUGCUUUCCAGAAAUUCUACAUCAUUUCUGAUCAUUAAUAUGUCAACAACAUAUACUCAUCAGAAAUUCUAUAGUGCUCCCACUCACUUCUUUGGAAAUACAAGUUUCUCAUAAACUUUGUAUACACCCAAAAUCUUUGAUCAUCAUCAAAGCAUACAUUCCAACUCCGAGAUGCUCACUCCAGUCCUCAGAAGGAUUGCUGGAGCUUUGCAUACUUAUUAGCAUAUUUCAGGAUAGACAAAACCUUCCGGUUGUAUCACAUACAACCUUUCCUCAAGAAUCGUCGAGGAAACAAUGUUUUGACAUCCUAUCUGCAAGAUUUCAUAAAUAAUGCAGUAAUUGCUAAUAUAAUUCCAACAGACUCUUAGCAUUGCUACGAGUGAGAAAGUCUCACCGCACUCAACUCCUUGAACUUGUCGGGAAACUUCUUAACGACAAGUCGAGAUUUCUUCAAUGGUGACACUUACCAUCAUUGUCUGUCUUCCUUUCAAAAUCCAUCUAUACCUAACAGCCUUACGACCAUCAAGUAGCUCUUCCAAAGUCUACACUUUGUUUUCAUAUAUGGAUCCUCUCUCGGAUUACAUGGCCUCGAGCCAUUUAUCGGAAUCCGGGCCCACCAUCGCUUCUCCAUAGCUCGUAGGUUCAUUGUUGUCUAGCAACAUGACUUCCAAGAAAGGAUUACUGUACCACUCUGAAGUAGUACGUAUCCUUGUCACCCUACGAGGUUUGGGAGUGACUUCAUCUGAAGUUUCGUGAUCACUAUCAUAAGCUUCUACUUCAAUUGGUGUAGGUGCCACAGGAACAACUUCCUGUGCCCUGCUACACACUGGUUGAAGUGAUGGUUCAAUAACCUCAUCAAGUCUCCACCAUCCUCCCACUCAAUUCUUUCGAGAGAAACUUUUCCUCGAGAAAGGACCCGAUUCUAGAAACAAUCCCUUAUUGCUUUCGAAUCUGAGACAGGAGGUAUACCCAACUAUUUUGGGUGUCCUAUGAAGAUGCAUUUUAUCUGCUUUGGGUUCGAGCUUAUCAACCUGAAACCUUUUCACAUAAGCGUCGCAGCCCCAAACCUUUAAGAAACGACAACUUAGGUUUCUCUAAACCAUAAUUCAUACGGUGUCAUCUCAACGAAAUUAAGUGGUGCCCUAUUUAAAGUGAAUGUGGUUGUCUCUAAUGCCUAACCCAUAAACUAUCAUGGUAAUUCGAUAAGAGACAUCAUGGUAUGCACCAUAUCCAAUAGGGUGCAACUAUGACGUUUGGACACACCAUCACACUAUGGUGUUCCAGGCUGUAUCAGUUGUGAAACAAUUUCCACAAUGUCUUAAUUCUGUGCCAAACUCGUGAUUCAGAUAUUCAUCUCUAUGAUCAUAUCAUAGAUCUUUUAUCCUCUUGUCACGACGAUCUUUCAACUUCACACUGAAAUUACUUGAACCUUUCAAUAAUUCAGACUCGUGAUUCAUCAAGUAAAUAUACUCAACAUCUACUCGAAUCAUCUGUGAAGUAAGAACAUAACGAUAUUCAUUGCAUGCCUCAGCACUCAUUGGACUGCACACAUCAAAAUGUGUUACUUCCAACAAGUUGCUAUCUUGUUCCAUCUUACUGAAAACGAGGCUUUUCAGUCAUCUUGCCCAUGUGGUAUGAUUUGCAUGUCCCAAGUGAUUCAAAAUCAAGUGAGUCAAAACGGUCCAUUUGCAUGGAGUUUCUUCAUGCAUAUACACCAAUACACAUGGUUCGCAUGUCUCAAACUUUUCAAAAAUGAGUGAGUCCAAAGAUCCAUCAACAUGGAGCUUCUUCAUGCGUUUUAAACCAAUAUGACUUACAUGGCAGUGCCACCAGUAAGUGGUACUAUCAUUACUAUCUUUUGGCAUGAAAAUGUGUAUCACUACGAUCGAGAUUCAAUCAACCAUUCAGGUUUAAUGCUAAUCUUGAUGGUAGAGGGAGCGUGCGAUGCUUGAUCAUAUCAAGCUUGGAAAAACUUCCAACACAUAUCGUCAGCUCACCUUUAGCUAGUCUCUGUUUAUUCUGUAGCCUUUUGUUUCGAGUUACUAACACUUAGCAACCGAACCGGUAUCUAAUACCCUGGUGCUACUAGGAGUACUAGCAAAGUACACAUUAACACAAUGUAUAUCCAAUAUACUUCUAUCGACCUUGCCAGCCUUCUUAUCUACCAAGUAUCUAGGGUAAUUCUGCUCUAGUGGUUGUUCCCCUUAUUACAGAAGCACUUAGUCUCGGGUUUGGGUUUUACCUUGGGUUUCUUCACUAGAGCGGCAGCUGAUUUGCCGUUUCAUGAAGUAUCCCUUCUUGCCCUUGCCCUUCUUGAAACUAGUGGUUUCACCAUCCAUCAACAAUUGAUGCUCCUUCGUGAUUUCUACUUUCGCGGUGUCAAACAUCGCGAAUACCUCAAGGAUCAUCAUAUCUAUCCCUGAUAUGUUAUAGUUCAUCACGAAGCUCUAACAGCUUGGUGGCAAUGACUUUGGAGAACCAUCACUGUCUUAUCUGGAAGAUCAACUCCCACUCGAUUCAAAUGAUUGUUGUACUCAGACAAUCUGAGCACAAGCUCAACAAUUGAGCUUUUCUCCUUAGUUUGCAGGUUAAGAAAGUCAUCGGAGGUUUUAUACCUCUUGACAUGGGCACGAGCCUGAAAUCCCAAUUUCAGCCCUCAAAACAUCUCAUAUGUUUCGCGACGUUUCAAAAACGUCUUUGGUGCCUCAACUCUAAACCGUUUAACUGAACUAUCACGUAGUUAUCAAAACGUGUAUGUCAGAUGUUCGCAACAACCACAGACAACGUUCGAGGUUCAGCACACUGAGCGGUGCAUUAAGGACAUAAGCCUUCUAUGAAGCAAUGAGGACAAUCCUCAGUUUACGGACCUAGUCCGCAUAAUUGCUACUAUCAACUUUCAACUAAUUUUUUUUCUCUAGGAACAUAUCUAAACAGUAGAACUAUAGCGUGAGCUACGACAUAAUUUGCAAAAACCUUUUGACUAUGUUCAGGAUAAUUAAGUUCAUCUUAUGAACUCCCACUCAGAUAGACAUCCCUCUAGUCAUCUAAGUGAUUACAUGAUCCGAGUCAAACUAGGCCGUGUCCGAUCAUCACGUGAGACGGACUAGUCAUCAUCGGUGAACAUCUUCAUGUUGAUCGUAUCUUCUAUACGACUCAUGUUCGACCUUUCGGUCUCCGUGUUCCGAGGCCAUGUCUGUACAUGCUAGGCUCGUCAAGUUAACCCUAAGUGUUUUGCAUGUGUUCCGAGGCCAUGUCUGUACAUGCUAGGCUCGUCAACACCCGUUUUAUUUGAACGUCUGAAUAAAACACCCGAUCAUCACGUGAUGUUUUGAAACAGCGAACUGUCGCAACGGUGCACAGUUAGGGGAGAACACUUCUUGAAAUUGUUGUAAGGGAUCAUCUUAUUUACUACCGUCGUUCUAAGCAAAUAAGAUGUAUAAACAUGAUAAACAUCACAUGCAAUCAAAUAGUGACAUGAUAUGGCCAUCAUCACUUUGCUCCUUUUGAUCUCCAUCUUCGGGGCUCCAUGAUCAUCAUCGUCACCGGCAUGACACCAUGAUCUCCAUCAUCAUGAUCUCCAUCAUCGUGUCUUCAUGAAGUUGCCUCGCCAACUAUUACUUCUACUACUAUGGCUAACGGUUAGCAAUAAAGUAAAGUAAUUACAUGACGUUUAAGUUGACACGCAGGUCACAAAUAAAUAAAGACAACUCCUAUGGCUCCUACCGGUUGUCAUACUCAUCGACAUGCAAGUCGUGAUUCCUAUUACAAGAACAUGAUCAAUCUCAUACAUCACAUAUAUCAUUCAUCACAUCCUUUUUGGCCAUAUCACAUCACAUAGCAUACCCUGCAAAAACAAGUUAGACGUCCUCUAAUUGUUGUUUGCAUGUUUUACGUGGCUGCUAUGGGUUUCUAGCAAGAACGUUUCUUACCUACGCAUGAACCACAACGUGAUAUGCCAAUUGCUAUUUACCCUUCAUAAGGACCCUUUUCAUCGAAUCUGAUCCGACUAAAGUGGGAGAGACAGACACCCGCCAGCCACCUUAUGCAACUAGUGCAUGUUUGUCGGUGGAACCGGUCUCACGUAAGCGUACGUGUAAGGUUGGUCCGGGCCGCUUCAUCCCACGAUGCCGCCGAAUCAAGAUAAGACUAGUAACGGCAAGCAUAUUGAACAAUAUCGACGCCCACAACUACUUUGUGUUCUACUCGUGCAAAGAAUCUACGCAAUAGACCUAGCUCUGAUACCACUGUUGGGGAACGUAGCAGAAAUUCAAAAAAUUUCCUACGUAACACCAAGAUCUAUCUAUGGAGAGACCAGCAACGAGUAGAAAGGGGAGUGCAUCUACAUACCCUUGUAGAUCGCUAAGCGGAAGCGUUCAAGUGAAUGGGGUUGAUGGAGUCGUACUCGUCGUGAUUCAGAUCACCGAUGAUCCUAGUGCCGAACGGACGGCACCUCCGCGUUCAACACACGUACAGCUCGAUGAUGUCUCCCACGCCUUGAUCCAGCAAGGAGAGAGGGACAGGUUGAGGAAGACUCCAUCCAGCAGCAGCACAACGGCGUGGUGGUGAUGGAGGAGCGUGGCAAUCCUGCAGGGCUUCGCCAAGCACCUACGGGAGAGGAGGAGGUGUCACGGGAGGGAGGGAGGCGCCAAGGGCUCAGGUAUGGAUGCCCUCCCUUCCCUCCACUAUAUAUAGGGGCAGGGGAGAGGGGGGAGGCGCAGCCUUGCCCCUUACUCCAAGAAAGGGGUGCGGCCAAGAGGGGGGGAGGAGUCCAUCCUCCCCAAGGCACCUCGGAGGUGCCUUCCCCCUUGAGGACUCUUCCCUCUAGGGUUCCCUAGGCGCAUGGGCCUCUCGGGGCUGGUGCCCUUGGCCCAUGUAGGCCAAGGCGCACCCCCUACAGCCCAUGUGGCCCCCCGGGGCAGGUGGCCCCACCCGGUGGGCCCCCGGGACCCUUCCGGUGGUCCCGGUACAAUACCGAUGACCCCGAAACUUGUCCCGAUGGCCGAAACAGGACUUCCUAUAUAUAAAUCUUUACCUCCGAACCAUUCCGGAACUCCUCGUGACGUCCGGGAUCUCAUCUAGGACUCCGAACAACAUUCGGUAACCACAUACAAACUUCCUUUAUAACCCUAGCGUCAUCGAACCUUAAGUGUGUAGACCCUACGGGUUCGGGAGACAUGCAGACAUGACCGAGAUGUUCUCCGGUCAAUAACCAACAGCGGGAUCUGGAUACCCAUGUUGGCUCCCACAUGUUCCACGAUGAUCUCAUCGGAUGAACCAUGAUGUCAAGGACUCAAUCAAUCCCGUAUACAAUUCCCUUUGUCUAGCGGUAUGGUACUUGCCCGAGAUUCGAUCGUCGGUAUACCGAUACCUUGUUCAAUCUCGUUACCGGCAAGUCUCUUUACUCAUUCCGUAACACAUCAUCCCAUGAUCAACCCUUGGUCACAUUGUGCACAUUAUGAUGAUGUCCUACCGAGUGGGCCCAGAGAUACCUCUCCGUUUACACGGAGUGACAAAAUCCCAAUCUCGAUUCGUGCCAACCCAACAGACACUUUCAGAGAUACCCGUAGUGUACCUUUAUAGCCACCCAGUUACGUUGUGACGUUUGGCACACCCAAAGCACUCCUACGGUAUCCGGGAGUUGCACAAUCUCAUGGUCUAAGGAAAUGAUACUUGACAUUAGAAAAGCUUUAGCAUACGAACUACAUGAUCUUGUGCUAGGCUUAGGAUUGGGUCUUGUCCAUCACAUCAUUCUCCUAAUGAUGUGAUCCCGUUAUCAACGACAUCCAAUGUCCAUGGUCAGGAAACCGUAACCAUCUAUUGAUCAACGAGCUAGUCAACUAGAGGCUUACUAGGGACAUGGUGUUGUCUAUGUAUCCACACAUGUAUCUGAGUUUCCUAUCAAUACAAUUCUAGCAUGGAUAAUAAACGAUUAUCAUGAACAAGGAAAUAUAAUAAUAAUCAAUUUAUUAUUGCCUCUAGGGCAUAUUUCCAACACUCCUAUCUCAGAUCCGGAAUCAAAAGUAAUUGUUUCUUGAAUCGGGUCCUUUCUCGAGGAAAAGUUUGUCUCGGAAAGUUGAGUGGGAGGAUGGUGGAGACUUGAUGAGGUUAUUGAACCAUCACUUCAAAUAGUGUGCAGCACGGCACAGGAAGUUGUUCCUGUGGCGCCUACACCAAUUGAAGUAGAAGCUUAUGAUAGUGAUCAUGAAGUUUCAGAUCAAGUCACUACCGUACCUCGUAGGGUGACAAGGAUGCGUACUACUUCAGAGUGGUAUAGUAAUCGUGUAUUGAAGGACAUGUUGCUAGACAACAAUGAACCUACGAUCUAUGGAGAAGCGAUGGUGGGCCAAAAUUCCGACAAAUGGUUAGAAACCAUGAAAUUCGAGAUAGGAUCCAUGUAUCAGAACAAAGCAUGGACUUUGGUGGACUUGCCCGAUGAUCGGCAAGCCAUUGAGAUAAAAUGGAUCUUUAAGAAGAAGACGGACAUGGACGGUAAUGUCACCGUCUAUGAAGCUCGACUUGUGGCGAAGAGUUUUUCACAAGUUCAAGGAGUUGACUACGAUGAGAUUUUCUCAUCCGUAGGGAUGCUUAAUUCCGUCGGAAUCAUGUUAGCAUUAGCUGAAUUUAUGAAAUCUGGCAGAUGGAUGUCAAAAUGAGUUCCCUUACCAGUUUUCGUAAGGAAAGGUUGUAUGUGAUACAAUCAGAAAGUUUUUGUCAAUCCUGAAAGACGCUAUCAAAUAUGCAAAGCUCCAGCAAUCCUUCUAAGGACUGGAGUAAGCAUCUCGGAGUUGGAAUGUACGCUUUGAUGAGAUGAUCAAAGAAUUUUGGGUUUAUACAAAGUUUAUGAGAAACUUGUAUUUCCAAAGAAGUGAGUGGGAGCACUAUAACAUUUCUGAUGAGUAUAUGUUGUUGACAUAUUGUUGAUCGGAAAUGAUGUAGAAUUUCUGGAAAGCAUAUAGGGUUAUUUGAAAAGUGUUUUUCAAUUGAAGACCUGGAUUAAGCUACUUGAACAUUGAGCAUCAAGAUCUAUGAGGAUAGAUCAAAAAUGCUUAAUAGUACUUUCAAAUGAGCACAUACCUUGACAUGAUCUUGAAGGUGUUCAAGAUGGAUCAGUCAAAGAAGGAGUUCUUGCCUGAGUUGUAAGGUAUGAAGUUAAGAGUUAAAGCUCGACCACGGCAGAAGAGAGACAAAGGACGAAGGUCGUCCCCUAUGCUUCAGACGUAGGGUCUAUAGUAUGCUAUGCUGUGUACCGCACCGGAAGUGUGCCUUGCCAUGAGUCAGUCAAGGGGUACAAGAAUGAUCCAGAAAUGGGGAUCAUUGGACAGCGGUCAAAAAUUGUCCAUGGAGUAAAUAAGGACAUGUUUCUCGAUUAUGGAGGUGAUAAAGAGUUCGGCGUAAAGGGUUACGUCGAUGCAAGCUUUAACACCUAAACAAAUGACUCUGAGUAGCAAACCGGAUACGUAUAGUGGAGCAACCACUUGGAAUAGCUCCAAGUGGAGCGUGGAAGCAGCAUUUACAAUAUGACCUAGAGAUUUGCGAAGUACAUACGGAUCUGAAUGUUGCAGACCCGUUGACUAAAACCUCUCUCACAAGCAAAACAUGAUCAAACCCCAGAACUCAUUGAGUCUUAAUCACAUGGUGAUGUGAACUAGUUUAGUGACACUAGUAAACUCUUUGGAUGUUGGUCACAUGGCGAUGUGACCUGUGAGUGUUAAUCACAUGGCGAUGUGAACUAGAUUAUUGACUCUAGUGCAAGUGGGAGACUGUUGGAAAUAUGCCCUAGAGGCAAUGAUAAAUUAGUUAUUAUUAUUAUAUUUCCUUGUUCAUGAUAAUCGUUUAUUAUCCAUGCUAUAAUUGUAUUGAUAGGAAACUCAGAUACAUGUGUGGGUACAUAGACAACACCAUGUCCCUAGUAAGCCUCUAGUUGACUAGCUCGUUGAUCAAUAGAUGGUUAUGGUUUCCUGACCAUGGACAUUGGAUGUCGUUGAUAACGGGAUCACAUCAUUAGCAGAAUGAUGUGAUGGACAAGACCCAAUCCUAAGCCUAGCACAAAGAUCGUAGUUCGUAUGCUAAAGCUUUUCUUAUGUCAAGUAUAAUUUCCUUAGACCAUGAGAUUGUGCAGCUCCCGGAUACCGUAGGAACGCUUUGGGUGUACCAAACGUCACAACGUAACUGGGUGGCUAUAAAGGUGCACUACAGGUAUCUCCGAAAGUGUCUGUUGGGUUGGCACGAAUCGAGACUGGGAUUUGUCACUCCGUGUGACGGAGAGGUAUCUCUGGGCCCACUCGAUAGGACAUCAUCAUAAUGUGCACAAUGUGACCAAGGGGUUGAUCACGGCAUGAUGUGUUAUGGAACAAGUAAAGAGACUUGCCGGUAACGAGAUUGAACAAGGUAUCAGUAUACCGACGAUCGAAUCUCGGGCAAGUACAAUACUAUUAGACAAAGGGAAUUGUAUACGGGAUCGAUUGAGUCCUUGACAUCGUGGUUCAUCUGAUAAGAUCAUCGUGGAACAUGUGGGAGCCGACAUGGGUAUCCAGAUCCCACUGUUGGUUAUUGACCGGAGAACGUCUCGGUCAUGUCUGCAUGGUUCCCGAACCCGUAGGGUCUACACACUUAAGGUUCGAUGACGCUAGGGUUAUAAAGGAAGUUUGUAUGUGGUUACCGAAUGUUGUUCGGAGUCCCAGAUGAGAUCCCGGAUGUCACGAGGAGUUCCAGAAUGGUCCGGAGGUAAAGAUUUAUAUAUGGGAAGUCGUGUUUUGGUCACCGGAAAAGUUUCGGGUUUUAUUGGUAACGUACCGGGACCACCGGGAGGGUCCCGGGGGUCCACCAAGUGGGGCCAACGGCCCCGGAGGGCUGCAUGGGCCAAGUGUGGGAGGGGACCAGCCCCAAGUGGGCUGGUGCGCCCCCCCCCCCACCCCAAGGGCCCAAGGCGCCUAGGGUUGGGGGAGGACGCGCACCCACCUAACUUGGGGGGCAAGUUUCCCCUCUCCCCCCCCCCUUGGCCGCCCCCUCAGAUGGGAUCUGGGCUGGCCGCCGCCCCUAGGGUGGAACCCUAGGUGGAGGCGCAGCCCCCCUCUCCCCCUAUAUAUACUUGAGGGGUUUUGGGGCUGCCAACACACGAGUUUCACCUCUCCCAGGCGCAGCCCUACCUCUCUUAUUCCUCCUCUCCCGCGGUGCUUGGCGAAGCCCUGCUGGAUUGCCACGCUCCUCUACCACCACCACGCCGUUGUGCUACUGCUGGAUGGAGUCUUCCUCAACCUCUCCCUCUCUCCUUGCUGGAUCAAGGCAUGGGAGACGUCACCGGGUUGUACGUGUGUUGAACGCGGAGGUGCCGUUCGUUCGGCACUAGGAUCUCCGGUGAUUUGGAUCACGACGAGUACGACUCCUUCAACCCCGUUCUCUUGAACGCUUCCGCUUAGCGAUCUACAAGGGUAUGUAGAUGCACUCUCCUUCCCCUCAUUGCUGGUUUCUCCGUAGAUAGAUCUUGGUGACACGUAGAAAAAAAUUUAAUUUUCUGCUACGUUCCCCAACAGUUACGACGUUCGGACACACCAUUACGCUGUGGUGUUCUAGGUGGCGUGAGUUGUGAAACAGUUCCACAUUGUUCUAAAUGAAGGCCAAACUCAUAAAUCAAAUAUUCACCUCCACAAUCAGAUUGUAGAAAUUUUAUUUUCUUGUUACAAUGAUUCUCCACUUCACUCCGAAAUUCUUUGAACUUUUCUAAUGUUCCAUACUUGUGUUUCAUCAGGUAGCUAUACACAUAUCUACUUAAAUCAUCAGUGAAGGUGAGAAAAUAACAAUACCUACCGCGUGCUUCAACACUCAUCAGACCGCAUACAUCCAUAUGUAUUAUUUCAAAUAAGUUAUUAGCUCGCUUCGUUGUUCCGAAUAACGGAGUUUUAGUCAUCUUGCCCAUGAGGCAUGGUUCGCAAGUAUCAAAUAAUUCAUAAUAAAGUGAUUCCAAAAGUCCAUCCAUAUGGCGUUUCUUCAUGCGCUUUACACCAAUAUGACUUAAACGGCGGUGCCACAAGUAUGUUGCACUAUCAUUAUCAACUUUGCAUCUUUUGGUAUCAACAUUAUGAAUAUGUGUAUCACUACGAUCGAGAUUCAGUAAAACAUUAACAUUGGGUGUAUGACCAUACAAGGUUUUAUUCAUGUAAACAUAAUAACAAUUAUUAUCUGUCUUAAAUGAAUAACCAUAUUGCAAUAAACACGAUCCUACCUUGUUCAUGCUCAUUGCAAACACCAAAUGACAUUUAUUUAGGUUCAACACUAAUCCCCAAAGUAUAGGGAGUGUGCGAUGAUGAUCAUAUCAAUCUUGGAACCACUUCCAACACACAUCGUCACCUCACCCUCAACUAGUCUCCAUUCAUUCUGCAAUUCCUGUUUUGCGUUACUAAUCUUAGCAACCGAACAGGUAUCAAAUUCCCAGGGGCUACUAUGAGUAAUAGUAAGGUACAUAUCAUAACAUGUAUAUCAAAUAUACCUUUGUUCACUUUGUCAUCCUUCUUAUCCGCCAAAUAUUUGGGGUAGUUCUGCUUGUAGUGACCAUUUCCUUUGCAGUAGAAGCACUCAGUUUCAGGCUUGGGUUAGCUUUCGGCUUCUUCAAGGGAGUGACAACUUGCUUGCCAUUCUUCCUAAAGUUCCCUUUCUUUCCCUUGCCCUUUUUGUUGAAACUAGUGGUCUUGUUCACCAUCAACACUUGAUGCUUUUUAUUGAUUUCUACCUUUGCUGAUUUCAGCAUCGCGAAAAACUCGAGAAUCGUUUUCAUCACCCCUUGCAUAUUAUAGUUCAUCACGAAGUUCUAGUAGCUUGGUGAUAGUGACUAAAGAACUCUGUCAAUCACUAUCUUAUUUGGAAGAUUAACUCCCACUUGAUUCAAGUGAUUGUAGUACACAGACAUUUUGAGCACAUGCUCACUAGCUGAGCUAUUCUCGUCCAUCUUUUAGGCAAAGUACUUGCCAGAGGUCUCAUACCUCUCGACAAGGGCAUGAGUCUGAAAUACCAAUUUCAGCUCUUGGAACAUCUCAUAUGUUUUGUGGCGUUCAAAACGUUUUUGAAGUCCCGGUUCUAAGUCGUAAAGCAUGCUGCACUAAACUAUCAAGUAGUCAUCAUAUCGAGCUUGCCAAACGUUCAUAACGUCUGCAUCUGCUCCUGUAAUAGGUCUGUCACCGGUGCAUUAAGGACAUAAUUCUCCAGUGCAGCAAUGAGGAUAAUCCUCAUAUCACGGACCCAGUCCGCAUCAUUGCUACUAUCAUCUUUCAACUCAGUUUUCUCUAGGAACAUAUCAAAAAAUAGGGGAGCCACAAUGUGAGCUAUUGUUCUACAACAUAAUUUGCAAAUACUAUCUGGACUAAGUUCAUGAUAAAUUAAGUUUAAUUAAUCAAAUUACUUAAAAACUCCCACUUAAACUGACAUCCCUCAAGUCAUCUAAGUGUAAUGUGAUCCAAAUCAACUAACCCACGUCUGAUCAUCACGUGAGAUGUGGCAUUCAUCAAUGGUGAACAUCUCUAUGUUGAUCAUAUCUACUAUAUGAUUCGCGUUCGAUCUUUCGAUCUCCAGUGUUCCGAGGCCAUCUCUGUACAUGCUAGGCUCGUCAAGUUUAACCCAAGUAUUCCACGUGUGUAAAUAUGGCUUACACCCGUUGUAUGUGAACAUACAGUCUAUCACACCCGAUCAUCACAUGGUGUCUCAACACGAUGAACUGUAGCAAUGGUGCAUACUCAGGGAGAACACUUUUAUCUUGAAAUCUAGUGAAGGUAUCAUCUUAUAAUGCUACCGCCGUUCUAAGCAAAAUAAGAUGCAUAAAGGAUAAACAUCACAUGCAAUCAAAAAUAUGUGACAUAAUAUGGCCAUCAUCAUCUUGUGCUUUUGAUCUCCAUCUCCAAAGCAUCGUCAUGAUCUCCAUUGUCACUGACUCGACACCUUGAACUCCAUCGUUGCAUCGUGGUCGUCUCGCCAACUAUUGCUUCUACAACUAUUACUAAUGCAUAGUGAUAAAGUAAAGCAAUUACAUGGAUUUUGCAUUUCAUACAAUAAAGAGACAACCAUAAGGCUCCUGUCGGUUGCUAAUAGAUUACAAAACAUGAUCAUCUCAUACAAUAAUGUAUAUCUCAUCAUGUCUUGACCAUAUCACAUCACAACAUUCCCUGCAAAAAGAAGUUAGACGUCCUCUACUUUGUUGUUGCAAGUUUUAUGUGGCUGCUACGGGCUUCUUGCAAGAACCGUUCUUACCUACGGCACAAAAACCACAACGGUGAUUUAUUAAGUUUGUUGUUUUAACCUUCAACAAGGACCGGCCGCAGUCAAAUUUGAUUCAACUAAAGUAGGAGAAACAGACAUCCGCCAGCCACCUUUAUGCAAAACUAGUUGCAUGUCUGUCGGUGGAAUCGGUUUGAUGAACAUGGUCAUGUAAGGUUGGUCCGGGUCGCUUCAUCCAACAAUACUGCCAAAUCAAAAUAAAACAUUGGUGGUAAGAAAUAUGACUAUAACCACCCACAACUCUUUGUGUUCAACUCGUGCAUAUCAUCAAAGCAUAGACCUAGCUCAUGAUGCCACUAUUAGGGAACGUAGCAAGUAAUUUCAAAAAAAAAUCCUACGCUCACACAAGAUCUAUCUAGGAGAUGUAUAGCAAUGAGGGGGGAGAGUGUGUCUACGUACUCUCGUAGACCGUAAGCGGAAGAGUUUCACAACGUGGUUGAUGUAGUCGAACUUUCUUCACGAUCCACUGAUCGAGUACCGAACGUACGGCACCGCUGAGUUCUACACACGUUCAGCUCGGUGACGUGCCUCACCUUCUUGAUCCAACAAGACGUUGAGGUAGUAGAUGAGUUCCGUCAGCGCGACGGCAUGGUGAUGGUGAUGGUAAAGUGAUCUCCACAGGGCUUCGCCUAAGCACUAUGAAAAGAUGACCGGGGGAGUAAACGAUGGAGGUGGCACCGCACACGGCUAGGCAUUUGUUGUGGUUUGCUAGGUGACCUCUCCCACAUAUGUGGGGGUGGAGGGAGCAGCCAGGAGGCGCUUCCAAGUAGGACAAANNNNNNNNNNNNNNNNNNNNNNNNNNNNNNNNNNNNNNNNNNNNNNNNNNNNNNNNNNNNNNNNNNNNNNNNNNNNNNNNNNNNNNNNNNNNNNNNNNNNNNNNNNNNNNNNNNNNNNNNNNNNNNNNNNNNNNNNNNNNNNNNNNNNNNNNNNNNNNNNNNNNNNNNNNNNNNNNNNNNNNNNNNNNNNNNNNNNNNNNNNNNNNNNNNNNNNNNNNNNNNNNNNNNNNNNNNNNNNNNNNNNNNNNGGGAGGAAAGAGGGGGAAGGGGAAAGGAAGGGGGAAUCCUAUUCCCUUUCUUUUCUUUCCUCCUUCCCCUUUCCUUCUCCACCUUGGCCGACCCAUAUGGGGGGCGCACCAGCCCCUUGUGGCUGGUCUGUUUCCCCACUUGGCCCAUAAGGCCCAUAUCUUUUGUCAGAGGUGCUCAGAACCCCUUCCGGUGAUACGAUAUGUACUCGGUACCCUCCGGAACACUUCCGGUGUACGAAUACCAUCGUCCUAUAUAUCAAUCUUUACCUCUCGACCAUUUCGAGACUCCUCGUCAUUUCUGUGAUCUCAUCCGGGACUCCGAACAACAUUCGGUCACCAAAUCACAUAACUCAUAUAAUAUUAUAUCCUCAUCGAACGUUAAGCGUGCGGACCCUACGGGUUCGAGAACUAUGUAGACAUGACUGAGACACCUCUCCGGUCAAUAGCCAAUAGCGGAACCUGGAUGCUCAUAUUGGCUCCCACAUAUUCUACUAAGAUCUUUAUUGGUCGAACCAUUAUGACAACAUACGUUAUUCCCUUUGUCCAUCAAUAUGUUACUUGCCCGAGAUUCGAUCGUUCGUAUCUUCAUACCUAGUUCAAUAUUGUUACGGGCAAGUCUCUUUACUCGUUUCAUAAUACUUCAUCCUGCAACUAACUCAUUAGUCACUUUGCUUGCAAGGCUUCUUAUGAUGUGUAUUACCGAAAGGGCCCAAAGCUACCUCUCCGAUACUCGGAGUGACAAAUCCUAAUCUCAAUCUAUGCCAACCCAACAAACACCUUCGGAGAUACCUGUAGAGCAUCUUUAUAAUCACCCAGUUACAUUGUGAUAUUUGAUAGCACACAAGGCAUUCCUCUGGUAUCCGGGAGUUGCAUAAUCUCAUAGUGGAAGGAAUAUGUAUUUGACAUGAAGAAAGCAAUAGCAAUAAAACUCAAUGAUCAAUAUGUUGUGAUAGUGGAUGGGUCUUGUCCAUCACAUCAUUCUCCUAAUGAUGUGAUCCCGUUCAUCAAAUGACAACACAUGUCUAUGGUUAGGAAACUUAACCAUCUUUGAUAACGAGCUAGUCUAGUAGAGGCUUACUAGGGACACGGUGUUUUGUCCAUGUAUCCACACAUGUAUCAAGUUUCCGGUUAAUACAAUUCUAGCAUGAAUAAUAAAAAUUUAUCAUGAAAUAAGGAAAUAUAAAAUAACAAAUUUAUUAUUGCCUCUAGGGCAUAUUUCCUUCACAGACAUGGUCUCGGAACACUGGAGACCGAAAGGUCGUACAUGAGUCAUAUAGUAGAUAUGAUCAACAUGGAGAUGUUCAUCAUUGAUGACUACCCCAUCUCACGUGAUGAUCGGACCUUGGUUAGUUGAUUUGGAUCAUGUAUCACUUAGACAACUUGAGGGAUGUUGAUUUAGGUGGGAGUUCAUUAGUAAUUUGAUUAUUUGAACUUAAAUUUAUAAUGAAUUUAGUCUUAAUAGUUUUUGCAUAUCUAUGUUGUAGAUCAAUGGCCCAUGCUACCAUUCCCUUGAAUUUUAAUGCGCUCCUAGAGAAAGCUACAUCGAAAGAUGAUGGUAGCAACUACAUGGAUUGGGUCCAUAACUUGAGGAUUAUCCUCACCGCUGCACGGAAGAAUUAUGUCCUUGAUGCACCACUAGGUGACGGGCCUGCUGAAGGAGCUGAUGCAGAUGUUAUGAACGUUUGGCAAGCUCGAUCUGUUGACUACUUGAUAGUUCGGUCUGCCAUGCUUUACGUCCUAGAACCAGGACUUCAAAAGCGUUUUGGACGCCACGGAGCAUAUGAGAUAUUCCAAGAACUGAAGUUAAUAUUUCAAGAAAAUGCCCAGGUUGAGAUAUAUGAAGUCUCCAACUAGUUAUUUAGUUGUAAGAUGGAGGAGAACAGUUUUGUUAGUGAACACAUACUCAGAAUGUCUGGGUACCACAACCACUUGACUCAGCUGGGAAUUGAGCUCCAAGAUGAGUGUAUUAUCGAUAUAGUUCUUCAAUCACUGCCACCAAGCUACAAAGGCUUCGUGAUGAACUAUAAUAUGCAAGGGAUGAGGAAAACAUUUCCCGAGCUCUUCGCGGUGCUGAAAUCGGCGGAGGUAGAAAUCAAGGAGCAUCAAGUGUUGAUGGUUAACAAGGCCACUACUUUCAAGAAAAAAGGCAAGGGAAAGAAAGGGAAUUUCAAGAAUAAUGGCAAGCAAGUUGCCGCUCAUGGGAAGAAGCCCAAAGCUGGACCCAAGCCUGAGACUGAGUGCUUCCACUGCAGUGGAAAUGGUCACUAGAAGUGGAACUGCCCCGAAUACUUGGCAGAUAAGAAGGAUGGCAAAGUAAACAAAGGUAUAUUUGAUAUGCAUGUUAUUGAUGUGUACCUUACUAAUGCUCGUAGUAGCGCUGGGUAUUUGAUAGUAGUUCGGUUACUCAUAUAUGUAACUCAAAACACGAGCUGCAGAAUAAACAGGAUUAGCCAAGGACAAGGUGACGAUGCGCGUCGGGAAUGGUUCCAAGGUUGAUGUGACCGCCGUCAGCACGGUACCUCUACAUCUACCUUCGGGAUUACUUUUAGACCUCAAUAAUUGUUAUUUGGUGCCGGCGUUGAGCAUGAACAUUAUAUCUGGAUCUUGUUUAUUGCGAGACGGUUAUUCAUUAAGUCAGAGAAUAAUGAUUGUUCUAUUUAUAUGAGUAACAUCUUUUAUGGUCAUGCACCCUUAGUGAAUGGUCCAUUCUUGUUGAAUCUCGAUUAUAGUGAUACACAUAUUCAUAAUAUGGAUGCCAAAAGAUUCAAAGUUGAUAAGGAUAGUGCAACAUACUUGUGGCACUACCAUUUAGGUCAUAUUGGUGUAAAGUGCAUGAAGAAACUCCAUUCGGAUGGACUUUUGGAAUCACUUGAUUAUGAUCAUUUGAUACUUGUCAACCAUGCCUCAUGGGCAAGAUGACUAAAACUCUGUUCUCCAGAACAAUGGAGCGAGCUAAUGACUUAUUGGAAAUAAUACAUACCGAUGUACGCGGUCCGGUGAGUGUUGAAGCAUGCGGCAGGUAUCGUUAUUUUCUAACCUUCACAUAAUAUUUGAGUAGGUAUGGUAUAUCUACUUGAUGAAACACAUGUCUAAAAUAUUUGGGAAGUUCAAAGAAUUUCAAAUGAAAUGGAGGUGAAUAUUUGAGUUACAAGUUUGGCCUUCAUUUAAAACAAUGUGGAAUACUUUCACAACUCACGCCACCUGGAACACCACAGCAUAAUGGUAUGUUUGAACAUCAUAACUGUACUUUAUUAGAUAUGGUGCGAUCUAUGAUGUCUCUUACUGAUUUGCUACUAUCGUUUGGGGUUAUGCAUUAGAGACAGUUGCAUUCACGUUAAAUAGGGCACCAUCUAAAUCCAUUGAGACGACACCGUAUGAAUUGUGGUUUGGCAAUAAACCUAAGCUAUCGUUUCUUAAAGUUUGGGAUGCGGUGCUUAUGUUAAAAGGCUUUAGCCUGAUAAGCUCAAACCCAAAGUGGAGAAUUGCGUCUUCAUAGGAUACCCUAAAGAAACUAUUGGGUUUACCUUCAACCACAGAUCUGAAGGCAAGAUCUUUGUUGCUAAGAAUGGGUCAUUUCUAGAGAAGGAGUUUCUCUCGAAAGAAAUGAGCGCGAGGAAAGUAGAACUUUAUGAGGUAGUUGUACCUUCUCUCGAAUUGGAAAGUAGCACAUCAGAGAAAAUCAUUCCCGUGAUGCCUACACCAACUAGAGAGGAAGCUAAUGAUGGUGAUCAUGAAACUUUGGAUCAAGUUACUAAUGAACCUCAAAGGUCGACCAGAACACGUACUGCACCAGAGUGGUAUGGUAAUCCUUUGCUGGAAGUCAUCUUGUUAGACAAUGGCAAAGCUUUGAACUAUGAAGAAGCUAUGAUGAGCCCAGAUUCCGAUAAAUGGCUUGAGGCCAUGAAAUCUGAGAUAGGAUCCAUGUAUGAGAACAAAGUGUGGACUUUGGUGGACUUGCCCCUAUUACUGGAUUAACAAGGCGAGGACGUCAUCGAGCUGAACAUGUGUUGAAUGCGGAGGUGACAUAUGUUUGGUACUUGAUCGGAACGGAUCAUGAAAGUGUACGAUUACAUCAACCGCGUUGAUAAAUGCUUUCGCUUAGCGAUCUUCAAGGGUAUGAAGAUGAUCUCCCCUCUCAUAGCUAUGCAUCUCCAUGGAUAGAUUUUGCGUAUGCAUAGAAUUUUUUUUGUUUUCCAUGCAACGUUCCCCAGCAAUUUUUAUCGAACACAUAAUGAUUAUACACAUAACAGAUUGUAUCACACAAGUAGAAGGAAUUGGGGAUGGGUGGACAGGGGGAAAUCAUGAAGGAAGGAAUGGGUCACUAUGCGAGAAUUGCACGAACCUGUCAACGAUGACGACAAAUUAGUACACCAUCGAUGUGGCGGCGCAUGCCAAAAGCUGGCUGGCUUCACAGCGAUAUGGCACUCGCUGCAUAAUAGAGCGACAUCACCAUCGCGUAUCGCUAGCGCUGCUCUACCCCUUCGGCCUUUUGACGAUUGCAUAGCGAAAAGGCCCUAGUUAGGGCCCCUCGAACGGGCAGCAUUCAUAAACGGCGCUUAAGGCACCCUGCAAAUGGGCACCCCCCCCCCCCCGCGCUUUCUUUUUUUUCGAAAAGGGGGGACUCCCCGGCCUCUGCAUCAGCACGAUGCAUAUGGCCACAUUUAUUAGAGAGUAAAUAUGGUUCAACAAGGUCUCAAAGUCUGCAAACAAAAGCAAAGGCUAGCUCACACAGAGCCUCAAAGCUAAAACAAAAAGCCCAAUAAGCCACAACCGGCAGGCAAAAUAGAAGAUAGGUAAACUAAUUGCCUAUCCUAUUACAUGACCGCCAUCCAAACCGGUUGAAGAUAUCCCGCGCUACCAUCUCCCACCAGACAGAUCCAGUAACCAAACGCUCCCUGGCCUCCGUCGGAGUGAGUAAGGACCACAUAUGGAUCAGUGAUGUAGCCCGGAAUACAACCUGCAAAAAAUGAAUAGUUGUUUUUCUGUUAAAAGCCAAAUCAUUUCUGCAAUUCCAAAUUGCCCAUAACAACGCACAUACUCCUACACGAAUGUGUCUAGCUGUCUCGGACUCUAUCCCAGCAAGCCACGCCCCGAAUAACGUGUUGAUCAAAGUCGGAGGAGUAAUGUUAAAGGCAAUUUAUGUUGGGGAACGUAGCAGAAAUUCAAAAUUUUCUACGCAUCACCAAGAUCAAUCUAUGGAGAUUCUAGCAACAAGAGAGAGACAGGGAGUGCAUCUUAAUACCCUUGAAGAUCACUAAGCGGAAGCGUUAUAAGAACGCGAUCGGUGGAGUCAUUCACGAAGCGAUUCAGAUCGCGGCCGAAUCCGAUCUAAGCACCGAAGAACGAUGCCUCCGCGUUCAACACAUGUACAGCCCGGGGACGUCUCCUCCUUCUUGAUCCAGCAAGGGGAGAGGCGAAGUUGAGGGAAAACUCCGAUAGCACGAUGGCAUGGUGGUGAUGGAGCUCGUGGUUCUCCGGCAGGGCUUCGCCAAGCACUACGGAGGAGGAGGAAGUGUUGGAGGACGGAGAGGGCUGCGCCAGGGGAAGUGUGGGGCUGCCCACUCUCUCCCUCACUAUAUAUAGGGAGAAGGGAGGAGGGGGAGGCGCCCUAGGGUUCCCUAGGGGAGGGGCGGCGGCCACAGGGGAAACCCUAGAUGGGUUUGGGCGCCCCCACCCCCUAGGAAACUUGCCCCCCAAGCCGGGAGGGGCGGCUGCCCUAGGGGUGGCGCCCCCACCUCUCCUGGUUAUGUGAGAUGGGGUGGGAGGGGCGCUCAGCCCCUUAGUGGGCUGAUGUGCCCUAUCCCCUUGGCCCAUAAGGCCCCCCAACGCUUGUCGGGGCCUCCGAAACCCCUUUCGGACACGCUGGUCAUCACCUGGUACCCCGGAACAAUUCCGAACUCCAAUACCCUUCGUCCAAUAUACCGAUCUUCACCUCCGGACCAUUCCGGAGCUCCUCGUCACGUCCGGGAUCUCAUCCGGGACUCCGAACAACCUUCGGUAACCACAUACCAUUUCCCAUAACAACUCUAGUGUCACCGAACCUUAAGUGUGUAGACCCUACGGGUUCGGGAACCAUGCAGACAUGACUUAGACAUUCUCCGGUCAAUAACCAACAGCGGGAUCUGGAUACCCAUGUUGGCUCCCACAUGUUCCACGAUGAUCUCAUCGGAUGAACCACAAUGUCAAGGAUUCAAGCAAUCCCGUACGCAAUUCCCUUUGUCAAUCGGUAUGUUACUUGCCCGAGAUUCGAUCGUCGGUAUCCCAAUACCUUGUUCAAUCUCGUUACCGGCAAGUCACUUUACUCGUUCUGUAAUGCGUGAUCCCGUGACUAACUACUUAGUCACACUGAGCUCAUUAUGAUGAUGCAUUACCGAGUGGGCCCAGAGAUACCUCUCCGUCUCACGGAGUGACAAAUCCCAGUCUCGAUUCGUGCCAACCCAACAGACACUUUCGGAGAUACCCGUAGUGCACCUUUAUAGCCACACAGUUAUGUUGUGACGUUUGGCACACCCAAAGCAUUCCUACGGUAUCCGGGAGUUGCACAAUCUCAUGGUCUAAGGAAAUGAUAGUUGACAUUAGAAAAGCUUUUAGCAAACGAACUACACGAUCUUGUGCUAUGCUUAGGAUUGGGUCUUGUCCAUCACAUCAUUCUCCUAAUGAUGUGAUCCCAUUAUCAAUGACAUCCAAUGUCCAUGGUCAGGAAACCAUGACCAUCUGUUGAUCAACGAGCUAGUCAACUAGAGGCUCACUAGGUACAUGUUGUGGUCUAUGUAUUCACAUAUGUAUUGCGGUUUCCGGUCAAUACAAUUAUAGCAUGAAUAAUAGACAAUUAUCAUGAACAAGGAAAUACAAUAAUAACCAUUUUAUUAUUGCCUCUAGGGCAUAUUUCCAACAGUCUCCCACUUGCACUUGAGUCAAUAAUCUAGUUCACAUCACUAUGUGAUUGUAAUGAAUUGACACCCAUGGGAUUUGAUCAUAUCUCGCUUGUGAGAGAGGUUAUUAGUCAACGGAUCUGAACCUUUCAGAUCCGUGUGUGCUUUGCAAAUCUCUAUGUCAUCUCCUAGAUGCAGCUACCACGCUCUAUUUGGAGCUAUUCCAAAUAACUGUUCUACUAUACGAAUCCGGUUUACUACUCAAAAUAAUCCGGAUUUGUGUCAAAGUUUGCAUCGGCGUAACCCUUUAUGACGAACUCUUUUACCACCUCCAUAAUCGAGAAAAUUCCCUAGUCCACUAGUUACUAAGGAUAAGUUUGACCGCUAUCCUGUGUUCCUGGAUCACUCUUGUACCCCUUGAGUGACUCAUGGCGAGGCACACUUCAGGUGCGGUACACAGCAUAGCAUACUAUAGAGCCUACGUCUGAAGCAUAGGGGACAACCUUCGUCCUUUCUCUCUCUUCUACCGUGGUCAUGUCUUGAGUCUUACUCAAUAUUCACACCUUAUAACACAGCCAAGAACUCCUUCUUUGCCGAUCUAUUUUGAACUCCUUCAAAAUCUUGUCACGGUAUGUAUUUAUUUGAAAGUACUAUUAAGCGUUUUUGAUCUAUCCUUAUAGAUCUUGAUGCUCAAUGUUCAAGUAGCUUAAUCCAGGUUUUCCAUUGAAAAACACUUUUCAAAUAACCCUAUAUGAUGUCCAGAAAUUCUACAUCAUUUCUGAUCAACAAUAUGUUAAUAACAUAUACUCAUCAGAAAUUCUAUAGUGCUCCCACUCACUUCUUUGGAAAUACAAGUUUCUCAUAAACUUUGUAUAAACCCAAAAUCUUUGAUUAUCUCAUCAAAGCGUAUAUUCCAACUCCGAGAUGCUUACUCCAGUCCUUAGAAGGUUUGCUGGAGCUUUGCAUACUUGUUAGCACCUUUUAGGAUUGACAAAACCUUUUGGUUGUAUCACAUACAACCUUUCCUCAAGAAUAUCAUUGAGGAAACAAUGUUUUGACAUCCUAUCUGCAAGAUUUCAUAAAUCAUGCAGUAACUGCUAAUAUAAUUCCGAAAGACUCUUUAGCAUCGCUACGAGUGAGAAAGUCUCAUCGUAGUCAACUCCUUGAACUUGUCGGAAAACAUCUUAACGACAAGUCGAGCUUUCGUAAUGGUGACACUUACCAUCACUGUCCGUCUUCCUUUUAAAAUCCAUCUAUACUCAACAGCCUUACGACCAUCGAGUAGUUCUGCCAAAGUCUACACUUUGUUUUCAUACAUGGAUCCUCUCUCGCUCGAGCCAUUCAUCGGAAUCCGGGCCCACCAUCGCUUCUCCAUAGCUCGUAGGUUCAUUGUUGUCUAGCAACAUGACCUCCAAGACAGGAUUACGUCACAUCCUUGUCGACCUAUGAGGUUUGGUAGUGACUUGAUUCGAAGUUCCCUGAUCACUAUCAUCAGCUUCCACUUCAAUUGGUGUAGGUGCCACAGGAACAACUUCAUGUGCCCUGCUACACACUAGUUGAAGUGAUGGUUCAAUAACCUCAUCAAGUCUCCACCAUCCUCCCACUCAAUUCUUUCGAGAGAAACUAUUCCUCGAGAAAGGAACCGUUUCUAGAAACAAUCACUUUUGCUUCUGGAUCUGAAUUAGGAGGUAUACCCAACUAUUUUGGGUGUCCUAUGAAGAUGCAUUUAUCCACUUUGGGUUCGAGCUUAUUUGGCUGAAACCUUUUCACAUAAGUGUCGCAGCCCCAAACUUUUAAGAAACGACAACUUAGGUUUCUCUAAACCAUAGUUCAUACGCUGUCAUCUCAAUGGAAUUACGUGGUGCCCUAUUUGAAGUGAAUGCGGUUGUCUCUAAUGCUUAACCCAUAAACGAUAGUGGUAAUUCGAUAAGAGACAUCAUGGUAUGCCCCAUAUCCAUUAGGGUGCAUUAUGAUGUUCGGACACACCAUCACACUAUGGUGUUCCAGGCGGUAUUAGUUGGGAAACAAUUUCCACAAUGUCUUAAUUGUGUGCCAAACUCGUAACUCAGAUAUUCGUCUCUAUGAUCAUAUCAUAGACAUUUUGUCCUCUUGUCAUGACAAUCUUCAACUUCACCCUGAAAUUACUUGAACCUUUCAAUAAUUCAGACUUGUGAUUCAUCAAUUAAAUAUACUCAGCAUCUACUCAAAUCAUCUAUUCAAGUGAUUGUUGUACCCAGACAAUCUGAGUACAAGCUCAACGAUUGAGCUUUUCUCCCUUAGUUUGUAGGCCAAGAAACUCGUCGGAGGUCUCAUACCUCUUGACGUGGGCACGAGCCUGAAAUCCCAAUUUCAGCCCUUGGAACAUCUCAUAUGUUUCGUGACGUUUCAAAAACGUCUUCGGCGCCACAAUUCUAAACCAUUUAACAUUACUGAACUAUCAUGUAGUCAUCAAAACGUGUAUGUCAGAUGUUCGCAACAUCCAUAGACGACGUUCGAGGUUCAGCACACCGAGCGGUGCAUUAAGGACAUAAGCCUUCUAUGCAGCAAUGAGGAUAAUCCUCAGUUUAUGGACCCAGUCCGCAGAAUUGCUACUAUCAACUUUCAACUAAAUUUUCUCUAGGAACAUAUCUAAAACAGUAGAACUAAAAAUCGAGCUACGACAUAAUUUGCAAAUACCUUUUGACUAUGUUCACGACAAUUAAGUUCAUAUAAUGAACUCCCACUCAGAUAGACAUCCCUCUAGUCAUCUAAGUAAUACAUGAUCCGAGUCAACUAGGCCGUGUCCGGUCAUCAUGUGAGGCGGACUAGUCAUCAUCGGUGAACAUCUUCAUGUUGAUCGUAUCUUCUAUACGACUCAUGUUCGACCUUUCGGUCUCUUGUGUUCCGAGGCCAUGUUUGUACAUGCUAGGCUCGUCAAGUCAACCUAAGUGUUUUGCAUGUGUAAAUCUGGCUUACACCCAUUGUAUGUGAACGUUAGAAUCACACACGAUCAUCACGUGGUGCUUCAAAACAACGAACUUUCGCAAUGGUGCACAGUUAGGGGGAACACUUUCUUGAAAUUUUAAUGAGGGAUCAUCUUAUUUAUGAUACCGUCGUUCUAAGCAAAUAAGAUGUAAACAUGACAAACAUCACAUGCAAAUCAUAAAGUGACAUGAUAUGGCCAUCAUCAUCUUGCGCCUUUGAUCUCCAUCUUUGAGGCGCGGCAUGAUCACCUUCGUCACCGGCAGGACACCAUGAUCUCCAUCAUCGUGUCUCCAUGAAGUUGUCUCGCCAACUAUUACUUCUACUACUAUGGCUAACGGGUAGCAAUAAAGUAAAGUAAUUACAUGGCGUUGUUCAAUGACACGCAGGUCAUACGAUAAAUUAAGACAACUCCUAUGGCUCAUGUCGGUUGUCAUACUCAUCGACAUGCAAGUCGUGAUUCCUAUUACAAGAACAUGAUCAAUCUCAUGCAUCACAUAUCAUUCAUAACAUUCUUUUGGCCAUAUCACAUCACAUAGCAUACCCUGCAAAAACAAGUUAGACGUCCUCUAAUUGUUUUUGCAAGUUUUUACGUGGCUGCUAUAGAUUUCUAGCAAGAACAUUUCUUACCUACGCCAAAACCACAACGUGAUAUGCCAAUUGCUAUUUACCCUUCAUAAGGACCCUUUUCAUCGAAUCCGAUCCGACUAAAGUGGGAGAGACUGGCACCCGCUAGCCACCUUAUGCAACAAGUGCAUGUCAGUCGGUGGAACCUGUCUCACGUAAGUGUACGUGUAAGGUCAGUCCGGCCGCUUCAUCCCACAAUACCGUCGAAACAAAAUAGGACUAGUAAUGGUAAGCAUAUUGAACAAAAUCAAUGUACACAACAACUUGUGUUCUACUCGUGCAUAGAAUCUACGCAAUAGACCUAGCUCAUGAUGCCACUGUUGGGGAACGUAGCAGAAAUUCAAAAUUUUCUACGCAUCACCAAGAUCAAUCUAUGGAGAUUCUAGCAACAAGAGAGAUAGGGAGUGCAUCUUCAUACCCUUGAAGAUCACUCAGCAGAAGCGUUGUAAGAACGCGGUCGGUGGAGUCAUUCACGAAGUGAUUCAGAUCGCGGCCGAAUCCGAUCUAAGCACCGAAGAACGAUGCCUCCGCGUUCAACACAUGUAUAGCCCGGGGACGUCUCCUCCUUCUUGAUCCAGCAAGGGGAGAGGAGAAGUUGAGGGAAAACUCCGACAGCACGAUGGCAUGGUGGUGAUGGAGCUCGUGGUUCUCCGGCAGGGCUUCGCCAAGCACUACGGAGGAGGAGGAGGUGUUGGAGGAGGGAGAGGGCUGCGCCAGGGGAAGGGUGCGGCUGCCCUCUUUCUCCCUCAGUAUAUAUAGGGGGAAGGGAGGAGGGGGAGGCGCCCUAGGGUUCCCUAGGGGAGGGGCGGCGGCCACAGGGGAAACCCUAGAUGGGUUUGGGCGCCCCCACCCCCUAGGAAACUUGCCUCCAAGCCGGGAGGGGCAGCUGCCCUAGGGGUGGCACCCCCACCUCUCCUAGUUACGUGAGAUGGGCUGGGAGGGGCGCUCAGCCCCUUAGUGGGCUGAUGUGCCCUCUCCCCUUGGCCCAUAAGGCCCCCCAACGCUUGCCGGGGCCUCCGAAACCCCUUUCGGACACGCUGGUCAUCACCUGGUACCCCGGAACAAUUCCGAACUCCAAUAUCCUUCGUCCAAUAUACCGAUCUUCACCUCCGGACCAUUCCGGAGCUCCUCGUCAUGUCUGGGAUCUCAUUCGGGACUCCGAACAACCUUCGAUAACCACAUACCAUUUCCCAUAACAACUCUAGUGUCACCGAACCUCAAGUGUGUAGACCCUACGGGUUCGGGAACCAUGAAGACAUGACCAAGACGUUCUCCAGUCAAUAACCAACAGUGGGAUCUGGAUACCCAUGUUGGCUCCCACAUGUUCCACGAUGAUCUCAUCGGGUGAACCACGAUGUCAAGGAUUCAAGCAAUCCCGUAUGCAAUUCCCUUUGUCAAUCGGUAUGUUACUUGCCCGAGAUUCGAUCGUCGGUAUCCCAAUACCUCGUUCAAUCUCGUUACCGGCAAGUCACUUUACUCGUUCCGUAAUGCAUGAUCCCGUGACUAACUACUUAGUCACACUGAGCUCAUUAUGAUGAUGCAUUACCGAGUGGGCCCAGAGAUACUUCUCCGUCUCACGGAGUGACAAAUCCCAGUCUCGAUUCGUGCCAACCCAACAGACACUUUCGGAGAUACCCGUAGUGCACCUUUAUAGCCACCCAGUUACGUUGUGACGUUUGGCACACCCAAAGCAUUCCUACGGUAUCCGGGAGUUGCACAAUCUCAUGGUCUAAGGAAAUGAUACUUGACAUUAGAAAACCUUUAAACAAACGAACUACACGAUCUUGUGCUAUGCUUAGGAUUGGGUCUUGUCCAUCACAUCAUUCUCCUAAUGAUGCGAUCCCGUUAUCAAUGACAUCCAAUGUCCAUGGUCAGGAAACCAUGACCAUCUGUUGAUCAACGAGCUAGUCAACUAGAGGAUCACUAGGGACAUGUUGUGGUCUAUGUAUUCACACAUGUAUUGCGGUUUCCGGUCAAUACAAUUAUAGCAUGAAUAAUAGACAAUUAUCAUGAACAAGGAAAUACAAUAAUAACUAUUUUCUUAUUGCCUAUACACUAGUAGAAAAAGGGCCUACAGUCCUGGUUGGUGAGGGCCUUUAGUCCCGGUUCAUGAACCGGGACUAAAGGGUCGGUACUAAUGCCCUGACCCUUUAGUCCCGGUUCAAUCCAGAACCGGGACAGAUGGGCCUCCACGUGGCCUGUCCGCUGAGCCCAGGUAGGAGGGCCUUUGGUCCCGGUUGGUGGCACCAACCGGGACCAAUAGGCAUCCACGCGUCAGCAUUUCUGUGGCUGGGGUUUUUGUUUUUUUUAAAAGGGGGGGGGGUUGGGGGGUUUUGGGGGGUUAAUUUAGGUGUUUCAUAUAUUGUGCUAUAGCUAGCUAAUUAAUAGAGGGAAGUGUCCUCUCUUUUGUCCAUGCUUGGUCGACGCUACGUACCAUACAUACGUAUAGAGAGGACUAGCUAGACACGCUAGCUAGCUAGUAAGCAAACAGAAGAUCGUCAUGAACAUAUAUGCAUACAGAGAGAAGUGAUAUCGACCACCUCUCCUUCUCCGUGAGAUUGGUCGAACAACAAGUUCUCGUAUAUCUAUCCGACACUACCGGCUACAUAUAUACAAUAAUUAUCUUUUACAAAUAUAUAAUCUCCUAAAAUAUGGACGCGUGGUCCACAUAGUAUUCUCCGUCUUCAGCGAUCACGUGGUCAAGAAAGAAUGCCGCCAAUUCCUCUUGAAUUGCUCGCAUGCGAUCUGGUGCUAGGAGUUCAUCCCGCAUCCGAAACAUCUAAUUUUAAGAAGGGGGUCAAUACAUAUAUAUAUAUAUAUAUAUAUAUAUAUAUAUGAAUGAAUGAAACUCAACACAAAUGAUGGUAAUAAAAUAAAAUUGUGAAUAUUGUUAUUUACGCUCUUCAUAUUGUUUGUCGGAGUAGCCCCGCUCACAGGUCGUGUGGCGGAUGGACUCGCAAAUGUAGUAUCCACAGAAAUCAUUCCCUUGUUCCUGCCACAACCACUUUACAAGAAAUAGAGGUCAAUCAAACUGAUAAUUAGCAAGCAUGCUAAAUGGUAUUGAUGAAACUAGCGCUUGAAUCACUAGGAGAUGCCUGGAAUAUGCUACUAUAUAGUACUUACUUUCGGGUGCCUAAAUUGCAGCUUCUUCGGUAGUCCUGGAGCUUUUUUGGUGAAUUUUCUCCAAGCCCUGCCAUACAAAGAAAACAAUUACUUGAUAUCAGAAAUGAACAAAGUUGCUGAUAUGGUGGAUAAUGAUCGAUUUAACUUACUUCUCAAGCAUUUCAGUCAUGUCCGCAUACUCCUUGGGAUCUUUUCGCUUGGAGUCUAAGACAGUUACUACUCCCUUCUCAAGCUUAAUCUCUAGGAGAAUAUAGUGGUAGCUGCGCACACAUGCAUAACUCAUCAAUAUUACAUUACUAUAACCUGGACUAAUAAGGAAACCGAAUAUGCCACAAGACAGUAACACUCACUUGAAGUUGUAAGGAAAGAGUAUUAUAUCUUUGUGUUCAUUUAUUUCCAACGAUCGUAACAAGUUGGCCUCGGUUUCUUGGGCACGAUAUUGAACCUCAGUUGCAUCUAUGAGAUACAUGUUAAUGAACCCAAUAUCUCCCACUUGUCUUUUCUUCAAUUCGGCGAUCUUCAAUCUGCAUAAUAUAGUGAGGAUAAUUAUAAAUACAUGCAAUGAAAGGGCUGAGUUAUAUAGAGAGACUUAAUGACGGAAGUAGUACUACUUACAGACAGUAGGAGGUGACUGUUGCUUUAUCGAUGGCCAAUUGAUUGAAAAACUGAUAGAACUCCUCAAAUGGAAUAGGCAACAGUUCAAUUCCAAGGAGGUCAUGCUCCUUUUUAACUCUCACAUACAAAGUACUCCUCCCCUCAGACUCUUUGCAGGUUUCAUGUACCAAUCAUGCAAUCUUCGCAUCAUCGUUGAUAGAGAACUUUCAUCUUUGAAGAGAGGCUUCCCGUACUCGUAUCUUUGUAUCUGCACCUCCAAGAUAUCAUAAUGUACAUCGUUGGGCAGGUAAUCUGCAGGAUUGCCAUAACCGGGCACCAUCCUCGGAUCGACGAUGUCGCUAGCAGGCACCUUGAGCGGGGGGCACGAUUGCUUCGCUUGUUCGCCGAGCUGGGCAAUUUGUUUCCCAACUCGUUGUUCUUUCAUCCUUUUAUCACUUUUAGUACUUCCCGACCUCUUCGCUUCGGCAAAUGCCUUCCCAAUAAUGCGCUCAUAGUUGCCUUUCGGCGGAGACUUGGGUGGUUUUGUCAGGGCAGCCAGAGUGCGCUUCGCUUUCACCGGAUCUACCUUCUCCUCUAGAGGUGGAUGUCUCUUUGCUUUCAACCCUUGAAACUAGUCAUCCACUUCGGUCUGCGCGAUCUUCGUGUUUUCCUCCUCGCUCCUCUCGUACGGUAACUUCUCUGGAGUCUUCAGAGAAGGACCGAAUCUGUAUCUCCUCCCGCCUUUGGCUGUACUGCUAGACGCCGGCAGAGUAGAUGGAGCGGAUGUCUUCUUUCCUUGCUUACGAGGCGGAGGAGAAGGACUGCGACGCGCCGGAGCAGCCGGAGCGGCGGCGGGUCUCUUCCGCCCUUGCUGACGAGGCGGAGAAGGAGGAGGUUGGCUGCUCGGGCGCGCCGGCGCAGGCGGAGAAGGAGGCGGAGUGCCGCCACGCGCCGGAGAAGGAGCCGGCCGAGUGCCCUGAUCGUCACUCGCUGGAGGAGGAGGCGGUGGAGGAGGCGGAGUGCCCUGACUCGCCGGAGGAGGAGGAGGAGGCGGAGGCGUCCAGUUCGGAAGGUUGAUGAGAUCCUUCCGCCAUAGGCAUGGAGUCUUCAGAGCAGAACCCAGCCGAUACUCCCCUUCACUGGUAGGGUGGUCAAGCCGGAGGUCCUCAAAUCCCUCCAUUAUUUCAUCGACCAUCACCUUAGCAUAUCCUUCUGGAAUCGGCCAGCAGUGAAAAGUUGAGUCGGGUUUAGUAGGAUAAACAGAGCCAACAGCCGCCUUGACCUUCAAAUUGCUCCAUUGCACCAUAAGGUGGCAAUUUUCAGCAUCCGUGAUAGCAUCCACGGGAUAGCUGGCAGGAGCCGUCAAGGCAUGCUCUGGCUGAAGCAGCUCGGUGGAAGCCACGCUGCUUCUCCGCUGAGAUGGCGGGGUAGCUUCGGGGGAAGCUUCGGUAGGUCGUUUGCUGCGAUCUGCUUCUCGUUCCUCUAGCCCCAUUACCCUUUCGUGCAGCGCCUGCAGUUGGCUCUGCUCCAGUUUCUUCCUCCUCUCCUGGGUUUUGUAACCCCCUGCAUCUGGAAAUCCAGCCUUCCACGAAACGGAGCCUGGCGUGCCUCGUGUCCGUCCAGGGUGCUCAGGAUUUCCGAGGGCCAUUGUGAGCUCGUCCUUCUCCCUGUCUGGAACGAACGUCCCUUGCUGCGUUGCUUCGAUAUAUUGCUGAAGCCUCUUGACUGGUAUGUCCAAUUGUUCGUCCAUCCAAAUGCACUUCCCUGUUAUAGGGUCCAAGGAUCCGCCGGCCCCAAAGAACCAAGUCCGGCAACGUUCUGGCCAGUUCAUUGUCUCUGGUUCGAUCCCUUUAUCAAGCAGAUCAUUCUCAGCCUUGGCCCACUUAGGCCGGGCUACGAGGUAGCCACCUGACCCCGUGCGAUGGUGAAGCUUCUUCUUCUCAGCAUUUCUCUUGUUUGUCGCCGACAUCUUUUUACUCUUUUCCGAUGUCUUGUAGGCCACAAAUGCGGGCCAGUCAUCUCUGAUCUUUUCAUAUUUGCCCAUGAAUUCUGGUGUCUCAUUUUUUUCGACAUACCUAUUGAGCUCUUUCUUCCAAUUCCUGAAUAGGUCUGCCAUCUUCUUCAGAGCAAAAGACUUGAUUAAUGGCUCUAUAACUGGCUUCUCCGGAUCAUCCUCCGGUGGUAGGGUGAAAUUUGACUUCAGCUCAGUUCAAAGAUUCUUUUUCUGCAUAUCAUUGACAUAAGACACCUCAGGGUCUUCGUUCUUAGGCUUAUACCAUUGCUGGAUGCUGAUCGGGAUCUUGUCCCUAACCAGAACCCCGCACUGAGCAACAAAUGCCUUCUUUGUCCGGUAGGGUUCAAUCAGUUGGCCGUCGCGCGCGAUUUGUAUGAUCUCAAACUUUUCAUCCGAGCUCAACUUUUUCUUCGGGCCUCGUCUCUUUACCGAAGUUGUGCUCGAUCCGGAGGGCUAGAAAAAAGAACAAAGACGAGAGUUAAUUAAUAUGUGUACAUACCAAAACAAUGAAUGCAUCAAUUAGCUAGUCAGCACAGGCUUAACUAAUAUAUAUACCUGGCCGGACUCGGUUUGGUGAUCACCGGAGCCGUCCUCACGGUCUACUUCUUCACCCUCUCCUUCUUGCACCGGCAUUGGGUCAUCGGAGCCAUGUAAAUCAUAGCCAGCUGCUUCUUCACCCUCUCCUUCCAGACCAUCGUUGUCGUUGAGAAACAUCAACGAGGAGACGGCAUCACUUCCUUGUGCGAUUAUGUCCCUCAACAACGCUUCUUGUGCUUCGUCUCGGGGGGUGUCCAUAGUUUCUACAAAUAUUUACAACAUGGCAAUUAUUAUUGAAACAUGACAGAUAUGGAUAUAUUAGUGGCAAACGUAGAACUAGCUAGCUAAUCACAAUAAGGAAUCAUAUUAGUGGCCUCGGCGCUGCUUCUCUAGGGUUUGGGGUGGCCUCGACAACGCUUCAAGGGUUAGGGGGUGGCCUCGAGAAUGCUUCAAGCUAGGAGGGGGUAAUAUCGACCCACCCCCCCCCCCCCACGUGUUGAAGCUAUCGGGAGGGGGUCGGCAUUGAACACUACAUCUAUGUCCCACAAGUGACGUGGGCAUCGACGCCCGCGGUAGGGUAGAGGGUCGUGGAUCGCCGAGCGGUCAAGGGUCAAGGGGUCGAGGAUCGCCGAGGGGUCGGGAGGUUGCCUAGUGUCAAAGGAUUCAACAAAACAUGUCUUCAUCAUUAGGCGAAAGUAACAGGUGCAUGAUGGUACGAAGCUCUCCAAAGUUAUUUUGGAACGGAGUCCCAGAUAGGAUAAUUCGCUUUUUGGUACAAAGUUCAGCAAGAACCUUCCGAAUAUCGUUAUUUGUAAGGCCUUUGCUGAAAUUCGUACAAAAAGGCAAAUUAUCCUAUCUGGGACUCCAUUCCAGAAUAACUUUGGAGGACUUCGUACCAUCAUGCCAUGGUUACUUCCGGCUAAUGAUGAAGCCAUGGAUUUCUUCAAUACUUUGACACUAGGAACCCUCUCGACCCCUCGGCGAUCCUCGACCCCUUGAACCCUCGACGACCCUGGAACCCUCGACCCCUAGACGAUCCUGGAACCCUCGAUCCCUCGACCCUAGAACCCUCGACCCGGGAUAAUAUCGACAACGCUUCAAGGGGGUAAUAUUGACAACGACGAGAUACAUACACGGGAGAAAUUAAUGUUAUCGGGGAGGGGGUAUAUCGACCCCCCCACAUAUUGAAGUUAUCGGGAGGGGGUAUAUGGACCCCCCCCCNNNNNNNNNNNNNNNNNNNNNNNNNNNNNNNNNNNNNNNNNNNNNNNNNNNNNNNNNNNNNNNNNNNNNNNNNNNNNNNNNNNNNNNNNNNNNNNNNNNNNNNNNNNNNNNNNNNNNNNNNNNNNNNNNNNNNNNNNNNNNNNNNNNNNNNNNNNNNNNNNNNNNNNNNNNNNNNNNNNNNNNNNNNNNNNNNNNNNNNNNNNNNNNNNNNNNNNNNNNNNNNNNNNNNNNNNNNNNNNNNNNNNNNNNNNNNNNNNNNNNNNNNNNNNNNNNNNNNNNNNNNNNNNNNNNNNNNNNNNNNNNNNNNNNNNNNNNNNNNNNNNNNNNNNNNNNNNNNNNNNNNNNNNNNNNNNNNNNNNNNNNNNNNNNNNNNNNNNNNNNNNNNNNNNNNNNNNNNNNNNNNNNNNNNNNNNNNNNNNNNNNNNNNNNNNNNNNNNNNNNNNNNNNNNNNNNNNNNNNNNNNNNNNNNNNNNNNNNNNNNNNNNNNNNNNNNNNNNNNNNNNNNNNNNNNNNNNNNNNNNNNNNNNNNNNNNNNNNNNNNNNNNNNNNNNNNNNNNNNNNNNNNNNNNNNNNNNNNNNNNNNNNNNNNNNNNNNNNNNNNNNNNNNNNNNNNNNNNNNNNNNNNNNNNNNNNNNNNNNNNNNNNNNNNNNNNNNNNNNNNNNNNNNNNNNNNNNNNNNNNNNNNNNNNNNNNNNNNNNNNNNNNNNNNNNNNNNNNNNNNNNNNNNNNNNNNNNNNNNNNNNNNNNNNNNNNNNNNNNNNNNNNNNNNNNNNNNNNNNNNNNNNNNNNNNNNNNNNNNNNNNNNNNNNNNNNNNNNNNNNNNNNNNNNNNNNNNNAACCGGGACUAAAGGGGGGCAUUAGUCCCGGGUCGUGGCACCAACCGGGUCUAAACCCCCCUUUAGUCCCGGUUGGUGCCACCAACCGGGACCAAAGGCCUUGUGCUGCCCCGCGCCGAAAAGUUUAGUCCCACCUCGGUAGUUGAGAGAGCCCGAGAGUGGUUUAUAAGCGCUGCUGCGCCCACCCUCUUGAGCUCCUCUCAACUACAGGCUUUCGGGCCUGACCGUGCAAUCUGUGCCUGUGGGCCUACUGGGCCUCCCGCGGGCCUGAAUCCUGGCCCAUGGUAGGGUUUCUAGUCGUAUUCAGGCCGUGGGGGACCAGUUGGUGGCACUUUUUUUUGUUUUCUUUGUUGCUUUAUUUAUUUUAUUUUGUUUCUACUUACAACAAAAUACUUAUUGUUGCUAUUUUUAUUUUUUUCCAGUUUUUUGGUUUUGCUUUCUGCAUUAUUUAUUCUUUGUUGUUUUUUGCUUUAUUUUUUAAUUCUUUUUGCUUUUAGUUUUAGAAAAAUUAUAAACUUUCUGUUAGUGCCAUUAGUUUUCAAAUUUGAAAACACUUUUUUGCUUUAUUUAUUUAUUUUAUUUUGUUUCUACUUACAAUAAAAUACUUAUUGUUGCUAUUUUUUUCAAGUUUUUUUGUUUUGUUUUCUGCAUUAUUUAUUUUCUUUUGGUUUUUUGCUUUAUUUUUUAAUUCUUUUUGCUUUUAGGUCAGCAAAAUUAUAAACUUUCUGUUUGUGCCAUUAGUUUUCUUUGAAAUUUGUGUGAAUCACAAGUUUGUGAGCUCAACAAGGCGUGUAGAGGGACGGGCUUAUAAACUGGUGUGAGCGCCCUUCGGUUGGCGAGGUUUUCAAAUUCAUAGUUUUCAAAUGAACUCUGAAAAAGUUGGCAUAGCAUGUGCAUGUACAAAACGGACAAUGGUAUCAUACUCGUCUGUUACAAAGUUGGCAUGGUAUCAUCAUAAUAGUUGCGGGAGAAAGUCUUCACUUUUUCUUUGCUUGUGUCGUUUGCUUAUUGCGCCGUAACCAUGGAUAAUCUUCAUCGUUUAUCAGGAUGCUUGGGUCAGCCUUGACUUUGAAGGGGGGAAUUUCAUGAAACUUUUCAUACUCUUCAGACAUGUCUGUCUUGCCCUCCACUCCUAGGAUGUCCCUUUUUCCUGAAAGAACUAUGUGGCGCUUUGGCUCAUUGUAUGAUGUAUUCACUUCCUUAUCUUUUCUUUUCCUCGGUCUGGUAGACAUGUCCUUCACAUAGAUAACUUGUGCCACAUCAUUGGCUAGGACGAACGGUUCGUCAGUGUACCCAAGAUUUUUCAGAUCCACUGUUGUCAUUCCGUACUGUGGGUCUACCUGUACCCCGCCUCCUGACAGAUUGACCCACUUGCACUUAAACAAAGGGACCUUAAAAUCUACUCUGUAGUCAAGUUCCCAUAUGUCUACUAUGUAACCAUAAUAUGUGUCAUUUCCAUUGUCAGUUGCUGCAUCAAAGCGGACACCGCUGUUUUGGUUGGUGCUCUUUUCAUCUUGGUCAAUCGUGUAAAAUGUAUUCCCAUUUAUCUCGUAUCCUUUCCAAAUCAUUACAGUCGAAGAUGGUCCCCUGGACAACAAGUACAGCUCAUCACAAACAGUGUUGUCACCUCUGAGACGUGUUUCCAACCAACUGCUGAAGGUCCUGAUGUGUUCACAUGUAAUCCAGUCAUCGCACUGCUCCGGGUGUUUGGAGCGCAGACUGUUCUUGUGUUCAUCGACAUACGGGGUCACCAAGGUAGAGUUCUGUAGAACUGUGUAGUGUGCUUGAGACCAAGAAUAUCCGUCCCUGCAUAUUAUUGAGUCCCUUCCAAGCGUGCCUUUUCCAGUCAGUCUCCCCUCAUACCGCGAUUUAGGGAGACCUAUCUUCUUAAGGCCAGGAAUGAAGUCAACACAAAACCCGAUGGCAUCCUCUGUUUGAUGGCCCAUGGAGAUGCUUCCUUCUGGCCUAGCGCGGUUACGAACAUAUUUCUUUAGGACUCCCUGAACCUCUCAAAGGGGUACAUAUUGUGUAGAAAUACGGGCCCCAGAAUGACAAUCUCGUCGAUUAGAUGAACUAGGACGUGCGUCAUGAUAUUGAAUAAGGAUGGUGGGAACACCAGCUCGAAACUGACAAGACAUUGUGCCACAUCACUCCUUAGCGUUGGUACGAUUUCUGGAUCGAUCACCUUCUGAGAUAUUGCAUUGAGGAAUGCACAUAGCUUCACAAUGGCUAAUCGGACGUUUUCCGAUAGAAGCCCCCUCAAUGCAACCGGAAGCAGUUGCGUCAUAAUCACGUGGCAGUCAUGAGACUUUAGGUUCUGGAACUUUUUCUCUGGCAUAUUUAUUAUUCCCUUUAUAUUCGACGAGAAGCCAGUCGGGACCAUCAUACUGAGCAGGCAUUGAAAGAAUAUUUCUUUCUCUUCUUUCGUAAGAGCGUAGCUGGCAGGACCUUCAUACUGCUUCGGAGGCAUGCCCUCUUUUUCGUGCAAGCGUUGCAGGUCCUCUCGUGCCUCAGGUGUAUAUUUUGUCUUCCCAUACACGCCCAAGAAGCCUAGCAGGUUCACGUAAAGGUUCUUCGUCACGUGCAUCACGUCGAUCGAAGAGCGGACCUCUAGGUCUUUCCAGUAGGGUAGGUCCCAAAAUAUAGAUUUCUUCUUCCACAUGGGUGCGUGAUUCUCAGCGUCAUUCGGAACAGCUAGUCUGCCGGGACCCUUUCCAAAGAUUACGUGUAAAUCAUUGACCAUAGCAAGUACGUGAUCACCGGUACGCAUGGCGGGCUUCUCCCGGUGAUCUGCCUCACCUUUGAAAUGCUUGCCUUUCUUUCGACAUUGAUGGUUGGUCGGAAGAAAUCGACGAUGGCCCAGGUACACAUUCUUCCUGCAGCUUCCCAGGUAUAUACUAUCGAUGUCAAGUAAACAGUGCGUGCAUGCGUGGUAUCCCUUGUUUGUCUGUCCUGAAAGGUUACUGAGAGCGGGCCAAUCGUUGAUGGUCACGAACAGCAACGCCUUUAGGUCAAAUUCCUCCUUUUUGUGCUCAUCCCACGUACGUACACCGUUUCCAUUCCACAGCUGUAAAAGUUCUUCAACUAAUGGCCUUAGGUACACAUCAAUGUCGUUGCCAGGUUGCUUAGGGCCUUGGAUGAGAACUGGCAUCAUAAUGAACUUCCGCUUCAUGCACAUCCAAGGAGGAAGGUUAUACAUACAUAGAGUCACGGGCCAGGUGUUGUGAUUGCUGCUCUGCUCCCCGAAAGGAUUAAUGCCAUCCGCACUUAAAGCAAACCAUACGUUCCUUGGGUCCUUUGCAAACUCAUCCCAGUACUUUCUCUCAAUUUUUCUCCACUGCGACCCGUCAGCGGGUGCUCUCAACUUCCCGUCUUUCUUAUGGUCCUCACUAUGCCAUCGCAUCAACUUGGCAUGCUCUCCGUUUCUGAACAGACGUUUCAACCAUGGUAUUAUAGGAGCAUACAACAUCACCUUCGCAGGAACCCUCUUCCUGGGAGGCUCGCCGUCAACAUCACUAGGGUCAUCUCGUCUGAUCUUAUACCGCAAUGCACCGCAUACCGGGCAUGCGUUCAGAUCCUUGUAGGCACCGCGGUAGAGGAUGCAGUCAUUAGGGCAUGCAUGUAUCUUCUCCACCUCCAAUCCUAGAGGGCAUACGACCUUCUUUGCUGCGUAUGUACUGUCGGGCAAUUCGUUAUCCUUUGGAAGCUUCUUCUUCAUUAUUUUCAGUAGCUUCUCAAAUCCUUUAUCAGGCACAGCAUUCUCUGCCUUCCACUGCAGCAAUUCGAGUAUGGUACUGAGCUUUGUGUUGCCAUCUUCGCAAUUGGGGUACAACCCCUUUUUGUGAUCCUCUAACAUGCGAUCGAACUUCAGCUUCUCCUUUUGACUUUCGCAUUGUGUCCUUGCAUCGACAAUGACCCGGCGGAGAUCAUCAUCAUCGGGCACAUCGUCUGGUUCCUCUUGAUCUUCAGCAGCUUCGCCCGUUGUAGCACCAUCGUGCACAUCGUCUGGUGCAUCUUGAUGUUCAGUAGCAUCACCGUAUUCAGGGGGCACAUAGUUGUCAUCGUACUCUUCUUCCUCGCCGUCUUCCAUCAUAACCCCUAUUUCUCUGUGCCUCGUCCAAACAUUAUAGUGUGGCAUGAAACCCUUGUAAAGCAGGUGGGUGUGAAGGAUUUUCCGGUCAGAGUAAGACUUCGUAUUCCCACAUAUAGGGCAUGGACAACACAUAAAACCAUUCUGCUUGUUUGCCUCAGCCACUUCGAGAAAAUCAUGCACGCCCUUAAUGUACUCGGAGGUGUGUCUGUCACCGUACAUCCAUUGCCGGAUCAUCUGCGUGCAUUAUAUAUAAUUAAGUGUGUCAAAAAUCAUUACAGAACAUCAUGAAUAGAUAAUUAAGUGACCAAAUUAAUAGAAGUUCAUCAUCACAUAAAAACCAAAGUACAUACAUAGUUCUCAUCUAACAACAUAAAGCUCUGCAGAGCAUCUAAAUUAAUUAAACCAUACAUUGAAACUAUGUAAAACAUUUCAAUGCGAAAACAAAUGCGAUCAUAAUCGCAACCAAGGUAACAACUGAUCCAACGGCAUAAUGAUACCAAGCUUCGGUAUGAAUGGCAUAUUUUCUAAUCUUUCUCAUCUUCAAGCGCAUUGCAUCCAUCUUGAUCUUGCGAUCAUCGACGACAUCCGCAACAUGCAACUCCAAUAUCAUCUUCUCCUCCUCAAGUUUUUUUAUUUUUUCCUUCAAGAAAUUGUUUUCUUCUUCAACUAAAUUUAACCUCUCGACAAUAGGGUCGGUUGGAAUUUCCGGUUCAACAACCUCCUAGAUAAAUAAAAUCUAUGUCACGUUGGUUGGCAUAAUUUUCAUGAACAAUAAAUGAACCAAUAGUUAUGAAAAGAUAAUAUAUACCACAUCCGAAUCAUAGACAGGACGAGGGCCAACGGGGGCGGAUACCAAAACCAUCGCACUAUAUAAGAUGCAAUAAUAAAAGUAAGAAAAUAAUACAAGUAAGAAUAUUUUUCCUUUCAGAAAGAAGAUAAGAACAAGAGGCUCACCACGCUGGUGCUGGCGAUGAGAUUGGCGCGGGUGAUCGACGGCGGUGAAGACGGGGACGGGGCAUGAUGGACCGCUAAACCUAGACAAAUAUUGAGGAAAAUAGAGGUUGGAGGUCGAGCUUGGAGAGGAGAAAGCUUAAGUAGUGUGGCUCGGGCAUUUCAUCGAACACCUCAUGUGCUAUGGAGGUGAGCUAGAGCACCACAAAGCCCCCCUUGCCGGCAAGAGAAAAACAGAGCACUGGAGUGCUCUGCUCGCGAGCGAGGGGGUAUAUAUAGGCAGCACUAUUGGUCCCGGUUCGUGGCAUGAACCGGGACUAACGGGUAGCCAUUGGUCCCGGUUCAUGCCACCAACCGGGACCAAUAGUGGUGGGCCAGGAGCCAGGCCCAUUGGUCCCGGUUCGUCCCACCAACCGGGACCAAAAGGUCUGGACGAACCGGGACCAAUGGCCCACGUGGCCCGGCCGGCCCCCUGGGCUCACGAACCGGGGCAAAUAGCUCCAUUGGUCCCGGUUCUGGAUUGAACCGGGACUAAUGGGCUGAACUGGCCUGGGCCAUUGCCCCCUUUUCUACUAGUGCUAGGGCAUAUUUCCAACAAUUUGCACAGAGCGCCACAACCCUCGUGCCAACGGACAGUCAAAAAAGAGAUGCUUGAUAGUCUCGUCCCGAACACAGAAACUACACCUAGUAGAACAUGUCCACUUGCACUUAACUAAAUUGUCCUUUGUUAAGAUUACUUGUUUAUGCACAAACCACAUAAACACUUUAAUCUUCAAAGGGACCUUAACUUUCCAAACAUCUUUGGAACUAGGAAUCACACUAGUGUUAAUGAUAUCUAUAUACAUAGAUUUAACCGUGAACUCCCCGGAUCUAGUAAGCUUCCAACACAACUUAUCGGGCUGAGGAGUUAACUGAACCUCCAUCAGUCUACGGACUAGGUGAAGCCAUGCUUCCCAUCGAUCACCCACGAGCACCCUCCUAAACUGAAUGUUGAGUGGAAUGGACUGCAUAACCGUGGCAACAAGAGCCUCACGACGCUGAACAAUACGAUAAAGGGAUGGAUACUGGGUCGCCAAAGGCGUGCCACCAAGCCACGUAUCCUCCCAUAAUCGAGUGUUGCUGCCAUUACCGACAAGACACCUCGUUCUGUUAAAGAAGGUAGCUUUGAUUCUCAUGAGCCCCUUCCAGAACGGCGAAUCAGUUGGUCGCAGAGUGACCUGGGAUAGGGUCUUGGACUGCAAAUAUUUACUACGUAAAAUAUGCGCCCACGUUGCCUCUGUCUCAGAAGAUAACUUAAACAACCACUUACUAAGCAGGCAUCUAUUCUUAACUUCAAGAUUUUCAAUACCAAGGCCCCCUCGUCCUUUGGUCGACAGAUAAUAUCCCAUUUGGCCAGUCUGAAUUUUCUCUUAAGCUCAUCACUUUGCCAAAAGAAUCGGGAUCGAUAGAAGUCCAGCCUUUUCCUAACUCCAACUGGGACCUCAAAGAAGGAUAAGAGGAACAUAGGUAAACUCGUGAGCACCGAGUUAAUAAGAAUCAACUGGCCUCCAUAAGACAUGACUUUUCCUUUCCAGCAACUCAGUUUCUUCUCAAACCGAUCCUCUAUACACUUCCACUCGUUGUUUGUUAGCUUACGAUGGUGAAUGGGAAUACCGAGAUACGUGAAAGGUAAAGCCCCCACUUCACAACCAAACAAUUGUCUAUAAGCCUCUUGUUCGUCUUUGGCUCUACCAAAGCAGAACAGCUCGCUUUUAUGGAAAUUAAUCUUCAGCCCCGACAAUUGUUCAAAUAAGCAUAACACUAACUUCAUGUUUCUCGCUUUUGCCAAGUCGUGUUCCAUAAAAAUGAUUGUAUCAUCAGCGUAUUGCAGAAUGGACAAACCACCAUCUACCAGAUGAGGCACCAAGCCACCCACCUGACCGGCCUCCUUUGCCCUCCCAAUCAGUAUCGCCAACAUAUCAACCACAAUAUUGAACAAAAUUGGAGACAUAGGAUCGUCCUGCCUCAGACCCUUGUGUGUUUGGAAAUAAUGACCUAUGUCGUCAUUCACUUUAAUUCCAACACUCCCUUUUUGCGUGAAUGCUUCCACCUGGCGUCGCCAAGCUUCAUCAAAGCCCUUCAUGCGCAAAGCCUGUUGAAGGAACGGCCAUUUGACUUUAUCAUAAGCCUUCUCGAAAUCCACUUUGAAAAUAACUCCAUCCAGUUUUUUCGUGUGAAUCUCAUGGAGCAUUUCAUGAAGCACCACAACCCCUUCCAGGAUGUUCCUGUCCGGCAUGAAAGCCGUUGGAGAAGGCUGCACUACGGCAUGCGCAAUCUGAGUGAGCCUAAUCGUCCCAACCUUGAUGAAAAUUUUGAAACUGACAUUCAGAAGACAGAUAGGCCGAAAUUUCUCGAUUCUCACGGCCUCUGUUUUCUUAGGGAGUAGGGUUAUUGUUCCAAAAUUAAGUUGGAAAAGCUGCAAAUGUCCCGAGAACAAAUCAUGGAACAUUGGCAACAGGUCCCCUUUAAUAAUAUGCCAACAUUUCUUAUAGAACUCAGCCGGAAACCAUCCGGUCCAGGUGCCUUAUUAUUUUCCAUCUUGGAAAUGGCCUCGAAAACCUCAUUUUCCGAGAAAGGGGCAGUUAAGAUAUCGUUCUCCACAGCAGUAAGUUGAGGUACAUCUUGGAUCCUAGACUCAUCCAGCGACACACUGGGCCAACCAUCUUUCUCUUUUUUCCUUUUUGGGUAAAACCUUUCAUAAAAAGGUGCAUAACCACCUCCGACAACAUUUCCUUUGUUCUAGAUAGCUUCCUUUAUGCAUCUUCAAAUAACGAACAUGAGCAUGUUUGUUUGUAUUUUCAUAUAUUUUUUGUUUUUUUUUGUCUGGUUUUAUUUUAUUUCCUUUUUUCAAUUUUGUGAACUUUUCUCGAUUCCAUGAACAUUUUUUGUGAACCUUUUUGACUUCGUGAACGUUUCUUAGAUUCAUGUUUUUUUCAAAUCGAUGAAUUUUUUCAAAUCAUUGAACUAAUUUUCAAAUUUGAUGAACUUUUUUUUUCAAAAUUCAAUUUUAUUUUUUUCAAAUUUGAUCAACUUUUUCAAGUUCGCUGAGCUUUUUUCUAAUUGAUGAACUUUUGGGGAGUUUGUGAAAAAAAUUCAAAUCGAUGAUUUUUUCCCCAAAUCAAUGUACUUUUUCAGUUUUCUUGAAAUCCACGAACUUUUUCAAAUCCAUGUAUGUUUUUCAAUCUAUGAUCUUUUUGAAUCAUGGUUUUUUCAAAUUCAUGAUGUGUUUGGAUCCAUAUUUGUUUUUCAUAGUCAACCAGUAACUGUUUUGAACGUUGUACAAUGAAGCAAUCAAGUGAGGGAAAGGAGUGAGCGAGAGAAGGGAGGAGCGAGGGACCAACUCACUCGCUGGGCCGACCCACACGAGACGGUUCCGUGAGCGACAAUUAGGAGCUCCACCCCCUAGGGUCGGGCCUAUUUGCAUGCAUCUUAGUUGUUAUGGUCACUCAUUUUUCUUGUGCUUUUAUCGAAAUGUGAUUUGAUGAAGUGGCAUGUAGUUAUAGGCAGGCUCAACUGCUUCAUUUAUGGAUUCUUUUAGGUAGGUUUUGUGAAUUGAGUAAAAGAUAUUAUGGUAAAGCAUACCAUUCUUUGUUCUAGUUUAGGAAGCGUAUGUUCAUUGUGCAAUAAUCGUAUUAAGGUAUGACUGAUUUUGUGGUGCCAUCUACUUCCUUUUGUGGCUGCUUUACCAUAAUAUAUUUCAUAACUCGUGUCGGUUGUAUAAUAUGUAAAGUAAUGGUACAUUUUGAUGUAUUUUUUCACCCUAAAUUGAUCAGAGGUUCUUGAAAUGUGGUUGUUAAAUGCACUUAUUCAUGAACAAUUUAUGUAGAUCAAAUAUUUCUACAAACAUAUUUUUUUGUAAAUAUUUUGCAUCCUUUUUUUUGGUUGAGACAUCCUCAAAACCGACGGGCAUGAUAACGCAUGCCUCUGUGGUCUACCAUGUUCUUAGGCCCACAAUUCAUAGACACGGGUGGCCUCUAUGCCAUAGAUGCAAGGGCGUUCCUUUUUUCAUUUGUUUGCAGGCAACUUGGUGUCUACAGAUAGGGUGGCUCGGCCCCCUCCCCCUCCGCGCAACUUGGUGUCUACAGAUGCAAGGGGUGUUCCUUUUUCCUACGCAGGGGCAUAUGAGGAUUGAAUCUUACAAUAAAUUCAGUGUAGUAAUAUGUCUCAUUUAUUGAAGAUCGGUUUUGCUAAGUUAGAACAUUACUACUCCAAACGGCAUCGUAAGCGGUGCAUGCCAUUCAUUGACCCUGUCGCAAGCGGCUAAACCAAAUUUGAAGUAUUCAUAUAGCACACUAUUCAAAUGCGACAAAAAUACAUCUGUAAUGACGGUAUACCACUCGUCCUCUAUCCACGUUACCUUAUGUAGAUAGCACGUGUGACCUGUCAACCGUCCAAUUAUGUCGCUAGCAAGUUCCUUAGCGUUGAAACUGAAUGUCCACGCCUCAGAACAAAUACACUGCCCGUCAUCGUAUCUUCAAGAAAUCAAACCGCUAUCUAUCAAUAAAUCAAGAUAUCUUCUAUGAAGAUAUACAAUUUAAUUGUCUGAAGUGCGCUCUGAGUUCUAUAUAAACAGGAAGUGAGGCCAUUUCAGUUCAUCCCAAACUUCUCCAUAACCAUAGGAGUGUGCCAUGGUUUCUCAAGUCCCAACUAGGAAGCAAUUCUAGCAACACCACCUUGAAGUAAGUUAUAGGGUAAUCGAAGCAAGAAAGCCACCAUAUUCACUCUAAGGAGGGAUUGCCCUAUACUGUGUCGCCCAACUCCAACUAUAGUCAAGUCCAAAACUACUCUUUGUCCACCCUUUCUUUCCCAAAAGUUUAACUCAUCCAUCCCCUCCAUUCCGUCGGUCCCCAAAUCCCAAACCAAAGAAAACAAAAUGGGCAAUGGCAUCUCCAAAAACACAUGCUUCUCCGGUGACACCUAUGCGCCGGCUGUCUCAUCGGACCCAGUACCCGGCGACAUCCAUGGGCACUCCUUCAAGUAUGUGCCAAUAUCCGUCGCCUUCGACAAGUCCUCAAUGGCUAAUGUGCUCUCAUCGAAAACACCCUUCUUCUCUUUAUCCGGAGCGGCCAUCAACGCCAACCAAGCAACAUCAUCAUCAAUGCCGUCGUUCCAGCUGCUUAAUGAAUUGAUGGGGCCGCAAUCAUAUGCGUGCAUCGUUAAGAGCUCGUGCUCCUUCGCCGCUGCACCGCUCCAGGCCACACCAGCUAGGUCGUCCUUGUCUGGACACUUCUUGGAUUCAUCCAGCACCGUAUCCACUAUCUCCAACCAGUUGCCAAGGCGGGCCUGCAUGUACGGUAUGCUAGACCACUCCUUCUCAUCGUCCUCAUCCGUUGUUAGUAAACAGGAUAGUGUUUCUCAUCUCAUGGUUGAACACGGCGCCACAGGCUCUCGGUGUCGCAAUGAGCGGCCUCUCGGCAAAUCUUUGGCCACAGCCGGCUCCAGGCUCGAUUUCAGGGUGCCACGCAACAGCCUCCUAUCAAAGGGUCCUACUGAGUUGUCAAAUAUGGAUUCCUUCGGGGAUGGGAAUCACCGCUCGCCACCGAGCAAUAAUGUGCAGUGGGCUCAGGGCAUGGCCGGCGAGGACCGGUUCCAGGUGGCGGUCUCAGAGGAGCGUGGGUGGGUGUUCGUGGGGAUUUAUGACGGCUUCUUUGGUCCAGAUGCGACCGACUACCUCUUUGCGAACCUCCACGUCGCCGUGCACCACGCACUCAAGGGUGUGCUCUCGGACAACAUCCAGUGCAAUGAUUCGACAACCACUUCUAAUCAUCUCUUUUCUCUUAAUGGAGGCAAUCAUAGCCCAGAGUUUGAACGAAAGCCGGCAAGGAGGGGUCGGAUAGAACAUCCGGAGAAGGACAAUUCUGCCAUGUCUGGGGGCGGCCCGACGAUACACCAGAAAGUCCUCGGGGCGCUGGAUCGGGCGUUGAGGGAGACGGAGGAGGCAUUUUUCAAGGCAGCAGAGGAGGGUGCGACCGACAACCCAGAGAUUGGGCUGAUGGGGUCAUGCGUGCUAGUGAUGCUGAUGAAGGGCGAGGGCGUGUAUGUGAUGAACGUGGGGGACAGUCGUGCCGUGUUGGCGAGGGGGCGGGAGCCCGAUCUUGAUAACAUCCCCGGCAAGGCGACACGGAAGGAUCUGCAGCAGUUGAAGGCCGAGAUCAUGGAUGGCCUACAGUCUGUGCAGCUCAACGCUGAACACAGUACCUCUGUUGAGGAGGUAUGUACACACCCUCUUGAUUAUAUCAUCCUUCAUGUGAUGCAUUUAUUUGUGUUUUGAUCAUUAUUAAGUUGUGCUUGUUGGAAUCUGGGCGAUACAGGAGGUAAACAGGAUCAAGGCUGAACAUAGUGAUCGCAACGCCAUCAUCCACGGCAGAGUGAAGGGGAAACUCAACGUCACCAGAGCAUUCGGGGCUGGCUACCUGAAGGAGGUACACACCAAUCAAACAAUGUCUCUUUUCUACUCCAACAUGCAUGUUCAAGCACAUCUCUGACCAUUGUCAAUGUAAUAUUUCUGCUAGACUAUUAUGGUGCCACAUUAUGAAAUUGCUACAUGCACUGGGGCUGCCCCUUUUUUUUAUUAUGAAAUUGCUAAAUAAUGUACUCUAUGAUGCAUAGGAAAAGUGCACUUAUUCUAAACAACAUGCUAUCAGUCUAGCACUCAAGGACUAGAAGUCCGUGUUUCCAGUUAAUUCCAUGAGAUAAGUUGUUCACCUCAUGUGUAGGCCCUUUAAUUCAUUCAUAUACUUGAUUAGUGGUAGUCCAACAUUAUCUCAACAAUAGUGUUGUUCCUGCCAUGCAUGUUGAUGAAGAACCUAAAAACUGUGAAUGUAACUUGCAAUUCAUGCAUCACAUCAUGCAAAUAUGAAAGCCAUUGAAACUGUGAGCAACAUAGUUUGAUGCAUGUUCCUUGCAUAUGCUAAUAUAUGGAGAGUCAUCAAAGUUUCCUGAAAUGUCAAUCUACACACCUGAUAAUUCAAGGGAUGCUCAUUUUUUACUUGGCAGCCAAAGUGGAACAGUAUGUUGUUAGGGUCCUUCAAGAUUGAUUACAUCGGCAAGGGCCCCUACAUAAACUGCAUCCCAUCACUCCACCACCAUCGUAUCGGUCCAAACGACAAGUUCCUGGUGUUGUCGUGUGACGGGCUCUAUCAAUAUUUCACCAAUAAAGAGGUGGUUGAUGAGGUAGAGAUGUUCACAACUGUGUAUCCCAAGGGCAAUCCUGCUGAGCAUCUCGUCGAAGAAUUGUUACUUCGGGCUGCAAGGAAGGCCGGUGAGCAACCACCUCUAUACUUUGCACAACACAAGCCUGCCUGCACAAACCAGUUUUUUGAAAUUGUUCGUAACUUCGCAUGCUUAUUGAUUUUCAGGUAUGGACUACCAUGAACUGCUCAACAUAUCCCAUGACGAAAGGAGGAGAUACCAUGAUGAUGUUUCUGUCAUCGUGAUCUCGUUCAAGGGGAGGAUGUGGAGAUCCUCCGCUUAGGCAUAGUGUUGGUGGUGCAUAGUGUGUCCUCGCUUCAUAGAGUUUCAGAAGUUGGUUGCCUAGUGAGCAAUUCAAGGUGUUUCAGAAUUAAUAAAGACCUGAAUAAAAUGCUUCCGAUGGGCUACUAGGGUAUGUUGACAUCAGAAAGACAAAACGAGCAGGACUGUCAAAGCACAUGCACCAUGAACAACAACCUUCUUAGGUCUUUGUUUUCCUUCUCUUGAGAAUAAUGGUCCUUUAUCGCCGAAAACCCGAAACUGAUAUGCGUAGUUCGGCAGGAGGGACUCUAGUUCUAUUAGUAUGCUUAUAUGUAACAAGGUUUCCCGGCAAUAGUGAUGGAAAGAAUAUGCAAAACUGUAUAAGCUCAAUAUAAGAAUGUUAUGUUUGUUCCUUUGCCUAUACAUGACCGAGAUUGCUAUAUUCCAGUACCAGAAGCCGACGCAUGCUUCUCUGCACCGUCAGUUUCACCAAAUUAAAACUUCUCGCAAAAAUCUUUAUCAGGCACUAAAAAAAAUUACACUCCAAGCACAUAAUUCAGUUCACAUUCAGUUUUCCUUUCAUAGACUAUGCAUACUGAUUUUGGUGGGAGAAACAUAGCCUUAAACAUUUAGUAUAUACAUACAUUGCUAUAAAUAUAUAAAAGCCUCCUCACCUUCCGAAAUCCAAUUCGGCUCUUGGUCCUAUGACUCAUAUUCAUGUAGAUGAAAACAAAACAAAGUUUCUGACUCCAUGUCACCAGUUGGCCAUAUCCAGAAGUCUGUAUUCACCAUUUCUGUGUUUGUUCCAGUAAGGAAAAGCAACAAUAACAAUUCUGUGGAUUGAGAGCAGACAUAUAAGGGCUCAAAAAAGAAGAUAAAAAAAUUGAUAUCCAUUCCACAAACCAAAGAAAAAUAUUGUAUGCCAUGCAUCAACCAGACAUUUUUAAUAAGCUUAGUCAGCAUACUUUAGCUGCAACCUCAUUAACCUGCAAUACAUUAAGAUAGGGCAUUCAGGUUUCUACUGAUGGCAUGCAACCUAUUACGAUGUAUAAAUGCAGAGAAAUAUGCUUGUAGAAUAAAAGGAAACAAGAGCAAGGAGACCUGCAAGAAGGGCAAGAUUACCGUGCAAUGAAAUCAAACGGAAAGGACGUAAUAACAGAACGGAAAUGACGUAUUGUACGGUUUUUUAUGGCAACUUUAGUUUACGCGAGGAUGGCAAAUUUAGUUGACAAGCACGGUAAUUUUCUGGCAAAAAGCAAACUAAGAGUGGAAUUGCCAGGCUUACCAACUAAACUUGCCAUCCAUCGCGUAUAUAAAUUGAAAACAAAAACGUUCAAUUUGCCAUUGGCAAAUCCCAAACGUUCAGGACAUAUCAGCAUCUUAAUAAAAAGAGGCAAAUUAAACAAGCAAUGUUCAUCAUGAAAUCCUCACCUGAGUUGCCUCCAUGUGGCAUAAUAAUGCCCGGAAAGCAUGUGUGUCAUCUUAGAGUGUGCCCACCACUAUGCCCACCUCGGUUACCGGCACUUUUUACUUAGCCAAAAGAAAUUCUUCUGUUAGGCAUCAAAAGGUGUAAAUGGAAUACACCGCAUACAACUCAAAACAGAUUCUCACUUCCAUGGUAAGAAAUAAACAUCGCUGCCUUUAAUUUGUACUACAUCACAACAUCACGGUGCAUAUACAGCUAGCUGUUCUGCUUUGUACACAGCAAAAGGACUGACAGUCAUACCGCAUAAUUAGGAGGGCUAAUCAUCGCGAACUAAAGUUAUGAUGACUGUUGGAUCCCUGCUGCCAUUCUACCUAUCUAUCAACUCUGUAAACUUGCAACUUAUCAUCGCUCAGGCACCCAAGGUACCCACCUCCCACUCGACUUCCCGCAUACCUUAGGUCGAGGAUUGGCUGGCGGUGGGGUAUCAGGCCAGAAUGGACCCCAAGGGAAGGUAGUCGCCAGGUCAGGACCCCGCGGUGUGACUCGUCCCCGUAGGCGAAGAGAUGUUCGUCGUUCCCGCAAGGUACGAUUGCUGAUUUGCACAUGCGCACUUCGCUUACGUUGGAGUGGCAUGUGCUGCCCUCGGCGAAGGAUGCAUUGCCUGUCCUCCUGAUGACGGUGUGCUGCCCCAGUUUCCCUGCACCAGACUGUGUCGACGUCUGUGAUAGGUACGCUUGAGAUGGAGCAGCGGCGUCUCCUGAUGAGUAAUCGGCCUUGGGCCGGUAGGAGGCCACCAACAGAUCGCUCGAUGGAGGGGCACACGCAAGAGAGAAGCAGACGUGUUGGUUAUCAUCCUCUAGUAGUAGCUUCGGACUGAGAAAAAACGACAACAUACAUGAGAACCAAAACCGAUUUGCAGAUCGGCAAAGUUGCAAAGGCGGUCCUAGGCGAACACCAAUCGACAUCAGUAAUGAUAAGAAGCACAUAGUAUUAAUGUUUUUGAACCAUCCCUGUGUCACAUACCUGCUUUGAUUGCCAUCAGCAUCCCACAUGCAAGGCCCAAUAGCAGAAGCUGAAAGAACCUUUCUGGAACCGCUGUUAUCAGUGACAGAGUGGAGUGUAUGGACCAGAUGUUUAGAUAGCCCCGCCAUGGAAUGCAAGGGUCUUGAAUGCUGACGAGUAUCAAAUACCAAAACCCUGCCAUCCUGCAGAACACAACAAGGACAUUCAUGCAAAUCUUGCAAAGGGUAUCAAAAUUCAAUAUGCUUAAGAUCAGGAUAUGCUGAACCUGCAAGCCAGCAUAAACGCGACGUGAAUCAGAGUCAUGUGCUGAACAUGACCAAGCAGGAACCUGCAAGGUAGUGUGAUAGAGAAUUAGGUCAUAAUGUCAUUAUCUGAAAUUGGUUCACCUGAUUUGCCGAUUCAAAAUACAAAACAUUACGUGUUGAAGAUUGGAAGGUCAGAUAAUUACCGGUAAAUUACAUUGAAGAACAACACUGUUGGUCGUCAUGCUGGAUUCAAAUAUAACGAUUAGUGUUCAAAAGAAAUAAUGGUAAAACUAACUUAGACGCGACAGUAAAACAGAAGAACCACCAUUUGUCAUACAAAAAAUUCAAGACAAACCUAAAGAGUGAGAGCCUUCUGCCUAGUGAUGCAAAAAGAGCAGAGCCACCAGGCAAGAUACAUAUGUCCUUGACAACUUUAGUAUCAGGAGGAAGCUGUAUUUUACGUGCUUCAUGGCUGGAUAGCAUGCUAAUCUGUUGACAUUGAAAAUUCACAAUAAGGUGUUUCAAAAUUUUAAUGGUGAUAUCCAUUUUGGGAGAAAAACAUGAUCUAAAUAUACCUUUCUAAGAACAUGUUCUCCACCCACACCAGGUGCCUUCCCAGAAGCAAGUAUUAUUUGGUUACAUGCAUCUAUGCCCAUGACUCGAGCACCAUCAAAAGAUAAUUCCUUCUGUAUAGCAUGGUAAAGAAAUUACAAGGAUGGCUAGAUUAAAUUUGGAAAGAGAUAAAUCCAGCCAGAAUCCAACUGCAAAAUUGGUGGAAGAAAUAUGUAGGCAAUGCACAGCGGUUUCAAACAAACAGAUAAUCCACGAGAAUUAGCAGUCCAAAUUAUGAAGGUCUUUCGACACUAGCUAAGCAUUUGGUGCCACUUUGCUUUAAUAUAUUUCAAUUAUUCACAAUAGGUACACAUGGGGUGGGACAAAACUGGAGUAUUCUGUACUAAGCCAUAAAAAAUUAGACAGCCAUCAGUUCCACCAAGUUCUUUUUCGCGGGGUUGAGGUGGGAUCAAGUUCCUAUGUGCAGAUCACACAUUUUCAUGACCAAGUGAAAACUGUUCUAAGAUCUGACAAUCAACACAACCAAAAGUUUCAGCUUCCUUAAUCACGAAAAAUAAGAUGGGUAUUACGAGUCUUAAUAUUCUGUUCAACCUCCUAAACCAUAACAUGCAAACAAAACAAGGUUUAUAUGUGUUAUUUGAAACAAAAUAAUCAUAGUUGACAACAUUUUCGAUUUAUAUAUCUAACAGAAGCUGGGCCAGAAUCAUGAAUUCCCUGCCCAACCCAAUUUCUACUUCGAUGCUGCUUUUACUAAAACUAAAAUGACCAUAUGUUUCAGAUCAGACAAGAAUACAAGACACCCAUUAUCAGUAAAACAUGUAGUACAUAGUAAAUAGUAUAUGCUGAAUGUUUACAGCUGAAAAUAGCACUUCGUAACAAAUAUUUACCAGUAAAACGAAACGGCAACUGUUGCCAGAAGCUGAGGCUGCACUGGCUGAGGCUGACGGUUCCAGAUAUGUUCUUCCAUCUGAGUGCUCUGCUAUUUUCUACAAAGCAGAGGAAGAAGAUUUGGCAUAUACACUCAUGUGGUGUCAUUGAUCAUUGAAAAAUUUAAAUGGUAUUACCUGUCGUUUUGAGACACCAACAUCUGCCGACCUGUGAUUCUGCAAGGCACACACAUAAGAAAAUGAAGGCAUAAGUCUCUCACAAGUGUGACAACUAUUGAUCAUUGCGACAUUAAUUUUCUGAUGCAGGAACAAUCGAUGAAUAAAGCAAGAUGAGAGAUGUAUUAGUUCAAUAUGAAGAACCUCUAAUACCUUCUUUGUAUAUUAUUACAGUACCUGAAUAACAGGUGCAAACAUACUAUCUAGUGACACUAUGCACUUGACACAAUUUUAAUCGUUUAGAAUGUGGGGCAUGCAAUAAGCAGCAAAGAUUGCUAAAAUCUAUAGCAUACCUUCUCAGAAAUUAUCUCGUCAAGCAGCUUCCCUUGUUUCAGGACCUUAAGACAAGAAAAAAAUUAUGUUAGCAGGAACUUACUAAUACAAACUAGAAAGAGAACAGCAUUUUGCACAUGGUGAGCAACUAAAGAAGCUCGCGGGUAGCAUAAGGAAAUUGCUUACCACUUCCUCAAGGGAUUCGAGCUUUUGCCGGCAAAACCAUAAUUGCUGCAGACAAGCAGCGAUGUUCAGAUCGCGGCCAAAACAAAAUAUACCGACAAAGUGGAGAAACAAACCCAACCUUCUCAAGAUCGUUAUUUGGAACAGCAACCUCCGGUGCAUAGAUGUUGAUAAUGUCCUUAUGUUUAAACCUUCUUCCACAUUGAGGGCACUAGCAAACAACACAUUGGACAGUGAUUGGCUGAUUGCGCAGAAGGAUGUGUAUGCACACGCUGUUAUUCCAAACGAAAAAACCAUUCGGCACACGUACCGUCGCACUAGCGUUACCACGCUGCGUUAACCAUCUCUCCAGGCAAGAUCUGCCGUAGACAUGCCCGCAAGGAAUGCAACUACAGCAUAGAGUACAAUUUCAGUCAACAGCCAUCUGCACACCGAAUCCACAGAGCAUUGGAAACAAAAACCAGGAUUACAUGAGGAACCAGCCAUGGUCCGUCAAAAUUCAAGGCGACGUCGACCAUGGCGCUAAUGUGCAAUCAUGUAGUAGUACCGUUAGAACAUUGUAAGUUUCCAUUUUCUUGCAGCCCAGUAACCAUUGUUACUUGGAAAGAAACACCCACGGCGCCCCUGUUCCUGUGACAGCUAGUACUACCUAGCAGACGCAGACCAGGCAAGAAUGAGGCAGCGAUUCGGCCUCACCUGAUGCGGUGCUCGCCUUCGGAGGUCCAGGGCUCCAUACAGACGGGGCAGGUGGGGGCGCUGGCGGCCCUCUCCGCCGCCGCGCCGCCGGGAACCCUAGCUUGCACGGCCGGCCCGCAUCCCUCCGCGACGCUCUCCUCCUGCCCCUCCUGCUCCUCCUCCUCCUCCCCCUCAUCCGAUCUUUCGCCGUCCUCUACAUCCGUUCCCUCCUCCCCCGACGACGACGACGAGGAAUCCGAUCCUCCGCCAUCUUCCCCGUCCUCCCCUUCGCUGUAGCUGACCUCGAAAUCGAGGUCCUCGUCCUCCAGGAUCGGCACCGGAGGAGACGCGCGCCUGCCCCGGCGCGGCGGCAUGACGGCGGCGGCGGCGGCGGCGGCGGUGGAGAAGGGCGAGGGCAAGAGCGGUUUAAAGUUGAACGGGAUUUUUCGUUCCUCCUUUUCUUUCUUCUGUCAAUUUCGACGAACAGUAGGAAAAAAAAGGGGUCUUGAUUUUUACCAUCCAUCCCAUCGUCCAUCGUACAUCGGACUGCUGCUUUUAUUUACUAAUACUUUUAUUUACUUUCUUGUCCCCCGAACAGAAGUAUGAGUUCCACUAGUACUUUCUUGUCCGUGACACAGUGACCGAUCACGCCUAAAAAAAUGAAUUCCACGUUCAGAUACCUCAAAUUAGAAACUUCGAAUCAAUAUCAUCUUUAAGCGGAACUCGUCCGGCUCCGCCGUGCCCAUGUCCGGUGGCUGGUUGCGCCCCUUGGAGUGUUGGUUUGGGCGUCGGCAAGGUAGAGUAGGGCAUGACACACGAGCCGGCGACGUCCACCAUGACGCGGUUGUGGCGUCCGGACUGCUGCACCAUACGGGGCAUUGGAGAAUGCGACUCCGCCUCGCCGACGUCCACCGUCGCGAGGGUUGCCGCUGCCUCGCAUGGCGGGCACGAUGUGCCACAUUCUCAUCGGACGAGGUCCAUGGAGCGUCACGAUAUGCUCGGCACGCCAACGGAGGGUUUGGGCGUCCUUCAUCGCAUUCGGACACCAGACAAUAUAUAAAUCGGUGGAAUUUAUUGUAAACCAAUCAGGUGGUAAUGUUGCGAGCAUCAAGACUUAAACCCCGGUGGGCUGGGAUACCACAGGUUGGUUCACACCAGGUGGUAAUGUUAAUCAAUAUAAAGAGACCUUCAAAUUCGAUAGAAACAAAAACUUUAGGGAGGAAAAAGUGGGUCGUGGAGGACAUAUUUUUUUUUCCUGAUUUUGUGCCCACCCUUGAAGCAGAGACAUGGUCGUCAGCCCACAGGGCUCAACACAUGAACAACCUUAUAACUUUCUUCGUGCUUAAUUUGUUUUCAUCUACUCAAUGCAAGGAAAGUAUGGGGAAAAAAGAUCAUCUAUUACAAAAUGUUCGCAUUUGUAUAAAAUGUUUGAAUUUUAUUACCGCAUUCACAAAAUUUGGAAAGUGUUCGUGAUCAUACAAAUUCAUUUUUAAAAAACAGUGACAUGGUUCGUGCCACUCUGGAAGCAGAGACAUGAUUGUUGGCCCAAAACGCCCAAAAGCGCAACACCCUUAUAAAUUUUCUUUGUGCUUAAUUUAUUUUCAUCUAGUGAAUGCAAGUAAAUUAUGGAAAGAAAAAUUGUUCAUAUAUUCAAAAAGUUGUUCAUAUUUUUCAAAAGAUGUUUGCAUUUGUAAAAACUGUUUGAAUUUUUAUUAUGUUCAAAAAAAUCGAAAAGUUAUUGUAAUCAUGAACAUCCAUUUAAAAAACAAUAAUGUUUUCUAUAAACAUGAUAUUUUUUUGAAAUCACAACAUUUUUCCAAAUAAUCAAAGAAUUUCUAAAGUUUUUGAACUUUUCUCAAAAAUAAGAAAAAAAGUUGUUCGUGAUUUUCCAAAAAUGUUCAACUUUUUUGAUUUAUUUAGAAUGUUUUUAUUCCAUUCACAAAACCAGAAAAACGCGAUUGUAAAACAUUGGUUUUUGAAAAAUCAGGUUUUUAUAAACAUGAACAAUUUUUUAAAGGUCAAAAAAUUUCCGAAGAACAGAAGAAUUUCUGAAUAUUUUUAACUUUUCGGAAAAAUAUGAACAGUUUGUGAAAACAUGAUUUGUUUGGAAUAUGUGAACACAUUUCUGGAUCGUGAACAUUUUUUGGAAUUUCCAACAAAAGUUUAAAAGACACUUUUUUUUAAAUGUUGAUGAUUUUUUAAAUUUUCAAACAGUUCUUUAAUUUUCUAAACAUAUUUUAGAGAGGAACUUUUUGAAAAAAGAAAACGAAAAGGAAAAAAGAAAAAAAACAUAAACAGAAAAUGGUUUUUUUUAGCCCUUACCGAAGAACAAUUGUUCUACGGUAUUUUCAUUAAUAAUAAAGUAAAGUACAAAUUAUGUUACAAAUAUAAUACAACAUAAGGGGCAAAGACCACUCAGCCAAUCUCAGUUCUAGGUAACAUGGACAAACCCAUUAUAGAUUUAAAUCAGCCCUGUCCUUAAUCCUGUUCCCUUUGCCCUCUUUGGCCCUGAGUUGUACAGUCCAAAGUCCUUCAGCCAGAUAAAAUUUCCAUGAAUCAAUAGCGGGUGGCGCUGACCGAAAGAUAUUGUCAUUUCUCACAGACCAAAUGCCCCAGCAACUCAUAACUAUAAUAUCCAGCGCCAAGUCUUGUGGUAACUGUUUUGCAAUGAGUAAGAUCUCAUCAAAGAUAGAGAUGCCUCUGGCCCUCCCAGGUGCUAUGAUAUCCUAGCAAGAGUGCAAAAGGGCAGUUCCAGAAUAAAUGGUUCAGAGUUUCUUCCAUCUUAUCAGAACAUAAGGCAUAGUAAUAGUCUGGGAGGUACAUACUUCGUCGAUGGAGCAUAUUUCUUGUAUUAAGUCUGUCGUGCAGAAGUAGCCAGCAAAAAAUCUUGUGCCUCAGUCUGCAAGAGGUACCUCAAAUGUUAAAGCUCAUGCCCUUGUACAAAUCUCAUGCCAUUUGUCAAGCUGGUAAUGGAGACACCAUAUUCUUCUGGACAGAUAAUUGGGCUGGACAACCUCUGCAAGCAAAAUUCCCUGAGUUAUUCUCCUUUGCUAUCCACAAGGAAUGUACUCUCCAUUAUGUGGUUAAUCAAGAAUAUGUCAGCACUCUUUUCCAUAGACCACUCUCUUUACAAGCUUACCAACAAUUUAACAGGGUUGAGGUGAUGUUAGCCUCCAGAGAACAAUUUGAUAGCAGAGACAUAUGAAAAAUAUCAUCGGCAGUACUCCUCUAUGAAAAUGUACAAGCGUCUCAUGGGUACUUACACUGCCCAUAGCAUCUUUCAAAACAGAAAAUGGUUGAACCUGUGUUGUCGUCAAUACUUAUAAAACUGGCGCUGCUAAGAAGCCAUGAAUGCUUAUUAUGCUUACUAGCUAGCAGGAGGCACUCCGUAAACACACAAACCAUGCGCUAGUUCUAUCUUCUCUCCUUGAGACGAGAUUGAACAGGAAAAAGAAAACAAUGACCAGUAACCUGAUAACUUGUCCAGGUUUUAGGACUAUGCGGGCUAGUUUCAUCUUUUUCUGCAUUUCACACCGGUUCACAAACCUGGGAAUCCUCUUUCCUCCUUUUCAUAUGCAAACUACCAUGAUAUUAGCACCUAAAUUAUCAGGAAUGAGGGUUGAUUUAUAUAGAAAUUAUUAUGUUAUGUUUUUGAGAAACUUUCCCCCCUUAGUCAAAUGUAACAGUGGUGUUUAUACUUAAGUUAUCAGUUAUGAGGUUCAUAUAUUAUCAUGCUANNNNNNNNNNNNNNNNNNNNNNNNNNNNNNNNNNNNNNNNNNNNNNNNNNNNNNNNNNNNNNNNNNNNNNNNNNNNNNNNNNNNNNNNNNNNNNNNNNNNNNNNNNNNNNNNNNNNNNNNNNNNNNNNNNNNNNNNNNNNNNNNNNNNNNNNNNNNNNNNNNNNNNNNNNNNNNNNNNNNNNNNNNNNNNNNNNNNNNNNNNNNNNNNNNNNNNNNNNNNNNNNNNNNNNNNNNNNNNNNNNNNNNNNNNNNNNNNNNNNNNNNNNNNNNNNNNNNNNNNNGGUGUCUGUACUUAAAUUAUCAUAUAUGGAGUUUGUAUAUUAUCAUACUAUUUAUGUAGAAGUUAUCCAGUGAUAUUUUUUCAAUGACUUUUUUCUCCUUGGUCAAAUUUACCGUGGUAUUUGGUAAGUUAUCAGAUACGCGGUUCAUAUAUUAUCGUGAUAUUUUCACAUAAGUUAUCGAGGGUAUAUUUUUUAACAAGUUUUUUUCUCCCUUUGAUUAAGUUAUCGUGGUGUUUGUACGUAAAUUAUCUGGUACGGGUUCAUAUAUUACCGUGCUAUUUUCACAUAAGUUACUGGGGGUGUUUUUCAAUAACUAUUCUUCUUCCUUGGUCAAAUUUACCGUGGUGUUUUACGUAUGUUAUUGGGUAUGCGGUUCGUAUAUUACCAUGUUAUUUUUACAUAAUUCACAGGGGAUGCGUUUUUUAACAGUGUUUUCUCCACUUGGUCAAAAGUUAUCGCCGGUGUUUGUACGUCAGUUAACCGGUAUGCGGUUCUAAUAUUACCAUGUUAUUUUCACAUAAAUUAUCAUGGUUAUGUUUUUCAACAUUUUUUUCCUCCUUGAUCAAAGUUAUCGUAUUGUUUGUAUGUAAGUUAUCGGAUAUGCAGUUCGUAUAUUAUCAUGCUAUUCUCACAGAAUGUACAGGGGUAUGCUUUUCAGCAAUGUUUUUCUCCUUGGUCAAAGUUAUCACGGUGUUUGUAUGUAAGUUAUCGGGUAUGCAGUUCGUAUAUUAGCGUGCUAUUUUCACAUAAGUUAUCGGGUACGUUUUCCAAUAUUUUUUCCUUCUUGGGCAAAGUUAACGCGGUGUUUGUACAUCAGUUAUCAGCUCCACGCUGUGCAAGUUGCCAUGCCAGUUACACAAAAAUUAUCAUGGGCAUGUUUGCAAGAACAUUUCUUUGACAUAAAAUUACCAUGGUAUUUGUACAUAAGUUAUCAGGUCUGUGAUGUGUAAAUUAAUCCCGGUGCCCCACAGGAUGGACUCGGGUUGCGGGCCGGAUGAGGGGAAUGAAGGUGAGGGAGGCGGGGAGGUAACUCGCAGAGAAAAAAAUAAAGAGGUGUGAUAUUUGAUCCGGAUCACGAUCGAAGGGCCAGCGUGGUACGUCAUGAGUAGUGCACUGGCUUAGCGGUAAGCGAGCAUACACUGUGUACAGCAGGCCCACGGUUCGAAUCUUGGCCAGCGAAUUUGUUUUUAAACCUUUUUUUCUCGAAAAGCAGUGCAUUUAUGUGAUUAAGUACAAAGGAAGGGGGGUUUGUGGAAAAGAACAACACACUUCGGCCCCUAACAGGGGGCCCCGCUGGUCAGUUUCGCCGUCAUAUGCGUUUAUGUUGGGGAACGUAGCAGAAAUUCAAAAUUUUCCUACGUGUCACCAAGAUCUAUCUAUGGAGAAACCAGCAACGAGGGGAAAGAGAGUGCAUCUACAUACCCUUGUAGAUCGCUAAGCGGAAGCGUUCAAGAGAACGGGGUUGAAGGAGUCGUACUCGUCGUGAUCCAAAUCACCGGAGAUCCAAAUGCCGAACGGACGGCACCUCCGCAUUCAACACACGUACAGCCCGGUGACGUCUCACAUGCCUUGAUCCAGCAAGGAGAGAGGAAGAGAUUGAGGAAGACUCCGUCCAGCAGUAGCACAACGGCGUGGUGGUGAUGGAGGAGCGUGGCAAUCCUGCAGGGCUUCGCCAAGCACCGCGGAAGAGGAGGAGGAAGAGAGGUAGGGCUGCGCCAGGGAGAGGUGAAAACUCAUCUGUUGGCAGCCCCAAAACCCUCAAGUAUAUAUAGGGGGAGAGGGAGGGCUCCGCCCCCCUAGGGUUCCACCCCUAGGGGCGGCGGCCAGCCCAAACCCAUCUAGGGUGCAGCCAAGGGGGGGGAGGGGAAACUUGCCCCCCAAGUUAGGUGGGUGCGCCCCUCCCCCAAACCCUAGGCGCAUUGGGCCCUUGUGGGGGGGGGGCGCACCAACCCACCUGGGGCUGGUCCCCUCCCACACUUGGCCCAUGCAGCCCUCCGGGGCCGAUGGCCCCACUUGGUGGACCCCCGGGACCCUCCCGGUGGUCCCGGUACGUUACCGAUAAAAUCUGAAACUUUUCCGGUGACCAAAACAGGACUUCCCAUAUAUAAAUCUUUACCUCCGGAUCAUUCCGGAACUCCUCGUGACGUCCGGGAUCUCAUCCGGGACUCCGAACAACAUUCGGUAACCACAUACAAACUUCCUUUAUAACCCUAGCGUCAUCGAACCUUAAGUGUGUAGACCCUACGGGUUCGGGAACCAUGCAGACAUGACCGAGACGUUCUUCGGUCAAUAACCAACAGCGGGAUCUGGAUACCCAUGUUGGCUCCCACAUGUUCCACGAUGAUCUCAUCGGAUGAACCACGAUGUCAAUGACUCAAUCGAUCCCGUAUACAAUUCCCUUUGUCUCGCGGUAUUGUACUUGCCCGAGAUUCGAUCGUCGGUAUCCCGAUACCUUGUUCCAUCUCGUUACCGGCAAGUCUCUUUACUCGUUCUGUAACACAUCAUCACGUGAUCAAUCCCUUGGUCACAUUGUACACAUUAUGAUGAUGUCCUACCGAGUGGGCCCAGAGAUACCUCUCCGUUUACACGGAGUGACAAAUCCCAGUCUCGAUUCAUGCCAACCCAACAGACACUUUCGGAGAUACCUGUAGUGCACCUUUAUAGCCACCCAGUUACAUUGUGACGUUUGGUACAUCCAAAGCAUUCCUACGGUAUCCGGGAGUUGCACAAUCUCAUGGUCUAAGGAAAUGAUACUUGACAUUAGAAAAGCUUUAGCAUACGAACUACACAAUCUUUGUGCUAGGCUUAUGAUUGGGUCUUGUCCAUCACAUCAUUCUGCUAAUGAUGUGAUCCCGUUAUCAACGACAUCCAAUGUCCAUGGUCAGGAAACCGUAACCAUCUAUUGAUCAACGAGCUAGUCAACUAGAGGCUUACUAGGGACAUGGUGUUGUCUAUGUACCCACACAUGUAUCUGGGUUUCCUAUCAAUACAAUUAUAGCAUGAAUAAUAAACGAUUAUCAUGAACAAAGAAAUAUAAUAAUAACUAAUUUAUUAUUGACUUUAGGGCAUAUUUCCAACAGUUUAUACAUAGUUUAGAUCAGUUUGCAGCCACACGACCGAGAGUUGGUAUUGACAUGCAAAAAUUAUGAAAAGUGGCACCAAAUGCGUUUGCACUGCCUCAAUUGUGGUACAUACAUAUAAUUAACUAGGGAUGGUGAGGGUAUCCACUUACAUCUGUUGUUUUGAACCACCAAACAUGUCCCGACUUUCUAGUGCAGGCCACGAAGCCUUUCCCAGGCCCAGGAACAGCUGCGGGCAAUGGGCUGAACAAAACACUCCUACGCGGCAGAUAGGAUUACAAAGGACCGUAUUUCCCACAACUAGGCCGGAAAAAUCCUACUUACCGCUCGUUGCGGCAAGUUGUCGACGCUCAGCACAUGGGAGGUGCGAGCGAGCGACCGAGUGGGCCGGCCCGCUUUAGCGUUACAGCAGACACUGGUCUUGGGAACCUUCUAUGAUGUUUCCAGCUGUUUUUUUUUUCGAUUUGGGAACCUUCUAGAAGGUUCCUGAACCGACUUUUUCUUUUUCAGUUUCUUUUUCGUUUUCCCUUUUUCUAUUUCUCUUCUUUUUCUUUUUUCUUUUUUCCUGUUUCUUUUUUCUUUUCAAGUUUAUUUUUUUAAAAAAUACGAAUUUAAAUUUCUUUUCCUGUUUUCAGAUUUUGUUCACAAAUUCAAAAAAUGUUCCCAUUUUACAAAAUUUGUUCACAAAUUCAAAAAAUGUUCCCAUUUUACAAAAUUUGUUCACAAAUUCAAAAAAUAUUUCUGCUUUCAAAUUUUUGUUCUGAAUUUUUAGAAAAUGUUCCUGUUUUUUCAAAAUUUGUUCGAAUUAUUUUUGUUCAUUUUUUGUGAAAUUUGAAAGUAAUGACAUGGAUUUAAAAAAAUGCCUAUUUUCAGAAAUUGUUCACAAAUUUCAAAAAAUGUUCUUAUUUUUUAAAUUUUUGUUCAUGUAUUAAAAAAUGUGCACAUUUCAAAUUUGUUUGGGAUUUUCAAAAUUAUUCUCCAUUUUACAAUUUGUUCUAAAAAUUCAAAAUUUGUUCGUUAUUUUAAAAAUUGUUCUCCGUUUCAAAAUUUGUAUGGAUUUUUAGAAAAGCAUGAAUGAUUUGUUUGGAUUUUUCAAAAUUGUUCUCCGUUUCAAAAUUUGUUCUCAAGAUUCAAAAAAUGUUCGUGCUUUACAGAACUGUUCUUGCUUCCAAAUUUGUUCGGGAAUUUUCAAAAUUAUUCUCCGUUUCAAAAUUUUUUCUCAAGAUUCAAAAAAUGUACCUGCUUUAAAAAAGUACUCGUGCUUCCAAAUUUGUUCUCAAGCUUCAAAAAUCAUUCGUGCUUUAAAAAAUUGUUCUCAAAUUCCAAAUAUGUUCAUGUUCUCUAAAAAUGUUAGGGAAAUUUCGAAAAUGUUUUUUUUCUAAAUAUAUUGACAUUUGUGAAAAUGAGAAUAUAAUUUGUUUGGGUAGUUUCGUAAAAUGUUUGUUUUGAAAAAAUUGUGUGUUUAUUCGAAAAAUGUUUUUGCUUUCAUAAUUUGUUCACAAAUUCAACAAAAUUCAUGUGUUCAUAAUUUGUUCGCAAAUUUAUAAAAUGUUUAGGAAAAUUUCAUAAAAUAGUCGUGUUUCAAACAAAUGUUCAUAAUUGUGGGGUGUUUUUUCAGAAAAAUUCCUAUUUUAGAAAAUGUUCGCAUAUUGAAAAAGUUGUUCAUAGUUUGAAAAAUGUUCUCGUUUUCAAUAUUGUUCCCUUUUUUUACAAUUUUUUUUGAGUUAUGAAAGGUUUGUUAGCAAAUUUUGAAAAUAUUUGUUUUUCUAAAUAUAUUGACGUUUGUGAAAAAGGAAUCAACCUUUAAAAUUUUAAAAAGUUUUUUUUCUCCACCUAUAGUUUAUAUAAAUUGAGCUAUCAUUUUUAGGCAAACAAGUCUAUGAACACAGUGGCUAACGACAUGGCUCAGUCACUGGAAGGCAUGGAUUCUAUCCUAUACACACACACACGUUUUGGCUAAUUUUUUAGCAAGCUGCUGUCUAAAUUUUGCUGUUGCCUUGCGUUUCUUUACGUAGCGCGUUGCACUUAUAUCAGUAGGGUCAGCCGGUCGUACUGGCUAGGUGCGCCGUCCUCUAUACCACAGGGCGUGAGUUUGAUUCACAUCUGGGACGCCUGUUUUGUUGAUUUUUCACAGCGCCUACCGUAAAAUGGGCCAGCCCAAGUCACUUGUCCCCCUGUGCGAACCAUCGACAGUUUGCCGCAAAAUGCGGCAAAUAGGAGGUCCCCACUAGGCCUGGCACGCACCUGCCACGAAUAGAUUGGUUCUGAAUCCCAAGGCCCAAGCAGACGGACCAGAUUUUGACCUGCCGGUAGCACGGCCACCAAAAGCCCGCACUUGUGCUUUUUAUUACUUUCUCGUUUCCUUUCUGUUUCGUUUUGUCUCAGCUCUUGGGUACAUUCACCCGGCUGUAAAACUCUUCCCACUUCCAUAAAGAAAAUCAACAUCUCUCUUUGCUUUCGUAAAAAAAAAUCUAGAGUGUAAUCCAUAGGGUGUGCCUAGGUCUCAGUCGACUGAGACUUCACCAAGUCUCGGUCUAGUUACAUAGUAUGUAAGAAAAAAAAUUGAAAAUAAUUUUUUUAUAUGAAUCUCCAUGCAAGAUCAAAGGGAUAUAGCAUCGACCGAGACAUAACAAAGUCUCAGUUGAUUGAGACUUAGCAAAACUGUAAUCCAUAUGGACGACAUGUCACCAUCCGAUGCUAGGUGGAUGCCAUAUCUAUCAUCGAUAUUGUCCACCAGUCCGGUUAACCCUUUUGAAAAAGUUGAACCUCUUUAUGAAUAUGUAUUCAAGCCGGUCAAUGUUUUGGGACCAAGGGCAUGCUUACUAUUUAUAUAUUGAAACACAAGCAUCUACCAUUCCAAUUAACCAAUAAUUCUGUAUAAUUCGUCCUUAUUACAAAAAAAAGCUUUUAGGAAAAUGGCAUCCUCAGUUGGAUGGCAUUUUCUCCUUCACGCUGCAGCGGAAGCCCUUUGGCCCAAUCCCACCACAGCAGGCUUUAGACAGAUCCAAACCAUGAAUUGCACACAGUGCUUGGCACGACUUAUCCGUGCAGUCUUCCAAAGGGUAACAUAGGUAUGCGAGCUCUGCAGAUCAUGCACAACAAAGACAACAACCAGUUAGCUAGUAUACAUACUGCACUAGAUCUUUUUUAUUUGUUGGAACAUGAAAAUAUAUGAGUACAAUAAUAAAAGGAUUAUUUGCGACAAGGAAAUAAAAAUACCAUUGCUACACUUUGCUGCUGCUUGGCAAGACCAAAAACUGGUGCACAUGACCAGUAGAGCUACCAAACACAUAGCCUUCUUGUUGUUGCUGAUAAACGCCAUCAUCAGUUAGCCUUCUUUUUUCUUCCUUGUUGUUCUAAUCUUAUAUGCCACCACGUACAACGAUGUUCUUUUUCUAUGCGUUUAUUUAGAUGUGUGUGACCUAUUCUUUCAUGGAUUUUCUUCCCAUUCAUGGGUACUAUAUAUAAUGCAAAUUAAAUGGUAGUAUUAUGUAUACGCACUAUUACUUACCAAAACCUUCCGUUUGUGAUAUAUAUUGAUAGGAUUUUUUUCUAGAUUUUGAUAUCCUUCAUAUUAAUUCAUAACUAAACAAGAAUCACACCAUUACCUCGCCAAAAUAAUGAAAUGAAAAACAUUUUCCCGUGCAUGGUUAAAUGUUGUGGUGGGACUUUUCCCAUGCAUGAUUACAUGUUGAGAUGGGCCUUAUACCAUUCAUAAUUGUAUGUUGAGGUGUCAUGUUUGCAUUCUUGAAAUAAUUAAGUUACUCCGCGUCAAUUGUUCUUAGCAUUGUGUGAUUACUGUGUUGGUGAUUUUGGUAUAGGAUUGUGCAACACUUGUUCUCAGCAUUAUGACUCAACAUAUUGUUCUAAAAAUAACUCACUUAUACAUGUGUGUGCUGAUCACGUACACCAUGUAACGUGUUGACUUCCAGGGAUUGAUUGUACAACUAACAUGUGAUACACUCAUGUUACUAUUAUUGUUAUUACUAUUAUUGUCACAACACACACAUACACACACACACACAUUUCAUCUAUCUACAAAUGGUAUUCUCCAAUUUGUGUAUGUAUUGUUUUAAUGCUGUACUUUGGCUAUAACUUCUAAAAAGUGUUUCCGAUUUUGCAAAUUAUAUAUCAUUAGGAAAGAAAGAUAUAUGGAUUAGUCACAAUUUUUUUGUACUUAGUACUUUUGAAAAUUUCUUAUGGUUUACGAGCAGGCUUACAAGCUCCAUCUCCAGCUUGGCGAAGUGGUAGCUAUUAGUACGUGUUGCCUUGAAAGGAUUGUACAACUAAUAGCAGGUCUGCUCAUGAUACAGUACUAGCAGUAGUAGUAGUAAUAGUAGUAACAACAACAACAACAACAACAACAACAACAACAACAACAAUAAUAAUAAUAAUAGUAAUAACAAUGUUGUGAUGCGUCUUUUCCCAUGCAUGAUAACAUGUUGAGGUGGGCCUUAUACCAUUUAUAAUUGUAUGAUGAGGUGGCAUGCUUGCAUAUUGAGAUAAUUAAGUUAGUAAAAACGACUCUCUUAGGUAUAUAGUAUUCUGCAACAAUUGUUCUCAACACUGUGUACCUACUGUGUUGACGAUUUGUUUUGGCCUUUUUCUAGAAAUGGAGGAAUGCCCCCAGCCUCUGCAUCAAAAUGAUGCAUGCAGCCAUUUAUUAAAAACAGGUCCAAAAAGUCUCAGUACUAGAACAAGCUCUCUCAGAGCUGAAAAUCAGAAGUAAAUACAACCACAACCGGCGAAAAUAGAAACAUAUGACUAUACACCUAUCCUAUUACAUGUUUGCCAUCCAAACCGACUGAAGACAUCCCGAGCUACCAUCACCCAUCAGGUAGACCCAGUAACCAAAGGCUCAGUACCAGAACAAGCUCUCUCAGAGCUGAUAACAUGUUGAGGUAGACCCAUUUAAAUAUGUUUUUUCAUAUUUUCAAAAUAGCGAACUCACUGGAGCUCGGCCUCCAAAAAUCCGAACCCGUGCUUUUGAUUGAAUUCUUGUUUCGUUUCUGCUUGGUUUUUGCUCAGCUCUUGGGUAAGUUCACCCGGCUGUAAGAUUUUUCCCACUUCCAUAACGGAAAUCAGCAAGUCUAUGUGCUUCAGUAAAAAAAACUAGAGUGUAAUCCAUGUGGAUGACAUGUCACCAUCCAAUGCUAGGUGGACAGUACCGUAGGUGGAUGCCAUAUCUAUCAUCGAUAUUGUCCACCAGUCCGGUUAACCCUUUUGAACAAAGUUGAACCUCUUUAUGAAUAUGUAUUCGAGCCAGUCAAUAUUUUGGGACCAACGGCAUGCUUACUUUUUAUGUACUGAAAGACAAGCAUCUACUAUUCCAAUUAACCAAUAAUUCUGUAUUAUUCAUCCUUACAAAAAAAAGCUGUCAGGAAAAUGGCAUGCUCAGUUGGAUGGCAUUUUCUCCUUCACGCUGCAGCAGAAGCCCUUCGGCCCAAUCCCACCACAGCAGGCUUUAGACAGAUCCAAACCAUGGAUUGCACACAGUGCUUGGCACGACUUAUCCGCGCAGUCUUCCAAAGGGUAACAUAGGUAUGCGAGCUCUGCAGAUCAUGCACAGCAAAGACAACAACCAGUUAGCUAGUAUACAUACUGCACUAGAUCUUUUUUAUUUGUUGGAACAUGAAAAUAUAUGAGUACAUAAUAAAAGGAUUAUUUGCGACAAGGAAAUAAAAAUACCUUUGCUGCACUUUGCUGCUGCUGCUUGGCAAGACCAAAAACUGGUGCACAUGACCAGUAGAGCUACCAAACACAUAGCCUUCUUGUUGUUGCUGAUAAACGCCAUCAUCAGUUAGCCUUCUUUUUUCUUCCUUGUUGUUCUAAUCUUAUAUGCCACCACGUACAACGAUGUUCUUUUUCUAUGCGUUUAUUUAGAUGUGUGUGACCUAUUCUUUCAUGGUUUUUCUUCCCAUUCAUGGGUACUAUAUAUAAUGCAAAUUAAAUGGUAGUAUUAUGUAUACGCACUAUUACUUACCAAAACCUUCCGUUUGUGAUAUAUAUUGAUAGGAUUUUUUUCUAGAUUUUGAUAUCCUUCAUAUUAAUUCAUAACUAAACAAGAAUCACACCAUUACCUCGCCAAAAUAAUGAAAUGAAAAACAUUUUCCCGUGCAUGGUUAAAUGUUGUGGUGGGACUUUUCCCAUGCAUGAUUACAUGUUGAGAUGGGCCUUAUACCAUUCAUAAUUGUAUGUUGAGGUGUCAUGUUUGCAUUCUUGAAAUAAUUAAGUUACUCCGCGUCAAUUGUUCUUAGCAUUGUGUGAUUACUGUGUUGGUGAUUUUGGUAUAGGAUUGUGCAACACUUGUUCUCAGCAUUGUGACUCAACAUAUUGUUCUAAAAAUAACUCACUUAUACAUGUGUGUGCUGAUCACGUACACCAUGUAACGUGUUGACUUCCAGGGAUUGAUUGUACAACUAACAUGUGAUACACUCAUGUUACUAUUAUUGUUAUUACUAUUAUUGUCACAACACACACAUACACACACACACACAUUUCAUCUAUCUACAAAUGGUAUUCUCCAAUUUGUGUAUGUAUUGUUUUAAUGCUGUACUUUGGCUAUAACUUCUAAAAAGUGUUUCUGAUUUUGCAAAUUAUAUAUCAUUAGGAAAGAAAGAUAUAUGGAUUAGUCACAAUUUUUUUGUACUUAGUACUUUUGAAAAUUUCUUAUGGUUUACGAGCAGGCUUACAAGCUCCAUCUCCAGCUUGGCGAAGUGGUAGCUAUUAGUACGUGUUGCCUUGAAAGGAUUGUACAACUAAUAGCAGAUCUGCUCAUGAUACAGUACUAGUAGUAGUAGUAGUAAUAGUAGUAACAACAACAACAACAACAACAACAACAACAACAACAACAACAAGAAUAAUAAUAAUAAUAAUAAUAAUAAUAAUAAUAAUAAUAAUAAUAGUAAUAACAAUGUUGUGAUGCGUCUUUUCCCAUGCAUGAUAACAUGUUGAGGUGGGCCUUAUACCAUUCAUAAUUGUAUGAUGAGGUGGCAUGCUUGCAUGUUGAGAUAAUUAAGUUAGUAAAAACGACUCUCUUAGGUAUAUAGUAUUCUGCAACAAUUGUUCUCAACACUGUGUACCUACUGUGUUGACGAUUUGUUUUGGCCUUUUUCUAGAAAUGGAGGAAUGCCCCCGGUCUCUGCAUCAAAAUGAUGCAUGCAGCCAUUUAUUAAAAACAGGUCCAAAAAGUCUCAGUACCAGAACAAGCUCUCUCAGAGCUGAAAAUCAGAAGUAAAUACAACCACAACCGGCGAAAAUAGAAACAUAUGACUAUACACCUAUCCUAUUACAUGUUUGCCAUCCAAACCGACUGAAGACAUCCCGAGCUACCAUCACCCAUCAGGUAGACCCAGUAACCAAAGGCUCAGUACCAGAACAAGCUCUCUCAGAGCUGAUAACAUGUUGAGGUAGACCCAUUUAAAUAUGUUUUUUCAUAUUUUCAAAAUAGCGAACUCACUGGAGCUCGGCCUCCAAAAAUCCGAACCCGUGCUUUUGAUUGAAUUCUUGUUUCGUUUCUGCUUGGUUUUUGCUCAGCUCUUGGGUAAGUUCACCCGGCUGUAAGAAUUUUCCCACUUCCAUAAUGGAAAUCAGCAUGUCUAUGUGCUUCAGUAAAAAAAAAACUAGAGUGUAAUCCAUGUGGAUGACAUGUCACCAUCCAAUGCUAGGUGGACAGUACCGUAGGUGGAUGCCAUAUCUAUCAUCGAUAUUGUCCACCAGUCCGGUUAACCCUUUUGAACAAAGUUGAACCUCUUUAUGAAUAUGUAUUCGAGCCAGUCAAUAUUUUUGGACCAACGGCAUGCUUACUUUUUAUGUACUGAAAGACAAGCAUCUACUAUUCCAGUUAACCAAUAAUUCUGUAUUAUUCAUCCUUACAAAAAAAAAGCUGUCAGGAAAAUGGCAUGCUCAGUUGGAUGGCAUUUUCUCCUUCACGCUGCAGCAGAAGCCCUUCGGUCCAAUCCCAGCACAGCAGGCUUUAGACAGAUCCAAACCAUGGACUGCACACAAUGCUUGGCACGAAUUAUCCGCACAGUCUUCCAAAGAGUAACAUAGGUAUGCGAGCUCUGCAGAUCAUGCACAGCAAAGACAACAACCAGUUAGCUAGUAUACAUACUGCACUAGAUCUUUUUUAUUUGUUGGAACAUGAAAAUAUAUGAGUACAUAAUAAAAGGAUUAUUUGCGACAAGGAAAUAAAAAUACCUUUGCUGCACUUUGCUGCUGCUGCUUGGCAAGACCAAAAACUGGUGCACAUGGCCAGUAGAGCUACCAAACACAUAGCCUUCUUUUUGUUGCUGAUAAACACCAUCAUCAGUUAGCCUUCCUUUUCUUCCUUGUUGUUCUAAUCUUAUAUGCCACCAAGUACAACAAUAUUCUUUUUCUAUGUGUUUAUUUAGAUGCAUGUGACCUAUUCUUUCAUGGAUUUUCUUCCCAUUCAUGGGUACUAUAUAUAAUGCAUAAUUAAAUGGUAGUAUUAUGUAUACGCACUAUUACUUACCAAAACCUUCUGUUUGUGAUAUAUAUUGAUAGGAGUUUUUUCUAGAUUUUGAUAUCCUUCAUAUUAAUUCAUAACUAAACAAGAAUCACACCAUUACCUCGCCAAAAUAAAGAAUAGGAAUCAUAUCAAAUCUUUGGAUGUAUCUGCACAUAGCUUGUUGCCAAGGUUCAUGAAAUUCUUUAGUUAGAAUUAAAUUUUAUUCAUAACUUAUAUUUCUUUCGCAUGAUAUUUCGUGAUCGUAAUGGAUCAGGCAGUAUGUUGAAAGUCGGACUCGGAGUAGGUAGCAACGCCCGUUUGUCUUAAUUACUGGCGAUUUUGUACGGAGCACCGCCAGGCGAACGUACGGUCUAGUUGCAGCGUUUUUUUAGGGGUUAUAGUUGCAGCGUAUCAUUAUGAUGUUUACUGUGUUAACAACAUAGGAAACAUAGCCGUGCCAGUAACUUCUUCUGAAAAAUCCCUAAAAAAAAACUUCUUCUGAAAAAAGAAUAUAUGAAUUGCGGGUCACUAUCCCAUACUUACUGCGUUAAGAACUUACGAAACAAACACACAGGUCGGCACGUGAACGGUCAAAUUGUACACGUGCACGUGAAAGGAACAACAUAGGUACGUAUACGUAACACACUUAGAGUAGUAACCAAAUAAAAUGACAUGAUUCGAAAAAACUUUAAGUCGGGGUGGACAUGAGCAGCAGCUCGAGAUCUGGUCCAUCCACCCCAACCCGAUGAGGAACAGUGGCGCCCAUCCCGUGCUCCUCCCGGACGAUGUUGGGUGAUCAUUUCGGCACCUCACACGGGGCACCAUCUGCAAGUCAUGCACAUCCGCGCCCGGUUGCCCUACCCUCCGACGUGUAGGAUAAGCUUGUCCCCCGCGUCAUCCGCCGAGAUGGACGCCCGACAUCGCGCCAAGACAUUGUGGCUCGAUCGAGAUGACUCCGAGUGCCCCGCCAACGAAAAGGAGGCCAGAAAGAAGCGGUAAGCAACUGUCACGUAUACAUUGUUGAUCUUUACACAGGUCUGUCGGGUGUCGGUGCUUCAGGAGGACGACGACAGGAUGUGCACCGGAGGCCAAGAGACUCAAGAGGGUGGCGACGGGGGGUCCAUGGAAGCCGAUGGACACCGAGCCUCGAAGAGCUCACCGGAUAAACAACACCAAAAAGCUAGCUUUGAGAUCAUGGCAUACACACACGACAGAUGGACUGGCGGGAUGUCCUUGUGGGAAAGUCCACCAUCAUCGGGACAUUGCUGAUUGGCAUUUCCGGUGAAGGGGAGAAAAACGGUAACCCAUUGACGAGCGGGUCCCUCCCACGUGCCGAAAAGGAAACAUGGGCUGCCUGCGGUUAAAAAUAAAUCAUUCUCAACAUUUUUUGUUUAGUUUCAUGCACUAUUUUAUACCAAACUCGUUUUCUAGAUACUGUUUAGACUAUAGUAAUGUACUAAUACACAUGAAGAAAUCUAGGCUAGUUUAGUUUUACACACACAUAAAGGACCCGAAGGUAUCGGCCAUCGGAUCUCGGUGGAAGAAAAUGAAUGGGAAAAAUAUUACUGAAGACGCCAGCUCAACUAAACGGAAAAUACUACUCCCUCUGUCCCAAAAUAAGCGACUCAACUUUAUACUAACUUUGUACUGAUGACACCGAGCAAUAAUAAACAACCAACUAAACAACAGACCGGUGAUGCCAAACUGAUGACACCGAUGCCAACAAUGGCAACGGGAUAGGUGUAGCGCAUCAUGUUAUACAAAUAUGACCAAACCUUAGGUGGGUAUGACUAUUCCCCCUCCUACAGACUAAAACCUCUUGUUUAUAUAGACAAUAGGGGUACCUAGGGUUACAUAUGCCGGUUAUCAUCGUGGGAUAAACAUGCCGAUCAUACAAAGCAAGACUUGGAGGACACACCAAGUCUCCAACGGUUUGCUUCUGGAGCACAGGAUCGUUUGUUGUCCGGGCUUCCUUCAAAGAACCAAAUGCAGCCCAUCAGUCCGGCCCAUGAGAGAUAGGCCGGCAGCCCGAGGACCCCUUAAUCCCGGACACCCUCAGUAGCCCCCGGACUUGCCUCCAACGCUGAGGUCAUUAAUUUCCAUUAGCCCCACGCCUCUUGAAGUCUUCAGCUUGAGGGGUGAGUCCUUCCUAUUUCCUAUAUCCAGUUGAUGGUAGCUCUGCCACCCUCGACACUUUGAUCAGUGGAGUACUGUGGGAAUCGACACAUCGUCUUCUUUAUUCAGAAUUAAUGAUGCCCCCUUGAUUUUCGUGCGUCAGAGGAAAACAAAUGGCCCAAAAAGACUUUUACAAAAACACCCCUUAUGGGCCUGGGAGAGACGUCUAUUUAAUGGGUCCAAAAAUGCGAAAGCUGCCGCACUCGAUCCAGAAUCACCACAAAGCUAGAGCCAAGCAAGCUCUGAACAAUGGCGAGCGCCCCAAGCUCCUCCUCGCGGCUCACGGCUCCCAUCCAGGCGACUGGGCAAGCUGCUCUGUUUCUCAUAUGAGCUCACCGAUGAUUAUACUACCAGCACUGUCAAUGAUGGUUCCACAAAUCAAGGAUACUCAGAGGACAUGAUAUUUUCUUUGCUACGAGCACGUUGGCGUAGCAGGGGCGGUAAGGAAAGGCACAGUCGAUGCCACAACCAUGUUUCCUCGGGCUCUCUUCAAAGCCACUAGCGUAAAUACUGCAUUCUCGAGAUGUUAAUGUGGUAUGCAACUGCUUUACCGCUAAUAUCAAGGAGGAGCAUGUCUUUGUGCAGAUGAAGUUCGAUGAUACCGCUGUAGGUCUGCUCCAAUGUCGUUUGGCCGACUACAUCUUUAUCAACUUCUUCUUUGUUGCUACCAGUUUGUUUGAACAAGAUGACAGGUGCUUUCCUGCUUGUGACCAUCUCCCAUGUCACCCCUUGUUCUAUUUUUAGUGAGUUAUGCUGCAUCAUACGCACAUGCAGGCUGAGAUAAGCCUCGUGUGCUAGCGUCCACCCAAACUGGUCGUCACACGAUCUUGUCAACGCCCAUAUUCGGAGCAGCAAGUCCUUAUUGAGCUCCGCGUAGUGCACACCUAUCUCAUAGAUCGGCAAGAGGGACCUUUGAGGUAGCUGAUACCUUUUCCUUGCGUUCCUGUAUACUUCUCCUGGGAGGUGAACCAUUUCGUACGUCCCCUCUGAUAAAUCCAGAAUCAUGAGGACACCAUUCUCACAAGCCACGGAUAGUGUCGGUGUCAAAACCGGCGGAUCUCGGGUAGGGGGUCCCGAACUGUGCGUCUAGGCGGAUGGUAACAGGAGACAAGGGACACGAUGUUUUACCCAGGUUCGGGCCCUCUUGAUGGAGGUAAAAUUCUACGUCCUGCUUGAUUAAUAUUGAUGAUGUGUGUUACAAGAGUGGAUCUACCACGAGACCAAGGAGGCUAAACCCUAGAAGCUAGCCUAUGGUAUGAUUGUUGUUCGUCCUAUGGACUAAGGCCAUCCGACUUAUAUAGACACCGGAGAGGGCUAGGGUUACACAGAGUCGGUUACAAAGGUAGGAGAUCUACAUAUCCGUAUCGCCAAGCUUGCCUUCCACGCCAAGGAAAGUCCCAUCCGGACACGGGACGAAGUCUUCAAUCUUGUAUCUUCAUAGUCUUGGAGUCCAGCCGAUGAUGAUAGUUCGGCUAUCCGGACACCCCCUAGUCUGGAACUCCCUCAGUAGCCCCUGAACCAGGCUUCAAUGACGACGAGUCCGGCGCGCGUAUUGUCUUCGGCAUUGCAAGGCGGGUUCCUCCUCUGAAUAAUUUAUAGAAGAUCAUGAACACCAGGAUAGUGUCCGGCUCUGCAAAAAUAAAUUCCACGUACCACCGUAGAGAGAAUAAUAUUACACAAGAUCAAUCUGCUGACGUAUUCUGCGGCGUGACGUCACACCACUUCCAAGCCUUUACUCAAAUUGUUUUUAUUGUUCCACCUCAGCGCGUUUAGCGAAGCGGUUUCCUUGGCACGUCUUGUCGAAGCAGAGAUCGUGUUCCCCUUAUUCCGGGAUUCCCAUCAAUACGGACGUGGGUAACCCAACCGCGCCCGUCGCCACGCCCCCUCCAUCGAAGGCGGGUUCCAAACGGUCACGGGGACGGCUCUUGGUAUUCUUCCUCUUUAUAAUGAGACCAAGGCCCGUUCUUUUUAUUUAAUCCUCUAUCGAAUCCGCCCCUCUCCCCGAGUUCCAACACCCAGGGCUCCAAAUUCGGGUACCUUCGAUCUUCGACAAUGUCCGGUCCUGACCUACGAGGCCGGUGGAUGCCUUCCUCCGUCACGGAAGAGGACGUGCUAAAGCUGAGAGAUGCCAGGUACUUAACCUACGAGAUUUCGCAUAGGCUGCCCGCCCGAGGGCAAGUUAUCCCAACUCCCGAGCCUAGCGAGAGCGUCGUGUUCAUGUCUCACCUCCGUCGGGGUUUAAGCUUCCCGACGGAUCCCUUCGUGAGGGGGCUCAUGUUUUACUAUGGGCUGGAAUUCCAUGACUUGGCUCCGGAGUCCAUCCUCCAUAUCUCAUCAUUCAUUGUCGUCUGCGAAGCCUUCCUCCGCACUACCCCUCACUUCGGCUUGUGGCUCAAAACCUUCAACGUGGAGCCGAAGAUGAUUGAGGGGCGUCAGGCAGAGUGCGGCGGGGCGGUUAUAAGAAAGAGGGCCGAAGCUCCAUGGCCCAAGGGCUCUUUCCAGGAGGAGCUCGGCUUGUGGCAACAGGAGUGGUUUUAUAUCACCGCUCCCCGGGGCAGCAGGCAGAAGCCGCCGCCCGUCUUUCGCUCGGGCCCUCCACAGCAGCUGACGUCAUGGGUCAACAAGGGGCGUGACUGGGGGCCGCCCAAAGACGUCCCCCUGUUGCAGGACCGGAUUCGAGGCCUCCAAGAAAGGGAGAUCAAUCUGGUCGCAGUGGUACAUGUCAUGUUGAUCCGGCGCCUACUGCCCUGCAAACGUCGCCCCCUCCGCCUGUGGGAAUUUAAUCCGGAGGGGCCACGAGCUCUUCAACACUUCAUGGGGUUGACACCCAUGGAGAUGUAUAAACUGUUCUUCGGAUCGCAAGAGACGCAUCCGGAAUUGACCGAGGACGCUGGCCUAAGCUGCAAUCGCCCGGAUACUCAAGUAAGUAGCCCUGUGUCCGGACACACCGUCCAUUUAUUUAUCGUGAGCUUGCCUUUUAACCAGCUAUCCCUGGACAGGAGUGGAUAGCGCAAGCAAAACUGAUACGGUGUCCGGCCCCCCUCCCUGAGACCACGCAAGAUCCCGUGUUAGUCAAAAUGUUGGAGGUUGCACCUUCGAAUGAGGGCGAAGGGGGGGCACGGGGAAACUAUCACCUCUGCCAAGGAGGUUUUUAGUAAGGGAGGAAUCGAGAGUCCCUCCUUCCAGGGGGAGAAGAGGACCGCUUCCGAAGACCCGGAGGCCAAGGCCUCAAAGCGGGAAAAGAAAUCUGUACCGAAAGGUCCUGCACCGGGAAGAGCCCCGGCCGUACUGUCUCCUCGGAGGAAUCAGCCCUCUAAUGAGCCGUAAGUAAAAAGAGGGAUUUUAUAAUUAUUAGACACCCCUGCUUAAUGUCUAAAGGUAACCGAAGUUUUUACCUUGUAGUUCGGAUCUCAGCCCAUCUCAGCACAGCUCAUCUUCGGGAGACCUUCGUCCGGAGAUGAUGGAGAGCGAAACGCCUCCAUCUGCCGCCCCAUCGCGCGGGGCGAACGACCCUGAGGUGUCUUCGCGGAGGGUCUCCCCGAGUCCGGCGGGGCUGGAGAGUUCAGCACCCAUUGGAGUACGGCCGGUGGAGCUACAGGAUUUGCUUAAGAGGGCGUCCAUCUCAGAAGAUCACCGCACAUUAAUGGGUAAUGUGAUUGAGAGGAUCUCGUCCGCCGAAAGUGGGUUGUAUGAGGCCGUCGGAAGUUUACUGACGGGAUUUGAGGUACGCAAAAAAUGACAUACCUGUUGACAGUUUUGCACAUGAAGUGCACCCUGUAUAGAUAGUAGCCCCUGAGACUUGGUAUGCUGUCGAAAACGGCAGCGUGCCUAGGAUCAUAAUCUCAGUUAUUAACUGUCGCCUUUCCUAUGCAGGUGGCGGAACGUUCGGUGGCCAGCCAGACUGAUGGAUUCGCCGAGCUGAAGAAGCAACUCGACGCUGCAGAUGCGGACAUCUCGCUGGUCAAUAAACGACUUGAUGAGUCACAAGGUAUGUGAUUGCGCCGCGGUCGCUUAGUAAGGGAGCUGAUGCCCAUUCCUUACAAGUUGUAUGCUUGAUGAAGAUGGUGCUGCUGCUGUGGAAGACCUUCGAGCAGAACUUGCUCGGGCCAAGGAGCAAGCUAGAAAAAGCGAGGCGGCUGCCUUGAAGGCAGCGGAAGAGCUAGAAGCCGAGAAGGCUGCUCACUGCCGAAGCAGGGAGGAGAUGGCCGGAAUGGCCAUGAAAUUAAAAGUUGCGACCGACCACCUGGAGGUUCUUGAAGGAGAACGCCGAGCGGAGCAAGAGGACCUGAAGAAGGCUGAUGCCGAAGCCAAGGAUGCCCGUAGUGCGAUGCGGGCUAUGAAGGAGGAACUGCGUCAGGUCGGAGACAUUGUGGCUGGAAAGCCCUUUAUGCUGCGUAGGAAGUUCACGGAUCCGAAGUAUGCUCAGCUGGGCCGAUUGUACGGUGCGGAGGAUCCUUAUCUGUACUUGGCGACGAGUGCGGCUGACGCAGUCGUGCACUUUCGAAGCCAGGAGGAUCAUGAAAUGGAAGAGCUUUUCUGGUCUCAAUUCCAUAGUCCGGAGCGUCCACUUCCGUUGAGUGAUCGGCUGGUUGAGUGGGCUGAGCUGAAUAGAUUGUCCGGACUGGCCAUGACGGAUGUGGUCACUCAUCUGUGGCCGAAAAGGCCCAAGCUGAAGAGUUAUUUUGGCUUGUUGCAGCAAUUCCUUGGGGCAGUGCCGCAUAUUAAGGCGAUGAAGCGGUCGGCAUGCAUAGAAGGUGCACGGAUGGCUCUCGCCCGUGGUAAAACAUACUGGGCGGAGAUGGAUGCCACUGCUGUUGCAUCCCGGGGUUCGGACAAAAGCCGAUUCCCCACCGAGCAUUACUUUGAGGAAGUCCUGCAGGGCGCUCGUAUAAUAGAGUCGCAGUGCUCAAAAGAUGUUAUGUUUGAAUGACAUGUAUGAUUUCUAAGAUCAUAUUUAUAAUGCAAUGACUUUUUAUACUUGUGUGUUCAAGUAUUGAACUAUCUUCUGUGCGGCCGUAUAUAUAUAUGUAUAAUCUGAAAGAUGGCAGUCUUUGGCUUCAGCCCCCACGCACAUGGUGCGGGGGUGUUUGCAAAAAAAAAAUCGCUUUUUCAUACUUAAUCCAACGUCUUGGUCCUUUUAAGGAGGUGAUAGCAUAGCAAAUUAGGCAACCGGACUAUAAUGCUUUAUCACUUUGACUUAGCCAUAAGAGCUCGAAUGUGGGGCUACUAUAUAGCCCCUGAUGGAACCGCGCUUCUCUGAACUCGGGACGCGUAUGUGCCUGACCGGGAAGCGGUCCUUCGUCAAAGCGGAGGAAUUCUAAACAUUCCAAUGGUCGAUCGAGUGGUUGACCAGUCUCUCGCUAUAUCAUGAUAGUCAGUUUUCGGCUUUAUCUACUGAGGUGCUCUCCCGGCCGAACCGGGGCACAAUCGCAGUAGUUCUCCUGAUGCCGCGUUAGCCGAUGAUACGGAACGUAAGGCAGCAAAACACAGGAGCCGGGAAAACCCAACAUUUGACCAAAGACAUGAUUCGGAGCUGAUGCAUAUAAGGCCUAACUCGAGACACCGAACACUCCCUGAGGUGUUCGGUCUUUAUGAUAUUGGGCCAAACAAAGCCCUAAGCCCCUAGUGUCCAGGUACAGGCGGGAACUUCUAACGCGGCCAAUGCCAAAACGCCAGCCUCCUCCUCGGCUCUGGUAGGAAACCGGGGGAUGUGUAUCAACAAGUGACAGUAAGAAAGGUUUACGCAGGGUCUUAAUCUGAAAAGAAUCCUUGCAACGGGUCCCUACUGCACGUCUGCGCCUGUGUCUCCGUUGUGCUGUAUCCUGGACGGGUGUAGCACGUGCUUCAUCUGUAAAAGAGAAGGACUUAGUUUCGAAGAAAUAUCAUGCAAAAAUUGUAUUAAAAUAAAGUAUAAUUUGGAAGAUGAAGAAAGUUGAGCUUUAUUGGCUUUCAUCAUUUAUGCGCGCACCCCCCUUAAAAAAAGGGGUAUGCGGCUGGGAAGCCCCUUGUUAGCUUACGCCGGACUUGUCUAACCAUGUCCGAGGUCUAAAUGACCUGUUUUUCAGGGACUUUGACCUGCAAGGUCUGAUUAACGUGUGGUUGUCGAAGCAGUCGCACAUUCUCUGUGGUCGAGGGACACUCAGAGUUGUGAGAUUAUGCCACGUGGACCGGGCAUUUCUAAGCGUAAGAGACGCGUAAUGUUGUAUUGCAUUAAAGCAGGCGAAAGCUUCGCGCCCCAGUAGCGCUUAAGGGCUACUGUUAAAUGGGGCGAUGGAGAGUGAGCUUUUCGCGAUGGAGGUUGUCAGAUGAACCGAACACGACCUCUAGUGGUACAUAGCCUGUAAAAUUGGCUUAAAAGGCCUGGCGUCACUCCUUUGAAGGAAGUGCUGCUAUAGCGAAUUUUGGUGGGUUCUAUCCCCAGUCUGCGGACGGUGUCCUGGUAUAGCAGGUGCCGCGCUGCGUGUUAUCACGUGAAGCGAGUUCACUGUUUUGACUUCUAGUGGGAAAGUCUUGUGGUUUCUCGAGCGCUGCUUUUGGGUUUCGUCACUUUCACUUGGUGUGUCGAGCCCCUUGUGUUCGGCGUUAAGUCGGCCGAACUGCUUGAAGACCCAACAAUCUCUGUGGGUAUGAUUUGCAGGCUUCCCGGAGGUACCAUGUAUUUGGCACAGUCUGUCCAAAAUCUUGUUUAGGUUGGAUAGCUCGUCACUGUUGUCCUUGAGGGGCAGUGUUUUGUUGUUCGGCCGAGAGCUUUUGAAUCCGGCAUUGACCGCCGUACUAUUUGGGCCUUUUUCCUUAUUCCGGCGCUGAUCUUUUCUGCGUCGUGAUUUCCCAUUUCCAUCCCUGAUUUCGGAUGUACUCGGGUCGCUGGUGCUGCAUCUAGCCAGCCAGCUGCCUUCCCCUGCGCAAAAGCGUGUCAUGAGGCUUGUUAGUGCGGCCGUUGUUCUUGGUUUUUCCUGGCUGAGGUGUCUGGCGAGCCAUUCGUCUCGGACAUUGUGUUUAAAGGCUGCUAAGGCUUCAGCGUCCGGACAGUCGACUAUUUGGUUCUUUUUAGUGAGGAAUCUGUUCCAGAAUUUGCGUGCUGAUUCUCCGGGCUGUUGAGUUAUGUGACUUAAAUCGUCUGCAUCCGGAGGCCGGACAUAAGUCCCCUGAAAAUUUGCUCGAAACGCAUCCUCAAGCUCUUCCCAACUUCCAAUCGUAUUUUCUGGGAGGCUUUUAAGCCAAUGCCGAGCCGGCCCUUUGAGCUUGAGGGAUAGGUAUUUUAUGGCAUGGAGAUCGUCUCCUCUUGCCAUAUGUAUGUGUAGGAUAUAAUCCUCAAUCCAGACUCCGGGGUCUGUUGUUCCGUCGUAUGCCUCUAUGUUUACGGGUUUGAAUCCCGCUGGAAAUCCAUGAUCCAGUACCUCGUCGGUAAAACAUAGUGGGUGUGCGGCGCCCCUGUAUUUGGGUGUGCCGUUGUCUUCAAAUGCUCGGCUGGUUGUGUUACUUCCUGGAGUCUUCUUUUUUGGCCCAUAAAUAGACCUGGCCGGGUUAUCCUUUUUCCGAGGAUCUUUAUGCUGAUCGUGUGCCGGCUUGAGUGCGGCGCCCCUUGUUGCUCUUGGCCUGUCAUCUGGUCGUCUAUCCGGCCAGGCGGCUUCUUUCUUUUUUGACUGCGGGGGCUCUAAGGCCUCCUCGUCAAAUUCGGGCAACAGCUUGCGCUUCGGGUAGCUCUUUGUAUGGUGACUAGUGCCAUAUUUAUCUGCGGUGUUGAGUACUUUGCUCCAUCUCAUUUUGAGUGCGUCCUCCGCUGUUUUGAGCUUCCGCUUUUGCUUCUUCAAACUUCUUGCAGUGGCGACGAGCCUUUUAUGAAGCUUCAUAUGCUCUUGUGAUGUGAGAUCAUCUUCGCCGGGGAUGGGUUGCUUGUCCAGUUCAUGUCCGACUGGCUGCUUGUUGCCACGUGCGUCGUCCACUGCUUCGCCCUGCUCUAGGGCCGGGUCCGUAUUGGUGUCGUUUUUGUCGAUGCCGGUCUUCGGGCGGCGCUUGCGUCGCCGUUUUGUUUGUUUGUUGGGGGAGUUGUCCUUCGCCACGUCCCGUUUUUCCUCAUUGUCGCUUCCUUUUGGUGUGUCCACCAUGUAUACGUUGUGAGCUGGGGUGGCUUUCCCGUGCCCGUUAGGCGCUGGUUCUUGGUCGUGUCCGGCAUCGUCGUCCAUACCGUCGAUGUCUUCGGAGUCGUAGUCUAGCAUGUCUUCCUCGUCCGCAUCCCAACCUUCCUGACCGCAGUCCGGCCAGGGCUCUCCUGAUAACGAGAGAUACUUUAGCGAACUCAAGAUGUCGCCGAAAGGUGUGUGUUGAAAUAUGUCCGCUGCGGUGAAUUCCAUGAUCGGCGCCCAAUCGGAUUCGAUCGGGGAGGGCGCGGGGGGUUCGGAGUCCGGCGAGGAGUCCGCCACCUCGGAGUCACGAGCUUUAUGAGGGACAAAGUCAGUGUUCGGCUCUAUCCCGUAGAGGUUGCAGCCCCCGAGGCGGUGUCUAGCCAUCCGUCCUCGAUCUGCGCGGCCGGCUCAGAAUUGAAGAUCGGAGCGGGUUCGAGUGCGGCCUCCAGGGUAUUGUCCGGCUGCAGAGCUAAAUCAUGCUCGCCGCGACAGUGCGGCACGCUCGGCUGUGGCUCGAAUCCAUCGAGGAUCAAGUCCUCGCGGAUGUCAGUCGUGAAGUUCAAACUUCCAAAUCUGACCUGACGGCCAGGGGCGUAGCUUUCGAUCUGCUCCAGUUGGCCAAGCGAAUUGGCCCGCAGUGCAAAGUCGUCGAAUAUGAAGAUCUGUCCGGGGAGAAAGGUCUCACCCUGGACUGCGUCGUUGAUGAUGGUCGAAGAAGCCAUCGAGCCUAUCGGUGACGACACAGAGGAACUCUCAAUGAAAGCACCAAUGACGGUGUCAAAACCGGCGGAUCUCGGGUAGGGGGUCCCGAACUGUGCGUCUAGGCGGAUGGUAACAGGAGACAAGGGACACGAUGUUUUACCCAGGUUCGUGCCCUCUUGAUGGAGGUAAAACCCUACGUUCUGCUUGAUUAAUAUUGAUGAUGUGUGUUACAAGAGUGGAUCUACCACGAGACCAAGGAGGCUAAACCCUAGAAGCUAGCAUAUGAUAUGAUUGUUGUUCGUCCUAUGGACUAAGGCCAUCCGGCUUAUAUAGACACCAGAGAGGGCUAGGGUUACACAGAGUCGGUUACAAAGGUAGGAGAUCUACAUAUCCGUAUCGCUAAGCUUGCCUCCCACGCCAAGGAAAGUCCCAUCCGGACACGGGACGAAGUCUUCAAUCUUGUAUCUUCAUAGUCUUGGAGUCCGGCCGAUGAUGAUAGUUCGGCUAUCCGGACACCCCCUAGUCCGGAACUCCCUCAGAUAGGCUGAUGGCCAAUUAAUAUAACGCGCAAAAGCUUCCACAUUGUAGAGGUUGCUGGGGGCGCAGUGCCCUGGCACGAACUCGCGCAUCUCCCAUUGUUCAGGUUUUGACGAGAACACCGCGGAGUGCACAAUCAUGGCCCUUGGCUCUGCGGAACCCAAUGCAUUGAUGGAUUACAUCCUUCCAAUCUUUGACACCAUGUACACUUGGUACACCUCGUAGUGCAGUGACAUAGCUGGAUCAAAGGCAAGGAACAUACCUCAAUUCUGCAGUGCGGCCAUAUGCCCGGUGAGCAAGGCAGGGAGCGCAGUAUUGUCGCAGGGUUGCAGACAUAAGUAUCACCCUUUGUUUCAUCAUAGAGGAGGAGGAGGCCAUUGUAGUGGUUAGUUACACGGGCCCAACCAUGCCAAAAGAGAGGACGCAAAUAUUCAGACUUGUUAGCGCCGCUCGAGCAGGAGGCCGGCGAGGCAAGGAAGUAGGACUCAUCCUGGCAUCAGAAACGAUUGGUGAAAACACCGGGGAAGAUGCGCGACGUGAAGAAGCGAGGUAGGAGUUCGUGGGCGUUGACGAUCGCACGCCAUGCGCGGCAGACGGUCUGGGUCCCGGCAAUGGCGCACGGCGGUAGGCGGCGGAGGACAUCGUGGAACACGUCGUAGCGAAGGCAAAGGCCUCUGCCGUCCGCGGUGGCGUCCAUGAGGGUGCUGCUUUUGUCGCCGCCAGACGUCGCACGACGCACGAGUCGAAGAAAUCAAUUAUUGACGAUGGAUCUGGAGUGGGUGGACCUUAGCUAGCUAGCUUGGAUGGAUCGGAUAGUAUGUUGGAAGUCGGACUCAGAGUAGGCAGCAAUAAUGCCCGUACGUCAUAUUUACUGGCGAUUUUAUACGGAGCACGACCAGGCGAACGUAGAGUCUAGUUGUAGCGUUUCAUUAUGAUGUUUAGUAUGCUUGAUUGAUAAUACUUCCUCUAUCGGCGGCUUCAUGCUCACAAUAUACAUUAUGAUGUUUAGUCAGCAGGAACUGGCACCAUUUUUUCAGAGAAAAAAUAGCCGUGCUAGUAAAUUCUUCUGAAAAAAAGAAUAUAUGAAUUGCCAGUCUCUCAUCCCAUGCUUACAAUGUUAACAAUAUGUUGAGUAUGCUUGAUAAUACUUCCUCUUAUUUUUAUGUUUAGUAUGCUUGACAAUAUGUUGAGCACGGGCAUUCUACAAGUGAUGUUUAGUAUGCUUGAUAAUACUUCUUCUGUCGGCGGCUUUAUGUUCACAAUGUAGAGUGUAUUCAGGAAGAACUGGCACCAUUUUUCUGGCGUGAGAGUUGAGAGCGGGUAUUACAACUCGUACAUAAAUCCUUGUGGCUUGUGAGCUGAGAGUGCAUUGCAACAUAAAGAUUUGUCAAGAGGAAACUCAGCUUCAUCUCAGAAAAUAUGAAUUGCCAGCCUCUCAUCCCAUAACUCGUGUGUCAACAUACUUUGGAAACAAGCACAUGUGGGCAAAGUAAACAGUCAAAUUGUACACGUUCACAUGAAAGAAACAACAUACAUAUGUAGUAUCCGUAACACGUUUAGCCAGCGGAGUAGAAGCAAAAUAAAAUGACACGUACGGUGACUGAAAAAGGAAUGGAGCACACUAAAAGGGAGAUCGAUGGUGAGAGACGCAUGAUGCACAACAGAGCGGCCGGACGGCUGCCAGCAGAUCAGGGGCUCGAGAGAGUCUCGCACGUGGUCUUGCAGAAGGUCAUGCAGGCGCUGAACAUCUUAUCGACGCAGGCCGUACCCGCCGCCGGCGACACGGCGCAGACGGCCUGGCACAUGCCCGGCGCGAGCGCCUCGCACCCCGGUCGGCAUUUUGGUCGGCAUGCGUUUUGGGCAUCAGGGCACGCCAAUCCACCGCCGGCAGGCGCCGGUGCCAUCGGCGUCGAGUACCCCAACCCCACGGUGGUCUGGACCAGUAACAUGGUGAUGCAGAUGGCGACAACGGCGGCCGUCUUGAGUGUGAGCGCAGAGGCGGCAGCCAUGGGGAUGGAUGUGCCUUGACGCGCGGGGAUGAGAGGCUAGCUACAACGAAAGGGAUAAUACCAGGGAAGUUCGAUGACCAGAAUCACAACCAAUAGUUGGACUGCUGGUAGCUACUGUAUUAAGGAAGAAGCGGGCAAUGCUCUUUUAUAGGCAAAGGAAAAUACAACGCAAAAAAAUAUUAUAACACGAGAUCUCUAUCACCAGCUUGGAGAAGUAGUGGAUAUAUAAAAUACUUGUGCUGAUCACGUACACCACGUAACGUGUUGACUUCCAGGGAUUGUACAACUAACAUGUGAUACGCUCUUGUUACUAUUAUUGUUAUUUCUAUUAUUAUCACAACAUACAUACACACACAUUUCAUCUAUCUGCAAAUGGUAUUCUCUGAUUUGCGUACUUAUUACUUUUAUGCUGCAUUUUGGUUAUAACUUCUAAAAAGUGUCUCCGACUAUGCAAAUUAUGUUCCGUUAAAAAAAGUUAUACGGAUUAGUCACAACAUUUUUGUACUUGGUACUUACAAAUUUCUUAUGGUUUACGAGCAGUUUUACAAGCUCCAUUUCCAGCUUGGCGAGGUAGUAGCUGUCAGCGUUGCCUAACUGCAUAUCUACUCAUGUACACCAUGUGACGUGUUGACUUGAAGGGAUUCCACAACUAACACCAGAUCCGCUCAUGAUGUUGUGGUAGUAGUCGUAGUACUACUACUAGUAGUAGUAAUAAUAAUAAAAAAUAACAACAACAACAACAACAACAACAACAACAACAACAACAACAACAACAACAACAACAAUAAUAAUUGAUUAUGUAUAGUUGUAACAAUAUGUUGUGAAUAUAAGUAGAAUAAUUAAAUGAAAAACAUUUUCCCGUGCAUGGUUAAAUGUUGUGGUGGGACUUUUCCCAUGCAUGAUUACAUGUUGAGAUGGGCCUUAUACCACUGAUAAUUGUAUGUUGAGGUGGCAUGUUUGCAUUCUUGAAAUAAUUAAGUUACUCCGCGUCAAUUGUUCUUAGCAUUGUGUGAUUACUGUGUUGAUGGUUUUGGUAUAGGAUUGUGCAACACUUGUUCUCAACAUUGUGACUCAACAUAUUGUUCUAAAAAUAACUCACUUAGAUAUACGCGUGCUGAUCACGUUGUUGUAACCGCAGCCCUCUAGCUACCUCUCCUCUCACUCGAACGAAGGUGGAAGAAGAAGAACAGUGGACACAAGGUUUUCCGGCCGGCGCAUGAACAUCGCCACGGGCGCACGAACACCCCAAUCCUUUUCUUCUUGACAGUGGCUACAUGGCUACUCUCGGCUCAACCCACACACUAGGCAGCAGUACAUGGGUUUUAUACGCACACACCACCCGACCACCACAACGGCCACUAACUCCACGCACGCACGCACUAAUCUAGCUAACAAACUCACUAGGCUAGCUACAUGCACGGCAUCAAUAUCCAUGCGCGCAUUAGUUACACAACAACCGGCCACACGACCUGGUAGCUAGCAUGCAUCUAACUAAAACACACACAUCUGACCAUGCCUGGACUAUGGCCGGACUAUGGCCAGAGACACUACACACGCGACCAUGCACCCGACGCGUCACACAUCAUGGGCAUGGCUUGCUGCUAACACACGUACAUCAUGUAAUGUGUUGAGUUCCAGGGAUUGAUUGUACAACUAACAUGUGAUACGCUCAUGUUACUAUUAUUGUUAUUACUAUUAUUGUCACAACACACACACACACACACACACACACACACACACACACACACACACACAUUUCAUCUAUCUGCAAAUGGUAUUCUCUAAUUUGUGUACAUAUCGUUUUCAGGCUGACAUUUUGGCUAUAACUUCUAAAAAGUGUUUCCGAUUUUGCAAAUUAUAUAUUGUUAAGAAAGAGAGAUAUAUGGAUUAGUCAAAAAAAAUUAUACUUAGUACUUUUGAAAAUUUCUUAUGGUUUACGAGCAAUUUUACAAGCUCCAUCUCCAGCUUGGCGAAUUGGUAGCUGUCAGUACGUGUUGCCUUGAAAGAAUUGUACAACUAAUAGCAGAUCUACUCAUGAUACAGUACUAGCAAUAGAAGUAGUAAUAGCAGUAAUAACAACAACAACAACUACUACAACAACAACAACAACAACAACAACAACAACACUAAUAAUAAUAAUAAUAAUAAUAAUAAUAAUAAUGAUAAUAACAACAACAAAAUAAUAAUAAUAAUAACAAUAUUAAUAAUCUUUAUCUAAUAAUAAAGAAAAUUGGGUUUCUUUCAUCCAUUAUUAGAAUUACCCCCGAAGUUGGCAUAAAUUACCCACUAUGCCACCCGUAAGUGGAAAAAACGGUUCGCUUCUUUUUUAAAAAUCGCACUCGGUUUCGUGUUAUUAGAUGUCGCUACAUUUAUAUAACAGGAUCACCCCAGUGGCGCAGUGGCUAUGAUCGCCGCACUGCCCCUGCGAGACCAUAGUUCCACCCCUAGGACUACCUCCUUUCUCUCCUUUUUUUCUAUCGCAAACACACAUCCUUCCCUAAUUAAUGGGCCGGCUCAGUUGUAGGUGGUAGCACACCGUUUUCCUAUUUUGUUUUUUCCUUUUUAAUUUCUCAUUUUUCUUUUAGUUUUUCCUUUUUAAAAUUAAUUUUUGAUUUACAAAAUAACCAAAUUUUAAAAGUUGUGAGUUUUAAAAAGUUGAGAAAUCAUAAAUUGUUUGUGAAUUCAAAAAAUAUUUGAAAACUCAUAAAAUGAUCAUGAUUACAAAAAAAUGUUCGUAUAUUACAAAAAAGAUCACGAUUUCAAAUAAAUGUCAUGAAAUGAGAAAUGUUCAUGCUUUCUAAAAUAAUAUUAUUCAAAACAUAUUCGGGAGUUUAAAAAAAUGUCCAUGAAAAUUUAGAAUAUGUUCACAAAAUUGAAAUAGAUCCAUAAAUAAUGAACAUAAUGAACCGUCGCUUACGUACAAGUUUUAUUAGGAGAUCUGUAGAGGUCGUUUUAUGAAUUUAUUUAGUCCCUUGCGUUGGGUAAAAAAAGGUUUUCCUAUCUUGUACAACGUUGAGCCCCCUAAAAUUGACACAACUUUCAGUGGAUUACUUUUUGUAAGCUAUAUGAAACUAACUGAAUUUUUAUUUUGCCUCCAUACACAACUAUGUUUAUUCUUGCGUGAUAACACUGAUUAUGAGAAACACCACUACUCUAGGUCAGGGUGAGACACAUCAUUCAUCAGUCUAGCUCAGACAGUGUCCAUCAAUGCAGUUUGCUCAGUGGAUUUUUUUCGUUGUGGCGUCUUAGGAGAUCAAGUCGUGAUAAGACCAUCACAUUUUUUUAAAUGACUCUUUAAAAGUAUCUUAUUUCAUCAUGACAUCACUCGGGCAUAGUUUGUGAAAUGCCAUUUUAAAAGUCCUUAUCUCAUCCAGGCAUUUGAUUCAGACUUUUUUUAUAUCUAUCCCACAUGUAUAAUCUAAUACUUUUACCCUAAAAAAAUCCAAUAUUUUUUCUCCCGUUGCAAUGCACGGGCAAAUUUGGUUAACAAUAAAGAAAAUUGGGUUUCUGGUCGUCCGUCAUGGCAUUUUGCAUAAAAGUCCUUCUGUUUCAGAGAAUUCAACUCGCAGUCAUGUUUUUAGUAAGAACAAAUCGUUUCAUUUUCGUAUUUUACACAAAAGCCCCUAUGUUUUCUUGAAAUCAACCCACUGUCCUGAUUUAAGUCACAGCCGGACCGUUAUUUUACAUUUUUUGAAAACCCUCCUAACCUUUUAGGUAAUUCAUCCGCGCAUCAUAUUUAAGUCAAACAAGUGCUUUUCUAAAUUAUCCAUAUCUUUUAAACCGUAACUCUGAUUUGAACAUGUUAUAUAUGAAAUUUGAUUAGAAAAAUGUGUAAAAUAUGAAUAUGAGAUUAAUUUUACCUAUUAAGUAUUUUUAAAUAUUAUUUUGGAAGAUAUUUAAGUCAAACAAAUGAUUUUCUAAAUUAUCCGUAUCUUUUAGACUGUAACUCCGAUUUUAACAUGUUAUAUAUGAAAUUUGAUUAGAAAAAUAUGUGGAAUCUAAAUAUGAUGUUAAUUUCACCUGUUAAAUAUUUUUUAAAUAUUGUAUUGGAAUCAAACUUAUAAUUUAUAGCGCAUGAUCCAUUUUUCUUUUGUACGGGCGGCGAUCCAGAUUGCAAAUAAACACCCCACUAUAACCAUAUAGGGGAAAAACAUCGAUAACAACACAUGCAUACCUCUGAAAAACGUCACAAGGAAAAACAACAAAUUUCUCGUCGCGAGAGUGAGAGAAAGCGAGAUAGAGAGAGGGAAAGGGAGGAGAGAGGGAGAGAGAGAGACGCCUUAGGAUUAACCAUAUUCAAACACGUUUUGAUUUGUGUGAACACUGAGGCCAUCGCCGUCGAGGGUGAGAAGGAGGAUAAGCGGCAACCCAAAUAUGAUGCCUCACUAAAAUAAAGGAGAUGGACCUAUUGUAGUCUUGAGUGAUGGUUGUUGGAUUAAGAGCGUGCGUUAUGUUUUUUCUCCCAUUGCAACGCACGGGCUCUUUUGCUAGUAGUAGUAGUAGUAGUAAUAAUAAUAAUAAUAAUAAUAAUAAUAAUAAUAAUAAUAAUAAUAAUAAUAACAAUAACAAUAAUAAUAAUAAUAAUAAUAAUAAUAAUAAUAAUAAUAGUAAUAAUAAUGUUGUGGUGCGUAUUUUCCCAUGCACGAUAACAUGUUGAGGUGGGCCUUAUACCAUUCAUAAUUGUAUGAUGAGGUGCCAUGCUUGCAUGUUGAGAUAAUUAAGUUAGUAAAAAUGACUCUCUUAGUUAUAUAGGAUUCUGCAACAAUUGUUAUCAACAUUGUGUACCUACUGUGGUGACGAUUUGUUUUGGCCCUUUUUUAGAAAUGGAGGAAUGCCCCCAGCCUCUGCAUCAAAAUGAUGCAUGGAACCAUUUAUUAAAAACAGGUCCAAAAAGUCUCAAUACUAGAACAAUCUCUCUCAGAGCUAAAAAUCAAAAGUAAAGACAGCCGCAACCGGUGAAAAUAGAAACAGAUGACUAAACACCUAUCCUAUUACAUGAUUGCCAUCCAAACCGACUAAAGAUAUCCCGAGCUACCAUCACCCAUCAGGUAGACCCAGUAACCAAAGGCUCCCUGGCAUCCAUAGGAGUGAGUAACGACCACAUACGAAUCCAAGCAGUGGCCCUGAAGAUAACCUGCAAAAAAUUAAUACGCGUUUGCCUGUUAAAAACCAUAUCAUCCAUGCAAUUCCAUAUAGCCCAUAGUAAUGCACUUACUCCUACACGAAUAUGUUUCACCGUAUUAGUCUCCACUCCAUUUAGCCACGUCUCAAAUAACAUGUGAAUACUAUCUGGAGGUGAGAUAGUGAAGGCUAUAUGCACUGAGCGCCAUAAUAUUUUGGUCAUCGGACAAUCGAGAAAGAGGUGUUUGAUAGUUUCGUCAUGCUCAUAAAAGCUACAUCUCCGAGAGCCCUCCCAAUUACGUUUUGCCAAGUUAUCGUUAGUCAGAAUCACCUCCUUAUGCCAAACAACGUGAAGACCUUGAUUCUUAAGGGAACUUUGAUCUUCUAAAUAAGUGAAGAUUUUGGGAUUGGACUAGAAUUAAUUAGAUCCAAAUACGUGGAUUUCACAGAGAAAAUUUCAUUAGUAGUUAACUUCCAGUGAAUAGUAUCAGACUCAUGAGUCUAAUGCACAUCCAUCAACCUUCUGGCUAGAUGGAGCCAAGCUUCCCAACGGUCUCCAGCCAAAGAUCUCAUGAAUUGAAUAUUUAGAGGAUUGGAGUGUAACACUGUAGCAACAUAAGCCUCUUUAUAAUGUACAAUAUUAUAGAUAGAAGGAUAUUGUGUGGCUAAAGGCGUCUCCCCUAACCACGUGUCCUCCCAGAAUCUCGUCUAAGUACCAUUUCCAAUGAUAAAUUUGGUUCUAUGGAAGAGGCUGCUUUCAUUCUCAUCAGAACUUUCCAAAAAGGUGAGUCAUUGGGUCUAGUAGUAACCUGGGCUAAGGUCUUAGACUGUAGGUACUUAUUGUGUAGAAUCUGGGCCCACGUGCCUUCGUUCUCUACAGAUAACCGGUACAUCCAUUUGUUGAGCAGACAUCUGUUCUUUACGUCCAAAUUUUCAAUUCCAAGACCGCCCUGGUCCUUUGGUCUACAGAUGAUGUCCCAUUUAGUAAGCCCCUAUACUUCCUCUUUAAAUCAUCACUCUACCAAAAGAAACGAGAUCGAUAAAAUUCCAACCUUUUCCGUACUCCUACCGGUACCUCAAAGAAGGACAUGAGGAACAUCGACAUACUCAUGAGCAGCGAGUUUAUAAGUAUUAGCCGUCCUUCGUAUACCAUAAGUUUACCCUUCCAGCAACUUAGUUUCUUUUCAAAUCAAUCUUCAAUACAUUUUCACUCUUUGUUAGAAAGCUUGCGAUGGUGAAUUGGUAUGCCCAAAUAACUGAAUGGUAAGGUACCAAGUUCACAUCCGAACAGUUGUUUGUAAGCCUCUUGUUCCUCUUUGGCUCUCCCAAAACAGAACAAUUCGCUUUUAUUAAAAUUAACCUUCAACCCCGACAACUGCUCGAAUAAGAAUAAUACAAUCUUCAUAUUUGUCACUUUCGCCAAAUCAUGUUCCACGAAAAUGAUGGUAUCAUUAGCGUAUUUUACUAUGGACACCCCACCAUGCACUAGAUUUGGGACUAGUCCUCCUAAUUGGCCAUCCACUUUAGCUCUUCCUAUCAGAAUUGCCAACAUAUCCACUACUAUGUUGAACAAGAUAGGAGACAUUGCUCCCCCUGCCUUAGACCCUUUUGUGUCUGGAAGUAGUGACCUGUGUCAUCAUUCACUUUAAUCCCGACACUGCCUUUUUGUAUGAAUGAAUCAACCUGCUUCCUCCAGGACUCGUCAAAUACCUUCAUACGUAAAGCCUGCUGUAAGAAUGGCCACUUAACUUUAUCAUAUGCUUUCUCGAAAUCCACUUUGAACACUACCCCAUCUAGUUUUUUGAGUGAAUCUCGUGAAGCAUUUCGUGAAGGACAACCACACCCUCUAGUAUGUUUCUGUCUGGCAUGAAGGUCGUCUGAGUUGGUUGUUGUCGGUGUCAAAAAUGGUGGAUCUCGGGUAGGGGGUUCCUUGUGACAGCCUGGAUUUUUCCUUCUCUUUUUUUUCCGGACUUGCCUUCUCUCUCUUUCUGGACUUGGCUUUUAUCGAGGUUUUUGCCCCGAUUUGAAUUGGAGUUUGAAUCAUUUCAAAUGGACUUGGGACUUGGCCAUAUCCUUGGCUUUCACCCAAGUGACCUACCUUCUUUAUUCCUCUGAUCAAUCCUCAAAAUAAUCAAAUGAAUAUUUUUCAUAAGAGAAAAAUAUUCAUUUCUCUCUCUGAAACUCACUUCAGAAACUUGUGCUCCAAAGCAACCUCAAUUUUUCUUGCCCAGAAAAACCUAAGAUAAAUGCCAAAUAUUCUUUGCACCUUGGCACACCCUCCCAUGCAAAAAUAUUGCAUCACUUUUUGCAAUAUUUUUGCUGUAGAAAAUCUUUUCACUUCUGACCCAAAAUUUCAGUUUGUACAUCAAGUACAAUUUCUCUUGAGCUUUUAGCCUUGAUCUUUCUUGAGCUUAAACACCCUCCUAAGAAACCCUAAACCCCAGGAGAUCAGCCCUAAUGGCCUUCUAGAAGGUGUCCAAACUUGGCGACCAAGUUUCUGGACAAAAACUUGUCAGCUCAGUAGAGUCUAGUCUGGUCGGCCUGGGCAUGAGCCAUCAUUACCCCUGGACUAAACACUACACGGUCGAGCGCGUAGACAAGGUUUGGCCGCUCCUGGGCGUUGUUUUGACCAUGCCAGCCUGGUGACCGUGCGUGAACACAGCGUCUGGCAUGCAUCUCGACGCGCUCUGGCUGGCGCCUUGCGCUCUGUUUCGCGCGUGCUCGUUCUAGCGCUCGCCGCCGACUGCCGCACCGCGCGACCAGCCCUGACCCAUCACCAUUGACCGCUCCCUGGCGCUCGCCGAUGCCGGAGCCACCGCAGCAAGCACGGGCGCGUUGCGGCCAAAAGGCCACAGUGCGUGCGUGCACUUGUCCGCUUCCCCAACCGCCUCCUGUGCUCGUCCGCGAGCGAGGGCAAGCUUCUGCGUUGACGCUGAGUGUUUGCCCCCUCUUGUUGGAGCUUCUCGUCGCCGUUCGCCGCGUGUCAAUAGAGCUCCGGCGGCGACAUGUUCUCCCCCUCGCUCCGGCUAUAUAUAGUGCUCCCCGCCUCGAAUCUCAGCCAAGCACCAUUCCACACCACCUCCACGAACACGCAGAAGAGCAGAAGCUCGGUCGCGCAGGCCUAUGGCCGUCGCCCUGACCAGAGGACUCCGACGAUCCCCGCAGUCCAGCCGCCGUGCUCCGGUGCCUCUCGAGCUCAAGCAGCUGCUUGGGCGGGGCAUUGGGGACCUGUUGGUGCUGCCUAGACCCCGCUUAGUCCUCGGAGCCGCCUCUAGCCGUCGUCUUCAACCUAUCAGGUGAAACCCGUCCGCCACCGUAGCUUGCGAGCUCAACUGCGAGCAGCUCCGUCCACCUCUCGCCAAGCCACGGGUACGGGUAGAUGCGCCUCGAGCCCCACUUCAAUCCUAUCCCUCUAGCCCCGCCUCUCUCUGAUCUCGCCCCCUCUCUCUCUCUCUCUCCUGACACACGGGACCCACCUGUCGGUCUCACCACUCGCGCCCGAAGCGGUACAAGUGGAGGCGUAUUUCUGUUAUAUGCUUUCGACGUCAACCCCCCAGGAUUUUUGUUUAAUUCAAAGUUUAUUCAGUAAUUUGACUGAACUUUAACCAGCCACCAUUUCUAAACCAUAAGUCCAAAUGAUUUGAUUCUUUUUGCAUUGUCUUUGUUUCAGAAAGCUCUAGCAACACACCAGAAGGUGGAUUUUUCCUUGCCGUCUAGAAUUUAUUGUGAUUUUCAGAGUGUGUUUUGAUAAUUCUUUUUGUGGUUUAAAUACUUUUUCAGAAGGGGAAGCUUGUCUUGAAGCAAACCAAGAUGGGUAUGAUCCACCUCUGCACUAAGGCAAGCCAAACCAACAUUUGGAUGGUGUUAUUUCAAUAUCUAUGAUUUUCUACUUGAAUAUGAGUUAUUAUUUGCAUUUAAAAUUUGAUAAAUAACUUUGGUUAAUUUCUAGUUACUUUACCAUGCUUGAUAUGCUUGUUUUAGUUGCUGGUAGAAUGCAUGAGCUUGUUUGGCUAAGUAGAGUAAUAUUUUGCACUAUGCUUAUGGCUAUGGAAAUUAAUGAUAGUUAUUUUACUAGUGAUAAUUUUAUUUAAAUAAAGAACUAAUAAAAAUAUUGCUUGGUUAUAAAAAUGAGUUAUAACCAGAGAAGUUUUGAUUCUAAGGAUUGCAAGAUAUUUAUAUUGUUAAGUUUGAUCCAUGAAUAUGAGUUGUUUGCUUUGCAUGACGAGUAGUUGCAUGAUUCUUUUUGAGUAUAUCGUGUUGAUGAUAAAAAGUUUUUAUCAAAGCUAAACUUGAUUAAGCUCAACUUGAAUAUGAUGUUGAUCACAUCAUGGUGGCAGACAUAACCUUGUGUGCUCGUUUUCGUUUUUAUGGUACCUUGUCCCCGUUUGGGACCGUUUUGCCACGACGGUGGCCGUUGGUGUCUUUGGUAGACACGGGGGCACCCAAGACCUAGCCCUGAGAGGGAGUUAGUCGGAGUGGCCGGGGAGAGUGCAUGACAAAGGGAGGGUUUUGUCGGAACGCUUUGGUCCACCCGAAUGGGAAUGCGAGGCCAGGUAUUCCGUAGUGUGGGUAAAGUGCACUACCUCUCUGCAGAGUGUAAUUAAUCUAUCGAUAGCCGCGUCCUCGGUUAUGGGCAUAAAUCGGAAGUAAGUCACACCAUGGAUCAACUUUUCUAAUAAAUCUUGCAAACUAAGUGAGUGUUGUGAUGCAUUGGUUCGUGGUGAAGCAUGAACAUGUGAGGUGUUCAUGAGGGAAUGGUUUCAGGUGUGACCCAGGUAUGGUCACCGUUUGGUUACGAGGUAACUGUCUGGUAAGUGAGUCCGUGGGACUCAUUUCAUGAAAUGUUGUUUUCCUUCGGUAGUAGUUUUGCAUUGUAUUAACCUGGUUCAAUAUCAUGAUAUUGUUUGUCAUCGUGCUUAUGUUUGUGUGAGCUUGCAAGUACAUUCGAUGUACUGACCUGGCGUGUUAUGCCAGUUUUCAGGCAAGUCAGUUCGCAUCGGAGCGCAUCUCGUCUCUCGGACGUGUUCACAUUGGUGUCCCUAUGCUAUGGAGUUCCACGAUGUCAUUAUUCUGCUGCUGUGUAGUUCGUGUGAUCGAGGCCCCAUCAUGUUCAUUAAAUAAUGUACAUACUAUCCAGUAGCACCGUGUGUGCCGCUUGGCCUCGAAUCUCGAUGUAAUAUCAGACAUAUAUAAUCCGCUAGUAUCAAUAAAGCGGUUGUUUCUGUACCAUGUUGUUGUGUGUUGCUAGAAGACUUGAUCUCUGGGCUGGCAAUGCAAGGUACACCGGUUGCUCUGAGCCGGGGUGCCACAUUCCCGAGCUAUGGAUCUUGGAUCGAUGGGUAACAAGGGGCGUAGAGACUAUGUUUACCCAGGUUCAUUCCCUUUCGAAGGGGUAAAACCCUACGUCUUGCUUGAUUGUAUAGAUGUGUUUGUUUGACAAUUACAAAGUUGACCUACCAUGAGAUUGGAUGAACAGAACCUUAGGUGGGUAUGAUUAUUCCCCCUCCUAUGGACUAAAACCUCUUGUUUAUAUCGACACCAGGGGUACCUAGGGUUACAUAUGUCGGUUAUCAUCGUGGGAUAAACAUACUGAUCAUACCAAGCAAGACUUGGAGGACACACCAAGUCUCCAAAGGUUUCCUUAUGGAGCACGGAAUCGUUUGUUGUCCGGUCUUCCUUCAAAGAACCAAAGGCAGCCCAUCAGUCUGACCCACGAGAGAUAGGUCUGCAUCCCGAGGACCCCUUAAUCCCGGACACCCUCAGUAGCCCCCGGACUUGCCUCCAACGCCGAGGUCGUUAAUUUCCAUUUGCUCCACGCCUCUUGAAAUCUUCGGCUUGAGGGGUGAGUUCUUCCUAUUUCCUAUAUCCAGUUGAUGGUAGCUCGGCCACCCUCGACACUUCGGUCAGAGGAGUACUAUGGGGUUCGACACAUCGUCUUCUUUAUUCAGAAUUAAUGAUGGCCCCUCGAUUUUCACGCGCCAGAGGAAAACAAAUGGCCCAAAAAGACUUUUUGCAAAAAAUGCCCCUUAUGGGCCUGGGAGAGACGUCUAUUUAACGGGUCCAAAAAUGCAAAAGCUGUCGCACUCAACCCCGAAUCACCACAAAGCUAGAGCUAAGCAAGCCCGAAACAAUGGCGAGCGCCCCAAGCUCCUCCUCGCGGCUCACGGCUCCCGUCCAGGCGACUGGGCGAGCUUGUCUGCUUCUCAUAUGAGCUCACCGAUGAUUAUACUACCAGCACUGUCAAUGAUGGUUCCACAAAUCAAGGAUACUUGGAGGACAUGAUAUUUUGUUUGCUAGGAGCACGUUGGAGUAGCAGGGGCGGUAAGGAAAGGCACAGUCGAUGCCACAACCAUGUUUCCUCGGGCUCUCUUCAAAGCCACUAGUGUAAAUACUGCAUUCUCGAGAUGUUAAUGUGGUAUGCAACUGCUUUACCGCUAAUAUCAAGGAGGAUCAUGUCUUUGUGCAGAUGAAGUUCGAUGAUACCACUGUAGGUCUGCUCCAAUGUCGUUUGGCCGACUACAUCUUUAUCAACUUCUACUUUGUUGCUACCAGUUUGUUUGAACAAGCUGACAGGUGCUUUCCUGCUUGUGACCAUCUCCCGUGUCACCCCUUGUUCUAUUUUUAGUGAGUUAUGCUGCAUCAUACACACGUGCAGGCUGAGAUAAGCCUCGUGUGCUAGCGUCCAUCCAAACUGGUCGUCACACGAUCUUGUCAACGCCCAUAUUCGGAGCAGGAAGUCCUUAUUGAGCUCCGCGUAGUGCACACCUAUCUCAUAGAUCGGCAAGAGGGUCCUUCCAGGUAGCUGAUACCUUUUCCUUGCGUUCCUGUAGACUUCUCCUAGGAGGUGAACCAUUUCGUACGUCCCCUCUGAGCAAUGCAGGAUCAUGAGGACACCAUUAUAACAAGCCACGGAUAGCGACCCAUGUCAGUAGUGGGCUGAUGGCCAAUUAAUAUCACGCGCAAAAGCUUCCACAUUGUAGAGGUUGCUGGGGGCGCAGUGCCCUGGCACGAACUCUCACAUCUCCCAUUAUUCAGGUUUUGACGAGAACAUCGCGGAGUGCACAAUCAUGGCCCUUGGCUCUACGGAACCCAAUGCAUUGAUGGAGUACAUCCAUUCAAUCUUUGACACCAUGUACACUUGGUACAACUCGUAGUGUAGUGACAUAGCCGGGUCAAAGGCAAGGAACAUACCUCAAUUCUGCAGUGCGGCCAUAUGCCCGGUGAGCAAGGCAGGGGAGCGCACUGUAUUGUCGCAGGGUUGCAGACAUAAGUAUCACCCUUUGUUUUAUCAUAGAGGAGGGGGAGGCCAUUGUAGUGGUUAGUUACACGGGCCCAACCGUGCCAAAAGAGAGGACACAUAUAUUCAGACUGGUCAGCGCCGCUCGAGCGGGAGGCCGGCGAGGCGACGAAGUAGGACUCGUCCCGGCACCAGAAAUGAUUGGUGAAAACACUGGGGAAGAUGCGCGACGUGAAGAAGCGGGGUAGGAGUUCGUGGGCGUUGACGAUCGCGCGCCACGCGCGGCAGACGGUCCGGGUCCCGGCAAUGACGCACGGCGGUAGGCGGUGGAGGACGUCGUGGAGCACAUCGUAGGGAAGGCAAAAGCCUCUGCCGUCCGCGGUGGCGUCCAUCAGGGUGCUGUUUUUGUCACCGCUGGACGUCGCACGAGUCACGACACACGAGUCGAAGAAAUGUAAAAAAUUAUUGACGAUCGAUCUAGAGUGGGUGGACCUUAGCUAGCUAGCUCGGAUGGAUCGGAUAGUCUGUUGGAAGUCGGACUCGGAGUAGGCAGCAAUCAUGCCCAUAUGUCAUAUUUACUAGCGAUUUUAUACGGAGCACGGCCAGGCGAACGUAGAGUCUAGUUGCAGCGUUUAAUUAUGAUGUUUAGUAUGCCUGAUUGAUAAUACUUCAUCUGUCGGCGGCUUCACGCUCACAAUGUACAUUAUGAUGUUUAGUCAGCAGGAACUGGGACCAUUUUGUCACAGAAAAAAUAGCCGUGCUAGUAAAUUCUUCUGAAAAUAGAAUAUAUGAAUUGCCAGUCUCUCAUCCCAUGCUUACAAUGUUAACAAUAUGUUGAGUAUGCUUGAUAAUACUUCCUCUUAUUUUAUGGUUAGUGUGCUUGACAAUAUGUUGAGCACGGGCAUUCUACAAGUGAUGUUUAGUAUGCUUGAUAAUACUUCUUCUGUCGGCGGCUUCAUGUUCACAAUAUAGAGUGUAUUCAGGAAGAACUGGCACCAUUUUUCUGGCGUGAAAGUUGAGAGCGGGUAUUACAACUCGUACAUAAAUCCUCGUGUCUUGUGAGCUGAGAGUGCAUUGCAACAUAAAGAUUUGUCAAGAGGAAACUCAGCUUCAUCUCAGAAAAUAUGAAUUGCCAGCCACUCAUCCCAUAACUCGUGUGUCAACAUACUUUGGAAACAAGCACAUGUGGGCAAAGUAAACGGUCAAAUUGUACACAUUCACAUGAAAGAAACAACAUACAUAUACGGUGACUGAAAGGAAUGGAGCACACUAAAAGGGAGACCGAUGGCGAGAGACGCACGAUGCACAACGGAGCGGUUGAACGGCUGCUAGCAGAUCAGGGGCUCGAGAGAGUCUCACACGUGGUCUUGCAGAAGGUCAUGCAGGCGCUGAACAUCUUGUCUAUGCAGGCCGUACCCGCCGCCGGCGACACGGCUCAGACGGUCUGGCACAUGCCCGGCGCGAGUGCCUCGCACCCCGGUCGGCAUUUUGGUCGGCUGGCGUUUUGGGCAUCAGGGCAUGCCAAUCCACCGCCGGCAGGCGCCGGUGCCGUCGGCGUCAAGUGCUAGAAUUUUUGUCUAUUUGGGCCUAGUCCAAUAGCAGUUUCAGAAAUUCCUAAUAAAUCCUAGAGGCCCACGCAGUCCAUUCGUGUAAUGCAAGAGGUGGAACUAAAGUUUAGUCCUACAUUGCUAGUUUAGAGGGAGUUGGACCUCUUUAUAAGGGAGGUUCUUUCCCCACUUGUAUGAGCAUGAGAACAAGAGGUACAUCCACGCGCGCUCUUCCUCCGCCGCCCGCCUCGGAAUUUUUGCCACACACAAUGGGUAUACGAAAUCCAUGGGGGAAUGAGCCGAGCCGAUGUCUAAAUUUUUGCCACACACUAUGGGUAUACGAAAGGUCACUCGAAAGCUGAAACGUUCACUAAAUUCGUUUCGUCUCCCACGUUCCCUUUAGCUCCCGGCGCAGUCUCUUGCGCCUACAAAAGGGAGGUCGCUCCUCUCAGUGAGACGCACCAGAACUACUUCCUCCUCUCGCCACCGGUUCCUGAGCACUGCGCUGCUGCUACGAUCUUCCCCAUCUCGGCUUGCGGCGUGCAUCGCAGGUCGGGACAGUAGGCCUCCGAAACCGCACCUUUUGAGUCCUGUACAGGAGAAGGGUGAUAAGGUUUUUGGGGAGCGCUCUGCGCGACUACUGAUUCUCCACUCCUUCGUCACGGACUCCGAUGACUACUUCCCCGACGACGAAUUCUUCCCCGAUGUCGACAACCUCCUCGAUGACAUGGCUGGCGAGGACACACACAAUGGGUAUACGAAAUCCAUGGGGGAAUGAGCCGAGCCGAUGUCUAAAUUUUUGCCACACACUAUGGGUAUACGAAAGGUCACUCGAAAGCUGAAACGUUCACUAAAUUCGUUUCGUCUCCCACGUUCCCUUUAGCUCCCGGCGCAGUCUCUUGCGCCUAUAAAAGGGAGGUCGCUCCUCUCAGUGAGACGCACCAAAACUACUUCCUCCUCUCGCCACCGGUUCCUGAGCACUGCGCUGCUGCUACGAUCUUCCCCAUCUCGGCUUGCGGCGUGCAUCGCAGGUCGGGACAGUAGGCCUCCGAAACCGCACCUUUUGAGUCCUGUACAGGAGAAGGGUGAUAAGGUUUUUGGGGAGCGCUCUGCGCGACUACUGAUUCUCCACUCCUUCGUCACGGACUCCGACGACUACUUCCCCGACGAUGAAUUCUUCCCCGAUGUCGACAACCUCCUCGAUGACAUGGCUGGCGAGGACACACACAAUGGGUAUACGAAAUCCAUGGGGGAAUGAGCCGAGCCGAUGUCUAAAUUUUUGCCACACACUAUGGGUAUACGAAAGGUCACUCGAAAGCUGAAACGUUCACUAAAUUCGUUUCGUCUCCCACGUUCCCUUUAGCUCCCGGCGCAGUCUCUUGCGCCUAUAAAAGGGAGGUCGCUCCUCUCAGUGAGACGCACCAGAACUACUUCCUCCUCUCGCCACCGGUUCCUGAGCACUGCGCUGCUGCUACGAUCUUCCCCAUCUCGGCUUGCGGCGUGCAUCGCAGGUCGGGACAGUAGGCCUCCGAAACCGCACCUUUUGAGUCCUGUACAGGAGAAGGGUGAUAAGGUUUUUGGGGAGCGCUCUGCGCGACUACUGAUUCUCCACUCCUUCGUCACGGACUCCGACGACUACUUCCCCGACGACGAAUUCUUCCCCGAUGUCGACAACCUCCUCGAUGACAUGGCUGGCGAGGACACCGACCAUGGGGGAAUGAGCCGAGCCGAUGUCUAAAUUUUUGCCACACACUAUGGGUAUACGAAUGGUCACUCGAAAGCUGAAACGUUCACUAAAUUCGUUUCGUCUCCCAUGUUCCCUUUAGCUCCCGGUGCAGUCUCUUGCGCCUAUAAAAGGGAGGUCGCUCCUCUCAGUGAGACGCACCAGAACUACUUCCUCCUCUCGCCACCGGUUCCUGAGCACUGCGCUGCUGCUACGAUCUUCCCCAUCUCGGCUUGCGGCGUGCAUCGCAAGUCGGGACAGUAGGCCUCCGAAACCGCACCUUUUGAGUCCUGUACAGGAGAAGGGUGAUAAUGUUUUUGGGGAGCGCUCUGCGCGACUACUGAUUCUCCACUCCUUCGUCACGGACUCCGACGACUACUUCCCCGACGACGAAUUCUUCCCCGAUGUCGACAACCUCCUCGAUGACAUGGCUGGCGAGGACACCGACCCCAAGUCCAGUGCUACCGCUACUGCCGCUGUCCCGUACGUGUUCUUACUCUUUCUAUUAGAGGUCAUGUUACAGUUCCUUGUUCUACUGUUUGCCCUAUAUAUGUUAGGCUCUACUUCAUAUAUGCUGCUUGCCCUAGAUAUGUUUGCCUACAGUUCAUAUGUGAAGAUGGUAUUUACCUUCUCUCUAUCAGUUUGCAUGACUUGCUUUAUCUCUGCUAUUUUAGUCAUGCUUUAUUCAGUAUUUCCGUUAAUAAAAUCAUAUGGUAAAUUGCUCAUAUUUCGAACAAUCCAAAAACCUUAUUAUAGGCAAUUUACCCCAAGUGGUUUUGCUGCUUCCGUAGGACCUCCUAUGUUUGAUGGUAUCCACUAUAAGAGGUGGCGCGUGAGAGCAGUCUUAUGGUUUCAAACCAUGAGUUGCUAUGACGCCACUCUUGGCAAACCUGAAGGAGAACAAGAUGCACAACAGGCACAAGCUUUUCAUAAAAUGGAUACUUGUUUAAGGCUGCUCUCUUGAGUGUUCUUGGUGAGAACAUAGUUGAUGCUUAUGCGUCAAUUGAUAAUGGAAAAUAUAUGUGGGACGCACUCGAGGCCAAGUUUGGGGUCUUGGAUGCUGGCACUGAGCUGUACAUCAUGGAGCAAUUCUAUGACUACAGGAUGACUGAAGAGCGCUCCGUGGUUGAGCAAGCUCAUGAGAUACAGUCAUUUGCUAGAGAACUUGAGCACUUCAAUUGUAUCCUACUGGACAAGUUUAUUGCCGGAGGUAUCAUCACUAAGCUUCCUCCCACGUGGAGGAACAUUGCUACCUUACUGAAGCAUAAGAGGCAGGAGUUUUCCGUUUCGGAUCUCAUUGGUACUCUUGAUGUGGAAGAAAAGGCGAGAGCAAAGGACAACCGUGCUCGAGGUAUUGAGGGAGGUUCUACUGCCAAUCUGAUACAGAAGAAGAAUUUCCAGCCCCACAAGUUCAAAAACAAGGGCAAGUUUGAUGGUAAAGCAAAGUUUGAUGGGAAGAACAAGGUUGUGCAGCACGCGAACUUCAAGAAGAAGAAUGACAAGAAGAAAGGUGUUUGUCAUGUGUGUGGGGAUCCUGAUCAUUGGGCUCCUAGUUGCCCUAAUCGCUAUGACAAGCGUCAUCCUGGGAAAGGCGGCAAGACCGCUAAUGUUGUCAUUGGAGAGACUGACAUGAAGGAUGUUGGGUAUGGUAUAUUUCCCACUAUUCUUUCAGUAUGUCAUUCACCUGAUUGGUUGAUUGAUACGGGUGCUAAUGUGCAUGUAUGCGGUGAUAUUUCCAUGUUUUCGUCUUAUCAGACUGUAGGGACUUCCACCGUGCUGAUGGGCAACGGUUCAAGUGCUUCUGUUCGUGGUGUUGGCACGGUUGAUCUGAAGUUUACUUCGGGGAAGAUCGUGCGGCUGAAGAACGUGCAUUAUGUCCCCUCCGUCAAUAAAAAUCUUGUUAGCAGAUCUCUUCUGUGUAGAGAUGGCUACAAGCUUUUCUUUGAGUCGAAUAAAUUUAUAAUAUCCAAGUAUUGAACCUUUGUUGGUAAAGGCUAUGAGUCAGGAGGCCUGUUUCGUUUAUCCUUAUGAGGCGUUUGCAAUAAAGUUAUUAAUCAUGUUUGCAACAAUAGUGAAUCAAAUGUGUGGCAUUCACGUCUUUGUCAUGUUAACCUUGGUUGCAUGUCACGAGUAGUGAAGUUGAACUUAAUCCCUAGUUUCACCACUGUCAAGGGAUCUAAGUGUCAAGUGUGUGUGCAAGCUAAGCAACCUCGUAAGUCUCAUGUGAGUGCGGAAACGAGAAAUCUUGCACCAUUAGAGUUCAUACAUUCAGAUCUAUGUGAAAUGAAUGGUGUUUUGACAAAAGGUGGAAAGAAGUAUUUUAUGACGUUAAUUGAUGACUCCACUAGAUACUGUCAUGUGUAUCUUCUAAAAUCUAAGGAUGAGGCUUUGAACUAUUUCAAGAUCUAUAAAGCUGAAGCGGAAAACCAACUUGAUUGAAAGAUCAAGAGGCUUAGGUCCGAUUGUGGUGGAGAGUAUUUCUCAAAUGAAUUUGAUUCCUUUUGUGCGGAACAUGGUAUAAUCCAUGAGAGGACGCCUUCCUAUUCACCUCAGUCAAAUGGGGUGGCCGAAAGAAAGAGCCGUACUCUAACUGAUUUGGUUAACGCCAUGUUAGACACAUCGGGUCUCUCCAAGGCAUGGUGGGGGGAGGCGAUAUUGACUGCAUGUCGUGUCCUAAACCGAGUUCCCACAAAGAACAAAGAGAUAACUCCAUUCGAGGAAUGGGAAAAGAAAAGGCUAAAGCUCUCUUAUCUACCAACAUGGGGUUGUUUGGCGAAAGUCAAUGUGCCAAUUCCAAAGAAGCGGAAGCUUGGACCAAAGACUGUGGAUUGUGUUUUCUUGGGAUAUGGUUUUCAUAGCAUUGGUAAUAGAUUCUUGGUUGUAAAAUCUGAGGUACCUGACAUGCAUGUCGGUACAAUCAUGGAGUCGAAUGAUGCGACUUUCUUUGAAGAUAUCUUUCCCAUGAAGGAUAUGGUACCUCAUCUAAUCAGGAGAUGCCUAGUUCAUCGAAUCAGGAACCAGUUACAAUUACUGAACCUGCCAUUUCGAUGGAACGCUUUGAAAGUCCUGUGGAGGAGAACAAUGAAGUUCCUACUAGGAGCAAGAGACAGAGGACUACAAAGUCCUUUGGUGAUGAUUUUCUUGUGUAUCUCAUAGAUGACACUCCCAGUUCUAUUUCAGAGGCCUAUACAUCUGAAGAUGCUGACUACUGGAAGGAAGCAGUUCGUAGCGAGAUGUAUUCCAUCUUGACGAAUGAAACUUGGGAGAUAACUGAUAGUCCUUAUGGGUGCAAACCUAUAGGAUGCAAAUGGGUAUUCAAGAAGAAGCUUAGGGCUGAUGGUACUAUUGAAUAUUACAAGACUCGGCUCGUGGCUAAGGGUUAUACCCAAAAGGAAGGUGAAGACUUCUUUGAUACUUACUCACCUAUGGAUCGAUUGACCACUAUUCGAGUUCUACUUUCACUAGUUGCCUCACAUGGUCUUCUCCUUCAUCAAAUGGAUGUUAAGACUGCUUUCCUAAACGGAGAGUUGGACGAGGAAAUUUAUAUUGAACAACCAGAUGGGUUUGUAAUAGAUGGUCAGGAAGGGAAAGUGUGCAAGUUGCUGAAGUCUUUGUAUGGACUCAAACAAGCACCCAAACAGUGGCAUGAGAAGUUUGAAAGAAUUUUAACAGCUGCAGGCUUUGUUGUGAACGAAGCUGACAGAUGUGUGUACUAUCGCUAUGGUGGGGGCGAGGGAGUUAUCCUUUUCUUGUAUGUUGAUGACAUACUGAUUUUUGGAACAAAUCUGAAUGUUAUUAAGGAGGUCAAGGAUUUCCUAUCUCGCUGUUUUGAGAUGAAGGAUUUAGGAGUGGCUGAUGUCAUUCUGAACAUCAAGUUGUUGAGGGACGAUGAUGGUGGGAUUACAUUGCUUCAAUCUCACUAUGUGGAAAAGAUCUUGAGUCGCUUUGGCUACAAUGACUUCAAGCCCUCUCCAACACCAUAUGAUGCUAGUGUGUUGCUUCGAAAGAAUCAAAGAAUUGCUAGAGAUCAAUUGAAAUAUUCUCAGGUUAUUGGCUCGCUCAUGUACUUAGCCAGUGCUACAAGACCUGACAUCUCUUUUGCUGUUAGCAAACUGAGUCGGUUUGUCUCAAAACCAGGAGAUGUGCAUUGGAAAGCUCUAGAGAGAGUUUUGCGUUAUUUGAAAGGCACUUCAAAUUAUGGAAUUCACUACACUGGGAACCCAAAGGUGCUUGAAGGGUAUAGUGACUCAAACUGGAUCUCAGAUGCUGAUGAGAUAAAGGCCACGAGCGGAUAUGUAUUCACUCAUGGAGGUGGCGCUAUUUCUUGGGAGUCUUGCAAGCAGACCAUCUUAACGAGGUCAACAAUGGAAGCAGAACUCACAACACUAGAUACAGAUACGGUCAAAGCAGAUUGGCUUCGCGGGCUCUUGAAUGACUUGCCCGUUGUUGAGAAACCUGUACCGGGUAUCCUUAUGAACUCCGACAAUCAAACUAUGAUCACGAAAGUGAACAACUCAAAGGAUAACAUGAAGUCAUGAAGACACGUUCGUAGAAGGUUUAAGUCUGUUAGAAAAAUGAGAAACUUCGGAGUUAUUGCAUUGGAUUAUAUCCAAACGUCUAAAAAUCUGACAGAUCCUUUUACUAAGGGUCUAUCACGUAAUGUGAUAGAUAAUGCAUCGAGGGAGAUGGGUAUUAGACCCACAAUAUGAGUUGUUCACAGUGGUAACCUAUUCUUUGUGAUCGGAGAUCCCGUGAAUUAGAUGUGGAAAACAAGCUGUUGGUCAACUGGGAGGAGAGUACCCUUACUGUUAAAAAAUACUACUCCAUAAAGAUGCAAUACUCUCCUAAUCUGCAUGGCAGGUUGAUGUAUAUCUUAAUGUGUUCUGAGUGGCUCUUUGAAGCAGAGAUGUUGUCCUGCAGAACAUCUUUUGAAGAACGGACCUAUAUGAGUUUGAUUGUUAAAUGUCGCAAUCUAUGAGAGUAGGGUUCUCUCUAGUAAACUCAUGAAAGGUCUCGGAGUAUGAUGCAUAAGCUCCAUACGCGGGGAAGACCCACGGUAGCCACGUAUUGGACAAGGCUUUGUGUGAAGCUAGAUUCACAUAAAACUUGUAGUUCAAGGCCCAGUCCACUGUUCAAGUUGCUUAAUAGUGUAGCAUAGAGUUCUAGGUGGAAGUUCAACUUAACAGUCUCCACUGCAGUACCGGUAUAUAAAACAGUGUUUUGGAACCAAAGGCAAAUUUUGUGUGCCUCUGGGAUCUGGUGGGGGAUUGCUGGAAUUUUUGUCUAUUUGGGCCUAGUCCAAUAGCAGUUUCAGAAAUUCCUAAUAAAUCCUAGAGGCCCACUCAGCCCAUUCGUGCAAGGCAAGAGGUGGAACUAAAGUUUAGUCCCACAUUGCUAGUUUAGAGGGAGUUGGACCUCUUUAUAAGGGAGGUUCUUUUCCCACUUGUAUGAGCAUGAGAACAAGAGGGACAUCCACGCGUGCUCCUCCUCCGCCGCCCACCUCGCCACGCCACGCCUCGCCUCGCCUUGUCUCGUCACGCCACGGGUUGCGGGAAUGAGCCAAGCCGAUGUAUAAAUUUUUUCCACGCACUACAGGUAUACGAAAGGUCACUCGAAAGCUGAAACGUUUUUCUGUAGUGGACACUGAAUCCGAACGUCGCGCCUCUUCUGCUGCUGCCUGUUCGUUUCGUCUCCCGCGUUCCCUUCAGCUCCCGGCGCAUCCUCUCGCCUCCUUCUCUUGCGCCUAUAAAAGGGAGGUCGCUCCUCUCAGUGAGGCGCACCAGAACCACUUCCUCCUCUCGCCACCGGUUCCUGAGCACUGCGCUGCUGCUAUGAUCUUCCCCAUCCCGGCUUGCGGCGUGCACCACAGGUUGGGACAGUAGGCCUCCGAAACCGCACCUAUUGAGUCCUGUACGGGAGAAGGGUGAUAAGGUUUUUGGGGAGCGCUCUGCGCGACUACUGACUCUCCACUCCUUCGUCACGGACUCCGAGGACUACUUCCCCGACGACGACUUCGUCACCGACGCCGACAACCUCCUCGACGACAUGGCUGGCGAGGACACCGACCCCAAGUUCAGUGCUACCACUACUGCCGCUGUCCCGUACGUGUUCUUACUCUUUCUGUUAGAGGUCAUGUCACAGUUCCUUGUUCUACUGUUUGCCCUACAUAUGUUAGGCUCUACUUCAUAUAUGCUGCUUGCCCUAGAUAUGUUUGCUUACAGUUCAUAUGUGAAGAUGAUAUUUACCUUCUCUCUGUUAGAUCGCAUGACUUGCUUUAUCUCUGCUAUUUUAGUCAUGCUUUUAUUCAGUAUUUCCGUUAAUAAAAUCAUAUGGUAAAUUGCUCAUAUUUCCAACAUAGAGUACCCCAACCCCACGGUGGUCUGGACCAGCAACAUGGUGACGCAGAUGGCGACAAUGGCGGCCAUCUUGAGUGUGAGCGCAGAGGCGGCAGCCAUUGAGGAUGGAUGUGCCUUGACGCGCGUGGAUGACAGGCUAGGUACAACGAAAUGAAUAAUACCAGGGAAGUUCGAUGACUAGAAUCAAAACCAAUAGUUGGACUGCUCGUAGCUACUGUAUUAAGGAAGGAGCGGGCAAUGCUCUUUUAUAGGCAAAGGAAAAUAAAACGCAAAAAAUAUAUUAUAACACGAGAUCUCUAUCUCCAGCUUGGAGAAGUAGUGGAUAUAUAUAAUACGCAUGCUGAUCACGUACACCACGUAACGUGUUGACUUUCAGGGAUUGUACAACUAACAUGUCAUAUGCUCUUGUUACUAUUACUAUUAUUACUAUUAUUAUCACAACAUACAUACACACACAUUUCAUCUAUCUGCAAAUGGUAUUCUCUAAUUUGUGUACUUAUUACUUUUAUGCUGCAUUUUGGCUAUAACUUCUAAAAAGUGUCUCCGACUAUGCAAAUUAUGUACCGUUAGAAAAAAAGUUAUACAUAUUAGUCACAACAUUAUUGUACUUGAUACUUUUACAAAUUUCUUAUGGUUUACGAGCAGUUUUACAAGCUCUAUCUCCAGCUUGGCAAAGUAGUAGCUGUCGGUGUUGCCUAACUGCAAAUCCACUCAUGUACACCAUGUGACGUGUUGACUUGAAGGGAUUCUACAACUAACAUCAGAUCCGCUCUUGAUGGUAGUAGUCGUAGUACUACCACCAGUAGUAAUAACAACAACAACAACAACAACAACAACAACAACAACAACAACAACAAUAAUAAUAAUAAUAAUAAUAAUAAUAAUAAUUGAUUAUGUAUAGUUGUAACAAUAUGUUGUGAAUAUAAGUAGAAUAAUGAAAUGAAAAACAUUUUCCUGUGCAUGGUUAAAUGUUGUGGUGGGACUUUUCCCAUGCAUGAUUACAUGUUGAGAUGGGCCUUAUACCAUUCAUAAUUGUAUGUUGAGGUGUCAUGUUUGCAUUCUUGAAAUAAUUAAGUUACUCCGCGUCAAUUGUUCUUAGCAUUGUGUGAUUACUGUGUUGGUGAUUUUGGUAUAGGAUUGUGCAACACUUGUUCUCAGCAUUGUGACUCAACAUAUUGUUCUAAAAAUAACUCACUUAUACAUGUGUGUGCUGAUCACGUACACCAUGUAACGUGUUGACUUCCAGGGAUUGAUUGUACAACUAACAUGUGAUACACUCAUGUUACUAUUAUUGUUAUUACUAUUAUUGUCACAACACACACACACACACACACACACACACACACACACACACACACACAUUUCAUCUAUCUACAAAUGGUAUUCUCCAAUUUGUGUAUGUAUUGUUUUAAUGCUGUACUUUGGCUAUAACUUCUAAAAAGUGUUUCCGAUUUUGCAAAUUAUAUAUCAUUAGGAAAGAAAGAUAUAUGGAUUAGUCACAAUUUUUUUGUACUUAGUACUUUUGAAAAUUUCUUAUGGUUUACGAGCAGGCUUACAAGCUCCAUCUCCAGCUUGGCAAAGUGGUAGCUGUUAGUACGUGUUGCCUUGAAAGGAUUGUACAACUAAUAGCAGAUCUGCUCAUGAUACAGUACUAGCAGCAGUAGUAGUAAUAGUAGUAACAACAACAACAACAACAACAACAACAACAACAACAACAACAACAACAAUAAUAAUAAUAAUAAUAAUAAUAAUAAUAAUAAUAAUAAUAAUAAUAAUAAUAAUAGUAAUAACAAUGUUGUGAUGCGUCUUUUCCCAUGCAUGAUAACAUGUUGAGGUGGGCCUUAUACCAUUCAUAAUUGUAUGAUGAGGUGGCAUGCUUGCAUGUUGAGAUAAUUAAGUUAGUAAAAACGACUCUCUUAGGUAUAUAGUAUUCUGCAACAAUUGUUCUCAACACUGUGUACCUACUGUGUUGACGAUUUGUUUUGGCCUUUUUCUAGAAAUGGAGGAAUGCCCCCGGUCUCUGCAUCAAAAUGAUGCAUGCAGCCAUUUAUUAAAAACAGGUCCAAAAAGUCUCAGUACCAGAACAAGCUCUCUCAGAGCUGAAAAUCAGAAGUAAAUACAACCACAACCGGCGAAAAUAGAAACAUAUGACUAUACACCUAUCCUAUUACAUGUUUGCCAUCCAAACCGACUGAAGACAUCCCGAGCUACCAUCACCCAUCAGGUAGACCCAGUAACCAAAGGCUCAGUACCAGAACAAGCUCUCUCAGAGCUGAUAACAUGUUGAGGUAGACCCAUUUAAAUAUGUUUUUUCAUAUUUUCAAAAUAGCGAACUCACUGGAGCUCGGCCUCCAAAAAUCCGAACCCGUGCUUUUGAUUGAAUUCUUGUUUCGUUUCUGCUUGGUUUUUGCUCAGCUCUUGGGUAAGUUCACCCGGCUGUAAGAUUUUUCCCACUUCCAUAAUGGAAAUCAGCAUGUCUAUGUGCUUCAGUAAAAAAAAACUAGAGUGUAAUCCAUGUGGAUGACAUGUCACCAUCCAAUGCUAGGUGGACAGUACCGUAGGUGGAUGCCAUAUCUAUCAUCGAUAUUGUCCACCAGUCCGGUUAACCCUUUUGAACAAAGUUGAACCUCUUUAUGAAUAUUUAUUCAAGCCGGUCAAUGUUUUGGGACCAAGGGCAUGCUUACUAUUUAUAUAUUGAAAGACAAGCAUCUACCAUUCCAAUUAACCAAUAGUUCUGUAUAAUUCGUCCUUAUUACAAAAAAAAGCUUUUAGGAAAAUGGCAUCCUCAGUUGGAUGGCAUUUUCUCCUUCACGCUGCAGCAGAAGCCCUUCGGCCCAAUCCCACCACAGCAGGCUUUAGACAGAUCCAAACCAUGGAUUGCACACAGUGCUUGGCACGACUUAUCCGCGCAGUCUUCCAAAGGGUAACAUAGGUAUGCGAGCUCUGCAGAUCAUGCACAGCAAAGACAACAACCAGUUAGCUAGUAUACAUACUGCACUAGAUCUUUUUUAUUUGUUGGAACAUGAAAAUAUAUGAGUACAAUAAUAAAAGGAUUAUUUGCGACAAGGAAAUAAAAAUACCUUUGCUGCACUUUGCUGCUGCUGCUUGGCAAGACCAAAAACUGGUGCACAUGACCAGUAGAGCUACCAAACACAUAGCCUUCUUGUUGUUGCUGAUAAACGCCAUCAUCAGUUAGCCUUCCUUUUCUUCCUUGUUGUUCUAAUCUUAUAUGCCACCAAGUACAACAAUAUUCUUUUUCUAUGUGUUUAUUUAGAUGCAUGUGACCUAUUCUUUCAUGGAUUUUCUUCCCAUUCAUGGGUACUAUAUAUAAUGCAUAAUUAAAUGGUAGUAUUAUGUAUACGCACUAUUACUUACCAAAACCUUCCGUUUGUGAUAUAUAUUGAUAGGAGUUUUUUCUAGAUUUUGAUAUCCUUCAUAUUAAUUCAUAACUAAACAAGAAUCACACCAUUACCUCGCCAAAAUAAAGAAUAGGAAUCAUAUCAAAUCUUUGGAUGUAUCUGCACAUAGCUUGUUGCCAAGGUUCAUGAAAUUCUUUAGUUAGAAUUAAAGUUUAUUCAUAACUUAUAUUUCUUUCGCAUGAUAUUUCGUGAUCGUGAUGGAUCGGGCAGUAUGUUGGAAGUCGGACUCGGAGGAGGUAGCAACGCCCGUUUGUCUUAAUUGCUGGCGAUUUUAUACGGAGCACCGCCAGGGGAACGUACAGUCUAGUUGCAGCGGUUUUUAGGGGUUAGUUGCAGCGUUUCAUUAUGAUGUUUACUGUGUUAACAACAUAGGAAACAUAGUCGUGCCAGUAACUUCUUCUAAAAAAUCCCUCAAAAAAAAACUUCUUCUGAAAAAAGAAUAUAUGAAUUGCGAGUCUCUCAUCCCAUGCUUACUGUGUUUACAACAUAGGAAACAAACACACAGGUCGGCAAAGUAAACGGUCAAAUUGUACAUGUGCACGUGAAAGGAACAACAUACGUACAUAUACACAACACACUUAGAGUAGUAAGAGCGAGGUUGGAUAGAGGUGUUGCUACCCCUUCUUGGUCUGAACAUUUUAAGUAUGCAACGGUUGAGCACAUCUGUUCUUCUCGCUCAGACCACCUGCCCGUUCUCUUGAGGCUGGGAGGACGGAAAGAAUGGAGGCCGGUAGGAGAAAAGACAAAACGUCCUUUCCGAUACGAGCACAUGUGGGAACGAGCUACAUCCCUAAAAAAGGCAAUAGAAGAGGGAUGGAACCAUACAGCUACAACAAACAACCUACAGGAAGUGUGCAGCAAAAUCAGUCGCAUGCAGCAAGAUUUGAAAGGCUGUGCCAAUAGAGACUUUGGGUCAAUAAUAAAGAAGUCAGCAUCGAUCCGGAAGGGAUUAAGCUAUUUAUGGAACGGCCCAUGGUCGGAAGCUAGCCAGAGAGAGAUCAAAAAACUCUCAGCUGAACUAGAUGAACUCUUGCUGAGGGAAGAAAUCAUGUGGAGGCAAAGAUCGAGGGCCACGUACCUAAGGGAAGGCGAUCGAAACACUAAGUGGCUCCAGUGGAAAGCAACAUGGCGGAAGAAAAAGAUGCAGUGACGUCUCUGAGAACUUCAUGUCGUAUGCAGCAAAAGAAGUACACCUGAAAUCUAUAGUACAGGCUCUACCGUGCUACACAAUGGGUGUCUUCCUCUUCUCGAAAGGCUUUUGCGAGAAAUACGAAAGGAUGAUUAGAGACUUUUGGUGGGGAGAAGAGGAAGGCCAUAGGAAAGUACACUGAAUGUCAUGGGAACGCAUGAUAAAACCAAAGCGAGCGGGAGGUAUAGGAUUCAGAGAUAUGCACCUCUUCAAUCUAGCUCUUCUAGCUAAACAGAGUUGGAGACUCCUCCAAAAUCCGGAUAGCCUAUGCGCCAGAGUGAUCAAGUCAAAGUACUACCCACAUGGCAAUCUGCUAGACACUGUUUUUGCGUCAGAUGCUUCACCGGUCUGGAGAGGGGUAGAGGCAGGCCUAGAAUUACUUAAGAAAGGAAUCAUCUGGAGGGUGGGAAAUGGAAAGAACAUCCAAAUACAGAGAAAUCAGUGGAUUCCUAGAAAUUAAGGUCUUAAAAUAGCUGUGUUUGUGAGGAGAUCGAGACUCCGAUGGGUGAACCAGCUAAUGCUCCCGGAUAGGAAGGAGUGGAAUGUUGAUCUCAUUAAGCAAAUCUUUCAUGACUUCGAUGCGGAAGAGAUCUGCAAAAUCCGCAUUCCAAGCGCCGAUGUGGAGGACUGUAUUGCUUGGCACUGCGAGCGGAACGGUGUGUUUUCAGUAAAAAGUGCUUAUAAGCUUGCCGCAUCACUCAAAGGCCAAGCUGUUCCUGCACCAUCUAGCUCAUCCGGGACACCGCAAGAUAGGAGCAUCUGGGACCUCAUCUGGAAGGCAAGGGUUCCACCUAAAGUAAGAAUAUUUGGGUGGAGGAUCGCAACGAACACACUAGCAACAAAAAAGAACAAGUACAGAAGAUCGUUGGAGUUGGAUAAUACUUGCAAUCUAUGUGGAUGUAGAGAGGAAGAUGAAUUUCAUGCAGUCAUUGAGUGUACAAAGAGCAGAGCGCUUAGGGAUGCCCUGAGGAAAGAUUGGGACAUGGCACCGGAAGUUUGUUUCCGGUGUACCGGUCCUGGUUGGCUGCAACUUCUGCUAAGCACUGUACAUGAGGCCACACGAACGAGGAUUCUACUGCUUCUAUGGAGGUGCUGGUUUAUGAGGGAUAACUGUGUCCAUGGUAACGGGAAAGAAACAAUCAGACAAUCGGUCUCCUUCCUGUUAAAAUAUGAGGAAGAAUUGCAACAAGCUGCGCUAAAUCCCAUCUCUGAUUCAGAGAAGUCGCCUGCCAUGCUGACGGAGACACCCAUCCGGGAGGCAACCCAGGAACUCAGGAGGUGGGCUGCACCCGAGCGGGGAAUCGCAAAGAUCAACUCUGAUGCGGCCUUCCUCCCGGACAGUGGGCAAAGCUGGACUGGUGCUGUUGCUAGGGAGUAGGGACUACAAAGGACACGUAUUCCUAUCAGUAGGCAAGUAUCUUGCGACCUCAAGCUGUGUCGAGGAGGCAGAGCUGCGUGCAGCCUUAAUUGGAGUGCAGACACUAGGAGCAAAGUAUCGGGGGCUAGUGGAGCUGGAAAUGGAUUGCAAGGUCGCAACUGAUAUGCUAAAUGCCCCAGGUGUGCUCCGCUCUCCGCACUUUGGGAUAAUCCAUGACAUCAAAGAGGCACUGUCGAGGUUUGCAUCUCACAAAAUUACCUUUGCUGGGAGGAAAUGCAACAACCUCGCACACGAAAUGGCAGCGACGGCUAGACUGAAUGGAGAUGUACUUAUGAUCGUGAGAGUUCCUGAUUCUCUUCAGACCCUGAUGCUCUCUGAAUGUACUCCUCCUCUUGAGUAUCUUUACUCUUGUUUCUCAAAAAAAAAGACAUGAUUCGAAAAAACUUUAAGGAAGAGAGCACACUAAAGGUAGAUCGAUGAUGAUCGAGGAGUUCCGGGAUAACGCGUGCACCCAGGAUGCACAACAGAGCGGCCGGUCGGCUGCCAGCAGAUCAGGGGCUCGAAAUGGACUCGCACAGGUUCUUACAGAAGGUUAUGCAGGCGCUGAAGACCUUGUCGACGCAGACCGUACUCGCCGCCGGCAAGACGGCACAGACGGCCUGGCACAUGGCCGGUGAGGUUUUGUCGCACCCGGCAAGGCAUUUUGUUUGGCAGGAACAACUACGCAAGCUUGAUAAUCAUCCUUCCUUCAACUGCUUCAUGUUCACAAUGGCGUCACAACAAGCUGAGACAUCAUUUUUUUCUGACGGGAGAGUUCACAGUGGGUACAACGUACAAGUAAUACUAGGACUUCAGAUAAAUCCUCGUGUCUCUUGCUAUCAUUGAAUUCAGUGUGAUGAGGUUGUGGCUCAAUGGACUGUCGCGCGUGGGUCAUGUUGGGCUCUGCCAACCGCGUGUGGUUGCAUCAACUACGACAACUACUACAUCGAGCACGACUACCGCAGCAUCAUUAUAAGCUCCUCGACAUCGAAAUCAUGGGUUACGUCUAUAACCACUCAUCGGCAACAACUUCACUCAUCUAUGACACUCUCGUUAUGAUUGCCAGAGGGGAUCAAUAACCUCCCUAGUGUCCACCCAUCGCCAUAAAGUAACCUCCCUAGGUGUCCACCCAUCGCCAUAAAGAGACGCAUUUGAUCGAUGACACACCAUAAAGCGAAGAAGGCACGGAAUAAUAAGUCGUCAAGUCCGGACGUAAUCGUCUGCUUUGCUCCUGCUUUACUCACGCUAGGACUACAUGGAUGCUAGAAGUACAAACAACACACACAUAGUGAUCAAUAUAGUAUUAAUUUGAACUCCCAACUUACUCAAAGCUUCUCCCCUAACAUUGUAGUCUAUGUGAAAAUAAAUGCCACGAGGUCAGAUCGAUUAUACUACUCAAUAGAACAAUUUCCAGGGUUCCAAUAUGUUGUACAAGGCCGAGGAUUGUUAGUGCAAAUCAAUCACGUCCCGUAUGAUUUACGAUCUACUCUCCAGGUCAGUGGGUCCAUCACCAUGUCCGGCGGGAGGACGAAGGACGGCCCAUCGUCCCAGCGUCGGACAUGACGAUCCUUCAAGACGCCUGGGAAGUACGUGUAGAAGCGCUGUAGGAGGUGGUGGUCGUCGACGAUGGCGCGCCACGCGCGGCAGGUCGCCUGGCACUGGACGAGGGCGCAUGGUGUCAGGCGUCGGAGGACGUCGACGAGCAGGUUGUAGGGGAGGCACAUGCCGUUUCCCCUGUCUUUGGGGUCCAUCGUGGGCGCUGGCUUCCUUCCUUCACCGCCGGCUGUCGCACCGGGGACAGGAACCGGCCCGAUCUGAAGAGACUUAUCGUUAGUAAUCAAAAUCUGGAUUCGAUCGAUCGACCUAAGCAAAGAUCCUGGCUGGAAGAUCGAGCUAUAUAUAUGUAUAUGAACUAGCAAUGUAUAUAUGCCCGUAAAAUAAAAAGAAAUCUACUCCUAGCAGCCAGUAUAUAUAAUCGGACGGCAUGGUCUGUGUCCGUAUGGAGAUCGACAAAUCGAUCGAGGCGUAGUUGGACUCAGACUCGGAGUAGGCAUGCAGGAUUCCUAUACUUGUAAAAUAGGCAAGGUUUUUUCUUUUUCUUUCUUUACGAGUUACUACUUGUAAAAAAAAAGGCCAGUUAACAGGAGAGCACAAUAUCUGGCUGAAGAUCCAUGCAGAGCCGGGUCACAAGAGAUUGCUUUCACAUUAAUCCAGGAGAGUAGUGCACCCAACUGUAGACCAUGACCAUGUCUACACAUCAAGCAACUAACCAUCACGGGAUACAACAAAAUGCUCAGGUAUACAUACGUAUAAACGUAAUAUGAAUUUCAACAGCAAGAUAGCAAGUUUCCGGUGAAAUGGGCAGAGCAGACGAAGGUGUAUAUCCACAGAAAGAGGGUAUGUAUGUGCACAAGUUUCAGCGAUUGAUCAGCCAGCUGAUAGAUACCACUUGUGGAUCAGUCCGGUGUCAGAAGUUGGAUAACUGGAGAGAAGGCUCAGGCCAGUUCUGUAACAUGAAGUUCAUGACAUCGGUGUGCGACAUGCUCUGAUUUCUCGGUAUCAGCUCCAUACACUCCUUCANNNNNNNNNNNNNNNNNNNNNNNNNNNNNNNNNNNNNNNNNNNNNNNNNNNNNNNNNNNNNNNNNNNNNNNNNNNNNNNNNNNNNNNNNNNNNNNNNNNNNNNNNNNNNNNNNNNNNNNNNNNNNNNNNNNNNNNNNNNNNNNNNNNNNNNNNNNNNNNNNNNNNNNNNNNNNNNNNNNNNNNNNNNNNNNNNNNNNNNNNNNNNNNNNNNNNNNNNNNNNNNNNNNNNNNNNNNNNNNNNNNNNNNNNNNNNNNNNNNNNNNNNNNNNNNNNNNNNNNNNNNNNNNNNNNNNNNNNNNNNNNNNNNNNNNNNNNNNNNNNNNNNNNNNNNNNNNNNNNNNNNNNNNNNNNNNNNNNNNNNNNNNNNNNNNNNNNNNNNNNNNNNNNNNNNNNNNNNNNNNNNNNNNNNNNNNNNNNNNNNNNNNNNNNNNNNNNNNNNNNNNNNNNNNNNNNNNNNNNNNNNNNNNNNNNNNNNNNNNNNNNNNNNNNNNNNNNNNNNNNNNNNNNNNNNNNNNNNNNNNNNNNNNNNNNNNNNNNNNNNNNNNNNNNNNNNNNNNNNNNNNNNNNNNNNNNNNNNNNNNNNNNNNNNNNNNNNNNNNNNNNNNNNNNNNNNNNNNNNNNNNNNNNNNNNNNNNNNNNNNNNNNNNNNNNNNNNNNNNNNNNNNNNNNNNNNNNNNNNNNNNNNNNNNNNNNNNNNNNNNNNNNNNNNNNNNNNNNNNNNNNNNNNNNNNNNNNNNNNNNNNNNNNNNNNNNNNNNNNNNNNNNNNNNNNNNNNNNNNNNNNNNNNNNNNNNNNNNNNNNNNNNNNNNNNNNNNNNNNNNNNNNNNNNNNNNNNNNNNNNNNNNNNNNNNNNNNNNNNNNNNNNNNNNNNNNNNNNNNNNNNNNNNNNNNNNNNNNNNNNNNNNNNNNNNNNNNNNNNNNNNNNNNNNNNNNNNNNNNNNNNNNNNNNNNNNNNNNNNNNNNNNNNNNNNNNNNNNNNNNNNNNNNNNNNNNNNNNNNNNNNNNNNNNNNNNNNNNNNNNNNNNNNNNNNNNNNNNNNNNNNNNNNNNNNNNNNNNNNNNNNNNNNNNNNNNNNNNNNNNNNNNNNNNNNNNNNNNNNNNNNNNNNNNNNNNNNNNNNNNNNNNNNNNNNNNNNNNNNNNNNNNNNNNNNNNNNNNNNNNNNNNNNNNNNNNNNNNNNNNNNNNNNNNNNNNNNNNNNNNNNNNNNNNNNNNNNNNNNNNNNNNNNNNNNNNNNNNNNNNNNNNNNNNNNNNNNNNNNNNNNNAAAUCUAAGGAUGAGGCUUUGAACUAUUUCAAGAUCUAUAAAGCUGAAGCGGAAAACCAACUUGAUUGAAAGAUCAAGAGGCUUAGGUCCGAUUGUGGUGGAGAGUAUUUCUCAAAUGAAUUUGAUUCCUUUUGUGCGGAACAUGGUAUAAUCCAUGAGAGGACGCCUUCCUAUUCACCUCAGUCAAAUGGGGUGGCCGAAAGAAAGAGCCGUACUCUAACUGAUUUGGUUAACGCCAUGUUAGACACAUCGGGUCUCUCCAAGGCAUGGUGGGGGGAGGCGAUAUUGACUGCAUGUCGUGUCCUAAACCGAGUUCCCACAAAGAACAAAGAGAUAACUCCAUUCGAGGAAUGGGAAAAGAAAAGGCUAAAGCUCUCUUAUCUACCAACAUGGGGUUGUUUGGCGAAAGUCAAUGUGCCAAUUCCAAAGAAGCGGAAGCUUGGACCAAAGACUGUGGAUUGUGUUUUCUUGGGAUAUGGUUUUCAUAGCAUUGGUAAUAGAUUCUUGGUUGUAAAAUCUGAGGUACCUGACAUGCAUGUCGGUACAAUCAUGGAGUCGAAUGAUGCGACUUUCUUUGAAGAUAUCUUUCCCAUGAAGGAUAUGGUACCUCAUCUAAUCAGGAGAUGCCUAGUUCAUCGAAUCAGGAACCAGUUACAAUUACUGAACCUGCCAUUUCNNNNNNNNNNNNNNNNNNNNNNNNNNNNNNNNNNNNNNNNNNNNNNNNNNNNNNNNNNNNNNNNNNNNNNNNNNNNNNNNNNNNNNNNNNNNNNNNNNNNNNNNNNNNNNNNNNNNNNNNNNNNNNNNNNNNNNNNNNNNNNNNNNNNNNNNNNNNNNNNNNNNNNNNNNNNNNNNNNNNNNNNNNNNNNNNNNNNNNNNNNNNNNNNNNNNNNNNNNNNNNNNNNNNNNNNNNNNNNNNNNNNNNNNNNNNNNNNNNNNNNNNNNNNNNNNNNNNNNNNNNNNNNNNNNNNNNNNNNNNNNNNNNNNNNNNNNNNNNNNGUAGCGAGAUGUAUUCCAUCUUGACGAAUGAAACUUGGGAGAUAACUGAUAGUCCUUAUGGGUGCAAACCUAUAGGAUGCAAAUGGGUAUUCAAGAAGAAGCUUAGGGCUGAUGGUACUAUUGAAUAUUACAAGACUCGGCUCGUGGCUAAGGGUUAUACCCAAAAGGAAGGUGAAGACUUCUUUGAUACUUACUCACCUAUGGAUCGAUUGACCACUAUUCGAGUUCUACUUUCACUAGUUGCCUCACAUGGUCUUCUCCUUCAUCAAAUGGAUGUUAAGACUGCUUUCCUAAACGGAGAGUUGGACGAGGAAAUUUAUAUUGAACAACCAGAUGGGUUUGUAAUAGAUGGUCAGGAAGGGAAAGUGUGCAAGUUGCUGAAGUCUUUGUAUGGACUCAAACAAGCACCCAAACAGUGGCAUGAGAAGUUUGAAAGAAUUUUAACAGCUGCAGGCUUUGUUGUGAACGAAGCUGACAGAUGUGUGUACUAUCGCUAUGGUGGGGGCGAGGGAGUUAUCCUUUUCUUGUAUGUUGAUGACAUACUGAUUUUUGGAACAAAUCUGAAUGUUAUUAAGGAGGUCAAGGAUUUCCUAUCUCGCUGUUUUGAGAUGAAGGAUUUAGGAGUGGCUGAUGUCAUUCUGAACAUCAAGUUGUUGAGGGACGAUGAUGGUGGGAUUACAUUGCUUCAAUCUCACUAUGUGGAAAAGAUCUUGAGUCGCUUUGGCUACAAUGACUUCAAGCCCUCUCCAACACCAUAUGAUGCUAGUGUGUUGCUUCGAAAGAAUCAAAGAAUUGCUAGAGAUCAAUUGAAAUAUUCUCAGGUUAUUGGCUCGCUCAUGUACUUAGCCAGUGCUACAAGACCUGACAUCUCUUUUGCUGUUAGCAAACUGAGUCGGUUUGUCUCAAAACCAGGAGAUGUGCAUUGGAAAGCUCUAGAGAGAGUUUUGCGUUAUUUGAAAGGCACUUCAAAUUAUGGAAUUCACUACACUGGGAACCCAAAGGUGCUUGAAGGGUAUAGUGACUCAAACUGGAUCUCAGAUGCUGAUGAGAUAAAGGCCACGAGCGGAUAUGUAUUCACUCAUGGAGGUGGCGCUAUUUCUUGGGAGUCUUGCAAGCAGACCAUCUUAACGAGGUCAACAAUGGAAGCAGAACUCACAACACUAGAUACAGAUACGGUCAAAGCAGAUUGGCUUCGCGGGCUCUUGAAUGACUUGCCCGUUGUUGAGAAACCUGUACCGGGUAUCCUUAUGAACUCCGACAAUCAAACUAUGAUCAUGAAAGUGAACAACUCAAAGGAUAACAUGAAGUCAUGAAGACACGUUCGUAGAAGGUUUAAGUCUGUUAGAAAAAUGAGAAACUUCGGAGUUAUUGCAUUGGAUUAUAUCCAAACGUCUAAAAAUCUGACAGAUCCUUUUACUAAGGGUCUAUCACGUAAUGUGAUAGAUAAUGCAUCGAGGGAGAUGGGUAUUAGACCCACAAUAUGAGUUGUUCACAGUGGUAACCUAUUCUUUGUGAUCGGAGAUCCCGUGAAUUAGAUGUGGAAGACAAGCUGUUGGUCAACUGGGAGGAGAGUACCCUUACUGUUAAAAAAUACUACUCCAUAAAGAUGCAAUACUCUCCUAAUCUGCAUGGCAGGUUGAUGUAUAUCUUAAUGUGUUCUGAGUGGCUCUUUGAAGCAAAGAUGUUGUCCUGCAGAACAUCUUUUGAAGAACGGACCUAUAUGAGUUUGAUUGUUAAAUGUCGCAAUCUAUGAUAGUAGGGUUCUCUCUAGUAAACUCAUGAAAGGUCUCGGAGUAUGAUGCAUAAGCUCCAUACGCGGGGAAGACCCACGGUAGCCACGUAUUGGACAAGGCUUUGUGUGAAGCUAGAUUCACAUAAAACUUGUAGUUCAAGGCCCAGUCCACUGUUCAAGUUGCUUAAUAGUGUAGCAUAGAGUUCUAGGUGGAAGUUCAACUUAACAGUCUCCACUGCAGUACCGGUAUAUAAAACAGUGUUUUGGAACCAAAGGCAAAUUUUGUGUGCCUCUGGGAUCUGGUGGGGGAUUGCUGGAAUUUUUGUCUAUUUGGGCCUAGUCCAAUAGCAGUUUCAGAAAUUCCUAAUAAAUCCUAGAGGCCCACUCAGCCCAUUCGUGCAAGGCAAGAGGUGGAACUAAAGUUUAGUCCCACAUUGCUAGUUUAGAGGGAGUUGGACCUCUUUAUAAAGGAGGUUCUUUUCCCACUUGUAUGAGCAUGAGAACAAGAGGGACAUCCACGCGCGCUCCUCCUCCGCCGCCCACCUCGCCACGCCACGCCUCGCCUCGCCUUGUCUCGUCACGCCACGGGUUGCGGGAAUGAGCCGAGCCGAUGUAUAAAUUUUUUCCACGCACUACAGGUAUACGAAAGGUCACUCGAAAGCUGAAACGUUUUUCUGUAGUGGACACUGAAUCCGAACGUCGCGCCUCUUCUGCUGCUGCCUGUUCGUUUCGUCUCCCGCGUUCCCUUCAGCUCCCGGCGCAUCCUAUCGCCUCCUUCUCUUGCGCCUAUAAAAGGGAGGUCGCUCCUCUCAGUGAGGCGCACCAGAACCACUUCCUCCUCUCGCCACCGGUUCCUGAGCACUGCGCUGCUGCUAUGAUCUUCCCCAUCCCGGCUUGCGGCGUGCACCACAGGUUGGGACAGUAGGCCUCCGAAACCGCACCUAUUGAGUCCUGUACGGGAGAAGGGUGAUAAGGUUUUUGGGGAGCGCUCUGCGCGACUACUGACUCUCCACUCCUUCGUCACGGACUCCGAGGACUACUUCCCCGACGACGACUUCGUCACCGACGCCGACAACCUCCUCGACGACAUGGCUGGCGAGGACACCGACCCCAAGUUCAGUGCUACCGCUACUGCCGCUGUCCCGUACGUGUUCUUACUCUUUCUGUUAGAGGUCAUGUCACAGUUCCUUGUUCUACUGUUUGCCCUACAUAUGUUAGGCUCUACUUCAUAUAUGCUGCUUGCCCUAGAUAUGUUUGCUUACAGUUCAUAUGUGAAGAUGAUAUUUACCUUCUCUCUGUUAGAUCGCAUGACUUGCUUUAUCUCUGCUAUUUUAGUCAUGCUUUUAUUCAGUAUUUCCGUUAAUAAAAUCAUAUGGUAAAUUGCUCAUAUUUCCAACAUAGAGUACCCCAACCCCACGGUGGUCUGGACCAGCAACAUGGUGACGCAGAUGGCGACAAUGGCGGCCAUCUUGAGUGUGAGCGCAGAGGCGGCAGCCAUUGAGGAUGGAUGUGCCUUGACGCGCGUGGAUGACAGGCUAGGUACAACGAAAUGAAUAAUACCAGGGAAGUUCGAUGACUAGAAUCAAAACCAAUAGUUGGACUGCUCGUAGCUACUGUAUUAAGGAAGGAGCGGGCAAUGCUCUUUUAUAGGCAAAGGAAAAUAAAACGCAAAAAAUAUAUUAUAACACGAGAUCUCUAUCUCCAGCUUGGAGAAGUAGUGGAUAUAUAUAAUACGCAUGCUGAUCACGUACACCACGUAACGUGUUGACUUUCAGGGAUUGUACAACUAACAUGUCAUAUGCUCUUGUUACUAUUACUAUUAUUACUAUUAUUAUCACAACAUACAUACACACACAUUUCAUCUAUCUGCAAAUGGUAUUCUCUAAUUUGUGUACUUAUUACUUUUAUGCUGCAUUUUGGCUAUAACUUCUAAAAAGUGUCUCCGACUAUGCAAAUUAUGUACCGUUAGAAAAAAAGUUAUACAUAUUAGUCACAACAUUAUUGUACUUGAUACUUUUACAAAUUUCUUAUGGUUUACGAGCAGUUUUACAAGCUCUAUCUCCAGCUUGGCAAAGUAGUAGCUGUCGGUGUUGCCUAACUGCAAAUCCACUCAUGUACACCAUGUGACGUGUUGACUUGAAGGGAUUCUACAACUAACAUCAGAUCCGCUCUUGAUGGUAGUAGUCGUAGUACUACCACCAGUAGUAAUAACAACAACAACAACAACAACAACAACAACAAUAAUAAUAAUAAUAAUAAUAAUAAUAAUUGAUUAUGUAUAGUUGUAACAAUAUGUUGUGAAUAUAAGUAGAAUAAUGAAAUGAAAAAUAUUUUCCUGUGCAUGGUUAAAUGUUGUGGUGGGACUUUUCCCAUGCAUGAUUACAUGUUGAGAUGGGCCUUAUACCAUUCAUAAUUGUAUGUUGAGGUGUCAUGUUUGCAUUCUUGAAAUAAUUAAGUUACUCCGCGUCAAUUGUUCUUAGCAUUGUGUGAUUACUGUGUUGGUGAUUUUGGUAUAGGAUUGUGCAACACUUGUUCUCAGCAUUGUGACUCAACAUAUUGUUCUAAAAAUAACUCACUUAUACAUGUGUGUGCUGAUCACGUACACCAUGUAACGUGUUGACUUCCAGGGAUUGAUUGUACAACUAACAUGUGAUACACUCAUGUUACUAUUAUUGUUAUUACUAUUAUUGUCACAACACACACACACACACACACACACACACACACACAUUUCAUCUAUCUACAAAUGGUAUUCUCCAAUUUGUGUAUGUAUUGUUUUAAUGCUGUACUUUGGCUAUAACUUCUAAAAAGUGUUUCCGAUUUUGCAAAUUAUAUAUCAUUAGGAAAGAAAGAUAUAUGGAUUAGUCACAAUUUUUUUGUACUUAGUACUUUUGAAAAUUUCUUAUGGUUUACGAGCAGGCUUACAAGCUCCAUCUCCAGCUUGGCGAAGUGGUAGCUGUUAGUACGUGUUGCCUUGAAAGGAUUGUACAACUAAUAGCAGAUCUGCUCAUGAUACAGUACUAGCAGCAGUAGUAGUAAUAGUAGUAACAACAACAACAACAACAACAACAACAACAACAACAACAACAACAAUAACAACAACAACAACAACAACAACAACAACAAUAAUAAUAAUAAUAAUAAUAAUAAUAAUAAUAAUAAUAAUANNNNNNNNNNNNNNNNNNNNNNNNNNNNNNNNNNNNNNNNNNNNNNNNNNNNNNNNNNNNNNNNNNNNNNNNNNNNNNNNNNNNNNNNNNNNNNNNNNNNGUGAACCUUGUCCAGUAGUUCAGCGGGGCCCUAUGAUCAGAACGACACCAGAAUCAGAUGCGUGAAUGAUCCUUGUUACGUCUUUGUCGAGCGGCACGGCAUGACUCACUACCAGAAUAAUUGGCGAUGCCGACGGCCGAACCUAUGCCGACGGCACCUGUCGGCAUAGAUAGGCCUAUCCUGACGGCCCAGGCCGUCGGCAUAGAAAAGCCGUCGGCGUAUAUCCAUCUAUGCCGACGGCCCCCGUCGGCAAAGCUCAGCCGUCGGCGUCACGAGAAAUAUGCCUACGGUGGCCGUCGGCAUAGAGGGGCCCGUCGGCAUAGCACGUGGGCCCGGCAACCCGGGCGGAAACGGCCUUUUGACGGUGUCAGUAUACGCCGACGGGCUAACGGCGGCCGUCGGCAUAGCCCCCACGUCAUCGAUUCGCGUCGCCCGCCACGUCAUCGAUCCAUGUCGCUCGCUGUUUCGUGGGGUGGCAAAUCUAUGCCAACGGCCUGGCCGUCGACAUACGCCUGGCCCAUGGAUGUUGCCAUGUCAUCGAUCCCCGCCCUUUGCCACGUCAACGAUCCGUGGCCGUGUGCGCAGGUAUGCCGACGGCUUUGCCAUCGGCAUACCUCUAUUUUUAGUUUUUUUAAUUUAUAAUUUAUAUUAUUUACUUUUUCCUGUUUUUUUCACAACAUAAAUGUGCCUUAUCUAACAAAAAAAACAUACCCCGAUGGUAUAUCGAUUGCCCCCCUCACGGACGUUGCUGCCGCCGUGCCCCACAGCGACGCCGGUGAGGGGGGACACACCCCGGAGCUGCGUGCCGGGUGCCUGCGCCAGCCACCAUGCUUCCACAACCGUAGGAGGGCCCAAAGCAACACCUAGCGGCAUUGCUACCCCCCCCAGGUACACCAUCCCGUCUAACCGGGCCCUCAUACAUGCGGGGCGGUGUGGUGCCAUGUCUGAAGAGGCGGGACGGGGGCCCUGGGGGGAUAGCAAUACCACCGGAGCGUCGCACCGGGCCCUCAUAAAUGCGGGGUGGUGUGGUGCCAUGUCCAAAGAGGCGGCGCGCAUCUCCGGGGUGUGCCUCCCUCACGGACGGCGGCACCGCCGGCACCUGGAAGGGGGAAACGGAUGCGUCGGGUCUACACGGAGGGGAUCUUGCUGUGGGUCUGGCCCGGAUGUUGCUUCAAAGUGUUCCUAUGGNNNNNNNNNNNNNNNNNNNNNNNNNNNNNNNNNNNNNNNNNNNNNNNNNNNNNNNNNNNNNNNNNNNNNNNNNNNNNNNNNNNNNNNNNNNNNNNNNNNNNNNNNNNNNNNNNNNNNNNNNNNNNNNNNNNNNNNNNNNNNNNNNNNNNNNNNNNNNNNNNNNNNNNNNNNNNNNNNNNNNNNNNNNNNNNNNNNNNNNNNNNNNNNNNNNNNNNNNNNNNNNNNNNNNNNNNNNNNNNNNNNNNNNNNNNNNNNNNNNNNNNNNNNNNNNNNNNNNNNNNNNNNNNNNNNNNNNNNNNNNNNNNNNNNNNNNNNNNNNNNNNNNNNNNNNNNNNNNNNNNNNNNNNNNNNNNNNNNNNNNNNNNNNNNNNNNNNNNNNNNNNNNNNNNNNNNNNNNNNNNNNNNNNNNNNNNNNNNNNNNNNAGGUGGCGAGCAUAUCCGGUGUGUGGCCCCCCUCACGGACGGCGGCGCCGCCGGCACCUCGAGGGGGGAAACGGACGCGUCGGGUCUACACGGAGGGGGUCUUGCUGUGGGUCUGGCCCGGAUGUUGCUCCAAAGUGUUCCUAUGGGCUGAGCUAACAUAACCGGGGGGGAGUUCCACUGGUCAAAGCCCGUCCGUGUAAAGUCAAAGGGCUAGAUCUCGUGGUCUAACACUACAGGGUUAGGCGGGACGGGGGCCCUGGGGGGUAGCAAUGCCACCAGAGCGUCGCACCGGGCACUACUAGGAAAAGGCCUACUAAUGGCGCACCGGUUUUGCCUACUAAUGGCGCACUACCGGUGCGCCAUUAGUAGCACGCCACUAGUAUUUUUUACUAAUGGCGCACUACUGGUGCGCCAUUAGUAUCUGGUAUGGUGCGCCAUUAGUAUGUAAGAACAUGCGCCAUUAGUAUGCCUCCCGGGGGGCCAUAUGUAACCAUGUGCUUUGUCAUACUAAUGACGCACUCUGAGGUUAUGCGCCAUUAGUAUCCUUUGGCAUACUAAGGGCACACUUGGAGGUGAUGCGCCAUUAGUAUGAAUAUUUGGUUUUUUUUACUUUUCUGAUUUUUGCAUAGGUUACAAAAAAUAUUAAUGGACAAAAUAUAGACAGCAGCACACAACAACAGCAGAUUCAUCGAAUACAAUAGAAGAUUAGUCUCCGAAUACAAUUCAUCAUAUUAGUCUCCGAAUUCAUAAGACCGAACAAAGAUAAAACAUUACAAGUCUCAAGACCGCGAGUAUCGAGUUUGUCUUCACAUUACAAGUCGAUAUCGAUCAUCUAACCUACCAUCACAUAGAAGAGAGCUGCAGUCAUCACGAUGAGCAUCAUCGCGAUCAAACUGGUCUUCAUCCGGUUCCUCCAGCGCUCCCUCCUCUCUCCCGCUAGAUAACGGGCGUAUCUAGAUUCGGCCUCCGCCCUAGUGGUGUACCCUUUGUAACUGUUACCGCUGAAACGGUGAACCUGUCUCCGACACUCCUCCCAGUCGUCGUAGACUCCGGGAACCUUACCCUUGUAUACGACAUACGACGGCAUCUCUAUGCACAAGCCAAACAACAUACAAUACAUAAGCAAUAUGUAAGUAUGCAAUAAAAGGAUUGAAAGAGAAAAGCAAGACAUUAAUAGCACCAUUCAUGGUCCUACUAAUAAAUAGCAUCCAUUACAUCUAAGUUGAACGACUGUCCAAACCAAAGAGACAUACGAAUUCAUUAAAGUUUAAUUACAACAUGAGCCAAUCAAUGUUUCAGAACUACACAUCACUACUUUCGACUCGACUCAUCGGACAGGAGCGUGGAUGAAGUCGUCAUCUGUCGUGAUGGUCAUGAAAUCGCGGUCGUUGUCACCCAGCAUUUGUAGCAUUCCAUCUAUCUCACUGUUGGACGGUUGAUAUCUGCGGAAGAACUGCCCCGAGGUAUGAAGGACAUCUUGAUGGAUGAUGUCCGCAAACUCCGACUGGAUGCGAAAGAAUUCUUGUCUGAGGUCCGUGUCCUGGCUUGCCGACAACCUCGCGGCCCAAUCUUUGAGACAUUGGUAGCAGAAGGUGAUGAUGGUCCCUUACGAUCGCCCGCAUGUGAUGGAGGGCAUAGUAGGCAUCCUUCUGACCGCCAGGCGGCUGCUUGACGCAGCAGAACUUCGUAUUGUGUGAGAAGGUGUGCUUGCCGUACUUACGAACUGCCCUGGUGAAGGUGCCUCCAGAGUUGGCGUAGCCGGGGAGAACAUCAUCAAGAACUUUCUUGACAUUUGUGUAGUCUAUCUUGGAGUUACGGUUCGGGUCGAAAUACAUGGCCAUGGAAUAUUUCGGGCUUAGGAGGAUGAGUGUGCAAUGUGUGCCACUGCACAGAACACGGAAUGUUAGAAAAAAAAGAACGAUCAAAAUCUAAGAAAUAAUAUGUUACGAGACGGUUAAGGGAUGACUUACUCGGGAAAGUGAGCCACAAGGAAGUUAUCCUUAUCUGGGUUUGCCAGAAUGACACCUUCGAGGUGUGAACUCGCAACUUGGCGGUCCCCAGCGCUACUCAAGUGCUUGGCACGCAUGUAGAAGGGGUCGACUAUCACGAUGUCCGGGGUCUUGUCUCUAAUGAUCUGCAUCUCCAUACUCAGCGAAAACAGCCGAACGAAGGUGUAGUGCAGCGGAUGAAGGUUAAACAUAGAAAAUAUGUCAUCAAACCGCAGGACGAUCGUACACCCGAUGUCGCCAUCCACAAAGCCCUUGCCCUUUGGUACCUUGGCCACGAAAACCGGGUAUGCCACAUCAUUCUCUCUGAGACGCCGCUUCUCCAAAGAAAGAACACUGUCGUGCAGACUCCGCAUAGCGCCGGUUGCAGCAUUGAGCAUAUUUGGCGGUAGCAUCGCCCUACCCGCCACAUGCACCCUCCUCGAGAUAUCCUUAGGUGAAGGUGGCCCGUCCUGAGCACGGAUCGAACUCUGUGUCGGCUGGCUCGCACCGGCGCCCUUGUUAGUCUUUCGUUUCCGUCCCUUCUUCUUGAUCUCCUGUAAUGGGACCGAGUUCUGCUCACAGACCGCCUUCUUGAGCGUGUUGGGGCUGAUAAUAUUUCGCAACUAAGCUAUCUGAGGUCGGUGAAGGCAGGAGCUGGAGGCGUCUCCUGAGAACUGAACGCCAGACGACGCUUGUUGCAAUUGGAUUUCUCCGCCGUAUCAGCUAGAUUGCGGUCGUCUUGGUUGGGUUCUUGAGAAAGAGGCCCGCAGAACUCGUCAGCGUACCCAUGUUCGGCAAAGUACUUAUCGACAUUGGUAAAUGUACCGUCGUCGUCGUCUAGAUCCUGUGCCAUAGGGAUGUCUGUAUCCUGUGCCAUAGGGAUGUCCGGCAUAGGGAUGUCCGGUAGCGUUGCGGCGUUCUUGCCAUGGCUUGGCGCGGGCACGACUUUCGGUCUUGUCUGUGGGGUGGUGUCCCCCGCCCCCAAACGAAUCUGGCUCUUCGGCCAAAGCAGGGGCCAGUUUACGCAGGCGCUGAGGGUAAUCUCAUCUUCUUCCUCGGCCCCAACGGGUCGAAUCGGAGGUAACAGCUCGUCGCAGCCUGGCAGCGCCCGAACCACUUCAACCCUAUACACUGUGGGUGCCAUCGGAUUACCGUGGAACAUGCGGUUGCCCGGUUGAACGAUUCUGCCCUUGGCGACAUCGACCAACUCGCCGCCCACGAAGUGCAGAAGAGUGCAAGGAACGUCGGCGGCGCCCUGCGAAAACAUGUAGGGCGUCAGGGAUGCCCAGUCAAAGGCAAGGAGAUGAAGUCAUCGGCCAGGAGGCUUAGUUACCGUGAUGCCGUCAAGCUCGGCUAAUGUCAAGGCACCGCCAACGGAGGGCAUGCAACUGACGGAGGGGGCGCUUGCUGGCGAGGUGCCGGCCGGCGUACACCCGGGUGCAUUAAGCUCCAAUGCCCGUGCCGGCGCCGAAGACACGAAUACCGCCUCCGCCGGAGACACCAAUGGCGCCGCCGAAGACACCAAUGGCGCCACCUGCGCGCUGUGCGAGUUGCUGGCCGUGAAGCUGGGAACUGGGGGAGGCCCCUGUUAGCCGCCCGCAAUCCACGUCGUCAUCCCAUGAAUCAACAUAGGCACCAUGGCGUUGAGCUUCGUUCCCAGCUGUUGUUCCACUUGCUCUUGGACCAGCUCCAGAAUCCACGCCACUUGUGCCUUGAGUUCUUCAAUCUCGCGCGUCUGGCUUUCCGAGCUGGUCUUUUUCUCCUUCCGCACACCAGCGGUAUAGUAUGACCCCCAUUUUGUGGACAAGCCUUUGCCGGCCACACGACCAGCUGACGUCGGCUUAGUGAGCUUAUCCUUGUUUUUCAUUACAUUCAACGCCCUAUUUAAAGGGGUGUCAAAAGGGGAGCUCUGAGACGACCCCGCGCUACUGCUUUCAGUUUCCUGCGGAAGGAACGUGAACCAUUUAGAAAUAUUGGGGGUUAAUUAGAGUGUAACCAUAUGGAGCUAAUUACGCGGGGGUGUAUUCCUUACCAGAACAAGCUCAAGCCCCCUGGUCUUCGGAUCCGUGGUAAGCUCCUUUGUUAUCGGGUCCUCCUUGUACCGGGCCGUGACAAAGUUCCUGGUCUGCUUGUCACCGCUGUAUUUCUCGAAGCGGGGCGGUAGGCCUUGCUCGGCACGCUCCGCGUCCUCCUUGUCCCAUAUAGGCUCCGCCACUCUGUAACCCCCGGGACCGAGUUUGUGUUCCCUAAGUUCAACUCCCGCAUUUCUUUCCCCCACUGACUUGAUUAGGAGGUUGCGCUGCUCUCGCAUUUGAUCUUGAACUCCUUGUAGUCAUCUUCGCUGAUCGAAGAAUAUUUCGCCUUGAUCUUCUCAUAACUAUCACCUUUAUCAAUCAUUCUCUUCACCGCGCUUCUCCAAGUAGACAGGGCCGUGCUCAUCCUCGUGAGGGCGGCACUGUUCACUUUAUUCCCUGAGAGGCAUGUGUUUUCAAAAUCGGCGGGGAACUUGUUGUUGGGGAACGUAGUAAUUUCAAAAAAAUUCCUACGCACACGCAAGAUCAUGGUGAUGGCAUAGCAACAAGAGGGGAGAGUGUUCGUCCACGUACCCUCGUAGACCGUAAGCGAAAGCGUUAGCACAACGCGGUUGAUGUAGUCGUACGUCUUCACGAUCCGACCGAUCCAAGCACCGAACGUUCGGCACCUCCGAGUUCAGCACACUUCAGCUCGAUGACGAUCCCCGGGCUCCGAUCCAGCAAAGCUUCGGGGAUGAGUUCCGUCAGCCCGACGGCGUGGUGACGAUGAUGAUGUUCUACCGGCGCAGGGCUUCGCCUAAACUCCGCGACGAUAUGACCGAGGUGGAAUAUGGUGGAGGGGGGCACCGCACACGGCUAAGGAACGAUCCGUAGAUCAAAUUGUGUGUUAUGGGGUGCCCCCUGCCCCCGUAAAUAAAGGAGGGAGGGGGAGGUGCGGCCGGCCCCUUUGGAGUGCGCCUGGAGGAGUCCUACUCCCACCGGGAGUAGGACUCCCCCCUCUUGCCUUGGUGGAGAAGGAAAGGGGGGAGGGGAAAGAGAAAAGGGGGGCGCCACCCCCCCUUCCUUGUCCUAUUCAGACUAGGGGGAGGGGGCGCGCGGCCUGCCCUGCCCGGCCCUCCUCUUCUCCCUCAUGGACCACUAAGGCCCAUUGACCCCCGGGAGGGUUCCGGUAACCCCCCGGUGUUCCGGUAAAAUCCCGAUUUCACCCGGAACCUUUCCGAUGUCCAAACAUAGGCUUCCAAUAUAUCAAUCUUUAUGUAUCGACCAUUUCGAGACUCCUCGUCAUGUCCGUGAUCACAUCCGGGACUUCGAACAAACUUCGGUACAUCAAAACUUAUAAACUCAUAAGAAAACUGUCAUCGUAACGUUAAGCGUGCGGACCCUACGGGUUCGAGAACUAUGUAGACAUGACCUAGAACCAUUCUCGGGCAAUAACCAAUAGCGGGACCUGGAUGCCCAUAUUGGUUCCUACAUAUUCUACGAAGAUCUUUAUCGGUCAAACCGCAUAACAACAUACGUUGUUCCCUUUGUCAUCGGUAUGUUACUUGCCCGAGAUUUGAUCGUCGGUAUCCAAUACCUAGUUCAAUCUCGUUACCGGCAAGUAUCUUUACUCGUUCCGUAAUGCAUCAUCCCGUAACCAACUCAUUUGGUCACAUUGCUUGCAAGGCUUAUAAUGAUGUGCAUUACCGAGAGGGCCCAGAGAUACCUCUCCGACAAUCGGAGUGACAAAACCUAAUCUCGAAAUACGCCAACUCAACAUGUACCUUCAGAGACACCUGUAGUACUCCUUUAUAAUCACCCAGUUACGUUGUGACGUUUGGUAGUACCCAAAGUGUUCCUCCGGUAAACGGGAGUUGCAUAUUUCUCAUAGUUACAGGAACAUGUAUAAGUCAUGAAGAAAGCAAUAGCAGUAUACUAAACGAUCAAGUGCUAGGCUAACGGAAUGGGUCAUGUCAAUCACAUCAUUCUUCUAAUGAUGUGAUCCCAUUAAUCAAAUGACAACACAUGUCUAUGGUUAGGAAACAUAACCAUCUUUGAUUAAUGAGCUAGUCAAGUAGAGGCACACUAGUGACUAUAUGUUUGUCUAUGUAUUCACACAUGUAUCAUGUUUCCGGUUAAUACAAUUCUAGCAUGAAUAAUAAACAUUUAUCAUGAUAUAACGAAAUAAAUAAUAACUUUAUUAUUGCCUCUAGGGCAUAUUUCCUUUAGUCUCCCAAUUGCACUAGAGUCAAUAAUCUAGUUCACAUCAUCAUGUGAUUCAACACCAAUAUUCCCGUCUGUAUGUGAUUAACACCCAUAGUUCACAUCGUCAUGUGAUCAACACCCAAAGGGUUUACUAGAGUCAAUAAUCUAGUUCACAUCGCUAUGUGAUUAACACCCAAAAGAGUACUAAGGUAUGAUCAUGUUUUGCUCGUGAGAGGAGUUUAGUCAACGGGUCUGUCACAUUCAGAGCCGUAUGUAUUUUGCAAAUAUUCUAUGUCUACAAUGCUCUGCACGGAGCUACUCUAGCUAAUUGCUCCCACUUUCAAUAUGUAUCCAGAUUGAGACUUAGAGUCAUCUGGAUCAGUGUAUAAGUUUGCACCGAUGUAACUUUUACGACGAAUUCUUUUAACACCUCCAUAAUCGAGAAACAUCUCCUUAGUCCUCACUAAGGAUAUUCUUGACCGCUGUCCAGUGAUCUACCAUUAGAUCAAAAAUUGUAUUCCUUUGCCAAACACAGAGCAAGGUAUACAAUAGGUCUGGUUCACAGCAUAGCAUACUUUAUAGAACCUAUGACUGAGGCAUAGGGAAUGACUUUUCAUUCUCUUUCUAUUUUCUGCCAUAGUCGGGUUUUUGAGUCUUACUCAACUUCACACCUUGCAACACAGGCAAGAACUCCUUCUUUGACUGUUCCAUUUUGAACUAUUUCAAAAAUUUAUCAAGGUAUGUACUCAUUGAAAAAUCUUAUCAAGCAUCUUGAUCUAUCUAUAUAGAUCUUGAUGCUCAAUGUGUAAGCAGCUUCACCGAGGUCUUGCUUUGAAAAACUCUUAUUCAAGUAUCCUUUCAUGCUAUCCAGAAUUUCCAUAUCAUUUCCAAUUAAAAAUAUGUCAUCCACAUAUAAUAUUAGAAAUGCUACAGAGCUCCCACUCACUUUCUUGUAAAUAGAGGCUUCUUCAAAAGUCUGUAUAAAACCAUAUGCUUUGAUCAACUCAUCAAAGCGUAUAUUCCAACUCUGAGAUGCUUGCACCAGUCCAUAGAUGGAUCGCUGGAGCUUGCACAAUUUGUUAGCACCUUUCGGAUUGACAAAACCUUCUGGUUGCAUCAUAUACAACUCUUCUUUAAGAAAACCAUUAAGGAAUGCAGUUUUGUUUAUCCAUUUGCCAGAUUUCAUAAAAUGCGGCAAUUGCUAACAUGAUUUAGACAGACUUAAGCAUAGAUACGAGUGAAAAACUCUCAUCAUAGUCAACACCUUGAACUUGUCGAAAACCUUUUCCGACAAUUCUAGUUUUGUAGAUAGUAACACUAUCAGCGUCCGUCUUCCUCUUGAAGAUCCAUUUAAUCUCAAUGUCUCGCCGAUCAUUGGGCAAGUCAAUCAAAGUCCAUACCUUGUUUUCAUACAUGGAUCUUAUCUCAGAUCUCAUGGCCUCAAGCCAUUUUGUGGAAUCUGGGCUCACCAUCGCUUCUUCAUAGUUCGUAGGUUCGUCAUGGUCUAGUAACAUAACUUCUAGAACAGGAUUACCAUACCACUCUGGUGCGGAUCUUACUCUGUAAGACCUACGAGAUUCUGUAGUAACUUAAUCUGAAGUUUCAUGAUCAUCAUCAUUAACUUCCUCACUAAUUGGUGUAGUAGUCAUAGGAACAGAUUUCUGUGAUGAACUACUUUCAAAUGAGGGAGCAGGUACAGUUACCUCAUCAAGUUCUACUUUCCUCCCACUCACUUCUUUUGAGAGAAACUCCUUCUCUAGAAAGGAUCCAUUCUUAGCAACAAAUGUUUUGCCUUCGGAUCUGUGAUAGAAGGAGUACCCAACAGUUUCCUUUGGGUAUUCUAUGAAGACACACUUCUCCGAUUUGGGUUCGAGCUUAUCAGGUUGAAAACCUUUUUCAUAUAAGCAUCGCAACUCCAAACUUUAAGAAACGACAGCUUAGGUUUACUUCUAAACCAUAGUUCAUACGAUGUCGUCUCAACGGAUUUAGAUGGUGCCCUUUUAACGUGAAUGCAGUUGUCUCUAAUGCAUAACCCCAAAAUGAUAAUAGUAAAUCAGUAAGAGACAUCAUAGAUCGCACCAUAUCCAAUAAAGUGCGGUUACAACGUUCGGACACACCAUAACGUUGUGGUGUUCCAGGUGGCGUGAGUUGUGAAACUAUUCCACAUUGUUUUAACUGAAGACCAAACUCGUAACUCAAAUAUUCGUCUCUGCGAUCAGAUCGUAGAAACUUUAUUUUCUUGUUACGAUGAUUUUUCCACUUCACUCUGAAAUUCUUUGAACCUUUCAAUUAUUUCAGACUUAUGUUUCAUCAAGUAGAUAUACCCAUAUCUGCUCAAAUUAUUUUGUGAAGGUCAGAAAAUAACGAUACUUGCCACGAGCAUCAACACUCAUUGGAUCGCAUACAUCGGUAUGUAUUAUUUCCAAUAAGUCAGUAGCUUGUUCCAUUGUUCCGGAGAACGGAGUUUUAGUCAUCUUGCCCAAAAGGCACGGUUCGCAAGCAUCAAAUGAUUCAUAACCAAGUGAUUCCGAAAAUCCAUCUUCAUGGAAUUUCUUCAUGCGCUUUACACCGAUAUGACCCAAACGGCAGUGCCACAAAUAAGUUGCACUAUCAUUAUUAACUUUGCAUCUUUUGGCAUCAAUAUUAUGAAUAUGUGUAUCACUACGAUCGAGAUCCAACAAACUAUUUUCAAUGGGUGUAUGACCAUCAAAGGUUUUAUUCAUUUAAACAGAACAACAAUUAUUCUUUGAUUUUAAAUGAAUAACCGUAUUGCAAUAAACAUGAUCAAAUCAUAUUCAUGCUCAACGCAAACGCCAAAUAACAUUUAUUUAUGUUCAACUCUAAUCCCGAAAGUAUAGGGAGAUUGCGAUGAUGAUCAUAUCAAUCUUGGAACCACUUCCAACACACAUCGUCACUUCACCCUCAACUAGUUUCUGUUUAUUCUGUAACUCCUGUUUUGAGCUACUAAUCUUAGCAACCGAACAAGUAUCAAAUACUCAGGGCCUACUAUAAACACUAGUAAAGUACACAUCAAUAACAUGUAUAUCAAAUAUACCCUUGUUCACUUUGCCAUCCUUCUUAUCCACCAAAUAUUCAAGGCAUUUCCGCUUCUAGUGACCUUUUCCUUUGCAGUAUAAUCACUCAAUUUCAGGCUUUGGUCCAGCUUUGGGCUUCUUCGCGGAAGUGACAACUUGCUUGCCAUUCUACUUGAAGUUCCCCUUUCUUUCCCUUUUGCCCUUUUUCCUGAAACUAGUGAUCUUGUCAACCAUCAACACUUGAUGCUCUUUCUUGAUUUCUUCCUUCGUCGAUUUCAACAUCACAAAGAGCUUGGGAAUUGCUUUCGUCAUCCCUUGCAUACUAUAGUUCAUCACAAAGUUCUACUAACUUGGUGAUGGUGACUAGAGAAUUCUGUCAAUCACUAUCUUAUCUGGAAGAUUAACUCCCACUUGAUUCAAGCGAUUGAAGUACCCAGACAAUCUGAGCACAUGCUCACUAGUUGAGCGAUUCUCCUCCAUCUUUUAGCUAUAGAACUUGCUGGAGACUUCAUAUCUCUCAACUCGGGUAUUUACUUGAAAUAUUAACUUCAAAUCCUGGAACAUCUCAUAUGGUCCAUGACGUUCAAAACGUCUUUGAAGUCCCGAUUCUAAGCCGUUAAGCAUGGUGCACUAAACUAUCAAGUAGUCAUCAUAUUGAGCUAGCCAAACGUUCAUAACGUCUGCAUCUGCUCCUGCAAUAGGUCUGUCACCUAGCGGUGCAUUAAGGACAUAAUCCUUCUGUGCAGCAAUGAGGAUAAACCUCAGAUCACGGAUCCAAUCCGCAUCAUUGCUACUAACAUCUUUCAACACAAUUUUCUCUAGGAACAUAUCAAAAUAAACAUAUGAAAGCAACAACGCAAGCUAUUGAUCUACAACAUAAUUUGCAAAAUACUACCAGGACUAAGUUCAUGAUAAAUUUAAGUUCAAUUAAUCAUAUUACUUAAGAACUCCCACUUAGACAGACAUCUCUCUAGUCAUCUAAGUGAUCACGUGAUCCAAAUCAACUAAACCAUGUCCGAUCAUCACGUGAGAUGGAGUAGUUUCAAUGGUGAACAUCAUUAUGUUGAUCAUAUCUACUAUAUGAUUCACGCUCGACCUUUCGGUCUCCGUGUUCCGAGGCCAUAUCUGUAUAUGCUAGGCUCGUCAAGUUUAACCCGAGUAUUCCGCGUGUGCGACUGUUUUGCACCCGUUGUAUUUGAACGUAGAGCCUAUCACACCCGAUCAUCACGUGGUGUCUCAGCACGAAGAACUUUCGCAACGGUGCAUACUCAGGGAGAACACUUCUUGAUAAUUAGUGAGAGAUCAUCUUAAAAUGCUACCGUCAAUCAAAGCAAGAUAAGAUGAAUAAAGGAUAAACAUCACAUGCAAUCAAUAUAAGUGAUAUGAUAUGGCCAUCAUCAUCUUGUGCUUGUGAUCUCCAUCUUCGAAGCACCGUCUUGAUCACCAUCGUCACCGGCGCGACACCUUGAUCUCCAUGGUAGCAUCGUUGUCGUUACACCAUCUAUUGCUUCUACGACUAUCGCUACCGCUUAGUGAUAAAGUAAAGCAAUUACAGGGCGUUUGCAUUUCAUACAAUAAAGCGACAACCAUAUGGCUCCUGCCAGUUGCCGAUAACUUCGGUUACAAAACAUGAUCAUCUCAUACAAUAAAAUAUAGCAUCACGUCUUGACCAUAUCACAUCACAACAUGCCCUGCAAAAACAAGUUAGACGUCCUCUAUUUUGUUGUUGCAAUUUUUACGUGGCUGCUACGGGCUUAGCAAGAACCGUUCUUACCUGCGCAUCAAAACCACAACGAUAGUUUGUCAAGUUGGUGCCGUUUUAACCUUCGCAAGGACCGGGCGUAGCCACACUCGAUUCAGCUAAAGUGAGAGAGACAGACAGCCGCCAACCACCUUUAAGCACGAGUGCUCGCAACGGUGAAACCAGUCUCGCGUAAGCGUACGCGUAAUGUUGGUCCGGGCCGCUUCAUCUCACAAUACCGCUGAACCAAAGUAUGACAUGCUGGUAAGCAGUAUGACUUGUAUCGCCCACAACUCACUUGUGUUCUACUCGUGCAUAUAACAUCAACGCAUAAAACCUGGCUCGGAUGCCACUGUUGGGGAACGUAGUAAUUUCAAAAAAAUUCCUACGCACACGCAAGAUCAUGGUGAUGGCAUAGCAACGAGAGGGGAGAGUGUUCGUCCAUGUACUCUCGUAGACCGUAAGCGGAAGCGUUAGCACAAUGCGGUUGAUGUAGUCGUACGUCUUCACGAUCUGACCGAUCCAAGCACCGAACGUACGGCACCUCCGAGUUCAGCACACUUCAGCUCGAUGACGAUCCCCGGGCUCCGAUCCAGCAAAGCUUCGGGGAUGAGUUCCGUUAGCACAACGGCGUGGUGACGAUGAUGAUGUUCUACCGGCGCAGGGCUUCACCUAAACUCCGCGAUGAUAUGACCGAGGUGGAAUAUGGUGGAGGGGGGCACCGCACACGGCUAAGGAACGAUCCGUAGAUCAACUUGUGUGUUAUGGGGUGCCCCCUGCCCCCGUAUAUAAAGGAGGGAGGGGGAGGUGCGGCCGGCCCCUUUGGAGUGCGCCUGGAGGAGUCCUGCUCCCACCGGGAGUAGGACUGCCCCCUCUUGCCUUGGUGGAGAAGGAAAGGGGGGAGGGGAAAGAGGAAAGGGGGGCGCCGCCCCCCUUCCUUGUCCUAUUCGGACUAACGGGGAGGGGGGGCGCGGCCUGCCCUAGCCGGCCCUCCUCUUCUCCCUCAUGGCCCACUAAGGCCCAUUGACCCCCGGGAGGGUUCCGGUAACCCCCCGGUGUUCCGGCAAAAUCCCGAUUUCACCCGGAACCUUUCCGAUGUCCAAACAUAGGCUUCCAAUAUAUCAAUCUUUAUGUCUCGACCAUUUCGAGACUCCUCAUCAUGUCCGUGAUCACAUCCGGGAUUCCGAACAAACUUCGGUACAUCAAAACUUAUAAACUCAUAAUAAAACUGUCAUCGUAACGUUAAGCGUGCAGACCCUACGGGUUCGAGAACUAUGUAGACAUGACCUAGAACCAUUCUCGGGCAAUAACCAAUAGCGGGACCUGGAUGCCCAUAUUGGUUCCUACAUAUUCUACGAAGAUCUUUAUCGGUCAAACCGCAUAACAUCAUACGUUGUUCCCUUUGUCAUCGGUAUGUUACUUGCCCGAGAUUUGCUCGUCGGUAUCCAAUACCUAGUUCAAUCUCGUUACCGGCAAGUCUCUUUACUCGUUCCGUAAUGCAUCAUCCCGUAACCAACUCAUUUGGUCACAUUGCUUGCAAGGCUUAUAAUGAUGUGCAUUACCGAGAGGGCCCAGAGAUACCUCUCCGACAAUCGGAGUGACAAAACCUAAUCUCGAAAUACGCCAACUCAACAUGUACCUUCGAAGACACCUGUAGUACUCCUUUAUAAUCACCCAGUUACGUUGUGACGUUUGGUAGUACCCAAAGUGUUCCUCCGGUAAACGGGAGUUGCAUAUUUCUCAUAGUUACAGGAACAUGUAUAUGUCAUGAAGAAAGCAAUAGCAGUAUACUAAACGAUCAAGUGCUAGGCUAACGGAAUGGGUCAUGUCAAUCACAUCAUUCUUCUAAUGAUGUGAUCCCAUUAAUCAAAUGACAACACAUGACUAUGGUUAGGAAACAUAACCAUCUUUGAUUAAUGAGCUAGUCAAGUAGAGGCACACUAGUGACUAUAUGUUUGUCUAUGUAUUCACACAUGUAUCAUGUUUCCGGUUAAUACAAUUCUAGCAUGAAUAAUAAACAUUUAUCAUGAUAUAAGGAAAUAAAUAAUAACUUUAUUAUUGCCUCUAGGGCAUAUUUCCUUAACUUGUAUCGUUCGUGCAGCUUCGUGAAGAGGAGGUUGCGCAAAUUCCCUCGGUCCUUAUGCCUAAGGUUCUCGGUGUUGAUCAAGACGGUGCUCCGGAGAAUGCACCCGAGCUGAAGCGAGUACCCCUUGACUAUAUGUUUGGGCUCCGUUGGAUGCCCGUUGAAGUCCACUUGAGUAAAUUCCUCCUUGAGGGUGCUAAGCGCAUUCGGGCGUCGGUCCUUCCUUUGCUUCUUCGGUUGGCUGCCAUCUGUGUGUGCGCCGCCAUCAUCAGUGGUGGCAUCCUCGGCGGCACCAUUAGUGGUGUCAUCCCCGACACCACUAGGGGUUGUGUAGUCAGGAUCGGUGUCUUCCGCGGCGUCCUCAUAGCGGUGAGGUUGUUCCUCCAUCUCCUGGGACAGCUCCCAGAAUUGCUUGCCGCCCGAACCACCGGCCUCAUCGUUGUUGGCCAUGUUUCGCUCUAAAUAGGAAAACAGUUUGGUCAAAAAGUUGGUUAUUGUCAAGGAACAAGAUCAUGGUCUCAUCAUUUAGGGUUUGUCGACACUGAGGCAUCCUAAAAGCUAAGCUUUUAUCAUUUAGGGUUUGUCGACGUCGAGGCACCCUAAAAGCCUAAGCGUACAUCAUUUAGAUUCUCAUCGACACCGAGGCACCCUAAAAGCAAAGGUUUCAUCAUUUAGGGUUUGUCGACGCCAAGGCACCCUAAAUGCUAAGUUAAGUUUUCAUCAUUUAGGGUUUAUCGAUGCCGAGGCACCCUAGGUUGGGCCUAAUCACUUGGCACUAAUCACUUGUCUCUAUUGCCACAUAUGUUGGGUUUAUCAUCUAGGGUUUAUCGAUGCUGAGGAGAAUUCUAAGUUGGGCCUAAUCACUUGGCUCUAUUUCCACCUAUGGUUUAAUGCAGCAAGAAUAAAGGGGUAGUUGAUCCUCCUUAAUUAAGUACUAAGAUACCCCGGCCCAUGCAUUAGUAGCAAGUACCCCAUAUGUCCGAUUUUUAGCAAAGUCAUGCUAAAAUUCACGGAAAAUUUCAGCAUGACCUUUGCUGAAAAUAGGACAUAUGGAGUACCCGAAUUUGCCGGAAUGGAAGUUAAUCGACAUUCCGGGAAACUCAAGGGCCUCUCGGGGUACCUGCAAAAUCAUCAUGACACAAUGGUCGGAGACAAAACCCAGCCACAGACCAUAUGGUCCUCUGCUUUCAUAUGGACAAAAAUCAGCUCAACUUAUGUGAGCUUCCAUUCCAGAUAUAAUAGGUCACCCAACAAAAAAUCAUCAAUAGUUUAGCAAGUCUGUACAAACACAGAAAGAAUAGAAAAUUUGCUGCCUAUUCAAACACAGAAACAAAACACUACUUGAAACUUCUGCUACAUUUGGACCAUGGCAAUUUACUUUCAUGGAGCAUGACAAAUGUAUUUUACAGAUCAUGGCAUUGUUUUUACUAUAUGCACCAUGGCAAAUUUCUUUUCUUUUUGCAACAUGGCAAAUUUCUUUUGCAUCGGGCCAUGGCAAAUAUAGUCUAUGCAUCAUGAAAAUUAUAGUGUAUGGAUCAUGGCAUUUUUUAUUCUACAUUAUUAUUCUCUGGAUCAUGCCAGGAAAUUAUAGUCUAUGCAUUUUUUUAUUCUCUGGACCAUGAUCCAACAAAAUUGCCAUCUCCCAUGGCAAAUAUAGCCUAUGCAUCAUGGAAUUUAUACUGUAUGGAUCAUGGCAUUUUUUGUCUAUGAAUCAUGCAUGAUCUAUAGAACAUUUUAGUCCAUGUCAUUUUCUGAAACAUAUUUUUGCCAUGGCAAUUUUGAAUCAAUAGACAUACUUCUCAAAAGAGGCAUGAUCAAAUUCUGGUGCCCUUGACUUACUAGUAUUUAUCUCUUAUGACUGAUGAAUGUGCAUUGAGUCCAGAAGCAAAGACUCUACAGUGAAAUGAAAAAAAACCUUGGAAAUAUAUUUAUGAUAACUCUAAAUGGAUCAGAAGGUGCAGAUGCACUUGUAAAAAAUGGGUAUGCAUUUGCAGCAGCUUUGUUCUAAUUAUGACACCAUUCUGUUAAGAAGGCAAAAUAACAUUAUCAUCCCAAUGCAUUAGUUGAAGUUGAAGACCCUAAGCUUUAAAAUGCCAAGUCUCACUUACGCAUGUUAACUUAUUUACCAGUUCAAAACUAUCACCAGAAAAUAGUAAAUCCACAUUGACCUCUACAAUUGACAAACUGAUUCAGAUAAUCACUAAUCAGGCAUGGAAAAUUAUUUUAGCCAUGGUCCCUGAGGAUUAGAGCCUCCACAAGUCAGAGAAAAUUAGUGUCUCCACUUAUGUUGUCAAUGCUUGUUGUAUGUUUGGCUUAAGGGUUUUCCUUUUCAAAUUCUGACUCUAUUUCUAAACAAAGUAGGCUUCUAUCCUGUCUAGAAUGUAAUGAAGAUGUCUUGGAUAAGUUGAGUGUUGUAAUGAAGAUGUCUUGGUGAGACUUGAUAUAUGUCCAAAAUUAGAAAAAUCACAAGGUACUUUCUCUACCUAAUAAACUCCAUAUGACCACAUAAAACCCUGUUUAACACACCUGUAAAGAGGAACAACCCCCCUAAGGAGCUAGAAAGCUAUAUCGCCCACUGCCUCGCCGAAUGUCUGUCAAGGGAAGAGAUAAAGAGCAUAUAAAACAUUACCCACACAAAAAAAUGAGAGCAUGUAAAAAAUUUAAAAAUGAGAACCAUAUUGACCAAUCUAAACUUGACAUUACACUUGGCACGGAGGGAGUACACAAUGACAUAGUAGUUAUCAAUUUUCUCCUGUAUGAGCUGUAGCAAUCCCCACAUACAAGAAAAAACUGAAAGCAAAGCUUUACUCUCCCAACAAGAUUCUAAGCAUACUACUUGACUAAUAAUAGAAAGCCCAUGACAGUGAGGGUAUCUAAGACAGUAGUAUUUCUAAUUCUAUAAGCCUGCAAGUUUGUGAAAUUGACACAAACCAAUUUGGUUAGCAAGUCAUGGCAGCACAUGACAGUGAGGUAACGGUCCCACAAAGCAUGGCUGGGCGUGGCCCGAGCGUAGUGGAGGCGCGGUCGCGGUGCUGUUAGCGCGCCUGGGCGGGGCCAGGGCGCAGCCCGAGCGUAGUGGAGGCCCGGUCGUGGUGCGGUGAGCGCGCCUGGGCGGGGCCAGGGCGCGGCCAGGGGCCGAGGGGAGCACGACCACGGGGGGCGGCAACCAGGAGCUGGGGCGCGGUGGUGCGACGGUCUACGGCGACGAAAUCGAAGGGGGGGAAGGGGAACCGGUGCAGCUCACCGAGAGGAAGACGAUGGCGAGCUCGUCCGGGGUCGGGGUUGACGAGGUGACGUGGAUCGACGGUGAGGCCACGGUGGCCGGAGGUGGAAGAAGACCUCGAUCCGCACGUUGCAGAGUCAUCGAAGCUCGAACGGCUGGCCGUAGAUGACGUAGAAGAACACUGCAGAGCUCCUGGACUCCUUGGUGGGGUGCGGGGACGAGGUGGUCGUGGGGACGAUGUGGUGUCGACGGGGACGACCUAGUCGGGUGAAGCAACGCGAGGGGAGGGGAAGUGGGGAGGUGCUAGGGUGUGGAGCGGUCGUGGGGGUCGUCGGAGCGGGCGCGGGGGAGCCGGAGCAGGUGUGCAGUGGGCGCGGGGGUCGUUGGAGCGGACCGGGGGUCGUCGGAGCGGGUGUGGCGGGGGAGGGAAGAGGGAUCUGGCGAGGGAGAGGGAAGCGGGGAUCGGGCGAAGGGGUAUCCAGCUAUAGCAAUGGCGCACCACCCUGUGGUGCGCCAUUAGUAGUUUUUUUGACAGCAAUGGCGCACCCUCCUCUGGUGCGCCAUUAGUAACUUUUUUUGACAGCAAUGGCGCACCCUCCUCUGGUGCGCCAUUAGUAACAUUUUUUUCAUUAUUUCUUGUUGCAUCUAAUAAUUUGUUUUUUUAUCAAAUUUGUUAUUUUCAUGAGGACUAGAACAGAAGAUAUCAUCAAAUAUCAUCAAUUUUUUUUUAAAAUAUCAUCAAAUUUGUUUUUUUAUUUUUAAUUGAAAAUAUCAUCAAAUUUGUUAUUUGAAGAUAUCAUCAAAUUUCUUAUUUGAAAAUAUCAUCAAAUUUGUUAUUUAAAAAUAUCCUCANNNNNNNNNNNNNNNNNNNNNNNNNNNNNNNNNNNNNNNNNNNNNNNNNNNNNNNNNNNNNNNNNNNNNNNNNNNNNNNNNNNNNNNNNNNNNNNNNNNNNNNNNNNNNNNNNNNNNNNNNNNNNNNNNNNNNNNNNNNNNNNNNNNNNNNNNNNNNNNNNNNNNNNNNNNNNNNNNNNNNNNNNNNNNNNNNNNNNNNNNNNNNNNNNNNNNNNNNNNNNNNNNNNNNNNNNNNNNNNNNNNNNNNNNNNNNNNNNNNNNNNNNNNNNNNNNNNNNNNNNNNNNNNNNNNNNNNNNNNNNNNNNNNNNNNNNNNNNNNNNNNNNNNNNNNNNNNNNNNNGGGGGGAGGCUGCGGGGGGUGCUCGGCGGCGUGGGGGAUCUGGCGAGGGGGAUAGCUAUCGAGAGGAAGGGGGAUCGAGAUCGAGUGUCCUCAUGAAUAUUCAAUAUUUUUCAUAUUGAAUAUGAAAAAAUACCAUCAAAUUUGAAAAAGUGCCCGAGAAAUGAAGGCUACAAUUUAAAUACAAUCGAUCUUAGCUACAGCUAUCUGUUCACAAUCUUCUUGCCCUUCUUUUUCGCAAAUGGAGUUCUUCUGUGGAACGGGCGUCCUUUAGGUAGGGUGGUCUUGCUUCUUCUUGUGGUGUGUGCUACUACUUCAUCGUCGUCGUCAUGCUCGAUCUUCGGGUCGCCGUACUUGUCGAAGUCUUGCUCAUUGGCUACUCCAUCCAUUCCGAUGAUCUUCCUUUUGCCUCUCCUCACGACAACACGACUGGGCUUUGGCGGGUCGGUAAUGAAGAAGCAUUGGUCCACUUGGGAAGCCAGUACCCAUGGCUCAUUUUUCGCGGUGACGUUUGCGCUCACGUUCUUGGAUUUGGCUUCGGGUAUAACCAUGGUGGUGAAAUACUGUUCUUCUUUUAGGAGGCUCUUGCCCCAUCUGACACGGAACAUCGGGACCUUCUCUCCAGCGUAGUUCAGCUCCCAGAUCUUCUCGAUCCUUCCGUAGUAUCUGUCCUUGUCGUUGCCGGUGUAGGAUUCCAUCGUUACCCUGGAGUUCUGAUAACCAUCGCUCUUCAUGUCCUUGUUCUCGGUGUAGAAUGUGUAGCCGUUGAUAUCGUACACCUCAUAGGUCAUCAGGUUGUGCUCGGCGCCCCGUGACAAGGCGAAUAUGAGUUGUUCUUCCGCGGAAGAAUCCUCAUGUAAAUGGUACGACAGAAGCUUCUGCUUGAACCAACGCGUGAAACAUGAGUUGUGCUCUUUGAUUAUAUCUCCGUCCGUCCUCUGUUGGCCUCGAUCAUUGUACGUCUUCUCAAUAAAGGUUUUGUGCUCUACCACCCAAGGAUCGACCACGUCUAUGUGUUGUAGCGCGACUAGGUUUGCUCUUUCAAAGUCGGCGAGUCGACCCUCGAAGUCGACAUGCAUUUCGCGGCGACCCUCACGGUGACCCCAUCCAGCGAGCCUGCCGAGGUGCCUGUUGACGGGCAGACCAACGGGGUUCUCGAUGCCUAGAUAAUUCAUGCAGUAGGACAUGCACUCUUCGGUCAGAAAGCCCCUGGCUAUACUUCCCUCUGGACGUGACAUGUUGCGAACGUAUCCUUUAAUGACACCAUUCAUCCUUUUGAACGACAUCAUGCUGUGCAGGAACGUCAGCCCGAGUUGGAUGAUAUCCUCCACGAUAUGGACCAGCAGAUGCACCAUAACGUCGAAGAAUGCGGGCGAGAAGUACAUCUCAAGCUCGCAUAGUAUCACCACGAUCUCUUCCUGUAGCCUUCUGAGUUGCCUCACGCCAAUCGACUUCCGAGAGAUGACAUCGAAAAAGUUAAAUAGGCCAAAUAGCGUUUCACGGACGUGCGCGUCCAUGAUCCCACGGAUUGCAACUGGAAGUAUCUCCAUCAUCAUCACGUGACAGUCGUGAGACUUCAUCCCGCUGAACUUCUGCUUCGCUAGGUCUAGGUAUCUGCUUAUCUUCCCCGCGUAACCGUAAGGAAGUUUUACUCCUAGGAGGCAGGUGAAAAACUGCUCGAUCUCCUCCUGACUUAGAGUGAAGCACGCGGGAGGGUAGUCAUUUCCGGUCUUCUUGGCCUUUUUGCCUUUGCGACGACUGUCUGUGUCCUGCUUCGCCUCAUCAUCAUCAUCAUCAUCAUCAUCAUCAUCAUCAUCAUCAUCAUCAUCAUCAUUAGCGUGAAGCUCCUGCCUGAUGCCCAUUGAUUUCAAGUCUGCCCUUGCUUUCGGCCCAUCUUUGGUCCUCUCUGGCAUGUUGAGAAGGGUACCAAGCAGACUCUCGCACACGUUCUUCAUGAUAUAAAUGACAUCAAGGUUGUGAGGCACACGGUGGAUCUUCCAGUACGGCAAGUCCUAGAAAACAGACCUCGUUUUCCAUACCUUCAGCAGCGGCUCUAGCGCCUUUCGCUUCUUUCCCAGCUCUGGCGCCUUUUGCUUCUUUCCCGGCAGUGGGCAGUCUUUCCAAUUUUUCAACAGCUCGUCUAUUUCCUCGCCGCUCCUGGUACAUGGGCGUUUUCGGGGUUCGGUUUCACCAUCGAACAGAUCCUUGCGUUUCCUCCACGGGUCAACGUCGCGAAGCCACCUUCGAUGUCCCAUGAACAUGGUUUUCGAAGACCCGGGAUCUCUAUCUAGCUGGCGAUACGUUGUGUCAUCCAUGCACCUUACGCAUCCAGAAAAUCCGUGGACUACCUGCCCCGCGAGAUAUCCGUAACGGAGAUAGUCGUGCACCGUUGUGAGCAGUGCGGCUCUCAUAGGGAAAUAUUCUUUCUCUGCGGCGUCCCACGUAUUGGCUGGCGUUUUCCACAGCGUGUCUAGCUCCUCCUUCAGCAGCCCUAGAUACAGAUUGAUGUCGUUCCCUGGUUGUUUCGGCCCUUCAAUUAGCAUACUCAUGUGAAUGUACUUCCUCUUCAUGCACAACCAGGGGGGAAGGUUGUACACCCACACAAACACAUGCUAGGUGCUAUGUGUGUUUCUCUGGCUGCCAAACGGAUUGACUCCAUCGGUACUCGUGCCCAGCACGAUGUUCCUUGGAUCCUUCCCAAAUUUUGGGUAUUCGAAGUUCAACGCUUGCCACUGGCUCGCAUCCUUAGGGUGACUCAGCAUCUUGUCUUUUUUAUUUAUCUCUGGAUCAUUUCCGUCAUCUUCCCGCUUCUUCUCCUCCCUAUCCGCGUGCCAACGCAGGAGCUUUGCUACCUUAGGGUCCGUGAAAUACAGCUACAGACGAGGAGUGAUCGGAAAGUACCACACCGAUUUUCGAGGAGCUUUCUUCCUCUUCUUGUAUCGAGUGACGUCGCACACCGGACAUACGGUAGACUCCGCGUGCUUGUCCCGAUAAAUGAUGCAAUUGUUCAUGCACACAUGGUAUUUCACGUGCGCUAAAUCCAGAGGACACACGAUUUUCUUCGCCUCCUCGAAACUGGUCGGGCACUUGUUCCCCUUGGGAAGACGAUCGUGCCAGAAUGACAUGUUCUCGUCGAAGCAUGCGUCUGUCAUUUUGUGUUUUACCUUCAUCUCCAGAGCCAUGAGCGUUACUUUCAGGCGGGUAUCCUCGGGCCUACAUCCUUCAUACAAUGGAGUAACCGCGUCUAUCUCCAAUUGAUCCAGCUUGGCUUUCUCUCGGGCGGCAGCUCUUGCGUUAUCCGUCUGCUUGAGAAGCAACUCUUGAAUAUGAGGGUCCUGCACCCAGCCUCCAUCGUCGUCUGCUCCGACAUCUUCAUCUUCAUGAUCAUACCCUUUGUCUUGAUCUUCCUCAUCAUCAUGUACGACAUCUUCUACAUGAUGACUGUGUACAGCAUCACCAUCGUGAUCAUGUCCUGGAGAUUCUUCGUCUUCUCGCCCGCCCUCACCGCGGUGGUUGUCUUGUUGCCCUUCCUAAUUUCUUGCCCGGCCCCCAUGGACGACUUCAUAGUCAUUAUCAUCACCUUGCCACUGAUAGCCAUCCAUGAAACCACGCAAGAGCAGGUGGUCCCGCACCUGCCCGGAAUCCGGGUCCGCAAUAAGGCUCUUCAGCUUGCAUCUUCGACACGGACAUCUUAUCUCCGUCUCAUUCUUUUGAAGCAUCUCAACCUUCGCGGAGCUCAAAAACCUAUUCAUGAUGCCUUCGGUCAUCGUGCGGACCAUGGUCGCCUGCGGGGUAGAGCAAAACGAUAUUUUAGAACCAAGAAAAAAUUUGGCAUGACCUUCCCUAAAAAUAGGACCAAAAAGAAUGCAUAGUGCCAAAAUUCUCGCCGAAACGGAAAUGAAUCAACAUUCCGGCAAAAUAUUGGCAACUAUCGCAUUUCAAAUACCGGUACCUGCAAACACAAACAUAUAUGCAACACCACAAACAUAUGCAACAUCACAAACAUACAUAGAUCUAGCUAGGCCACAAAAAGUGCAUGUGCACGUUGUUGGAGCGAGCUAGGGAGAAAAAAAGUAGAUCUACAACAUGAAGAUAGCUUUCCCCUUACUUACCUAUCAAAAAAAAGGUAAUUUCACCACUUAAUUUUGAUGAAUCUAUGGUGCAAAUGAGGUGAGGAGGAGGAGGCAGCCGAAAGUUUGGAGAAGGAGGUGGAGGGAAUGAAGUGGGGAAAGUGAGUGGGUAGGUGUGGCUGUCCAAAAUAUCUUGUUGGGGUCCCAGGUUACUAAUGGCGCACCACCAGCAAAUGCGCCAUUAGUAUGCCUGCUUACUAAUGGCGCACCUUCAGGUGGUGCGCCAUUAGUAGUUUUGCAAAAAAGUAAAAAAAAAAUAUACUAAUGGCGCACUGUCUGUCUAGUGCGCCACUACUAGUUAGAACUAGUAAUGGCGCACUUCGGUCGGAUGCGCCAUUUGUAUGUAUGUAAAAAUGAAAAAAAAACUUUAUUACUAGUGGCACACCGUUUUUCUGGUGCGCCAUUAGUGUCUUCCACACUAAUGGCGCAUCACAAACUAGUGCGCCAUUAGUAUAUAGUAGUGGCGCACUACAACCAUGAUGCGCCAUUAGUGUCAAUCCUAUCUAUAGCCCUUUUCCUAGUAGUGGGGCCCUCAUACAUGCAGGGUGGUGUCGUGGCAUGUCCGAAGAGGCGGCACGCGUCUCCGGGGUGUGGCCCUCCUCAUAGAUAGCGCCGCCGCCGGCACCUGGAGGGGUGAAACAGACGCGUAGAGUCUCCACAGAGGGGAUCUUGUUGUGGGUCUGGCCCGGAUGUUGCUCCAAAGUGUUCCUAUGGGCUGACCUAACACAACCGGGGGGAGAGUUCCACUGGUCAAAGCCCGUCCGUGUAAAGUCAAAGGGCUAGAUCUCGUGGUCUAACGCUACAGGGUUAGGCGGGACGGGGGCCCUGGGGAGGAUAGCAAUACCNNNNNNNNNNNNNNNNNNNNNNNNNNNNNNNNNNNNNNNNNNNNNNNNNNNNNNNNNNNNNNNNNNNNNNNNNNNNNNNNNNNNNNNNNNNNNNNNNNNNNNNNNNNNNNNNNNNNNNNNNNNNNNNNNNNNNNNNNNNNNNNNNNNNNNNNNNNNNNNNNNNNNNNNNNNNNNNNNNNNNNNNNNNNNNNNNNNNNNNNNNNNNNNNNNNNNNNNNNNNNNNNNNNNNNNNNNNNNNNNNNNNNNNNNNNNNNNNNNNNNNNNNNNNNNNNNNNNNNNNNNNNNNNNNNNNNNNNNNNNNNNNNNNNNNNNNNNNNNNNNNNNNNNNNNNNNNNNNNNNNNNNNNNNNNNNNNNNNNNNNNNNNNNNNNNNNNNNNNNNNNNNNNNNNNNNNNNNNNNNNNNNNNNNNNNNNNNNNNNNNNNNNNNNNNNNNNNNNNNNNNNNNNNNNNNNNNNNNNNNNNNNNNNNNNNNNNNNNNNNNNNNNNNNNNNNNNNNNNNNNNNNNNNNNNNNNNNNNNNNNNNNNNNNNNNNNNNNNNNNNNNNNNNNNNNNNNNNNNNNNNNNNNNNNNNNNNNNNNNNNNNNNNNNNNNNNNNNNNNNNNNNNNNNNNNNNNNNNNNNNNNNNNNNNNNNNNNNNNNNNNNNNNNNNNNNNNNNNNNNNNNNNNNNNNNNNNNNNNNNNNNNNNNNNNNNNNNNNNNNNNNNNNNNNNNNNNNNNNNNNNNNNNNNNNNNNNNNNNNNNNNNNNNNNNNNNNNNNNNNNNNNNNNNNNNNNNNNNNNNNNNNNNNNNNNNNNNNNNNNNNNNNNNNNNNNNNNNNNNNNNNNNNNNNNNNNNNNNNNNNNNNNNNNNNNNNNNNNNNNNNNNNNNNNNNNNNNNNNNNNNNNNNNNNNNNNNNNNNNNNNNNNNNNNNNNNNNNNNNNNNNNNNNNNNNNNNNNNNNNNNNNNNNNNNNNNNNNNNNNNNNNNNNNNNNNNNNNNNNNNNNNNNNNNNNNNNNNNNNNNNNNNNNNNNNNNNNNNNNNNNNNNNNNNNNNNNNNNNNNNNNNNNNNNNNNNNNNNNNNNNNNNNNNNNNNNNNNNNNNNNNNNNNNNNNNNNNNNNNNNNNNNNNNNNNNNNNNNNNNNNNNNNNNNNNNNNNNNNNNNNNNNNNNNNNNNNNNNNNNNNNNNNNNNNNNNNNNNNNNNNNNNNNNNNNNNNNNNNNNNNNNNNNNNNNNNNNNNNNNNNNNNNNNNNNNNNNNNNNNNNNNNNNNNNNNNNNNNNNNNNNNNNNNNNNNNNNNNNNNNNNNNNNNNNNNNNNNNNNNNNNNNNNNNNNNNNNNNNNNNNNNNNNNNNNNNNNNNNNNNNNNNNNNNNNNNNNNNNNNNNNNNNNNNNNNNNNNNNNNNNNNNNNNNNNNNNNNNNNNNNNNNNNNNNNNNNNNNNNNNNNNNNNNNNNNNNNNNNNNNNNNNNNNNNNNNNNNNNNNNNNNNNNNNNNNNNNNNNNNNNNNNNNNNNNNNNNNNNNNNNNNNNNNNNNNNNNNNNNNNNNNNNNNNNNNNNNNNNNNNNNNNNNNNNNNNNNNNNNNNNNNNNNNNNNNNNNNNNNNNNNNNNNNNNNNNNNNNNNNNNNNNNNNNNNNNNNNNNNNNNNNNNNNNNNNNNNNNNNNNNNNNNNNNNNNNNNNNNNNNNNNNNNNNNNNNNNNNNNNNNNNNNNNNNNNNNNNNNNNNNNNNNNNNNNNNNNNNNNNNNNNNNNNNNNNNNNNNNNNNNNNNNNNNNNNNNNNNNNNNNNNNNNNNNNNNNNNNNNNNNNNNNNNNNNNNNNNNNNNNNNNNNNNNNNNNNNNNNNNNNNNNNNNNNNNNNNNNNCCGGCCUCCCUGCCCCGACUCCGUGCCUCUCCGCCCCAACUCCGGCCGGCCCUGUCGAAGGUGAUUUUUUAGCUUUUUUAGUAAUUUUGUAGCUACUAGUUAGAUAGGUAUUUAGAUAGAUAUUUAGAAAGUUAGAUACAUAGUUAGAGAGAUAGUUAUAUAGAUAGUUAGAUAGGUAGAUAGUUAGAUAGUUAGAUAGAUAGUGAGAUAGGUAGUAAAAAAAAUUGGUUAGAUGAGAUGCUAUAUGUUGCAUGUCUUGCAAAAAAAUUGGUUCGAUGAGAUGAAUCAAUGAUUAUGACGAAUAGGUGAUAAUGAUGAUGAUGAAUAUGUGAUGACGAUGAUGAAUAUAUUGUUAAUGUUGUUAGUUUUUUUCCUACAUGAUGCAAAAAUAAAUGAAUGCAUGUUUAAAUGUUUUAAAUAUGCUCUAUCAGUUGUGUUGUUCUACUUGACGAUGACUCCUCACAGGGAGGUCUAGGGAGAGGCGCCCCUAGAGGCGGAGGGGGCGGGGGGGAGAGCCCCUAGAGGGCGAGGUGGUGGGAGGAGAGCCACUACAGCGGGUCGCGGCUAGAAAGAGCGCACCCUCACCGACUUAGGGGUGUUGUCUUCGAGGCCCACCUCUAGUGAGGUACCCUCCUCUGGCGAGGAGGAGGAGGAGGACGAGGCAUGCGAGGAGGAGGAGGAGGUUCGGGAUGGGGCCGAGGAGGAGGAGGAGGUUCGGGAUGGGGCUGAGGAGGAGGUGGAGGAGGAGGACGAGGAUGAGGAGGAUGAGGAGGAGGUUGGGGAGGGGGAGGCAGGCGAGGAGGAGGGUGGUGACGGGGAUGAUGGUGGUGGCGGGGAGGGGGUUGACAAUAGGGGGUGGCUGCAUGGUAACGCAAAGCUACCAAAGCAGGUUCUUGCUACCGAGGAGCAGAACUGGCUCAUUGAGCCCACGGGGAAAGAGUAAGUGCCACUUUAUAAUAAUUUCAUUAUUUUGCUUGUCACAUGCUCAUAUUGGUUGUUAUUUAUUUUGCUUGUCACAUGCUAAUAGUUCAUUCUUUUGCAGCAACUGGAUAUAUUCUAAAGGGGUCCGUAUUCCCAACGGCCUCAUCACCGUCUUGCUGAAGUUACACUGGCCGGGGUAGUACUCUCCGGAUCCAGUCAGGCACCCGGACCAUUGGGUCUUGGACACGAGCUGGGAGCACUGGGAAGCGGCCCUCCACAUGGACCAUGGGACCCAUGCCAAGGCCGUGAUCACCACUUUCUGGGUGAGUUCUCUUCAGAAGCACAAGUCCAUUCUAGUUUCAUGAAUGACUUAACUCAUGGCUUCUUCCAUUCUUGUUUCAUGCAUGAUUGUAGAAAUUCUGUCGAGUUCUUCCGGAGCACAGGGCCAGAGCGGACCAGAUCGUGUUGCGCCAAUGCAAGAAGAAGGCCCACCAAAUGCAGUACGAGGUAAGCUAUGUGGCCAUCUCGACAUACCAUCACGACUAUCUUGGUGUGAAGAUGACCAAGAAAGACGCGCGGAGGAUGGGCAUUACCUUGGAGAGGGAGGAGUUCUUGAAGGUAAGUAUAAAAGAUUUUUCAUUAUGCUUUCAUUACCUUGUGGUACAUUUCACCGUUUCGUGUUGACAUGCCAUUAUGCUUUCAUUAUGUAGGUGUUACCAAAUUGGUGUUAUGGAAAAGACGAGUCCUGGGCGGCAUUGGUGGAUCUUUGGUGUGAUGAGGCUGGAGCCUGGGCGGCUAUGAGAGUCAAAAACAAGGCUAACCGAGGGAAGGAGGGAGUACAUGCUCAGGGAAACCGAAACCACUAUCUCCACAAGGCAGUUAAUGUAUGACUAACCCCAUUAAACAUUCUUCUUCUUCUAUUUACCAUCACUUUCUUAUGUAUGACUAACAUCUGUUUGGUGGUGCAGGAGGAGAAACUAAAGCGGCCACUCUCACACAUGCAGGCGUGGGAGAUCGCCCAUACGCGGAAGGACCCCAAGCCUGGCGAGCCCAAGUACUACAGCAAGAAGACCGCGGGGAGGAAGAAGGCCUAGUCCGAAGCGUAUCUAAAGUUACAUCCUGACACACCUGACCCCAUUGCGGCGGAUCGGGACGAGAGGGCGGUGGUGAGCAUGGGGCCCAAGGAGCACGGUUGGGAGGCGGUUCUCGAUGUUGUGAUCACUCCUACUAUCUCCUACACACACCUCCGUCGGAUCGACCUAAGCCUGAUCCAGCGCACGAGCCAGCCAGUGACCAGUGCAUAGUCCCUCUUUAAGGAGCAACAAUCUGUAAGUAUUUUCCCUCUUAUCUUCAUUGCUCACUUUAUUUUCCGCAUUUAGUAGUUUUAUGAGUUCCAUCAUGUCAUACCGUAGGCCUACCCGGAGUACACACGCCAGGAGACCAUGGCGUGGCAUGAGAGGCUUUACGAACACCAAGUGUAGAGGGUUCGCCAGAUGCAGCAGGCUUUUCAGGAAAUGGCGGCCGGCAGGUGUCCUCAUUUGCAUCCAGCACAAUGUCCUCCAGCACAACCAGUGCUGCUAACCUUUGAGGAGUUUGUGGCACAGAACGCUGGCCCCUCGCCGGUUAGUUCAUCCCCAAUCUAUUCACCCAAAGCAUGUCAUGUUGUCGGUGUCAAAACCGGCGGAUCUCAGGUAGGGUGUCCCAAACUGUGCGUCUAGGCGGAUGGUAACAAGAGACAAGGGACACAAUGUUUUACCCAGGUUCGGGCCCUCUUGAUGGAGGUAAAACCCUACGUCCUGCUUGAUUAAUAUUGAUGAUGUGUGUUACAAGAGUGGAUCUACCACGAGAUCAAGGAGGCUAAACCCUAGAAGCUAGCCUAUGGUAUGAUUGUUGUUCGUCCUAAGGACUAAAGCCAUCCGGUUAAUAUAGACACCGGAGAGGGCUAGGGUUACACAGAGUCGGUUACAAUGGUAGGAAAUCUACAUAUCCGUAUCGCCAAGCUUGCCUUCCACGCCAAGGAAAGUCCCAUCCGGACACGGGACGCAAUCUUCAAUCUUCUAUCUUCAUAGUCUUGGAGUCCGGCCGAUGAUGAUAGUUCGGCUAUCCGGACACCCCCUAGUCCGGGACUCCCUCAGUAGCCCCCGAACUGGGCUUCAGCGACGAUGAGUCCGGCGCGUAUAUUGUCUUUGGCGUUGCAAGGCGGGUUCUCCUUCAAACUUCAUGUUCCUGUUGAAUAGUGUCCGGCUUCCUUAUAAAUGUUGCCCUCCUUGGCUUCUACACCCAAUAAUGGCCUUCUUCCACGUGUCGUAUGAAUGCGAAAAGCUAGGGUAUUUUUACAUUUUACCCCCUAGCCGUGCGAACGAGCCGCCUAUAAGAGAGGCGAGGAUCAAGAUCCAGCUCACACCAUCCUCCAUCCGCAAGUUCUCAUCGAAGCGCCUCUGACAAAAAUCCAUUCCAUCAUGGAUAGUCGACGCGGCUCCUCCUCUCGCGCUCCCAGCCCUAAGCCAGGAGAUUGGGGGAGAUGCUCAGUUCCACACAGCGAGCUAGUGGCGCUCCAAACCGAGGGAUAUCUUCCCCCAGCUUUCAUGGUUCCGGUUCGAGCCGGACUGGCCACCUUCAAGGGUGGAAAGCAGGCGGAGAGCAUCCCCAACCCUUCCAAAGGAGAGCGGGUAUGCUUCGUCCCUUAUGUAAUAAGGGGACUCGAAUUUCCCAUACACCCAUUUCUCUGGGGGCUCUUGGAGUUCUACGGACUCCAGCUUCACCACCUCACACCUGCCUCCAUUUUGCACAUCGCGGGCUUCGUAGCUCUUUGCGAGCUGUUCCUGGGCAUCGAGCCCCAUUUUGCGCUGUGGAAGAGAUUGUUUUGCCUCGUACCCCGUUCCUAUGACGGGUCGAUAUAUCAAGUGGGCGGAGCCGAAAUAUGGCGCAUCGCUGGGACCGGAUAUCUAUCUGGCACCCCGAAGAAGGCGUCUGAAGACUGGCCUUCGGAAUGGUUCUACAUGGAGGACGCCCCUCUGCCGGAUCCAAUUCGGGUCGGCCUCCCGGAGUUCAGCAAUGCUCCCUUGAAGAAACGCCUGAGUUGGCACCCGCGGAGCCCUCAACGGGAGGAGGAUGGGAGCGUCCAUUAUCUAAUGGUCCGGAUUAGGUUACUGGCCCACUCCGGAUUGACCAUGAUUGGAAUCAUGGCCACGUGCAUUAUGCGAGGGGUGCAACCACUCCAAUAUAGGGGCCACCCUAUGUGGGAUUUCAACGGGGAAGACGACGCCACCCGUCAUGGCCGCAGAGGGCCGAGCUCGGUAGCCGAUCUGGCAAAGAUCCUAUCCGGCUUGUACAAGGGGGAGGAGGAGGACUUUCUCCGCACGAAUACAUUGAACGGAUUCUCCAUGAAUAACCCUCGGAGCUGGGUAAGCGGACGUUUAUCUACCCGAUCCAUACUUCCAAAGUCAAGUAUUUUACUUUGUGAUUUCGACGCAGGAGCUACGCCGGGACGUGGAGGACAUACGAAGCCCAACUCCACAGCCCGAGGAUCCGGAACGACCCCUUGAUCCGACCUCCGAAGAGGAUCUGGACAUAAAGGUGGAGCUGAUUGACGGGGUGUUCCACCAACUUAGCAUGGACAAUGCCCUAGUCGCCAUUACGGCUGACUACCCUGGUUUGUUUCCGGCCUCCCAGGUGACUACGACCGAGGUCUUGACACCAUCAUUUGAUCCGUGCUCAAUUCUGACCAUCCUAUACUGAUGGUGCAUCGCAGGAGGUGCCUUUAAGGCGGGAAGCCGAACCUGUGGCGGCUGAUCAGCAAGGGUCAGUUCGGCCCAGCAGGCGGAAGAGGAGUGCGACGCGAAUCGAAAUGUCGCUGCAACGGUACGGCACACCAUUGUUUUUAAGGGAAGGAUCCCUAUAUUAAUGCUCAUAACUUUUUCCAGGAGAAAGAGCGCUCGCCGGACAGUGUCCGGAGAGGUUGCCAAUCAAGCCUCCACCAGCCAUGCUCCAUCGCAUGGUCCGGAAGUGGAGGCGAACACAAGGCAAGAGCCGGAUGCUCCUCCGACGGAGGAUGCCGACAGGCUGUCCGCCACCCGGUUUGAGGUGGAGAGCGCCAUGAAUCACAGGCGUCGCCGGAAAGUUCUUCGUGACGCGUGUUUCUCCCCGGAGGCGUUAAAUGCCUUUGAUGCGGGAAACGCGCACCUCCGUGCUGCUCAAGAUGGUUUAACCAGAGCCACGGAGCAGUAUGUGAAGGACAUACGGGUAAGUAAUUUUAAUAGUUAUAUAUGCUAGUAGCCCCCAAGACUUAAAAUAGUUAAAAUAACUGAUUUAAGGAUCAUUUAUUAUGCAGGAUCUUACGGAGAAGAAUACCCACCUAUCCCAGGAGCUCCAAGAGUGCAAGGCCCAACUUGAGGCUGCACUAGCCACCACAGGGGGAGCCACAGAGACCCACGCUGGUAAUACGUACUUCGAAAAGAUAAGUAGUUAACAAAGUGUGGCGUGUACGUAAAUCUGACAAUAAUAUUGCAGAGGGCGCCGGACUAGAUCUGGACAAGCAAUAGCUAUUGCGUCAGCUAAAGGCCGGCGAGAGGGUGCUUAUGAAGGUGUAGCAGGAGAGAAACAAGCUCCAAGAUGCCCACACCCAGCUAGGAGAAGAGCUGAAAGGUGUUCGGGCCCAGCUGUCUGGCUCCGUGAAGGAGAAUCAGCGGCUUCGUCGCGGCAUUUAUAGUAAGUGCUUGAGCAAAUUCCUUUGAAAAGAAGAAUUCGGCGAGGAAGUCGAUUGACAGAAAUGUGUCUUUAGGUGUGCUCACAGGUCGCCCUGCGGAGGAAAUGCCUGGUUCAACGGGUGACCAACUUCCCGAGCUGGUGCAACUGCUCGAACGUGUUCGGCAGGCGAUGAGUGGCGUCGUUCAGGCUUUAUGGCCAUCCGUCUCCCUACCCGAGGGCCUUGGAGGGCUUGCUGAGAAGCUUCAGGGAGCACGGCGACGCCUCCGUCUGUGGAAGAUAUCGGCCUGCCGUCAGGGCGCCAGGGAGGCCUGGGCCAUGGUGAAGACGCGGUACCCGAAGGCUGACCCAAACCACAUGGCCGAGGUCGGACCUGCAGGGCCUGAUGGGAAGGAGAUCCCUGUGAGCUUGAUGUACGGCCAAGUAGAACUGGCCAUGAAAUAUUCCCAACAGGACUGUAAAUUAGACAACCUGUUAGAUGGGAUUGAAGAGGAGUACAAUCAGUCAGUUUGACGAUGUAAUUUGAAAUGACAUGUAAAAUGCCUUCUAGCCGGAUUGUAGAUCGUUUGUCUUUGCGGACCUUUUCGCUUCAACCUCGGGACCCAACAGUCCGGAGUGUGUCCGAAUACCCUUACGGUUAUAGAAGAACCGGGGCAUGCGUGGAGACAAGGCGUCGGGGUCAUAAUUGCUUUAUCAGACAAGUGCCCAACUAGCUAUGUUAUAUUACAUGGUUAGUAAGAAACAUCUUCCAGGGAGAAUAGUUCCGUUAAGGGUUCCUUUCCCUGGGAGGCAUGCGCUAAAGUGCAUGUCCGGACUGUGAAAAUAGCAAAAAAAGCAUCUACGGGCAAAUAAAUAAGUAAGUAAUAAAUCAUCUUUCAAGUCACUCACCGAAUAUUCUCUUAAGAACGCUAGCUUUUGGCUUCACCCAGUCUGAGGUACACAUCCGGCUGACCCGGCAGUAACAAUCGCAGAGGUGCUCCCUUUACCUCCUAGUCGAACAAUCGGCAUGUAGGGGUAAGCAUAGGAACCAGGCAACCCAGCUUGGCCAAAACUUAAGUCAUAUCGAUGCAUAUAAUGGUGAAUAAAAGGUACAUGCGGAAGUAUGACACAUGUGUUGGGCAUGAAGCCCGUAUAAUUAAGCUUCUGUUAAGGAAGCCCCCAGGUAUAAUGAGUGCUAGGAGCACAUCAAGUGUGUGCCAACAAUGCGCAAAUCAGCCUAUCCAAGGUAUUGGAAAAAAAAGUGGGAAGAAGGAGGGGGACAAGAGAUAGUGAAAAUGUAAAAAGGUGGACGGAGGAGUGAGACGAACUCUGAGUCCGGCGUUAGGCGUAGAAUCUUCGGAGACGGGCUGCGUUCCAUGGGUUCGGCUUGAGUCGGUUGUCAGAUGCGUUGCACAGACUGUAUGCUCCGCCGGUUAGGACUUGGUCGAUGAUGAAGGGACCUUCCCACUUGGGCUUAAGUUUGUCCUUUUUCUUGUCCGACAGGCGUAGAACAAGUUUGCCAACAUUGUAAGCUUUGGCCCGUACUUCUCUGCUUUGAUAUCUUCGAGCCUGCUAUUGAUAAAAUGCGGAACGAGCUUUUGCCACUUCCUGCUCCUCCUCUAAGGCGUCCAAACUGUCCUGCCGAUCCAGCUCGGCUUCUCUUUCUUCGUACAUGCGCACGCGAGGUGAGUCAUGAAUUAUAUCGCAGGGCAGAACUGCCUCUGCACCGUACACCAUAAAAAUGGUGUGAAUCCGGUAGUUCGGUUUGGCAUGGUCCGCAACCCCCAGAGUACGGAGUCGAGCUCCUCUACCCAGUGCUUGUUAGAUUCCUUGAGGGACCGCACUAGUCUGGGUUUGAUGCCGCUCAUGAUUAGACCAUUUGCUCGCUCGACUUGACCGUUAGUUUGGGGGUGAUAGACUGAAGCAUAGUCGAACUUGAUGCCCAUAUUUUUGCACCAGAGUUUAACCUCGUCGGCCGUGAAAUUCAUGCCGUUGUCAGUGAUGAUGCUGUGGGGGAUGCCAAAACGGUGUACUACCCCGGAUAUAAAAUCUAUCACAGGUCCGGAUUCUGCCGUUUUAACCGGCUUGGCUGCAAUCCAUUUGGUGAAUUUGUCCACCAUGACCAAUAAGUAUUUGUGCUUGUGGGUUCCCCCUUUAAGGGGUCCAACCAUGUCAAGCCCCCAGACCGCGAACGGCCCGGUGAUGGGUAUAGUUUUGAGGGUGGUGGGUGGCAUGUGGCUCUGAUUAGCAAAGAGCUGGCAACCGACGCAUCGUUGGACUAAGUCCUGAGCAUCUUCCCGGGCUGUCGGCCAAUAAAAUCCUGUACGCAAGGCCUUGCCUACAAGGGCCCGGGCUGCAGCGUGGUGCCCGCCGAGUCCGGCGUGAAUUUCAGCUAGGAGAUUACGCCCUUCCUCUUUGGAGAUACACCUUUGAAGGACUCCGGUUGUGCUUUUCUUAUAAAGUUCUCCCUCAUGGACCUUGUAGGCUUUAGACCGCCGAACUAUGCAGCGGGCCUCAUUUUGGUCUUUGGGAAGUUCCUGCCUAAUUAAGUAGGCUAGGAAUGGUUCCGUCCAUGGGGCAAUUACUGCCAUUAUUUCAUGGGCUGAAGGUGUUAUUUCAUUUGCUGAGCCGCCGAUUGUGUCAGAAUUGUCUGAGUUAGGUGCUGCAGCUGGCUCCGGAUUGUUAUUUCCGGACUCCUCUUCCCAUAAUACGGAUGACUUAAAGAGCCAUUCCAGGAAGAUGUUUGGAGGGAUGGAGUCGCGUUUUGCGCUGAUGCGUGCUAACACGUCUGCUGCCUGGUUAUUAUCCCGGGCUACAUGGUGGAAUUCGAGUCCUUCGAACCGAGCUGACAUUUUUAGGACAGCGUUGCGGUAAGCUGCCAUUUUCAGAUCUUUGGCGUCAAAGUCUCCAUUUACUUGGGAUAUUGCGAGGUUUGAAUCCCCGCGCACCUCUAGGCGUUGAAUGCCCAUGGAGAUUGCCAUCCAGAGGCCGUGUAGGAGGGCCUCGUAUUCGGCUGCGUUGUUGGAGUCCAUGUACAUUAUUUGAAGUACAUAUUGGACUGUGUCUCUAGUUGGGGACGUCAAGACGACGCCAACCCCCAAGCCGGCCAACAUUUUGGAUCUGUCGAAAUGCAUGAUCCAAUUGGAGUACGCGCCAUACUCUUUAGGGAGUUCGGCUUUGGUCCAUUCGGUGACGAAGUCAGCCAGAACUUGCGAUUUUAUAGCUCGCCGUGGUUUGUAGGUUAUGUCAAAUGGUAAGAGCUCAAUGGCCAAUUUUGCAAUCCUGCCCGUUGCGUCGCGAUUGUUUAUAAUAUCGUUGAGAGGUACUUCGGAGGCCACCGUCAUGGAACACUUUUGAAAAUAGUGUCGCAUCUUCUAGGAUGCCAUGAACACUGCGUACGCUAUCUUUUGAUAAUGUGGGUACCGGGACUUGCAUGGAGUUAAGACAGUGGAUACGUAGUACACUGGUUUUUGAAGAGGGAAUCUGUGCCCUUCUGUUUCUCGUUCGACGACGAGUACCGCGCUGACAACUUGAUGUGUUGCUGCGAUAUAUAAUAACAUAGGUUCGCCCAGGUUGGGCGCGGCCAGGACCAGAUUUGUUGCCAGUAUGGCCUUGAUUUCUUCGAGUCCGGCCGUGGCGGCAUCCGUCCAUUCGAAGUGUUCGGUGCGCCGGAGGAGGCGAUAGAGGGGCAGAGCCUUUUCUCCCAAAUGGGAGAUGAAGCGGCUUAGAGCCGCUACGCACCCAGUUAGUUUUUGUAUUUGCUUGAGGUCUUUUGGGAUAUCCAAUUGUGACAGAGCUUGGAUCUUGGCUGGGUUUGCUUCAAUUCCUCUACCGGAUACAAUGAAGCCCAAAAGCUUUCCGGCUGGUACUCCAAAGACACAUUUUUCCAGGUUGAGCUUAAUGUCAUAUGCUCGGAGGUUGUCAAAUGUCACCCUCAAGUCGUCUACUAGAGUUCCAACGUGUUUGGUCUUGACGACCACAUCGUCUACGUAUGCCUCUACUGUUUUGCCUAUCUGGGUAGCCAGACAUGUCUGAAUCAUGCGCUGAUAUGUUGCGCCGGUGUUUUUGAGUCAGAGGGCAUUGUGUUGAAGCAGAAUGGCCCAUAUGGAGUAAUGAAUGCCGUUGCGGCCUGGUCUUUUUCUGCCAUCUUGAUUUGAUGGUAUCCGGAGUAUGCGUCGAGGAAGCACAAUGAAUCGUGCCCUGCGGUAGCAUCGAUGAUUUGGUCGAUGCGAGGGAGAGGGAAAGGCUCCUUUGGACAGGCCUUGCUAAGGUCUUUGAAAUCGACGCAGAGGCGCCAGGAUUUGUCCUUUUUUGGUACCAUUACUAGGUUGGCUAGCCAGUCCGGAUGUUUGAUAUCUCUGAUGAAUCCGGCUUCUAAGAGCUUGGCUAGCUCCUCUCCCAUUGCCUGUCUUUUGGGUUCGGAAAAUCGCCGAAGAGCUUGUUUGACUGGCUUGAAUCCUUUUAGGAUAUUUAGGGUGUGCUCUGCCAGCCUGCGUGGGAUUCCUGGUAUGUCUGAAGGGUGCCAGGCAAAAAUGUCCCAGUUUUCCCGGAGGAAUUCUCGUAGUGCGGCUUCUACAUCAGGAUUUAAUUGUGCCCCAAUGGAUGCCGUUUUUGUGGGGUCCAUUGGAUGGACCUGAAAUUUGACUAUUUCGUCUGCUGGUUUGAAAGAGGUGGACUUGGACCUCUUGUCGAGUAUCACAACGUCCCUAUCCACCGUGGAGCGCAGCGCAGUUAGUUCCUCUGCCGCUAGGGCUUCGGAUAAUGCCUCUAGGGCCAGUGCGGCUGUCUUAUUUUCAGCGCGUAGUGCUGUAUCUGGAUCACUGGCGAGAGUGAUUAUUCCAUUGGGUCCGGGCAUUUUGAGCUUCAUGUACCCGUAAUGGGGUAUAGCUUGGAAGAUUGUGAAUGCCUCUCGCCCUAACAAGGCGUGAUAUCCGCUGCCGAAUGGGGCCACUUGGAACGUGACCUCUUCGGACCUGUAAUUGUCCAGCGAGCCGAACACUACAUCUAGUGUUAUUUUUCCUAUGCAACGUACUUCUCGACAAGGGAUUAUUCCCCUAAAGGUUGUGCUGCUCCGCUCGAUGCGGCUCCAGUCAAUUUCCAUUUUUUGAAGAGUUUCUUCAUAGAUGAGGUUUAAUCCGCUGCCGCCAUCCAUGAGUACCUUGGUAAGACGAAAGCCAUCCACUAUCGGACGGAGGACCAAUGCGGCUGGUGCUCUAGCUGUUCGGAAUUUAGGUUCGUCGCUGGCAUUGAAGGUGAUAGCCGUGUCACUCCAUGGAUUUGUUGUUGCUACUUGGUAGACUUCGACGAGGCUGCGGAUUGUUCGUUUCCGCAUGUUAUUUGAUGCGAAAGUCUGGAAGACUGUUAAUACCGUACUGGUGCUGCUGGGUUGGUUGCCCGGGGCUAAAAAGCCUUCGCCACUUUUGGCCACCUGCCGUAAUAUCCAACAUGCUCGAAGGCUAUGUGUUGGAGUGGCGCCCUCCGUACUGUGGAUUUUCCAGGGUCCAUUGAGCCAUCCCUCCAGUACGGUUCCGUACCCUUUAGGGGGUUUUUGCUUUUUCGUUUUUAACCCAGGUGCUUGAGUAUGACGCACCCUUUUAUUUCGGACUGGGGUUGUAUUCAGGGCCAGAUUGUCCCAAAACCUAGUUUCGGUUUUCCAGGCACUCUCCAUCGCGCAGUAUUUUUGUACAAUGGUCGCUAGGUCGACGAAGCGUGUAACUUCGCGAUGACUGAUGGCGUUUAUGAUUCCCUUGUCCGUGCUAUUGUUGCAGAAGAUUGAAAUCGCGCUUUCUUCACGGCAGUCCUUUAUCCUGUUCAUAACCAGGAGGAAUCUGGCCCAGUAAUGAUGUACUGUUUCAUCGGGCUCUUGCCGUAUUUGAGAUAGAUCGCUUAUGUUUGGGUGGGCGGGUGGAAUCAAGUUCGGAACCCCGCCCGAUCUAAGGCUCAAAGGCCAAGAAGCUUCCGAAUUCGGAAGCUUGGUUUGCUGGACGCUUUCCAACAAAUCUGGUCCGAUGCCUGACUUUAGGUUCAGUAUUUGAUUAGCGUCCAUCCCUCCGCGGGAAUCCGGCAUGGAGGGAUCGGGAAUCCGGACAUAGUUGGUUUCUAACAUAGAAGAAGAGUCGCCGCAUUGUUCCUCUACCACAACAACGUGGUGGGUAACCUGGGGAGAGUUAAUUUAUCUCAGAUCGGUUUUAAGCCCAAUCUGAUCAUAGUCGGUAGCGACUCCCAGGGCGGCGAUGCGAUCCAAUAGCUCGUUUACGGAGGAGAGCUCAAUCGGAUCUAGCUGCUCGGCGUAUUCCGAGAUGACGUGAAGAUUGCUUUUAAUGACCUGAGAGGUCAUUGUCGGAGCGGUGGCCGAACAGGCGGUCAUAAGAAAACCGCCUAGCCGGAUAGUCUGGCCAGCGGCCAAAGCUCCCUUGACGACGGUGCCGUCUUUAAAGACGGGAAAAGGCAUCCUUCCUGAUGGUGAAGGCACAGAGGAACUCUCAAUGAAAGCACCAAUGUCGGUGUCAAACCGGCGGAUCUCGGGUAGGGGGUCCCGAACUGUGCGUCUAGGCGGAUGGUAACAGGAGACAAGGGACAUGAUGUUUUACCCAGGUUCAAGUCCUCUUGAUGGAGGUAAAACCCUACGUCCUGCUUGAUUAAUAUUGAUGAUGUGUGUUACAAGAGUGGAUCUACCACGAGAUCAAGGAGGCUAAACCCUAGAAGCUAGCCUAUGGUAUGAUUGUUGUUCGUCCUAAGGACUAAUGCCAUCCGGUUUAUAUAGACACCGGAGAGGGCUAGGGUUACACAGAGUCGGUUACAAUGGUAGGAAAUCUACAUAUCCGUAUCGCCAAGCUUGCCUUCCACGCCAAGGAAAGUCCCAUCCGGACACGGGACGAAGUCUUCAAUCUUCUAUCUUCAUAGUCUUGGAGUCUGGCCGGUGAUGAUAGUUCGGCUAUCCGGACACCCCCUAGUCCGGGACUCCCUCACAUGCCUUUCAACACAGUCAUAUAUCCUGUUAAUACGUCUUUUCAACAUCCGGGGAACAGGUGGAUCUACCGUCGGCGAUGGUCUUCGCAGCACUCCCGAUACACGGAGCCCGACCAAUCCGAUCCACGGAGGCGGAGGCGGAGGUGCAGGUGGUCUUGGCGGUAGCGCUGCCGCUACCAGUGACGACCUGGGCUUCGGCGGUCUUGGAGGUGACGACCUCCGCGGUGCUCGACGUCCUGGAUCUUAAGCCUGUCAGUUACUUGUGUGCUUAUGCUUAUGUUUCUUUAGAUGACUUGUGUGUGGUGAUGAUCCUUUAGAUCACUUGUGUGCUUCUCUAUAUGCUUAUGCUUAUGAUUGUGAUGAUGCUUAUGCAUAUAUUGUUGUGAUGGUGCCGGAUGAUAUCAUGAUGUGUUCUAUAUGUCUAUUUCCAUCAUAUAUAUCUGCUGAUAUGUGCUGUAUAUUUGAAAUUGAAUCGAUCUGAAAACAAACAGGAAAAAGAAAAAAAAUCAAAUGUAAACUAUGCCGACGGCUAGGCCGUCGGCAUAGGGCUGGCGUGAGCUCCCAGUUCACAGUUUUUAAACUAAGCCGACGGCCUAGCCGUCGGCAUAGACACCACGUGUCAGCAAGUGGGAGCUCUUGACGAAGGGAUAUGCCGACGGCUAGCCGUCGGCAUAGUUUGAAACUAAACCGACGGCUAGGCUGUCGGCAUAUCCCUGGCCCAUGANNNNNNNNNNNNNNNNNNNNNNNNNNNNNNNNNNNNNNNNNNNNNNNNNNNNNNNNNNNNNNNNNNNNNNNNNNNNNNNNNNNNNNNNNNNNNNNNNNNNNNNNNNNNNNNNNNNNNNNNNNNNNNNNNNNNNNNNNNNNNNNNNNNNNNNNNNNNNNNNNNNNNNNNNNNNNNNNNNNNNNNNNNNNNNNNNNNNNNNNNNNNNNNNNNNNNNNNNNNNNNNNNNNNNNNNNNNNNNNNNNNNNNNNNNNNNNNNNNNNNNNNNNNNNNNNNNNNNNNNNNNNNNNNNNNNNNNNNNNNNNNNNNNNNNNNNNNNNNNNNNNNNNNNNNNNNNNNNNNNNNNNNNNNNNNNNNNNNNNAUAGUUUGAAACUAAACCGACGGCUAGGCCGUCGGCAUAGGUGUGCCACGUGGCGACCAGAUGUUGGUCACACUCGACGGCGGCCGCCGUUAGACGUGAACGUUGACGAUGGCCAGGGCCGCAGGCAUAGAUGUACGGCCCCCGUCGGGAAAGCUACUAUGCCGACGGCCUUUCUAUGCCGACGGCCUCCCGGGCUACGCCGACGUAUAUGUUGUCGACGGGGGCCGUCGGCAUAGGUCUGUCCCGAUGGGAUUCAGGGAUAUGCCGACGGCCCUGGCCGUCGGCAUAGGGGGCGAUUCUGGUAGUGACUCGUAAAGAGUCACUACUCCAGAACGACUCGUCGACUCGAAAACCUUGGUGGAGACAACAUAAAUGGAAGCCCCAUGGUAGUAAACAAGUUCAGAAGUGCAACGUCAGGGACUACGUCUAAAGAAGUUCACAAGUACAAAGAACAUGUCGAGCAUAGCCACAAACAUGCACAUCACACUCCGUCGGCGAGGCAUACCUGUAAAUUGAAGGUCCAAAUUUAAUAAUUUCAGAAUAAUGGCAUCCAUCAUGUAUAUAAUCAGCAUUUGCUAAAACAUACGGAGGUUCUACAAGGCAGAUGUAUAAAAUCUGGUUUUCAUGUCUACACUCUAGCAAGAAGAGUUGAGAAGAAAGUCAAAAAAAAAGAGUUGAGAAGAACUAACUCGAGUCAAUUUCUUGACGUUGGAGUACCACCACCAUGAUGGGUGCUUGGACUUCCUUGAUCGUGUGCAGAUGUACCACCUCCAGGGUCAUUUGAUCCAGCUAAUAGAUGCAUCUGUAAGCAUUAGAUAGUAAGCACAACUCUUUAUGCUAGGAAGGGGAGUAAUGGCGAUUGAAAGGUAUGAAGAGAACUCACAUGAGUGUGGGGAGCACAAGGAGGGGGAGGCUUGUCAACGAUGGCGGACUUUUGCCGUGGAGAGCAUAAGGACUCUGCAUGUUAUUUUUGAGGUGGCAAGGUUACCUACUGUAGCAAAGACGAAGGGUAUGUAAUGAAACUAAGGCUUCCGCUUGGCUAUUACACAACAACCACAACAAAGCUUUUAGUCCCAAACAAAUUGGGGUAGGCUAGAGGUGAAACCCAUAACAUCUCGCAACCAACUCAUGGCUCUAGCACAUGGAUAGCAAGCUUCCACGCACCCCUGUUCAUAGCUAGCUCUUUGGUGAUACUCCAAUCCUUCAGGUAUCUCUUAACGGACUCCUCCCAUGUCAAAUUCGGUCUACCCCGCCCUCUCUUGACGUUAUCCGCACGCUUUAGCCGUUUACUAUGCACAGGAGCUUCUGGAGGCCUGCGCUGAAUAUGCCCAAACCAUCUCAGACGAUGUUGGACAAGCUUCUCUUCAAUUGAUGCUACCCCAACUCUAUCUCGUAUGUCAUCAUCCCGGACUUGAUCCUUCCUUGUGUGGCCACAUAUCCAUCUCAACAUACGCAUCUCCGCCACACCUAACUAUUGAACAUGUCGCCUUUUAGUCGGCCAACACUCAGCGCCAUACAACAUUACAGGUCGAACCGUCGUCCCGUAGAACUUGCCUUUUAACUUUUGUGGCAUUCUCUUGUCAUAGAGAAUGCCAGAAGCUUGGUGCCACUUCAUCCAUCCGGCUUUGAUUCGAUGGUUCAUAUCUUCAUCAAUACCCCCAUCCUCCUGCAGCAUUGACCCCAAAUACCGAAAGGUGUCCUUCUGAGGUACCACCUGUCCAUCAAGGCUAACCUCCUCCUCCUCCCCACACCUAGUAGUACUAAAACCGCACAUCAUGUACUCGGUUUUACUUCUACUAAGCCUAAACCCUUUUGAUUCCAAGGUUUGUCUCCUUAACUCUAACUUCCUAUUUACCCCCGUCCGACUAUCGUCAACUAGCACCACAUCAUCCGCAAAGAGCAUACACCAUGGGAUAUCUCCUUGUAUAUCCCUUGUGACCUCAUCCAUCACCAAUGCAAAAAGAUAAGGGCUCAAAGCUGACCCCUGAUGCAGUCCUAUCUUAAUCGGGAAGUCAUCAAUGUCAACAUCACUUGUUCGAACAAUUGUCAUGGCAUUAUCGUACAUGUCCUUAAUGAGGGUAAUGUACUUUGCUGGGACUUUGUGUUUCUCCAAGGCCCACCACAUGACAUUCCGCAGUAUCUUAUCAUAGGCCUUCUCCAAGUCAAUGAACACCAUAUGCAAGUCCUUCUUUUGCUCCCUAUAUCUCUCCAUAAGUUGUCGUACCAAGAAAAUGGCUUCCAUGGUCGACCUCCCAGGCAUGAAAUCAAACUGAUUUUUGGUCAUGCUUGUCAUUCUUCUUAAGCGGUGCUCAAUGACUCUCUCCCAUAGCUUCAUUGUAUGGCUCAUCGGCUUAAUUCCACGGUAAUUAGUACAACUCUGAGCAUCCCCCCUGUUUUUGAAGAUUGGUACUAAUAUACUCCGUCUCCAUUCUUCUGGCAUCUUGUUUGCCCGAAAAAUGAGGUUGAAAAGCUUGGUUAGCUAUAUUAUCGCUAUGUCCCCAAGACCUUUCCGCACCUCAAUGGGGAUACAAUCAGGGCCCAUCGCCUUGCCUCCUUUCAUCCUUUUUAACACCGCCUUGACCUCAGACUCCUGGAUUCGCCACACAAAACGCAUGUUGGUCCCAUCAAAGGAGUCAUCCAAUUAAAUGGUAUAACUCUCAUUUUCCCCAUUGAACAGCUUGUCAAAGUACUCCCGCCAUCUAUGCUUAAUCUCCUCAUCCUUCACCAAGAGUUGCCCUGCUCCGUGCUUGAUGCAUUUGACUUGGCUAAUAUCCCUCGUCUUCCUGUCUCGGAUCUUGGCCCUCUUAUAGAUGUCCCUUUCGCCUUCCUUCGUGCCUAACCGUUGGUAGAGGUCCUCAUAUGCCCGACCCCUUGCUUCACCAACAGCUCACUUGGCAGCCUUCUUUGCCAUCUUAUACUUCUCUAUGUUGUCUACACUCCUAUCGAGGUAUAAGCGUCUGAAGCAAUCUCUCUUCUCUUUAAUCGCCUGCUGGACAUCAUCAUUCCACCAUAAGGUAUCCUUAUCUUCUCUUCUCCUUCCCCUAGACACUCCAAACUCCUCCGAGGCCAUCUUACGAAUGCAAGUCGCCAUCUUCAUCCACACAUUGUUCGCAUCCCUUCCUUCUUCCCAAGGGCCCUCCUUAAUGACCCUCUCCUGGAACGCCUGAGCUACCCCCCCUCCCCUAUAGCUUCCACCACUUCGUUCUAGCGACUCUAGCACACUUAUCCCGCUGGAGACGAAUCUGAAAGCGGAAGUCGGCAACCACCGGCUUAUGCUGGGGUACAACACUCUCUCCAGGUAUCACCUUACAAUCUAGGCACGCACGCCUAUCUUCUCUUCUCGAGAGGAUGAAAUCAAUCUGGCUAGAGUGUUGGCCACUACUAAAAGUCACCAGAUGUGAUUCUCUCUUUCUAAAGAGGGUGUUAGCUAUGAUCAUGUUGUAGGCUAGAGCAAAGCUUAAGACAUCUUCUCAGUCUUGAUUCCUGAUGCCAUAGCCAAAGUCCCAAUUCGCCCCUUCAAAACCUGUGUUAGAUGUACCCACGUGGCCAUUAAUGUCUCCUCCUAUGAAGAGCUUCUCACCAAUCGGUACACUCCUAACCAUGUCUUCCAGGCCUUCCCAGAACUCUCUCUUGGUGUUCUCAUUGUGGCCUACUUGUGUGGCAUACACGCUGAUAACAUUGAGAACGAAGUCCUCAACUACCAGCUUGACCAGGAUAAUCUGGUCCCCACGUCUCUUGAUGUCUACCCCUCCAUACUUGAGGCUCUUGUUGAUCAAGAUGCCUACGACAUUUCUGUUUGCAGCAAUCCCGUUGUACCACAUCUUGAAGCUUGUAUCCUCCACCUCCUUCACCUUCUGUCCUCUCCAUUUUGUUUCUUGGACGCAAAGGAUAUCAAACCACUUCUCACCGCUGCAUCUACAUUCCAGCUACCUAAGCGAAUCCUCCUAGGCUCGGUAGCUUCGUUACCCUUCGCACUCGUCGAGUCAAAUGCGAAGACCCUUGCUCAUUUUCCACUACAUCCGUGCACCGAUGUAGCGCGCCACUAAGGAUGUGACGACCCGAUGCUCGCUCACUUGCCACUGUAUCCGGAUCAAGAUACGGUGCGCCACCUUGGGGCUGACGGCCCGGCCCUUGCCCAUUUUCCACAACACCCGGUUCUGAUGUAGCGCGUCGCUAAGAGGGUUACGCCCCAACAAAAAUCUUUUGGGUUUCAUCUCCAUAAGAGUGGCUGAGUUUUUACGUUGGCUCGACAAGCCUAUCACAACCCUCCUCCUUUACCCGGGCUUUGGGACCGGCUCUGUUGAGACAACAUAGGCGAAGUUUCCGCUUGGCUAUUAUGGGCAAGAAUUACUAACCUGGAAUUGCUCCUGGUAGAGAGCUCGUUCUGCCUCCAAUCUCUCCUUGAUGUCUUGAUAAUCCUCUCCUCGAUGGCUUGACUCAGUGCCGCCAGCCUCUCCUCGACAGCUUGAGUCUGUGCCGCCAGCCUCUCCUUGAUGAAUUGAUUCUGUGCCGCCCUGCUCUCCUUGAUGAAUUGAUUAUGUGCCGCCCUGCUCUCCUUGAAGUCUUGACGUUGUGCCGCCAUCCUCUCCUCGAAGUCUUGACGUUGUGCCACCCUGCUCUCCUUGAAGUUUUGACGUUGUGCCACCUUUUGCUACUUGAAGAAUUGACUCUAUGCCGCCAUCCACUCCUUGAAGAGUUGAUUAUGUGCCGCCAUCCUCUCCUCGAAGAAUUGAUUCUGUGUCGCUAUCCUCUCCUCUUGCCUUCUCACGGCUUCCUCCCGUAGCCUCCUUUCUUCCUCCAUCCGGGCCUACAACAUGUAAUUGCAAUCUCAUAAUAGUUGCAAUGCAAGCAUGUAAGGACCGGCGAGGAUGAAUGAAGGAGAGCUAACCUCGAGUUGGGAGAACAUAACUGAAAUAGCAUGUGGAUGAGGGUGUACAGAAGAAGUUGAACAAGCACUUUUUGCUCGGAUCCGAGGGAUAGAGUGGGAGUGGAUGACGUCUUCAUGAGGCCAUCACCAAUCCCUAACGAGGCAUACAUAUAUAUAUAGGCAUGGAGGGUAACAUUGUUUUGUAGUAUGUUUUUCGCUACCAAUUUAAAUCCACAGCCAACUAGUUCAUUUAGACCGAUCUGUCUUCUUAAGAAAACAGAGGCUGUGAGGAGUGAGCAAUUUAGACCGAUCUGUCUUCUUAAUGUUAGCUUUAAAAUCUUCACCAAAGUUGGGACUAAUAGGCUUACACAGAUUGCGCAUUCUGUGGUACAGCCGUCUCAAACUGCUUUCAUGCUGGACAGAAACAUCCUAGAAGGGGUUGUAGUUCUGCAUUAAACGCUCCAUGAAAUCCACAUGAGAAAACUAGAUGGGGCGGUUUUCAAAGUGGAUUUUAAGAAAGCGUACGACAAGGUAAAAUGACCAUUUCUUCAGCAAGCUUUGCGUAUGAAGGGAUUCGAUCAGGCCUGGAGAGACCAGGUAGAUUCUUUCACGCAAAAAAGGGAGUGUUGAAAUCAGGGUUAAUUAUGACAUAGGUAAUUAUUUCCAGACACACAAGGAUCUGAGACAAGGAGAUCCGAUAUCGUCGAUUCUGUUCAACAUAGUCGUUGACAUGUUGACAAUCCUAAUAGAAAGGGCCAAGGAUGAUUGUCAGGUAUAGGGCUGGACAUUCUGUAUAAACCGAAAUUUCGGGUUUAUACCAUUCGGUUUUUCCUUAAAUUCGGUUUGGGAAAAUGGAAACCGAAAAUGGUAGCCAAAAAUAGGUAACCUAAAAUUCGGUUAACCAAAUAUUCGGUACGGUUAUCGGUUUUAUACCGAAGUGCCCCAUUUAAAUAUUUCUGCUUUGACUGCAACAUUGGUAUCCUCUUAUAUAGGUAAAAAUAUCUGUCUCCUCUUCUUAGUCGGGCGAGGUGGGACUAAAGGUACCAAAUGACCUGACCGGCUGUUCGCCUGAUCGCACAAGCCCCGACCAAAAAUCCACGUAAGUUGGGCCUUGUACCCUUGCAUGCACUAGUCAGGUAGGCCCACUGCCCACAUUACGUGAGAUGCGUGACGUGCGUUGCUUGAUCGUGGGCGCUUUCCUCAAGAAAAAAAGUGAAGCUAGCUCGUGCGCGGCCAGGCUACAGAGUACUAGUAGUCUAGUACGUCCCUUUGCGAGCGAUGUGAGCAGAGCUCGGUGCUGCUUCUACACAUAACUUUGGUUUUUUGCUUCGGUUAAUCGGUAUAACACCGAACUGAAUUAAAUUACUUCGGUUUAUACAUUUGAAAACCGAAUUUUUCUAUAAUAGUUAGAAAAACCGAAAAUUCAGUAUUUUCGGUUUCGGCUUCGGUUCGGUCUUCGGUUCAUUGGUUUUUAUGCCCACCCCUAGUCAGGUAGGUGGCCUCGUCCCGCAUUUAGUUGACGGGGGAGUGUCUAUCCUACAGUACGCUGAUGAUAUUAUCAUCUUUAUGGAGCAUAAUUUGGCUAAAGCUAGAAACAUGAAGCUAGUUUUGUUCGAACAAUUAUUGGGGUUGAAGAUUAACUUCCACAAAAGUGUACCAAUCCACCAUCGCAAGCUUUCUAACAAAGAGUGGAAGAGCAUUCAAGAUCAAUUUGAGAAAAAAGUGAGCUGCUGGGAGGGCAAGCUUAUGUCAUACGGAGGACGAUUGAUUCUGAUUAAUACGUGUAUGCCUAUGUUUUUGUUGUCUUUUUUUGAAGUACCAGUUGGAGUACGGAAAAUGCUAGAUUUCUAUCGAUCGCGCUUCUUCUAGCAGAGCAAUGAAUUAAAAAGAAAAUACAGACUCGCUAAGUGGGAUAUAUUACGUUGGUUGGCAUAAUUUUCAUAAACAAUAAAUGAACCAAUAGUUAUGAAAACAUAAUAUAUACCACAUCCGAAUCAUAGACAGGACGAGGGCCGACGGGGGCGGAUACCAAAACCAUCGCACUAUAUAAGAUGCAAUAAUAAAAGUAAGAAAAUAAUACAAGUAUCUAUCUAAACAUACAAGUAAGAAUAUUUUUCCUUUCGGAAAGGAGAUAAGAACAAGAGGCUCACCACGGUGGUGCCGGCAAUGAGAUCGGCGCGGGUGAUCGACGACGGUGAAGACGGGGACGGGGCGUGACGGACCGCUAAACCUAGACAAAUAUUGAGAAAAAUGGAGCUUCGAGGUCGAGCUUGGAGAGGAGAAAGCUUAAGUAGUGUGGCUCGGGCAUUCCAUCGAACACCUUGUGUGCAUAGGAGGUGAGCUAGAGCACCACCAAGCCCUCUCCCCCUCGGCGGCCAGAAAAAACAGAGCAAUGUGCUCUGCUCUUACGCGAGGGGGUAUAUAUAGGCACCUAAUUGGUCCCGGUUGGUGGCAUGAAUCGGGACUAAAGGGCAGCCUUUGGUCCCGGUUCGUGGCACCAACUGGGACCAAUGGUGGUGGGCCAGGAGCGAGGCCCAUUGGUCCCGGUUCGUCCCACCAACCGGUACCAAAAGGUCCAGACGAACUGGGACCAAUGGCCCACGUGGCCCAGCCGGCCCCCGGGGCUCACGAACCGGGUCCAAUGCCACCAUUGGUCCCAGUUCAGUACUGAACCGGGACUAAUGGGCUGACCCGGCCUGGACCAAUGCCCCCUUUUCUAAUAGUGAUAUCAUUUGUAGGCCAAAAGACCAAGGCGCUCUAGGCAUUGAAAAUUUAGAGGUGAAGAACAGAUGUCUUCUCAGCAAGUGGCUGUAUAAGUUAUCCAUAGAGACGGAUGCCACUUGGGCAUAGAUUCUUCGUAAUAAGUACCUCUAGUCCAAAACUUUAUCCCAGGUGAUAGUAAGACUAACGGAUUCGCCUUUUUGGAAGGGACUCAUGCGAGUGAAAUCAAUCUUUUUCAAUAGGACAAAAUUUGUAGUUCGUAAUGGUACUUCCACAAGAUUCUGGGAGGAUGCAUGGCUAGGGGAGACACCCCUUGCAAUCCAAUAUCCUUCUCUCUAUAAUAUUGUUCAGUGAAGAGACGCUUACGUUGCAACAGUACUACAGUCCAAUCCUCUUAAUAUUCAAUUCAGGAGGACACUAGUGAGACACCGUUGGGAAGCUUGGCUCCAUCUUGUGAGAAGAUUGAUGAAUGUCCAACUUUCCCAACAGACAGAUCAGUUACGCUGGAAACUAGCUAAGAAUGGGGAGUUUUCGGUUAAAUCCAUGUAUUUGGAUAUUAUCAACGCUAGCGUUAUUCCUAGUUCGAAACAUGUUUGGAAAGUCAAAGUGCCUUUAAAAAUUAAAGUGUUUAUGUGGUUUGUCCACAAACAGGUCAUCUUAACUAAGGACAAUUUGGCAAAGCGCAACAGGACGGGUUCUAAUUAAAAGAUGUAGUUUUUCUGAUAGUGAUGAAUCAAUCAGACCCUCUUUCUUGAUUGCCCUUUGGCAAAGAUUUUGUGGAGGUCGGUCCACAUAGCUUUUAAUAUAACUCCUCUGAAUUCCGUCAACACAUUAUUUGGGAUGUGCUGGAUGGGAUUGACGCACUAACAACGAGACAUAUCCGUGUAGGAGUAUGUGCUUUACUAUGGGUAGUUUGGAACUACAGAAACGAUUUGGUUUUUAACAGAACAACAAAUAUUCAUUUCUUGCAGGUUAUUUUCAGGGCCACUACACUCAUCCGUAUGUGGUCGAUACUCACUCCGACGGAGGCCAGGGAGCAUUUGGUUACUGGAUCUAUCCGAUGGGAGACGGUAGCACAGGCUAUCUUCAACCGGUUUGGAUGGCGGUCAUGUAAUAGGAUAGAUGUUUAGUUUCCUAUCUGUUUUAUUGCCUGCCGGUUGUGGCUGUCCUGUUAUUGCUUUCGUGCUCUUUGUUGAGCACCUGUUCCUUUGUUUGAGACUUCGAGACAUUUGUUGGACCUUUUGAUUAUCAUAAUAUGGCCGUAUGCAUCUUUCUGAUGCAGAGGCCAGGGCAAACCCCCUUUUCAAAAAAAACUAGUUCAUUUCAAAAUACGAGUAACAAUCUAACAAUUGAGACCGGGAAAAGGCAGAGGAAAUGCAAGACGAUACUAUUUUGGACAUAAGCUAAAAAGUGCAGUGCCACACAUAUCCAUCCCAUAGUACCAUGACAUAAAGUCUAAGAAGCAGAGAUGGAAUAGUCGACAACUCCUGGUAUGAACUCUGCCGUUGGUGACCAAUAGAUCAUUUCAUUCAGCAGAAGCGAUAUAACAGAGGAACAUGCAAAGAUAGCGCAACCUCUUUGAGGCAGCAAUCGUUCCAGAGAUGCAUCGACGAGUAGAGAUUGAUGAUGUGCCUGUGCUUGAACCUUUCACUACACUGAAGGCACUGAGAAACAGAACAUCACAUGGAGCAACAGGUAAAAGUAGCUCAGACAGGAAUUCCAAAUGAACACUAGCAUAUGCUGUUGCUAUGUAAGCAGGCUUCCAUGAAUAAUACCCCCUCUGUAAACUAAUACUGUAUAGGAUCUUUUACUUUAUUAUUGACUUUUUUUACUUUAUUAGUGAUUUAAAAGAAAGAUCUUAUAUUACUUUACAGAGGGAGUAUAUAUUUUUACAUAAUUUUUGGCUAUGUAUAGGACAAUAUUCAAAAGUGUCAAAAUAUUCUUAAAAAAAUCCACAGGUAUAUACACAUGUAUUUCUACAUAUGCCUAAAACUUUGUUACGAGAUAUUUUAUCAUGCGAUCUCCUACUGAAUUUUCUCACAUCGAAUUUGCAUCCAUAUCACUGUACGGCACAAUUCUACACACUGCUGACUUUGAAACACAAGCGGAACAAAACUAGAUGGUGUAGCCUCGGUGAGUGCACCGGACCGGUGUGUGACCCAUUUCCGACAUGUGGCUGGGAUGGGGUAUCCGGUAUUAGAAGUUAGGUUUUGGUGCGAUGUCUGUUUGGUAUUAGGCUCGGACAUUCGGCACCGCUACAUCAAGGGGAUAGGAGUAGCAACAGGUGUCGCCUAGAUGGUGGCUUUAGGCUUACUGAUGUAAUGCUUUGUAAGUUCUCUGAGAAUAAUUAAUAAAGUGGCUGCAUGCAUCGCCCAGAAGCAGAGGCCGGGGGUAAUCCUCCUUUUCUAAAAAAAACACUAGAUGGUGAUUUGCUGCCACUCAAUGAAGUUCUUGAAAUCUGAACCAAAAAUGCAUUCACUGAUACACUCAAAGUUUUAUGUAUGACUUCUAAGUUUCCAACGAAAUAUAGAAUCGUGGCACACAAAGUUUCCUCCUCAAAUAGCAGAUACAGAGCUUAGAUGAGCAGAAAAUACAAUUUUUGUCCAUAGAGUACAUAGUAGAAACAGAGAAUCAGCAACAGAAGCUUCAGAGGUUAUUUUGAGGCCAAUAUUUAGUCAUGCCGUAGCCAAUAUUCUACAUCCGCAACAUUCGAUUACCGAUUGUCAUCCCUUUCUUACAUACACUUAAGCAUCAGUGCAAACCGACCCUUCAGCUGCUUGCAUCUUUAUUUCAUCCUCACCCUGCAUUACAACAGCAUUCAGAGUUUGAGCUAGAGGCCGACUACAAACUGAACUACAAUAUCCUACAACUGAAAGUGUUCAGAGAGAAGUUUUUUUGGAAGAAAAAAGUGUACAACUAAAGUUCUUGUCCCACAUAUGUGCAUCCCACAGGUUCAUGCUAAAAACACCACAUCUGUAUGACUUAUUUUAAUAACAUCAAGAAUGUAUCAUGACAGAACUGCACAAAACAGGGACACUUUCCAACUCAAAUGUAUCAUGAUAAAAAUUAAUUAGUACAUUGGUUGUGCAUGCCACAUUCAGCACAGCAUGGCCAUUGGUUGAUACUAUUAAUAGGAGCAUAGCAAUCAGAGUUGUGCAUGCAUAGUGAGUAGUAGUACAUUGGUUGACACUAUUCAUAGGAGCAUAAAUUGCCUCACUAUUUAGCAGACAUUAGCAUGAUUCCAAAAUUGCUUAGCUGUGACUUAUGUUUUCAUGACCAAACUGCCUACAAUGUUUUUUCAGUUAUCUCGUUAUCUACACUAAAGUAUCAUUUUACUACUAAUAAAAUUGAUCCUAGUCUCUCCCUGAUGGCCAAUUGCAUGCCACAUUCAGCACGGCAUGGCCACAAGAUGUGGAUGUGGCAGUAGUGGGGUUUGCACAUUGGAUCGAGUGGGUUUUGUUGAUCCUAAAGGUGCUAACAAAGUGUUCAAGCUCCAACGAUCCAUCUAUGGACGGGUGCAAGCAUCUCAGACUUGGAAUAUACACUUUGAUGAGGUGAUCAAAGCAUAUGGUUUUAUACAGUCUUAUGGUGAAGCCUGUAUUUACAAGAAAGUGGGUGGGAGCUCUGUAGCAUUUCUGAUAUUAUAUGUGGAUGGAAUAUUGCUGAUUGGAAAUGAUAUAGAAUUUCUGGAUAGCAUAAAAGGAUACUUGAAUAAAUUUUUUCAAUGAAAGACCUCGGAGAAGCUACUUACAUAUUGGGCAUCAAGAUCUAUAGAGAUAGAUCAAUACACUUAAUAGGACUUUCACAAAGCACAUACCUUGACCAAGUUUUGAAGGAGUUCAAAAUGGACCAGUCAAAGAAAUGGUUUUUGCCUGUAUUCAAGGUGUGAAGUUGAGUAAGACUCAAAGCCCGACCACGACAUAAGAUAGAGAGAGAAUGAAAGUCAUUCCCUAUGCCUCAGCCAUAGGUUCUAUGAAGUAUGUCAUGCUGUGUGCCAGACCUAUUGCGUGCCUUACCAUGAGUUUGGCAACGGGGUACAAUAGUGAUCCAGGAGCGAAUCACUGAACAACCGUCAAAAUUAUCCUUAGGUUCCUUAAAGAGGACAAAGGAAAUGUUUCUCGGUUAUGGAGGUGAUAAAGAGUCCGUCGUAAAGGGUUACGCUGAUGGAACCUUUGACACCGUUACAGAUGACUCUGAGUCUCAAUCUGGAUACGUAUUGAACGUGGGAGGAAUUAGCUAGAGUAGCUCCAUGCAGAGCAUUAUAGACAUAGAAAUUUGCAAAUUACAUACAGCUCUGAAUGUGGCAAACCCGUUGACUAAUCUUCUCUCACAAGCAAAACAUGAUCACACCAGAGUACUCCUUGGGUUUUAAUCACAUGGCGAUGUGAACUAGAUUAUUGACUCUAGUAAACACUUUGGGUUUUAGUCACAUGGCGAUGUGAACUACGGGUGUUAAUCACAUGGCGAUGUGAACUAGAUUAUUGACUCUAGUGCAAGUGGGAGACUGAUGGAAAUAUGCCCUAGAGGAAAUAAUAAAGUUGUUAUUAUUAUAUUUCCGUAUUCAUGAUAAAGGUUUAUUAUUCAUGCUAGAAUUGAAUUGACCGGUAACUUAAAUACAUGUGUGGAUACAUAAACAAAUACCGUGUCCCCAGUGAGCCUCUACUAGACUAGCUCAUUGAUCAAAAGAUGGUUAAGGUUUCCUAAUCAUAGACAUGAGUUAUCAUUUGAUAACAGGAUCACAUUAUUAGGAGAAUGAUAUGAUGGACAAGACCCAUCCGUUAGCUUAGCAUAUGAUCGUUCUGUUUAUUGCUACUGUUUCUUAAUGUCAAAUAGAUGUUUCUUCGACCAUGAGAUCAUGCAACUCCCGAAUACCGGAGGAAUGCCUUGUGCGCUAUCAAACGUCACAGCGUAACUAGGUAGUUAUGAAGAUACUCUAUAGGUAUCUCCGAAGGUGUCUGUUCAGUUGGAAUGGAUCAAGAUUGGGAUUUUUGACUCAGUGUAUCGGAGAGGUAUCUAUAGGCCCUCUCAGUAAUACACAUCAUAAGAAGCUUGCAAGAAAAAUGACUAAGGAGUUAGUUACAAGAUGAUGUAUUAUGAAACGAGUAAAGAGACUUGCCGGUAACGAGAUUGAACAAGGUAUGGAGAUAUUGACGAUCGAAUCUCGGGCAAGUAACAUACCGACAGACAAAGGGAAAUACGUAUGUUGUCAUAACGGUCCGACCGAUAAAGAUCUUCGUAGAAUAUGUGGGAACCAAUAUGCGCAUCCAUGUCCCGCUAUUGGUUAUUGACCGGAGAGGCAUCUCGGUCAUGUCUACAUACUUCUCGAACCUGUAGGGUUCGCAUGCUUAACGUUCGUUGAUGAUACAAUAUUAUAUGAUUUAUGUGAUUUGGUGACCGAAUGUUGUUUGGAGUCCUAAAUGAGAUCACAGACAUUAUGAGGAGUUCUGGAACGGUCCGGAGGUAAAUAUUGAUAUAUAGGACGAUGCUAUUUGGACACCGGAAGAGUUUCGGGAGGUACCGGGUAGUCAUCGGAUCACCGGAAUGGGUUCCGGGAAGCCCCUGGAGGCUAUAUGGGCUUAAUGGGACAAAGGGGGAAACACACCAGCCCACAAGGGCUGGUGCGCCCCUCUCCCUGGCCGCCGGACCUAGAGGAAGGAAAGUGGGAGGCUUGGGGGGCGCCACCUCCCUGUGUCUUCCUCCUGUGCGCCUCGAAGGAAAGGGGGCAACAAGGCAGGGGCCAAGGGUGGCCGCCGGCCCCUGAUACGUCUCCAACGUAUCUAUAAUUUUUUUUAUUGUUUUCCAUGUUGUUAUAUUAUCAUUCUUGGAUGUUUUACAAUCAUUUUGUGGACAUUUUAUAUCAUUUUUGGGUACUAACCUAUUGAUAUAGUGCCCAGUGUCAGUUGCUAUUUUCUGUAUGUUUUUACAUCGCAAAAUACCAAAUAGAGUCCCAACGCAGUGAAAGUUUUUGAGGAUUUAGGCCAGAAGACAUCUAGUGGGCCAGGAAAGCACAUGGGGGGGGGGUGCUCCGAGGGGAGCACAACCCACCAGGACACGCCUGGGGGCCCAGGCGGGUUUUGCCCACCUCGGGUGCCCCUUGAACCGCCUCUUUUCUCUAUAACUACCACAAUAUUCUAGAAACCCUAGGGGACUUGACGAAAAUCAAUUCCAGCCGCCGCAGAGUCCAGAACCACCAGAUCCAAUCUAGACACCAUCAUGGAGGGGUUCACCACUUCCAUUGGUGUCUCUUCGAUGAUGCGUGAGUAGUUCUUUGUAGACCUACGAGUCCGUAGUUAGUAGCUAGAUAGCUUCCUCUCUCUCUCUCUCUCUUGAUUAUCAAUACAAUGGUCUCUUGGAGAUCCAUAUGAUGUAAGCCUUUUUGCAGUGUGUUUGUUGGGAUCCGAUGAACUUUGAGUUUAUGAUCACAUCUAUGUUUUUAUCCAUGAAAGUUAUUUGAGUCUUCUUUGAUCCCUUAUAUGCAUGAUUGCUUAUAGCCUCGUAUUUCUUCUCCGAUAUUUGGUUUUUUUGGCCAACUUGAUCUAUUUAUCUUGCAAUGGGAAGAGGUGUUUUGUGAUGGGUUUCGAUCUUACGGUGCUUGAUCCCGGUGACAGAAGGGGAAAUGGCACGUAUGUAUCGUUGCUAUUAAGGAUACCAAGAUUGGUUCUACUUCUAUAUAAAUAAAUCUUGUCUACAUCAUGUCAUCAUUCUUAUUGCAUUACUCCAUUUUUCAAUGAACUUAAUACACUAGAUGCAUCCUCGAUAGCGGUCGAUGUGUGGAGUAAUAGUAGUAGAUGCAGGCAGGAGUUGGUCUACUAGUCUUGGAUGUGAUGCCUAUAUAAUGAUCAUUGCCUAGAUAUCGUCAUGAUUAUUUGAAGUUCUAUCAAUUGCCCAACAGUAAUUGUUUUCCCACCGUUUGCUCGAGAGAAGCCACUAGUGAAACCUACGGCCCCCGGGUUUCUUUUCAUCAUAUUUGCCUUUGCGAUGUAUUUCCCUUUGCAUUUAUUUUCAGAUCUAUUAAACCCAAAAAAAUACCUUGUUGCAAUUUAUUUGUUUCGUGAUUUAUUUAUCCUAUCUACCACUUUUAUCUCACGUUAUUUGCCUAUCUUGAGGCGCCAUACCCGAAAGGGAUUGACAACCCUUUAACACGUCGGGUUGCGAGUAUUUGUUAUUUGUGUGCAGGUGUUGUUUACGUAGUGUGAGGAGAUUUUUCGGAGUCCGUUUACUUACUGUAUCAUGUACCUCCUCGUUUUCACGAUUCUGGAGUAUUCUGGAAGGUUUCUUUUAUGUGUUCCUCCGGUGUCAUAGUUUGGAUAAUAUUGCUUUCAACAUUAAUGGGCAUACCUGAGAUAUAAUAUUUUAAUUGUUGCCCAUUAACAACCUUUGGGUUAGUACCUUCGGCAUUAUUUAUUUUGAUAGCUCCAAAUCAAUAAAUCUCCUCGAUAACGUAGGGUCUUUCCCAUUUGGAGAGGAGUUUUCCUGCAAAAUGUAUGAAAUGAGAGUUGUACAAAAGAACAUAUUCUCCAACAUUGAACUCACGCUUUUGGAUUCUUUUAUCAUGCCAUAUUUUUAACCUUUUCUUUAAGUAACUUAGCAUUUUCAUAAGCUUGGGUUCUCCAUUUAUCUAAUGAGCUAAUAUCAAAUAACCUUUUUUCGCAAGCAAGUUUGAAAUCAUAGUUGAGUUCUUUAAUUGCCCAAUAUGCUUUAUGUUCGAACUCAAGAGGCAAAUGACAAGCUUUUCCAUAAGCCAUUUUAUAAGGCGACAUACCCAUAGGAAUUUUAUAUGUUGUCCUAUAAGCCCAAAGUGCAUCAUCUAAUUUCUUAAAGCAAUUCUUCCAGGACGUAUUGACAGUCUUUUGUAAAAUUAAUUUUAUUUCUCUAUUGCUGAGUUCAACCUGACCACUAGACUGAGGAUGAUAGGGUGAUGCAAUUCUAUGGUUAACAUCAUACUUGGCAAGCAUUUUACAGAAAGCACCAUGAAUAAAGUGUGAACCGCCAUGAGUCAUUAAAUAUCUAGGGACUCCAAGCCUUGGGAAAAUAACUUCCUUAAGCAUUUAAUUAGAGGUGUUGGGAUCAACACUACUAAAUGGAAUAGCUUCUAUCCACUUAGUAACAUAAUCAACAACGACCAAAAUAUGAGUAUACCCAUUAGAGGAAGGAAAAGGUCCCAUGGAAUCAAAUCCCCAAACAUUAAAUGGUUCAACAACAAGUGAAUAAUUCAUAGGCAUUUCUUGAUGCUUAUCGGUAUUACCUAUUCGUUUACAUUCAUUACAAGAUAAGACGAACUUACGAGCAUCCUUGAAGAGAGUAGGCCAAUAAAACCCAGAUUUGCAAUACCCUAUGAGCAGUUCUGUCUCCCGCAUGAUGUCCUCCAUAAGAUUCGGAGUGACAUUUCUGUAGGAUUUGUCCCUGUUAAUACUCAGGUACACAACGUCUAAUAAUACCAUCUACUCCUUCUUUAUAAAGAUGUGGUUCAUUCCAAAAGUUACACUAAAAAAAUACACUUCCGUGAUGAUACGAGUUUGUCACAGUAGGUCGCGUUUUUUCUCAUGCAUGUACAUCCAUGACGAUUUUAUAACAUAAUCAAGAUAGUCAUACCUGUGCUAUCGUAGAAGUGUUCCAUGACAUUACCAAAAUUAUCAUCACGGAAGUGUCCACUUCCAUGACGAUAAAUCGCGCGUCAUAGAAGUGCUUUCGUUAAGGGUGACUGACACGUGGCAUCCACCGUAACGGGACGCAGUUAAGCGCCGUUAAGCUAUCGGGUCCCGGUUUUGAUCCGGUAACCCGCUAACAGCCACGACCAAUGCCGAUUUUCCACGUGUAAAAUUCUCAUUGGCCGACAGAACCACGCAUCAGCUCCGCGUUGGCAUAGGUGUCACUCAUCCAACGGUUGAGAUGGGCCUAUGAUAUGUUGACACGUGGACGGGCCCAAAAGUGGCCCAUAAAGUUUAAAUGGGCUGGCCCAAUUAAAGGACCAUGAGAUUUAGCGGACCAUAAUGGUCUGGCCCAGCUAAAGGCCCACAAUAUUUAGCGGACCACAAUGGGCUCGUCCAGCUAAAGGCCCACAAGAUUUAGAGGACCACAGUGGGCCGGCCUAGCUAAAGGCCCACAAGAUUUUGCAGACCAUAAUGGGCCGGCCCAGGUAAAGGCCCACAAGAUUUAGCGGACCAAAAUGGGCCGGCCCAGCUGAAGACCGACAAGAUUUUGCAAACCAUAAUGGGCCGGCCCAGCUAAAGGUCCAACAUUCUCAGUUAAGGCCCGCACGGCUAGUGUCAAAUAGGCCCGUCAACGGCCUGUCCUAAACUUGUCAUCAUCGCGGCCCAUGGUCACUUCUGGCCCGUUAACAGCCCGCUAAGUAUUGGGCCGAAUUACGGCCCGGUGUAUUUCUGGCAUGUUAAAGGUCCUGCUUCAUUUGGGCCCAUUUACAGGCCAUUGAAACUUCCGGCCCAUAAACGACCGUGAAGAAUUUGGGUCAUAUUCGGCCAUGUGUGACAUUCGGCCUGUUAGAGGCCCACUAUAGAUUUGGGCCACUUUCGGCCUGUUGUGAUUUUUGGCCUGUUAACGUCGGGCAAAAUGCAUGGGCCAUAUGUGGCCCAACAGCACAUCGGGCCCAUUAAAGGCCCAUAUAAAAAUGACGCUAAUCUAGCCCGACCGAACUUCUGGUCUAUUAAAGGAACGUGUAUUAGGUCGGCGCAUUUAUAACCCGUCCGAAUUUUGGCCUGUGAAUCGUAAAUGGGCCACCAUUUUGGCCUGCUAAGACUAGUGGGUUAUUUGGCACUAUCAGGGCCCAAUGUCACUUUCAGCCUAUGAAAGGCCCAUGUGUUUUAUGGGCUCAAGAUAAUUACACCUGCAAACGGCCUAUUGUUACUGAGGGCCCAAAUUAUGUUUAGGCCUGUGAAAGGCCCACUAUGGGCAUAGGCCUACUAGAAAAAUAUGAAAGCUUAUGCUGAUUUAGGCCCAGAUAUUUUUAGUGGGCUAUAUAUUUCGUCUCAUAAUCGUUUUUAGCCCAAUUGGAAUGGGCCCGACGAAUGUUGGCAUGUUGGGCUCCUACGGAGCUUUCAGCCGAAUACAUUACUAAGAUAAACCUACACUAUACAAAUAUAGCGUCGUAAUUACUGCAGCCUUUGGCAGCAUCAUAAAUGCUGUAUCACAACAAAAUAAAUUCAUACCAUACAACAAAAUGCUUGUUGGCAUAAAGUUUACAGUCCUUGUAGAUAAAAGCACCAUCAGAUGUAUAGAAGCACAGAUCAUUUGACCUGAGUGCUAAUGUUUCAGGCUGUAGAAUCUGAUGGAGCAACACGAUCUUCACCUUUUUUCAGCCAUUUCUCUUGAACAACAAAGCGAAUGUCUGAUAGUCUGGUUUCAAAACCAUUCAUAUCUUGACGACAUUUGUCAACCACUAUUCUUGUUUCUAGAACGACGUCCAUUAGGGAUUGGACUUGUGUCUGGAGCACAGAUAUAUCACUCUGUCUAGCUGGAAGAUUUUGUUCAGUAGGCGAUGUGGACGAGGUUACCUUAACAACCAACCCAGAAUUACGCAGGAAGCUGCUUUUUACACUGUUAGUGGAGAGAUACUGACACACUGCAGCAAGAGGUGACAUUGUGCCUGUGGUAGCCUUGUCACCUUCAUGUGGUUGUGGCUGUUCAAUCAUGUGUUCCAUAGCUUCCUGAAAGUUUAAACUUGUAGAUUAGUGUACCAGAAGCCACAAAACCAUGAAAUAUAUUACAGAAAAAUAUUCAUAAUUUCACAUCUUAGAAUUUAGAGACAUGUAGGAGACAGGAACACAUGCUUGUAAUGAUUCAGCAAGAAAUUUAAAAGUGAAAGCAAGAUAAACAACUUACUGAUGCGCACAGAACACUGUUGAAUUGAAAUUUGGGUUGCCGCAUUGCAAUGGUCUGCUAUGGUUCUGCAGUAAUAUGUGUAUGAAAGCAAAAUUAGAGUGUCUCUUGGCAUAGAGUGUACUGAAAUUAAAUCUACCUUCCCCCCCAAUCUGAUAAAUAAAUGCAUGUAGGAAGAGAAGAAUAUCAUGCAAGAUAUUUCUCAAGUAUUUAGCACCAUACCAUAUCAGCAAGACAAGAGUGACAAAAAUUCAGUGAAAAUGUUAAGAACAGAAAAGCAGGUAGCUUGGCUGGACAACUUUGCUUUGGAAUGAACACAUGGAGUAUUUAGAAAGGGUAGUAAUACAAAUAUAUUCUUGGACGAUUGACCAAUUAAAAAGAUAAAUGGUUAAAGAAAAAACUGAAACAUAAACACCAGCUUUGCUUUGGAAAACACAUAGGAAGUAGCUGAACUCAAAGCUUAACAUGGCAUAGAUGUCGGCUCACUUUUCAUUUCAAUAUCAAGAAUUUGGAGUUCUGUUGAUGGUUAGCGAUGAAAAGAAUCAUGAUUUGUCUCCAUAUUCGGAGCUGGCUAGCAGUGGUUCUGCCAUUCUUACUUUGUCAUUGCCCAUUGGAUAAAUUUGAGUAAUUUUCAUGGGAGUCACUCUGCACUAACAUGUAAAUUUUAAAUUUCUGUAUUAGACUGCACAUAUGCGACACACAAUUGAAGGGAAUCAAAUAGCUAAGGUGAGACCAGAAAAAGUAAAUAGAGUUCACCAACCUAUUCCUCAGCGGCUGUGAGGAACUCUCGACCAAGUGAACGCAUCACGAGAGGGCCACCAGGAGAACAGGGACGGCAACCGAUGCCUUGGGUGCGGCGGGCACCAAGUAGCAACGGCGUCACAAGAACCUUUUCAGCCAUGACUUCACCAGUAGCCAUUACAGUCUUGUACACAAGACCAAAUGAUCCAUGGCCCAGAAUCAUCGUGAAGUUUUUGGUAGCCUUCUGCAGAUCCCUGAACAACCGACACAGUAAUAUGGAUCAAUCAGAAAAACGUUACUUUGCUUCUGGCUACUCACACCAACACUAACAUUCACAAUAAGAUCAUGGUAUAAGUUGCAUGCAUGCAUUUCUGGAGCUGCCAUGAAUGUACGAAUUCUAAUUGACGCACGGAGAAACGACUAUGACCUGACUUGCGUAUCUUAUCCUAACCUUAAUUAGAUCAAAUGCAUUAGACAGUCAAGCUGAUAUAUUUCAACUUUACAAUUCACUGAUCAUGUGAUCUUAAUACUACAACCAGGAUUGCAACGGAGGAGUAGUUGUCAUACUUGUAAUGGUACUUCGGGAUCCCAAAGACAGACAAGGGCUGGUCCCUGCCGUUGUUGCCCCGCCCGCCCCAGAAGGUCACUUGCUUCCCCGCCGGCAGCAGGUUGUUGCCCCAGCCGGAGACGCUCUCGGAGACCAAGGAGACAGAGAUACUGGAUCAAGGCUCGCGGAGCCGUUGGCCUACGGUAUAGCCGUGGAUGACUCGAGUGACCGUGUCCGUGUGCGUGCAAUGGUGCUGGCCUGCUGUCGGUACUUCCAGAUGGCCAGGAACACGCACGCCACGAGCACGACGGCCGCGACCACGAUGGCCACGACCUUCGCCAUACCGCCCAUUCCCGGGCUCCUCCCAAUGCCUUCCCGCCAGGGCCAAGACGGCCCAGAGGCCACUGCGCUCCCAUCUUCUCUCCCUCCUCUCUUCCAUGGCUGGUACAAGGGACGUGCUGGGAUGAACGGGAGGCAACCGUCGAGAUCUAGAUCGGGUGUGAUCGGAUUUGGAAGAAAAAACUGAAUUGCGAAUGAUUGGAAAAGAUUGAGGGAAGGAGAUCGGAAAUGGAAUGGAAACAAGAUCAGUAUGGACAGAUUUGGAAGAAAAUUCUGACUUGGGAGUGAUUGGAAAGGAUUGGGGGAAGGAGAUCCGGAACAGAUCUUCUCCAUGGAUCUUCGCCUUCGUCCGACGACUUGCGGCUGUCGUCCUGUCCUGCGGCUUCCGGCGACGGUGCUCUUGGUCGGCUUCCGGUGCGUGUGGGUCUGCCUCAGCUGUUUCCCUAUGGUGGCUCGGCGCCCUGGUCUGGGUUCAUGUGGAACCUCUCUGCCGGCCACCGGUGCGGCUCCCGUCGAGCCCGGGUGAAAGGGUUGUGGCCCUUUGCGGCGGCAGAGACAGAUAUCGGGCUGCUCUUGUCUUCCUGUGCGGUGGCAGUCAGCGGCACAAUUCAAGCCCGGAGUUGUCGCCCUCCUAUAGCCUUAGUUUGGUUGCUUGUUUGACACUGCUGUGGUCGUUGGCAACACUGUAAGUUGUUGUUGCCUUUGAGCCGUUCCGCUUAGCACUUUGUAUCUCUGCUCCGAUUGUUUCCUUUUCUUUGUAUUGUCGUUCCUUGUAAUCCUGGCCGGUUGUUGGCUUUGUUAAUUCAAAGCCGGGUUAGGUUCGAGCCCUCUCUCGGGCUCGGCCGGCGCCUUUUCUCUAAAAAAAAGAUCCGGAACAGAAUGGAAACAAUGAGAGAAGAUCGGUGGGAUAGGAAAAAAAUCAGUUGGCGGUUUAAUAACCGGAGAUAAAAAUGGAAGGAGGAGUGGUGAGAGGUGAGACGAAAAUAAACCAGUGCAAGGUGGUGGGUGGUGGGAGCUGAGACGAAAAAAACCAGACGGAAAAAACCAGCGAAAAUAAAUCGUGGGGACUAUUCACCAACUGCUCCGUUAAAAGAGAACCCUCCCUGGAGCUUGGAGUUGUAAUAUAGGGGUAGUUUGGUUUUCAGGAAUUGUAAUAUAGUGAGCUUCAAGCGAUGGAUGUAUAUUUGCGGCCGGACAUGUUUAAAUAAGUCCUUAAAAAGGCAUCAGAGUCAGAGGUCAUGCUUGAUGAAACCUUGGUAGACGCAAAUCACGCGUCGCAAAUCAAGAGAGGGAAGAAAAAAGAAGAAGAUUCUAAUCGAUCGAACUUUUUUUCCCACCGUGCAGGUGUGUUAUUCAUUCUACACUACUUUUUCCCUAUCCGAUAUCCCAUAGACCAGAAUGUAGCGAGACAUAGUGCUGGAGAUGUUCAUAGUACUGUUUAUUUUGUUACAAUGAUGGUGCCCUAUUCAUCACACACACACAUACACACACAGGAUCUACACCACUUAUUUUGGUUGAACUACACCAACUCUAAUUGCAUGCGUACAUUGGUCAAUCCAAAUAGUAUGACCCAAAUGUUCAGUUGAUCACUUUUGGUUUCCGCCUCCACCUUUUGCCUAGCACCUGAAACAGAACCGCUACUGCAAAUCCCAGACCGUACCCUGACCCAGCAACAAGAUACAGUACAAUUGUGUCGACCCUAUCGUCUGAUUUUUUGUCGUGCUCAGAGUCAGACGAAGGGACCUCUGAAUUGCAUUGUUUGGGCAGUGGUUUACCACAUAACCUUGCAUUCCCUUGGAAAGAAUCGACGGUAAAUGUCAGGAACUGCCCUCCCUGUGGUAUGGCCCCCUCGAUCUGAUUGUUGGAGACAUUCAGCGACGCAAGGGAGGUUAGAUAUGUCAAUGCCUCCGCGAUCGCCCCGUAGAGAUGGUUUGAUGAGAGGUCUAGCGACUCAAGCUGUGUCAGGUGGCUGAGCUGAGGAGGAAUUGUCCCCGUCAAGGCAUUGUGCGACAUGUUGAGCCCGCGUAGCGAAGCGAGCUCCCCGACCGAUUCCGGGAUGCUUCCGGUGAAGGCGUUGGCGGAGAAGUCGAUAACCGUGAAGGCCGUCAAGAUCUUGGUGAGUGUCAUGGUUGUUCCCUUGUACGUGACCACUACCGUGUCUCGGUACAACUUACCUGUGAGGUUUUCCUCCAAGGCUUGUCGGCCCUCGUGCUUCUCUCCAAUAACCAUCAUUGCUUUCAGACCCUCGAACCAUUGUGGACACAAACUACCAGAGAAGUUGUUGGAGGCAAGAUCGAUAAUCUGCAAGCUCUGGAAGUGCGUCCUGUUGGCAGGAGCCGCCCCGACAGGACCAAAUAAUCUGUUGGAUCUCAACACAAGAACUCUAAGUUUUGUCAAAUCCCCCAGCCAGGUCGGAAAAGAGUCGACGAAAUUGUUGCCGCCAACAUCAAAGACCUCCAGAUCAUGACACUUGGACAAUGAUCUAGGCAGCUGCCCCUGCAUGUUAUUCCCGUUCAAAUCUAUCGUCUGGGAAGCACACCUCACGCCCUGGAUGCCAUCAGGGAAUGUCCCCUCAAACUGGUUAUGUCCCAGCUUCAGGAUGGUGAGGCGCCCAUCUACAAGGCAAGAUGGAACAUGGCCACUGAAAUAAUUGUAAGACAGGUCAAGCAGCUUGAGGUUGCUUGCAUCACAGAUGAUAUGCGGGAUGCCUCCGCGCAGUGUGUUGUUGGCCAUGCUCAGAUAGAAAGGACUAGUUAGUCGCGGCAUCAGAUCCCGUGGGAUGGAUGAGAAGAGAUUGUUGGAGUAAUCAAGGAACUGUGGAGCCAUGGGCACGGGAAUAGGCCCUCCAAAGCUGUUGAAACUAAGGUCAAGAAAGUAUACGCUGGCAUUGGCCAGAGACAGCUCCAUGCUGGUGAAGUGAUUGCGCGAAAGAUUCAACUUAAACACAUCUACAUUCUCCUUCUGGCCUGCCCAUAUCCAUUUGGGCACAGAGCCACCAAUGUGGUUGCAUGAGAGGUCGAGGUCGCCGACCAGGACGUGCUUGAGUAUGGAAGGGAUCUUGGUCAUGUUGCAGCAGGCUAAACCCAGAGAGUUGAGUGGAGGGAGCGAUGCAGACGAGGAUGAACUAAUAUGUUCUUCGUCGUCCACCACAACUGUCAGAGUGUUAGCUGACAGGAGGAGGUUACUUAGAUUGGUGAGCCUCCAAAAUGAGCUAAGCCGCACUGUCCCGCUCAAACCGUUUCUAGAUAGAUCCAGGGUUUGCAAGCUCAUGAGGCUAAAGAAAGACUUGGGCACUGAUCCGUUUAACUGGUUGUAGCCGAGGUAAACGGAUGCUAGGGAGGGAGAAGGAUCAGAGAAUUCUUGGAGGUGGCCGUCAAAAUGGUUCUUCAUAAGCGAUAUGAACUCGAGUUGAGGGAGCGAGAAGAGGAAGGCUGGGAUUGGCCCUGAUAGGGAGUUGCAGCAUAGCUGCAGCGUCUUUAGGUUCCUAAAUGCUCCUUUGCUCCACGUGGGCAUUGCUCCUGCAACAAAACAAAAAAAAAAUCUGAUGUCUGCUUCCGAAAUAAUGCAAAGCAAGGAAUAGUACUGAAUCCGAGAAACAAUUUUUUUUUGAAUGAAUGAACCCAAAAACAUUUCUUGGAACUCACCGGUGAGAUUGUUCUGUGAGAGGUCCAACUCGGUCAAGCGUGUGAGGUUCUGAAUGGGCGACGGUAUUGCACCUGAGACGCCGCAGUCCCUGAGCCGCAGCGUGGACAAGGACUGCAGUCUGCCCAGCGUAGCAGGCAGCUGGCUGAUUCGGAACCCGCUGUUGCUCAGAUCCAAGAAGCUCAGGGAUUUAAGCUCACUGAUCGAAGCAGGGAGGGCGCCAGAAAAACGGCCGUGGCUGCUGCUCAUGUCCAGAGUCUUGAGACGCUUCAGGUUGCUGAUGGAGCUGGGUAUUACACCAAAAAAGCUAGCCCCGCUCAGGUCCAGAACCUCCAGGAGGCUCCCGGCAGGGAGCUCCGGCAAGUCGCCGGACAGCUCAGAAUUACCCGACAGGUCGAGCACCCUCAGGGUCUUGAGCUGGAAGAUCCCCCGAGGGAACGAUCCGUUGAAGUCGUUGUUGGAGAGGAGAAGGACGGCCAGCGAGCGCAGCUCGGCAAAGAACUCGGGGAUCGUCCCGGACAAGCCGUUGUUGUAGGAGAGAUCUAGUGAUACGAGUUUCCUUAGGUUGCCGAUGCCGACGGGUAUCUGGCCGGCGAAGCCAGCGUUCGAGAGGUUGAUGUGAGUGAGCUCGGCGAGCUGCUCGAACCCGGACGCCGGGAGGCUGGCGCCGCCGAAGUCGUUGCCGGCGAGGCCGAGGCGCCUGAGCGUGGUAAGCUGGAAGAGCGCGCGGGGGAGGCCGUCCCGGCUAUGAAGGCCUUGGUCGCUGAGGUCGAGCGCGGCGACCCGGCCCGAGGCGGAGUCACACCGGACGCCCUUCCAUCGGCAGCAGUCCGUGCGCGCGCGCCAGGAUGGCAGGAGCGGCUGCUGGAAGGAGUGUUUCAGCCGGAGAAGCGCGGAGGCCUGGUCGGCUGGGCACCGGAAAGGGACGGGCGUCACCGUGGCUGCAGGGCUGGUGUGCACGAGCACGAGGAGGAAGAAGGCAUGGAGGUGGACACAUCUCCUACUAUGUUUUUCCAUGAAGCAAAGCAGGCUACAAUUAUUGUCUUUGUACCUCUCGAGAGACUGCAGUUUGCAAGUGGGUGGUGCAGUGCAGGUGGGCGGCAUAUGUAACAUGAUAAUUGCCUGAGUCGAGUCGAGUCGCUGGGCUGCUGUUUUUUUAACAACAGUAUAGACAAAAGUGUACAUAUACGCGUGCAUACACUCACCCUUAUGAAGGCACACACGCAUAUCCUACCCCUAUGAACACCUCUGAGAUACUAAGCCGGUAUAUCAUCUUCAAAUUUACGAAGUCACCGUAGGCGCCUCAUCGUCGACCGGAACGUCUCCUCCCACUAAAAUCGCAUCGCCGAAAAUCCUCAAAUAAAUCCAAGAAUAAUGCGAGCACCAAGACUUGAACCCUGGUGGGAUGGGGAUACCACUGUCCCUCUAACCAUCCAAUCACAGGUUGGUUCACGCAGGGCUGCUAUUUUUAAGUCGUGUCUGUGAAGAUUUACAAGGAUGAGCAAAGUGAAAAACGCAGGAGACUGAACGCCUCGGGUUCUGAGAACGACGCUAUACUGCUAUUUCUGUUUAUGUUUUUUUCUGAACGGGCCGGAAGACGGCUUUAUUUGUAAUCGCAUGGGUGGAGUAUAUUUACAUUAAAAACCUUGAAAGGAAAGAAAAUAUAACCAGGCCCUCAACUUUUGCACCCAAGACCCUAUAACAAAAAGGAGAAAGCAAUUAAGUCCAUGUCCUCUUCUAGCUCCUUCUCCACCCAUCUCCUGAAGAAGCAACCGACAGCGAUCAACCACAGCACCUCCGGGGACGUGACCACUUGGUGUGCAGCGCCGGGAGCAUACAGCGUCGGAGCUCUAGAGCCUCCACAAUGGCACAAAAGCCCGGAGGUAAGACAACACCUUCUGCCAUCCCGAAGCUGACAAACAAGGUGGGAGUAGCUGCCUAAUAACCUUUAGAUUCAGUAGCAAGGUGACCAUCGGCCCCCAAGGAAGAGUUGCUGAGGAAGAACUCCCUAUGAUCUCCAUCGAUGCGGCCUUGUAAGUAGCUCCGACACAACUCAGUAGGAGCGCUUCGCCCCUCUUUUGUCUCCCGCCUAUCACAACGACUGCAGGGAGAGAGGGGAGAAGCCCCCCCCCCCCCCUUUCGAAUAUAUACUUUUUGUUUUGAAAAUCUACCAUAAUUAUUUCGAUAAAGACUUUUGAAUAUCCCCCAUUCGAUUUAGCACAUCAUCAAAUUAUUCAAUCUAUAAUAACGGCAAGGUUAUUCACAUUGAAUCUAGAAAAUGAGUCUCUGCAAUCAAGACAAGAGAAUUCCAAACAAUUCCGAAGAUAGCUCAUUUAAGCAAAGGUCAAAAUGGGUGAUAAUAGAGUCUACACUCUACAUCAACAUUGUAGGUUUUCACACUAUAAAAAUAAAUAAAUAGUUACAUGUUGUCCUCUUGUUAUUUUGAUUUCCCGUAUUUUGCUACCAUUUCAUCCAUAUUUAGGACUGUGAUGUCAUCUUCUGCGAAAAUUGACACCUUUCAAGAGGGGCUAUGAACCAUCAUUUUUUCAGUUCAGCAAACAUGUCCUCACAUCAUCGAUCAAAAAAAGAUAUUGACUGACAUAAUACAAUACGAAUUUUAGCCAAUAAAAUAUAGAAAGCCAAAAAUAGAACGAUAAGAUAUAAUCUAUUGCAUACAUAGAGUUACUUUCUGCCACUCCCCCACGAGCUGUCCAAAAUAUUCUCAAACCCUACUUAAAUACCAGACCUAGGGAAUUUUUAGAGUCGGUGUGAUGGGGUCACCAUGACCAAUCCCAUUCUUGAGGAGUUAGGGUUUCAUAGAGGGAGAAGAUGGCGCUGGUGUGCUCGACAGCUAACAAGAAGCAGGGCACAAUGUACCCAGGUUCAGGCAUCCGGAGGGUAAUACACUACUCCUACUUGUCUCAUCUUUAUUCCGUCGAGUUGCACAAGUGUUACAGUGGUGUUAUGGCUCAGAUUGGAUCAGGCGCAAAGGUGAAUCUUAUGUGUGUGUGCGUGCGUGCAUGCAUGUGUGUGUGUGUGUCUUCUCUGUGACCCUUCCUAGACUUUAUAUAGGAGGUCGGGUCUCGGGUGUUGUAGCAGAGUUGGUUACAACAAAGGGCGCUACCCUAAUUCUAUGACUGUGUUGCGAGGCAUCCCGAUUGUUCGAGUUGGGCCUCAUCCCUUGUCCCAUCAUUGGCCUAAUCUCCUUAGCCUUGGGCUAGCCACCAGAUGAGGCAUUGGUCUUACCGACCUGGCAUGCCAAUAGUGGACACUCGCAGGGCAUGCCCACGUCAGUCGGGUUUUGGUAGAUGGAGAAUCAGCUAUUUCACAGAGAAAGAGUUGGUUUUCGACUAGGCUAGAUCCAAUCCUUAUUUUCUGUUCAUAAUCGAUUUUGCGAGUGUUUACUAAAGCACACAUAAGUUUCUCAUACGGAGCCUAUUUUUGACAUAUGACCACUCAAAUUGUUAGAGAAAACACUUGCAUAAUAAUGUUUUCUCGAUAAAUCAAGGUAGGGCUGCCAUCCUACCAUGCCCUAAGGGGAGGUUUGUCCCUGUGUGUAGCCAUUAGAGGAGCGAAAAGAAGUGCUUUAUUUUGCUAUGCAUCUAUAUAAUUAUUUGUUCUGUGUAUAGUUUUCAACAGCUAUGGCUUCGCUGUAGUCUUGUUAGACUAUGUAUAGCUUCUGUACCUAUGUACGUAUAUGGUACAUAUUGUAACACAACCAUUAUAUAUAAUGAGAUAAGCCACCCCUAGAGGGUUGUGCUGGUUCCCCAAAACUUAUUGUCUUACAUGGUAUCACGCUAGGUUACGAUCGCUUCCGCUUCUAAACCCUAAUACCCGCACCGCCGCCGCAGCCGCCGCCGCCUUCACCGCCGCCGCCGCGCCACCGAUCGCGCCGCCGCCAUGUCGAGCGCCGCCACCACCGGUUCCACUGCUGCGGGCUUCCUCCCGGCCUCUCUUGCGGCUCUGCUCAACCUCCCGCUCGAUGCCGUCUCUGUUCCGGCUCCGAUCGGGACAAGGAGCAUCGGCUCCGUCUUCUCCACGCCGCCGGCGCCCUCGCUUGGGCGUGACCUCGUGGUCCACACCGCGGCGCCGCCGUCCGCUGCGGACUCCGCAGGCGUCGUCCCGCCGCUCCUGCCGCAAGCGGAUCACACUGCCCCGCUGGCGGGGUUGGCGGCGUCCGCCCUGGCCGCGGGCCUUGCGGCGUCCGCACCGGCCGCGAGCUUUGCGGCGCCCGCCCUGGCUGCGGUCCCGCCUCCUCCCGCAUCGGCUUCGGUGCCUCCGGCUGCCUCCAUGGUGUUUGCACCCCAGGCAGCCUCCUCGAUGGGAUUGUCUUCGCCGCCGCCGUUUCACUUCGGUCAUCUCAUCACCAUCAAGCUCUCCGCCGACAACUACAUCUUUUGGCGUGCGCAGGUUCUCCCGCUCUUGGGGAGUCACUACCUGCUAGGCUACGUCGACGGAUCGCUUCCCUGCCCACCCGCGCUGGUAGACAGCGUGCACGGUCCGGUCUACAAUCCGGCCCAUCGCGUCUGGACGGGGCAGGACCAGGCGAACCUCUCCUCCAUCCAGGGGUCGCUCUCGCCGGCAGUUGCCGGCCUUGUUGUCUUCGCGAAGACGUCUCAUGAGGCCUGGACCAUCCUUGAGCGCACCUUUGCAGCGCAGUCCCAGGCUCGUGUCUCUGCACUCCGUCGUCAGCUUGGAGAGUGUCAGAAGCUUGACUCCACUGCCACUGAGUUCUACAACAAGGUCAAGGGCCUCGCCGACACAUUGGCCUCCAUUGGACAGCCCCUCACCGAUUCCGAGUUCAACUCGUUUAUUGUCAAUGGUCUUGAUGAGGAGUAUGAUGCCUUAGUCGAGAUCAUCAACGAGCGGGGCAACUCGACACCCAUGCUGGCACACGAGAUUUUCUCUCGGCUCCUUCUCGGCCAACGCCGCCACCAAGGGUCGAGACUCGCCGCACCAGGGGCACUGGCUCCCUCUCGGCCAACGCCGCCACCAAGGGUGGCCGCUCUUCUUCAUCACCCCGGUCUCCCUUGGGGCUGCCACCGUCGCCCGCCUCGGCCCCCCACCUACUGCGACCUUACCGGGGGCUGGCGGUCCACGUGUGUGUCAGCUUUGUGGCCGCGAUGGGCACUGGGCCUUCAAGUGUCAUAAGCGCUUCCAGCGAAGCUUCCUUGGUCUUGGCAAUGACGGCAAAGAUACACGCAACAAUGCCCGUCAGGUCGCCAUGGCUGAUCGUCCCGCGCCGCAGAAGCAACAGGGACACACUCAGUCCUACUCCAUCGAUCCACACUGGUACAUGGACUCUGGGGCGACAGAGCAUCUAAUCAGCGAGAUGGGGAAGCUUCACACUCGUGAACCCUAUCAUGGCUCCGACAAGAUCCACACCGCCAAUGGAGCAGGUAUGCACAUCUCUCAUAUUGGUCAAGCAUCUCUUCUCACUAGACAUGCCAAUAGGAGUCUUCAGCUUCGCAAUGUUCUUCGAGUUCCAUCUGUGACCCGUAAUCUUCUUUCAGUUCCUAAACUCACACGUGAUAAUAAUGUGCUUUGUGAAUUUCACCCUUUUGAUCUUUUUAUUAAGGAUCGGGGCACGAGGGACAUUCUUCUUAGUGGGCGGUUGUGCCAGGGCCUCUACCGUCUGGAGCAUCCUGGUGUCGCUCGUGUUUUCAGUGGAGUUCGGGUCUCUCCGUCACAGUGGCAUGCUCGUCUUGGUCACCCGGCCACACCUAUUGUCCAUCAUAUUUUGCAUCGUCAUGAGCUUCCUAGUUUGUCUAGUCAUAAAGAUGUAGCAGUGUGUGAUGCUUGUCAGCAGGGGAAGAGUCAUCAACUUCCUUUUUCGGAGUCCAGUCGUGAGGUGAAACAUCCUUUAGAACUUGUGUUUUCAGAUGUAUGGGGUCCUGCUCAGACUUCUGUCAGUGGUCAUAAUUACUAUAUCAGUUUCGUUGAUGCUUAUAGUCGCUUUACCUGGCUUUACCUUAUUAAACGCAAAUCUGAUGUGUUUGAUAUUUUUGUUCAGUUUCAAAAACAUGUUGAACGUCUUCUCAAGCACAAAAUUGUUCAUGUCCAGUCAGACUGGGGGGGCGAGUAUCGCAACCUCAACUCUUUCUUUCAGUCGCUUGGGAUAGCUCAUCGUUUAGCAUGUCCACAUACACAUCAGCAGAAUGGUUCAGUCGAACGUAAGCAUCGUCAUAUUGUUGAAGCUGGUCUUACUCUUUUGGCCCAUGCAUCUGUUCCGUUUCGGUUUUGGAGUGAUGCUUUCACCACUGCAUGCUUUCUCAUCAACCGUACUCCUACUCGUGUUUUAAACAUGAAGACUCCCAUUGAGGUUCUCCUUAAUGAACAACCUGAUUAUACCUUUCUCAAGGUAUUUGGGUGUGCUUGCUGGCCGCAUCUUCGUCCAUAUAACAAGCGCAAGCUUGAGUUUCGUUCUAAAAAGUGUGUUUUUCUUGGCUAUAGCUCUCUUCAUAAAGGUUACAAAUGUCUUCAUGUUCCCACUAAUCGUGUCUAUAUAUCUCGGGACAUCGUGUUUGAUGAGCAUGUUUUUCCCUUUGCCAACCUUCCUGUGUCCACUGUCGAACCACCAUCCCUGCAUUCAUCCUCUGUUGCUUCUGACCAAUUUGAUGAUGUUGCAUACUCUCCUUUGCUGUUACCUAACCAUGGUGCAGGAACCGGACGUGGAGCUCGUUUGGAGCUGUUGGAGGAUUCACCAUCAUCAUCGUCGUCUUCUGGUGGGCACGUCGAUCGCCCUAUGUUGCAUGUCAUCGAUUCGCGUGCCCAUGCAUGGUCACCCGACGAGCCCGUCGCGCCGAGCAUCUCCACUGCUCGGUCCGUUUCGCCAGCGGCCGCCGAGUCGCCCGCGGCUCGGCCCAUCACGCAGUCUUCGCCUGCGGCUUGGCCCGUCACGCCGUCUUCGCCCGCGGCUCGGGUCCUCACGUCGCCUUCAUCAGCGGAUCGGCCCGCGACACCGGCCGCGCCACGGCCCACUAUGCCGAGCUCGCCAUCGGCCCGGUCUGUGAUGCCGGAGUCGCCAGCUGCUUCGUCUGCUCUGCCGGUUUCGCCGGUGGGUCGGCCUUCUUCGCCAACCGAGUCCGAGGCUACCGUGACUGGCUCCUCGUCACCGGCUGACUCGUCAACGUCGCCGUCCUCCAGCCCGUUGCAGGCUGCUCCGUCGACCUCGGUGGUUCCUGUGUCCCGACCACAUACACGCAGUCGCAGUGGCAUUUUCAAACCUAAGGAACGUAAGGAUGGUACGGUUGCUUGGUUGGCUGCUUGUUUGGCUGCUGCUAUUGCGGAUCCAUCUUCUGAGCCUCGCUCAUAUCAGGCUGCCCUGCGCAUUCCACAUUGGCGAGAGGCUAUGGAGCAGGAGUUUCAUGCUCUUCUUCGUAACAAGACAUGGACUCUCGUUCCUCCACCACCACGGGUAAAUGUUAUUGACUCAAAAUGGGUAUUCAAAGUGAAGAAGCAUUCGGAUGGAUCUAUUGAGUGUUACAAAGCGCGACUUGUUGCUCGCGGUUUUCGGCAGCGUCAUGGUCUUGACUAUGAGGACACCUUCAGUCCUGUCGUCAAGCCUACCACUAUUCGGCUUCUUCUCUCCAUUGCUGUUUCUCGUGGUUGGUCACUUCGUCAACUUGAUGUGCAGAAUGCUUUUCUACAUGGAUUUUUGGAGGAAGAGGUUUAUAUGAAACAGCCGCCUGGUUUCUCUGAUCCUGAUCGUCCUGACUAUAUCUGUCGUCUUUCCAAAGCACUAUAUGGUUUGAAGCAAGCUCCUCGUGCCUGGCAUGCCCGCCUUGCCUCUGCCCUUCGUGCUCAUGGGUUUGUGCCGUCUACUGCUGACACUUCGUUAUUUCUUCUACAGAAGCCAGAAGUCACUAUGUAUCUUUUGGUAUAUGUCGAUGAUAUUAUCCUUGUCAGCUCUUCUCAGUAUGCUGCUGAUGCUCUUGUCUGCUCUCUUGGUGCUGAUUUUGCGGUCAAAGAUCUUGGGAAGCUUCACUACUUUCUUGGAGUUGAGGUCACUUCUCGUGCUACUGGUCUUGUCCUUACGCAGAAGAAGUACUCCUUGGAGUUGUUACAGAGAGCUGGCAUGCUGAAGUGCAAACCGACCACCACACCCAUGUCGUCUACCGACAAGAUAACAGCUGUUGAUGGUGAGCUUUUGUCUCCUGCGGAUGCCACGGAGUACAGGAGCAUUGUUGGUGGACUUCAGUACUUGACGAUCACGAGACCAGAUAUCUCUUAUGCUGUUAACAGGGUUUGUCAGUAUCUUCAGGCUCCCAGAGAUACUCAUUGGGCUGCUGUUAAACGCAUUCUUCGUUAUGUUCAGUUCACCCUGACAUUUGGUAUGCAUAUUCGGCCGACUUCCUCUCGGGUCCUUUCGGCCUUCUCUGAUGCAGAUUGGGCUGGUAGCCCAGAUGACAGGCGAUCCACGGGGGGUUAUGCAGUAUUCUUUGGCUCUAAUUUGAUCGCCUGGAGUGCUCGGAAACAGGCUACUGUGUCACGUAGCAGUACUGAAGCUGAGUACAAGGCUGUGGCUAAUGCUACUGCAGAGAUUAUUUGGGUGCAGUCUUUGCUUCAGGAGUUGGGUUUGUCUCAACGACAGCCUCCUAUUCUUUGGUGUGAUAACAUCGGUGCUACAUACCUUUCUGCAAAUCCAGUAUUUCAUGCCCGAAUGAAACACAUUGAAGUUGACUAUCACUUUGUACGGGAACGUGUAUCACAGAAGCAACUCCAGAUCAAGUUUAUCUCAUCUAAGGAUCAACUUGCAGACAUCUUCACUAAGCCUUUACCGCUGCCACAGUUUGAGGCUUGUAGGCGCAAUCUUACCCUUCUCAGUUCUUUAGAAAGUGGCUAAGAUUGAGGGAGGGUGUUAGACUAUGUAUAGCUUCUGUACCUAUGUACGUAUAUGGUACAUAUUGUAACACAACCAUUAUAUAUAAUGAGAUAAGCCAACCUUAGAGGGUUGUGCUGGUUCCCCAAAACUUAUUGUCUUACAAGUCUUGCUAUAGAUUUUUAGGAGUCGUCCCGUUAAAGCUAUGCAUUUUACCGCUAAAUUAAAAAUGACAUUGAUAGCCCGCUAAAUUCCGCUAGAGCCCUAAAUUUGGGAUCAUUUAGCCCGCCAAGCAGGUGUAGCCAAAGGAGGGGCGCAAAUAAGUUCCAGCAUGCCAUCAAUCUUACUCUAUUAUCCCUAUGUAUAUAUGACGCACAGAUGCAAAUCUAAUAUGUACUCCCUCUGUUUCUAAAUAUAUGUUUUUUAGAGAUUUCAAUACGGAUUACAUACGGAGUAAAAGUAGUGAAUCUACACUUUAAAAUAUGUCUAUAUACAUCUUUAUAUAGUCCACAUUAGUCUCUAAAAUGACUUAUGUUUAGAAAUGGAGGGAGUAGAUGUCAAAUAUAUGUAAUGCAUGAUUAUAUGCUUACUUUUCAAAAAAAAUCAUGAAUUAAGAACAAACACUAAAUGGGGCUUUGCUUCGCUAUAGCUUUUCCAAAAGAAACAAGAUCGAAUUGAUAGGCUCGGUCUCGGGUAGGCUGGAUUCCAGCUCGAGAGCUAAAAUGAAGAAUGUAUAGAAUGGAUAUAGUUGGGAAGUUGCUCGUUGUUUUCGUCUUCCACCAGUCAGUUUAUUUUAGUCCAGUCCAAGUUUGAGUAAGUAAUAAUUUUCGAGAAUUGUUUGAUUAAGAAUAGAGAGCUCCAAUAUAUGCAUGCAUGUCCAUGGAGCGGACUUUCGGCGCACGGCGGCUAUGGCGCAUAGUAUAUGUGCCAUACAAGAAUGCUAUUUGAUGCGCGUCAACGCUGCCGGCCUGGAGAUUGCGUGUUUAUUUGAUUAAUACGGAUGUUGGAUAUGGUAUGUGACUCGGACAAGAGUGGCUGCGGGUAUCUCUGCCAUACAAGAAUGUUAUUUGAUGCGCGUCAACGCUGCCGGCCUGGAGUUUGCGUGUUUGAUUACUACCUCCAUACAUAUAUAUGUGCUCCACCGCUCGCGUCCGAUACACCAGUAAGUACUGCAUCUAGCUACUUGCCGAUUUAACCAUGGCUCCUGCUGCGAUCAUCCGAGGUGUCCCGCGCGCGGUGCUCAUCGUGGCGGUGCUGGUGCUGGCCUCGCGGGGCGCGAGCGCGGCACUCUCGUGCUCUACGGUGUACAACACGCUGAUGCCUUGCCUCGGGUACCUGCAGUCAGGAGGGGUGGUCCCGCGGUUGUGCUGCGGGGGGAUCAAGAAGCUGGUGUCCACGGCGCGCUCCACCCCCGACCGCCGCACCAUCUGCACCUGCCUCAAGAACAUCGGCGCCGGAGCCGCUGGCGGGCCUUACGCCAGCCGCGCCGCGGGGCUGCCGCGCAAGUGCAAAGUCCCGAUGCCCUGGAACUGCAACUCGUACGUGGCAUGGAAACCAACACCACUUCUGUUUUGUAUUGGUGAUAUGGGUCACGGUGUUAUUCUAGUGCCCUUUCGUAGGAGUUGUUAACCUGACCGUUUUACUUGCAGGAUAAAUUGAUGCCAGAAGGCUACGCAGGACGUGUUUCGACUGGACUUCUCAACCCUUCCCAAAACAUACAGAUGCAGAACUACUAUAUAUAUAUGUUGCUAUCGAGGAUCCACCGUUCACGUACACUGCAGAUGCAGAACUUAUAUAUAUACUCCCUCUGUAAACUAAUAUAAGAGCGUUUAGAUUACUGUAAAGUAGUGAUCCAAAUGCUUUUAUAUUAGUUUGUGAAGGGAGUACAUGUGUGUGUAACGAAUAAUUACCUAGCUGUAUUAUGUGAGGCAAUUAAUGUAUUAAUAUGUACCGCACCCACCAUCUGUAGAAAGAAAUAAAAUAAUAACAACAAAUUGAGACAACAUACGUAAUUUGAAGUUUAUUCGAUGGGUUUAGGGUUUCCAUCGAAGAUUUUGCACGUUGGUAGAAUACAACGUUGUCAACACCUAUGAUUGCUUUUUUUGAAACUCCAAAAUGUUAUUUUUACUUUUUUUUCAAAUUAUGUGCUACAAAAUGCCGCACUCAAUAGACACGGCAUUAACUAGUGGAGAUGCCUGUCAUUAUCAUGCCGUUGUAUCGCGUUUAGGUGUCGGGUCUUAGAGCAUCUCCAAUCACCGCCCCGUAUAGCGUCCGGAUUGAACCCCGAACGAGCACCAUGCGGUCUGCCCGAGAUAGAUGGUGCCUAUGGGGAGCGCUUCUCCCCACUCGUUACCCCAAAACGCUCUCCCAGUAUUUAUUUAUUUUGCAAUUUCACAUUGUUCAAAUGAAAAUAACAUAAACUCGGCCUUGAAUUCAAAGUCUCAGGCACACAAAUUUAAAGUCCAUGCCACAUUUUGAAAAUCUAGGCCAUCACAAAACGGAGGUGCACGGCGCACAGAAGACAUAUCAGGCGGUGUCGCCGUUUGUAGCACCGAUGAAGUCCACGCCAAGGGUGCGCCGAGGAAGUCGUCGCCGUUGGUCUCGUGGAUGAUGUCGUUGAUGUCGCCGAGUUCGCAGCGAGGUCGAGCACGAGAGGAUGAACCACGACGGCUGUUGAUGGUGUUGAAGCCACCGCCGCCGGUCUUGUUGUUGUAGUUACUGCCGCCACCGGUGUUGUUGCUGUAGUUGCCACCGCCGUAGCCGUCACCACCAGAAUGAGCGCCAUCGCCCUGAGGAACGCUAUGCCCGCGACCACCAGCACAGUUUCACCCCUGGUGACCACGCCCAUGGCCGCGGCCACGGGAGGCAGAGUUCGCGGAGGACUGACAGAGAUUGGUGCCAUGGAGGAGGCUGAGGCUGUCAUCAAAACUUAGGAGCUGGCUGUAAAGCUCCUUAACCGUGAUUGGUUCCACUUGAGCAGCAAGCGCCGACACAACGGGGUUGUACUCCAGAUCCAAUCUAGCAGGAAUUUUUGACUUGAUCUCCGGAUCAAAUAGCGCGGCGCCGGUGCAAGCAACCUCGUGAGUGAUACUCUUAAUUUUUCCAAGGUACUCGGCCAUAGUCAUAUUACCUUUUUGCAGGUUUGUGAGCUCAGUGCGGGUAUUGAUAGACUGAGCCUGACUUUCAGCACCAAACAUGGCGUGGAUGGAGCGCCACACCUCGGCCGUCUUCUGGAGCGCGACGACCUGGGCAAGAAUAUUGCGGGAGAGAGAACCCAUCAAAUAUCCUUGGAGUUAUUGUUGUUGUGCAUACCAGUGGGUUUGGGAAAAUUUGGCGACUUGCUCUUCUUUCCCGUCCAUGGUGAUGGUGAGGGUGGCCGGUGGUGCCGGGCUCUUCUCGUCGAGGUGGUGUUCCAUCUGCAUGACGGCCUUCCAUAACAGGAAGUUUCCCCUUGUUAGCUUCUCUUGAGGUGGCGAUCCGAGAGAGGUGGCGGUGGAGCUAGAUGAUGAAGCAAAGGUGGAAGAUGAUGUAGUGGUGAGUGCACCCAUGGUGCUGAGUGUCAUGGCGGCGGCGGCGGUGGACAUGAUGUCGGUCGCAGAAGGUAGCUACAUGCAAUCUCUUUUGAUCUAUUGAGUAAGAGGCUCUGUUACCACGUAAAACUAUUUGGGAAGCAUAGAACCCUUCGUAUGGGCCGCAUUGCAUUAGAUCCAAGGGUUGACGUGGCUUACAAGGAAGUACCGAUCGAGGAGAGAGAUCGAUCGAUCGCAACUAUUAUAUGAGAGACAGAACGGAAGAAGUGAUAGGAGAAGGAUUACAAUUCAAACUACUUUCCUAUCCCUAUACAACUUAUUCUAACAUGCACCGCCAUCCGCGUGCUCGACUCAUUCCUGGCUUGCUUCCGCUGUCCAAUUCCUGUUGCUGCUUCGGCAUCUUGUUUUGUGCUUUCUGCGGGAGGGAGUAGUAGGCCAGCAAUUCCUCCUGCUUGAGUCUGGAGGCAUCACCUGCCUUUCUUUUAUCGCCAUGCAGGCUCCGGCCAUCACAUCCUAGGGGACACGGACUCGUUAUCGAUUGCUAGGAGGCGAAGAGCCAUUGUUUCCGCGCGGUAUGGGGUUUCGUCACCCACGCCCGCUUAAGGGUCUUUGUCUUCUCCAUUAUCCGCCAUGUAGGCUAUGGCGGGAAUUCUUUGAGGGAUCGUAUCUCCGCUACUGUUGAAGGUUUCGCUGUUGAGGUGACCACCCAUGUUGCGUUCGACGAGCUGGGCCAUGCCCACGAAGUGGCACAUGUCGCACUCGGCAUAGAACGCUGAGUUGAUUGUCGGGUCCGCCUCGCCCACGGAGUCGAUGAAGAGCGGCGUGGCAGUCGCUAAGGUCAGUGAAGAGAUUUACUCCGUCGCUUGGGGACGAUUCUAAUCCUACAGAGGGAUGAUGCCCGCGCGGAUUGCACAGAAAUUCGUGUCACUAAACUUCAGAUCGACGCUCUCGUCGAGAGCAUCGAAGGCCAGACGUAGCGCCGACGAGUGCGAAAUGGAGUCAAGGGAGCCGAACAAGAUCAGUUCCCCUGAGAUCGGCGAGUUGCUAUCCGCCGAGAUUCAUGCCGUUGAGAUCACGACUCCAGCGCACCUGAAUCCCACAGAAGGCACCAAUUGUCGUGGGAUCACCAUAGCAAAUCGCAUGCUUGAGGAGCUAGGUUUGCGUACAUGUAGAAGAUGGUGCUCGUGGACUCGAUGGCUAACAAGAAGCAAGGCACAAUUUACCCAAGUUCAGGACUCGGAGGGUAAUACCCUACUCCUGCUUGUCUUAUCUGUAUUCCGGCGAGUUGCAUAGGUGUUACAGUGGUGUUUCGGCUCCGAUUGGAUUUGGUGCAGAGGUGAAUCUUAUGGGUGUGUGUCUAAGUCCUCUCGGUGCUCCCUCCAGCCUUUAUUUAGGAGGCUGAGUCACAGGCGUCAUAGCCGAGUUGGUUACAACAAAGGUAGUACCCUAAUUCUAUGACUGCCUUGCGAGGAACUCCGGUUGUUCGAGUUGGGCCUCAUCUUUGACCGUCAUGGGCCUAAUCACCUAAGCCUUGGGCUAGCCACGAGAUGAGCCCUUGGUCGAACCGCAUCUGGUAUGUCGAUGGGCAUCCGCAGGGCAUAUGCCCAUGUCAGUUGGGUUUUGAUAGAUUGAGAAUCGGCUAUAUCAAAACGGAAGAGUUGGUUUUCGACUAGGCUAGAUCCAGUCCUUAUUUUCGGCUCAUAAUCGAUUUUGCGCACUGUUUACUAAAACACACAUAAAUUUCUCAUACGGAGUCUAUUUUGGAUGUAUGGCCACUCAAAUUAUUCAGAGAGAACACAUGCAUAAUAAUGUUUUCGUGAUAAAUCAAGGUAGGGCGGCCGUCCUACCUUGUCCUAAGGGGAGGUUUGCCCCUGUGUGUAGCCAAGAGAGGAGCUAAAAGAAGUGCUUUAUUUUGUUAUGAAACUAUAUAAUUAUUGGUUCUGUGUACAGUUUUAAACAAUCUUUACUGCUUCACUAUAGUCUUGCUAUAGAUUUUUAGGAGUUGUCCCGCUAAGGUGAUGCAUUUUAAUGCUAAAUUAAAAAUGAUGCUAAUAGCCCCCUAAAUUCCACUAUAACGCCAAAUUUGGGAUCAUUUAGCCUGCCAAGCAGCUGUAGCCAAAGGUGGGACGCAAAUGAGUUCCAGCAAUGCCAUCAAUCUUACUCUAUUAUCCGUUUUUGCUUAUAUGACGCAUUGAUGCAAAUCUAACAUGCAUGUACUCCCUUUGUUUCUAAAUAUGUGUUUUUUAGGGAUUUCAAUGCGGACUACAUACCGAGUAAAGUGAAUGAAUUUACAUUCUAAAAUAUGUCUAUAUACAUCUGCAUAUAGUCCGCACUAGAAUCUCUAAAAAAGGCUUAUAUUUAUACAAAGUAAUACUUUUCCAGAAGUGUUUGACUAAGAAUAGAGAGCUGCAAUGUAUGCAUGCAUGCCCACCGGACUUUCGGCGCACGGCGGCUAUGGCGCAUGGUAUCUGUGCCAUACAAGAAUGCUCUUUGAUGCGCGUCAACGCUGCCGGCCUGGAGUUUGCGUGUUUGUUUGAUUAAUACGGAUGUUGGAUAUGUUAUGUGUCUGGGACAAGAGUGGCUGCGGGUAUCUAUGCCAUACAAGAACGCUAUUUUUUGCGGGUUUAAAAGAAGUUUAUUCCAAAGUAACAGGCCUACAGUCCGCUAAUACAAGAUUAUGAAUGAAGGGGGGUGGCCGUUGCAACCAACAAGCGGUGCUACGAGCCGUUCGGGCAUAAUUAGCAAGACAAUGUGAGACCAUGUUUUGUGAUCUCACGAUCUUCACUGGUUUAAACUCUCUCUACAGCAUGUAGUUCUUGAUUUCCCUGACCAAUUUACCAUUGGGUGAUUUAUCAAGUGAAGCAUCAGUCAUAGAAGAAAGGGCCACCAUCGAGUCCGAUUGUAAUAAGACCGGAAGGUUAGACCAUUCGAUAGCCAUAGACAUUCCAAUCUUAAUAGCUUGAAUUUCCGCCUCGAGAACAUUGUUACAGUAGAAUAAUAGUUGACAUGAUGAAAAAAUGCAGAGCCCAAGUUAUCCCAUAGGAUCAUGCCUGCUCCCGCCGAGCCCUCUUCCGCUGAAUAAGAUCCAUCCACAAACAAGGCAAGCCAGCCAGGUGGUGGUGGCUGCCAUGGUGCAAUACAAGAACGCUAUUAGAUGCGCGUCAACGCAGCCAGCCUGGACUUUGCGUGUUUGUUUGAUUAAUACCUCCAUACAUAUAUAUAUGUGCUCCACCGCUAGCGUCCGAUACAUCAGUAAGUACUCCAUCUAUUUCCGAUUUAAGACUAGCCACAAUGAAGAGUAACAUACACUACUAGUAACAUACAUAUAUUUUUAGACUAUGUUACCACCUUCAUCAUGGAUACUAACAUAAGUAUGGUGUCAUGCAAAGCUUCAUUUAUUAUGUUAUAGACUCAUAUUGCAUUGGGACAUGUGAUGUUACAGUAACUAGCUGAAUUACUCAAACUACCUCUCUCCUCAUUAACUCAUUGCCACAUAGGCAAAAUUGCUGAGUUGGACUCGAUGUUACUGUUGGAGUUACUCCCACUGCGGCUAGUCUAACCAUGGCUCCUGCUGCGACCAUCCGAGGUGCCGCGCGCACUCCUCAUUGUGGCGAUGCUGGUGCUGACCUCGCGGGGCGCGAGCGCGGCGCUCUCGUGCUCCACGGUGUACAACACGUCCCGUGCCUCGGGUAAUUGCAGUCAGGCAAGGUGGUCCCGCGGGUGUGCUGCGGGGGGUCAAGAAGCUGAUGUCCACGGCGCGCUCCACCCCCGACCGCCACACCCAUCUGCACCUGCCUCAAGAACGUCAGCGCCAGCGCCGCGGGCGGGGCUUCCGGGAAAAUGCAAAGUCCCGCUGCCCUGGAACUGCAACUCGUACGUGAGGAAAACCAACACACCUUGUGUUGUGUUGGUGAUAUGCAUCAUAGUGUUUUUCUACUGACCUUCUGUAGGAGUUGUUAACCUGACUGUUUGCUUGCAAUAAAUUGAUGCCAGAAGGCUACGCAGGACGUGUUUUGACUGGGACUUGGCAACCCUUCCCGAACCAUACAGAUGCAGAACUACUAUAUAUAUAUGUUGCGAUUGAGGAGCCACCGUUCACGUACAUUGCAGAUGCAGUACUUUUAUAUAUAUAUACUCGCUCUGUAAAUUAAUAUAAGAACGUUUAGAUUACUAAAGUAGUGAUCUAAAUGCUUUUAUAUUAGUUUACGGAAGGAGUACAUAUUUGUGUAACGAAACAUUAUCUAGUAUAUGUACAUACCAAAACAAUUAAUGAAUCAAGUAAGCCUAGGCUUUAUGUAUACAUACGUGUGUAACGAAUAAUUAUCGGAAAACGCUUGUUCUCAGCCGGAUUAAAACAAACAAACGUAAGCCGCGCGCGUUGCUGGACACGUGUCUUCUGGGCCCAUCCACCGCUCCCCAGCCGGCCUUAUCUCUUUGAACCCAAUCUUCUCCACACGUUCUCCCCAAUUGCUUUUACCUUUUCCCCCAUCUCUAUGUCGUCACACGCGAGAAAGGAGAGAGGCUCCCAUGGCACACGCCGGCAACCCCGCUCAGGUGCCGCGAACCAGGAAGCGACCAACGACUACCUCUCCCCUCCUCCCCCCGCAUCUCCGCCAUGCGCCACCGCUACAGUGCUGCAACCCCGAGGGGGCAACGCAGCACACAGGGGUGGGCGGCCGCUUGUCGACGACCCGUCAUUGCUGCGACGCAGCAACUCGUCGAUGGCCACAGUGUUGCGGCGCAAUGUCGGGGCGAUGCUGCUGGUUGCUGCAAGUCGCCGGCGGUGGAGCUGCAAUGGAGCGCUCUGUGUGUCGUCGAAGCACCAUCGGGGACUGCAAUGAAGCGUGGCCGGAGCUGCAACGAAGCAUGCCAGAGCUGCAGCGGAGCACCAUGGAGAAAGUUGAAGCUUCGUCGGGGCUGCAAUGGAGCUCGGCCGGAGUUGCAAUGGCGCUUCGCCGGAGCCUUCGUGCUGCGCUGGAGCUCGCCCGAGCUGCAAUGGAGCUCCACCAGAGCGUCGGGGCUGCAUCCAUACAUGCAGAUAACACUCGGUUGUCUUGAAGUUCUAGCAGAAUAGUUCUGAGCUCGGAGCACAAAGCAUCGAAAGAUGAACAAGAGUCAUAUAAAGAGAUGAUCGGCAAAAGCUUGGCCACCAGUAAAAAUUCUCGUCAUCAGUGAUGCACACAUCACACAUCAAUGACUGAGAACUAGACUUAGAUAUUGAAUCACUUAAAAUCAAUUAUAAGAGAUAUUGAUUUGAGUGGGAGCAUAAUUAUGUAUUAAUUAAGUUUUGACUUGACAUCGCUCCUUCAAGCCUCACAUACGCCCUAGGUUUCUAAUGGUAAGUGAUAGGGAACACACACGGAAUGUUUCGUACGUGUGCGAUUGGAGAGUCUUAAAUUGUCCGAUCUAUACUAGCGUUCAUCUCCCAUUUCGAAAAAGGAAAAUUCUUAAAUUCAACCGACUGAUUUCUACCAGGCGCAAACCUCCUUCGGAGCCUUCAGAUUUCACGGACGAGCCUAAGCGUUGAGCUGUCAAUCACCUAAUCACGAUUCCAUGGACGCAUGGGCGCUAUGCUGUGGUCCCCUAGUUCCCUUUGUCUAUGCUAUAAUUAAUUCCACGGGCUGGUCCUUUAAUCACACCAGGUUUUUUAAAGUAUCGCGAAGCAAAGGGAACAUCACAUAAUAACCACAGGUUCACUCAAAUAUCAUUUGUGUAAUCAUAGGGACCGAUAUGGAUGUCCACGGUUCCACUAUCGUUCACUGAACGAAGGGGUCUCUUAGUUGAGAAGCCAAAGCACCAAACCAUAGAGAUACCACCAUAAGUCUCCGUCAAGAAGCACUACUAUAAAUUAAGAACUUAAUUGUCAAUCUCACUAGCUUUGUUAAUUGUAAGAAAUAAUAGAUAUAGAAUUUGGUAUAAUGUAUUUUCGGAAAAAAUAAUAAAUGCAUAUAUAAAAUUGAUUUGGAGAUUUUCAUUAUAAGGGAAUUGGACCGGGUUCAUAGAUUCACUAAUUGUAUUUCUCAUUAAGCGGAGACACAUAAAUAUAAGUAUGGACAUGUGUAAUUGAUCAAUAAAAACAUCAUGGCAAAUUAUGACAUAUGUUGAGACCAUGUUAUAUAAGCAUGCAGUACAUUUGGGGGCUUUAUGCACUCAUGUAUGGACACAGUCCUAAAGAAUCUAGUAACUUUGUUUCUAUGGAAGGACUGCCGAACGUAGGAAAAAAGUUAAGUGGAUGAAAAUCCGGUUGGAAUUCUUCAGAAAGCUCUCAAAUCUGAUGAGGUUAUGGAUGAAGUUUUGCAUCUCCGGUCCAAAGUUUUUGAUGCUUUCAGUAUUUCGGUGACAAUGAAUGUUAUUCAAGUAAGAAUUAAUGCUAUAGCCGCCUGCAAGUUGACAUGUGGGCACAUUCUUCUUGUAAGUCAUCACAUUAUUGCCCGUGAAACGCUAAAGAAUAAUUGGUGUGGUAUACACAAGGGGAGAAUUAUUAAAUUUUUCGCUACUGUUAUUAUACUCCGUGCAUGGGCGGCUUGCUUCCGUAUUGAAAGAAGCCCGUGGAGUCAUCUCGUCGACUGGUCGUAGCUUAGGAUUCCUCUAAGGAAUAAUUUCACAAACAUAGCAAUAGUUGACUUUUUGUAGUCUGUUGGUUGCGCUGCGUCUCAUGUAAUGUUUUUUUUGUGUUACAAAUUGGUGGGUGUGUUGCUGCGAAUACAAGCGGCGACAUGAUGUGAUGCAUGUGAAGUGUCCGCUACAAGAAUAUUUUAUUUGGCAAGCGUUUUUUUACUUGCAUGCUAAGUAGGCCUAAUGUUUUUCGUUCUCGACAUUUUUGGGUACAACCAAUUGAGGUUGUUGCACCAGUUGAUCCAUAUGCAACAUCGAGAAGGCAUCACUACUUUACGAGCUAGACGUGUGACGAUACAAAUCUGGACGACUACUUGUACAUGAUGAAAGCAUGAAAGUGUUGCCAUCUGGCUGCCGCUUGUUUUUUGCUGUAAAUCACGCGGUCACGGUGCAAAGCUAGAUGCACAACGCUGCAUGCUGAAGGUAGACACUUUGACGGUGCAAGAUCAACCGGCAUCAAAUCCAGAUUUCGCUGUUGCAAAGUCGGUCACGCGAUGCUGCAUAAUGCAAGCGGGAUGCUUGACGUUGUACGGCGGUUAAUGGCAAACCUGGACUGUUGUGCUGCAAAGUCGGCUGCGUGACAUGACAUGCUGCAAGGCAAACGCUUGACAUUCCAAAGCGAUCGACAACCGCUUGAUCGGUCCUUUGACUUAGCCGUUUUAGCUGCGACCACCAUUGGCAACAUGACUCAUGUGGCACUCACAAUUUGCAACAUGAUCGGUGUUGCGCUAGGGAGGUUUGGAACUGGGCGGGCGUUGCAAACACUAAUCGCCAAAUUUGCGGCUGUCGCAACAUCUCCCAAGUUGCAGCCAUCGCCGCACAACAUCGCUCAUGCUGCAGCGGAACAUCGCCAACAUUGCGACCGUCGCAACAUGUCCCAAGUUGUAGUCACACCUCCGAAGUUGCAAAACAUGGAGCGCAACAUGGGUCAUGUUGCAACGCCCUGACUGUAGCAUUACUCGUGUUGCAAAGCACUCGUCGUCCAAACCUCCUAGUUCAAACCCAUGUUAAAACACCUUGCAAUUUGUAGCGGUCGUCGCAAAACAUCGCCCAUGUUGCAGUCACAACAUCACCAACGUUGCGACCAUUGCAACAUGUCCCACAUUGCAGUCAAAACAUCUCCCAAGUUGCAGUCGACACCGCACAUCAUCGCCCAUGUUAUAGUCGCAGCAUCGCCCAUGUCCCAGCCUUAACAAAUCCGUGAUCUCGUUACUGCGGGUGGUGUUUUCGAAUCGGGAUGGCCUCAUGUGGCAUAGAAGCAUGGGUGCCCUUGUAGGAGCACGCUGUCCUCGGGACGUUGUCAUGGAGCAUCAUCCGCCAUCCCACGGCGAUGCCUUGCAGCAAAUGGUGCCCCCUUGCCGCAUCCUGGUGAAGCUACAUAACCAGUGAUGUUGUGGUUGAACUCUGAAACAUUGCAAGCUCGCCGUGUGACGCUCCAGGGUCAGCCGCCUGCCGCUCAUGUUUUUGUUGCCGCAAAGCCAUACCAUCAUGAUGCAAAGCCAACCACGACAUUGCAAAACAUGUUGCCGCUACCCCUAAUAACCAUUUCCCAAUUUUUUUAUUGUUGCGAUUGUUACAAACAUAUUUUUGUUUAAGAAUUUUUUAAAUUGAUGUGAUCGUUAGAAAAAAGUUUUGUUUAAAACUAUAGUGAUUUUUUGUAGCGGUGUACCAUUUUUAAAACUAAAUAUCAAUUAUUUUUUUUUAGUUUGGUGUACAUGUGUACUUUUGGUUGCAAUUGCUGGAAGGUUUUAGAGUGAAUUCCGGUUUGUAUCCCCUUAUUUUGACAUUUUUGACACUAAUAACCCCAUUUAGCGGGAUUUCAUCUCUUUUAGCCCAUUUAACAUGUCUUGCCACAAUUUACCAUGUUUAAAAAUAAAUUAUGCAUUCUGACCAGCUGGCAUGCCACGUCGACAGUUUUUUCCUGCCUAUUUUUCUCCCUACUCAAUUCAUUUAAGAUUUGAAGUAUUCUGAUGGGACAACUAUACUUGUAGCAUCGCCCUUCGAAAAAAGAUGAAGUGAACGGACAACUAGUAACUCAAAUCCGGUAGGAAAGAAAUGUAUUACUUGUACAUUACACCUGGCAUGUGCAUACAAGAGGCACAAAUGCCGAUUUAUUAUGGAGUUCAAGCAAAAUACUAGUACUUUACAGAACAGGUGACAAGCAACCCCUGAUAGAAGUCAAACAUCAUAUUACCUGCCCACCAAAAAGGUGAGGACACAACUUUCCAAAAUAAGCAACCACCCUGCUUCGGUUCCUUAUUUAGCAAACCCUGGACGGUCACCCGGAUUGAUGUGCUCGAGUUCUAUCGUUAGGCCUUGUAGUGGCGAUGGGGAGGAGACCGUCUUCUACUUGCAGCAAAGCUUCCAUCUGUAGUGUCUCACCAGGUGGUGCAUCAUCACCAAUGUUUCCAUCUUGGCAAACUCCAUCCCGGGGCAUAUUCUGGGGCCGCCACCGAACGGGACGAAGGAGCACGGCGACGUCAUGGAUGACUGGCUCUGGAACCUGGAUGGGUCGAACUUAGCUGGCUUGUGGAAGAUACUUGGGUCCAUGUGUGUCGCGAUUGCCGUCCAAAUCACCUGAAUACACGCUAAGAGUUUGCAUUAGCAUUUUUCAUGCAAUUUGGUGUUGCUUUCUUUGUCAAAAAGAAGAAGAAAAAAACUAAACUGGGCAAGAUGCCAACAAGGACCUGCCAGCCUUUUGGGCUGUGGUAGCCGUCGAACUCGAUGUCCUCGAGUGCUGUACUGGAGGUGCCGAAGACUGGGGGGUCGAUGCGAAGUGUCUCCUGUGCAACUUGCCAUGUGAACUUCAUCUUUGAGAGGUCUUCCCAGGUGAGAGCCUCUCCCUCAGCCUUGUUCCUUGCAAUUUUUUCAUGCUCUGUACGUGUCCCGAAAUUAACACACAACAUGCAUGCGUGACUGUCUGCAAAGCAAAAGAAUGAAAAAAAAGACAGAUAAUGUACAUGUAAAAAAGCAUAUAUGAUGGUGUGGCACUUACCUUGCACCAUGGCGGCGCAACUCUCUUGGAGAUGGUGGUCACCUCGGUGGAGGUCGUUGUGGUUACGGCGAUAGCUCCGUCGGAUGUGGCCGUUGACGCGGCGCGGGCUAUCGCUCUGGAUGAGGCGGCUGCGCCGAACCCCGUGGUGAAGGUCCGGGAUCCUGGUGCUGACAAGGCGCCCAACAAAGCCGAAGGUGAAAGAGCUUGGUAGUUGGCGAGAAAGAAAUAGAAGCUCACUUAUUAUCAAUGUCGUGAACCGGGUCACUUCGUCGCGGAUUGUACGACGGAGCUCUGUGACUUAUGCAUCAAACCAGUGCAUGUAUCUGGAGAUUGCCCUCUGUUGGAAAUAUGCCCUAAAGGCAAUAAUAUUUGUAUCAUUAUAUUUCCAUAUUCAUAAUUAAGAGUUUUUUUGUUUUUGCGGGGGCAUAAUUAAGAGUUUAUAUGUCAUGCUAUAAGUGCUAUGAUCCUAGAAUAUGCGAUUCAGUGGGAAAAUCAUAUGCACGUGUGAAGUGAUAAGUGGAUAAAAAGAAGGUUCCUAGUCUCGCCUCUAAGACUUGCUCAAGUGUUGUGGUGAUCACAUUUUCCGGAUCUUAGGAUAUCAUCAAGUGUAAUGAUGAUCCUAAAACAACAUUGAGAUUAUGAUGUUAGAAGAACGAUCAUAUUGAAUCUACCCAAACUUGUUUGUUAUGAAUUGAGUGAAUAUCGUCUGCAUUCAAUUGUAAUAACAUAGAGGGUUAGCAUGUGUUUUAGUUCCUCAGACAAUGAGAGUGUCUCGAUCACUUCCUACCAGACAGUGGGCUUUGGUGAUCAUAACGACAACUUUCAGGCGCACCAGAAAAUUUGACAAGUGACCGGACAACUCGAGAGUGGGAUUUGCUCCUCCGACGAUGGAGAGAUAUUCUUAGGGCCCUCUUGGUGUGAUGACAUCCAUCAUCGUCUGGCCAGACACAGGUGACUAUGUCACGGGGAUGCCGGAACACGUUAACGAUAAAGAAGAGCAAAAACGGUAAACGGGAGAAACGAUAUAGAGAGCAUGGUGAUGACACAAGAGGAUACCGAUGCACGCCUGGUUUUGUAAAGUAUCGCGAUGCAAAGGGAACAUGGCAUGAUAACCAAAGAUUCACUCGAAUAUCAUUCGCGUAAUCAUUGGGACCGACAUGGAUGUCCAUGGUUCCGCUAUCGCUUCAUUGAACGAAGGGUUGUCUUAGUUGAGAAGCCAAAGCACCGAUCCAUAGAGAUAACACCAUAAGUCUCUGUCAAGAAGCACUACUAUAAAUUAAAAACUUAAUCGUCAAUCUCACUAGCUUUGUUAGUUGUAAGAAAUAAUAGAUAUAAAAUUUGGUAUAGUGUAUUUUGUAUUUGCAAAAUAAUUAAUAAAUGCAUAUAUAAAAUUGAUUUGGAGAUUUUCAUUAUAAGGGAAUUGGACCGGGUUCAUAGGUUCACUAAUUGUAUUUCUCAUUAAGCGACACAUAAAUAUAAUUAUGGACAUGUGUAAUUGAUCAAUGAAAACAUCAUGACAAAUUAUGACAUAGGUUGAGAUCAUGUUAUAUAAGCAUGCAGCACAUUUGGGGGCUUUAUGCAGUCAUGUAUGGACACAGUGCUAUAGAAUCUAGUAAAUUUAUUUCUAUGGAACCAAUGUCGAACGUAGGAAAAAAGUGAAGUGGAUGAAAAUCCCGUUGGAAUUCUUCAAAAAGCUUUCAAAUCUGAUGAGGUCAUAGAUGAAGUUUUGCAUCUCCGGUCCAAAGUUUUUGAGGCUUUCCGUAUUCCGGUGACAAUGAAUGUUAAACGACAACGACAACGACAACCCAAUUAUACAAGCAAGAAUUAAUGCUAUAGCCGCCUGCAAGUUGACCUGUGGGCACAUUAUUCUUGUAAGUCAACACAUUAUUGCCCGUGAGACGCUAAAGAAUAAUUGGUCUGGUAUAAACAAGGGGAGAAUUAAUAAAUUUUUCGCGACUGUUAUUAUACUCCGUGCAUGGGCGGCAUGCUUUCGUAUUGAAAGAAGCUCGUGGAGUCAUCUCGUCGACUGGUUGUAGCUAGGAUUCCUCUAAGGAAUAAUUUCACAAACGUAGCAGUAGUUGGCCUUUUGUAGUUUGUUAGUUGCGCUGCGUCUCAUGUAAUGUUUUUUUUUGCGUCUCAUGUAAUGUUAGGAUAGGCUUAGCUCUACGAUGAUGGGUGGUGCCAGGUUUUUUGCCCGUUCAUGUCUUGAUUGUAGGCAUGAGCAGUGGGUUUACUGUGCGGUUGCCCCGAACUCACUGCUCUCUCUUUCAUGUCCCCUGUUUUUUGGUUACAGGAACUUUAUAUUUUCUUUAUGCAAAUUAAUGUUGAAGAAUCGAUCGCUAUUUUUUCCUUGGUAAAAACCCAGUUGGCCGUUUGCUUGUAAGUACGCACCCGCUGCAGCCAGAUAACCUUUUGUAGUCUAAUCAUGUGGGUUUUGCAUUGACUUUCAACAAACGCGACUAGGGCCAAGAAGGUCGGGAAUGGACACACGCGGCACCAGCAUGCUAUAUGCGUGAACCAUGGCCGUCCAAGGGUUCNNNNNNNNNNNNNNNNNNNNNNNNNNNNNNNNNNNNNNNNNNNNNNNNNNNNNNNNNNNNNNNNNNNNNNNNNNNNNNNNNNNNNNNNNNNNNNNNNNNNNNNNNNNNNNNNNNNNNNNNNNNNNNNNNNNNNNNNNNNNNNNNNNNNNNNNNNNNNNNNNNNNNNNNNNNNNNNNNNNNNNNNNNNNNNNNNNNNNNNNNNNNNNNNNNNNNNNNNNNNNNNNNNNNNNNNNNNNNNNNNNNNNNNNNNNNNNNNNNNNNNNNNNNNNNNNNNNNNNNNNNNNNNNNNNNNNNNNNNNNNNNNNNNNNNNNNNNNNNNNNNNGGCUGUUGGUACUUGCGCCCGCGUCGGCCGCCGCGGCGAGUGGGCGGCACCUGCUACUGUUAUUGUUGCUGGUACGACUACGGUAUGAAGAAAGGCGCCUGCGGGACAGAGUGUCGCGACUGCUGGGAAGCAGGCGGCAACGGUGUGAGUCCGUCGUGCGAGGUCCCGCCGGUGAGUGCAGUAUGAGUAGCCCGAGCAUUCACCUGUUUCAUCGGGUGUUCCUCCAUGCUCAAUUUCGCAACGAUCUUGUGGAAGGUUGGCGAGGGCAGCAAGGUGAGGUUGGAAGCUAUGUUGUCGAAGUUCUCGUUGAGGCCUGCGGUGAUGGUGCCGAGGAGCAGAUCAUCAGAGCCACCUCGCCGAUAUCGCCCAACUCAUUGGAGAGCAUCUGCAGGCGCAUGCAGUAAUCAUCGAUAGCGAAUCAUUCUUAUGCCACCCAAAAAAAUCCCGUUGAAGAAAAACUAGGCACUGGAGCCGGUUAUCGGUGAAGAGGCCAUUGAGCUUUGUCCAUACGGCAUAUCUGUCAUCAUCGUCGUGCACGACCGUGUAGAAGAGGUCCUUCGAGAUGAUGAGGUAGAACCAACAAAUGAGAGUGGCGUCGAUGGCCAUCCACUCGGCAUCCCCCUUCGCAAGAUUGGAGUCGACGGAGCCGUCGAUAUGGUAAUGGAGGUAGUACUCGUGGAAGACCAAGGAGAAAUAGGUCUUCCUGGCGUAGUAGGUGGAGUUGGAUUGAUCUAGGCAAACUGGAACAGAAUCAAAGAUGUUGAUGUCGCGGAUAUCUUGGGAGGGAGUGGGGUGGAGGCUGCCGUGAGAAGGUAGGCUUGAUGGGUUAGGGCAUCAGCGGCAAGGGGAUCCCGCGGCUACGGGUAGGGUUUAGAGGAGGGGAAGGGAGGCAGCGGCGACGGUAAAAGGUGCGGCGGCUGCGAGGUGGAGGAAGGAAUAAGGGGGUAGCGCACCGGUGGCUACGGGUGGGUGGAGGAUGAGGACAUCGGAGGGAGAGGGGGUGCGGCGACUAGGAAGGGGGAAGGUGGAUGCGGCUAGAAAAUUGGCGGCGGCGGCAAGAGGGCAUUGGCGGAGGCCACGGGACGGAAGUUAGGGUUGGAAUCAGGAGGUAUCUAAUACCAGGUUGGUGAUGCAACUCCCGAUGUAUUGAUUAGGUGCAAUCACACGUAUAUAUGAUGUAAAGAGGUGCACACGUCCUCAUCUUUACAAGAAAUAUGAGACGUGACGGUUAGGAAACGUCCUAACAAUAUAUGCGAUAUAAACAUAUUUAACAAUCUAAUCAUGUGUGUUUUGCAUUGACUAUGAACUGACGUGCCUAGCUAGUGUAACAAGCAAAGAAUAUGCUGCACACCGUGCCAUGAGCUUGACCAAGCUAUAUAGAAUUGAAAGCCUUGGUUAAUUACCUUAACAAUGGUCUUUACGGUUCUCCUCCUGGAGACACGGGAUUGCCGCCUUAAUGUAAAUAUCUUAGAAAUAGGCUACAAGUCAUGGUGGCAAAACGUAUACGGAGGACCCCGACGAGGAGAAGGUGUACCAGGUGCGGGAUGAGGAGACCACGACGGAAUUUCAGAUUUUGAUGUCACGGCAACAUUUUCUAAAAUGGUAGCUACGGCAACGUUUUCUGAGAUUGCCGUCACGGCAAUGUUUUUGAAACAGUUGCCAUGGUAACAAAAUAUUGGCCGUCACGGUCGCAUCAACUCAAGAUUGAAGGCGAUCAUGGAGGACUUCCGGCGACCAGGGCUAUACCAUGUGUAUUUAUCUUAUUAGAGUAGAUUAUGAUUUAUUAUGAUUGCAGCCACUAAUUCAUUUUUAUUUUUGUUGGACAAAGCGGAUGGCAACCAAGAUGUGGAGUGUUAGGCAUAUUUUACAUGUCCGUUGAUAAAAGAUUCCAAAGCUAGAGAUGAUUGAGAGGGAUUUCAUUAGUUAUUUUAAUAUAAUGGAUAAGAUCAAGGAGUUGGGUUCCAACCCUUAGGACAACGUUUAUUACCAGAAGAAGGUGGCCAACGGGAACUCCAUGGUUGAGUUAACAAAUGAUGCAGGCAUGAUGAACAUGCUAUAGGAAUUUGAUGCUUAUACGGAAAUCAGUUUGCGUGUUUGAUUGGGGGCGAGCAACGCAAACAAGAAGCUACGGGAGGCGAGUGUCGCGUGCAGCCAACUUUGGCAUUGUGCGUUGGACGUGACGCAGACGACUGCCACCGGGCCGAGCCGGUCGGGAGAUGUUGCGUGGCUCGGUUCAGCAGUGAGAAAAAUAGGCAGGAAAAACCAUUGACGUGGCAUGCCAGUUGAACCUAACAAUUAUGACUGACCGGUCAGAAUGCUCACAAAAAUUUAAACAGGGUAAAUUGUGUCAAAAAAUUGUUAAAUGGGGUAAAACGGAUGAAAUUUCCCCAAAUAGGGUAAUUAGUGUAAAAAAUGCCAAAAUAGGAGUUAAAAACAUAAUUCACUCUAGGUUUUAUUACAAAUCUACAACACUUUUUUCUUUCUGAUUCUCAUCUCUUUCAAAAUGCAACUCACUAGCUCAGCAAAAAGUCGGCACAUGGCCGUGGGCUCAAAAAGUGCAGCCAUAGAUGCAACACGCACACCACAGGGAACAACCGCACACAGGAUAGAUCAGGUAGGGUAAACCUCGCGUGCAUUUUCUUUUUCCGAAUCAUACGCUGGUGAUCUGCGCCCACGUGAUGGUCAAAUCGAAAGGCUGGCUACUUGGCUAGGCUAUAGAUAGACGGCUCGCAAGGCGGAUGAUGUUUCACUAUUAUCGCGUAUUUUUUGACAAAUCGGCACCCUUUGCACGACUUGAGGCACGUCUGGCCUUUGGGCAAAACUAAUUUGAAAUCUGGCCCAGGUCGACACCACGUAUCAUGGAGCCGAAGUUAUACAUGUCGGCGCCACACUACACGGAGCCGGCACGUACAAGUUCGGUGUGGUGCUACAUGGUGCCGACCUCAUAUGGGCCCACAAAAACCCUAAAGGCUAGAUUUGCUCGGCUCCACAUAGCAUGAUGCCGAAUUUGUACAUCUCGGCGCCAUGUAGUGUGGCGCUGACAUGUACAAUUUCGGCGUCAUGCUAUGUGGCGCCGACCCCAAGGGUCAGAUUCCAAAUUAGUUUUGCCCAAGGGACAGAUGUGCCUCAAGUCGCUCAAAAGGGCCAAAUUUGUGAAAAAAAUACUAUUAUAUUUUUUUUUUGAACACACUACAGAGGCAAGCGCUCAUAUACACGCGCAUACACUCAUCCCUAUGAAUGCACGCACACCCUAUUUCUAUGAGCACCUUCGAAAGACUGAGCCGACAUAUCAUCUUGAAUUUUAUGAAGUCACCGUAGGCACCUCGUCGUCGACGGGAACGUCUCCUUCCACUGAAUGCGCAUCGCUGAAAAUCUUGAAAUAAAUUCAGGAAUAAAUGCGAGCACGAGGACUUGAACCUUGGUGAGCUGGGAAUACCACAGUCCUUCUAACCAUUCAACAACACAUGUUGGUUCAUUAUCGCCCAGUUGAUUUGUAGCAUCGCCCUUCGAGAAAAGAUGAAGUGAACGGACAACUAGUAACUCAAAUCCGGUAGGAAAGAAAUGUAUUACUUGUACAUUACACCUGGCAUGCGCAUACAAGAUGCAUAAAUGCCGAUUUAUUAUGGAGUUCAACCAAAAUACUAGUACUUUACAUAACAGGUGACAAGCAACCCCUGAUAAAACUCAAACAUCAUAUUACCUGCCCACCAAAAAGGCGAGGACACAACUUUCCAAAAUAAGCAACCACCCUGCUUCGGUUCCUUAUUUAGUAAACCCUGGACGGUCACCCGGAUUGAUGUGCUCGAGUUCUAUCGGCAGGCCUUCCAGUGGUGACGGGAAGGAGACCCUCAUGAAAGUCUUCCCCUUGCAGCAAAGCUUCCAUCUGAAGUGUCCCACCAGGUGGUGCAUCAUCACCAAUGUUUCCAUCUUGGCAAACUCCAUCCCAGGGCAUAUUCUGGGGCCGCCACCGAACGGGACGAAGGAGCAUGGUGGCGUCACGGAUGACUGGCUCUGGAACCUGGAUGGGUCGAACUUCGCUGGCUCGUGGAAGAUGCUCGGGUCCAUGUGCGUCGCGAUUGCCGUCCAAAUCACCUGAAUACACGCUAAGAGUUUGCAUUAGCAUUUUUCAUGCAAUUUGGUGUUGCUUUCUUUGUCGAAAAGAAGAAGAAAAAAACUAAACUAGGCAAGUUGCCAGAAUUAGCAAGGACCUGCCAGCCUUUUGGUAUGUGGUAGCCAUCGAACUCGAUGUCCUCGAGUGCUGUACUAGAGGUGCCGAAGACAGGGGGGUUGAUGCGAAGUGUCUCCUGUGCAACUUGCCAUGUGAACUUCAUCUUUGAGAGGUCUUCCCAGGUGAGAGCCUCUCCUUCAACCUUGUUCCUUGCAAUUUCUUCAUGCUCUGUACGUGUCCCGAAAUUAACACACAACAUGCAUGCAUGACUGUCCGCAAAGCAAAAAAAUGAAAAGAGAGAGAGAGAGAGAUAAUGUACAGAUAAAAAAGCAUACACGAUGGUGUGGCACUUACCUUGCACCAUGGCGGCGAGGGUAGCCGGAUCAUUGGCGAGGUGGCUGACCAUGCACGUCAUGAGAAUGGAGGUGGUUUCAUGGCUGGCAACCAGGGCGAACAUGACGUUGUCGAGAAUCUCCUCAUUGGUUAGCAGCUGCUCGCCAUGGUCGUCUGUCAUGCUGAGCAGGCGGUUGAUGAGGUCGCUAUUCGGCGACGCCUUGCCCUGCCCUAGCUUAGCCUUCUUGUCACUUGUAAUCACCUCGAGCAGCCGUCGUGCCCUUCGGCCGGCCUUGAGGCUCCGGCUGAACGUUGUGAAGGGAAGGUUGAUCGGGAUGGCAAAAACACCCUCGACCAUGCGCCCAAAGUCACGGGUGAACGCGUCCCGCGUGGCACCCGUCUCAAGGCCGAAGAGUAGCGAGGAGGUGAUGUCGAACGUUAACCCCCUCAUGAGUGGCAGCACCGUGAUGGUGGUGUGGCCUUGCCAGUGCUCCUCUAGGUGGCGCCUCACCUUGGCGUCAAUCCUCCCAGUGUAUCGCCUGAGCAUGUCCGGCUUGAGGAACUCCAUUAGCGCCCCACGGAUGCGCCGGUGAUCUUGGCCGUGCAUGUCCACGAUACUCUUCUCCCCGAAGAUACGUUGGAAGGACCGGGGCGUCCCCAUCCGCAGCCCGCUGGUAAAGAACAUGAACUUGUUGGCCGCCGGGCCCGUCAGGAAAACCGUCGGCCUGCACAACACCGAUGCCUUGGAAACCGGCCCGUACCUCUUGAUCCGGUCAUGUAUCCACUCGUUGCCGCUGUUGGUGCGCGCGGCUCGGAAGACGCUGAAGGUCUGGCCAAUCACCGGAAGUCCUAGGGAGCCAGGGGGCAGGUUGGCCGGACCCCAACAUUUCCUGGCUCGGCUCAAGAGGUGGAUGGCUAUGGCCGAGGCCGUGACAACCAGUGCUACGACUUUGAGCAAAUAAUCCAUCUCAAGAGGCCGAAAGGUGUGGUAGCACCGGGGGGUCCCGACCCCCUUUUAUCUAUCCCUUCAGCGUCCAUGAGACUGGUGCAGGAAUCAAGUUUGUUUGACCGAGGCAACAGCGGUUCCUCUCGAGUCUCGACUAGGCCUGUGGUUUGCCUGGACAGGCGAUUUUUUUUUCAAAAGUAGCACGUUUUUUAUAGCAAUUUCAGAAACUAGCAGUGUCGAUACGUUAUUUGCAAAACUAGCGGCCCGUCGGUCAACGGUUGGCCGAAGUGGACCUUUUCGGCCUGCGGAAGCCCGAAGACACGUCUUCGGUUAAGCCAGGCCGAAGCGUGCGCGAACUGGGCCGAAGACGGGCCUCUUCGGCCAGCCAGAGACCGAAGAUGGGCCUCUUCGGCCAGCCAGCGACCGAAGAGGUCUUCGGCUUACCAGUGGCCGAAGAGUAGCGGAUAAGGCCCGAGCGGCAUCUUCUUUCUCCUCUCGCUGUUCUUCCUCUGUCUCUCUCGUUCCUCUCUGUACAUCGCCCCCCUCGCUGAUCUCUUCGUUUCUCCACCUAUUUUCGAAUCCAAAGCACAGAAACGGUAGAUCGUAGCCAUCUCCAUCGGCCUACGGUCAUUUUUUCCCAAUGGGAUAGCUAUUUGUGCGUACAAGUGAGGUGGAGUCAUGAUGGGGUGAGGAGGAGAGGCCAUGGUGGGCUGAGGAGGAGGAGGCGGUUUGGCUGGUGAGGAGGAGGUGCAGCUUCGUGCCGCCGAGGGGGUGGCGUUGGUGGUGUCUGUUGGUGCAAGUUCUUCGUGAGGUGGCCACACGCGUCGAAGGUAUAAUCACGCGUCAUAUUUUAUUAGUGUUAAUUGGUUUGUGUUGGCAUUUUAGCGGAUAGUUAGUGUAGCCGGUAACAAUUUUUUCAUUGCGAUUAAUUAGAAGGUGGCAAUGCCUGACAUGUGAAAAUGUCUGUAUCAGUAAAUUUGACUGUUUACUAUGGCCCUGGUAAUGUUCGAUAUAAUGAGUUGGGGGUUGAUCUUAGCGAGUUUAAAAACGGCGUCAUGACACUUUCAGACCCGGACAGAGUGGACAUUAGACAGUUGAAGCACUGGUUGACUACUAGUUUUGGGUUGGAUUCUGAAGUAUGUUCCGUCAGUAUUCAUGCAUUGUGGACCAAAUCCUGUAAAAAUGUCAAGUGGGAGUUGAUGCCGAUAGAUAGGAGCCAGCAUUGGUUGACCCUGUUAAGUCGUUGCCGAGACCGAAGAAUCCACCCAUAUGUCCUAGUGCAGCCAGUGGCGAAGGAGGAGAAUACCGUACAACUCCAUGUGGGGUAUGAACCCGGCCAGGGUAGUCGAGUUGCUAACGAGAUUCAUUUAUCCGGGUCACAGCCACCGGAUGUGGAUCCUAGCCAAACCGAGAAGGAUUCAGACUACAUGCUGGACAAUGUUUGUGGUCAUGAUACUGGGCAGAAUAUUCAGUCGAUAAUAUUAGCUGGUUCUGGUGUUGCUGAUGGGGAUGAGGAAGGCGAUGAAAUGCAGAGGGUGAUGGAGGAAGAGAACGAUGAUGGAUAUGCAGAGGAUCUGGAUUCUGAAAAUUCUGAGGAUGAAGUGGAGGUACCGAUUCCUUCUGCAUGGAAUCAGGACAUAUCCACCGGCCUUACUGUGAACGAUGGCCAUGAGACUCCAUGGCAAUGUAAUCUGAACCAAGUCCAGAUAGGGGCUAUGUUUGAUAUAAAGAAAAAAUUGAAGUAUGCAGUGAUAAAGUGGGCUAUGUCUACUCAGAGGGUUUUCCGGACAGACAGAUCAAACCCAACAAACUAUACCGUGAAGUGUGUUGAAACAGGUUGUCCUGCGAAGGUGCACGGGCACGUGCCGAAGUAUAACAUCCACUGGGUUGUCACGAAUGUGGUCCCACAUAAUUGUGUGAGGAAAAACUUGUUGGUUCGUCAUCCAAACCCGACUUCAACUCUCAUUGCGCAACUCAUGUAUACUGAGAUAGUGGAGAAAAAAGAUAUGGAAGCAAAACACAUCCAGACAGCAGUGAAGGUCAGAUGGAAUUAUGACAUUCGUUAUGGGAAGGCUUGGAGGGCUAAGCAGAAGACUAUGGAGGAAAGGUUUGGGACGUUCUUUGACUCAUAUGAUAAUGUUGUCCGUCUCCUGGAUGUACUGAAGGAGAGGAAUCCCGGCACUUAUGUUAACGUACAACAUACAAGGUUGCUGAGUAUACCAGGUUUCAAGGUGUUGAAACGAGUAUUCUUCUCUUUCGCUAUGUGCAUUGAAGCUUUCCGGCAUUGUCCUCCUGUGAUGUUUGUGGAUGGUACAUUCCUGACUGGUGUCAGUACAAAGGGCAAAUCCUGACUGCCAUUGGCGUGGAUGGAAACAAUCAAAUCAUUCCACUUGCCAUGGCAUUUGUGGAGGGUGAGAACUUUCUGAGCUGGGUGUGGUUCUUUCGGCAAGUGAAAAUUGCCAUCGUGAAGGAUCGACCAAACGUGUGUGUCAUUCAUGAUAGGCAUGCUGGUAUAUUGAAGGCUGUGAAGACACUAAGGAAUCCAACAGUAGACGAACCAACACCUUGGAAGGAUUUGCAGAGCCGGUGGUGCAUGCGCCAUCUUGGGGCUAACUUUUUCUCACAGUUUAAGAACAAGCGGUUGAUGAACUUGUUUAAAAAAUUGUGCAAGCAGAACCAGGAGCGUAAAUACCAAUUUAUUUGGUCAAAACUUGAUGAGUUUACUAAGAAGCAGGUCCGUGCCAGGAAGAAAAUGGAAAAGGACCAACAACAAUUAGCAACACUCAUGGUGGAGCUAGAGGAGCCAGUUGGUCUCUGUGACUUGCCAGCAAUUGACCCUCCUAAUACUAAGAGAAAGAAGGGGAGGGCAAUAAAGGAUUUUUCAGAGUGGAUAGAGAAAGAGCCUCCCGUGAAUUGGUCUUUGUUGCAUGACACCCAUGGAGCUAGGUAUGGCCACAUGACAACCAACCUUGCAGAGGUGUAUAACUUUGUACUCAGAGGGAAUAGAGCAUUGCCACUCACAGCUAUUGUGGAGGCUGUAUUCCAUGGCACUUUGAGAUAUUUCAGAGACCGACACGAGUUAGCAAAGAACCAUAUUAUAGAUAAUCAGAACACACCUUACUGUAGCCGUGUCAUGAAGUAUAUGGCAGAGAAGAUAGAGAAAGCAAAGAAGCACACUGUGAGACUCGUAGGUAAUCAGGAAAGGAGGUAUGAGGUUCAGCUACCUACCGAUGGUUUUGGUUCUGCGAAUGAGGUGAAGACGCAUGAGGUAAAAAUUGGAACGGAAUUUUAUCCAACGUGUGAGUGUACAUGCAACAAACCAAAGUUGUUGCACCUGCCUUGCUCACAUGUGUUAGCUGCCUGUGGCCAGAUUGAGUUGGCUGCCAUCUCCUUUGUGUCGCCAUACUACUUAAAAGAGGCUGUACUGAACACAUGGACCGGUGAGAUGACAGGGUUUAGAGUCGUUGGCAAUUUCAACAAGGUUAACGACGGUGAGAGAGUAUACAUCUCGGAUCCAGAACUUCGGCGAACAAGCAGGGGUCGACGUAAGGCCCGUCGAAUCCGAAAUGAUAUGGACCAAUCUGAAGCUGGUGGAGCAACCAGACAAUGUUUGCUAUGCGCGGCUUAUGGGCAUAGGAUGAAAUAUUGUCCUGACCUGAACAAAGAUGGUGCUUCCACAUCAACGAGUGCUUCCACAUCGACGGCUGCAACAACAGGAGCAAGAGGCGGACGUGGUCGUGGCAGUCGAGGCCGAAGGGGAGGACGAGGAAGGAAUAACUCAGAAGCUAUAUAAUGUGGGGGAGAAUGUUUUAAUUUGUAAUAUCGUCUGGACUAUGUUUUAUUUUGCAAUGUCUGAACUAUGUAUUAAUUUGUAAUGUCGGCUGGACUAUAUUUUACUUUGUAUGUCCGAACUAUGUAUUAAUUUGUAAUGUCGACUGAACUAUGUUUUACUUUGUAUGUCUGAACUAUGUAUUAAUUUGCAAUGUCUGGACUAUGUUUUGAUUGCAGAUAUAUCUUUGUAUCCGUUGCUUAAUGGUACGAUUGAUAGAGGUCACCGGGCUGCACUUAUGCAAGGGGGCAAGAACUUAGACGUUUUGGUCACUCGCACCCCGAAGACUAACUGGAUGAUACACCCUUCAUGGGUUGAUAGGUAUUGAUACAUAUAGUGCCUUACAUGUUUGACAUAGGUAUUGAAACAUAUAAUUACUUACUUUUCAUGCUACAUUCUCUUUUUUUUAGGUUAAGUUGGGCUGGACUUCUACCCUUGGCACGGCUGGUUGAGGGUACGUUGGAAGAGUGGGUUGACCAUCCGAACUUGGAUGAGGCAGGUGAACCAAUGCAGUUGAAAAAGAGGCAAGUGAAACGAUUCUCUUACGACAGGUCACUCCUUACUUGCUUAGUAGAUAGAUGGAGACCAGAGACACACACCUUUCACUUUCCCUGGGGAGAGAUGGCGCCUACUUUACAGGAUGUCUCCUACUUGUUGGGAUUACCUUUGGCCGGUGAUGCCAUAGGUCCUUUAGAGGCAGAACCUGGCUGGCUUGCAAAUAUGCAGGCCCGUUUUCUAGCUGCGGUGCCAACUGCUACGGGCUUAAACGAUGAUCCUCACGGGCCAUGUUUUAGGUGGUUGAGCCAGUUUCAGGUAACCUUCGUGGCCACAUGACUAUGUUUUUUUAGUUACCAAUAGUACAUCGUUCACACAAUUGUAUGUUUUCUAUGUAGAUUGUCUCAUUAGGAUACCCCGCAGUAGAUUUGUCAGACGCACAGAUUGAUCGAUCCCUAGAGGCAUAUAUUCUAUGGUUGUUCGGCAAGACGAUGUUCACGGAGAACCACGUGACCACUAUUGAUGCACGAUUCAUCGGUAUUGCACGAGAGAUAGCUGACGCACGUUGCCCUGCGGAUAUUGUCCAGAGGAGUUUUGGUUCUACCGUGUUAGCAGCUACGUAUAGAGGCUUGUGCAAAGGUUGCUUAUUGAAGUCUAGAAAGUCAGGUCUGGUUGGAUGUCCACUAUUGUUGCAGCUCUGGUCUUACGAGAGAUUCCCUAUUGGACGACCCUAUGUCUCCAUUGACACACCGUUUGGGUUGGAGGACAUGGCAGGGGCUUACGUGCCUGCUAUCGGUGACUUGCCUACUAUGGGAUCUGUUUGGGCACGGAGAGAGGUAGUUUUAAAUUAUGUAAUUCCUUCGAUUAUUUUUGCUGUGCAAUAGUAUUACUAAUGUAAAUUUGUUGUCAUGUACAGAGACAGUUUGCACAUACCCAGGUGAAGGGCUGCUACCCGUCCUUCACGGUGCAGUUUGAUAGUUUGCACGAGGAUCAAGUUAUCAGGGAGCCCUACUCGUAUCAGACUAUAACAUCCAGGUAUCCAGUUGGGAUCUCUGCCUUAUGCACUAGAGAUCGGCACUACUGGAUGACCAAGGCAAAGUUGGUGUUCGACGUGAUGGUUGAGGAGAUGGCUCUUCAUAGGGUGAUGAGACAGUUUGGUCUAUGUCAAGAGCCUGCAAUUCCAGAUAUUCCACGGAUACCAGACCACGUUCACAAGUAAGUAAUAAUAUUAAAGUUGUUAGCACUACAUUCAGAAUAUAUCUAACCAUGCAACGCGCAUGUCAAUCUGAUUAAUCUGUCAAUCUCAGGUACAGUCGCGUAGGAGGAAACAAGUCCAUGGCUGUUUGGCUUCAGAGCAUUAGCCCUUACGUUCAAGAAUGGACUACGGCACCGACAAAUAUCUGGAAUGAGGUUGGGCCCUUUGACUGGGACAAGUUUGGGUUGUAUUUACAAACUUACCGGCAUACAACGAGGAUCUACUUGGUUCCAUCAGCUGCUCCUGAUCAGAUUGAAGCCCCUCUGACCAGCGAUAUGUACCCAACUACCUCUGUUGUGGGAACGAGACACCACGCGGUACGUGUCAUGCUUCUCAUAUGUGUAGUUCUAUCAUAACCUUAUCAUAUACAAUGGGUUAACUCUUCAUGUGCAGAGUGACUUGACAGUCCAGGCGCGAGAGGAGGUUUCCGCUUUAAUGCGGCAGGUUGAGAGGGGGGAUACUAUCCCACAGCCAGAGCACCUCUCAUGGUUGAGGCGUAUGGAUGAGAAGUUAAGAGGGAUUUACGCAUCACUUACAUGUAGGCGAUCUACGGAUGUUGUCAUUCCUCGUCCCGCACAUCGGCCCCCACGUCCCUCUGUCCAUCGUUCAGAACCACGACACUCUGUGCAGCGUUCAGAACCACGACACUCCGUGCAGCAACCACGCCUCUCUGUGCAUCAACCAUCUCCUUCACAACCAGGGAGCUCUUCCUGGAAUCAGCCAUCGCCUUCUCAACCAGGCACCUCUUCGGCCUACAGUAAGCAGAAGAGCGCGACCAUGCAACUUCGGUCACCUGUUCACGCGAAAAGGUGAGGCCCGGGGACUCUUCGGCCUACGGUUGACCAAAGAGUGUUCUUCGGCCUAUGGGAAGCUGAAGAGUCCUUUUCGGCCUAGUUGGGGCACACUUCGGCCAACGGGAGGCAGAAGUGCCCUCUUCGGUCAACGGCUGGCCGAAGAGCCACUCUUCGGCCAAUGGGAGGCCGACGGGGUGCUAAUUUUGCAAAUAACUUGUUACCACUGCUAAUUUUCGAAAUUGUUGUAAAAACCAUGCUAGUUUUGAAAAAAGACAGGCACUGUUUGCCUGGACAUUUCUUUUUUUCAGUUCGUAUGAAGGAAUAUCCAAUGCCAACUCUAGCGUUGAUUGGCCAAUGUAGCAGCCACUUCCUCUCUCUUAUUUUUUAUUUUGCUACAAGAUGCGAAUCAAUUCAGUUUUAAUUCCGCGGGUUAUCUAGCCAAUGCAUGUUGUGCUUUUUCUUCAUAAUGGGUCACGUAGCCAAGAUUUUUGCUGGUGCCUACUCCCUCCAUCCGGACUUAUUAGGCCCGUAAAUAAUCUAUUGACGUCCCUUAUUCUAAGUCCCCUCCCUCGAUUGAUGUAGUAAAAACGAUCUCUAUGCCUGCUAAUCAAUUCAGUUUUAAUUCCGCGGGUUAUCUAGCCAAUGCAUGUUGUGCUUUUCUCCAUAAUUUGUCACGUAGCCGAGAUAUUUGCUGGUGGCUAGCAUGCAAGGAGCGCUCUUAUAGGGCAGUUUCCACCUCCAAGGUAUUCAACGUUUAGGCUACGUUUGAUAGCAAAGUAUUAUAUAAACCAAAGUAUAAAAAACUACAGUUAUCAAAAUAGAAUAUUUUGGAGUAUCCACAAUACAUAGAACCUAUUUGGUCGUUGCCACAUACCGUUGUAAAUUUUGUUGUUUAGCCGUUGUGUUUUAGCACUCAGCAGCUCUGUUUUUUAAAAAGAGGUUUGGGGUUUUUUUUAUGCAGAGAAAAAACUGCAGUUUGCCCAGUACUACAAUAUUAAAAGCACAGUUGUUAGGGGCAACCAAACAGCUCAUUGUAAAUAAAACUAUGGUAAUAUAAAAUACUGUAGUAUUCUCAAAAUACUUAGAAAAUACUUUGUUAUCAAACGGGGCCUUAAUGCGUGUGAUUUAUUUCUAAUCUUGCAUGCACAAUCAAUAGGUUGCCUUGCUACCUGAGUUUUGGUCUCAGGGCCUAAUAAACCUGAACGGAGGUAGUACGUCUCACUCACAGACACUACGCCUCUCUCUCCCUUCUCUCUCGUAGCAGUAGCGCCCUCUUCUUCACCAUCACAUCAAUGAUAAAAGAGUUUUUGUUUGAUCAUUGAUGUGUUUGAGGUUUUUGUUUCUCAGAUUGUGCAGGUACAGAAGAUCAAGGCGGAUCUGAUCAAGUUCGUCGACUUGUCAUCUGAACUUGCUAAGGCAAAGCCGCAUCCAUGGAUUGGAGGCCGAUUCUGGGUCCCCACGGAGCAGGAAGAAGAUGAUGUGGACGAGCCGUCAUCGGGUGUGGUGGUUCAGGAGGCGGCAUCGUUUGUGGCGUCGCGGAAUCCAUCGGAGAUGCCGUCCGAGGGGCGGCAAGAUCGCGGGCGUGGCCAAGAUCUCCAGGAGCCGUCGAGACGACCCUAGGAGCUCGCCAGCGCCGCGGGUCAAACCAUGGAUCGGUCCGAUCCCGAAGGUAAGCCGACCGCAUGUUACUUUGUCGGUUUUUUUGCCGGACUCGUGGACUUUGGUCACGAAGAAGAUGGGGAAGAAGGGACGGGCGGCGGGGCAGCCGUCGGGGUAGCAUAGGUUCGGGCAGCCAGACGGGCAAGUUUGAACUCGUUACUAGGCCAGGAUUACUCGCGGACUUUGCUUUUGGACUCAGUUACAUCUUUUUUGAAAAUAUUACCAUAAAAAAAGUGCUCCAAAAUUGGCCCCGACGGUAGCACAUACAAGCAACACCUCUGCUUCUCCAUUUCUUUUCUUCUCCCAUACCAAUCAGCACACACGCAACAACAAGCACGACACAUCAGGAUAACACCACAGCAUGCCUCACACAAAAAUUUCUCUAUUAAUCGCAUUCCUCACACUAAAAGACAGAUUGCAUACUCGUCAAAAUAAAGCCCCAUGUUUGAGAUUCUCAAGAUUUGUUUUUAGCCUAAGGCUGGUCAUAGUGGGAGUAACAUAGGUAGUAACAUAGAUGCCACAUAAACUAAAUUGGUGAUGUGGCAAGUAGUUAAUGAGGAGAGAGACAAAUAGAGUAACAUAAUAUGUUACCAUCACAUAGCGAUUUCCAAUGCAUAAUGAGUCUACAAAGUAAUAAAUGAAGGCAACUAUGUUACCACACCUAUGACACUACCCACUAUGAAGGUAGUAACAUAGACUAGUAACAUAUGUAUGUUACUAGUCUAAGUUACUCUCCACUAUGACCAGCCUAACCACUCGGAGAGCUUUAUAAUCUAUUAUUACUCCCGCAGAUGACCUUCCCAAUUUAAUUGCAAUCAUAAUUAAUACUCCAACAGCUGACUUUCCCAAUUUAAUUGCAAUUAUUAUUAGGAAAAUGCUUAAAAGCAGCCGGAUGAUUUCUUGCGUUCAUCAUCCGCGUCCAGCGCCGUCAGAUCCAAUGUUAUCGCGAAAAUGCUAGACUUACGGGCUCUUACUGGCUAUUACGGGAUCUUUUCAACUAAUAAAACUUGCCCCCCUGAUUUUCAGCUGGGGCGGGGCCCCUCACCCUGAUUUUCACCCAAUCAAAAAUACCCACCUCAGUCUCUCCGUGAAUCCUGUAAAAUGAUGCCCGUGUGUGUAGCAUUGCCGAUGCUAUCGUGUGGCACAGAGCGCGUAUGUGUGACCACGCGCGAAGGUAGCCCACCCUUCGUCGGUUUCCUAACCUGUAGUACUCACCGAGAAAAUAUUAUUAAUUAUGUCUCGAUUACUAUUAGUGGCCUUGUAGUAUAGAUGCAAAAUAUAUAUUCCAUAGUGGCCUUAUAUAAGUAAAUGAAGGGAGUACGUAGCUACUUUGGCUUCUUCAAUCGUGACCAUCUUCCAUGCAAAAAAAAAAAAGGUCGGGACCAUCUUCGGUUACCUGUAGUCGUGUGCUGAUCGAAGGUAGUCCAAGGCGCCGUCUGUUCGUCACUUGGUAGAAACAGUUCUGGACGUUGAACGUGGGUAUCGGUUUUGAUUUGGUACUAUCAAGCUCAUUGAUUCAAAGGUUGCUUUCAGAUGUAGCGUGUUCGCCGCGGCCGCUGUCUUCGAAGCACACCAUUGCAAUAUCACCGGGUAGCCGGGCCGCCGUCGCCAUCAGGCGGCCGUCGAAGCACGCCGUCGCACCGUCAUCGAAGCAGCCAUGUCCAUCGUCAUUGUUCGAAGCACGACAUCACAAUAUCGUCGUGGCUGUCGAAGCUUACCGUCGCGACCAUCAAGGCACACCAUGGGCAUUCAAAGCACGCCGUCGCGCCAUCGUCGCGGUCGCUGCAGCAUGCCUCAUAGCAUCAUUUCGUCCAUUGAAGCACGUCGCCGCAGCAUUGUCGCAGCCAUCGAAGCACGCCACGGGUGUUCAAAGCAUGUCGUUGUGCUAACGCCGAGUGUCACAACAUGCCCGGUCGCAUCGACGCGCGGUCGAAGCAAGCCGCCGCAACAUCUUUGAAGAAGACAUGAUGUCGUGGCAAGACACCACAAGCGUUCGAAGCAUGUCGUCACGCCAUCGCCACGGCCAUUGCAUAGCAUCACUUCAGCCAUUGAAACAUGCCGUCAAAGCCCGCCACGGGUGUUCCAAGCAUGUCGUUGUGUUAACGUCGAGCGUCACAACACGCCACACUCCAUCGAUGCGGCGGUCGAAGCAAGCUGCCGCAACAUCCUUGAAGAUGUCAUGAUGUCGUCGCAACACACCACAAACGUUCGAAGUAUGUCGUCGCGUCAUCGCCAGGGCCGUCACAACACACCUCAUAUCAUCGCCCCAACCGUUAAAGCAGUCAGGUAUCGCAAAGACCAACGUCCAGCAUGGCAACACUGCCUCGCGGCCUCACACUGAUGCCGGUAGCAGCCAGCCGACCCUUGCAGCAUCAUCUUUUUCAGAGUGCAUCAAUCAUCGUAUGCAGAAGUUACUCUGGUGUUUGUCUUUGAAGCACCUCGUGUCACUACAACGGCGGCUGUCCUUUCACUUCCAAAAUUGCACACUGCUGCACGUCGGAUGCCGGUAGGACAUCAAUGCUUCAAGAUUCUCCUCCAUCGCUGAUUCAUUGUACGUUGGUGGCAUGGGUAGCAUGCAACGCCAAGGUUGACAGCGUACAGACUAGCUACUACCAGGGCCGAUGCCACAGAGGUGUUAACGCAUUUUCUAGCUACUACCAGGACGGAUGCCUACGUGAGGCCAACUCCACCGCACGACCCCAAAAGGACGUCCGUUUUGUCCGGAUUCUGUCCGUUUGGGUAGCGAUUUGGGGUCGUGUCCGGGCCUGUCCUGGGAUACGGUGGACGUGCGCCCAGCGCGCGGCCGCAUCCAUUUGCCCCAUCCUAUCCGUCAGGGCCAAAAAUGCCCAAAUUGCAUCAAAACUAGUUCCCAAGCCAAAUAUUUGUCUGAAAAUUAUAAUAGUUUUAAAACUCAACUGAAAUUAUCUUCAAUAAAAUAGUUUUACAACCAAAUCGAAAUUGUCUUGACUGAACCUAAAUUGGACGAAUACAUCUAUUGAUUGCCAUUGUGAUCCCAGACGUGCUCAACCAAGUCAUUUUGAAGAUUCAAAUGAGUGUGCCAAUCACGCAUCUCACGGUGGAAUUGGACAAACUCUUCAAAUCUGGUCGGGUCUUGGUGCAGGGGCUCAAUAUUUUCACCUUGAUAAUCAAAUCAUUGGUCGAAGAUACUCUCAUCACGCUCGUCCUCGACGAUCAUGUUGUGCAUAAUCACACAAGCAUUCAUCACCUCCCAAAGCUUCCUUUCAUCCCAUGACAGUGCAGGGUUUCGAACGAUACCCCACCGGGAUUGAAGCACACUAAAAGCACGUUCCACAUCUUUUCUAACGCUCUCUUGCAUUUGGGCAAAUCUCUUUCUCUUCUCACCUUGGGGUUUCGAGAUUGUCUUCACAAAAGUUGACCAUUGAGGAUAUAUAUCAUCUGCUAGAUAGUAUCCCUUGUUGUACUGGUGGCCGUUGAUCUCAAAGUUGACAGGUGGGGAGUGGCCUUCUGCAAGCCUUGCGAAGACUGGAGAGCGUUGCAGCACGUUGAUAUCAUUGUGAGAACCUGCCAUGCCGAAAAAAGAAUGCCAUAUCCAAAGAUCUUGCGAUGCCACCGCUUCUAAUAUGACAGUGCAUCCGUUAACAUGCCCCUUGUACUGGCCCUGCCAAGCAAAUGAACAGUUCUUCCACUCCCAAUGCAUACAAUCUAUGCUACCAAGCAUGCCUGGAAAGCCUCUAGCUGCGUUGGUCGCCAACAAUCUCUCUGUAUCAGCGGCAGUUGGCUGUCUCAACUACUCUGGGCCAAACACCUCGAUCACGGCCUGGCAAAACUUAUACAUUGACAUCAGACAUGUUGUCUCACUCAUAUGCACAUACUCGUCCACCAGAUCGCCUGGAAUACCAUAUGCAAGCAUGCGGAUGGUCGCGGUGCAUUUCUGAUAAGAGGAGAACCCAAGCUUGCCAAGGGCAUCCGUCUUGCACUCGAAGUAUGGGUCAUGAGCAACCACUCCCUCUCGGAUACGAUUGAACACAUGCCUUGCCAUACGAAAACGGCGACGAAGUUUAUCCUGCUUGAAGAGCGGGGUGUUGGCAAAGUAAUCGGCGUAAAGUAGGGCGUGGCCUCUCUCCCUAUUGCGGUUCAGGUUGGGAGCACGGCCAGGGAGUGACCCCCUGUACCAAGGAAGCUGUCGUUGAAUAUGGUCAUGAACGACCAGUGCAGCCACCACAAGAUCUUCAUCAUCCGACGAUGAAUCGUCCGACGAACAAAGGAAGUGAUGAAAGAAAAACUCGUCUCCACUGUCCAUACCUUUGAUGGCAAAAAGUCGAACACCUUCCGGUCGUGGUGGCGAAGAGGCCGCGAUGAUGACCUCGACGCAGCAGGGAUGGUUGCCGGCCGGCUACUGGCCGCUCUGAAGCUCUCGUCGGAAUCCACCUUGAAGAGCGGUCGCCGGCGGUCGUGUCCCCUCCGCCACCGGAAAGGAUGGUGACGGCCAAACCUCCCCCGAUAGACGACCAAAACUACGGCGAAACCGCGGGCGUGGUGGCGGCCAUGUCGAGACGUAGUUUGGUAUGGACGGCGACUGCUAGUGUCGGGAGCGGAGGGACUGGUAGUGUCCCCGACAGGCGGGCCACGGGGGGGACAAGGGCGUGCGUCGCGGCCGUCCGCAUGCGUCCGUUUCACCCCAAACCGAGCGCAAGUUUGGGCCGGGGAUGGGUCGAAAACGGACGGAAUCCGGAUAUUUGUCCGUUUGAGGCCGCGCGUUGGGCCGCCUCUUUUGUCCCUUUUACCCCAAACGGACGGGGCCAGACAGGAUAGGGUCGCGCGGUGGAGUUGGCCUAAGGGAGGUGUGAUUGGACUCACGCGAACAAAAGUUGAUGACUAAUCAUACGGCUGACAACCACAAUCCAAGGGCUUAUUUUCCACCGGCAUCUACCGGAUGAUGCAUAGCAGCCGCCUUAUUAUUAAUAUUCUGGCAGCUGACCUUCCCAAUUUUUAAAAUUAUAUUAUUAUAAUACUCCGGCUGCUAUGGUCCCUCAUUUAAUUGGAUCAUGAGCCCAAGGAUUACAUGACCAUGGAAUAGUAAGGCUGGCCAUAGUGGGGGUAUCAUAGCCGGUAUCAUGCACUUAGGAAUAGCAAACAUGAUAAUGUGACAAAGAAUUAAAGAAGAGAGAUGGUUAGAGUAACAUAAAUAGAUACCGUAACAUAAUAAAUGCUAUACUACUUUGUGUCAUGCAUGACCAUAAAUAAGGUCAUCUAUGAUACUCGCUCCGUUUCUUUUUAGUCUGCAUAUAAGAUUUGGUCAAAGUCAAACUUUGUAUAGUUUGACCAACUUUGUAGAAAAAAUAUCAACAUUUAAAACACUAAAGCUAUAUGGUAUGAAAAUUAAUUUCAUGAUGCAUCUAUCAAUAUUGAUUUCAUAUUCUAAAUCUCGAUAUAUUUUUUCUAGAAACUUAGUCAAAAUUGGCAAGGUUUGACUUUGUCCAAAUCUUAUAUGCAGACUAAAAAGAAACGGAGGAAGUACUACUAUAUGAUACUAUGCACUAUGAAGGUAGUAUCAUACACUAGUAUCAUAUGCAUGAUGUUAUGAUACUAGUAUAUGAUACUCCCCACUAUGAGUAGCCUAAAUGCAUUGGUUAUCUUUGUUACUAACUGUGUUUGCAGGCCGGAGCAGGAUUUUAAAACCACCCAUAUUUACCAUUAAUAGCACAUACAAUUGAGACGUAGUGGAGCAUAUUCGUGUGGCCUAGCAAUUGUAGAUGAGGCCUGGUAUUUUUAAUCUCGGACAGAAGAAUACAUAUCUUAUAAUAGGCAAUUGCCCCAUUGUUGCAACUGGCGAAUAUGUUUUCAUAGAACGUAAUCACUAUGCUUUAACAAAAUCUUAACUUUUACUCCCUCUGUCAGGAAUUAUUUGGAAAACACUAUGUUGCUCCUGCUAGAUGAUUAUCCACAAUGUUGCACACACACACUAUCCAUUUGGGCAUGUGCGGGAAAGUUUGAUGGGAUUACUGAUUAAUGGUCGGAGCCGUAAAUAAGGUCAUCUAUGAUACUCUCUCCAUUUCUUUUUAGUCUGCAUAUAAGAUUUGGCCAAAGUCAAACUUUGUGUAGUUUGAUCAACUUUAUAGAAAAAAUAUCAACAUCUAAAACACUAAAGCUAUAUGGUAUGAAAAUUAAUUUCAUGAUGCAUCUAUCAAUAUUGGUUCUUCAGACAUCAUCAAUUCCGGCAUCGUUUCCGCAUGGCUAGGCAUCUUUUCAACUGUAUUCGGGAGGGGGUGGUCAGAUACGACAAGUAUUUUGAGUGCAAAGAGGAUACCCUUGGAAAGAUUGGCUUCUUCUCUUAUAAAAAAUGCACCAUAGCUAUUUGAAUGCUUUCAUAUGGAGUUCCUGGUGGUCUCAUUGAUGAGUAUGUCCGUAUGAACGAGUCCAGGUGCCUAGAGUCCAUGUACACACUACUACAAAAAGGGCCAUAGAUGGAAUGGCCACUAAUGGCGCACCUGUCAUGUGGUGCGCCAUUACUAUAUUCUAAUAGCGCACCAUGCCUCGGUGCGCCAUUAGUAGUAUUGAAAAAAAACAUUAAAAAAAUUGUUACUAAUGGCGAACCAUGUCCACCGUGCGCCAUUAGUAGUUGACAUAGUAAUGACGCACCACAUCCGCCGUGCGCCAUUAGUAGUUUUGAAAAAAAAAUAAAAAAAAUAUAUAUAUAUAUGUUACUAAUGGCGCACCAUGUCUCGGUGCGCCAUUACUAGUUUUAACUAGUAAUGGCGCACCACCCCACGGUGCGCCAUUACUAACUUACCCCAACACCGAAUGCACCCCCCUGUGGAUCGCCUUUUCAGUUUUUAAAAAAAUAAAAGAAAAUGAUGGAAAUGUCAAAAAAUAAAAGAAAAUAAGUUUCCCAUGUGAUAUGUGGUCUAGUUGUUGGGAAAAUUUACAAAUAUGAAUUUCGACUUUAUUUACAAAAUCUCUCUGAAAAUUUGUAAAAUGGGCAUAACUUUUGCAUACGAACUCGGAUGAAAAAGUUUUUUAUAUGAAAAAUCAUCUACUCGAAAAGUUACAUCCAAAUUUAACGGGAGGAACCCCGUUAAACAUUUUCAAAAUCCCCAAAAACCUAACAGAAAAAAAGUUACGGGGCUUUCAAGAUCUAGAGGCAAAAACAUUCAAAAAAUUUCAAACUUACUAGUGGCGCACCGUGGAUGUGGUGCGCCACCAGUGACAGAAAAAAAAUUGGUUUUGAAUUUUUUUUUGAAUUUUUUUUCAAAAAAUGAUACGUAAUAUGACCGGGAAGUUUGAAAUAUUUUUCAAAAUUUCAUCAUAGUCAUGAACAUGUACAAAGUCCUAGACAUCAACAAGGUAUAAUAGGAUUGAUAUGCUAGAUAUAUCAACAAGUGCUUGUGAAGUGAGCUGUUGCUGGUGUUGGAUAGAGCUCUGAAGUUAAGCGUGCUUGGCUGGAGUAGUGUGAGGAUGGGUGACCUUUCGGGAAGUUUGACCACGGAGUGCGAUUUGAGCUGAGAUUAAGCAUAUUGACCCGAGAUUAAGCCAUAGUGAACUGAGAUUAAGAAAAAAACGAAAUUUUUUUUAGAAAAAAAAGUAAAAAAAAAUAAUUUUUUUUCCUAAAAACAUAAUGUUACUAAUGGCGCACUUCUACUUGGUGCGCCAUUAGUAUACCAGAUACUAAUGGCGCACCACAUGUGCGCCAUUAGAAAAAAAAUCUAAUGGUGUGGUGCUAGUGGCGCACCUGUAGUGCGCCAUUAGUAUCGAAAACAGGUGCGCCACCAGCAGCCCUUUUUCUAGUAGUGACAGGUUUUGCAAGGCUGUGAUUUAAGUGUUUGGCCCUGAAUACUUGAGAGAGCCAAAAGCUGCAGAUGUAGUCUACUUGUUGGCGAUGAAUGCCAGAAGUGGCUUCUCGGAGAUGCUUGGUAGCACAGACUGUAUGCACGGGUAGUGGAAAAACUGCUCUUCUGCUUGGCAGGGGCAAUAUAGAGGUCAUGUCAGGGCUUGCACUAUCUCUAGAUCUGACACUCUUUCUUCGGCAUGGCUAGGUCACACAAUGGUACCAAUGUGCUUCAGUGCUCUCCGGUGUUUGCAAGGCCUGUCGAAGGCAACUGCCCACCGGUGAAUUUUAACAUCAACGGCCACCACUACAACAAAUGAUACUACCUAGCUAACGGUAUCUAUCCUCAGUGGACUACUAUUGUGAAGACAAUCUCCAACCUUGUAGGAGAGAAGAGGAGAUUUGCAUAAGAGCAAGAGAGUGCUAGGAAGGAUGUGGAGCGUGCUUUGUGUGUUCCCCAAUCUCGCUGGGGCAUCGUUCGGUAUCCCGCUAGAAGUUGAAGCACCAAGAAGUUGUGGGAGGUGAUGACUGUUUGUGUGAUCAUGCACAAUAUGAUCGUAGAGGAUGAGCGCCCGAAACGUACCAACGAUCAAAGGUUUCAGUUCCAAGACGAAAAUGUUGUGCCUAAGCAUGAAGGAGCGACAACGUUUGCACAAUUCACUCAAUUUCAUCAUGAAAUGCGUGAUUGAGAAACUCACAUUCAGCUGCAAGAUGAUUUGGUUGCGCAUAUGUGAGCCCAUGCUAGCAACCAAUAGAUUUAUCUUUUCUCAAAACGUACGUGAGACAAUUUAAUUUGCAUUCGGCUUGUAAACUAUGAUAUAUUUAUUAGGGUUGUGGAACUAUGCUAUAUUUAUUUGCUUGUGAAACUAUAUAAAAUGUGUGUCUAUUGAUUGUGAAACGAUGUCAAGCCGGCGCCGCGGGCACAUGUGGGUCGGCGUGUUGGACGCACUACCAAUCCAAACAAAACAGAACGAAUGCCGAGCGGGCAACGACCCGAACAGACAAAAAAACGGACAAAACACACGUUUGUUUGGAUCGGCGCGUUAGAAUUGAUUUAAGGUACGCGGGAAGUCCAGCGGGAGGUGGGUACCUCGGGUGCCUGAGCGACGAUAUGUUGCAGGUUUUCAGACUUGAUAGAUAGGUACAAUGGCAGCAGGGAUCCAACAGUCAUCGUAACUUUAGUUCGCGAUGAUUAGCCCUCCUAAUUAUGCGGUAUGACUGACAGUCCUUUUGCUGUGUACAAAGCAGAACAGCUAGCUGUAUAUGCACCAUGAUGUUGUGAUGUAGUACAAAUUAAAGGCAGCUAUAUUUAUUUCUUACCAUGGAAGUGAGAACCUGUUUUGAGUUGUAUGCGGUGUAUUCCAUUUACACCUUUUGAUGCCUAACAGAAGAAUUUCUUUUGGCUAAGUAAAAAGUGCCAGUAACCGAGGUGGGCAUAGUGGUGGGCACACUCUUAAGAUGACACAUGCUUUCUGGGCAUUAUUAUGCCACAUGGAGGCAACUCAGGUGAGGUUUUCAUGAAGAACACUGCUUGUUUACUUUGCCCCUUUUUAUUAAGACGCUAAUAAGUCCUGAACUUUUGGGAUUUGCCAAUGGCAAAUUCAAUGUUUUUGUUUUCAAUUUAUAUACGCGAGGGAUGGCAAGUUUAGUUGGUAAGCCUGGCAAUUCCAUCCUUAGUUUGUUUUUUGUCAGAAAAUUACCGUGUUUGUCAACUAAAUUUUCCAUCCUCGCGUCAACUAAAGUUGCCAUAAAAAACCGUACAAUUUGUCAUUUCCGUUCUGUUAUUACGUCCCUUCCGCUUGAUUUCAUUGCACGGUAAUCUUGCCCUUCUUGUAGGUCUCCUUGCUCUUGUUUCCUAUUAUUCUACAAGCAAAUUUCUCUGCAUUUAUACAUCGUAAUAGGAUGCAUGCCAUCAGUAGAAACCUGAAUGCCCUAUCUUAAUGUAUUGCUCUAUGAGAAAAGAAAAUGGUGCAGGUUAAUGAGGUUGCAGCUAAAGUAUGCUGACUAAGCUUUUUAAAAAUGUCUGGUUAUUGUAUGGCAUACAAUAUUUUUCUUUGGUUUGUGGAAUGGAUGUCAAUUUUUUUAUCUUCUUUUUUGAGCCCUUAUAUGUCUGCUCUCAAUCCACAUAAUCGUUAUUGUUGCUUUUUUGAACAACAUGGAAAUGGUGAAUACAGAGUUCUGGAUAUGGCAAACUGGUGACAUGGAGUCAGAAACUUUGUUUUUUUCAUCUACAUGAAUAUGAGUCAUAGGACCAAGAGCCGGAUUGGAUUUCCGAAUGUGAGGAGGCUUUUAUAUUUAUACCAAUGUAUGUAUAUACUAAAUGUUUAGGCUAUGUUUCUCCCACCAAAAUUAGUAUGCAUAGUCUAUGAAAGGAAAACUGAAUCUGAACUGAAUUAUGUACUUGGAGUGUAAUUUUUUUUAGUGCCUAAUAAAGAUUUUUGCGAGAAGUUUUAAUUGGGUAAAACUGACGGCGCAGAGAAGCAUGCCUCGGCUUCUAGUACUGGAAUAUAGCAAUCUCGGUCAUGUGUAGGCAAAGGAACAAACAUAACAUUCUUAUUGAGCUUAUACAGUUUCGCCUAUUCUUUCCAUCACCAUUGCCAGGAAACCUUAUUACAUAAGCAUACUACUAGAACUAGAGUCCCUCCUGCCGAACUAUGCAUAUCAGUUUCGGGUUUUCGGCGAUAAAGGAACAUUAUUCUCAAGAGAAGGAAAACAAAGACCUAACAAGGUUGUUGUUCAUGGUGCGUGUGCUUUGAAAGUCCUGCUCGUUUUGUCUUUCCGAUGUCAACAUACCCUACUAGCCCAUCGGAAGAAUUUUAUUUAGGUCUUUAUUAAUUCUGAAACACCUUGAAUUGCUCACUAGGCAACCAACUUAUGAAACUCUAUGAAGCGAGGACACACUAUGCACCACCAACACUAUGCCUAAACGGGGGAUCUCCACAUCCUCCCCUUGAACGAGAUCAUGAUGACGGAAACAUCAUCAUGGUACCUCCUCCUUUUGUCAUGGGAUAUGUUGAGCAGUUCAUGGUAGUCCAUACCUGAAAAUUAUUUGGCAUGUGAAGUUACGAACAAUUUCAAAGAACUGGUUUGUGCAGACAGGCUUGUGUUGUGCAAAGUAUAGAGGUGGUUGCUCACCAGACUUCCUUGCAGCCCGAAGUACCAAUUCUCUAACGAGAUGCUCAGUAGGAUUGCCCUUGGGAUACACAGCUGUGAACAUCUCUACCUCAUCAACCACCUCUUUGUUGGUGAAAUACUGAUAGAGCCCGCCACACGACAACACUAGGAAUUGGUCGUUUGGACCGAUACGGUAGUGGUGGAGUGAUGGGAUGCAAAUUAUGUAGGGGCCCUUGCCGAUGUAAUCAAUCUUGAAGGACGGUAACAACACACUGUUCCACUUUGGCUGCCAAGUAAAAAAUGAGCAUCCCUUGAAUUAUCAUGUGUGUAGAUUGACAUUUCAGGAAACUUUGAUGACUCUCCAUAUAUUAGCAUAUGCAAGGAACAUGCAACAAACUAUGUUGCUCACAGUUUCAAUGGCUUUCAUAAUUGCAUGAUGUGAUGCAUGAAUUGCAAGUCACAUUCACAGUUUUUAGGUUCUUCAUCAACAUGUAUGGCAGGAACAACACUAUUGUUGAGAUAAUGUUGGACUACCACUAAUCAAGUAUAUGAAUGAAUUAAAGGGCCUACGCAUGAGGUGAACAACUUAUCUCAUGGAAUUAACUGGAAACACGGACUUCUAGUCCUUGAGUGCUAGACUGAUAGCAUGUUGUUCAGAAUAAGUGCACUUUUCCUAUGCAUCAUAGAGUACAUUAUUUAGCAAUUUCAUAACGUGGCAUCAUAAUAGUCUAGCAGAAACAUUACAUUGACAAUGGUCGGAGAUGUGCUUGAAUAUGCAUGCUGGAGUAGAAAAGAGACGUCGUUUGAUUGGUGUGUACCUCCUUCAGGUAGCCAGCCCCGAAUGCUCUGGUGAUGUUGAGUUUCCCCUUCACUCUGCCGUGGAUGAUCGCAUUGCUAUCAGUAUGUUCAACUGUGAUCCUCUUUACCUCCUGUAUCCCCCAGAUUCCAAGAAGCACAACUUAAUAAUGAUCAAAACACAAAUAAAUGCAUCACAUUAAGGAUGAUAUAAUUAAGAGGGUGUGUACAUACCUCCUCAACAGAGGUAUUGUGUUCAUCAUUGAACUGCACAGACUGUAGGCCAUCCAUGAUCUCGGCCUUCAACUGCUGCAGAUCCUUCGGUGUUGCUUUGCCGAGGAUGUUAUUAAGAUCGGGGUCCCGCCUCCUCGCCAACACGACACGACUGUCCCCGAUAUUCAUCACAUGCACGUCCUCGCCCUUCAUCAGCAUCACUAGCACGCAUGACCCCAUCAGCCCAAUCUAUGGGUUGUCGGUCGCACCCUCCUCUGCUUCCUUGAAAAAUGCCUCCUCCGUCUCCCUCAGCGCCUGAUCCAAUGCCCCGAGGACUUUCUGGUGUAUCUUCGGGCCACCCCCAGACAUGGCAGAAUUGUCCUUCUCCGGAUGUUUUGUCCGACCCCUCUUCGCCGGCUUACGUUCAAAUUUCGGGCUCUGAUUGCCUCCAUUCAGGGAAAAGAGAUGAUUAGAAGUGGCUGUCGGCUCAUUGCACUUCAUGUUUUCCGAGAGCACACCCUUGAGUGCGUGGUGCACGGCGACGUGGAGGUUUGCAAAGAGGUAGUCGGUCGCAUCUGGAUCGAAGAAGCCGUCAUAAAUCCCCACGAACACCCACCCACGCUCCUCUGAGACCGCCACUUGGAAUCGGUCCUCGCCGGCCAUGCCCCGAGCCCACUGCACAUUAUCGCUCGGUGGGGAGCGGUGAUCCCCAUCCCCGAAGGAAUCCAUAUUUGGAAACUCAGUAGGAUCCUUUGAUAGGAGGCUAUUGCGUGGCACCCUGAAAUCGAGCCUGGAGUCGGCUGUGGCCAAAGAUUUGUCGAGAGGCCGCUCAUUGCAACACUGAGAGCCUGUGGCGCCGUGGUCAAACAUGAGAUGAGAAACACUGUCCUAGUUACUUACAAAGGACGAGGUCGAUGAGAAGGAGUGGUCUAGCAUACCGGACAUGAAGGCCGACCGUGGCAGCUGGUUGGAGAUAGUGGAUAGGGUGCUGGAUGAAUCCAAGAAGUGUCUAGACAAGGACGACCUUGCUGGUGUGGCCUGGAGCGGUGCAGCGGCAAAGGAGCAUGAGCUCUUAACGAUGCACACAGAUGAUUGCGGCCCCAUCAACUCAUUAAGCAGGCAGAACGACGGCAUUGAUGAUGAUGUCGCCUGGUUGGCGCUGAUGGCCGCUCCGGAUAAAGAGAAGAAGGGUGCUUUCGAUGAGAGCACAUUAGCCAUUGAGGACUUGUCGAAGGCGACGGCUAUUGGCACAUACUUGAAGGAGUACCCAUGGAUGUCACCGGGUAAUGGGUCCGAUGAGACAACCGGCGCAUAGGUGUCACCGGAGAAGCAUGUCUUUUUGGAGAUGCCAUUGCCCAUUUUGUUUUCUUUGGUUUGGGAUUUGGGGACCGGCGGAAUGGAGGGGACGGAUAAGUUAAACUUUUGGGAAAGAAAGGGUCGAAGAGUAGUUUUGGAUUUGACUAUAGUUGGAGUUGGGCGACACAAUAUAGGGCAAUCCCUCCUUAGAGUGAAUAUGGCGGCUUUCUUGCUUCUAUUACCCUAUAACUUACUCCAAGGAGGUGUUGCUAGAAUUGCUUCCUAGUUGGGACUUGAGAAACCAUGGCACACUCCUAUGGUUAUGGAGAAGUUUGGGAUGAACUGAAAUGGCCUCACUUCCUGCUUAUAUAGAACUCAGAGCGCACUUCAGACAAUUAAAUUGUAUAUCUUCAUAGAAGAUAUCUUGAUUUAUUGAUAGAUAGCGGUUUGAUUUCUUGAAGAUACGAUGAUGGGCAAUGUAUUUGUUCUGAGGCGUGGACGUUCAGUUUCAACGCUAAGGAGCUUGCUAGCGACAUAAUUUCAUGGUUGACAGGUCACACGUGCUAUCUACAUCAGGCAACGUGGAUAGAGGAUGAGUGGUAUACCGUCAUUACAGAUGUAUUUUUGUCGCAUUUGAAUAGUGUGCUAUAUGAAUACUUCAAAUUUGGUUUAGCCGCUUGUGACGGGUUCAAUGAAUGACAUGCACCGCUUACAAUGCUGUUUGGAGUAGUAAUGUUCUAACUUAGCAAAACCGAUCUUCAAUAAAUGAGACAUAUACUAUGCUGAAUUUAUUGUAAGAUUCAAUUCUCGUAUGCCCCUGCAUAGGAAAAAGGAACGCCCCUUGCAUUUGUAGACACCAAGUUGCGCCGAGGGGGAGGGGGCCGAGCCACCCUAUCUGUAGACACCGAGUUGCCUGCAAACAAAUGAAAAAAAGGAAUGCCCUUGCAUCUAUAGCAUAGAGGCCACCCGUGUCUAUGAAUUGUGGGCCUAAGGACAUGGUAGACCACAGAGGCAUGCAUUAUCAUGCUUGUCGGUUUUGAGGAUGUCUCAACUAAAAAAAGAUACAAAAUAUUUACAAAAAAUUAUGUUCGUUGAAAUAUUUGAUCUACAUAAAUUGUUCAUGAAUAAGUGCAUUUAACAACUGCAUUUCAAGAACCUCUGAUCAAUUCAGGGUGAAAAAAUACAUCAAAAUGUACCAUUACUUUACAUAUUAUACAACCGACACGAGUUAUGAAAUAUAUUAUGGUAAAGCAUACACAAAAGGAAGUAGCUGGCACCACAAAAUCAGUCAUACCUUAAUACGAUUAUUGCACAAUGAACAUACACUUCUUAAACCAAACAAAGAAUGGUAUGCUUUACCGUAAUAUCUUUUACUCAAUUCACAAAACCUAACUAAAAGAGUCCAUAGAUGAAGCAGUUGAGCCUACCUAUAACUACAUGCCACUUCAUCAAAUUACAUUUCGAUAAAAGCACAAGACAAACGAGUGACCAUUACAACUAAGAUGCAUGCAAAUAGGCCCGACCCUAGGGGGUGGAGCUCCUAAUUGGCGCUCACGAAACCGUCUCGUGGGGGCUGGCCCAACAAGCGAGCUGGUUGCUCGCUCCUCCCUUCUCUCGCUCACUCCUUUCCCUCACUCGAUUGCUUCAUUAUGCAAUGUUCAAAACAGUUACUGGUUGACUAUGAAAAACAAAUAUGGAUCCAAACACAUCAUGAAUUUGAAAACAGUUCAUGAAUUUGAAAAACCCAUGAGUUCGAAAAGAUCAUAGAUUGAAAAACAUACAUGGAUUUCAAGAAAACUGAAAAAGUACAUUGAUUUGGGGAAAAAUCAAUGAUUUGAAAAAAAAAGUUCACAAACUCCCAAAAAGUUCAUCAAUUAGAAAAGAGUUCGGUAAACUUGAAGAAGUUCAUAAAAUUGAAAAAAAAUUGAAUUUUGAAAAAAAAAGGUUCAUCAAAUUUGAAAAUUAGUUCAAUGAUUUGAAAAGUUCAUCGAUUUUGAAAAAAAACAUGAAUCUAAGAAAUGUUCACGAAGUCAAAAAGGUUCACAAAAAAUGUUCAUGGAAUCGAGAAAAGUUCACUAAAUUGAAAAAAAGAAAUAAAAGAAAACAAGAAAAAAAUAUAUAUUAAAAAACAAACAAACUUGCUCAUGUUCGUUAUUUGAAGAUGCAUAAAGGAAGCUAUCUAGAACAAAGGAAGUGUUGUCCCAGGUGGUUAUGCACCUUUUUAUGAAUGGUUUUACCCAAAAAGGAAAAAAUGAGAAAGAUGGUUGGCCCAGUGCAGGUAGGGGGGUUGCGCCCUUAAGCGGCAUUUACGAAUGCUGCCCGUUCGAGGAGCCCUAACCAAGGCCUUUGCGCUAUGCAGCCGUCCAAAGGCCGAAGGGGUAGAGCAGCACUAGCGAUACGCAACGAUGAUGUCGCUCAAUUAUGCAGCGAGUGCCAUAUCGCUGUGAUGCCAGCUAGCUUCUGGCAUACGCCGCCACAUCGAUGGUGUACUAGUUUGUCGUUGUCGUCGACGGGUUCGUGCAGUUCUCGCACAACGACCCCUUCCUUCCUUCAUGAUUUCCCCCUUGUACACCCAUCCCUAAUUCCUUUACCUCUGUGAUACAAUCUCUUAUGUGUAUAAUAGUUAUGUGUUGGAUAAAAACUGCCGGGGAAUGUUGCAUGGGAAACACAAAAAUUCUACGCUCACGCAAAAUCUAUACAUGGAGAUGAAUAGCUACGAGAGGGGAGAGCAUCUUCAUACCCUUAAAGGUCGCUAAGCGGAAGCAUUUAUCAACGCGGUUGACGCAGUCGUACACCUUCACGACCGUCCCGAUCAAGUACCGAACGUACGGCACCUCCGCGUUCAACACACGUUCAGCUCGAUGACGUCCUCGCCUUCUUGAUCCAACAAGAGGGGCAAGUCCACUAAAUUUCACACUUUGUUCUCAUAUAUGGUUCCUAUCUCAGAUUUCAUGGCCUUGGGCCAUUUAUCGGAAUCUGGGCUCAUCAUAACUUCUUCAUAGUUAGAAGGUUUGCCGUUGUCUAACAACAUGACUUUCAGGAUAGGAUUACCGUACCACUCCGGUGCGGUAUGUAUUUUGGUCGACUUAUGAGGUUCAGUAGUAACUUGAUCUGAAGUUUCAUGAUCAUCAUCAUUAGCUUCUUCUCUAGUUGGUGUAGGCAUCACAAGAACAAUUUUCUCUGAUGUGCUACUUUCCAAUUUGAGAGAAGGUACAACUACCUCAUCAAAUUCUACUUUCCUCCCACUCACUUCUUUCGAGAGAAACUCUUUCUAUAGAAAGGACCCAUUCUUAGCAACAAAGAUCUUGCCUUCAGAUCUGUGGUAGAAGGUAUACCCAAUAGUUUCUUUAGGGUAUCCUAUGAAGGCGCACUUCUCCGCUUUGGGUUUGAGCUUAUCAGGCUGAAGCCUUUUAACAUACGGUUCAUACAGUGUCGUCUCAACGAAUUUAGAUGUGCCCUAUUUAACGUGAAUGCAACUGUCUCUAAUGCAUAACCCCAAAAUAAUAGUGGCAAAUCAGUAAGAGCCAUCAUAGAUCGCACCAUAUCUAAUAAAGUACGGUUACGAUGUUUGGACACACCAUCAUGCUAUGGUGUUCCAGGUGGCUUGUGUUGUGAAAGUAUUCCACAUUGUUUUAAAUGAAGCCAAACUCGUAACUCAAAUAUUCACCUCCACUUCAUUAUGAAAUUCUUUGAACUUUUCAAAUAUUUCAGACUUGUGUUUCAUCAAGUAGAUAUACCCAUACCUACUCAAAUAUUCUGUGAAGGUUAGAAAAUAACGAUACCCGUCGCGUGCUUCAACACUCACCGAACCGCAUACAUCGAUAUGUAUUAUUUACAAUAAGUCAUUAGCUCGGUCCAUUGUUCCGGAGAACAGAGUUUUAGUCAUGUUGCCCACGAGGCAUGGUUCGUAAGUAUCAAAUGAUUAAUCAAGUGAUUCCAAAAGUCCAUCCGAAUGGAGUUUCUUCAUGCGCUUCACACCAAUAUGACCUAAACGGCAGUUCCACAAGUAUGUUGCACUAUCAUUAUCAACUUUGCAUCUUUUGGCAUCAAUAUUAUGAAUAUGUGUAUCACUACAAUCAAGAUUCAACAAGAAUAUACCAUUCACUAAGGGUGCAUGACCAUAAAAGAUGUUACUCAUAUAAAUAGAACAACCAUUAUUCUCUGACUUAAAUGAAUAACCGUGUCACAAUAAACAAGAUCAAGAUAUAAUGUUCAUGCUCAACGCUUGCACCAAAUAACAAUUAUUGAAGUCUAAAACUAAUCCCGAGGUAGAUGUAGAGGCAACGUGCCGACGGCGAUCACAUCAACCUUGGAACCAUUCCCGAUGCGCAUCGUCACCUCGUCCUUGGCUAAUCCUCGUUUAUUCCGCAUCUCUUGUUUCGAGUUACAUAUAUGAGCAACGGAACCAGUAUCAAAUACACAGGUGCUACUCCGAGCAUUAGUAAGGUACACAUCAAUAACAUGUAUAUCAAAUAUACCUUUGUUCACUUUUCCAGCCUUCUUACCUGCCAAGUAUUUGGGGCAGUUCGACUUCUAGUGAUCAUUUCCCUUGCAGUAGAAGCACUCAGUCUCAGGCUUGAGUCCAGCUUUGGGCUUCUUCCCGUGAGCGGCAACUUGCUUGCCAUUCUUCUUGAAGUUCCCUUUCUUUCCCUUGCCUUUUUUCCUGAAACUAGUGGUCUUGUUAACCAUCAACACUUGAUGCUCCUUGAUUUCUACCUUCGUCGAUUUCAGCAUCGCGAAGAGCUCGGGAAAUGUUGUCGUAAUCCCUUGCAUAUUAUAGUUCAUCACGAAGCCUUUGUAGCUUGGUGGCAGUGAUUGAAGAACUGCAUCAGUAACACACUCAUAUGUGAGCUCAAUUCGUAGGUGAGUCAAGCGGUUGUGGUACCCAGACAUUCUGAGUAGUGUUCACUAACGGAACUGUUCUCCUCCAUCUUACAACUAAAGAACUCGUUGGAGACUUCAUAUCUCUCAACCCGGGCAUUUUUUUGAAAUAUUAACUUCAGUUUUUGGAACAUCGCAUAUGCUCCAUGGCGUUCAAAACGCUUUUGAAGUACCGUUCUAGGCCGUAAAGCAUGGCACACUAAACUAUCAAGUAGUCAUCAGAUCGAGCUUAUCAUAUGUUUAUAACAUCUCCAUCAGCUCCUUCAGUAGGCCCGUCACCUAGUGGUGCGUCAAGGACAUAAUUCUUCUGUGCAGCAAUGUGGAUAAUCCUCAAGUUACGAACCCAGUCCAUUUAGUUGCUACCAUCAUCUUUCAACGUAGCUUUCUCUAGGAACGCACUUAAAUUCAAGGGAACAAUAGCAUGGGCCAUUGAUUUACAUCAUAGAUAUGCAAAAACUAUUAAGACUAAAUUCAUGAUAAAUUUAAGUUCAAAUAAUCAAAUUACUAAUGAACUCCCACUUAAAUCAACAUCACUCAAGUUGUCUAAGUGAUACAUGAUCCAAAUCAACUAACCAAGAUCCGAUCAUCACGUGAGAUGGGGUAGUCAUCAAUGGUGAACAUCUCCAUGUUGAUCAUAUCUACUAUAUGACUCAUGUUCGACCUUUCGGUCUCCAGUGUUCCAAGACCAUCUCUGUACAUGCUAGGCUCGUCAAGUUUAACCCAAGUAUUCUGUGUGUGUAAAACUGGCAUACACCAGUUGUAUGUGAACGUAGAAUCUAUCACACCCAAUCAUCAUGAGGUGCUUCAAAACGAAGAACUUUGGCAAUGGUGCAUACUCAGGAAGAACACUUUUAUCUUGAAAUUAAGUGAAGGUAUCAUCUUAUAAUGCUACCGUCAUUCUAAGCAAAAUAAGAUGCAUAAAAGAUAACACAUGCAAUCAGAAUAUGUGACAUGAUAUGGCCAUCAUCAUCUUGUGCUUUUGAUCUCCAUGUCCAAAACAACGUCAUGAUCUCCAUCGUCACCGGUGCAGCAUGUUGAUCUCCAUCGUUGCGUCGGGGUCGUCUCGCCAACUAUUGCUUCUACAACUACUACUAACGCAUAGCAAUGAAGUAAAGCAAUUACAUGGCGCUUAAUGAUUAACACGCAGGUCAUACAAUAAAUAAAAGACAACCCUGAGGCUCCUAUCGGUUGUCGAUAUUACAAAACAUGAUCAUCUCAUAAAACAACGUAUAUCACAAACUUUGUCAGUGGACAUCCGUCGCGCUAGGCUAAGUGGAUUCCAGUUUGUGAGUUCUGGUAUAACACAAACUGGCAUUCAACUACUGGAAAAACUCCAUUUGAGAUCAUUUAUGGGCAUGAACCACGCCACUUUGGGUUAUCGGCUGAAGGUACUAUCCAGUCUGACGAUCUGCAACAGUGGCUCAAUGAUCGCCUGGUCGUUAUGGAGACAGUCAAACAACAUUUGCUCCGUGCCCAGCAGCGUAUGAAACAGCAAGCUAAUAAGCACCGUUCUGAGCGCUCAUUUGAAGUUGGGGAAAAAGCAUUUCUUAAACUUCAGCCCUACAUUUAGUCAUCUGUGGCUCCACGAGCAAAUCACAAGCUGGCGUUCAAAUUUUAUGGGCCUUUUGAAAUUGUGGAACGCAUCGGCGAAGUGGCUUAUCAUCUACGUCUUCCUCCUACAAGCAAAGUGCACCCUAUCUUCCAUGUGUCACUGCCCAAGAAGGUGAUCAAUCCACAAGACCAGCUGCUUUCGCAUCUUCCUUCCCCUAAUGAUCAGUUUCAGGUGCCGGAGCAAGUAUUGCAACAGCGGGUGGUCCGUCGUGGCUCUGACUCCAUCGUCCAAGUUUUGGUCAAGUGGAAUUCAUCGCCGCUGGACAUGGCUACCUGGGAAGAUAAAGUCACUCUGCAGCAGCGAUUUCCUCGAGUGCCGGCUUGGGGUCAAGCCGGGUUUAACAGGAGAGGGAUUGUCAGCAUCCAAGAGGAGCACCAAGAUGAUGUUCACACCGAGGGCCGGCCCAAGAGGCAGCCUCACUUACCUGCUCGGCUGGCUGGGCCUGAGUGGGCCUGAGCUCGGCAAUACUUAUACCUGGAACGAGAAUAGUUUGAGUUGGUCAUGGCGUAACGGCUAGCGAUAGCGUGUGUGGUGUGAGUGCUCCUGCGUGAGCCGAACCUUAUCCCCUGUAAUCCUUCCUCUGCAAUUCGAAUUUCAUGGCGAUGGCCUGAAUACAAACCCUAGAUCUCACAGCGCCCUCCUGCUCCUCCUCGCCAUCUUCGUAAUACGAGCCGCUCUCAUCGGAGUCUUCAUCGUCAUCGUAGGAGUUGUAAUCGGAGCUCUCCUCCUCGUCGUCGUAAAUCUCCUCGUCCUCUUCGCCGGCGAAGCCCGGCGCGGCGCGGUUCGCCGCUCCCCUGACUAAGUCCUGCGCGACCUGGCGAGGCGGUACCUCUCCGUCGUACAUCUCAGCGUCGGAGACCUCCUCCGCCGCCGGCGGCCGCGACGGCGAGGACGGCAUGGAAGGGGAGUGGAACGCGACUCUGAAGAUGAAGAAGCUUCACGCGAGUGAGGGGAUCGUUCUAUUAUGGGCCUUUUGUGGGCUACAUGUAUUUCCAGGACUGCAGCCCAACAACCCAGUACUAAGGCCCAAGAGCUCUCAAUUCGAAUUAUAGUGAUUUUUCAUGUUAAAAUAGUAUUCCCUCUGUAAACUAAUAUAAGAUCUUUCCACAUUUUGGCUAAGUAUAGGGCAAUAUUCAAAAGUGUCAAUUUUUUUUAAAUCCAUUAUUUGUUUCAAGGAAAACAAAUCCACAUGUAUAUACAGAUGUAUUUCUACAUAUGCCUAAAACUUCGUUACCCGAUAUUUUAUCAUGCGAUUCCUACUGAAAUUUUACACACAUAGAAUUUUUAUGCAUCCACAUAUUGCACGGCACAGUUCUACACACUGCUGAAUUUGAAACACAAGCGGUACUACAAAGCUAGAUGGUGAUUUGCUCCCACUCAAUGAAGUUCUUGAAAGCCGAACCGAAAAUCCAUUCACUGAUGAUACACUCAAAGCUUUCAACGAAAGAUAGAAUGGUGGCACGCAAAGUUUCCUCCUCAAAUAGCAGAUACAGGGCUCAGAUGAGCAGAACAAUACAAUUUUUGUCCACAGAGUACAUAGUAGAAACAGAGAAUCAGCAACGGAAGCUUCAGAGGUCACCCUGAGGCCAAUAUUUAGUCAUGCCGUAGCCAAUAUUCUGCAUCCGCGACAUUCGAUCACCG